rnacentral:lncRNA from 1 species
UAGGCCGCGAUCUGCAAUCCAUGCGUCGUCUGUUAGAUCCUUGUUAGGAAGUGCGUGUGCUAGUAGUGUUUCAGAAUGUGCCUGUGUUGUUCUUGUCAUGGUGGAUCUGUUAUGCCUAAUCUGAUGGUACCUUCUUGUUGCUAUCAUCUAUGGAAAUGAAAAAUGUUGGCUUCCUGUUCUCAUUCAUCUGCGUUUGAAUGCCUGUUCCCAACGUGCCAAUUUUCUUGCCUGAUUUAUCUAGCUUGUUCUAUUCGGCUCUGAUUUUGAGCUUAAUUGUCAUUAGACUGUCAAUUUUGUGACGUGUAAUCUUGCUAGCUGCCUCCAAACCCAAUUGAACGAGCAGUUGAGAUGGUACCUGAAAAUUGCUUGUACGCUAGUGUGCUUGUCUUCAGUUCUGUCUGUCGAUCAGUUGCCACAGUAUGUUUGAUGUUCAGUGCACAUAAUCUGUUGAAAGCAUCCCUACUGUGCCUAAUUAUAUUGCAAACCUGCAAGUCUGAACCAUGCUCUAAACUAAGUGCGUACUGAUAGUACAACUUAGUUGGUGUCCUGUCUUCAGAUCUUACAGGCUCAGGAAUGGCUGCAGGGCUUCGACACCGUGCCUGCAAUAUUAUUGGUUGCAUCACCCACAAUUUCCUAAAUAACGCACCAGAACAUCGAGCAAGCGCUGGCGACGAUUGGUCAGAAUCUCAUGCCAUUCCUGGUUGUGCAGCUGUCGAAACAGCAGUUGUUGCUUGAUGAUCUGUUCUCAGUGGAUCAGACAUUGCUUUGAUAGAGUAUCAUGAAUAUUGGUCACGAAAGAGAGUAUGUGUCCUCCUAUCGCAAGCAUGUGAAAUGACCUGCCUGUUUUAGCUACUGUGUUCUUACUUGCUUCGAUUUUGUAGCUUAAAUGGUAGUAGUACUGUGUAGUUCCUCUGAACCUGAAUGAACAGAUGUAGUAUGCUCGUUCAGUUCAGUUUUGUGUACCUUACAUAAACUGUAGUACUUCCUGAUGGUCACAUCAGUGCUGAAAGUUUUCUCAACCCUGCUUCUGUUCUGUAUAAUUUCAAAACUACAAACACAGUUACAAGGACGCCUCCGACUACAGUUUUUCUUGAUUAAGUGUUUACCAUGAGGCACACUGCUAUUUCUUAAGAGAAUUUUAGUGGUAUCCCAUGGGUAACUGCUCCCACAGUAAUACCAACGCCAAUUUCUUGGUACCUAUUCUCGAGUCGCGCACACUUAAAGCGAAACACGGUUCAUUCUGGGCAGUUUACAUCAGUGCUGCUGCGGGAUCCGGAUGUUUCUGGUGGUAAGCUGAUGUUAGAACAGUCGAGCAUCUCGGAAUCUAAGUUUUGUAGGAAGAGAGGCAGUAUUAUGUUUAUGAACUGUAUAAUUAAUUUUAAAUUAUGAAAUUUAUUACUGAUGAACGAUACAAAUUUUUUGACGGGAGAAGAUUUCUAACGGCACUCUGUCGUGUGACUCAAAAUGGAUGCAGAAUAUCGGAGGCCAUUAAGCUUCUAGCACCAAUUACCUGAUUGCUAAGUUAUUAUACGUAAUAUCGUAGUGUUAUCUGAAUGCUUGAAUCCUAAAAAAGUGAGCUCCUGUAAGCGAUGAAAAAUGAGAAUAGCAGUGAUACAUUGCAAUUCGAGCAAGUUCCUUUUAGAUUGUCUUCAGAUCUCAAAAACAGUUGGGACGAAGGAAUAAGAAUCUGUCAUUGGAGGACAUGCUACAGCAAUGAAGCAAGUAUAUCAAAUUGAAUUUAUAUUCACAGUGAAUUAGUGACUUAUCUUGUUUUCUGGGUUUGGAAUACAGCCAUAAAAAAAGUCUGUUCCUUGCAGAAUAACUGAAGACAGCCAUUCUCAUUUCGAUAGAGAAAAUUCCAUAGACACUUUACAAUAUUUUCAGUACAUUCUUCCUUUGAUACCUACGGGUUUGGAGACCCUCCCACAUGCACAAUUUGAAGAACACCGAUUGUGAAACUGAACACUUGAUACAAGGAGACGACUCAGUAAAAAACUGAAGGCAACAUGCAUGCACAAGUGCUGAAGUGCACAACAAAAGGACCCUCUAGUUUUGUAAAAUAAAUAUAAUCAAAAUUUGGCACUCCUGCUAAAAUUAUGCACAAUUAUACUGGUGGAGAAAAGAAAAAAAGAUCACUAUCAAAUAUGGGCAACAAGAUGACAGAAAUUCCAUAGGUGUGGGUCGUAUUUACUCGAUUCACAUAAUCCAAUACCAAGUAGCGCAAUCGUGCUUUUCAAGGUGCAUAGAUCACAACAGUUCUGAACUUUAGAUUGCUGUCAUAGAGCAAAAGGAACACCGGAGUCAUAGGAUGAAAUCUUGAUAAUAGGUGUUCCUCGUUCUUGUAAACAUUAUUGAUAUGACCACUGCACUUGUGGCAGAGUAAUCGUGUCCUCUUUCCAGAAGCAAACCCCAAAUCGACAACUCAGUAUAUUUAUUUUUUGUAUACCUUCAGAAGUUUAAAUUACGUCCCAAAGUAUUGAUUCGUGUCUAAUCAGGUAUCAACAUGUAAAUAUUAGCAAGCUCAAAAAAUUAAUAAUAUCAGCAGCUAAUCUUAGCCUGCACUUUUCUCGAUAAAGGUUCAUCUUCUCGAGGGACUCACACUCUAGUAUUUCUCACAAACCAUUAUCUCCUGCAAAAAACCGAGGGCUCAUGGUUAUUUGCUUCACUUCACUUUCUCGGAGCCGGCGCCCUUUGUAGGUUCCUUUUUUUUAGACAAGACGCCCUUUGUAGGUGAUCUACGAGAGCUCCUAUCCCAUGCUAAGAGCAAACACGCACUGUGUUGCGUUUGGAGCUAAGAUGGGUUGGGCCCAUUUACUAAUUGAGCUAAAAAAUGUUAUUCUAAUAAAAGAAAGUAGAUAAAAAUAUAUGAACUCGGUUACAACAAUAAUAAAAAUAGGAGAUCCGAAAAAUACUUAUGAAUUAAAUUUUUUGGCACGGGUUUAAAAAAUAUAUUCACACCCUUAAGAAAGAACAUGAUUUAAAAAAAAUCAUGAAAAUGAAAUUCUUCACAAAGCGCAAUUUUCUUAAGAAAUGUAUAGAAAUUACAAUAAUGUUCUCACAUCUAAAACAUGUUUAAAUUUUUUUUGAAAUGUUCACGGAAUCAAAAUUGUUCACAGAUUUGAAAAAACAGUCAUGUUUUAAAAAAUAAAUAAAAGAAAUUAGAAAGGAAACACACAAGAAUAAAAGAAAAAAUAGUACAUCAAAAUAAAAGGGAAUAGAAAGGAAAAAAUGAAGGAAAAAACAAGAAAGAACAAAUAACAGGAAAACAGUGCACCGCCAUGUAGCGGCCAACCCAAUAUCGUCGCGGGUAAUGGCAACCCUUAUCAAUUCCAAAAACAGCCCAAACAACUUUCAAUUUUGGGGUUUAGUUUAGUCUAAUCGAAGCCUAAAACAUUUUGAUACUCCAGUAUACUGUCAUGGUUACACUUGUCCUAGCAUGCCUUGAUUGCUAUAGACGCUUUGCUCAACCCGCCCUGCUUAGUAUGCAUGCUUAUGUUGUUGAAGUUAGCAUGUUACAUCCUUAUGCCAUGGACCGCCUUUAAUUAUAUUAUGCUUCUAGAGUGAAAUAUAUUCUAUGGUAUGAAUAUUACUCCUAUAAAGUAUGUUGGAGUACCCGCCUCCUAGGGCCUCCGCGGGCGAGAGUGCCCUCCACGCCGUCGGAUCUGCAGUGGCAUUACGCGGAAGCAUGCCCGUCGCGCUCCGCCCCGUUUGAUAUGUAAAGAGCUCACAAGGCAGAGGCCAACAAUUCCAAGAGAUAAUCAACCAAGUAGUGUUUUGAUAAGCAACCUUUAGUUUAUGUACGAACAUGUUGGAAUUCAACAUAUCUGAUAAAACUUCAAUCAGUUAUACCUUUUAGAGAUGCCUUGGGACAACAAGACAAUAUCUACAAAUUUGUUCUUCACCUCAUGAAUGGAAAAUAGCCGAAGUUGUAUGCAGGAGAUAACCAACCAAAUAGGAUGGUGUUUUCAUAAGCAACCUAUAUUAGAUGAUUUAUGAACUCGUUUACGACUAUACCUUUAAGAGGUGCCUUUGAUGCCUUAGUGCAACGAAAUAAGAACUACAAAUUUGGUCCUUCACAUGUUCAAUGGAAAAAUGGUUGAAGUUGUGUAUGAAGUUGCUAAAGAUGUUUUACACAACAACCAAACUUCUCUCUACAUCUAACUAUUUAACUAGCCAUGUCUACUCCCCUCAUCUAUGUAACAUUAAUAAAAUCUUGAAGAAAGAGGCAUCAAGUAAGAACAACACAAUUGUGCAUCUGGUGGAACAAAUGGAGUCAAGAUAGAGAAGUAUUGGAAAGAAUCCUACAAGUCAAUUUGUGUUCCCGUCUUGUUUGAUCCGAGGUUCAAGUUUGAUCAUCUUGAAUAUAUCUUAAAAGACUUUGGAAGUGAAAUUGGAAACAAUAAUGGAUGCACAAGUUGAAGAAAGCAAUCCAAAAGAUUGUUCAUGAAUACUCUCGAGAGACUCCUGUUCAUCACUAAGAAGAAGAUCGUGUGAGUCGCCAAUCAGCGAAUAUGAAAGAGGGGGAUGAUCCACUUGCAAAGUGAGAUCAUUAUAUCAGUUACAAAAAGGGCAACCAAAUAAUGAGUUAUAUCAUUAUUAAAAGAGACGAAUUGUAUACAUGGAAGAGAGAGUUGGACACAUUAUAAAAGUGGGAAAUCAACUCAUCCAAGUAUCCAGAUCUCUCUACGAUAGAUCGCAACAUAUUGUCUAUUCCGGCAUACAAAGUGCCUUCCAAGUCUACUUUUAGUUCCGAAGGAUGCAUCAUCAGUGACUACAGGAACAAUCUUUCUAGCUCCACUUUCGAGGCUUUGAUUUGUCUGCGAGUCUGGCUCAGGAUAGCUAGUUAGUAAGGUUUCUUUUGUUAUUCAUGAGAACUGAUAACCAUAAUUAAUCUUAUAAUUUAUUUUGUGUUUUGCGGACGAGAAAUAUACAAAGGCACGUCAUAAGAGUCAGAGCGAAAAGAUUAAGGUAUAUGGGAUGCCCCGUGAUACAAUACUAUAGGUUAUUCACAAACAGUUUAACUUAUCGGUCCUAUACAAAAUACUAGUAUUCUAACACAUGAGAAUAUACACACCGCUACAUACUCUCAUGUAUUUGUGAGAAUCACAGAGCCUCAGUUGACCUAAUUGAAGAGGCAAGCUUCAAGUUCCGAACAAUGGAUGUUCUGAAAGCAAUAUGGCACAAUCUUGAUUUUUCUUACUACGAAGAGAUGACAUCAGAAUUGACAUGUAUUUUUUACUUUUGUACAGGGAUGAACCCAACCCAAAUUUUUUAGUGGGGCCCAAACGAGUGGGGCACAAAAUAUUUGGCUAACCGGACCCAACUAGCAAUUUUUUUGGCUCUAAGGCAUAAAAACUAUAAAUUGACUAGGGCAUGGGUUCCCACUCGGCCCAACGUGGGUCCGCCCAUGCUUCUGUAUGUGUUUCUCUACAACCUGCAGAGUGUCAUCUUUGUGUUUGUAUUUAUGUAGCUAAAUUAUAUCGAGAGCAUUUAACUAUUUUCAAACGAAAAUUAGUUGAGAAUGCACACUAUCAAAUUGUUACAAAAUCAAUCAAGUUGAACAUUUAGACUCGCCAAUUAUAAACUAAACUAAAAAAAUAUAAUUUUGGUAGUGCCUCUCAAGAACUGAUAAUGCAUCGACAAUAUAGAUUUGCUGGAUGCUUAACUGAAUGAGUUAAUUGCAAGGAACUACCACACUUCGACACGUCGUGAUGAAUCAGUACUAGUAGUCACCUUUUUUGCCAUGCAGUGCCACCUCUAAGCCUAAGUGUUGCAAAACGGUCCGACAGGCGUAUACACACGUAUUGACCACGUAUCUGACCGAUCGGGCCCACGUGUCAGGUGCCAUGGUGGCGUACCCGCGUGCACCCGCUCGGUCACUCAUCCCAGCCGGCUCGGUUGCUGUAUGUAGUUGGCUCGAGAUUAGUCGAACCGGAGCCAGCCGCACUCUGUCCCUCUCCUCAGCCCAUCGCCCUCGUCUCUCCCAUCCGCCGGUGCUCGCCCCGGAGACCGCCGUGACCGCCACCGCUAUCACGCCAUGGUCUUCGAGGAUGAGAGCAUCGACGACUUGUCCAGCCUGCAGAUCUCCUCCUCCAACGACGGUAUGCAUUAUCAGAUCAGUGUUAGAGCUAGGGUUAGGGUUAGGGUUUCUGAUUUGGGGAUUUGGGGAUUUGAUGAUCUGGUUUUCUGAUUUGGGGAUUUGCUCCUGUAGAUUCCUGCUAGCAUUGAAGACCAAGACUACAAUGGCUUGGAGAAGGCACCGGAGGGGCUCUGUGUGGAGCAUCAGCUGCCAACUGAGCGCCGUGUAGAUUUUGAAUCAUUUGAGAUGGGCAGGAGGUUUCUAGUUUGCUCAGCCUGUAAGAUUCAUGCUCUCUCUCUAUGUUCACUGUAAUAUAGUUGGUAGCCUCUGUUUAGUAAGUUAGUACUACUGAUGAUGAAGCACAUUGUUUACCAUUUAGUAGUUUUGAUGCUCACCUUUUGAAAGUGCAACUAUCCCUGGGUGGUUUUGGUAAUGAUUAACAACAUAUAGCUCAUUGAACUAAUGCUAUUUAAAGAUGGAUAUUUCAGGAAAGUUCAAUGAUUGGCAUGGCAUGGAUUAGGAAUGUGGACCCCUCAAAAUGCUAAGGACAAAGGAUUGGAUCAAGCUCUAAAAUCUCAAGACUCUACAUUUUCUAUUUCAGUGAUCCAAGAUCACAUUGAGUACAUAGGAAAGCCAAUACUAUUAAAAGGGGAUGAGAUGUUGCUUAAUGGCUUGCUCGCUCAAAGUUCUUAGUGAUAUGCUCCAAAGCCCUCAACCACUUUAUCAUAUCCACAUAUGUCCCAAACCAAAAGUCAAACUCGGCCCCACUGAUUUGAUCUAUCCGGCGCCACCGAGUUCAGUUGACAUAGCCACUGCCAGAAACCCUAGUCACUUCGGUCUAACCGAUAGGAAUCUCAGUCUCACCGAGAUGGGAUUGCAAACUCCCUGUUUCCCUUCGUAAUGUUUCGGUCUAACUGAGAUGACGAACAGUCCCAUCGAGUUUGCAAUGCAAACUCCCUAUUUCCUUUUCGUAACGUUUUGGUCCCACUGAGACGAGCGAAUUGGUCCCACCGAGUUUGCCUGACCAACUCUUUGGUUAGCUUAUUACCAAAGUUGGUCCCAUCGAGUUUGUGUAAUCGGUCAAACCAAGAUUACAUUUAUGCCCUAACCCUAAUGAUAUCGGUCCCACCAAGUUGACGUGUCGGUCCCACCGAAAUGCCUAACGGUCACAUUAUGAACUAAAUCGGUCUGACCGAGUUUUCUGAUUCAGUCCCACCGAGUUUGGUAAAUUGUGUGUAACGGUUAGAUUUUGUGUGGAGGCUAUAUAUACCCCUCCACCCUCUCCUCAUUCGUGAAGGAAGCCAUCAGAACGUGCCUACACUUCUAGCAUUCAUUUUCUGAGAGAGAACCACCUACUCAUGUGUUGAGGCCAAGAUAUUCCAAUCCAACCAUAUGAAUCUUGAUCUCUAGCCUUCCCCAAGUUGCUUUCCACUCAAAUCUUCUUUCCACCAAAUCCAAUUCUAUGAGAGAGAGUUGAGUGUUGGCGAGACUAUCAUUUAAAGCACAAGAGCAAGGAGUUCAUUAACAACACACCAUCUAUUACCUUUUGGAGAGUAGUGUCUCCUAGAUUGGUUAGGUGUCACUUGGGAGCCUCCAACAAGAUUGUGGAGUUGAACCAAGGAGUUUGUAAGGGCAAGGAGAUCGCCUACUUCGUGAAGAUCUACCCUAGUGAGGCAAGUCGUUCGUGGGCGAUGGCCAUGGUGGUAUAGACAAGGUUGCUUCUUCGUGCAACCUUCGUGGAUGGAGCCCUCCGUGGACUUGCGCAGCCGUUACCCUUCGUGGGUUGAAGUCUCCAUCAACGUGGAUGUUGAUAGCACCACCUAUCGGAACCACGCCAAAAAUAUCCGUGUAUCCAGUUGCGUUUGCACACUCCAAUCCCAUCCCUUUACUUUCUUGCAAGUUGCAUGCUUUACUUUCCGCUGCUCAAAUACUCUUUGCAUACUUGCUUAAACUGUAUCAGGAUUGCUUGACUUGUGCUAAGUUGUUAAAAUCUGCCAAGAACUAAAAUUGGGAAAAAGCUAGAUUUUUAAUUGGUCAAGUAGUCUAAUCACCCCCCUCUAGACAUACCUUCAAUCCUACAAUUGGUAUCAGAGCUAUGGUCUCCAUUUGCCUUAAUUUCCAUAGCUUUUGGUGAUCAUAGCCUUGGUUUCAUAACCUAGGAGAGUAUGACGUCUAGCGAGGGAAAUUACCACCAUAGAGGUCCUUACUUUGAUGGUACUAAUUUUGCUAGUUGGAAGCAUAAGAUGAAAAUGCAUAUUCUUGGACAUAACCCCGCCGUUUGGGCUAUUGUGUGUAUUGGCUUGCAAGGUGAAUUCUUCGAUGGGAGAGAACCAAACCGUGAAGCUACCGUAGAAGAGUUGAAGAUGCGGCAAUACAACGCUUAAGCUUGUGAUAUCCUCUUCAACGGAUUGUGCCCCGAAGAAUUCAACAAAAUCAGCCGCCUUGGGAACGCAAAGUAAAUUUGGGAUACUUCGAUUGAUAUGCACGAAGGUACUGACUCCGUCAUCCAUAUUUGAUGUGCUUCAAAGUCAGCUUGACAAGUUCAAAAUGAAGGAUAGUGAAGGUGUCGCCGAAAUGUACUCUAGGCUUGCUCUCAUCACAAAUGAGAUUGCCGACUUAGGAAGUGAAGAGAUGACCGAUAGAUUCAUCAUCAAGAAGAUCCUAAGAGCCUUGGGUGGAAAAUAUGAUUGUGCACAUUGAUCCAAAUGAUGCCCAACUACAAAGAUCUCAAGCCAACAGAAGUCAUCGGAAGAAUUGUUGCUCAUGAGAUGUCACUCAAGGAUAAGGAAGAGCUUCACAACAAGUCAAGUGGUGCUUACAAAGCCUCAUGUGAUGCUCCUACAUCUUCAAGUGAGAAACAAACCUUCAAUGAGGAGUUGAGCCUAAUGGUGAAAAACUUCAACAAGUUCUACAAGAGUAGAAGCAAGGAAAGAAGUUCCAAGUCAAGGUCCUACAAUAACAAAUAUCUUCGAGCUAUGAACGUAAUUGCUACAAUUGUGGAAGACACGGACACUACUCCAAUGAGUGUACGGCUCCCUACAAAAGAAGAGAAGAUUCACCUAAAAGAAGAAGUAGAAGAGAAGAAUCAUCACCAAGAGAGAGAGAGAAGGAGUAGAGAUGAUCGUUAUGAACGAAGAACCUCCCAGAGAAGCAAGGAUUCAGAAAGGAAGGACAAAUCAUCAAAGAUCUACACAAAGCAAAGGCAUCAAGCUCAUGUUGGUGAAUGGGUAUCCGGAUCUGACUCCAACCAUCACUCCGAGAGAAGUUAUCACUCCGACUUUGAAUAUACUCAAGAUGAAGGUGUUGCCGGUCUAGCACUUGUGUCAACCAACUCCUAUGACAUAUUUGACUCACCAAAUGAAGAUGCUUCAUGGCUAAAGGCCCAAAGGUAUCACACCUUGAGUAUGUUGAUUUCAAUAGUGAUGAAGUUGACUUAUUAGGUGAUGAUGAUUUACUUGCUGGCAACUCUAGUGAUGAAUACUAUGAUGAAAUGUCAAUUAAUCAUGCUAAUCAAGAUAAAACGAAUGACAAUGAUAAGGAGAAGAUUGAGCGUCUAACUAAAGAACUAAACACUCUUAAGUUAGCUCAUGAAACUACCUUGGAAGAUCACCGAGAACUUUUAAAGACUCAUGAGAAGUUACGCUUUGAAAAGCUCAACCUAGAGCAAGAGCAUGAGUCAAUCAAUGAUGAUCUUCGCAAGAAAAGUCCUUCUUACAUUGACAAGCGUUUACUCUUGUCUACUUACAUGCCACAAGUAAAAUCUAGCAACAAGAGUAAGAAAGAUUCUUCUUCUAGUAGUAACAAUAAUCAUGCUAAGUCCAAUGUUGUUGCUUCUAAUAGUUCUCUUGAUUCCACUAAUGAUUCUCUUAGCCAAGUUACACUUGAGCAAGACAAUAGAUUAUUGAAGGAAAUUAUAGAGAAAGGUGUUUACAAGAGCCUUGCCGGAAGUAAGCAAUUUGAGGAAAUUGUACACAAGCAAGGAAGGCACCGGAAGAAUCAAGGUGUUGGUUUUGAAUGAAAGUUCAAUGCCAAUGGAGUUGAGUGGGAAGAAGAUCAAUACCUCAAGACGAAGUUUGUUCCUCAAGAAGAGAAGUAUGAUCCUACUUCUUUUCAAGGGACACAAGCUCAAGAUGAUCUUCCACCAUAAGACCACAAGCAAAAAGGCAAGGACAAGCUUCAAGAGGAAAUUGAUGCAUUUAAAGAAGCUCCUAAGGCCUUGGUCAAGUGGGUUCCCAAGACUACAUCAAGUUCUACUUCAUCAAGUUCUACUACAACCCCAAGGAUUCCCAUCAAGAUGAUGUGGAUCCUGAAGAAGAAGAACUAGAGUGUUCUUGAGGGUGACUUCGCCAACACACUUCACUCAUAUCAUUUUGGCAAGAACAAGUGCAAACAACUUCCACAUCUUGCACUAGUUCAAGGAGUCACAAACCCUCUUGUUGGUAAGACAAGGGACAAGGUAACCAAAUGCUUUCAUGGACAUCAUCUUGUGUGUGCAUCACUCUAUGUCUAUGGAUAUCCCUGUUUGUUCCUUGUGGGACUAACCCGUGUAGGUAUUGAAAGUGCAACUCACUCCAAUGGAUUGCUCCAAAUGAUCUAUAUCAACAUUGAGCAUCCACAUCUUCAACACCAACAUGAAGUUAUCAUCGACAAAACCCAAGGUUAGUUCAUCCCUCUUAGGGGAGAUAUCACAUCUAGGGGAGCUUUACUCUAAGAAUUGUGCUAAAGCGACUCUAAUGGUGUUAACACAACAAUGCUUUAUGUAAAAGUGGUAACCCCACUUGUGCUUAAACAAUGAGUAGACCUAUGAUCAAAUGUUCUCAUUUGACUCCUAAGUCAAUAUACUCAUAUAUAGAUGACCUAGUCAUCGCAAAUUUCUUGAUAGAUGCUAGAGUGUUUGUGCAUGCUUUGCCACAUAUUUCAUUUGCCAUUUUAUUGUGUGAGCAUGUUGGUUGCAUAUUUUACUCAUUCGAGGACAUCCACUUGUUGUUUUGAUUGUUUGGCUCUUUCUCUUUUGCCAAGUGGAUGGACAAGAAUGCCUAAGAACCUUCUCUAGCUAUCUAUGCUUUUCUCGUCUCAAACUCUAUUCAUGUUACAUCACAAAGUUUAAUCAAGUCAGAUUCGAACCACUAUGUGUGAGGAGCACUCGGAGUCCCUGAUUCGUCAUAGACUUAAACUUCCAAAACCUCUUUGUGCAUUUCGGUCUGACCGAGACAUCCAUUUCAGUCAAACCGAGUUCACUAAGUUGAUCUAGGUUUUCAUCUCGGUGCAACCGAUUUGAACACUUCGGUCACACCGAGUUGCAGUAACCACUUGCGAUUCUGCAAUCUCGGUGCCACCGAGUUGUUCCACUCGGUCACACCGACAGGGUCGGGAUAUAUAUACCCACGGGUGAGAUUUUGGAAAAUUCUUCAAAACCCCUCAGCCCGCGCGUGUCCUGCUCUGCCUCCUCGGGUCUCCAGAUCGCCUCCUUGCCGCCAGCGACCUCCCACUGCUAGUUUCUGCUGCCAUCGAUAGAAUCUGCUCCGCCGUCGCUGCCAUAGCGAACACUCACCGAACUAGGGUAUGUGUUCGACCCCUUGUGCUGUCUAUUCAACUCCGAUUCCUAGCAUGAGGACAAUGCCAUGAUUCUCGCCACGAUUGAAAUUGAUCUGUCCAGCUAAAUCUUCCUUAGGCCUAGUUUGAUCGAAAAUUUUAGGGUUAGCUCUCCGCAGAACUCAUCUCGGACCGACCGAAUCAUAGAAAUCGGUCUCACCUAUUUGGCUUAGGCCAUUGCACAUGCGCUUUUUGGUCUGACCAAAAAUUGCAAAUCAGUGUGACCGAGUUCAAUACUCUAUGAAACCCUAGCAAUCUCGGUGCCACCAAACUGUGACUCGGUCUGACCAAGUUAACUAGUUUAGGUUCCAAAUGUUGCUUCGGUAUCACCGAGUUUAUCAAUUCGGUAGCUCCGAGAUCAUUUCUGCAGAGAACUAAAACUAAAUUUUUGACUCAUUUGUUUUGCAAAACUUCUGUACUCUGUGAUGCUCAUCUACUCUACCUCAUCUAUAAUCUAUUCACAGGGUCUGCUGUCAGUUUGCCUGCAAAGAUGUCUGACUAGAGUGACAGCCAGAACAGAUCUGAACAGCAAGAGCAUGUGAGUGAGGGCACUAGUCCCUCGAGCAGCUAUGAUGAGGGCAGCAGGAGCACACCUAGUAACUUGCCCAAGGCAGCCACUAGAGCAAGGAAAAAGAGAACCUCAGAUUCUAAAGAUGAAGAUUAUGUUGCAGCUGAGGAUGAGGCCAUCUCAAAGAGGAAAGUGGUGAAGAAGGAGUUUGGCACUGCUGCAUCUACAAAGCCUGGCAUGAACAAGAAGGCACCAGCUAGGAGAAUCCCAACAUCCAAGCCAAGAAAAGUUGCCACAUGACAAACUAUGAAAUUCACAAUUGAAUCUGAUAAUGAAGAGGCAGCUGGUGAUGACAAGAAAAUAAGAGGGCAAGAACCACUACUGCUAAACUUCUUAGAAAGUCAACUAUGGUGAGAGAUCCAUCUGAUGAUGAAGAGGAAGAGGAAGAGGAUGCUUCUCCAGCACCUAAGGCACAAAAGCUUAUGGGAGAUGCAAUCAAGUCAGGGGCUUAUCCUAAGCCCAAACCUGCUCCCAAAGCUGCUGCUCCAGCCACCAAGUAUGCACCCAAGAGAAGCACAAGAAACAUCCCUGCUGAAGAGAAGAACAAGGCCCCAGUGCCUGAAGCUGAAGAAGAAGAAGCUGAAGCCCAAGUGCUGAGAAAGCUCAAACCAAAGAUCCUAGACCACAAUGACACACAUCCAGUGGCAGAGGGCAUGAGCAUCAGGAAGGAUGCAUGUCUGAGACUUUGGAGAAAAAGUGACCCUUAUGCUGUGAGAAGGAGAACUACUGUGGAUUACAAGUUCCACACUAAGGAACAUCAAGACUUUUAUGAGACCAUUUUGCUUGACAAGAAGCCAAUUGUCUGUGACAUGUGAUGGUUGACUGGACAUACAUCAGAGAGAAUGAAGAUCACUUCCCAGGUGUCUAUGAUAGCUUCAAGGCUUGUGGACUUGACAAGUUUGUUGGCCAGAAGCUCACUAAGUGGAAUGAUGAGAUGAUCAUGCAAUUCUACUCCACUGCUCACUUCUAUCCUAACGGUAGGAUUGUAUGGAUGUCAGAAGGUACAAGGUACCAAUCAACUGUUGAUGAAUGGGCCAAGUUGAUAAAUGCCCCAUCAGCUCAUGAGGAUGACUUGGAUGUGUAUGCCAAGAAGAAGAAAGACCACAACUCAAUGGCAAGUAUGUACAAGGAAAUUCUUGAUGAUGCCCUGGAAACUCAUAAGUUGGGCUCAGUGAAGUUUCUGUUGUCUGGUCUACCUACAAUGAACACCAUCCCGAGGCAUACUCUUUUGCCCAAGUCUGGAGAUCGCAGAAUGAUAAGAGGACAUUCCAUCAACUUGCUACACAUUUUUUAUGUCCCUCAAAAGUUCAAAGUGAUGAGUCUGAUUAUGGAAACAAUCAAGAGGACAACUUCAGAUCAUAAGAGCUCUUGUGGGUAUGCUCCACAAAUUCAGGUGCUCAUCAACUCAAAGAUGGGCACAAACACUUAUUUGUUGGACAAGGAGCACUUACCUCUCAAGCCAGAUUUUGAGGAUAACACAGUUGUGAUGGAUGAGAAUGAUCCUUCACCAGUGCAAGAACAUGAGAAGAGAGCAAAGGCAAGGGCAGAUAAGGCUGCAAAGAUGCCAAGUGCAGAAGAGGGAUCUCAGGUGUUCCUAAAGAGAAAACAAGAUCAACUUGGAUUUCUGAUCCAAUCCACCUUGAGGAUUGAGAAGGGCUUGACCACCCUGACUCAAAAUCAGGAGAGUUUGGAGAGAAUCAUUGAGGAAAAAUUCUAUGAUCUUGAUGUCAAAGUAACUGAGAUUCAGUCAGCAGUAGAGCAGCUCCAUGAGGAAGCAGAGGAGAAGAAAGAAAAGACAACAACAUAUGUUUUUCAGCGAGUGCAUGUGCUACGAGGUCAGAGGUCUGAUGCAGUGCCUGUUCCUGAUACUAGGGCAACCACAUUUGCACCAGCAGCCACAGCUUCAGUGCCACGUCCAGCAGCCACUCAACCAGCUCCAGCUACAUCAACAGAAGCCUUCGUCCUGGGAUUCAUCACUACACCACCUCAUGGAGACCAAGCCUGAGAGACACACAACACUAUGCAUCACUACAAAAAAAAGACACAUCCGUGACAUUUUGGGCCGAAUGAUUUUUUUCUGUCAUACAUAUGACACUUCUAUGACGAUAAUUGUGACAAAACCCGGUAUCAUCAUAGAUGUGGUGGGCUCCUACUUAUAUGACAAAAAAUCAUGACAGAAAAUGGGCUUUUCGUCCUGGGCGGGGCGGAGACGCAGCUGCAUGACAUUCUUUGGGCCGUCCAUGACGGAAAAAACUGUGGUAGAAGUGAGGGGGAGGAAAAUUUCGGGCAGUUGCCGGUUACGGUGGGAGGUCGUGGGCCGAGCGAUGCGCGUUUCUCUCGUACACGUACGCGCGUAUGUGCGAGGUGUUGGCUCUAACUGAACCUGAUCAAGGCGUUGGGCUCUAACUGAACCCGAUCAAGGCGUUGGGCUCUAACUGAACCCGAGCGAUUGCACUGCAGGCUACGCGUUACUGAACCUGAGCGAUCGAUCGAUGGCUGUUAACUGAACCCGAUCGAGCAAUUCCUUCGCUACUGCUGCUAACUGAAGCCGAUCGAUGUNNNNNNNNNNNNNNNNNNNNNNNNNNNNNNNNNNNNNNNNNNNNNNNNNNNNNNNNNNNNNNNNNNNNNNNNNNNNNNNNNNNNNNNNNNNNNNNNNNNNNNNNNNNNNNNNNNNNNNNNNNNNNNNNNNNNNNNNNNNNNNNNNNNNNNNNNNNNNNNNNNNNNNNNNNNNNNNNNNNNNNNNNNNNNNNNNNNNNNNNNNNNNNNNNNNNNNNNNNNNNNNNNNNNNNNNNNNNNNNNNNNNNNNNNNNNNNNNNNNNNNNNNNNNNNNNNNNNNNNNNNNNNNNNNNNNNNNNNNNNNNNNNNNNNNNNNNNNNNNNNNNNNNNNNNNNNNNNNNNNNNNNNNNNNNNNNNNNNNNNNNNNNNNNNNNNNNNNNNNNNNNNNNNNNNNNNNNNNNNNNNNNNNNNNNNNNNNNNNNNNNNNNNNNNNNNNNNNNNNNNNNNNNNNNNNNNNNNNNNNNNNNNNNNNNNNNNNNNNNNNNNNNNNNNNNNNNNNNNNNNNNNNNNNNNNNNNNNNNNNNNNNNNNNNNNNNNNNNNNNNNNNNNNNUCCGUUUCGUCCGUUUUGCGGUAUGCCACACCCCUCCAGAUCAACAGAACCCCCGUUUCGACCGUAGGAGGUCCGUUUCGUCCGUUUUGCGGUAUGCCACACCCCUCCCGAUCAACAGGACCCUCGUUUCGACCGUAGGAGGUCCGUUUCCUCCGUUUUGCGGUACGCCACACCCCUCCCGAUCAACAGGACCCCCGUUUCGACCGUAGGAGGUCCAUUUCCUCUGUUUUGCGAUACGCCAGACCCCUCGCGAUGAACAGGAUCCCGUUUCGAACAUGGCCGGUCGAACACAAGGCCGUUUCCUCCGUUCUACGGUACUCCAGGCCUCGUUUCCAUCGCCUGUUCCGUCCAAGCCCUCCCGAUGAACACGACCACACAUUCUGUUCCGACCUAGCCGGUUGGCUCCCAUGCGUUCCGUUGCCUCCUGAUGAACACGACGCAUUCCGUUGCCUCCCCAUGAAUACGACGACGACGCUGUUUCUCCAUUCUGACCCAGCCAUGUACACGAGCCCUGGCCAUACGUAUGCGCGAGUAGGCGUUCAAGACCCCGCCCUUAUGUACGUACGUGGCCGUAUUUUCUUUCUUGCACCCUGGCCGCUGUACGUACGUGUGCAUGCUACGUGCGCGCCUCUACUACGACACGUACGCACCUCUACUACGACACGACACGUGCACGCCUCUACAUCGGCCAGUAUAUAUGUACGUACACGUUCGCGACCAGAAUGACAAUGCUACAUACGCUUCGACCAGGUGGGUCCCGACUGUCAGGCACUUCCUUGCCUGCGAAGAUGUAGCUGGUGGGUCCCGGCAGUCAGGAGGCGAAUCGUUUUUUUUUUGCCUGGACGCACUUCCUUGCAUGCGAAGAUGUAGCUGGUGGGUCCCAGCAGUCAGGGGGGAAACAUUUUUUUCGCGAAAUACUGGUGUCCCAUCCUGUGGGUCCCUGCUGUCAGGUGGAGGAAUAAUUAUUUUGCGCGUAAUAAGGAGGCACUUCCUUGCGGCCGCCGUGGACCCAGCUGUCAGCCUCUCCACGCACAGUACUCUUCCGAUGGAAGUCGGUCGUUGACUACAUUGACCACACCGCACCGAGAGCACCACGACAGUGGACGACGGCGAGGCCUAGGAAGGGGACGACGCGGAGCCGGGGAAGACGCAACAUCGGAUGCCCACGCGAAGAGGAGUACGAGGGUGAGGCUGCCAUCGCCGCAGAAUAACAGGGGGUGUGGGUGAGUAGAGGGAUGGCCUGGCCAGCGGUGGGAGUAGUAGGGGGCGGUGAGACCUCCGCGGCAUCACAACCGUCCACGAGAGGCAGGAGCACAUGGCACGACCGGCGCUGCUUUGGGCGGCUGGAGCACGAAGACCAGAGGUUGAAGAAGCACUACAGCCGUUGGAUGGACAUCGUACGGUCACUGGAGCUAGAGUCAUUCAUAUUGACUAAGUUGACAAAGCCCUCUGUCCCCGUAAACUUAGUAGGCCCACAAGUCAGCCUCCCACCAAGGUGAGUCCCAGCUAGCAGGGGGAGUAUUCAUUUUUUGUGCGUAAUAAGGAGGCAUUUCCGGUGGGUCCGAGCUGACAGCGGGGGGAACGUUUUUUUUCGUGAAAUACAGAGACCCUUUCGGUGGGUCCCAGCUAUCAGGUGGAGGAAUCAUUAUUUUGCGCGUAAUAAGGAGGCAUUUUCCUGUGUGGGCCCCUACUGUCAGCCUCUUCCGAUGGCUGUUGUUUGUUGACCAUGUUGACCUUGCCGUGCCGAGAGCACAAACGCGGUGGACGAGGGCGAGGCCCAGGAAGAGAACCACCUGGAGCCAGCGAAGCCACCACAGCAGAUGCCCACGCUGAGGGGAUAACGAGCGCUGACUGGUCGGCUGCGGGGUGAAGCUGACGUCGCCGGAAAAUAACAGGAUGUGUGGGUGGUUAGAGGGAUGGCCUGGCGGCAGCACAGCCAGCCACGGGAGGAGGGAGCAGGUAGUCCCGCCAGCGCUGGUUUGGGCGACUGGAGCAGGAAGAUUAGAGAUUGAAGAAGCACGACGACCGUUGGAUGGACAUCCAACAGUCACUGCUAUGUGUUGACUAAGUUGACAAAGCCUUGCAUACGCGUAAAAAAAUUAGGAUAGAGUCAUCGUCAACCUAGUAGGCCCAGAAGUCAGCCUCCAAAUCUGUGGAAAACAGCAUACAACCCAUUAGCCAUUAUUUUCAAUAAUUUACAGCCCAUUUGCAAAUUCUUAAGGAUAUUUGAAGCCCAUAUUCUUUUUAUUAGCAUUACAGACCAUAUAUUCUGGGCACUGCUAAAAAAUUCAACGAAAUUUUGCAUAUUUCGGUGGGGUCCGAACUCUUUUAAUCACGAAAUUUCGAGUCACGUUAAAAAUAGUUUUCAAAAAAUUAUAUCAAAAUAAAAUUCAAAAAACAAUUCUCCGCAAAAAAAUGAAAUUUAGAAUCUUAAAUAGCAAGAUGCCCGUUCAUUGCAUGGAACAUGAAGAUGCAUUUGUAUGAGUAGUUUAUCUUGUGGGAGAAAAGAUGAGAUUUUAAUGUAAUUGCCAGUUGGCUUUGGUUUUUAUAAGAGUAGAGAGUAGAGAAAUCCUGAAAAAAAUGAUAUUUUAAUGCAAUUGCCGGUUGGCUUUGGUUUAAAAAUUUACAGCCCAUUUAUUACAACUUAUAGCCCAUUUUCUGGGGAAGCCCAUUUCUUAUCCCUCCUCGUCUUGAAAGAUUUGCAGCCUAGCAGGGCUGAGAAAAGCAAGUAGGCCUUGGUUUUGGUAUUCUCCAAAAAAAAAGAACUGGGCUAGCCAAUUUCAGAAAGAAAAAAUAUAUCAACUGGGCUCGUCAUGUGCUUAAUAAAAGCGUAAGCGUGGGCUAGACGGGCCACAACCCCCGCACAACACGCAGUUGAGCUCCGUCUCUGAAACUGAAAAACAACUGGGCGAGCUGCUGGGUCCCUGGUGUUAUCCGCUCGUUAUGUAAUUUUCUCGUUUAUUGACUACAUUGACAAUGGCGUGGAACCUAGUUGUCAAACAAUUAGGAGGAAGUAUUUUUUUGGCUUGUAAUAACGAGGCACCUGCUUGCGAAAUGCAAUGACCCUGGUGGGUCCCUACUGUCAGCCUCUCCACGUACAAUCAUCUCUUGAUUCCUCUUGGUUGUUGACCAUGUUGACAACACCAGACGGCGGCCGGCACAACGAGCUAACCAAGGCGGAGAACGACGGCAAGGCCUCGGACGGGAACGAACAGCAACCAUGGAAGAUGCGGUAGUGCAGUGGCAGGUGGAGGGGAGUACUAGGGCAACAACAUGCAAGUCAAGCAUACAAAUUGUACAAAAAGCCCAAGGAUUAAUUGUUCAUCAAUUUUUUAGACAAAACCCAGAUUGAACAUGACAGUAACAUCUAACCCAACCACUCUUUUUUGCAGUCACAAACAAAUGGAUCGGUCUGAUCCAUAAAAGCAACAUCCUGUGCAAAAAAAUUUAUUUUAGGAUGUCGACAACUUGUUGUAAAUAGAAGCCAAGCAUGUUUAGAAGCCCAUUUGUCCACCUGAAACUUCUUUUUUUUGCUGUUCAACAUGUUCGUCCAUGAGAAAUCUCUUGCUGUAAAAAUUAAGCCUCAUGGACAAUAGUAACCUCGCAUUCAACAGGAAGAAUGUGACAAAGCUUCUGUUUGCCUGGUUGGAUGCAUAUCGUCCCAUCAUUAUUGUCCUCAAACAAAUGUCAUGAGAACUGAGAAAAUCCUUGUGCUUAUUACACCAAUGAUUGGUUAUAUGUUUUUCUCCAUGUGGUUCUGCCUAAGUAGACAUGAAGAUUGAAAACAUUAAGGUCUGAAAAAAGGGUAUGUCAAAAGAACGACAGCUGAACAGUUAAUUCUAGUACAAUAUAUACGGGCUUUCAAUGUGCAUGAAAUCAUCACCUCUAUGUAUAAAUUCUCCAGAGAUCGAAAGCAUCGCAGCAAGCCAAUAAUUAUGUCCAGAUCAAAACUAUACAUUUUGAUAUAUAUGAUCUUGACAGAAUUCAGCAGCAUUGAUAGGCUAUCAAUGGACGAACUCUUCAUUGAGCAUAUAACAUAAUAUUAGUACCCAAAGUGUACUCCAAGAUGAUAUAAAACUUAUGCGCACAAAUGAAAAAUGCAGCAUAUGAUUACAAAUGUGUAGAUGAUAAUACACGGUACCUGAAAAGGUGAGGAGCCAAACACCAACUCCUUGUGAUUAUUAAACGGGUCACGAAUUACACCCAAGGUCUCCAGUUUGGGCGUAGAGACAAUAGUUAUUUCUGAAGGUGUAUAACAAUUAUGAAGGAGCAACCUUUCAAGUGAAGGGGCAUCUUCAAUGAUGAGCUGCUGUCUUUCAAAACAAAUUCCAAUGCUUUUAAGGUGAGGCGACUUUAUUUGGAGACAACUGAUACCGAUUUCUAUUCCCAAAACAAUCAGCAAGCGCUCCAGGGCAGUGCAAAUGGAGUGGAUGAUGCUGUGCAGUGAGGCCUCCGAUAGAUAAACCACCACAAGCGAAAGUUUUUUUAGCAGUGGGAGUCGAAGCAUUUGUACCAGAUUGUCUGGUAGAUGGCACCGGGCGAAGGUGGCGGUGUGGAGAGAGGAGGAAAACCGCGAGAUGGACAACGGUGGUGUGGGCACAAAUUCUUGGUAUGUUUGUGGUAUGAAACUUUCGUGGUAAUGGUAGAACUCAAACUUCUGUAGUUUUCCGAAUUCAGGGGAUGUUAGCCAAGUGUCCACCUUGCCGGGUAUGGACAACAGGUAGCUUGUCGGGAUGCAGAGGCAUUGAACGGGGCCCUGCUGGUGAGAAGAGAGAUGGCUCUGAGGAGAUCAAAUUCAGGAAGGACAAAUAUCUGACGACAAUUGAGAUUGAGGGGCGCGGUGCACCAUAGAGGGCGCCACCGAGUUGAGAGGACUUGUGUGCGGCAGCAAUUCUUGGUGGGGAGAAGCAAGAUGAUCUCCUCAAGGAUGACGCUCGGGAGAUCACUGAUGCGGUCCACCGAAGAUUCUACCGGUUCCUCAGGUCCGGGUGGGGGGCUUGCUGCUUCUCCCCGUGCUACCGGGUGCAGGAUCUACAACCGGCGUCGCCGCUGGCGGGAGCCUCAUCUUCUUGGCGCUGGGGCCAGUCGACUCCAUUUUCCUUGUGUCCGUCACGUCGAGCUCACGAGUUUGAGCAGAGUAGCUAGAGACAAGCCUAGUGGCAGUGCGAGUGGGGAAGAAGGAGGGCUGGGGAUUUCUGUAGGAGUGGAAGAAGAGGAGUAGGCGUUUUCUGUACGAGUGAGGAAGAAGUGAGCGGGGUUUUCUGGACGAGUGAGGAAAAUUGGGGAGCGGGGGGAAUUGGGUGGGGAGAGGAAGCGGGAGAGCGAGCUGUUCGUGUUUAUAAGGCCCGCUGCACUAACUACUCGCUUUUUCCCAAGAACCGCUCUCUUCUUUUGCGUUGCUGCAUUGGAGCUGGCGCAUGAACUUGGCUGACUGGCCAUGCAUGCAGGAUGCAUGUGCCCGCCGGCCACUGCAUGCGCCUGGUUUGUUACUAGGCCUAUUUAAUAGGGUGGUUAUGGAGUAAAUUAAGGAGAUUUAUUUUCUCUGUGUGCAUCCACCAAAUUAGAGGAUGCAAUACUGGAUGCAGACACUCACAUUAAACUAAGCUUCAGAAGAUACAGUAUGCAUACUAACAUUCAGAAGAACAAAAGUUCAGCAUGUCUAUGCAUCUCAAUGAUUCACCAUACUAUAACCAAUACAAAGCUGUGAGAAGGUGUGGAAAUAAAGAAAAUCGGUCGAUGCUUCUCUAAGCAAAGGGCCUCCCUGCGCACGCAUUAAUUUCCUGGGCAUGCUUGUUUCUUCUCAAUGUUGCGAGCACUUUGAGCAUGUUGGCAACUCCACAGCUAGCUAGCUGCCUCAUCUUGCAAUUGAUGCUGACACAUUUGCAGCAAACACAUGAGGCAAUAGAGAUGACUCAACAUGGGUCCAUAUUGUGCAGUUCCCCUGAUAUCAUAUCCAUUGUCCUGAAUAUGAAAAGAUAGGAAAACAGUAGCUAUACUUAAAUGGUGUUGCAAAACAGUAGCACAUAUCAAUAGCUCGGCAUGACAAAACACGAUCAUCUGGACGAAGGGGAUACUGACCUGCCUGAGGAAGAUUACAUAUAAUUUCAUAAGUCCUUGGUUGAUUUCCACCUUCGGCUGCACUUCUUGUUUUCUCCUCCACACAUGACAGGAUCGUUCCGCACUGCAUUCAGCAAGUCAACGUACGAAUAAGCUAAUUUCAUCUUGCGGUGGUCAUUGUACCUAGUUACGAAUGUAGGAAUACUUGGAGCACCAUGAGGUUAGCUGACAGUAGGUAGAUGCAGCCAUAUAAAUUUUGUGCGGUGCUACCAAAAUUGAGGUUUGUAUCCCUUCCUGUUAUGAGAAUUCUUCUUGAAGUUGGUAGAAUGUGACGGCUUGUUCUUUGCAUCAAACUUGCCUUUCCCCUGAGAUUUGUUCUUGUUGUUUUGGGGCUGGUUGGGCUGAAAGUUCUUCUCGUGUACCAUGUGGGCACUAGAAGCUCCCUCCGCGACCCGAGCAUGUGUGUCUUUUGCUCUUGCCUUCUCCUCAAAAUCAAGAGUUCUAAUGAGAUCCAAAAUAGAAAACUCAUGUCUCUUGUUUUUUAGAGAAGUAGCAAAAUCAUUCCAUGAAGGUGGAAGCUUGGCAAUGAUGGUCCCAGCAACAAAUUUGUCCGGCAACGCACACUUAAAGUACUCAAGUUCCUUAGAGAGUGACUGUAUCUCAUGAGUCUGUUGAACAACAGAGCGCUCAUCAGUCAUCUUGUAGUCACAGAAUUGCUCCAUGACGUAUGUCGGUGUCAAAAACGGUGGAUCUCGGGUAGGGGGUCCCGAACUGUGCGUCUAGGCGGAUGGUAACAGGAGACAAGGGACACGAUGUUUUACCCAGGUUCGGGCCCUCUUGAUGGAGGUAAAACCCUACGUCCUGCUUGAUUGAUAUUGAUGAUGUGGGUAUUACAAGAGUAGAUCUACCACGAGAUCAAGGAGGCUAAACCCUAGAAGAUAGCCUAUGGUAUGAUUGUUGUUGUGUCCUACGGACUAAAACCAUCCGGUUUAUAUAGACACCGGAGAGGGCUAGGGUUACACAGAGUCAGUUACAAUGGUAGGAGAUCUACAUAUCUGUAUCGCCAAGCUUGCCUUCCACGCCAAGGAAAGUCCCAUCCGAACACGGGACGAAGUCUUCAAUCUUGUAUCUUCAUAGUCUUGGAGUCGGGCCGAUGAUGAUAGUUCGGCUAUCCGGACACCCCCUAAUCCGGGACUCCCUCAGUAGCCCCCGAACCAGGCUUCAAUGACGACGAGUCCGGCGCGCAUAUUGUCUUCGGCGUUGCAAGGCGGGUUCUCCUUCAAAUUCCAUGUGCCUGCUGAAUACUGUCCGGCUUCCUUAUAAAUGUUGCGCUCCUUGGCUUCCACGUCCAAUAAUGGCCCUCUUCCACGUGUCGUAUGAAUGCGAAAAGCUAGGGUAUUUUUGCGUUUUACCCCCUAGCCGCGCGAAUAAGCUGCCUAUAAGAGAGGCGAGGAUCUAGAUCCAAAUCACACCAUCCUCCUUCCGCAAGUACUCGUCGAAGCGCCUCUGACAAAAAUCCAUUCCAUCAUGGAUAGCCGACGCGGCUCCUCCUCUCGCGCUCCCAGCCCUCGGCCAGGAGAUUGGAGGAGAUGUUCAGUUCCGCAUAGCGAGCUAGUGACGCUCCAAGCAGAGGGAUAUCUUCCCCCAGCCUUCAUGGUUCCGGUUCGAGCUGGACUGGCCACCUACAAGGGUGGAAAGCAGGCGGAGAGCGUCCCCAAUCCCUCCAAAGGAGAGCGGGUAUGCUUCAUCCCUUAUCUAAUAAGGGGACUCGGAUUUCCCAUACAUCCGUUUCUCCGGGGGCUCCUGGAGUUCUAUGGACUCCAACUUCACCACCUUACACCUGCCUCCAUUUUGCACAUCGCGGGCUUUGUAGCUCUUUGCGAGCUGUUCUUGGGCAUGGAGCCCCAUUUUGCGCUGUGGAAGAGAUUUUCUUGCCUCGUACCCCGUUCUCACGAGGGGUCGAUAUAUCAAGUGGGCGGAGCCGAAAUAUGGCGCAUCGCCGGGACCGGAUAUCUAUCCGGAACCCCGAAGAAGGCGUCCGAGGACUGGCCUUCGGAAUGGUUUUAUAUGGAAGACGCCCCUCUACCGGAUCUAGUUCGGAUCGGCCUCCCGGAGUUCAGCAACGCUCCCCUGAAGAAACGCCUGAGUUGGCGCCCGCGGAGCCCUGAACGGGAAGAUGAUGGGAGCGUCCAAUAUCUGAUGGGCCGGAUAAGGUUACUGGCCCACUCUGGAUUGACCAUGAUUGGAGUCAUGGACACGUGCAUUAUGCGAGGGGUGCAGCCGCUCCAAUAUAGGGGCCACCCCAUGUGGGAUUUCAACGGGGAGGAUGACACCACCCGCCAUGGCCGCAAGGGGUCGGGAUCGGCCACCGAUCUGGUGAAGAUCCUGUCCGGCUUGUGCAAGGGGGAGAAGGAGGAAUUCCUCCGCACGAGUCCAUUGAAUGGGUUCUCCAUGAAUAACCCUCGGAGCUGGGUAAGCGGACAUUUAUCUAUCCGAUCCAUAUUCCCAAAGUUAAGUGUCUCACUUUGUGAUUUUGAUGCAGGAGCUGCGUCGGGACGUGGAGGGCAUACAAAGCCUGACUCCAUAGCCCGAGGAUCUGGGACGAUCCCUUGAUCCGGCCUUCGAAGAGGAUCCGGACAUAAAGGUGGAGCUAAUUGACGGGGUGUUCCACCAACUUAGCAUGGACAAUGCUCUAGUCGCCAUUACGGCUGACUACCCCGGUUUAUCUCCGGCUUCCCAGGUGACUACGACCGAAGUCCUGACACCAUUACUUGGUCCAUGCUCAUUUCUGACCACCGUAUACCAACGGUGCUCCGCAGGAGGCGCCUUUAAGGCGGGAAGCCGAACCCGCGGCGGCUGACCAACAAGGGUCAGUUCGGGCUAGCAGGCGGAAGAGGAGUGCGGCGCGAAUCGAAACAUCACUGCAACGGUAUGGCGCACCGCCGUUUUUAAGGGAAAGAUUCCUAGGAGGUAUAUUAACGCUCAUGAUUUUUCCAGGAGAAAGAGCGCUCGCCGGACAGUGUCCGGAGAGGUUGCCAAUCAAGCCUCCGCCAGCCACGCUCCAACGCCUGGUCCGGAAGGGGAGGCGAACACAAGGCAUGAGCCGGAUGCUUCUCCAAUGGAGGAUGCCGACAGGCUGUCCGCCACCAGGUCCGAGGUGGAGAGCGCCAUGAAUCACAGGCACCGCCAGACGGUUCUUCGUGACCCGUGUUUCUCUCCGGAGGCACUGAAUGCCUUUAAUGUGGGAGACGCGCACCUCCGUGCCGCUCGAGAUGGUCUAACCAGAGCCACGGAGCAGUAUGUGAAAGACAUACGGGUGAGGAAUUUUAAUAGUUAUAUAUGCCAGUAGCCCCUGAGACUUAAAAUAGUUAGAAUAACUGAUUUAAGGAUCAUUUGUUAUGCAGGAUCUUACGGAGAAGAAUACCUGUCUGUCCCAGGAGCUUCAAGAGUGCAAGGCCCAACUUGAGGCCGCGCUAGCCGCCGCAGGGGGAGCCAUAGAGACCCCCUCUGGUAAUACAUACUUUGAAAAGAUAAGUAGUUUAUGAAGUGCGGCGUGUGCGUAAGUCUGACAAUAAUAUUGCAGAGGGUGCCGGAUUGGAACCGGACAAGCAACAUCUGCUGCGCCAGCUGAAGGCCGGCGAGAAGGUGCUUAUGAGGGUGCAGCAGGAGAGGAACAAACUCCAAGAUGCCAACACCCAGCUGGGCGAAGAACUAAAAGAUGUUCGGGUCCAGCUGUCUGACUCUGUAAAGGAGAAUCGGCGGCUUCGUCGCGGCAUUUACAGUAAGUGCUUGAGCAAACUUUUUCGAAAAGAAGAGUUCAGCGAGGAAGUCGAUUGACAGAAAUGUGUCUGUAGGUGUGCUCACGGGUCGUCCGACGGAGGAAAUGCCUGGUUCCACGGGUGACCUUCUUCUCGAGCUGCUGCAACAGCACGAACGUAUUCGGCAGGCAAUGAGCGGCGUCGUUCAGGCCUUAUGGCCGUCCGUAUCCCUACCCGAGGGUCUUGGAGGGCUUGCUGAGAAGCUUCAGGGAGUACGGCAGCGCUUCCGUCUGUGGAAGAUAUCGGCCUGCCGUCAAGGCGCCAGAGAGGCCUGGGCCAUGGUGAAGACGCGGUACACGAAGGCUGAUCCAAACCACAUGGCCGAGGUCGGACCUGUGGGGCCCGAUGGGAAGGAGAUCCCUGUGAGCUUAAUGUACGGCCAAGUAGAGUUGGUCGCGAAAUAUUCCCAACGGGAAUGUAAACUAGACAGCCUGUUAGAUGGGAUUGAAGAGGAGUUCAAUCAGUCAAUUUGACGAUGUAAUUUUAAAAUGACAUGUAAAAUGCCUUCUAGCCGGAUUGUGGAUCGUUUGUCUUUGCGGACCUUUUCGCUUCAACCUCGGGACCCAACAGUCUGGAGUGUGUCCGAAUACCCUAACGGUUAUAUAAAAACCGGGGCAUGCAUGGAGACCAGGCGUAGGGGUCAUUAGUGCUUUAUCAGACAAGUGCCCAACUAGUUAUGUUAUAUUACAUGGUUAGUAAAAAACAUCUUCCAGGGAGAAUAGUUCCGUUAGGGGUUCCUUUCCCUGGGAGGCAUGCCUUAAGUUGCAUGUCCGUACUGCGAAGAGAGCAGAAAAAGCAUCUGGGGGCAGAUAAAUAAAUAAGUAAUAAAUCAUCUUUCAAGUCACUGACCGAAUAUUCCCUUAAGAACGCUAGCUUUCGGCUUCACCCAGUCUGAGGUACACAUCCGGCUGACCCGGCAGUAACAAUCGCAGAGGUGCUCCCCCUUUACCUCCUAGCCGAACAAUCGGGAACGUAGGGGUAAACACAGGAGCCAAGCAACCUAGCUUGGCCAAAACUUAAGUCAUAUCGAUGCAUAUAAUGGUGAAUAAAAGGUACAUGCGGAAGUAUGACACAUGUGUUGGGCAUGAAGCCCAUAUAAAUAAGCUUCUGUUAAAUAAGCCCCCAGGUAUAAUGAGUGCGAGUAGCACAUCAAGUGUGUGCGAACAAUGCGCAGAUCAGCCCUUAAAGGAUUUUACUAAAAAAAGGGGGAAGAAGGAGGGGAACAAAAGACAGCGAAAAUAUAAAAGGUGGACGGAGGAAGGAGACGAACUCUGAGUCUGGCGCUAGGCGUAGAAUCUUCAGAGACGAGCUGCGUUCCAUGGGUUUGGCUCGAGUCGGUUGUCAGAUGCGUUACGUAGACGCUAUGCUCUGCCGGUCAGGACUUGGUCGAUGAUGAAGGGACCUUCCCAUUUGGGCUUAAGUUUGUCCUUUUUCUUGUCCGGCAGGCGUAGAACUAGCUCGCCAACAUUGUAACUUUUGGCCCGUACUUCUCUGCUUUGAUAUCUUCGAGCCUGCUGCUGAUAGAAUGCGGAACGAGCUUUUGCCACGUCCUGCUCCUCCUCUAAGGCGUCCAAACUGUCCUGCUGAUCCAACUCGGCUUCUCUUUCUUCGUACAUGCGCACGCGAGGUGAGUCAUGAAUUAUAUCGCAGGGCAAAACUGCCUCUGCGCCGUACACCAUAAAAAUGGUGUGAAUCCGGUAGUGCGGUUCGGCGUGGUCCGCAACCCCCAGAGUACGGAGUCGAGCUCCUCUACCCAGUGCGUGUUAGAUUCCGUGAGGGACCGCACUAAUCUGGGUUUGAUGCCGCUCAUGAUUAGAUCAUUUGCUCGUUCGACUUGACCGUUAGUUUGGGGGUGAUAGACUGAAGCGUAGUCGAGCCUGAUGCCCAUAUUUUUGCACCAGAGUUUAACCUCGUCGGCCGUGAAAUUCGUGCCGUUAUCAGUGAUGAUGCUGUGGGGGACGCCAUAACGGUGUACUACCCCGGAUAUGAAGUCUAUCACAGGUCCGGAUUCUGCCGUUUUAACUGGCUUGGCCUCUAUCCAUUUGGUGAAUUUGUCCACUAUGACCAAUAGGUAUUUUUGCUUGUGGGUUCCCCCUUUAAGGGGUCCAACCAUGUCAAGCCCCCAGACCGCGAACAGCCAGGUGAUGGGUAUAGUUUUGAGGCCGGUGGGUGGCAUGUGGCUUUGAUUAGCAAAGAGCUGGCAACCGACGCAUCGUUGGACUAAGUCCUGAGCAUCUUCCCGGGCAGUCGGCCAAUAAAAUCCUGUACGGAAGGCCUUGCCAACAAGGGCCCGGGCUGCGGCGUGGUGCCCGCCGAGUCCGGCGUGAAUUUCAGCCAGGAGAUUUCGCCCUUCCUCUUCGGAGAUGCACCUUUGAAGGACUCCGGUUGUGCUUUUAUUAUAAAGUUCUCCCUCAUGGACCUUGUAGGCUUUAGAUCGCCGAACUAUGCAGCGGGCCUCAUUUUGGUCUUCGGGAAGUUCCUGCCUAGUUAAGUAGGCUAGGAAUGGUUCCGUCCACGGGGCAAUUACUGCCAUUAUUUCGUGGGCUGAGGGUGUUAUUUCAUUGGCUGAGCCACUGACCAUGUCAGAAUGUUCCGUGUUGGGUGGCGCGGUUGGUUCCUGGUUGCUAUUUCCGGACUCCUCUUCCCAUAAUACGGAUGGCUUAAAGAGCCGCUCCAGGAAGAUGUUUGGAGGGACGGCGUCGCGUUUUGCGCCGAUGCGCGCCAACACAUCGGCUGCCUGGUUAUUAUCCCGGGCUACAUGGUGGAAUUCGAGUCCUUCGAACCGAGCUGACAAUUUUAAGACGACGUUACGAUAGGCUGCCAUUUUCGGAUCCUUGGCGUCAAAGUCUCCAUUUACUUGGGAUAUUGCGAGGUUUGAAUCCCCGCGCACCUCUAGGCAUUGAAUACCCAUGGAGAUUGCCAUCCGGAGACCAUGUAGAAGGGCCACGUAUUCGGCUGCAUUGUUGGAGUCCGUGUACAUUAUCUGAAGUAUGUAUUUGACUGUGUCUCCGGUUGGGGACGUCAAUACGACGCCAGCCCCCAAGCCGGCCAACAUUUUGGAGCCGUCAAAAUGCAUGAUCCAAUUGGAGUAUGCGCCAUACUCUUUAGGGAGUUCAGCUUCGGUCCAUUCGGCGAUGAAGUCAGCCAAAACUUGCGACUUUAUAGCUCGCCUUGGUUUGUAGGUUAUGUCAAGUGGUAAGAGCUCAAUGGCCCAUUUUGCAAUCCUGCCCGUCGUGUCACGGUUGUUUAAAAUGUCGUUGAGAGGUACUUCGGAGGCCACUGUUAUCGAGCACUCUUGAAAGUAGUGUCGCAGCUUCCGGGAUGCCAUGAACACCGCGUACGCUAUCUUUUGAUAAUGUGGAUACCGGGACUUGCAUGGACUUAAGACAGUGGAUACGUAGUACACUGGUUUUUGAAGAGGGAAUUUGUGUCCUUCUGUUUCUCGUUCGACGACGAGCACUGCGCUUACAACUUGAUGUGUUGCUGCGAUAUAUAAUAACAUUGGUUCGCCUAGGUUGGGCGCGGCCAGGACCGGAUUUGUUGCUAAUAUGGCCUUUAUUUCUUUGAGUCCGGCCGUGGCAGCAUCCGUCCACUCAAAGUGUUCAGUGCGCCAGAGGAGGCGGUAGAGAGGCAAUGCCUUUUCUCCCAAACGGGAGAUGAAGCGGCUUAGAGCCGCCACGCAUCCGGUCAGUUUUUGUAUUUGUUUGAGGUCUUUUGGGAUAUCCAAUUGUGAUAGAGCUCGGAUCUUGGCUGGGUUUGCUUCAAUUCCUCUACCCGAUACAAUGAAGCCCAAGAGCUUUCCGGCUGGUACGCCGAAAAUGCAUUUUUCCGGGUUGAGCUUAAUGUCAUAUGCUCGGAGGUUGUCGAAUGUGAGCCUCAAAUCGUCUACUAGAGUUUCGAUGUGUUUGGUCUUAACGACCACAUCGUCUACAUAUGCCUCCACUGUUUUGCCGAUCUGGGUAGCCAGACAUGUCUGAAUCAUGCGCUGAUAUGUUGCGCCGGCGUUUUUGAGUCCGAAGGGCAUUGUGUUGAAGCAGAAUGGUCUGUAUGGAGUAAUGAAUGCCGUUGCGGCCUGAUCUGUUUCUGCCAUCUUGAUUUGGUGGUAUCCGGAGUAUGCGUCGAGGAAACACAAUGAAUCGUGCCCUGCGGUAGCAUCGAUGAUUUGGUCAAUGCGGGGAAGGGGGAAAGGAUCCUUUGGACAGGCCUUAUUAAGGUCUUUAAAAUCGACACAAAGGCACCAGGAUUUGUCCUUUUUUGGUACCAUUACCAGGUUCGCUAGCCAGUCCAGAUGUUUUAUAUCUCUGAUGAAUCCGACUUCUAAUAGUUUGGCUAGCUCCUCUCCCAUUGCCUGUAUUUUGGGUUCGGAAAAUUGUUGAAGAGCCUGUUUGACUGGCUUGAAUCCUUUUAGGAUAUUUAGGCUAUGCUCUGCCAGCCUGCGUGGGAUUCUUGGCAUAUCUGAAGGGUGCUAGGCAAAAAUGUCCCAAUUUUCCCGAAGGAAUUCUCGUAGUGCGGCUUCUACAUCAGGGUUUAAUUGUGCCCCAAUGGAGUCCGUCUUUAUGGGGUCCGUUGGAUGGACCUGGAAUUUGACUAUUUCGUCUGCUGGUUUAAAAGAGGUGGACUUAGAUCUCUUAUCGAGUAUCACAUCGUCCCUAUUCACCGUGGAGCGCAGUGGAGUGAGUUCCUUUGCCGCUAGGGCUUCGGAUAGUGCCUCUAGGGCUAGUGCUGCUGUCUUAUUUUCAGCGCGGAGUGCUAUGUCCGGAUCACUGACCAGAGUGAUGAUUCCAUUGGGCCGGGGCAUUUUAAGCUUCAUGUACCCGUAAUGGGGUACAACUUGGAAAAUUGUGAAUGCCUCUCGCCCUAAUAGAGCGUGAUAUCCGCUGCUGAACGGGGCCACUUGGAACGUGACUUCCUCGGACCUGUAGUUGUCCGGCGAGCCGAACACCACAUCUAGUGUGAUUUUUCCUGUGCAGCGUACUUCCCGACUAGGGAUUAUUCCUCUAAAGGUUGUGCUCCUUCGCUCAAUGCGGCUCCAGUCUAUUUCCAUUUUUUGGAGGGUUUCCUCGUAGAUGAGGUUUAAUCCGCUGCCGCCAUCCAUGAGUACCUUGGUAAGACGAAAUUCGUCCAUAUUGGACUAAGGACCAAUGCGGCUGGUGCUCGGGUUGUUCGGAAUUUAGGUUCGUCGCUGGCAUUGAAGGUGAUAGCCGUGUCGCUCCAUGGAUUUUUUGUUGCUACUUGGUAGACUUCGGCGAGGCUGCGGAUUGUUCAUUUCCGCAUAUUAUUUGAUGCGGAAGUCUCGAAGACUGUUAAUACCGUACUGGUACUGUUGGGCUAGUUCUCCGGGGCUAGAAGACCUUCGCCACUUUUGGCCACCUGCCGUAGUAUCCAACAUGCUCGAAGGCUAUGUGUUGGAGUGGCGCCCUCUGUAUUAUAGAUUUUGCAGGGUCCGCUGAGCCAUCCCUCCAGUACGGUUCCGUACCCUUUAGGGGGUUUUUGCUUUUUGGUUUUUGACCCAGGUGCUUGAGCAUGGUGCACCCUUUUAUUCCGGACUAGGGUUGUGUUCAGGGCCGGAUUGUCCCAAAAUCUGGUUUCGGUUUUCCAGGUACUCUCCAUCGCAUAGUAUUUUCGUACUAUGGUUGCCAGGUCGGCGAAGCGCAUAACUUCGCGACGACUUAUGGCGUUCAUGAUUCCCUUGUCCGUGCAAUUGUUGCAGAAAAUAGAGAUUGCGCUUUCCUCACGGCAGUCCUUUAUCCUGUCCAUAACCAGGAGGAAUCUGGCCCAGUAAUGAUGUACUGUUUCAUCGGGCUCUUGCCGUAUUUGAGAUAGAUCGCUUGUGUUUGGGUGGGCGGGUGGAAUUAAAUUCGGAACCCCGCCCAAUCUGAGGCUCAAAGGCCGAGGAGUUUCCGGAUUUGCAAGCUUGGAUUGCUGGACGUCGUCCAACGAAUCUAGUCUGCUGCCUGACUUUAGGUUCAGUACUCGAUUGACGCCCAUCCCUCCGCGGGAAUCCGGCAUGGAGGGAUCGGGAAUCCGGACAUAACUGGUUUUUAACAUAGAAGAAGAGUCGCCGCGUUGUUCUUCUACCACAACAACGUGGUGGGUAGCCUGGGGAGAGUUAAUUUCUCUCAGAUCGGUUUUAAGCCCAAUCUGAUCGUAGUCUGUAGCGACUCCCAGGGCGGCGAUGCGAUCCAAGAGCUCGUUUACGGAAGAGAGCUCCAUCGGAUCCAGCUGCUCGGUGAAUUCCGAGUUGAUGCGAAGAUCACUUUUGAUGACCCGAGAGGUCAUCAUCGAAGCGGUGGCCGAAUAGGCGGUCAUAAGAAAACCACCUAGCCGGAUAGAUUGACCGGCGGCCAAAGCUCCUUUGGCAAUGGUACCGUCUUUAAAGACGGGAGGAGGCAUCCUUCCUGAUUGCGACGACACAGAGGAACUCUCAAUGAAAGCACCAAUGUCGGUGUCAAAACCGGCGGAUCUCGGGUAGGGGGUCCCGAACUGUGCGUCUAGGCAGAUGGUAACAGGAGACAAGGGACACGAUGUUUUACCCAGGUUCGGGCCCUCUUGAUGGAGGUAAAACCCUACGUCCUGCUUGAUUGAUAUUGAUGAUGUGGGUAUUACAAGAGUAGAUCUACCAUGAGAUCAAGGAGGCUAAACCCUAGAAGCUAGCCUAUGGUAUGAUUGUUGUUGUGUCCUACGGACUAAAACCAUCCAGUUUAUAUAGACACCGGAGAGGGCUAGGGUUACACAGAGUCGGUUACAAUGGUAGGAGAUCUACAUAUCCGUAUCGCCAAGCUUGCCUUCCACACCAAGGAAAGUCCCAUCCGGACACGGGACGAAGUCUUCAAUCUUGUAUCUUCAUAGUCUUGGAGUCUGGCCGAUGAUGAUAGUUCGGCUAUCCGGACACCCCCUAAUCCGGGACUCCCUCAAUGUACAACUCGUUACCAGCGCCCGAGGGCCCAAACGUGGCCUCGAGCGCAGCCCACAUGUCUUUGCCACUGUCAAACGACAUAUAUGAAUCCACAAUGGAAUUGUUAAGAACACUCAGCAGGGCGGCUUUGAAGAGGGUAUCCAUGUUCUGAAAAGCUUCCUGCUGUGUAGGAUUAAGAUCGCCCUCAGGCUUACCCUUAGUGGCGUCAUAGCAGUACAUGAUCUGAAACCAAUAUACUGCUCUUGUGCGCCACCUUUUAUAUUGCACCCCCUUAAAAGUAGGCAGCUUCAAAAGCGCAGCAAAACCACUCGGAGUAAAUUGCCUGUGAUCAGGUUUUUGGAUUGAAUUGUUGAAUAUAUGAGCAAUUUAGUAUGAGAUUUAAUUCGAAUCAGUAGUAAAUAGAUCAUGAUGACAAUUGCAAACAUCAAAGUAAUGAUGCAGACUAAACCAGGAGGACAGAAUCACAUACUUUACAUCGGGAGCAGAACCGAUGUGGUUGAUGUUGUCACUCAUGUCCUUGAUGAAGAGGUUACCGAGGUCGGGGAAGAAGGCUGUCGUUGAGGAAGUCGUCGCUGGCAGCAGUCACAGGAGUGUGCUCCCCAAAAACCUGAUCGCCCCUCUCCCGUACAGGAUCACGAAAGGCGGGGUUCGGAGGACUGUUGUCCCUUCUCGCGGUGCACACCGGAAGGAGGGCUGGAGAAGAAUUGCGUGGUGGCGCUAAGAUUUGGAAUGGUGCGAAACCAUAUGAUACAGUGGCGGCUAGGGUAGAGUUUGUCAGGUCGGUCGUGUGAGUAUAAUAGUAGGCCUUUGGCCCCCAAACCCCACGUCCAAGUCAAUAAUAGCUAAAAAAAGUCAAUAAUAGCCCCGCCAAGGUUUGUCUAAAAAAACCCGGAGUAAUUAAGGCGUCUGUUAGUCCCUUUAGUAUAAAUAUAAUAUCAUUAAUAAUGGCCCCACCUUUUGUCUCACAAAGUAUGUUGGAGUACAACCGGCUACACGUUUACAAUUCGCUUAUCUUCUCUCUCCUCUUCUCUCUCCUUCAACUAAGCACAAAUACUAUAUUUAAAUCCUUAUAGCCUGCUUAUGUCAUCUAAUUGUAGUACUUGCUCUAAAAGUUACUAUCCACUGUGUAGUCUGAAAUGCCGGGCGUGCAGCGGGCGGUGCCCUCGGUUGGCGUGCCGCUUCAACGGCGGAAGCAGUGAGAGGUCGCGUCUCCCUGACUUGCCAUCAAUGUGGAGCGGCAGGCUCAGCUGGCGCCGGGCGGGAAGCGCGCGCGAGAGGGGGAGGGGUUUUUGUUGGGCCAAGAAGGUGAGAAGCCAACUUGGGAUCGGUCCGGACGGGGAAAUAUCAUGUGCUCCCAUACUCUGCAUAUGACACUAGUCUAUGUUACUACCCCCUCCUUUUCGGUUUAUAGAGAUGUUUAGAGUAACAUAGUAGUAUGUUACAGUACAAGUUACUCCUCACUAUGACCAGCCUUGGCCUCUCCUAGUGCUCCACCAUGUAUAGCUGCUAAGCCUGCCACGUAGGCAUAAAAUAUGAUGUGGCACCAAUAAACUAAGCACCUAUGCAUUGAAGACUUGAGUUACUAAGCCAUUUAAUGCACUUAGCACCUCAUCUAAAGAGCAUUAAUAGUAUAGCCAGCUGCUGGCUAUAAGCCAGUGCCAUGUCAUCUACAACCCAUCUUAUAGUCAACAUGUACAAUAGUAGAUCAAAAGAGUGUACUACUACUUUUUUGUUCUGUGGCCCACCUUUCAUUCUCACAAAGUGCCUAGAAGCACGUGCUAGAGCUGGCUCUUCAUGAAGAGCCCGCUUACCUUCUCUCUCCUCUUCUCUUUCCUCCAACUAAGCAGAAAUAUACUAUAGUUUAUUCCUUAUAGCCCGCUGACUCAGCUCUAUUGUACUUGCUCUAAGCACAUCUAAGCACUUACUCCUAAUUUUCCUCGUGGACCUUGAUGGUGUACGUCACCUUGUGUCUCAUAAUUUUCCUCGUCAUCAUUUGAGUCCUAGAAGAUCUCACCCACAUCAUCAUUAGCAUGAAGCCGCCUUGAUAGACAACGUGCGCAGAAGGAGUAGAGGCGACUGGGGACGCACCACCACCAUGUCGUGGGCACUCCGUAUGUGCUCGUGUGCGUGCAGCGUGCGUGUUUUUCCAUCGGUGCUAGCUCUAAGGCCGAGGCUACAGUCGUCUUCGUCUCCAACUAGUAGGUUAGCAACAACGACAAAGAGGUGCUGCAAGAGAUGCGUAUGCACCAUUGCAUGCGAGCUUCGCCGUAGCACGACGAACCGGACGUCGCCGCGGAUGGCGCACGCCUCCAUGCAGCCGAGUGUGUGUGCAUGCAUGUGUUAUUCACGUGCAUUCUGCGGCCGAGUGUGUGUGCAUGCACGUCUUGUGUACGUGCGUUGUGUGCUCCAUGCUGUGCGCGUAUGUGCAUGAGUUGGAUCGGAUGGAGUUAGUGCGUUGGCUUGUGUACAUGCGUGGCUGCAUGCGUCCUGUACAUGUGUGGCUUGUUGCGUGGUUAUCAAUAAUUCAAUAUAAACUACUCCCUCCGUUCCUAAAUAUAAGUCUUUCUAGCCAUUUCAAAUAGACUACAACAUAUAGAUGUGUGCAGACAUAUUUUAGAGUGUAGAUUCACUCAUUUUGUUUCGUAUGUAGUCCCUUAUUGAAACAUCUAAAAAGACUUAUAUUUGGGAACGGAGGGAGUAUAAAACAUCUUCAACUUAGCAUCCUAAUGUACCGUUUCUAGUGGUUAGCGAAAAGUUCAUGUUCUUUUAGUUGUUUAUAGGUGGGCAGGCGGCAAAAAACAGGGGAAAACGCGCAAGGUUCCUUGCAGACGCUCCACCGCAAGGUUCCUUGGUCCUCCUCGGUCGUCGGGAAUCUAUGCUCUUCAACUCUUUUCUUUUACGUGAGCUUUGUUCAUCCUUUUCCCAACACGCGAGACAUCUAGCAUCAAGGUGCACAUGUCAUGCAAGAAAAUGGAGAUAAUCAGAUAAGCAGUGCGUANNNNNNNNNNNNNNNNNNNNNNNNNNNNNNNNNNNNNNNNNNNNNNNNNNNNNNNNNNNNNNNNNNNNNNNNNNNNNNNNNNNNNNNNNNNNNNNNNNNNNNNNNNNNNNNNNNNNNNNNNNNNNNNNNNNNNNNNNNNNNNNNNNNNNNNNNNNNNNNNNNNNNNNNNNNNNNNNNNNNNNNNNNNNNNNNNNNNNNNNNNNNNNNNNNNNNNNNNNNNNNNNNNNNNNNNNNNNNNNNNNNNNNNNNNNNNNNNNNNNNNNNNNNNNNNNNNNNNNNNNNNNNNNNNNNNNNNNNNNNNNNNNNNNNGUAAGUGAGUCGUGCACUUCGAUGGCACCUACGCAAUAUUUUUUCUCCUCGAUGGCACGUGAAUAGUGCACGUACUCAACGACGGAGCACGGGAUAGCAAUGACAUGGUCAACCCUUUUUUGGAGAGAGUACGUACUACUAGUAAAUAACUUUGAUGUGUACCGUCAACUCGCAGAACGACGAGAAGCUUGAUUACGCCUUCUCCCUCGCCAACGCGCGCGCGGUGGCUCGCGGCACAAGGAGAAACUUUUGCUUACAAGCGGUGGACGUGCAACGGUUCAUUUGGUGUUAGAUUGCCAGAAGCACUACUGUAGAACCAUCGACUUUCGGAAGAGGCGAAGAGCCAAGCGCAAGGUCACCUACUAACCUUAGGCUAGGCGUAGUGGGAGUAACAUAAGUAGGGGUACCUCCUUUUUUUUAUUCUAGAAACAACCAAACGCGAAUAUCAAGGUGCUGGUUACGUAGAACAAAUUUCCUGCUGUCCGUGCUCAGCCCUCCUCUAUCUCUCUUCUCAGCCAGCCAGCGGACACGCGGAGCCCAUCGUCUGUUUGCUCACAUGCGGCCCCACAUGUCAGUGAAAAUGCAAGAGGACCCACUGAACCUUCACAUCUUUCACCUCGACGUGCUGGUGAUGAAAAACAAAUCCAAUAAAGAUCUUCAGUGGCUGCUUUUGGAGUUACUUAAGAGUAGUAAGAUUCUAUUUACAGUUUAACCCAAGAUGCACAUCUCGUGGCUUCAACUACCACUCUAUUUUCUUUCAUGACACGACCUGGAUGGUGGAUGUCCCACGUGUCGGCAAAAGGAGGAAGAACCUGACCAAAUCUUCGGUUGUGCUCUCGGAUUAGACUAGUUGUGCUAACCUAAAUUUUUUAUUGUGUACUCCCUCCGUUCCAAAAUACUUGACUUCCAUUUGUCCAAAAAUGGAUGUACCUAUAUACUAAAACAUGUCUAGAUACAUAUAUAUUUUGACAAAUAGAAGGCAUGUAUUGUGCAACGGAGGGAGUAGAAUGGAUGCAAGUUUUUGUAUUGGGAAGAAGAGUACAUCCAUAUAUUGAUAGAGCGUUGGAGUUGGCCUUACAAGUGGGACCGCAUAUGAGGAAACUGACUAUCGGCAAACCCCCACCUCGCCCGCCGCGCGAUGGCUGAGUUAGAGAAACGAUGAGGUUGAAGAGAUUGCUCUAGCACGGACUCCAAGAAAUAUGGUGUCAGAUGGAAGUCGUGCUGGUGGCGUGUGUCGUACUCCUGGACGUGAAUGCUUGUUCUGGCCCAUGCCACCCUACUACUCCUACUACUUACUAUAUAGUACUAGUAUCGAGGAUUCGAGGUGCUAGUUACGUACAAUAUGGCUACAGUAACACCCGCACGACGCACGAAGCAUGUGAAGCUAGUACAAAUAGUGUACUACUAUUGUUGAUUGGCCUCAUCCGAUAACCUAUUGCAAUGCACGUACAAUUAUGUAUUCGGAAAAUAUUUUUUUGCCUCGUCGCACCACUCACUCACAGAAGCAACUCGAAAGCCAUUCAUAAAUUUAGUAAGUUUAUCACAGGCAUAUCAUUUUAUUACAUACAACAGGUCAUCAACCCACAUCGACAACGAGGAUACAUUAUAAAUACUAAAGUUUUCACCACACAACAAAUAACAAGCAAUGAAAUGAACUUCAACUCAACCAUUCCUCGGCGUUGGAAACACUUGCUUUGAACCACAAGUGAUUCUCUGGGACGGGCCAUCUAUUGUCGAUCUCAAGACCAACGCAGGACUGAUCAUCCAGGCUGAAGCAGCCUACUAUAUCAGUACCGGGGUAGGGAACCAUGCUAAUGUCUGAGGUAUAGAAACAGUUGCUUCUCAUAAAUGGUGCUAGGAACGUUGUGUCAACAGCAGUUGGAUCGCCUUUCACCAUCAUCGGAUAGUUUUGUCCAAGGAAGAGCGAGUUUUCUCCAAGACUAUCAAUUCUGUACCAGGGAGAAGGUGUUGGCGCUAGCACACUAGUAUCCAUCCCGAAUACCAUGCAACGGGUGUUGGAAUAGGUCCGGAGAGUGCGACCAUGGGAGACUACACCUGCUUCCUUAGCAGUAACAUCAUUAGUGGGCCGUAUACACACGAGAAGAGGUGAUCCAUCGAAAUUAGUUGCCAGGCGCCAAAGAGUAUAUGGGCGUUGCUCGUCCUCAUGCUCGUGAUCAUCACCAUCAUCAUCUCCCCCUUGGUUAUAAAUUUUUUCAAGUAUAGGUGGUGGAAUGUUCACAGGACCUUGGAAACACAAGAAGAAGGUUAAUUAGUAAAGGGAAACUUGCUAACCCGCAUGCAUGUGGAUGAAACAAUUAUAAUUACGAUGGAAGACAAACGUACCAAAAUCAUAACGAUUCCAUGCAAAAACAGUGCCACAGUGGUGGCAGCAAACACAAGGCCCUCAUAUUGAAUUGCAUCACAGUACUCAUGCAUGUACAUAAACUAAUUUUUGAGCAAUAUCCAUCGAGUCAAACCACCAAGGACGGCAACAAGCUUGUUGAACAACUUCAUAGUUGUUUCCAAGAGCGGUUGGGAACUCGACAAAUUGGCAUCUUCCAUAGAAGACAAUCACCAUGAUUGUAUUUGAACGUGCGUACAAUACCGGUGUGCUCAACCUCUGGGCAGUCUGCUGAGAUUUUUGGAAGUGAAACUCAGUCACGAGUGUACACACUCACAAGUUCCCACUCGCAGUUGGACCCAAUGUAAACAACCCAAUCUCCAUUUGCGCCUGCCCAAGCCUUGCCCUCAAGCGAUGGCAUCUUAACAUCAUAUGUAUCAUUAUCAAGUGUCAUCGACUUGCACAGGGCGAGGCCUCCGUCGUGACGACGCCAGUCAUCAGGGUCACGGCGAAGAAGAUAGGGGAGAUCAAACCGCUCCUUGACUCUUGGGUUCCUUGUAAUGAUGUUAUUAGUUGAGUCGAGAAUGGGCUUGAACGAACCUGCCAUGCUAGCCGAAGUGAUGACGUCACACCGAUUAAUGAGUUCCUCCACCACGUCAUCUUUCAGACCGAGGCAAGAAUAACGGGGUCAUUUUCGUCCUGUUCCCUCCAUGGAGAAGACUAUCGAACAAUGGCAGAAGAAAGGGUGAAGGUCUGAAGGAAAGUGGAGGAGGGAGAGAAAGAGUGUGCGACAACAGUUCCAAAUUGAGAGGGAAAGGCGAAGAGUCAGUGGACGGUUGCCAGUUUGCCACGGUUCAUGAAGGGGCGCCUCGGCCUACACGUCGGUUCGGAAAUACUCCUACUACUCGUCGUCGUCUCACUGAUAUGUUGGAACGGGACCACAUGUCAAUGGAACAUGGUGUGUAAUUUCUCGUGCAAAAUGCGAUCUGGCCGCGUUGGCCCGAGGUUCCACAUUAGUUUUUUUAUUGAAAGUUUGCCGCAUUAGUUAUCGACCUUUAUUUUUUUAACAUGCAAUCUGAAUGGAUAGCUCCUGUGGUCAUCACAUGUGAGCGGAUAUAGUGAUGGUUGAUUCGCCCGAGCAACUUAUUACUGUGGGAAUAUGGGAGUACCAGCGGAUUCAAGGAACAGAGAAAUGAUGGUUGCUUCGUCCGAGCAACUUACUGUAGCGAAGGUGGGGCUCUGUGAUUUGACUGCUCACUAGUCGUUACUACUGCGGCGCAACGACCGGGGUGAAUCUUUCCCUGAAGUUGUGUUGUGCACUCAAUAUUGCUGCAUGGCAGGUGGAGCCGGAUGAAGGAUGUUCAACAUGUCGGCGAAACGAAGUUGAAUUGUUUCUAGCGUUGCUAUCAAUCCUUCAGGAUUUGUUUAUAUGUACGCAUAAUUUUGAUGAAAUUGUAUUGUGAUGCUAUGAAGGUUUCAACUUUGGUGCCCGCAGAAAAAAAGGUUUCAACUUAGGAUUCAUGUGUCUUGCCUCGAGAUUAUCUCGUUACAACAUUCCAUCAAAUAUAAAUGAAACUACCAUGGCUAAUUGAUCUCAAUGGUUCGCAGAUCAGCGCCAAUAUUCACAUCACAAUUGAAGACAAAGUUGUGAGAAGGUGUACAAAUAAAGAAAACAAAUUAUAAUUGAUCAAUGUUGUUCCUAGGCAUGGCUCCAUUUCCUUGGCACAGUGUUCAUUGCUUGGCAGCUAGUUUCACCCAGCUCUGUAGCCAAAAACGAGGUGUAUGAUGGACACCACAAUCCAAUCAUUUUGUGCAGCUCCACUAAAAUCGGGCGGACCAUCCCUGUUUGCAAAGAUAUCCAGUCAGUGUGAUUACAAUAAUAGUGGAGCUAGAUGAUGAAACAUAACACACAUAAAUAGAAGCCGAUCACCUCUACGAUUUCUCUUUAGGACUAACUUCUUGUUGGAGAAGAUUAGGAACGGAGUUGGAUGAGGAGGAUAGCAAAACCAAUCUCCCCUUCCGCAGUCCCACAGAAAUGUAAAAACGUUGCCCGUGUGACAUUUUCGUGGAACUGCACAAAACACUCUUCAGAAAAGUGAUUUGUGCAGUUCACCAAAAGGUCGCAAUAGCAACGAGGUGAAAAUGGAUAGCCCUGUUUACAAAAGGAGGUCGAAAGGAAACAAUUAUUGCCCAAUAACACGAGUUGAAGACACAUACGCCGACAAAAAAGAAGCAUGUUCCAUGUAAAAAGAGAAAGAUAGCACAUGGUGGUUUAUCAAAAAUGGUUUGAGGACGAGAUUGCAAGAUGGAAAGUACGCCGGCCGAGAUACGAUUUAAGCAAACAACUAAAGAAGAUCCACAUGCAGCAACGUGGGAAGAUGGGCAGUGGAGCAAGGCCAGAGGAAGCUGUACCUGAGGGUCGUCGAGAUGUUACUAGGAGGGCGCCGGCGGCCGGGAUCUACCCAUACUGCGGCUGCGAGCAAGUGGCGAAGGCCCUACCGUGGCGGAGCUUGUCAAAGAGAACGGUGGGUACCGCGGAUCGGCACGAGCUGCCUCAACGCCGUCGAACAGAGAGACGAUGCACAUCCUCCCUUUUCGCCGGCGGACGGGAUGCGGCUGGAUCACUAACCAACACUGAGAGAGAGAGGCCAUGGCGGCCUUGUGUGAGAUGGUGUGACGAGAGACAAACCCAUUUUUCCAUUUUCCCCACGGCAAUCGUUUUAUAGUCUAGGCGUGGUACCCGACCCUCCUUCGAGUAAACAACCGCUACACGCAUCAAAUUAUCAUGUGGGCUGCCUUUUCGUACAAAAACAAACUCCACCGUGUACCCGCGCGGGUGUGGCCGGGAACGAGACGUGAGUACGUGCGUCCUGUGUGCACUUCUUCUUUAGGUGCAGGUACGUACGUGGGUGGGUGUGAGAGAGAUGGUUUGUGCGAAACAGAGGCAAUGUGUUGAUGAUAUCUCAAUCAGAAAAACAUAACAUAUGCAAUGUGUGUGAAAUGGAGUCAUGGACGUGAGAUAUUGAUAGAAUUGAAAACAGGGAUGAAGUGUGUGGCUGCGCGAUCGAUAAAGAGUGCCAUCGAAUUUGUGUUUGCCCACGUCAAAGAUACAGGGCAGCUGGCCUACUGGAAUUUGAGAGGGUAGAGGUGCAGUUCUUCUCUGUGGCAUGGAUACCUACCUACAAUGUUUGACUAUCGGUNNNNNNNNNNNNNNNNNNNNNNNNNNNNNNNNNNNNNNNNNNNNNNNNNNNNNNNNNNNNNNNNNNNNNNNNNNNNNNNNNNNNNNNNNNNNNNNNNNNNNNNNNNNNNNNNNNNNNNNNNNNNNNNNNNNNNNNNNNNNNNNNNNNNNNNNNNNNNNNNNNNNNNNNNNNNNNNNNNNNNNNNNNNNNNNNNNNNNNNNNNNNNNNNNNNNNNNNNNNNNNNNNNNNNNNNNNNNNNNNNNNNNNNNNNNNNNNNNNNNNNNNNNNNNNNNNNNNNNNNNNNNNNNNNNNNNNNNNNNNNNNNNNNNNNNNNNNNNNNNNNNNNNNNNNNNNNNNNNNNNNNNNNNNNNNNCGACAUCCAUGGAUAUGUGUAGCAGAGGAAUAAGGUUGGGAAAAAGACAAAGGUAGAGCGUCAGAGGGUUGGUGGUGGAAUGGCAUCUCAUAAAUGGUGGGAGAGGCCUGCUAGACAAACGGAAUGUAUGAGUGCAAUAUCAAUAAGAGAGGGCAGGGAUGUCUGUCUGUCUAUGCACGUGUGUGUGAGAGACGGGUCGGGAGGUAUUCAAGGAUGAUGAGGGGAGAAGAUAUGGUUGUGGUAAGCAUGCGUAACUACAUAGGAAGAUCAACCGUCGUGUGUCCGAGAAAAGGAGAGACAUAACUAGCGAGGUAAGUGUAUCGGUGCUUGGUGAAAACGAAUUAUAGUCAACCUGGCUAUAUGUAGGGAGAUCAGUUCAUAUACACACCUGCAUGUGUUAGAAGCAAAUAAGGUCCGGAGAGGCAGACAGGGGGAGAGGGUGUGGCUAGGAGGUGGUGCGAGAGGCCUACCAUGUCGAGGAGGGAGGAGUGUGCGAGCAUGUGAUUAAUGAAAAGAGGGGCGGGAGUGUGCACCUGCGUGGAAUCGUAUUGGACAUAUGGGGGCAUGGACGGUGAGAAGAGAAGAGGGGAAGUAUAUAUGUGUUUGUUGUAGGCACACUUGGCUAGAGAGGUAUAUCGACUGGUGUGUGCGAGAAAGAAGGAGCCGGGGGCCUACACACACCGCUAGUGGACGACCUAAAGAGAAAUAAUGAACAUGCGCGAUGGAGGGGACGCUAAGGGUGUGUGAGGGGGGCGGGUGUGUGCAUGCAUGAUAGAAAGUUAGCGCUAGCUAGCUACAAAUAGAAGAGGAUCGUGAAGGUGUAAAAGAUGAACAAAGAUCAUAAUUCAUUAUAAAAAAGUGGAUACGGAUACUUGAAGAAGAUAUCAUAAUGUAGAACAUUGAUUAUAAUUUGGGCUAAUGUGUGGCUUUUGCAACUCAGGUCUAAAUACUUGUCAUAAUGUAGGGGGCAGGGCACUAUACUUUGUGUGAUAAACACGGUGUACGUAUGGAACAUGGUUUAGAUUAUGAAUAUAUAGUUAGUACAUCAAAUGUACUAUUAUUUGGAGUCAACAUCAAGUGUAUUCAAAAAAUAGAAUUGGAGUUCAUGUAGUACACAAAGUUCAUAUCUAUCUCUAUAGUAAUCAUCUGGUGCGUUAUUAAGGUAAUACACAAAUGAUGGUUGAAGUUGGCAACAAUCAUGAUUGUAGAUUCUUAUUGAAAUAGAGGAACGAAUUCAAAUUUAGUUCGAAUUGCAGCGGUAGUAUAGACAUUUGGAAUGCACUAAAAUGUUGGUAUGAGUAGGUUACAUGCAUUAUACAGCAAGCAAAAAAAUUUAAUCGGACAUAACAUGGAUUCAUACUCCCUCCUUCCAUCUAUAUAGGGCGUAAUGAGAUUGUUAAGACCGCCUUUGACUAUUGAUAAGAUUAAUAGUACAUGACAUGCACAAUGUGAAAAUUAUAUCAUUGAAAGAACCUUUCACAGAUGAAUUUAACGGUGUGCUUUGUGUAAGUUGCAUGUAAUAUAUAAUUGCUCUAAUAUUUGGUCAAAGUUAGCAUCGAAAAACGCAUGAGGCCCUAUAUAGAUGGAAGGAGGGAGUAGCUUUGAAUAGCAUUUGUAUAGUAAAACGGGGCAAGACUCUCUCUUUGUGUGGUGUGAAUAGUUUUAUUUUUUCGUUUUCUUUUUGGUUGAGGGAAGUGCGAAUUGAUUUGGUACGUACAAGUACAAUAUUACUACACGUUACGUUAGGCUUGUCCCUAAAAUUCAACCUGCGUCUUGUUAUAUCCCAAAAAUUCAGAUAUCAUGCUCUCAAAACUGGCGCCUUCACAACCCGCGCCUUGCUAUCCCGAAAUUACAACGCACGCGAAAACUCCCUCCAGCUGCCAAAUCCCGACACGUGAAAUCCCCCUUCUAACCCUGAGCCGAAAGGGCUGCUAGUUCAAAUUAGUGGGGGGUAAUUUUGUAACACACCCUACAUUUUGGGCAAGCGAGUCCCUAAGUCAUGCUUCACCCCCUCCCAUCUCCCCCCUUUCACCAUUCGAAAUCCCAGGCCGCCAUAAUCUAUCCGCUCCAGCCGCGAAACCCCACCCUCCUCCGUCCGCCACGUCACCUCUGCCCAGCCGGAGCCUCUUCCCCGAUGACAUCGUCCACCGCAACAGCUCGACGUCCCUCGUCCACCUCCCCGGAUGAGGAUCCGCCGUCCAUCUCACUGUCCCGCCAGUUUAGCCGCCCCGUCCUCCACUUCCAAGGAGAUGCUCCGACGAUCGCCUCGUCUAUCGCGGCUGCUCCAUCCCCACAGUGUCGCCUUAUCCUGCUCCAUCGGAACUGCAACAUCCUUACCGACUCCUCGGACGAAGCCGAGGCCUACUCGCCACCACCAAAGAGGUUGUACACUCAUCGCAUCACACCUUCUCCUUAACUCGACCUCCCGGCGCCGACGGUGCUCCAUCCCGCACCCCCAUGGAGCGGCUACCUUGAAGCCGGCGCCGUGGGCGACAUCUCCAUGGCGGCUCUCCCCCAGUGCAAGGCCCCUUCGGCGGCAGCGUCCAUACCAGCCGGAUCUGCUGCUGCCGCUGCUGCUCCGGCUCUCGCUCGCUCGCGCUGAUGCUGCUGCUCCGGCUCUCGCUCGAUCACUCGCUCGCCCAGCUACUGCUGCUGCUCUCCCCCUCACUCAUGCUACUGCUUUGCUCCGAUUAAGCCACACUUCAGUCGACUGAUCGACUUUUGGGUCANNNNNNNNNNNNNNNNNNNNNNNNNNNNNNNNNNNNNNNNNNNNNNNNNNNNNNNNNNNNNNNNNNNNNNNNNNNNNNNNNNNNNNNNNNNNNNNNNNNNNNNNNNNNNNNNNNNNNNNNNNNNNNNNNNNNNNNNNNNNNNNNNNNNNNNNNNNNNNNNNNNNNNNNNNNNNNNNNNNNNNNNNNNNNNNNNNNNNNNNNNNNNNNNNNNNNNNNNNNNNNNNNNNNNNNNNNNNNNNNNNNNNNNNNNNNNNNNNNNNNNNNNNNNNNNNNNNNNNNNNNNNNNNNNNNNAAUUUUUAGGGGUUGGGGGGGGGGCUCGCUGGAGAGGUACCCCACUAUCUAUCUUAGGAUUCAGGGUGGGGGGGGGGCUAGAGGGCUGGCCGGGGCGGCGGUGGCGAGUUGUUUCAGGGUGGCGAGGCAACGCUGGGGCCGGCGGUUCGACCGGUGGUGGCUGGCGGCUCAGGGGGGUGCAGGUUGAAGAUGAACUGCAGGCCCUCCCUAAACUACAUGUCAAGUGCCUCUCUGCUACCGUUGCGUUCAGUUUCGACACUAGCAUUCAGAUUCCAUAGUAAAUGUUAGUCUCGACAGUUAAGUUCAGACUCAAUAGUUUUUACCUCAUCUGUUGUAGUCAGGUGGUUUUUGGUGAUGUUAAUUUUACAUCCAUUUUACAUCAUCUAUUGGAGAUGCUAUUAGAAUCCCACUUGAGAUUGACGAUGUCUGUCUUGUGCUACUUCAACCUUGACGUCUUAAGGCUCACCGGAGCUGCUCCAACGACAGAACGAUCCAUCACAAUAGAGCAGUGCCCUGGACGCCGUCUACAGAUUCCUCAGAUCUUCCUCCACACCUCUGACAGCCACCUCUGCCUCAACUACUUCAGCGACCAACCCAAUGAUGCCGAGGUCGACACGACUACGGCAAAAAGGUUGUACACUUGUUGCAUCACUUAUUACUAUACAUUCACGUCGAUCCAUUAGGGCUAUUUUGGUUCAACGGAAAAACAUAGCAAUAGGGAAUUUUCCAAUGGCACUCUACUAUUCAAUUAUUCAUGCAUUUUGUUGAAAGGAAUGAAGCAAAACAUCCACCUGGACGUACUUUUCAAAAUCCGAUGCAUGAAAACAAGACCAAGUGCAUUAGUGCCAGAAUAACAUUCUAACUGUACAUGCUUCCAUAUGGUUUCACUUUAUUUUGGCCAUGUUUCUUUGCAUUCCUCUGCUCUUACAAUUCCUGUAAACCAAACACCCAAGUUUAUAGAAAUCCAGUGUUUACAAAUGCUCUAUUUACCAUGUGCAUUUUCCUAUCCUAUUCCGGUGUUUUUCCUAUCCCUGCGUUUUAAGAAUCAUGCAAGCCAAAUGAGCUCUUACAGAAUUACUUCAGUUACAGGUACAUGUUGAAGGGAACUUUGUGUGGUUUAUCCUGCUCCUGCCACGACGUCGUCCACCUCACCUGAGGUGCUCCAUCGACAAAAGCAUCCACCAAACCAGACAUCACGACUCCUGACCGUCUUUUGCCGCCUCAGAUCUCCUUCCCUGCCGCCAGCACCCACCACAACGGUAUCACCAUCAUCGACUCAGCAGAUGAACCUGAGGAGUACACGGGUCCACAAGAGAGGUCGCACUCUUUUGUUUCUGCUUAUGUUAUGCAUUGCUUAAACUUACCUGCUACUUUAUUGUCCUGUUCAGCUCUUGGACUCCCAAGUCAGGUCCAAAUUAACAUUAAAACUUGAGUUCUAAAUUAGUUGUGGGGCACAUAUCGAGGCAGUAAUGAAUAGUAUGUCUGUCUAAUAUCUGGUUCACCUAGGGUAUGCCUAUGUUGUUCAUCUUGGGUGGGAAACAAAUAGUAAAGCAAUCAUCAUCUGUCUUUUUAUUAAUUUAAAGUAAUCAUCAACCUGCUAUCAAUAUUUUUGGAUCCAUCCACUGGUUGUUACCAUCACUCUAAAUUUCUGCAUGCUCUCCUUACAUAAUCUCACCAUAUUUUUUCGUAUGCAUGUGAUAACCCGCAAGUAUACGAGAUAGUUGUAGCCUCUUUCGAUAAGUAAGAGUGUCGAACCCAAUGAGGAGCUAAAGGUAGAACAAAUACUCUCUCAAGUCCUAUCGGCCACUGAUACGACUCUACGCACGCUUGACGUUCGCUUUACCUAGAACAAGUAUGAAACUAGAAGUACUUUGUAGGUGUUGUUGGAUAGGUUUGCAAGAUAAUAAAGAGUAUGUAAAUAAAAAGUAGGGGCUGUUUAGAUAAAGAUGCAAUAAAGUAAAUAUAGCAAGUGUGGAAAAGUGGUGGUAGGAGUUGUGAAAUUGUCCCUAAGCAACUGACUAUGUUACUAGAACGGUAAUCACUAUUGCAAUUCUAUUUGAGGGAGAGGCAUAAGCUAACAUACUUUCUCUUCUUGGAUCAUAUGCACUUAUGAUUGGAACUCUAGCAAGCAUCUGCAACUACUAAAGAUUCAUUAAGGUAAAACCCAACCAUAGCAUUAAAGUAUCAAGUCCCCUUUAUCCCAUACGCAACAAUCCCCUUACUCGGGUUUGUGUUUCAGUCACUCACACAACCCACUAUAAGGGAAUCAUGAACGCAUUGCAACACCCUACAGCAGGAAUCCCUCACGCUUGCGCGACACGGAGGGCACCAUAGGACAGAACCAAUAAUAAAACAUGCAACUCAAACUAAUCAUAGCAAUUCAUCAAUCACCGAUAGGACAACGGAAAUCUACUCAGACAUCAUAGGAUGGCAACACAUCAUUGGAUAAUAAUAUGAAGCAUAAAGCACCAUGUUUAAGUAGAUGGUACAGCAGGUUGCGGGAGAGUGGACUGCUGAAUAUAGAUGGGGGAAGGUGAUGGAGAUGUUGAUGAAGAUGAUGGAGGUGUUGGUGAAGAUCGCGGUGAUGAUGAUGGCCCCCGGCAGCGCUCCGGCGCCACCGGAAGCAAGGGGGAGAUAGGCCCCCUUCUUCUUCUUCUUCCUUGACCUCCUCCCUAGAUGGGAGAAGGGUUUCCCCUCUGGUCCUUGGCUCCCAUGGCGUGGGAGGGGCGAGAGCCCCUCCGAGAUUGGAUCUAUCUCUCUGUUUCCGCGUUCUCCGUUUCUGCCCCUUCACCGUUUCCUUUAUAUCUGGAGAUCCGUAACUCCGAUUGGGGUGAAUCUUUCGCCCAGAUUUUUCUCGUAAAAUUAGCUUUCUUGCGGCAAAAGAAGGGCAUCAACCGCCUUACGGGUGGCCCACNNNNNNNNNNNNNNNNNNNNNNNNNNNNNNNNNNNNNNNNNNNNNNNNNNNNNNNNNNNNNNNNNNNNNNNNNNNNNNNNNNNNNNNNNNNNNNNNNNNNNNNNNNNNNNNNNNNNNNNNNNNNNNNNNNNNNNNNNNNNNNNNNNNNNNNNNNNNNNNNNNNNNNNNNNNNNNNNNNNNNNNNNNNNNNNNNNNNNNNNNNNNNNNNNNNNNNNNNNNNNNNNNNNNNNNNNNNNNNNNNNNNNNNNNNNNNNNNNNNNNNNNNNNNNNNNNNNNNNNNNNNNNNNNNNNNNNNNNNNNNNNNNNNNNUGUCUCGUGGCCACCUCGGACACUGUUUCACGUUGAUUCUUCCUCCGAAAAAUCCUAAAUAUUCCAAAAUAGUUCUCUGUCCGUUUUUAUCCCAUUUGGAUUCCGUUUGAUAUUGGUUUUCUGCGAAACAUAAAACAUGCAACAGACAGGAACUGGCACUGGGCACUGGAUCAAUAUGUUAGUUCCAAAAAUAAUAUAAAAAUUUGUCAAAAGUGUAUGAAAGUUGAAUAAUAUUGGCAUGGAACAAUCAAAAAUUAUAGAUAUGACGGAGACGUAUCAGCAUCCCCAAGCUUAAUUCCUGCUCGUCCUCGAGUAGGUAAAUGAUAAAAAAGAUAACUUUUGAUGUGGAAUGCUACCUAGCAUAAUCUUGAUCAUAUGUCUAAUCAUGGCAUGAAUAUUAAGACACGAGUGAUUCAAAGCAAUAGUCUAUAAUUUGACAUAAAAAACAAUAAUACUUCGAGCGUACCAAUAAAGCAGUCAUGUCUUUUCAAAACAACAAGGCCAAAGGAAGCUUAUCCCUACAAAUUCAUAUAGUUUGGCCAUGCUUCAUUUUCAUCACACAAAAUGCUCCCAUCAUGCACAACCCUGAUAACGAGUCGAGCAAUGGGUUCAUACUUUUUAACGCGCUUUAGCUUUUUCAACCCUCACGCAAUACAUGAGCGCAAGCCAUGGAUAUAGCACUAUAGGUGGAAUAGAAUAUAAUGAUGGAGGUUAUGUGGAGAAGACAAAAAUGGAUAAAGUCUCACAUCGACGCGACUAAUCAACGGGCUAUGGAGAUGCCCAUCAAUUGAUGUCAAUGUGAGGAGUAGAGAUUGCCAUGCAACAGAUGCACUAAGAGCUAUAAAUGGAUGAAAGCUCAACAAAAGAAACUAAGUGGGUGUGCAUCCAACUUGCUUGCUCAUGAAGACCUAGGGCAUUUGAGGAAGCCCAUCGUUGGAAUAUACAAGCCAAGUUCUAUAAUGAAAAUUCCCACUAGUAUAUGAAAGUGACAACAUAAGAGACAAUCUAUAUGAAGAACAUGGUGCUACUUUGAAGCACAAGUGUGGAGAAAGGAUAGUAACAUUGCCCCUUUUCUUUUUCUUUUUUUUCUUUUUGGGUGGGCUUCUUUGGCCCCCUUUUUAUUUAGGCUUCUUUGGCCUUUCCUUUUUUUCCUUUUUUAUGGGGCAAUGCUCUAUAAUGAUGAUCAUCACACUUUUAUUUACUUACAACUCAAUAUUACAACUUGAUACUAGAACAAAGAUAUGACUCUAUAUGAAUGCUUCCAGCGGUGUACCGGGAUGUGCAAUGAUCUAGCAUAGCAAUGACAUCAAAAAGCGGACAAGCCAUGAAAACAUCAUGCUAGCUAUCUUACGAUCAUGCAAAGCAAUAUGACAAUAAAUGCUCAAGUCAUGUAUAUGAUGAUGAUGAAAGUUGCAUGGCAAUAUAUCUCGGAAUGGCUAUGGAAAUGCCAUAAUAGGUAGGUAUGGUGGCUGUUUUGAGGAAGAUAUAAUGAGGCUUAUGUGUGAUAGAGCAUAUCGUAUCACAGGGUUUGGAUGCACCGGCGAAGUUUGCGCCAACUCUCGAGGUGAGAAAGGGCAAUGCGCGGUACCGAAGAGGCUAGCAAUGAUGGAAAGGUAAAAGUGCGUAUAAUCCAUGGACUCACAUUAGUCAUAAAGCACUCAUAUACUUAUUGCAAAAGUUUAUUAGCCCUCGAAGCAAAGUACUACUACGCAUGACCCUAGGGGGAUACUUUGGUAGGAAAAGACCAUCGCUCGUCCCCGACUGCCACUCAUAAGGAAGGCAAUCAAAGAAACACCCCAUGCUUCAAAUUUGUCACACAACGGUUACCAUACGUGCAUGCUACGAGACUUGCAAACCUCAACACAAGUGUCUCUACAAUCCACAACCACCCAAUAGCAUGACUCUAAUAUCACCAUCUUUAUAUCGCAAAACUAUUGCGAGGAAUCAAACAUAUCAUAUUCAACGAUCUACAAGUUUAUGUAGGAUUUUAUGACUAACCAUGUGAAUGACCAAUUCCUGUCAUCUCUCUAAAUUGAUAUAAGUGAAGCAAGAGAGUUUAAUUCUAUCUACAAAAUAUGUGCCCAUGCUCUAAUAAAUAUAAGUGAAGCAAAAGAGCAUUCUACAAAUGGCGGUUUCUAUGUGAAGAGAAACAGGCAAUCCAAACUUCAAAUGAUAUAAGUGAAGCACAUGAAGCAUUCUAUAAAGCCACACUCAAAAGAUUUCAGUGAAGUGCAAUGAGCAUUCUAUAAAUGAACCAAGGACUAUCUCAUACCAGCAUGGUGCAUAAAAUAAAAAUGAAAACUAUAUGCGAAAGACGCUCCAAGACUUGCACGUAAUGCAUAAAUGAAACGAAUACGAAAACAUACCGAUACUUGUUGAAGAAAGAAGGGAUGCCUUCCGGGGCAUCCCCAAGCUUAGACGCUUGAGUCUCCUUGAUUAUUUACUUGGGGUGCCUCGGGCAUCCCCAAGCUUGAGCUCUUGCCUCUCUUCCUUUUUCUCAUAUCGAGACCUUCUCGUUUAGACACUUCAUCCACACAAAACUUCAACAGAAAACUCGGUAAGAUCCAUUAGUAUAAUAAAGAAAAUCACUACUCUAAGUACUGUUGCAAACCAAUUCAUUUUUUUUUUGCAUUUUGUCUACUGUAAUAUAACUUUUUCAUGGCUUAAUCCACUAAUAUAAAUUGGUAGAUUCAUCAAAACAAGCAAACUAUGCAUCAAAAACAGAAUCUGUCAAAAACAGAACAGUCUGUAGCAAUCUGAACAUCCACCAUACUUCUGGUACCCCAAAAAAUUCUACCAAAAUUAUGAAAAAUAAACAAGUUGUAUAGAAAGACAGUUCAAAAAUAAUCAGAACCGUUUGACUUUCCAAUUAAAAACGUAAAAUCGCGCACUACAGCCAAAGUUUCUGUCCUACACCGUACAAACCAACAAGCAUUGUAAACAUCCUAAAGGCAAACCUUGGCACAUUUCUUUAUAAUACAAUGGAAUUGUACAAGGGGAUAAUUAUUUUUGAUGAAAAGUUUCUGUAAUCAAGAUUCACAAAGUUUCCAUGAGCAUGAACAAAGUUCAAGGAGCUCUCCCACUUCAACAAUGCUUGUCUUUCUUACUUUCACUUUCCUUUUUGAAAAGUUUUUAGGUUCCCAUCUUUAUUUUUUUUGUUUUUAAACCAUGUAAAAGCACUUAAUAGAAAUAAAUUACCCUCUAAAACUUCUGGGUUGUCUCCCUGGCAGCGCUUUCUUUAAAGCCAUUAAGCUAGGCAUUUAGUGCUCAAGUAAUGGAUCCACUCGGAUCCCAAGGUAUAUCAAAGCCAAUUUUAAUUAACAAUGAUUUGUAAUUUAGAAGUGAGCACAAAGUAACAUAUAUCAUGCAACAACGAAGUCUAACUCUCUUCCUAUGCAUCAGCAUGUCAUAAAAGAACAAUUCAUGCACACAUAGUAAAGGCCAAUGCAUAGUAUAAACAGUUUCUUGCAAUUCUAUCAUGUUGGAAACAUAGAGAGGUGGAGGUAUAGUUCCUCUCUCAUAAUAAUUGCAAGUAGGAGCAGCAAGCACAUGCAUAUUAUAUUCAUCAAAAUCAUCAUGUGUAGCGGCAAAAGGCUACCAUCAAUAUAAUCCUUAAUAAGCACAAACUUCUCUGAUAUAGUGUAGUUUGGAGAAUUCAAAAAGAUAAUAGGUCUAUCAUGCGUGGGUGCAAUAGCAACAAUUUUAUGUUUAACAUAAGGAACUAUAGCAAGUUCAUCUCCAUAAGCAUAAUUCAUAUUGGCAUCUUGGCCACAAGCAUAGCAAGCAUCAUCAAAAAGGGAUAUUUCAAACAAAUUCAAGGGAUCAUAGCAAUCAUCAUAGAAAUCAUCCUUCGGUAAGCACGAAGGGGAAUUAAACAAUGUAUGAGUUGAAGAGUUACUCUCAUUAGAAGGUGGGCACGGGUGAUCAAUCCGCUCUUCCUCCUUUUGUUCUUCGCUCUCCUCAUCAUCUUUUUCAUCCAAGAGCUCAUAGUUUCAUCAAUUUCUUCUUCCAUAGCUUCCUGCAAAAUAUUAGUCUCUUCUUGGACAGCGGAGACUUUCUUCAUAAAAGCAUUAAUAUAGUAAUUGUAUUCAUAAUUUUCAUAGCAAUAUCUAAGUAUAGCAAGAUUUUCAGGCCUAUAAACACCAUCAUCAUCAAAAGCUACAUACUUUUCAAACAAAGAUUCAAUUUCAUAAGCAUCCUUAAAAGCAAUAAAUUUUUCUAUUUGUUCAACAUCAUAGUAAUCAUAUAUACCAUUAGCAUAACAAGCUAAGGUUUCAUUAUCAUUAAAUUUGCAUGAAAAGGGAAGGUGUGGAGCCUUCAUCCUAGUGCAACAAGUAAUAUCAUAUCUCAAGCAUAGAUCCCGGGCAUACCAACGCAACGUAAUAAAUUGAUCCCAUAAUAGUUUCCCUUUUUGUGUCGAGCGAUAAUCCCUAAAGUAUUCACGUUGAUCCAACGUGUCUCCCAUUAUAAAGUUGAAUGGGCUUUUCUCAGGAUUAUCAAAGUAGUACAUAAUAUCUUUCACAUAAUGAGAAUCGGGGAUUUUAGGAGUUACCCCAUCUACAUGAGUAGCAAGUACACCUAAUUUUUUUGGUAUUUCGUGUUCCAUAUCCAUAACUAAAGAUAGAGAACAACUUAGAAUAACAAAUAAAAAUUACUUCGUGAUAAAGCAAACAAGCACACACGAGAAUAUUCACCCCACGCUAUGACUCCCCGGCAACGGCGCUAGAAAAAGGUCUUGAUAACCCGCAAGUAUACGGGAUAGUUGUAGCCUCUUUCGAUAAGUAAGAGCGUCGAACCCAACGAGGAACUAAAGGUAGAACAAAUACUCUCUCAAGUCCUAUCGGCCACUAAUACAACUCUACGCACGCUUGACGUUUGCUUUACCUAGAACAAGUAUGAAACUAGAAGUACUUUGUAGGUGUUGUUGGAUAGGUUUGCAAGAUAAUAAAGAGUACGUAAACAAAAAGUAGGGGCUGUUUAGAUAAAGAUGCGAUAAAGUAAAUAUAGCGAGUGUGGAAAAGUGGUGGUAGGAGUUGUGAAAUCGUCCCUAAGCAACUGACUAUGUUACUAGACCGGUAAUCACUAUUGCAAAUCUAUUUGAGGGAGAGGCAUAAGCUAAUAUGCUUUCUCUUCUUGGAUCAUGUGCACUUAUGAUUGGAACUAUAGCAAGCAUCCGCAACUACUAAAGAUUCAUUAAGGUAAAACCCAACCAUAGCAUUAAAGUAUCAAGUCCCCUUUAUCCCAUACGCAACAAUCCCCUUACUCGGGUUUGUGUUUCAGUCACUCACGCAACCCACUAUAAGCGAAUCAUGAACGCAUUGCAACACCCUACAGUGGGAAUCCCUCACGCUUGCGCGACACGGAGGGCACCAUAGGAAAGAACCAAUAAUAAAACAUGCAACUCAAACCAAUCAUAGCAAUUCAUCAAUCACCAAUAGGACAACGGAAAUCUACUCAAACAUCAUAGGAUGGCAACACAUCAUUGGAUAAUAAUAUGAAGAAUAAAGCACCAUGUUCAAGUAGAGGGUACAACGGGUUGCGGGAGAGUGGACCGCUGAAUAUAGAUGGGGGAAGGUGAUGGAGAUGUUGAUGAAGAUGAUGGAGGUGUUGGUGAAGAUUGCGGUGAUGAUGAUGGCCCCCGGCAGCGCUCCGGCGCCAUCGGAAGCAAGGGGGAGAGAGGCCCCCUUCUUAUUCUUCUUCCUUAACCUCCUCCCUAGAUGGGAUAAGGGUUGCCCCUCUGGUCCUUGUCUCCCAUGCGUGGGAGGGGCGAGAGCCCCUCCGAGAUUGGAUAUAUCUCUCUGUUUAUGCGUUCUCUGUUUCUGCCCCUUCACCGUUUCCUUUAUAUCUGGAGAUCCGUAACUCCGAUUGGGGUGAAUCUUUCGCCCAGAUUUUUCUCGUAAAAUUAGCUUUCUUGCGGAAAAAGAAGGGCAUCAACCACCUUACGUGUGGCCCACGAGAGUCCAGGGCGCACCCAGGGGGGUGAGCGCGCCCCCCUGUCUCGUGGCCACCUCGGACACUGUUUCGCAUUGAUUCUUCCUCCAGAAAAUCCGAAAUAUUCCAAAAUAAUUCUCUGUCCAUUUUUAUCCCGUUCGGAUUCCGUUUGAUAUUGGUUUUCUACGAAACAUAAAAAUGCAACAGACAGGAACUGGCACCGGGCACUGGAUCAAUAUGUUAGUCCCAAAAAUAAUAUAAAAAGUUGCCAAAAGUGUAUGAAAGUUGAAGAAUAUUGGCAUGGAACAAUCAAAAAUUAUAGAUACGACGGAGACGUAUCAGCAUGUCAGAUAUUGUACACAGUCAUGCUAAACAUGUAGAGAAAAAGAGAAGAGUUUUGCGCGGCAAUACAAUGUCAUGCAGACAUCGCUCCAUGGUGGAUUCAAUGGCAAACCCUCCCCACCCCUCUCCAGAUUGUAAUCCAGAGGAAGAUAUCUGUUCUGAGGCGGAUUCAGAUGCCACUGACCACUCCUAUUUACCCCAAGGUGUUUGCUCUACUUUGGCAUGAUGAUGUUAGUAAUAUCAUGCAUAUGUUGCCUUGCAGUGCCUACUUUUGACAUCAUGUAUGUCAUCCUCUUAGUUUAGACAUGUUCUGUAAUGCCUCCUGUUUAGUUUCUAUAUCAUAUAUGGGAAUUAUGCAGUCUCAUGUCUUUUAGCCAUCCAUAAUACAUGUGAAAAUGUGCAAUGCCAUCCUGCUUAACCAGGCAUCAUAUAUUUGAAUGAUAUCUUGCACAUCCUUUUCUUCAUUACAUUUCCAUUUGUCAACAAUGUUUGUACAUUAAACUAUUCUUCCUGUGAAUCAGCCAUUUGGGUGGGAGAUGGAAAAAUCUGGAGUGAAAACAAGGCCUUCAGAGCAGACAGUGCUACCUGUCGAAGCAGAUCUCUUGUUGGGUCCCGAUAGCUCCUCAAAGAUGGAUUCAGAGACAGAUGACCAGUCCUAUUCCCCCACUGAGGUGUAUGCUCUAACUUGGCACGGUUAUACUGCUCAUAUCAUGCAUACGGUGUCUUGCAUUGCAUAGUUUAGACAUCAUAUACACAAUAUUCAACACCAUGUUCUUAGUUCAGACAUCAUAUCGAAUUCCCUCUGUUUAGCAUAUAAAUCACAUAUGUGAAUUAAAUGAUGCGAUCCUGAUUACUUAGAUAACAUGUAGGUGAAUUAUGUCACGCGAUCCUGUUUAUUUAUUCAUCAUAUCUUUGAAUUAUGUUAUGCCAUGCUAUCCAGUUUAGAUAGACAUCAUAUAUGUGAAAUUAUGUCAUGCUAUCCGUUUUAGUUAAACAAUAUACAUGUCAACUAUUUCAUGCCCUCUUUUUUCCACACUAUCUAUUGCAUCUGUCUCUCAUACAAUGUCUUACAUUCAACUAUGUUUCCUGUUUAUCAACCAUUUGAAUUGGAGCAGGUGAUGCCAGUAUCUAGCGGAAUAAAAACACGGUCUUCAAAUAAAACAGUGCUACCUCUUGGUGGAGAUAGCACCCCGGUUGUACAUGCACAAGAACCAGCCCUACCACACAUAACCCAAACUCUCGCAGAUUGUACCCCUACUGCAAUGGACAGAGAACCAGCUUCACCCAAUCUAACCCCAACCCUAGCCGAUAGUAACCCAGUUCCUAUUGACACAACACCAUCUCCACCAUAGAGCUCCCAAACAAGAGCAGUUAGUAAGGCAGCUCCAGUGCCCAAAGGGCCAGUACUAUCACGGCGAACCCCAACUCCACCAGUUAGUACGCCUAUUCCUGUGGAGGAAGCACAACCAGCUAGUCGUAGUUUAGCAUCUAUCACAUUUGAUGUUGUUAAAUCGUAUGUGCGUAUCUUCCCAUCUUGGAAAUAUUAUACUGAAGAUGAAGGAAAAUGCUAGUUGCAGGUGUUUGUCCAGGAGUUAUGUGUAAGUAAUGUUAUUAAAGGCAAUUACUUUGCUUCGUCCCAUACAUCCUACCUCCAUGAUGGUUAAAUUUUCCCAUUUUUCUCUAUAGAGAAGGACCGAUUUGGAAACUCAGGAUGAGGUAACCUGUGCUAAUACCUCUGCUAUCUUCAAGAAUGCUCGGUGGCAGUAUUGGAAUUACCUGAAGAAAACGUACUUCACCGUCAAAGAAACUCAUCAAAUUCCCUUACGUUCUCCUGAGACACAUUUACUAGACGAUGACUGGGAACGCCUUGUUUUGUACUGGUCUCGAACCAAGAAUGUGGUAAGGUCUAUGAGCUCAUUUUCUAUUUUUAAGUAUUAUAUUCUUGCGUCUUACUGUACUCUGUUCAUGUAGAACGAGUGCCUAAACCUGAAGAACAACUGUUCUAAUUUAAGAUUCCAUUGCUAUCAUAGUUCAAAAAAGCGCUAGGCGUUAAUUGUGCGUUUUGCCACCGCCUUGCGCUUUACUGACCAAAGCGCAUGCUUAUGCGCAGUUAUGCAUAGAUUAAGCGUAGUUAUGCACAAUGCAUUUUGCCAACGCCUAGAGCCUAGGCGCGCUUAAGCGCUCGCUUAGGUGCGCCUUUUUUAACUAUGAUUGCUUUGCUCUUGUAUCACUAUAUUUACUGAUACAAACUUAUUUUUAAAUUGAAGGAUCCAAUCGAAACUCCAAUGGCACAGCAGGUAUGUUCAUGCAUGUUUCUUUAACAUGUUUGCUCUUAUCAAUAGCUCUUUUGAUUUCAAUUUCAAUUGUGUAUAUAGUUAACUUUCAUAUCAUGCACAUUACUAGCAUCACAAUUGAGCCAAUAGUGUUGUUGUACAUGUAGACCCGUGGUACCCAUCUGAAAUCUUGUUGUGUCAUGUAGUUUCCCAUGCUUUGUAUUCUUUCACUGCUGCUUUGUCUUGAACUGAUAUGAUUUGAACCGUGUCUCUAUUUUGAUUUGGCAAGACAAUGCAGUGACCAUAGGACAUAGAUAUAUGUUUGUUUGAUGCUUUUAUUAUGUACUAGUACUUGGAAAUAGAAGACUUGGUAGUUUAAUCCUGUCCACCUUACUAAUGAACUGGUUCACCGAAAUGAGUUUCAUAUACUAGUACAUGCUAAACUUGUUAUGUGUCUGCUUGUUUCUUCUUUUAGAAUGCUGACAGAAUAUUGGGGAAGAGUGCCUUAUUAAGCAAUGGUAAAGGAAGUAAUGCAGAUAAGGUUCAGGAUAGUGACACAUCCUUGUUGGUCUCCAACAAAGCUGAUAAAACAACUAAGGAAGACUAUCUUGAAGACUGCGAGCCAACCCAAAGUACUGUCUUGGUUUAGUGUUUGAGUUACUGGCCACUACCGCUUGCACAAGCUAUUCAAACUCACUGUCUGAAUCAGUUCAGUUUCUUGAGUCUCAACUACAAGCUGAAAGACAUCGAUUAACUGUGCUGCGACAAGAAGCGGAAGGACUGCGGAAGUCCCUGGAGCAUUCAGAUGCAUACUUUCUGGUGCAACAUCAAGCAUUGGAGGAUUUUAGCGCCAAAUAGGACAAAGCUAAUCAGCUUGCUAAGCUUAUUGCCAGCAUGGUGGAUACCCAGGAUAACGUUUCUUGAGCUCUUUUGAAGUUGUUUCAGUUAUGCUCUUGUUUUGCUGCCGCUUUUAUUUGCACUGGUGGCCAAUUUUGACGGCCAGUGUAUGUAAUAUGCUGCUUUGUUUCCUAUAUUUGCACUGGUGGCGAACUUUGAUGCCCAGUGGAUGUAAUAUGUGUAAUAGCGAUAAUAGGCUAGCAUUAAUUACUUGCUUAUUUAUUUCCUUAUUGUCUUGUUUAGUUGUUUGCUUGUAGUCACUGCAGUUCUUUUUCUGUGUUUUUCUAGUGGCCACAAUAGCCUAUUUUUGGUAACUAGGCCAAAAUAAUCAUGGCAACACACGGACGGUUGUAACCAUGGGCCUCCUGUAGGCCGUAUGAUCCAUAGGCCUUCUUCCGGCCGUAGGAUCCAUUGGCCUUCUAUACGGGCCGUAGGAUCCAUUGGCCUUCUAUACGGGCCUUAGGGUCCAUGGGCCUUCUACGGGCCAUAGGGUUCAUGGGCCUUCUACGGGCCGUAUGACCCAUGGGCCUUCUACAGGCCGUAGAUCCAUGGGCCUCAUACGGGCCGUAGAUCCAUGGGCCUUCUACGGGGCGUAUUAUCAUUUCGCCAAUCAUGGGCCGUACAAUUCGUGGACCAUAACGGGCCGUUAAUAGACCGUAUUUGAUAACUCUAUGAAAACAGCCCAACGGGUUUUUUUGACAUGAAAACGGCCCAACAUAUUAACGGUCCGCAAACGGGCUGACUGUAACGAUGGGCUGAAUUUGGCCCACAAGCAGAAAAUGACAGUAACGGGCCGUAUGUAACCGAAUGCUGUAUAUGAGCCCAAGAAUCAAUGGGCCCUGAGAAGGCCGAAUGAUAACUUGGGCUGGAAACAACCCAAUAGAAUAACGGGCCGUUAAUUGGUAUAAAGUGAUACACUGUUCAUUACGGGCCAGUUUCACCACGGGCCGUUAAUGGGCCAAGAGUUACAAAGGGCCUCAUAUGGGCCAAAAUAAGUCAUGGGCCACACAUGGGCCGGAAGUUAAAACAGGCUGGAAUCAUAUUGGACGGCCCAGAUGACGCUACUGGGCCUAAUUCGGAUAGGGCGUAACGGGCCCUGGGUUAGCGGGCUGUAAAUGGGCUAUAUGCGAACAUGCCGUUAACAGGCUUUCCGUGGGCCGGCCCGCCACCUUUUGACCAAGUCAAACGGGCCGGCCUUUUCAUAGGAAUGGGCCUCUGUUGGGUCGUGCCACGUGUCGUCGUAUCAUAGGCUCUUCGGUCCAGUGAGCGGAUGACAUCUGUCCCAACGGUGAGCCGACACGUGUUUCCUCCAGCCAAUGAUGAUUUUACACGUGGAAAAUCCCCAUUGGUCGGGACUGUUAACGGGUUAUCGGAUCCAAAACCCGACCCGAUAGCUUAACAACGUUCCGUUACGGUGGAUGCCACGUGUCGGUCACCCUUGACGAAAGCACUUCUGUGACGCGCGAUUUAUCGUCAUGGAAGUGGACACUUCCGUGAUGAUAAUUUUGGUAAUGUCAUGGAACACUUCUACGACGGCACAGGUAUGACUAUCUUGAUUCUGUCAUAAAAUCGUCAUGGAUGUACAUGCAUGACAAAAACGCGACCUACUAUGACAAACACGUAUCAUCACGGAAGUGUAUUUUUUUUUGUAGUGCAUAUUUGAACUUUUUGGUAACUUGUUGCCGAAGGGGGAGAAAUAUGUAUAGAUCAUAGUCUUCGAGAGAGAGAGUGUUGCUUUUUGUCUCUCUUGCACUUUAUUUGGUUGAACUUUAUUGUGUGUUUGCUUGAUACAUUAUGUCUUUUGUGAGAUACUUGGAUGAUCAUGUGGUUGAUCAUAUGCUACUUUAAUGUGUAUUUGACUGAUAUUAUCUCUUAUAUCCAUAUAUGAUCAUUCACUUUGCUUGGUGAUGAGUGCAUGUUUUUAAUUGUUAUCAUUUUGAGCGCCCCACCAAGAUGUAUGUGACAUGGAAGAGUGACCCAUGAUCCUAACAGAUUGUGCAUUUGCAGUCCAAAGCAAAUUUUAAAUAAUGCCCAAAUUUAGGGGGAGAUCUUUCUUAUCACAUACUUCUCAAAGCGACGAUGUAUUUCAAUCUUAUUAUCAUUUGUCAAAGCUUUGAUCUAUAUGUUGUCAUCAAUUACCAAAAAGGGGGAGAUUGAAAGUGCAACUAUCCCUGGGUGGUUUUGGUAAUGAUUAACAACAUAUAGCUCAUUGAAUUAAUGUUAUUUCAAGAUGAAUAUUUCAGGAAAGUUCAAUGAUUGUCAUAGCAUGGAUUAGGAAUGUGGACCCCUCAAAAUGCUAAGGACAAAGGAUUGGCUCAAGCUCUAAAAGCUCAAGACUCUACAUUUUCUAUUUCAGUGAUCCAAGAUCACAUUGAGUCCAUAGGAAAGCCGUGUAACGCCCCGGAUUCGUUGCGCCAGGUGUCUGCUAGUUAUUCACCGUCGUUGCCAUGUCAUUUGCUUGCAUGUUGCAUUUUAUCAUGUCAUCAUGUGCAUUGCAUUGCAUACGUGUUCGUCUCAUGUAUCCGAGCUUUUUCCCCAUUGGCCGUUUUGCAAUCCGGCGCUCCUAUGUCCUCCGGCGUCCCCCUUUUCGUCUCCUGUUGUGAGUGGGUGUUAAACGUUCUCGGAAUGGCCCGAGGCUUGCCAAGCGGCCUUGGUAUAGCACCAGUAGACCGCCUGUCAAGUUUCGUGCCAUUUGGAGUUCGUUUGAUACUCCAACGGUUAACCGCGUAGCCCGAAACCCCCCUUUCUCUUUGCAGCCCAACACCCUUCCAAAGUGGCCCAAAACCCAGCAAAAUCCCCUCCAUGCUCUCGGUCGUUCAAUCACGAUCGUGUGGGCAAAAACCUCUCCCCAUUUGGAAUCUCCUAGCUCCCUCUACCUAUAUAUAUGUGCACCCCCCGGAUUUUCGCAGUCCAAACCCUAGAAAACUCCUCCCCGUGCCGCCGGACGCGUCCACGCGGGCCGAACAUGUCCGCCGCCCCCUCAGCCAAUCCGCCGCCGCCACGUCGUCCCCGCGCCCUCUCUCUCUCCUCCCCGCNNNNNNNNNNNNNNNNNNNNNNNNNNNNNNNNNNNNNNNNNNNNNNNNNNNNNNNNNNNNNNNNNNNNNNNNNNNNNNNNNNNNNNNNNNNNNNNNNNNNNNNNNNNNNNNNNNNNNNNNNNNNNNNNNNNNNNNNNNNNNNNNNNNNNNNNNNNNNNNNNNNNNNNNNNNNNNNNNNNNNNNNNNNNNNNNNNNNNNNNNNNNNNNNNNNNNNNNNNNNNNNNNNNNNNNNNNNNNNNNNNNNNNNNNNNNNNNNNNNNNNNNNNNNNNNNNNNNNNNNNNNNNNNNNNNNNNNNNNNNNNNNNNNNNNNNNNNNNNNNNNNNNNNNNNNNNNNNNNNNNNNNNNNNNNNNNNNNNNNNNNNNNNNNNNNNNNNNNNNNNNNNNNNNNNNNNNNNNNNNNNNNNNNNNNNNNNNNNNNNNNNNNNNNNNNNNNNNNNNNNNNNNNNNNNNNNNNNNNNNNNNNNNNNNNNNNNNNNNNNNNNNNNNNNNNNNNNNNNNNNNNNNNNNNNNNNNNNNNNNNNNNNNNNNNNNNNNNNNNNNNNNNNNNNNNNNNNNNNNNNNNNNNNNNNNNNNNNNNNNNNNNNNNNNNNNNNNNNNNNNNNNNNNNNNNNNNNNNNNNNNNNNNNNNNNNNNNNNNNNNNNNNNNNNCGCCGUCCGCGACCGUCCCCGUCAACUCCGGCGAGCUCUCCUGCGAGAUCCGCGGCCGCGUUGACUCCUCCCCCCCCGAGGUCCAAAUCGUCUAAGUCCCGAAUAUUUUUUUUGCAUAAUCAUGCCAUGUUCAUCGCAUCAUAUCUCUGCAUCCGUAGCUCCGUUUCGUGCGUGUAAUAUGUCAAAUUGUUCGUCUCAACGAGUACUUCAUUUCAUUCCAUUGCAUCAUGUUCAUUUGAGUUCAUCUUGAUGCCUGAAUCAUCGUUGCAAGAGUGCUUCAUGAUGUUGUCUAUUGUCUGUUAACAAAACUUGCUCUUUUGUCAUUUUUGCCAUGAUUGAUGUGUGCAUCCUAUGAGGUUGAUGUCUUCAUGUGUUUUGAACUAUGCCAUGUCUUCUUUACAGAGGUGUUUACCAUGUAUUUUUGUGAUCAAUGUGGUGACUAGCACAAGCAUGCAAACUAGGCAUCGUGAUGUUGCUGUUUUUAGUCCCUGUUCUGCUGUUAUUUUGAUGCCAUGUAAACUUGAUCCUACAGAGAGAUCCAUGCAUAUUUUGAGAUACUUCAGUAAGGGUGUUUUGAACAUAUGGUUGUUAUCUAGCCAUUCAUGCCUUUGGUUGCAAUUAUGGAGUAGUCUAGCAUGUCAUUUUCGUGCUCUACUUUUGCUUCAAAAUGUUUCCGGGCAGAUUGUUUACAUGUUAUUCAAUUUUGCCAAGGUUGUUGUAGUUGAUCCUUGCAUGCUAUGAACUUGUUCUUACCUUAGAUUGUUUCAUAAACAUGUCUUGUUGCUAAUGCUAUGCUUACCUUGUCAUGCAAUGGCUUGUGGUGAGUGAAUCGAGCUUGUUAAGUAGGGUACUUGCUGUUGCUGUUCUGCUAGGCUGAAUCUGUUUUUUCGUGAUGCUAUGUAAACCUGCUGCUACAUAUCAUUCUAUGCAUAAUCUGGAGAUGUUCACUAAGGGUGUUUUGUUAUACAUGUCAUUAUCUAUCCAUUCAUGCCCCUGGUUGCAUUUAUAGCCUGCUGUAGCUUGUUGUUUCCUUGCUCCAAAGUUGCUAAAUAAUGUUGCUGUCAGCCUGUUAACAUUAAGUUCAGUUGUUGCCAUGAUUGUUGUUAAUGAUCCAUGUACCCUAUGGACUUUCUCUUGCCAUGCUUAUCUUCAUAAACAUGUCUUCUUUCUGUUGGUUGCCUUGCCAUGCCAUUUGUUGCUCUGUGGUGAGUGGUACAAGCUCACCAACAUGCCUUCAUAAUUCUGUUUCUGCCAUGUUUGAAUCUGUAAUAUAACUUGCCAUGUUUACAUGGGUGUCAUCAUAUUUUCUGCUCCUUUUUGGCUCAUGGUCAGUAAAGGACUUUUGUUCUAUGAGUUUAGUAGAUUCAUGCCAUGCCUUUGUUUGCCAUGUUAAGUUCCUAUAACAUGUUGUUUGAUAGCUCUAAACAUUGCAACCUGAUGUUAUUUCUGCAAAGUCGGAAACUGUUAUUAUUUGCAAUCUUGCCAUGUGUGUUUGAGCAUGUUCUAGUGAUUUCUAGAGAUAGCUCAGUGUUCAUGUUUUGUUAUGCUUUACCUGUACUUCAUGCCCAUGCCUUUUGUUAUUACGUUGAGAUGCUGUAGCUUGUUGUUUUGAAGCUUGCAAUAUGCCUAGUUGCCGUUUUGGACAGAUUGUUGCUAUAACUUGUUUCAAUGUGUGUGUGUUGAACCGUUGCUCCAUUUUGAGUGUGCUCUAUAUGAAACUUGCUUGAUUUUGCAUGUAGUUUCAUAUUAUCAUGUUGCAUACUUGUUUUGAGGUGUUUGCUUGAUGUUUGGGUGCAUUUUGCAUCAAUGCCAUGUUUAACUUGUUUUGCUCAUAUCUUCUAGGCCGUAGCUCCGAAUUAAAUGAACUUAAUAUGUAACUUGACUAGAAUUUCAUGUAGAUCCUCGUGGUCCUCUUUAACUUGCUGUUUAACAACUUCAACAUAAGGUUUAUUCAGAUCUGGACCAAUUUCGAAAUUUGCAUGAGGACUUACCGGAAUUGUUAUAUGUUGUUUCCGGCCUCAUUUAAACUUGCUUUGAUGUGUUGUUCUUGUUUGCAUCAUCUCUUGCCAUGAGUAGCUUCAUAUAGCUUUGUCAUGCAUCAUGCUUGGUUGUGCAUCUUGUCUUGCGUAUGUGUGGUGUGUUUAUCAUGUUUUGUGCUUCUUAUCGAUAGUUCCCGUUUCGUUGCGAUCGUGAGGAUUCAUUCGUCUAUGCUUGGUUCGUCUUCAUGGCUUCGUCUUCUUCAUGGACUCGUUCUUCUUCCUAGCGGGAUUUCAGGCAAGAUGACCAUUUCCCUGGAUCUCACUACUAUCAUUGCUAUGCUAGUUGCUUCGUUCUAUCUCUAUGCUGCGUUACCUAUCACAUGUUCUUCAAGCCUCCCCAAAUUGCCAUGAACCUCUAACCUUUGACACCCUUCCUAGCAAACCGUCGAUUGGCUAUGUUACCGCUUUUCUCAGCCCCUUUUUAUAGCGUUGUUAGUUGCAGGUGAAGUUGAAGAUUGCUCCUUGGUGGACAGGAUUUUGGUUGGGAUAUCACAAUAUCUCUUAUAUUAUUAAUGCAUCUAUAUAUUUGGUAAAGGGUGGAAGGCUCGACCUUAUGCCUGGUGUUUUGUUCCACUCUUGCCGCCCUAGUUUCCGUCAUACCGGUGUUAUGUUCCCGGAUUUUGCGUUCCUUACGCGGUUGGGUGAUUAUGGGACCCCCUUGACAGUUCGCUUUGAAUAAAACUCCUCCAGCAAGGCCCAACCUUGGUUUUACCAUUUGCCUCACCACCACCUACAUUUCCCUUGGGAGUAAUUAACCCGAGGGUCAUCUUUAUUACACCCCCCGGGCCAGUGCUUGUCUAAGUGUUGGUCCGAACCAGAGCCACUUGCAGCGCCACCUCGGGGAAAUUUGAGGGUUGGUUUUAGUUGUACAUAGUGUUCAUCCGGUGUUUCCCUGAGAAUGAGAUUUGUGCAGCUCCUAUCGGGAUUGUCGGCGCAUCGGGCGGUCUUGCUGGUCUUGUUUUACCAUUGUCGAAAUGUCUUGUAAACCGGGAUUCCGAGUCUGAUCGGGUCUUCCUGGGAGAAGGUUUAUCCUUCGUUGAUUGCGAGAGCUUAUCAUGGGCUAAGUUGGGACACCCCUGCAGGGUAUAAUCUUUCGAAAGCCGUGCCUGCGGUUAUAGGCAGAUGGGAAUUUGUUAAUGUCCGGUUGUAGAUAACUUGACACCAGAUCCGAAUUAAAACGCAUCAACCGCGUGUGUAGCCGUGAUGGUCUCUUCUUGGCGGAGUCCGGGAAGUGAACACGGUUUUUGGGUUAUGUUUGACGUAAGUAGGAGUUCAGGAUCAUUUCUUGAUCAUUGCUAGCUUCACGACCAUUCCGCUUGCUCUCUUCUCGCUCUUAUUUGCGUAUGUUAGCCACCAUAUAUGCUUAGUCGCUGCUGUAACCUCACCACUUUACCCCUUCCUUUCCCAUUAAGCUUUGCUAGUCUUGAUACCCAUGGUAAUGGGAUUGCUGAGUCCUCGUGGCUCACAGAUUACUACAACAACAGUAGCAGGUACAGGUUAUGCGAUGAUCAUGACGCGAGAGCGAUGUUUGCUUGUUUUGGAGUUCUUCUUCUGCUUCUUCUUCGAUCAGGGGAUAGGUUCCAGGUCGGCAGCCUGGGCUAGCAGGGUGGAUGUCGUUUGAGUUUCUGUUUGUGUUUCAUCCGUAGUCGGAUGAUGCUCCUAUGUAUUGUGAUGCUGUAUUCGUGUGGCAUUGUAUGCCUUAUGUAUGUAUCCCCUUCUAUUAUGUAAUGUUGAUGUAAUGAUAUCCACCUUGCAAAAGCGUUUCAAUAUGCGGGUCUAUCCUUGGUGGGACCUUCGAGUUCCUUUUGGAUAGGGUCGCAUAUUGGGCGUGACAAGUUGGUAUCAGAGCCUCGACCGACCAUAGGAGCCCCCUUGAUUGAUCGUGUAGUUUGGCCGUUGUUGAGUCUAGAAGAAAACUAUUUUCGGAGUCUAGUUAUAUCGAAGAGUAGGAAUUCUUUUUACUCCUCAGCCCCUUCGUUACUCUGGUAAGGAAUCUUGACGUAGGUGUUUUGAAUUAUUUCUCUUCCCCUUCAAAUUUUUCUUUAGGAUCACGCAGUUGGUUUUCCGAUCGUUGUUCCUCAGCUCUUUUCAUCCGGUGCAUCUCUCGUCAAGUCGACUCAAACCUCUUUGUCUUUGCCAAGUUCAAUCCUCAGUUCGCUCUCAACGAAGUUGUUUCUCUGUCCUCAGUUGUUUUCUUUUCCCACCCGCCCACCCUUUUUCUCUCAGAGCCGGAGUCCGUAAUCGAGUAUCCAUCCUACUCGUGCGAAGUCUUUGCCUUCCUUCCUCAAUGAUUUCAACCGGUGUUUUCUCUUCAAAUUAUUCGUCGGUUCCCCUUCCGAGUUGCCUUUGUUUUUCCCACCCUCCCACCCUCUUCUUCCCGGAGCUUNNNNNNNNNNNNNNNNNNNNNNNNNNNNNNNNNNNNNNNNNNNNNNNNNNNNNNNNNNNNNNNNNNNNNNNNNNNNNNNNNNNNNNNNNNNNNNNNNNNNNNNNNNNNNNNNNNNNNNNNNNNNNNNNNNNNNNNNNNNNNNNNNNNNNNNNNNNNNNNNNNNNNNNNNNNNNNNNNNNNNNNNNNNNNNNNNNNNNNNNNNNNNNNNNNNAUCAAUUUCAUCCGUACGGAGCCUCUUUAGUCUUCCCUCAAUUAUUUCAACCGGUGAUUUCCCGUCUCGUUUGUCGUUCUUCAUCUCUUUUCUUUUCCGGUGGAUUUAAUUCAAGUUUUUGGUUGAUCAUAUUCUUUUCCUCGGCUCAAGUGUUUUACUUGCUCGUUCUCCUCUCGCCAGUUUAUCCUUCCGGAGUAUUCAAGACAUCUCAGGAGAUUCGUCUGUGUUCCAAUUAAUUCGAGGUUGUCACCUCAUUCAAAUAUUUCAAUUGUUCCGGUGCAUCAUCUAUCUGUUCAACAAUCCUUUUCAACGGUGUUUCUUUUAGUGGGCCCAUAACCCACAGGUCUUUUCCCAAGAUCUUACCUGACUCUUCUAAUUCUCCCGGAGUUAUUCUCAAUUCUUUUCGGAGUCUGACGUAAGAAUGGAUCCCAUCAGUCAGAUGCCUUUCCAAGAUCGCGUUCAAAUUCUUUUCAUUGUUGGCUCAACCUCUCUGCUUUUCAUUCUCCCGGAGUAUCUCAGCAAUUUUGUUGGUGUUUCUCGUCGUCAUUUGAAGAUCGCAGAAGAGUUUUUCCUCUAAAUCUUGCCCAUUCUCUCGAAGUUUCGUGGUUCUAGCUUCAUGUUAUCCUCGCGAAUUAUUCCACUUGUCACCUAUCCGGAGUAUGUCAGGAGUUGUUUUUCUAUUUCUUUUCACCGGAGGCCAUCAUUCCAGUUAUCGUUCUCUAUUUAUCCCGGUGCUUCGUUCAAGUGUUCUUUAAUCAGCUCAUUAUCUCUUCGUUAUUUUGCAUCUAAAUCCCCUCAAGCAUAUUUGUCUUCUAAUUCUUCCCGGUGAUUCAUUCUCUUUCAUCAGUCAUUUUCGAAUUCUUACGGUGGUUCAUUCAAGACUCCUUUUUUCUUUGAUUAUCAUAUUAAUUCUUUCGUUCAUUUCAAUACUACCGGUGGCUCAUGAAGACAUUUCUCAAGUUUUGUGCUAUACCCCCCCUUUGAUCCUCCUUCAAGAAGAAUAAGUAGUAUGUAAAAUCCAUUGCUUGUCAUCAAUUUAAUUUGAUGAAGGAUUAGCAUACAAUAAAUCUUAUUCUUAUUUCCUCCAAGUGAGUAAUAUUUUCCUUUGGAGUUUGUUCUUGAUGAAUAAAUUCUAGUUCCAAGUGCUUUCAUCUUUUCUUUUCCGGAGUUCAAUUUUUCCUCAGCCAUUUCGUCGGAAGCUCCAUCUAAAUCACCGCAAGGUUUUAAUCUAUUUCUUUUCAAGCUUCAAUUCAAUGUCAUCAUCCUUUUGUACCGGAGUUCUUCAUGGUGGUUCUUCAUGAUUUAAUUCAUUCUUCAAGAGUUCAUCAAGAUUUUGUUGGUGGAGUUCAAUUAUCUUUCUUCUCGCGUCUCGAAGUGCAAACAAUUCUCCGUUUUCUUUUGAAAUGGAGUUUUGCAUUUCUUCUCAGCUAUCCAAUCAUUUCCGUUUGUGGCCGGUUAUCACCUUAUGAUCUUGAGAUGUUACCUAUAAGUCCACAACAAGCUUAUUCUUUUCAUUGUUGAUUUUCUCAACAACUCCAUUCAAUCCUUACUUCUAAAUUCUUUCCAUUCCAUUCUUUCAAUCCUUCCGGAGGCAUUGCUUUAAUCAUCUCGUCAAGUGUCAUUCCAUCUUGUGAAGUUCUUGUUCUAUUCCUUCCAUGUUCAGUCAGAGUUCUGCCUAAAUCCUUUCAGUCUUAUUCGUUUCUUAUCUCGUUCUAACCGAAGUGGUUUCAUAGACUAUCUGAUUCCGUGAGCUUUCGAUUCUCAUCAUUCUUGUCGUUCCUCUCUUCUUCACGAGUGCUCUCGAUUCUUUGCUUCUUCUCUUGAGUUCUUGUUUCACUCAUUCCUUUUCCCUUCCGUCUCGGUCCUAAGAUCUCGGGACGAGAUCUCUUGUUAGUGGAGGAGUGUUGUAACACCCCGGAUUCGUUGCGCUAGGUGUCUGCCAGUUAUUCGCCGUCGUUGCCAUGUCAUUUGCUUGCGUGUUGCAUUUUAUCAUGUCAUCAUGUGCAUUGCAUUGCAUACGUGUUCGUCUCAUGCAUCCGAGCUUUUUCCCCGUUGGCCGUUUGGCAAUCCGGCGCUCCUAUGUCCUCCGGCGUCCCCCUUUUCGUCUCCUGUUGUGAGUGGGUGUUAAACGUUCUCGGAAUGGCCCGAGGCUUGCCAAGCGGCCUUGGUAUAGCACCGGUAGACCGCCUGUCAAGUUUCGUGCCAUUUGGAGUUCGUUUGAUACUCCAACGGUUAACCGCGUAGCCCGAAACCCCCCUUUCUCUUUGCAGCCCAACACCCUUCCAAAGUGGCCCAAAACCCAGCAAACUCCCCUCCAUGCUCUCGGUCGUUCGAUCACGAUCGUGUGGGCAAAAACCGCUCCCCAUUUGGACUCUCCUAGCUCCCUCUGCCUAUAUAUAUGUGCACCCCCCCGAAUUUUCGCAGUCCAAACCCUAGAAAACUCCUCCCCGCGCCGCCGGACGCGUCCACGCCGGCCGGACAUGUCCGCCGCCCCCUCAGCCAAUCCGCCGCCGCCACGUCGUCCCCGCGCCCUCUCUCUCUCCUCCCCGCCGUCGGGGCUCGUGAGGCCUAGAUCGGGCCCACCCCGGGCCGCGCCGGGCCCAAGGGAGCCCGCGCCGCCGCCCCGCCCGUCCUCUCCNNNNNNNNNNNNNNNNNNNNNNNNNNNNNNNNNNNNNNNNNNNNNNNNNNNNNNNNNNNNNNNNNNNNNNNNNNNNNNNNNNNNNNNNNNNNNNNNNNNNNNNNNNNNNNNNNNNNNNNNNNNNNNNNNNNNNNNNNNNNNNNNNNNNNNNNNNNNNNNNNNNNNNNNNNNNNNNNNNNNNNNNNNNNNNNNNNNNNNNNNNNNNNNNNNNNNNNNNNNNNNNNNNNNNNNNNNNNNNNNNNNNNNNNNNNNNNNNNNNNNNNNNNNNNNNNNNNNNNNNNNNNNNNNNNNNNNNNNNNNNNNNNNNNNNNNNNNNNNNNNNNNNNNNNNNNNNNNNNNNNNNNNNNNNNNNNNNNNNNNNNNNNNNNNNNNNNNNNNNUAGUCGGAUGAUGCUCCUAUGUAUUGUGAUGUUGUAUUCGUGUGGCAUUGUAUGCCUUAUGUAUGUAUCCCCUUCUAUUAUGUAAUGUUGAUGUAAUGAUAUCCACCUUGCAAAAGCGUUUCAAUAUGCGGGUCUAUCCUUGGUGGGACCUUCGAGUUCCUUUUGGAUAGGGUCGCAUAUUGGGCGUGACAAGCCAAUACUAUUAAAAGGGGAUGAGGUGUUGCUUAAUGGCUUGCUUGCUCAAAGUGCUUAGUGAUAUGCUCCAAAGCCCUCAACCACUUUAUCAUAUCCACAUAUGUCCCAAACCAAAAGUCAAACUCGGCCACACCGAUUUGAUCUAUCCGGCGCCAUCGAGUUCAGUUGACAUAGCCACUGCCAGAAACACUAGUCACUUUGGUCUAACCGAUAGGAUCUUAGUCUCACCGAGAUGGGAUUACAAACUCCAUGUUUCCCUUCAUAACAUUUCAGUCUAACCAAGAAGAGCGAUCAGUCCCACUGAGUUUGCAAUGCAAACUCCCUAUUUCCUUUUCAUAAUGUUUUGGUCCCACCGAGACGAGCGAAUCGGUCCCACCGAGUUUGCAUGACCAACGUUUGGUUAGCUUAUUACCAAAGUUGGUCCCACUGAGUUUGUGUAAUCGGUCAAACCGAGAUUAUGUUAUGCCCUAACCCUAAUGAUAUCGGUCCCACCGAGUUGAUGUGUCGGUCCCAUUGAAAUGCCUAAUGGUCACAUUAUGAACUAAAUCAGUCCAACCGAGUUUUCUGAUUUGGUCCCACCGCGUUUGGUAAAUUGUGUGUAAUGGUUAGAUUUUGUGUGGAGGCUAUAUAUACCCCUCCACCCUCUCCUCAUUCGUUAAGGAAGCCAUCAGAACGUGCCUACACUUCUAGCAUUCAUUUUCUAAGAGAGAACCACCUACUCAUGUGUUGAGGCCAAGAUAUUCAAAUCCAACCAUAUGAAUCUUGAUCUCUAGCCUUCCCCAAGUUGCUUUCCACUCAAAUCUUCUUUCCACCAAAUCCAAUCGUAUGAGAGAUAGUUGAGUGUUGGGGAGACUAUCAUUUGAAGCACAAGAGCAAGGAGUUCAUCAACAACACACUACCUUUUGGAGAGUAGUGUCUCCUAGAUGGGUUAGGUGUCACUUGGGAGCCUUCGACAAGAUUGUGGAGUUGAACCAAGGAGUUUGUAAGGGCAAGGAGACCGCGUACUUCAUGAAGAUCUACCCUUGUGAGGCAAGUCCUUCGUGGGCGAUGGCCAUGGUGGGAUAGACAAGGUUGCUUCUUCGUGGGUGGAGCCCUCCGUGUACUCACACAGCCGUGACCCUUUCAUGGGUUGAAGUCUCCAUCUACGUGGAUUUACGAUAGUACCACCUAUCGGAACCACACCAAAAACAUCUGUGUCUCCAAUUGCAUUUGCACACUCCAAUCCCAUCCCUUUACUUUCUUGGAAGUUGCAUGCUUUACUUUCCGCUGCUCAAAUACUCUUUGCAUAGUUGCUUGAACUGUAUCUUGAUUGUUUGACUUGUGCUAAGUUGCUAAAAUCUGCCAAGAACUAAAAUUGGGAAAAGGCUAGAUUUUUAAUUGGUCAAGUAGUCUAAUCACCCACCUCCUCUGGACAUACUUUUGAUCCUAUACCUUUGUUAAACAUGCCUCCUAAUGUUAGUAAUAUAUAUGGGUAGCAACUUAGUUAGCAGUGGAGAUGCUCAUAGUUCAGUUAUUUAUUAGUACUAAAGCUCACUGCAACAUGUUGUAUAGGCAUGUGCUCAUGUAUAUUCAUGUUUAGUUAAAUUGCCCACUAUUUUGUAGUAUUAUAUUUGGUUAGCAACUUAGUUAGCAGUGUAGAUGCUAAUUUUUAAUUGAGGCACUAUAGGUUGUAGUGGAAGUAGCAUUGUUUAGUUGGCCACAUGUAUAGGUUGUAGUUCUUAUGUUGUUAGUUGAUUUUUUAAAGUGCCCUUUUAUAAUUGUAAUUCUUCAGAGAGUAACAAUAUAAGUGUUUGCUAUAUUGCAGGAAGGUGAGAAUUGUGGUUUUUUUGGGUGGGUUGACCCAGAGUGGCCUCCCACAAUGCAAAGUGCAUUCUUGAAGCUUUGGGAAAUGUUUGAAGACAACAUGACUUCUAGGAGGAAGGAUAACCUGGAUAGUUCACUUACUAUCCACCACCUUAAAGAAGAGAAAAGGAAUCUGGAUGCCAACUAUGACAAACUAGUUGAAGAUGUCCAUCAACUUCUCAAUGCCCAGGAGGACAGAGUGUUGGAUUUUAGCUAUGUACAGGUUAAGGAGAAGAGAGCUGAGGUUUCCAGUGCAUUAGCUGUGGCUGGCAAGAAGAAUGAGAUGGAGAAGGAAGAGGCAAAGAUAUUCAAGCUGCAAGAGAAGUAUAAAGUGAUGAUGAACCUGGUAGAAGCUCAAGGCAGUGCCAUUAGGAACCUGAAGAUUAAUCAUUUGAAAGAGAAGGAAAAGCUAACUGAAGGCAACAACAAUUUAAAGAUUCAGGUUGAUGAGCUCACCAAGUCUGUGAAAAAGUAAGAGAAGAGAAUGUGCUGCUGAACCUUCACAUGUCUGAUCUCAAGAGGGGAGAUGAGAAUCUGAUAAAACGCAGGGAUGAGGUAAAGCUCCAGCUUACUAUGCAGUUCAAGUCACUGGAGAAGAGCAAAGAGAAGUUGAAGUUGAUCCAUGACAUCUUGAAGGAAUGAGGUAGAUGAAGAUGAUCUGGGUAGAUGAAGCAGAGCAUAACUAUCAUGAUAUAUGUUGCUUUGAUAGAAGGCUUUGCUAAUCUUUUGUGAAGGGUGGUUUAAUGAAGUGUAAUGUAUGGAUGUAGUAGUUGUGAACAAUGUUGAACUCCACUAUGCUAUGGUCUUUAACUAAUGUUGUAAGAAUCUAUUAAUUAUGGCUGUAAGAAUCUAUGGUUAUGUUCAACUCCAUUAUGCCAUGUUAUUUAGCUAAUGCUUUGUUAGAUGGCUCAAGUUAUACCUUGAUAUGUCCAUUUAGCAUCAUGUUUUCCUACUGUUAUUUAUGUUGUUUUAUUAUAUAAUAAUGCUUUUUGGAGUAAGGCUAAUGCCUUUUCUCUCAUAAUAUGCAAGGUAUGCACCAAGGGGGAGAAUUUUGGCAGCUGGAAAUCUGGACCUGAAAAAGCUACGUCAAGUUACCUAAUCUGCACAACUCCAAAUGAGAUGAAACUCCCCGAGGAUUUUUAUGGAAUAUUUAAAUAAUAUUGGAGCAAAUAAGUACCAGAGGAGGGCCACUAGGUGGGCCCAACCCACCUGGGCAUGCCAGGAGGCCCAGGCGCGCCCUGGUGGGUGCUGUCCUCCUCGACCCACUUUUGGUGCCCAUCUUCUAGUAUAUAAGUCAUUUUGACCUAGAAAAAAAUUAGGGGAGGACAUUUGGGACAAAGCGCUGCCGUCUCGAGGCGGAACUUGGGCAGGAGCACUUUUACCCUCCGGCGAAGUGAUUCCGCCAGGGGAACUUCCCUCCCGGAGGGGGAAAUCAUCGUCAUCAUCAUUGUCGGUGUCAAAACCGGCGGAUCUCGGGUAGGGGGUCCCGAUCUAUGUGUCUUAGGCUGAUGGUAACAGGGAGCAAUGGACACAAUGUUUACCCAGGUUUGAGCCCUCUCGAUGGAGGUAAAACCCUACUUCCUGCUUGAUUAAUAUUGAUGAUAUGAGUAGUACAAGAGUAGAUCUACCACCAGAUCGUAGAGGCUAAACCCUAGAAGCUAGCCUAUGAUGAUUAUGAUUGUAAUUGGGAUCGGCCUUCUAAGGACCAACCUCUCCGGUUUAUAUAGACACCGGAGAGGCUAGGGUUUACAUGGAGUCGGUUACAAGGAAGGAAAUACAAUUUCUGGAUCAUGAAGCUUGUCUUCCAUGCAAAGGAGAGUCCCAUCCGGACACGGGACGGAGUCCUGAGUCUUAAAUCUUCAUGCUCCAAUAGUCCGGACGAUGUAUAUAGUCCGACUGUCCGGAUACCCCCUAAUCCAGGACUCCCUCAGUAGCCCCUAAACCAGGCUUCAAUGAUGAUGAGUCCGGCGCGCAGUCUUGUCUUCGACAUUGCAAGGCAGGUUCCUUCUCUGAAUACGCCAAAGUAAUUAUCGAACACGUAGACCGUGUCCGGAUCUGCAAAAUGAUCUUUACAUACCACCGUAGAGAGAAUGAUAUUUCAGCUGACAACUUUUUAGACGACGUGAUAUGUCAUUACGGCCGGGUCAUUAUUUGAACCGUUUUCCCACAACCAGCCACAGCGCGUAUUGCGAGGCGGUUUCCUUAACACGUCUUGUCAAAGCAGAGAUCGUGUCCCCUUAUCACGGGAUUCUCAUCAAUACGGGUAUGGGUAAUCCCACCGUGCCAUCAAUCGUGGCGCUUGGGAAGUAAGCAAUUCUCAACGGGCAAGUGGAUAGGCGCACUGCUUUCGUCGCCUCUAUAAAGGGAUAAAGGAUCCCCAUUUUCACCCACGCCUUCCUCCUCCUUUGAUCAUCCUUGCCUCCUCAAGAUCCAGCGCCCUACUCCAAGUCUUCUCCGCACAGCUGAAUAUGUCCGGAGCAGGAGGCAAGUGGGUGGCUUACACCGUGAAGGAGAAGCAUAUCGCGAAUCUUUGGGCGGCCAGAUACUUGGCCACAGACAUAGCGCACCGACUAUAGGACGACGGGCAGGUCAUUCCAACCCCGGGACCCCACAAGAGGGUCGUGUUUCUCGCCCACUUCGUCCAUGGACUAGGAUUUCCGCUUCAUCCCUUCAUCCGCGGGCUCAUGUUCUACUACAUGCUAGAUUUCCAUGAUCUAGCCCCAAACUUCGUCCUCAACAUCUCGGCGUUUAUCGUCGUAUUCGAGGCCUUCCUCCGCAUCCAGCCUCACUUUGGCUUGUGGCUACAAAUCUUUUGUGUGAAGCUGAAGAUCGUGAGUGGCCAUCAAGCGGAGUGCGGAGGGGCCAUGGUGGGCAAGAUGCCUAACGCCACCUGGCUUGACGGCUCCUUCGAGGAGAUCGUGACAGGGUGACAAUUGGGGUGGUUCUACAUCACCUAGCCGCGCGACGCCAACUGGGCGGCGACCCCCGAAUUCCGAUCCGGAACCCCCAUGCAGCUCACCUCAUGGGAAAAGAAGGGCCUGUCCUGGGGCGAACCUGCAGAGCUGACCGGACUCCAAAAUUGCAUCAAUAAUAUGAAGGACAAGAACAUCAAGCUUAUUAACGUGACCCAAGUCAUGCUCGUUCGCCGGAUUCUUCCGUGCCAAAGGCGGGUGUUUAAUCUGUGGGAGUUCGUCCCGACCGAACACCAGACGCUUCGAAAGCUCUAUGGCAUGAAGCAUAAAGACGCCUGGAAGGCACUAUUCAAGGCCUCCGAAGUACCUCCUCCCAUAUCCGAGGACCGCGGACUUCAUGCCGCACGGCCUCCUUGUCCGGUGAGUUUUCUGACUACCACCGGAUUCAGUUCUUCUCAAUGUAUUCAUGGGGGAGUCUUAAGUAAUUGUGCAUAUAGGAUUAUGUGGAGACAGCGGAGCGGAUUGACUGUCCGGCUCCGCUGCCCGAAGGUCCAGCUGAUGCUCUCCUGACGGAGAUGCUAGUCCCGGCGCCCUACAAGGCACCAGAGAAGAAGGCCGAAAAGAAGGCCCCGGGGACCAGGAAGGGUCUCUGGCGUAAAGUUGUACCGGAGGUCUCGUUCAAGACGAUGAGGCACACUCCUCCCACGAAGGGGAGGAAAAAGAGGAAGAGGCCGCCCCAUCCGGAGAGGAUGGGGGGCCUGAGAAGGCGGAACAGGGGGCCAGGACAGGCUCCCGGCGCAAGGCCGUCAUACCCUCGUCGUCCGAUGAUGACGAGGCAGAUUCCUCCCGCGGAGGCGGGGGGAAACAAGAAGAAGCUCUGCCUCCCCGUACUAGGGGGGGGGGGAGAAAAAGAGGAAAGCCGCCACGGAAGGGGAGGCUGGGACGUCCAAGAAGGGAAAGGCGUCCCUUCCGGACUACUCCACCAUCGCCGCCGAUAGCGACGAGGGGUGGCUACCUAGGGGGAAGCCCCUAGCAUGAUUGUAAGUAUCCGCACUCUAUUGUGAUUUUGCUUCAUAGUCUUGUUAUAACGCUGAACUUGUAUACAGUCUGGCCAGGGUCCAUCCCGAGGUGUCAUCUUUGGAUGGUUCCUUGAGCGAUUCAGCGAUGAACUUGCUUCCGACGACCACUACUCCUUAGCCUGCGUAUGACAUGGAGGUGUUGUCCCAAAGGCUCCCAGAGCGGGGGGGGGGGGUGACUCUGGAGGCGCCUCAAGGCAGAAUUCCAGACAUCGGACACGCGGGGUUCAAGAUCCCCGCGGAUCGUGUUGAUGAGAGCCGCAGUAAGCCGGGCUCCAGCCGAAUACUGUUCCGGAACCUCCAGUGGUUCCGGACUCAGGCGGGCAACCCCUCGUUAGGGAGGGUGAGCCGUCUGUGCCGAGGACUUCCGCUACGCCCGAGGCGUCAGAUUGUCUGCUGGAAGCGCUUCGCGGCACUUCCAUGGAUGAAGAGCACCGUACUCUUAUGAAUGCGGUGAUUCAGAAGGUUUUGUCUGCCAAGAGCGGACUAACCGAUGCUUGCACCAUCCUCCUGAUAGGCUUUGAGGUAAGUAAUAAAAAUGUGUGAAAUUACCACCUGAUAGGUAGUAGCCCCUGAUACUCUGUUUGGUGUUCGGAAAGAAAGACCAAACGGAGGGUCAAUUAUAAUCCACAUGAGUCUAAUAAUAAGUGUGAAUGUGAAUAAGCAGGCUGUGCUACUUGCCGCUGCUGUCCGCACAGCCGAGAUCGUCGGACUAAAAUGGGACCUGGAGCAGGCGCAGGGAGAGCUCGACCUCACGAAGAGGCAGCUCGAAGAGAACAAAGGUGAGUGAUUCCCCGCUCUCAUAUAAUGAAGGAUAGAUAAAAUUGGUUAUUUUAACAACGAAGCAUCGUGAUUUUGUAACAAAGGGAAACACCGAAGCGGCGUCUCUGAAGAAAGCGUUGUCCGAGGCCGAAGACAAGGCGACCUCGGAGCACAAGGAGCACGAAAAUCAAGAUGCUAGAGUGGGCGAGGUACAGCAAGAGAUCCAGGAGCUCGGCAAGAAGUUCGAGUCCGUGGAGCAUGAGCUUAAGGUGAAAGAGGCCGAGCUUGCGAAGGCCCUUGCUAGUAUAAAAGACGCCAAGGCUGAAGCCGAGAAGGCAUAGCAGGAAAUCCAGGAGGCCAAAAAUAUAGCGGCGGGUAAGAAAUUCUUUAUGCAAAGCAAGCAUGUGGAGGAGGCGUUUCUUUUACUUACCCGAAUUCGGAGCUCUCUAGGGGCAUUCGCAGAUCUGCCACGUAGCAUAUCAGAUGCCGUGGAAUUCUACCAUGGCGAGGAGGGGAGCGCGACAGAGAAGCUGUUCUGGUCCCAGUAUGCUGGUUGGUAGUUGGUGACCAACUAAAGCUGUUGGUUGAACUCCAUAGGGCGGCCGAAGUGGCUAUGAAGGAUUUCAUAGUCCGGAUGUGGCCCGGUGAGCCCCUGCCCACUAGCUACUUCGGCCUGAUCAAGCGGAUGGUGAAUGCCUAUCCGCGGCUUGAAGUGAUCAAACGAUCCGUUUGCAUUGAGGGUCCCCGCCGGGCCUUUGCCCGUGCGAAGGUGCAUUGGGGCAAGCUGGAUGCAGAGAAGCUGGUGAAGGACGGGCUGCCGGAGGGCAACGCGCAUCGCUGUCCCGAGAGAUAUUAUGAAGGCGUUAUGAAGGGCGCUCGUCUCGUGGCCGAUGAAUGUACCAAGGACACAAUUUUAGAAUGAAUUCACUUCUGUCAUGUUUGUAAUAUAAGGACGAAGUUACUUGCGCUAUGUAGAGCUUUUUGAUUUAAAAUAUUACCUUAUGUGUGGCUAUUUAUAAAAUUCUGAAAGUAGGCCAGUCGUCGGCUUCCGCCCCCACGUAACUAGUACUGGGGUGUUCGUGGAAAACCCAGACACUCUUUAUCCAAAUGUUUGGCCCUAAAGGAGGUGUCUAGCGCAGCGAACAAGGCAAUCGAACUAUGAGACUUUAUAACCUUCACUUAGACAUAGAAGUCUACAAUUUUAAAUUUCGGCGAAGCCCCUAGAAUUCAGAAGGCCGAACUGGGGCGCUAUAUACGCCUAAAUUGGACGAGGCCGAUUCCUCGCCUAAAGCGGAAAAAUCUUUAAGGAUUUUAAGACCUCUCGAAUAGCGACUAGCUCUCGCCACAUCAUGUCGGUCAGUUUUCGGCUUUCUCUACUGAGGUGCUUGUCCGGAAGAACCGGGACACAAUCGCAGUAGUUCUCCCUGUGCUACCUUAGCCGAUAUAACGGAACGUAAGGUACCAAAACAAGGGAGCAGGGCUAACCCAACUGUGGACCCAAGACAUGAUUCGGAGCUGAUGCAUAUAGUGCUAUAAGUUCAGGGUGCCGCACUAUUGAAAGUGUUCGGACUUUACUUGCCGUAUUACGGGGCGCCAUAAGGAGCCCCUGGCAAAAUAAACGUACCAAAGUGUAUGGAUGCAAUAGUAAAUAAACAUUUAUAGAAAAAAAUGUGCCGAUAGGAAUAUUAAGCUGACGCCGUAUAUAAUAUCCCAUUGAUGUAUAAUAUGUCUAAGCGUAUGUUUACAAUGAAUGCAUUAAGCAGAGAUAAAUAGGACUAUUCGACAUGUCAUAUCCAAGGGCAGGCCGCGUACAGGUAUAUAAAACAGGUAUAACGAUCGUGAAUAGAUUCCACCUGGGUAUUUCCUUUUGUGCGCAAAGCCUGUUGCCUCCUUGGUUUUCUCCCCUGUGUAAGUCCGACAAUCCGGGAGGCCGGACUGCUAGUCGCGCUCUUGGCGUGCCUGGUGAUCCUGUUGCGGGGUGCUCCGAACUCGCUUGACAGUGCUUGAGGCUGUCGUCGCCGGAUUGGUGGUUUGUCGAAGGAGGCCGCAUUGUACUUCCGCCGCGAGGGCUGCAGUAUGCUCUUCUGUACGGAGAGAGCGGUCCAUGUUUCCGUUGACUGUUAUGACCCCGCACGGGCCUGGCAUCUUGAGCUUGAGGUAUGCAUAGUGUGGUACCGCAUUGAAUCUAGCGAAUGCGGUUCGUCCGAGCAGUGCGUGGUAACCACUACGGAAAGGGACGAUAUCGAAGAUUAACUCUUCGCUUCACAAGUUAUCCGGAGAUUCGAAGACCACUUCCAAUGUUAUAGAGCCCGUACAUCGAGCCUCUACUCCAGGAAUUACACAUUUAAAGGUGGUUUUGGUGGGCUAGAUCCUUGAAGGGUCGAUGCCCAUUUUGUGCACUGUGUCCUGAUAAAGCAGGUUUAGGCUACUGCCUCCGUCCAUAAGGACUCGUGUGAGGUGAAAUCCGUCUAUGAUUGGGUCUAGAACCAAUGCGGUUGAACCGCCGUGACGGAUGUUGGUAGGGUGAUCCCUACGAUCAAAGGUGAUCGGACAAGCUGACCAUGGGUUGAAUUUGGGGGCGACUAGCUCCAUCGCAUAGACGCCCCGUAGUGCUCACUUCCGUUCCCGCUUGGGAAUGUGAGUGGCGUAGAUCAUGUUGACCGUUUUCACCUGGGGGGGGGGAUUUCUUUUGUCCCCCCGUGUUUGGACGCUGGGGCUCUUCAUCAUCGUCGCUGUGCAGCCCCUUGUCCUUGUUUUCGGUGUUUAUUUUACUGGCCUGUUUGAACACCCAGCAGUCUCUAUUAGUGUGGUUGGCUGGCUUGUCUGGUGUGCCAUGAAUUUGGCACGGGCGUUCCAGUAUGCGGUUUAGACUGGACGGUCCCUGAUUGUUUGUUUGAACGGUUUCUUUCGCUGACCGGAUUUGGAUCCGCUGAAUUCGGUGUUGACUGCCAUGUCUUCAGUGUUGUCGCCGUUGUUCCGUCGCUUGUGUCUGUUGCGCCGUGGCUUGCCAUUAUUGUCACGGACGUCAGAAGUGCCAGAAUGUGGCGUAGUGCUGCUCCGAUCCAACCAGCUGUCCUUGCCCGCGCAAAAGCGGGUCAUUAGUGUCGUGAGAGGUGCCAUGGACUUGGGUUUCUCCUGGCCGAGGUGUCGGGCAAGCCACUCGUCGCGUAUAUUAUGCUUAAAGGCUGCCAGGGCUUCGGUGUCCGGAUAGUCAACUAUUUGGUUCUUUUUAGUUAGGAACCGAGUCCAGAAUUUCCUGGCUGAUUCUCCGGGCUGUUGAGUAAUGUGGCUCAAGUCAUCGACGUCCGGUGGUCGCACAUAUGUGCCUUGGAAGUUGUCGAGGAAUGCGUCUUCUAGGUUUUCCCAACUGCCAACGGAAUUUGUGGGCAGGCUGUUUAGCCAAUGCCGGGCGGGUCCUUUGAGCUUAAGGGGAAGAUACUUGAUGGCAUGUAGAUCGUCUCCGCGGGCCAUGUGAAUGUGGAGAAGGAAGUCUUCAAUCCAUACUGCAGGGUCUGUUGCGCCAUCGUAUGAUUUGAUGUUUACAAGUUUGAAUCCUUCUAGAAAUUCAUGAUCCAUCACUUCAUCGGUGAAGCAGAGGGGGUGUGCGGCGCCUCUGUGCCGGGCUAUGUCGCGACGCAGUCCGACUAAGUUUGGUUGAUUGUAUUCGGCCCAGCCGGAUUUACUGUUAGUGUAUCCGGUAUGACGGUCAUCGUCAUGUGCUGCAGCGCGCCCCCGUGAUCCAUAGAUCGAUCUUGGUUGUCCUGCGUUGUUUUCCAAUCUGUCUCGCAGGUCCUGAGUAUUGCCCCGGGCCAUAGUAAACUGGCGCGAGGGUGCGGGCUGGUAUUCGGGCUGAUAUGCCAUUUUAUCCUGGCCACGAGGUGACCGGUCAGCCGUGUGGUGCUCGAGUCCAUAUUCCUCGGCUGCCAGGACUUCUGUCCAUCUAUCUGUGAGCAGGUCUUGAUCAGCUUGAAGCUGCUGCCGCUUCUUCUUCAGGCUCCUCGCAGUGGCAAUAAGCCGGCGCUUGAAGCGCUCCUGCUCCACGGGGUCCUCAGGCACGCCGAACUCGUCAUCGCCGAGGCUAAUCUCGUCUUCGGAGGGGGGCAUGUAGUUGUCCUCCUCCGGAUACCCGUCCGUCGCCUGUUCAUCUGGGCUGUCCUGCCCAUCUUCCUACUCGGCCUGCUCGAAGGUAGGCUGGUCAGGGUUGUAUUCAUCUUCGGCACCGUCCGGAUCAUUUUCGUCUCCGGUGCCGGUAUUGCUGUGGCGGGGCUUGGAGCGGCGCUGGCGACGCCCAUGCUUUGCUUUCUUCUUGGAGGGGUUAUCCUCCAUUGCCUCAUCACCAUUUGUUUCUUUCGGAGUGUCCACCAUAUAUAUCUCAUAUGAAGAGGUGGCUGUCCACAGCCCCGUGGGUGGUGGUUUCUAUUCUUCUCCUACAUCGUCGUCCAAACCGUCGAUGUCUUCAGAGUCAAAGUCAAGCACGUCAGUCAAAUCAUCGACCGUGGCUAUGAAGUGGGUGGUGGGUGGGCAACGAAUUCCUUCGUCGCUAGCUUCCCACUCGAGCCGGACAUAGUUCGGCCAAGAGCCUCCUGACAAAGAGAGACUUUAAUGAGUUCAUCAUGUCGCCAAAGGGCGAGUGCUGGAAGAUAUCCGCAGCAGUGAACUCCAUAACCGGAGCCCAACCAGGCUCGGCGGGCUCGAUAGCGCGCGGACUGGAACCUACAACCGGAUACGAGUCCAGGGGUCCGGAAUCACAGGCGUCCCUAGAGGUGAGGCCUGGGUUCGGCUCUACCGCCGAUGAGUGUGCGGCCUGCGGGGCAGGGUCCAUCCACCCGUCCUUGGGCCACGCAGUCUGCUCCGGCUUUAGGUCCGGGGCUACUGCAGGGGUGAUAUCCCGAGCACUGUCCGACAGUAGGUCUAGGCCAUGCUCAUCGUGACUGUCCGACGCUCCUGGCACAGGCCAGAUUCCGUCGAAGAUCAAGUCUCCGCGGAUAUCGGCCGUGUAGUUCAGAUUUCCGAACCUGACCUGGUGGCCAGGGGCGUAGCUGUCGAUCUGCUCCAGAUGGCCAAGCGAAUUGGCCCACAGUGCAAAGCCGCCGAACACGAAGAUCUGUCCGGGGAGAAAAGUCUCGCCCUGGACCGUGUUGUUGAUGAUUGAAGACGCCAUCAAGCCUCGCAGCAGCGACACAGAGGAACUCUCAAUGAAAGCACCAAUGUCGGUGUCAAAACCGGUGGAUCUCAGGUAGGGGGUCCCGAUCUGUGCGUCUUAGGCUGAUGGUAAUAGGGAGCAAGGGACACAAUGUUUACCCAGGUUCGGGCCCUCUCGAUGGAGGUAAAACCCUACUUCCUGCUUGAUUAAUAUUGAUGAUAUGAGUAGUUCAAGAGUAGAUCUACCACGAGAUUGUAGAGGCUAAACCCUAGAAGCUAGCCUAUGAUGAUUAUGAUUGUAAUUGGGAUCGGCCUUCUAAGGACCAACCUCUCCGGUUUAUAUAGACAACGGAGAGGGCUAGGGUUUACACGGAGUCGGUUACAAGGAAGGAAAUACAAUAUCCGGAUCGCCAAGCUUGUCUUCCAUGCAAAGGAGAGUCCCAUCCGGACACGGGACGGAGUCCUGAGUCUUGUAUCUUCACGCUCCAAUAGUCCGGACGAUGUAUAUAGUCCGACUGUCCGGAUACCCCCUAAUCCAGGACUCCCUCAAUCAUCACUAACAACUCUUCCAUCUUGGGGAGGGUUAUCUUCAUCAACAUCUUCAUAGCACCAACUCCUCUCAAACCCUAGUUCAUCUCUUGCGUUCAAUCUUUGUAUCAAAACCAUAGAUUGGUGCCCGUGGGUGACUAGUAGUAUUGAUUACCUCUUGUAGUUGGUUACUAUAUGGUUUAUUUGGUGGAAGAUUAUAUGCUCAGAUCCAUUAUGCUAUCCAAUACCCCUCUGAUCUUGAGCAUGUUUAUCAUUUGUGAGUAGUUACUUUCAUUCUUGAGGUCACGGGAGAAAUCAUGUUGCAAGUAAUCAUGUGAACUUGAUAUGUGUUCGAUAUUUUGAUGGUAUGUAUGUUGCCAUUCUCUUAGUGGUGUCAUGUGAACGUGGACUACAUGACACUUCACCAUAUUUGGGCCUAAGGGAAUGCAUUGUGGAGUAUUUAUUAGAUGGUGGGUUGCGAGAGUGACAGAAGCUUAAACCCCAGUUUAUGCGCUAUUCCGUAAGGGACCGAUUGGAUCCAAAAGUUUAAUGCUAUGGUUAGAAUUUAUUCUUAAUACUUUUCUCGUAGUUGCAGAUGCUUGCGAGAGGCUUAAUCAUAAGUAGGAGGUUUGUUCAAGUAAGAGCAGCACCUAAGCACCGGUCCACCCACAUAUCAAAUUAUCAAAGUACCGAACAUGAAUUAAGCCAACAUGAUGAAAGUGACAAGAUGAAAUUCCCGUGUACCCUCAAGAACACUUUGCUUAUCAUAAGAAACCAUUUUGUCCUGUCCUUUACCUCAAAAGGAUUGGGCUACCUUGCUGCACUUUUGCUACUACUAUUUUUACUUGCUCGUUACAAAUUAUCUUGCUAUCAAACUAGUCCACUACUUACAAUUUUAGCACUUGUAGACAUUACCUUGCUGAAAACCACUUGUCAUUUCCUUCAGCUCCUCCUUGGGUUCAACACUCUUACUUAUCAAAAAGGGCUACAGUUGAACCCAUAUACUUGUGGGUAAUCAAGGCUAUUUUCUGGCACCGUUGCCGGGGAGUGAAGCACUCUUGGUAAGGAAACAUUAUUACUACAUGCUGAAAUUUAUUGUCACUUGCUACUAUGGAAAACAAUCCUUUGAGGGGUUUGUUCGGGGUAUCUUCACCUCGACCAAAACCACAAUUAGUUACCCCUGAACCUACUGCACCUACUGAAAAUAUUGAUAUGAAAUUCCUUCGGGUAUGUUAGAACAACUGCUAGCUAAUCCUUAUGCAGGAGAUGGAACCGAACAUCCUGAUAUGCACUUGAUAUAUGUGGAUGAAAUUUGUGGAUUAUUUAAGCUUGUAGGUUUGCCCGGAGAUGAAGCUAAGAAGAAGGUUUUCCCUUUAUAUUUGAAGGGAAAAGCAUUAGGCUAUGCUAUGAUAUUGGAUCUUGGAACUGGAACCGUUUGAAAUUGGAAUUUCAUCAAAAAAUUAUCCUAUGCAUCUAGUUCAUCGUGAUCGGAAUUAUAUAUAUAAUUUUUGGCCUUGUGAAGGAGAAAUUAUCGCUCUAGAUUGGGGGAGGCUUAAGUCAAUGUUAUAUUCAUGCCCCAGUCAUGAGCUCUGGGGAGAAAUUAUUAUCUAGAACUUUUAUGCUCGGCUUUCUCGUAAGGAUCGAACCAUGCUCGAUACUUCUUGUACUGGUUCUUUUAUUAAGAAGACUAUUGAAUUCCGAUGGGAUCUUUUAGAAAGAAUUAAACGUAACUCUGAAGAUUGGGAACUUGACGAAGGUAUAGAGUCAGGUAUUGAACCUAAGUUUGAUUGUGUUAAAUAUUUUAUGAAUACCGAUGCCUUUGAAAAGUUUAGCACUAAAUAUGGACUUUACUCUGAGAUAGUAGCUUCCUUUUGUGAAUCUUUUGCUACUCAUGUUGAUCUGCCUAAGGAGAAGUGGUUUAAAUAUCACCCACCAAUUAAAGAAGAAAUUAAAGAACCGGUAAAAUCUAAAGAAGAAACUAUUAUUUACAAUGUUGAUCCAGUUGUUCCCACUACUUAUAUUGAAAAACCACCUUUUCCUGUUAGGAUGAAGGAACAUGCUAAAGCUUCAGCUGUGGUUAACAAAAGUUAUGUUAGAACAUCCAAACCUUCUGAACAAAUCAAAGUUGAACCUAGUGUUGCUAUGGUUAAAGAUAUCUUAGUUGAUAAUAUUGAUGGGCAUGUUAUUUACUUCUGUGAUGAAGCCUCUAGAAUUGCUAAACCUGGAGGAAAAGAUAAACAUAGACCAGUUGUUGGCAUGCCUGUUGAGGGAGUUCCGGACUAGGGGGUGUCCGGAUAGCCGAACUAUCAUCAUCGGCCGGACUCCAAGACUAUGAAGAUACAAGAUUGAAGACUUCGUCCCGUGUCCCGAUGGGACUUUCCUUGGCGUGGAAGGCAAGCUUGGCGAUACAGAUAUGUAGAUCUCCUACCAUUGUAACCGACUCUGUGUAACCCUAGCCCUCUCCGGUUUCUAUAUAAACCGGAUGGCUUUAGUCCAUAGGACGAACAACAAUCAUACCAUAGGCUAGCUUCUAGCGUUUAGCCUCCUUGAUUUCGUGGUAGAUCCACUCUUGUAACACACAUCAUCAAUAUUAAUCAAGCAGGAUGUAGGGUUUUACCUCCAUCAAGAGGGCCCGAACCUGGGUAAAACAUCGUGUCCCUUGUCUCCUGUUACCAUCUGCCUAGACGCACAGUUCGGGACCCCCUACCCGAGAUCCGCCGGUUUUGACACCGACAUUGGUGCUUUCAUUGAGAGUUCCUCCGUGUCGUCACCGAUAGGCUCGAUGGCUUCUUCGAUCAUCAUCAACGACGCAGUCCAGGGUGAGACCUUCCUCCCCGGACAGAUCUUCGUAUUCGGCGGCUUUGCACUGCGGGCCAAUUCGCUUGGCCAACUGGAGCAGAUCGAAAGCUACGCCCCUGGCGGUCAGGUCAAAUUUGGAAGUUUGAACUUCACAGCUGACAUCCAUGGGGACUUGACCCUCGAUGGAUUCGAGCCACAGCCGAGCGUGCCGCACUGUCACGGCGAGCAUGAUUUAGCUCUACAGCCGGACAGUACCCUGGAGGCCGCACUCGAACCCGCUCCGAUCUUCAAUUCAGAGCCGGCUGCGCAGAUCGAGGACGGAUGGCUAGACACCGCCUCGGGGGCUGCAACCUCUACGGCGAUAGAGCCGAACACUGACCUUGUCCCUCAUGAAGCUCGUGACUCCGAGGUGCCGGACUCCUUGCCAGACUCCGAACCUCCCGCGCCCCCUCUGAUCGAAUCCGAUUGGGCGCCGAUCAUGGAGUUCACCGCAGCAGACAUCUUUCAACACUCACCUUUCGACGACAUCUUGAGUUCGCUAAAGCAUCUCUCGUUAUCAGGAGAGCCCUGGCCGGACUGUGGUCAAGACAGUUGGGAUGCGGACGACGAAGAAAUUCAAAGCCCACCCACCACCCACUUGGUAGCCACUAUCAACGAUCUAACCGACAUGCUAGACUACGACUCCGAAGACAUCGACGGUAUGGACGACGAUGCCGGAGACGACCAAGAACCAGCGCCUACCGGGCACUGGAAAGCCACCCCAACUCACGACGUAUACAUGGUGGAUACACCAAAAGGAAGCGAUAAUGAGGAAAAACGGGACGUGGCGAAGGACAACUCCCCCAACAAACAACCAAAACGGCGACGCAAGCGCCGCCCGAAUACCGGCCUCGAUAAAAACGGCACCCAUACGGACCCGGCCCUAGAGCAGGGCGAAGCAGUGGACGACAAACAUGCCACCAAGCAACCAUCCAAACAUGAUGAACUGAACAAGCAACCCAUCCCCGGCGAAGACGAUCUCACAUCACCAGAGCAUACGAACCUUCAUAAAAGGCUCGUCGCCACUGCAAGAAGUUUGAAGAAGCAAAAGCGGAAGCUCAAAACAGCGAAGGACGCACUCAGAAUGAGAUGGAGCAAAGUACUCAACACCGCAGAUAAAUAUGGCGCUAGUCACCAGACAAAGAGCUACCCGAAGCGCAAGCUGUUGCCCGAAUUUGACGAGGAGGCCUUAGAGCCCCCGCAGUCAAAAAAGAAAGAAGCCUCCUGGCCGGAUAGACGACCAGAUGACAGGCCGAGAACAGCAAGGGGCGCCGCACACAAGCCGGCACACGAUCAACAUAAAGAUCCUCGGAAAAAGGAUGACCCGGCCAGGUCUAUCUAUGGGCCAAAAAAGAAGACUCCAGGAAACAACAUAACCCGCCGAGCAUUUGAAGAUAACGGCACACCCAAAUACAGGGGCGCCGCACACCCACUAUGUUUCACCGACGAGGUACUGGAUCAUGGAUUUCCAGUGGGAUUCAAACCCGUAAACAUAGAGGCAUAUGAUGGAACAACAGACCCCGGAGUCUGGAUUGAGGAUUAUAUCCUACACAUACAUAUGGCCAGAGGAGACGAUCUCCAUGCCAUAAAAUACCGACCCCUCAAGCUCAAAGGGCCAGCCCGGCAUUGGCUCAAAAGCCUCCCAGAAAAUACCAUUGGAAGUUGGGAAGAGCUUGAGGAUGCGUUUCGAGCAAAUUUUCAGGGGACUUAUGUCCGCCCUCCGGAUGCAGACGAUUUAAGUCACAUAACUCAACAGCCCGGAGAGUCAGCACGCAAAUUCUGGAACAGGUUCCUCACUAAAAAGAACCAAAUAGUCGACUGUCCGGACGCUGAAGCCUUAGCAGCCUUUAAACACAACGUCCGAGACGAAUGGCUCGCCAGGCACCUCGGCCAGGAAAAACCAAGAACAAUGGCCGCACUAACAAGCCUCAUGACCCGCUUUUGCGCGGGGGAAGACAGCUGGCUGGCUAGAUGCAGCACCAGCGACCCGAGUACAUCCGAAGUCAGGGAUGGAAAUGGGAAAUCACGACGCAGAAAAGAUCAGUGCCGGAAUAAGAAAAAUGGCCCAAAUAGUACGGCGGUCAACGCCGGAUUCAAAAGCUUUUGGCCGAAUAACAAAGCACUGCCCCUCAAGGACAACAGUGACGAGCUAUCCAACUUAAACAAGAUUCUGGAUAGGCUAUGUCAAAUACAUGGUACCUCCGGGAAGCCUGCAAACCAUACCCACAGAGAUUGUUGGGUCUUCAAGCAGUCCGGCCGACUUAACGCCGAACGCAAGGGGCUCGACACACCAAGCUAAAGUGACGAACCCCAAAAGCAGCACUCCGGAAAACAGAAGACUUUCCCACUAGAAGUCAAAACAGUGAACUCACUACAUGUGAUAACACGAAAACACAGCGCGGCACCUGCCAUAUCAAGACACCGUCCGCAGAAUGGGGGUAAACCCUACCAAAAUUUGCCAUAACAACACUUCCUUCAAAGGAGUCACGCCAGGCCUUUAAGCCAAUUAUACAGGCUCUGUACCACUGGAGGUUGUGUUCGGUUCAUCCGACAACCUCCGUCGCGAAAAGCUCACUCUCCAUAUCGCCCCAUUUCACAGUGGCCCUCGAGCACUACUGGGACGCAAAGCUUUCGCCCGCUUUAAUGCAAUACCACAUUACACGUCUCUUACACUUACAAUGCCCGGUCCACGCGGCAUAAUCUCAUUAAAGAGUAACUCCGAGUGUUCCUCGACCACGGAGAACGUGAGGCUGCCUUGACAACCACACACUAAUCCGACCUUGCAGGUCAAGGCCCCUAAAAACAGGUCAUUCAGACCUCAGACACGGUUAGGCGAGUCCGGCGUAAAUAAACAAGGGGCUUCCCAGCCGCAUACCCCCUUUAUAAGGGGCCGCGCGCAUGAAUGAUGAGAGCCAAUAAAGCUCAACUUUCUUCAUCUUCCAAAUUAUACUUUAUUUUAGUACAACUUUUGCACGAUAUUUCUUAGAAACUAAGUCCUUCUCUUUUACAGAUGAAGCACAUGCUACACCCGUCCAGGAUACAGCACAAUGGAGACACAGGCACAGACGUGCAGUAGGGACCCGUUACAAGGAUUCUUUUCAGAUUAAGACCCUGCGUAAACCUUUCUUACUGUCUCUUGUUGAUACACAUCCCCUGGUUUCCUACCAUAGCCGAGGAGGAGGCUGGCGUUUUGGCAUCGGCCGCGUCAGAAGUUCCCGCCUGUACCUGGACACUAGGGGCUUAGGGCAUUGUUCUGCCUGGUAUCAUAAAGACCGAACACCUCAGGGAGUGUUCGGCGUCUCGAGUUAGGCCUUAUAUGCAUCGGCUCCGAAUCAUGUCUUGGGUCAAAUGUUGGGUUUGCCCGGCUCCUGUGUUUUGCUGCCUUACGUUCCGCUCCAUCGGCUAACGCGGCACCAGGAGAACUACUGCGAUUGUGCCCCGGUUCGGCCGGGUGAGCACCUCAGUAGAGAAAGCCGAAAACUGACUGUCAUGAUAUAGCAAGAGACUGGUCAACCACUCGAUCGACCAUUGGAAUGUCUAGAAUUCCUCCGCUUUGACGAAGGACCGCUUCUCGGUCAGGCACAUACGCGCCCCGAGUUCGGAGAAGAGCGGUGCCGCUAGGGGCUAUAUAGUAGCCCCACAUUCGAGCUCCUAUGGCUAAGUGAAAGUGAUAAAGCAUUAUAGUCCAGUUGCCUAGUUUGCUACGCUAUCACCUCCUUAAAAGGACCAAGACGUUGGAUUAAGUGUGAAUAAUCGCUUUUCUUUUUGCAAACACCCCCGCACCAUGUGCGUAGGGGCUGAAGCCAAAGACUGCCAUCUUUCAGAUUAUACAUACACAUACGGCCGCACAGGAGAUAGUUCAAUACUUGAACGCACAAGUAUAAAAAGCUAUUGCAUUAUAAACAUGAUCUCAGAAAUCAUACAUGUCAUUUAAACAUAACAUCUUUCGAGCACUGCGACUCUAUUAAACGAGCGCCCUGCAGGACUUCCUCAAAAUAGUGCUCGGUGGGGAAUCGGCUUUCGUCCGAACCCCGGGAUGCAACCGUGGUGGCAUCCAUCUCCGCCUAGUAUGUCUUAGCACGGGCGAGAGCCAUCCGUGCACCUUCUAUGCAUGCCGACCGCUUCAUCGCCCCGAUAUGCGGCACCGCCCCAAGGAAUUGCUGCAACAAGCCAAAAUAACUCUUCGGCUUGGGCCUUGCCGGCCACAGAUGAGAAACCACAUCCGUCAUGGCAAGUCCGGACAAUCUAUUCAGCUCAGCCCACUCAACCAGCCGAUCACUCAACGGAAGUGGACGCUCCGGACUAUGGAAUUGAGACCAGAAAAGCUCUUCCAUUUCGUGAUCUUCCUGGCUUCGGAAGUGCAUGACUGCGUCCACCGCACUCGCCGCCAAAUCCAGAUAAGGAUCCUCCGCACCGCACAAUCGGCCCAGCUGAGCAUACUUCGGAUCCGUGAACUUCCUAUGCAGCAUAAAGGGCUUUCCAGCCACAAUGUCUCUGACCUGACGCAGUUCCUCCUUCAUAGCCCGCAUUGCACUACGUGCAUCCUUGGCUUCGGCGUCGGCCUUCUUUAGGUCCUCUUGCUCCGCUCGGCGUUCUCUUUCAAGAACCUCCUGGCGGUCGGUAGCAUCUUUUAAUUUCGCGGCCAUUCUGGCCAUCUCCUCCCUGUUUCGGCAGUGAGCAGCCUUCUCGGCUUCUAGCUCUUCCGCUGCCUUCGAGGCAGCCGCUUCGCUUUUUCUGGCUUGCUCCUUGGCCCGAGCAAGCUCUGCUCGAAGGUUUUCCAUAGCAGCAGCACCAUCUGCAUCAAGCAUACAAAUUGUAAGGAAUGGGUGUCAGCUCCCUUACUAGGCGACCGCGGAGCAACCACAUACCUUGUGACUCAUCAAGUCAUUUAUUGACCAGCGAGAUGUCCGCAUCUGCAACGUUGAGUUGCCUCUUCAGCUCGGCAACUCCAUCAGUCCGGCUGGCCACCGAACGUUCCGCCACCUGCAUAGGAAAGGCGACAAUCUAUAACUGAGAUUAUGAUCCUCGGCACGCUGUCGCUUUCGACAACAUACCAAGUCUCAGGGGCUACUAUCUAUACAGGGCGCACUUCAUGUGCAAAACUGUCAAAAGGUAUGUCAUUUUUUGCGUACCUCAAACCCCAUCAGCAAACUUCCGACGGCCUCACACAACCCGCUUUCGGCGGACGAGAUCCUCUCAAUCACCAUACUCAUUAAUGUGCGGUGAUCUUCUGAGAUAGCCGCCCUCUUGAGCAAAUCUUGCAGCUCCACCGUCCGUACUCCAAUGGGUGCCGAACUCUCCGGCCCCGCCGGACUCGGGGAGACCCUCUGUGACGACACCUCAGGGUCGCCCGCCCCGCAUGACGGGGCGGCAGAUGGAGGCGUUUCGCUCUCCAUCAUCUCCGGACGAAGGUCUCCCGAAGAUGAGCUGUGCUGAGAUGGGCUGAGAUCCGAACUACAAGGUGAAAACUUCGGUUACCCUUAAAAAUUAAGCAGGGGUGUCCACUAUUACAAAAUCCCCCUUUUUUACUUACGACUCGCUGGAGGGCUGAUUCCUCCGAGGAGAUAGUGCGGCCGGGGCUCUUCCCAGCACAGGACCUUCCGGUACAGAUUUCUUUCCCCGCUUUGAGGCCUUGGCCUCCAGGUCUUCGGAAGCGGUCCUCUUCUCCCCCUGGAAGGAGGGACUCUCGGUUCCUCCUUUACUGAAAGCCUCCUUGACAGAGGUGGUAGUUCCCCUGUGCCCCCCUUCGCCCUCCUCCAAAGGUGCAACCUCCAACAUUUUGAUUAACACGGGAUCCUGCAUGGUCUCAGGGAGGGGGGCCGGACACCGUAUUAGUUUUGCUUGCGCUAUCCAUUCCUGUCCAAGGGAUAGCUGGUUAAAAGGCAAACCCACGAUAAAUAAAUGGACGAUGUGUCCGGACACAGGGCUACUUACUUGAGUAUCCGGGCGAUUGCAGCUUAGGCCAGCAUCCUCGGUCAAGUCCGGACGCAUCUCUUGCGAUCCGAAGAACAAUUUGUACAUCUCCGCGGGUGUCAAACCCAUGAAGUGUUGAAGAGCUCGUGGUCCCUCCGGAUUAAAUUCCCACAGGCGGAGGGGGCGACGUUUGCAGGGCAGUAGGCGCCGGAUCAGCAUAACCUGUACCACUACGACCAGAUUGAUCUCCCUUUCUUGGAUGCCUCGAAUCCGGUCCUGCAACAGGGGUACGUAUUUGGACGGCCCCCAGUCACGCCCCUUGUUGACCCAUGACAUUAGCUGUUGUGGAGGGCCCGAGCGGAAGACGGGCGGCGGCCUCUGCCUGCUGCCCCUGGGAGCGGUGAUAUAGAACCACUCCUGUUGCCACAAGCCGAGCUCCUCCUAAAAAGAGCCCUCGGGCCAUGGAGCAUCGGCCCUCUUGCUUAUAACCGCCCCGCCGCACUCUGCCUGACGCCCCUCAAUCAUCUUCGGCUCCACGUUGAAGGUUUUGAGCCACAAGCAGAAGUGAGGGGUAGUGCGGAGGAAGGCUUCGCAGACGACAAUGAAUGAUGAGAUGUGGAGGAUGGACUCCGGAGCCAAGUCGUGGAAUUCCAUCCCAUAGUAAAACAUGAGCCCCCUCACGAAGGGAUCCGUCGGGAAGCCUAAACUCCGACGGAGGUGAGACACGAACACGACGCUCUCGCCAAGCUCGGGAGUAGGAAUAACUUGCCCUCGGGCAGGCAGCCUAUGCGAAAUCUCGUAGGUUAAGUACCUGGCGUCUCUCAGCUUUAGCACGUCCUCUUCCAUGACGGAGGAGGGCAUUCACCGGCCUCGUAGGUCGGGGCCGGACAUUGUCGAAGACCGAAGGUACCCGAAUCUGGAGCCCUAGGUGUUGGAGCUCGGGGCCAGGGGCGGAUUCGAUAGAGGAUUGAAGGAAAAGAACGGGCCUUGGUCUCGUUAUAAAGAGGAAGAAUACCAAGAGCCGUCCUCGUGACCAUUUGGAACCCGCCUUCGAUGGAGGGGGCGUGGCAACGGGCGCGGUUGGGUUACCCACGUCCGUAUUUAUGGGAAUCCCGGAAUAAGGGGAACACGAUCUCUGCUUCGACAAGACGUGCCAAGGAAACCGCUUCGCUAAACGCGCUGAGGUGGUACAAUAAAAAUGAUUCUAGUAAAGGCUUGGUAGUGGUGUGACGUCACGCCACAAAAUACGUCAGCAGAUGGAACUUGUGUAAUAUUAUUCUCUUUACGGUGGUACGUGGAAUUUAUUUUUGUAGAGCCGGAUACUAUCCUGGUGUUCACAAUCUUCUAUAAAUUAUUCGGAGGAAGAACUCGCCUUGCAAUGCCGAAGACAACAUGCGCGCCGGACUCGUCGUCAUUGAAGCCUGGUUCAGGGGCUACUGAGGGAGUUCCGGACUAGGGGGUGUCCGGAUAGCCAAACUAUCAUCGUCGGCCGGACUCCAAGACUAUGAAGAUACAAGAUUGAAGACUUCGUCCCGUGUCCGGAUGGGACUUUCCUUGGCGUGGAAGGCAAGCUUGGCGAUAUGGAUAUGUAGAUCUCCUACCAUUAUAAUCGACUCUGUGUAACCCUAGCCCUCUCCAGUGUCUAUAUAAACCGGAUGGCUUUAGUCCAUAGGACGAACAACAAUCAUACCAUAGGCUAGCUUCUAGGGUUUAGCCUCCUUGAUUUCGUGGUAGAUCCACUCUUGUAACACACAUCAUCAAUAUUAAUCAAGCAGGGCGUAGGGUUUUACCUCCAUCAAGAGGGCCCGAAGCUGGGUAAAACAUCCUGUCCCUUGUCUCCUGUUACCAUCCGCCUAGACGCAUAGUUUAGGACCCCCUACCCGAGAUCCGCCGGUUUUGACACCGACACCUGUUGUCUCAGUUAAGAUAGGAGAUCACUGUUAUCAUGGGUUAUGUGACAUAGGUGCUAGUGUGAGUGUUAUUCCCUUCUCCUUAUAUCAAGAAAUUAGAGAUGAAAUAGCACCUGCUGUGUCGGAUUUCGGGUUCCGGCAGACCCUCUAGGUUCGAACUCUGGGGUGCGCGCGGAGAUCUAGCCUUCUACUGCCUGCGCCUCGCCGCCUCGCUAGGAUCUAAGCAAUCAAAGGGACAAUGCAAGAGACACAGAGUUUAUACUGGUUCAGGCCACCAUUGUGGUGUAAUACCCUACUCCAGUGUGUGGUGUGGUGGAUUGCCUCUUGGGCUGAUGAUGAACAAUACAAGGAAGAACAACCUCGCGAGGGUCUGUUCUUGGCUGGUGUGAUGAACUACUAGGGGGAGUUCAGUCGCUCUCUCUCUAUUGGUUUCCUGGUGAGGAUCCUCUUGUCCCUAUCUUGUGGUGGCUAGUCCUAUUUAUAGGCAAAGGCCCUGGGCCUCCUCCCAAAUAUUGAGCGGGAAGGGCGCCAACAAUUGGCCAUUUUGAAGGGGAACAUCUAGUACACUUAUCCUGGCUAAAGUUGGCCCUCGCCUGCGAAAGGCUCUAGUGGUGACGCCGGCUUGGGCUCCACGAUGACCUCCAUCCGGCCGUUCCGCUAGUCUUGGUCUUGUUGCACUGAAAUGGAUGCCUUUGCUUGAUGCUCUCGCCUGCGCUUGCUCCCUUUGCACCAAAGAGGAAAGAAGGACACUGCGCGGGCUGGCGCCUGCCUGGCGCCCUUGGUCAUCAUGGCUUGCAUCAUGGGCACCUCGUGAGGUACCCCGCCUUGAUCUCUCCGCCUCCUCGCGAGCCAGCCUGACGAGGCCGCGCCUGAGGAAGCCUCCUGUCAUUUGCCCCGUGAGGCUUGGCCCCUCGCGAGGGUCUUGAGCUCGUGCUGAUGAAGAUGGGCCAUGCUGGGCCGCCCUUGAGCCACGCCGCAGGCCGUAGGCAGGCAAGUCUGUGGACCCCCGUUCCCAGAACGCCGAUAGUAGCCCCCAGGCCCAAGGUGUGCCCGGGCUUGGCUGAGCAGAGAGGCGAAGGGGCAAGUGCGAAGCGCCUUGGGCCCUAACAGCCUGCGGCCUCGGGCACCGCGUGGUGAUUGAUUGGACAUGGGUGGCCCUGCUUCCCCAUGCCUCCUUAUUUUGCGCCCACCUAGGCGGACCCGUGGUUGCACACAGUCUUUCCUCUUUUCGCCGCUCGACCGUCCCCUACUCUUCCUCCCCUCGAGCUCCAGUCUCUGCUUCCAAUCCAAUCUCGAAUCCCCCCUCUUCCCGUUGCCAUGGCUCCAACGAAGAAGGGAAAAGGGAAGAAACCGGUGCCUCCGCCUCGCUCACCGUCACCGGCGGCCUCCACCGUCGAUCGAUCGAUCAUACUCAACCGAGAGGUUUGGGCAAGGUCAGCUCUGCUCUGGCCACCAUCUUCAAUGAGUGCGGGAGGACGACAGCCUGGCCCGCAUCCCGCUUCUCCAUUGACAUGGUGGUCACCGAGGUCCGGUACUUUGCCGACGCCCUGUGGGCGGGAUUGGUUCCCCCCUUCUCCGAUUUCUUCAACGCCGUGCUUUCCCAUUACCAGAUCCAUAUGAUGCAUUUGGGUCCUGAAUCCAUUACUCUUCUAGCCGUCUUCGCCUUUGUCUGUGAGGCGAUGAUGGGCAUCCCUCCUUCGGUUGCCUUGCUGCGCCACUUCUUCUCUCUGCGCCUCGUCGAUCCCACCCAAUGCUCAGGGUGCGUGAGCUUCAUUGCCGCACAAGAAACAACGGCUUUAGGGAUUGAUUUCAGCCUUCCUCCGUCCGCGCCUGAGUUCCGCAAGCGGUGGCUGUACGUGGAUGUUGGGGUGCCUAGCCCCCUGCUCUCGGAGCCAAAGGCGCCCGCUGUCCCCAAUUCAGGCUGGGGCCAGGAGACGCUCACGAGCCCCCGGCUCAUCUUCGUCUGGCACUAUUUCGUGUUCUUGAGGGCGCUUGGUGUGACGGCACCUAAGGUGGUGAAGGAGUUCCUGCUAUGCCGCAUUGCUCCUCUCCAGUGCCACUCCUGCCGGAUGUGGUCCUUCAGCAGGCGUGAAGAUCGCAUGAGGCUCCAGGAGGAGGACCUGACACCCGAAGCACUGAGGAAGGUGCUCUUGGUCUUGACUGGGGACCCUUCCCCUGGCANNNNNNNNNNNNNNNNNNNNNNNNNNNNNNNNNNNNNNNNNNNNNNNNNNNNNNNNNNNNNNNNNNNNNNNNNNNNNNNNNNNNNNNNNNNNNNNNNNNNNNNNNNNNNNNNNNNNNNNNNNNNNNNNNNNNNNNNNNNNNNNNNNNNNNNNNNNNNNNNNNNNNNNNNNNNNNNNNNNNNNNNNNNNNNNNNNNNNNNNNNNNNNNNNNNNNNNNNNNNNNNNNNNNNNNNNNNNNNNNNNNNNNNNNNNNNNNNNNNNNNNNNNNGUACCUUUGCUCGAACAGGGGCGACUUCGUGAAGCAGAUGCCCAACUUUGACGAAUGGGGGCUACGCCCCGCCGGCCUCAGGGGUCCUCGCGAGAACCCAGUGAUGGUGACUGCCCUCCCAGUCGCCCACGGUGGUCCUUCCUCGAGUGGCAGAGCAGGGAGGCGUGGGCCGCCGGAGGCUGAGGGGGCCCCUGCUGGAGUGAUGACGCCAAGCAGCACUCCUGAGGGGCCAGCUCUUGAGGCCCGUACUGCCGCGGCUGGAGGUGCUGAGCCGCUGCCCACGGUGCCUGUGGUUGAGGCCCCUGGGGUCCCAGCUAUCCUUCUUGGUGAUGCGACCAGCGGCGUGCAUCAGGACGAUGCACCAGACGCUGGGCAUCUUGACGCUUCUUCCUCGUCGCAGGCUGACCCCUGCGCUCAACUCCUGGGUCAAUUAUGCGUGGACUUCGAGGCUCUUCGUAGGAAAAGGGAGGCCUUGGAUGACAAUUACCCUUACCGCCUGCUGAAGCGCCAGAAGUACUUCGCCAUUGAUGAGUAAGCCUUCCCCUUUCCCAGCUCCUGAUCCUCUCGUUGCUUUGGCUGAUCCUUGCUCUGCAGGGCCCUUCCGCCGAGCUCGUGGAGAUGGCUGAGGAGCCAUCCCCCAGGCUCCGCCCUCUCCACCGCCUUUGAGUGCUCCGAGUUCCAGCAGAGCCCUCUCGGUGAGGCCGGCCGGAGAGGUGAGCCAUCCUGUGGUGCAUCGUGGCCCUGCGCGCCUCGCGACCCUCCUUCAUGAGCCUCCUCGGGGCAUAGCCAUCCUGCCCUGGGCCUCGAGUCUGAUCAUGGAUGACGAUUGACUAAGGUCGGCCCUGCGCUCUUCACUUGGGGAGGGGGCGGCUCCUGGCCGGGCUUCUGGCGAGGCGUGCCCCGCCAUCACAAGGGCACCAACCCCCAGCCCCCUGCCCAAAGGGGGAGUGCUGAUUCGUGGCCCCCAACACUUACUUGGGGCGGAUGAUGACGCUGAAGACGUGCUCGAGCACGCCCGGAGGCAUCGAGUUCUUCGCCAAGGGUUUCUCCGGAGGGCGGCUGGCGCGGUGAGCCAACUUGGUGAAGAGCUUGAUGAUGAAGACAUGCGCCUUGAGGCUGAGGGCCUGCGCCUGGCUGAAGAGAGGUGCAAGCUGGAGGCGGCCAUCGCCCUUGCGUGCCACCAGCGUGACCUCGACAGCAAGGAGGCCGAGGCGUUGCUGGCGGCCUCUCGGGAGGCCCGUUCCCGAGCUGUCGAGGAGGCCCGAGAGGCUGACCGACGGCGCGAGGCGUUGGAGGAGCGGGCGCGGGAACUCUUGGCCCGGUGCCACUCCCUGGAGCAGCAAGUGGAGCUGCGGGAGGCAGCCCUUGCGUUGAUGAAGGUGGAUUCGGUCGACCAGGCAGAGCUCCUGAGGCGUGAGGAGGCACUGACGCUGGAGGCUGCUGAGCGCGCACGUGAUCUUGAACGUCUGGGGACAAGAGAGCGCUUGGUGAUGCAGGCGGAGGAUGACAUUGCUGCGCGUGAGGCCUGAGCCACAGCAGAGGUUGAUCGCGGGGUGGCGACGACCCGCUUGGACCUUGAGCGCGAGUUUGAGGAGAGGCUGGGGUUGAUCCGGGUCGAGGCUGAAGGUAGGACUGCCGUCCUGAGGGCCAAGCUAGAGGAAGUGAUGCGGCGGGCCGAUGCUUCGCGGGCCGCCCUUGACGUAGCGCAUGAGGAGCUGACUACCUCCCGUGCCGAGGAGCUUCUUCUCCGCCAGCGGGUGGACGAGGCUGAGGCUGUUGCGCGGCAGAACAAGGACGAGAUACUCCAGUGGCGGAUUCUGGAGCACGAGCAUGGCCCCAUGCUCGCCGGGCUCCGGGAGAGAGCCAACACGGCCUUGGGUAACAUCUGCGAGGUGGCUGUUGCCCAGCCCCACACAGUCAACUAUGCUGGCAAUCUUCAGUUCUUCACCAAUGUGGUGACGCAGCUGGAGGCGCGCUUGGUCGGAUCCAACAGGCUGGUGGAGGAGAGGAGCCGCUCCCUGCUCGGGCGCGCCUUCUCUCGUGUCUUCAGCCACCUUCAGAACAUGUUCCCCAACUUCGACUUUGACACCGCCAUCGCUCCAGUACCCCAGGCCAUCCGGGGUGACCUGGCGCGCUGGGUGGAAGACAACGUGGAUGCCCUUGUCAGGGCCUUCGCUUCUGAUAAUGACAACGCGGUUGUGGCUGCUAAUGAAGGUGACGUGGUGAACGGCCCUGGCGCCGCUGCCGGCGAUGCGGAGGGCGAUGGCGAGGCCAGCGACGCCAGCGAUGAUUCAGGAAGCGCCCCUGAGGAUGCAUUGGGGGAUUUUUCCGACUGACCGCGUGUUGUCCCUGCUUCCUUACCCUACGCAGACAGAGUUCGGGCCUUGCCCUGAAGGUUGUAAGAGCAUUUUGGGAGGGGGAGCCCCUCAUGUAAAAACUCGUAUUCAACGUAACAGUAGAUGCAAUAUCACUCAUACGCCUGCGCCAAGCGGCUGAUUUCGUGACGAGCUGGUUGGCUGGUUUACCUUUGACCCACGUGGGCCUCGAGUCAGCCUGCGGAGGGCUUUGGUGCCUCGAGCGUCUUCUAAACGAGCCCAUAAAACCUGUAAUGAAAACCUCCGGAGAGGGUGCGGUGGCGGCAGUCUGGGCUGCACGCAAGCUAGGCCUAGCCCGGCUCGCGAUGGGCUCGCGAGGGGAGGCAGCUGAGACGAAGCGGUAACCAGAACGCGAGAGAUUGCUCGAACGAGACUAAACACCCCUUCCCCGAACACACGCAAAUCCUUGAGCUCAAAUUCAACUUAAAUUCAACGGGGGAAAACGGCAACCAAGGGGGAAAAGCAACGAAAGCAGAAAAAAGGCCGCGUUCGACACCUAGUCUAGUCUUGGACGUCUUCUCACCAGCGCAGAGCUAAGUGCUGCCAGUGGGCGUGGGAGGGAGCCCCAGGGCCUGAGGCCGGCACCCCUAGGACUCCGGGGCGUGUACAACCCCACUCAUUAUUACGUGAGAGUGUCACGGGGCGGCGAGCUUCAUAGGCACUGGGCCUUCUUCACAGGUACCGGCCUUGCUUCAUAUCGCCGGACGAGGGCCCCGCCUUGCACCGCACUCUAGUGCCACCGACGACGAUCGGAAACCAGGGCGCCGUCGAUGGGGUAGAGCGGUCGCCAGCGGUUCCCCCGACGACCACAGGUCCUCUACCAGGGGCAGGCUCUGAGGCACCUCCCCAGCAGAGGGCCUACCUCCUGAGGACGCCUUGCUUCGAACGCCGCGGUGGUGAUGUUGGAUCUUGGCCCCUCUCCUGCAGCCCCCGGCGCCCUCCUCUUAAGGGGUAGGAGGCUGCAGGAGUGGGGCAGCAGCCCGCUGUCGUGACCUGCACCUCGUGUGAUCCAUGGUUGGCGUAUGCCUGCUCCUGAGGAAUUAGUGGUACCUGAUACUCGUUGUUUCCAGCGUAGCCGACGGGGCCUCCUCGGGGUUCCCGGAAGAGUUCGGCUUCUGGCGUCUCGUCCCCCCAGCUUGGGCUGAGGAGCGAGCCUUGUUCGUACUCAUGUGUGCGCCCUUGGUCCAUCAUGUGGGGCACGUACUCUUCUGGGGUCGCCACCCUAAAGGCCGUGUUGUAGUGCUCUGCGUGCCAUGCAGUUCCGCUUGAUGUGCCCGCCUGGGGGUGAUAGUGUGGCGGCCCAUCGGGGCCGCGGGUUGUGGCGAGUCCUUCUUCGAUGGCCGGGGGUAGAGGUAGCGCCGCUGCUGUCCCGGGGCUGACGGCCUGGCCGGCGUUGGGGUGGUCUUGGAGUCCGCUUGGGGCCACACGGGAGUGCAUGGAGCCCCCGUGCGGUCCACCCUGGACCUGAGGUGGGAGUUGGGUGCAGAAGGGGGGAGCCCCCGAGGCGGCGAAGCCCAGGAGCUCUGCCACCCGCUCUAGCAGCACGUCGCCACCGCCUUCCAGCAGCCUACACUGCAGCAGCUCUCGGGCCACGGUGAGCGCGGCCCUCGAGUUCGCCUGCUCCCGUCGGGUGUACAACGCCGUGGCCGCGGCGUGGUGGGAGGCCCUCACCGCCGACCGCGCCUGCCGCAUCAUGAGAGCUAUCGCUGGCUAUCCGCGCUGCCCGCGGCCUAUAGGGAAUCGGGGUUGCCUGCCUGGUCGCCGGACAUGAUGAUGACGAUGCGACGGGAUGCGAAGCGGCAGAAGGUGGAUUCCGGCGCACCCCUACCUGGCGCGCCAAAUGUCGGAUUUCGGGUUCCAGCAGACCCUCUAGGUUCGAACUCUGGGGUGCACGCGGAGAUCUAGCCUUCUACUGCCCGCGCCUCACCGCCUCGCUAGGAUCUAAGCAAUCAAAGGGACAACGCAAGAGACACAGAGUUUAUAUUGGUUCAGGCCACCAUUGUGGUGUAAUACCCUACUCCAGUGUGUGGUGUGGUGGAUUGCCUCUUGGGCUGAUGAUGAACAAUACAAGGAAGAACAGCCUCGCGAGGGUCUGUUCUUGGCUGGUGCGAUGAACUACUAGGGGGAGUUCAGUCGCUCUCUCUCUAUUGGUUUCCUGGUGAGGAUCCUCUUGUCCCUAUCUUGUGGUGGCUAGUCCUAUUUAUAGGCAAAGGCCCUGGGCCACCUCCCAAAUAUUGAGCGGGAAGGGCUCCAACAAUUGGCCAUUUUGAAGGGGAACAUCUAGUACACUUAUCCUGGCUAAAGUUGGUCCUCGCCUGCUAAAGGCUCUGGUGGUGACGCCGGCUUGGGCUCCACGACGACCUCCAUCCGGCUGUUCUGCUGGUCUUGGUCUUGUUGCACCAAAAUGGAUGCCUUUGCUUGAUGCUCUCGCCUGCGCUUGCUUCCUUUGCACUAAAGAGGAAAGAAGGACAUUGCGUGGGCUGGCGCCCGCCUGGCGCCCUUUGUCGUCAUGGCUUGCGUCAUGGGCACCUUGUGAGGUACCCCGCCUUGAUCUCUCCGCCUCCUCGCGAGCCUGCCUGACGAGGCCACGCCUGAGGAAGCCUCCUGUCGUUCGCCCCGCGAGGCUUGGCCCCUCGCGAGGGUCUUGAGCUCGUGCUGAUGAAGAUGGGCCAUGCUGGGCCGCCCCUUGAGCCACGCCGCAGGCAGGCAAGUCUGGGGACCCCCGUUCCCAGAACGCCGACAUGCUGAAAUAGAAGACAUAGAUGUUACUAUUAAACUUGCUAAUAGAGAUACUAUAUCACCAAUUGGGAUUCUUAGAGAUGUUGAAGUCUUGUGUGGGAAGGUAAAAUACCCUACUGACUUUCUUGUUCUGACCACUCCACAAGAUGAAUUUUGUCCCAUUAUAUUUGGUAGACCUUUCUUAAACACCGUCAAUGCUAAAAUAGAUUGUAAGAAACAAACUGUCGGUGUUAGAUUUGGUGAUGAAUCUCAUGGGUUUAAUUUUUCCAAGUUUAGUAAACAACCUCAUAAGAAAGAUUUUCCUUGUAAGGAUGAAAUUAUUGGUCUUGCUUCUAUUGCUGUGCCUCCUACUGACCCUUUGGAAGAAUAUUUGCUAGACCAUGAAAAUGAUUUGCAUAUGCGUGAAAGAAAUGAAAUAGAUAAAAUCUUUUUUGAACAACAACCUCUACUUAAACACAAUUUGCCUAUUGAAUCUCUAGGAGGUCCUCCUCCACCUAAAGGUGAUACUGUGUUCGAAUUAAAACAGAUGCCAGACACCUUGAAAUAUGCUUAUCUUGAUGAAAAGAAGAUAUAUCAUGUUAUUAUCAGUGCUAACCUUUCAAAAUAUGAAGAAGAAAGAUUAUUGAAAGUUCUAAGGAAGCAUAGGGCUGCUAUUGGAUAUACUCUUGAUGAUCUUAAGGGCAUUAGUCCCACUCAAUGUCAGCACAAGAUUAACAUGGAACCUGAUGCUAAACCCGUUGUUGAUCACCAAAGUCGGUUAAAUUCAAAAAUGAAAGAAGUGGUAAGAACGGAAAUAUUGAAACUUCUGGAAGCAGGUAUAAUCUAUCCUAUAACUGAUAGUAGAUGGGUAAGUCAUGUUCAUUGUGUCCCCAAGAAGGGAGGUAUUACUAUUGUUCCUAAUGAUAAGAAUGAGCUUAUUCCACAAAGAAUUGCCACGGGCUAUAGAAUGGUAAUUGAUUAUAGAAAAUUAAAUAUAAAGCUACUAGAAAAGAUAAUUACCCUCUGCUUUUUAUUGAUCAAAUGUUAGAAAGACUAUCUAAGCACACACAUUUUUUGCUUCCUUGAUGGAUACUCUGGCUUUUCACAAAUACAUGUUUUACAAUCUGACCAAGAAAAGAUCACUUUUACUUGUCCUUUUGGAACAUUUGCUUAUAGACGUAUGCCUUUCGGUUUAUGUAAUGCACCUGCUACCUUUCAAAGAUGUAUGACUGUGAUACGUGUCCAUCGUAUCUAUAAUUUUUGAUUGUUCCAUGCCAAUAUUAUUCAACUUUCAUAUACUUUUGGCAACUUUUUAUACUAUUUUUGGGACUAACAUAUUGAUCUAGUGCCUAGUGCCACUUUCUGUUUGUUGCAUGUUUUAUGUUUCGCAGAAAACCCAUAUCAAAUGGGGUCCAAAUGGGAUAAAAAUGGACGGAGAAUAUUUUUGGAAUAUUUAUGAUUUUUGGGAAGAAGAAUCAACGCAAGACAGUGCUUGAGGGGCCCACGAGGCAGGGGGCGCGCCCCUGACCCUCGUGGACACCCUGUAAGGCGGUUGCUGCUCUUCUUUUGCCGCAAGAAAGUUAAUAUCCGAAAACAAAUCGUGUUCAAGGUUUCAAUCCAAUCGGAGUUACGGAUCUUCGGGAAUAUAAGAAACGGUGAAAGGGCAGAAUCUGGGAACACAGAACCAGAGAGAGACAUAGAGAUAGAUCAAUCUCGGAGGGGCUCUCGCCCCUCCCACUCCAUGGAGACCAUGGACCAGAGGGGAAACCCUUCUCCCAUCUAGGGAGAAGGACAAGAAAGAAGAAUAAGAACGGCGGCUCUCUCCCCCUCUCUCCCGGUGGCGCCGGAACAUCGCCGGGGCCAUCAUCAUCACCGCGAUCUACACCAACACCUCCGUCAUCUUCACCAACAUCUCCAUCACCUUCCCCCAUCUAUAUUCAGCAAUCCACUCUCCCGCAACCCGCUCUACCCUCUACUUGAACAUGGUGCUUUAUGCUUCAUAUUAUUAUCCAAUGAUGUGUUGCCAUCCUAUUAUGUCUGAGUAGAUUUUUGUUGUCCUUUCGGUAAUUGGUGAAUUGCUAUGAUUGUUUUAAUUUGCUUGUGGUUAUUUUGUUGUCCUUUGGUGCCUGUCAUAUGAGCGCGCGCGUGGAUCACACCAUAGGGUUAGUUGUAUGUUGAUAGGACUAUGUAUUGGAGGGCAAGAGUGGCAGAAGCUUCAACCUAGCAUAGAAAUUGAUGCAUACGGGAUUGAAGGGGGACCAAUAUAUCUUAAUGCUAUGGUUGGGUUUUACCUUAAUGAAAGUUAGUAGUUGCGGAUGCUUGCUAAUAGUUCCAAUCAUAAGUGCAUAGAAUUCCAAGUCAGGGAUGACAUGCUAGCAGUGGCCUCUCCCACAUAAAACUUGCUAUCGGUCUAGUAAAGUAGUCAAUUGCUCAGGGACAGUUCCACAACUCCUACCACCACUUUUCCACACUCGCUAUACUAACUUUAUUGCUUAUUUAUCUAAACAGCCCCUAGUUUAUAUUUACAUGCUCUUUAUAUUCUUGCAUACCUAUCCUACAACACCUACAAAGUCCUUCUAGUUUCAACUUGUUUUAGGUAAAGUGAACAUUAAGCGUGCGUAGAGUUGUAUCGGUGGUUGAUAGAACUUGAGGGAAUAUUUGUUCUACAUUUAGCUCCUCGUUGGGUUCGACACUCUUACUUAUCGAAAGAGGCUACAAUUGAUCCCCUAUACUUGUGGGUUAUCAAGACCUUUUUCUGGCACCAUUGUUGGGGAGUCAUAGAGUGGGGUGAAUAUUCUCGUGUGUGCUUGUUUGCUUUAUCACUAAGUAAUUUUUAUUUGCUAUUCUAAGUUGUUUUCUAUCUUUAGUUAUGGGUAGGAAACGCAAAAUACCAAAAAAAAUAGUUGUACCUACUACACCAAUGGUUGAAGAACCACUCAAAAUCUAUCACACUCCUGAAGCUUUUUACUUGGAUCAUCUUCGAUCCCUAUGUGCUCAUGCUGAAACCCCAGCUAGCUUAGUUGAGGGAAAAUCUUUAGAUGAGCAUGCUUGUUAUGUGCGACACCACUUAUCUCAAAAAGGGAAACUUUUACUGGAUCAAAUUCAUCGUUUGCAAUGCUAUGCUUGGAAUUUAUGUGAAAUAUAUGAUUUUACUUGUUGUUCCAAAAACCCUAAGAAACACCUUCCGUAUCAAUGUGAGUUUAGUGAUAAUGGAAUCAUAUCUUCGUAUGCUAAGGGUGUUUAUAAUUACUAUGAUGUUCAACAAAUUUAAGAAUUUGUUGCUUUUAAGGGUGCUUAUGAAAUUGCUUGUUUGAUUGAAAAGUAUGAUGCUACUCUUUACAAAUCUAUUUUUUUGCCAUACUUCAAUAUUGUUAUGAUAAUUAUGCUUCUAAUGCCUAUGUUAAACCAUAUAUUGAGGACUCCUCCGCUGUCCAAGAAGAGACUAAUAUUUUGCAGGAGUCUAUGGAAGAAGAAAUUGAUGAAACUGUGAGCUCAUUGGAUGAAAAAGAUGAGGAGGAGAGCGAAGAACAAAAGGAGGAAGAGUGGAUUGAUCACCCGUGCCCACCUUCUAAUGAGAGUAACUCUUCAACUCAUACAUUGUUUAAUUCCCCUUCGUGCUUACCGAAGGAUGAUUGCUAUGAUGAUUGUUAUGAUCCCGUUGAAUCUCUUGAAAUACCCCUUUUGGUUAUGCUUGCUAUGCUUGUGGCCAUGAUUCCAAUAUGAAUGAUGCUUAUGAAGAUGAACUUGCUAUAGUUCCUUAUGUUAAACAUGAAAUUGUUGCUAUUGCACCCACACAUGAUAGUCCUAUUAUCCUUUUGAAUUCUCCAAACUACACUAUAUCAGAGAAGUUUGUGCUUAUUAAGGAUUAUGUUGAUGGGUUGCAUUUUACCGUUGCACAUGAUGAUUUUGAUAGAUAUAAUAUGAAUGUUCUUGCUGCUCCAACUUUCAAUUUUAUGAGAGAGGAACUACAUCUCCGCCUCUUUAUGUUUCCAACACGAUAGAAUUGCAAGAAACUGCUUAUACUAUGCAUUGGCCUUUACUUGGUGUGCAUGAAUUGUUCUUUUAUGACAUGCCUAUGCAUAGGAAGAGAGUUAGACUUCAUCAUUACAUGUUAUAUGUUGCUUUGUGCUCAUUAAUAAAUGCCAAAUAAUUGUUAAUUAAAAUUGGCUUUGAUAUACCUUGGGAUCCAGGUGGAUUGAUUACUUGAGCACUAUAUGCCUAGCUUAAUAGCUUUAAAGAAAGCGCUGCCAGGGAGACAACCCGGAAGUUUUAGAGAGUCAUUUGCUUCUGUUGAGUUCCUUUAUAUAGUUUAAAAACAAAAAAAUAAAGAGGGGAACCCAAAACUUUUCAAAAAGGAAAGUGAAAGUGAGAAAGAUAAGCAUUGUUGAAGUGGGGGAGAUCCUUGAACUUUGUUCAUGCUCACGGAAACUUUGUGAAUCUUAAUUACAGAAACUUUUCAUCAAAAAUAAUUAUCCCCUUGUACAAUCCAUUGUAUUAUAAAAAUAAUGUGUCAAGGUUUGCCUUUAGGAUGUUUACAAUGCUUGUUGGUUUGUGCGGUGCAGGAUAGAAAUUUGGCUGUAGUGCGCGAUUUUAAAUGUUUUUAGUAGAACAUCAAACGGUUCUGAAACUUUUUGCACUCUCUUUCUAUACAAAUUGUUUAUUUUUCCUAAUUUUGGCAGAAUUUUUGGAGUACCAGAAGUUUGGUGAAUGUUCAGAUUACUACAGACUGUCUUGUUUAAGACAGAUUCUGUUUUGAUGCAUAGUUUGCUUGUUUUGAUGAAACUAUCAAUUUCUAUUAGUGGAUUAAGCCAUGGAAAAGUUAUAUUACAGUAGCUACAAUGCAAAAACAAAAUAUGAAUUGGUUUGCAACAGUACUUAGAGUAGUGCUUUGAUUUAUUAUACUAACGAAUCUUACCGAUCUUUCUGUUGAAGUUUUGUGUGGAUGAAGUUUGAAGAUCGAGGAGGUCUCGAUAUGAGGAAAAGGAGGAGAGGCAAGAGCUCAAGCUUGGGGAUUACCAAGGCACCCCAAGUAAAUAUUCAAGGAGACUCAAGCGUCUAAGCUUGGGGAUGCCUCGGAAGGCAUCCCAUCUUUCUUUAACAAGUAUCCGUAUGUUUUCGGAUUCGUUUCGUUCAUGCGAUAUGUGCAAAUCUUGGAGCGUCUUUUGCAUUUAGUUUUCAAUUUUCUUUUAUGCACCAUGCUGGUAUGAGAUAGUCCUUGGUUGAUUUAUAGAAUGCUGAAAGCACAAGUGCUCCCUAGGUGGUUUUGGUAAUUAAUGUCAACAUAUCUCUUGUUGGACUAACACUUUUAUCUAGUUUAUUCAGAUAAGUUCAACAAUGGAGUGGCAUGGACUAAAGGAUGUGGGAACUCCUUCAAGAUGCUAAGGACAAAGGAUUGUCUCAAGCUUCAAGCUCAAGACUUUUCAUUUUACAUUUUAGUGAUCCAAGAUCACAUUGAGUCUAUAGGAAAAGCCAAUACUAUCAAGGAGGGAUGAGGUGUUGCUUAAUGAGCCUCUUGCUUCAAGUGCUUAGUGAUAUGCUCCAAAUACCCUCAACUACUUUCCCACUUCCACACAUAUGUCCUAAACCUAAAGUCAAACUCGGCCCCACUGAUUCUUCCUAUCCGGCGCCAUCGAGUUUGGAUGUCUUAGCCACUGCCACAAACCCUAGGCGAAUCGGUCUCACCAAUAGGGAUCUCGGUCUCACCGAGAUGGGAUUGUAAUCUCUGUGUGUAUGUCCAUUAUCAAAAUCAGUCUCACCGAGUUUGAGCAAUCGGUACUACCGAGAUUACAAUGCAAACUUUCUGGUUGACUUAUUAUCAAAAUCGGUCCCACCAAGUUUGAUAAUCGGUCCAACCGAGUUUGCCUGACCAACUCUCUGGAAAGCUUAUUACCAAAAUCGGUCCCAACGAGUUUGUGUAAUUGGUCUUACCAAGAUUGCGUUAUGCCCUAACCCUAACCGAAUCGGUCCUACUGAGUUGCAUUUCGGUCCCACCGAAAACCCUAACGGUCACAUUAUUUGCUAAAUCGGUUUGACCGAGUUUAACGAUUCGGUCCCACCGAGUUUGGUAGAUUGUGUGUAACGGUUAGAUUUUGUGUGGAGGCUAUAUAUACCCCUCCACCCCCUCUUCAUUCGUGGAGAGAGCCAUCAGACUGAACCUACACUUCCAGCAUCCUAUUUCUAAGAGAGAACUACCUACUCAUGUGUUGAGGCCAAGAUAUUCCAUUACUACCAUAUGAAUCUUGAUCUCUAGCCUUCCCCAAGUUGCUUUCCACUCAAACCCUCUUUCCACCAGAUCUAAAUCCUAUGAGAGAGAGUUGAGUGUUGGGGAGACUAUCAUUUGAAGCACAAGAGCAACAAGUUCAUCAUCAGCGCACCAUUUGUUACUUCUUGGAGAGUGGUGUCUCCUAGAUUGGCUAGGUGUCACUUGGGAGCCUCCGACAAGAUUGUGGAGUUGAACCAAGAAGUUUGUAAGGCAAGGAGAUCGCCUACUUCGUGAAGAUCUACCGCUAGUGAGGCAAGUCCUUCGUGGGCGACGGCCAUGGUGGGAUAGACAAGGUUGCUUCUUCGUGGACCCUUCGUGGGUGGAGCCCUUCGUGGACUCGCGCAAUCGUUACCCUUCGUGGGUUGAAGUCUCCAUCAACGUGGAUGUACGAUAGCACCACCUAUCGGAACCACGCCAAAAACAUCCAUGUCUCCAAUUGCAUUUGAAUCCUCCAAUCCCUUCCGUUUACAUUCUUGCAAGUUGCAUGCUUUACUUUCUGCUGCUCAUAUACUCUUUGCAUGCUUGCUUGCUAUAUGUUGUGAAUGUUAAACUUGUGCCCAAACUCCACUCAAACUUUAAAGAAACUUAAAAACUGCAACUUUGGCUCUUAGUGUCUAAUCACCCCCCCUCUAGACACCUCUUCUCAAGGUCCUAGUAUCAUAGCAUUGGUCUCCAUUGCCUUGGUUUAAUCACCCUUGGAGGAAGAUGGAUGAGUCUACUUUGGGGAGUCUUAGACAUAGAGUGCCUAUUCUUGAUGGAGAGUAUUUUCAUGAGUGGAAAAAUGAGAUGCUUGUAAUUUUGAAUCAAUAUCAUUUGAACAAGUACAUUGCUAGCCCUUGUGCACCUUAUGUUGAUCCUAUGCAUCCAACCCAUGAUGAGUCAAUUGACAUGGUUAGGAAUCUUAGAACUGCCGAACUUAUCCUUAGAGGAUUGCCUAGAAACUUGAUUGGAUGUUUGCCUACCUUUAAGUGUGCCUAUACUAUAUGGAAAUUUCUUGAGGAACGAUUUCCAGAUUAUUCCUUGAAAAAUCUUGAUGAAAUUCUCCAUAAGUCUAUUGCUUUGAGUAAGAUGAAUACUAGUGAUCCUAUGUUUGGUGAUCGUCUAUUUGAGCUUACAAACCUUAUGCGUGCCAAAGGAAAUGUUGGUAUUAUUAAUGACAUUAUUUCCAAAGCUAUAAGAAUUCAUAGACAAGAUUAUUGUCAAACUCACUCUAACGAAUCACCCUCUCUAGGAUUUGAUCCACCACAUGACGAUGUUGAACAUGGAUACUAUGAUGAGGAUGAUGAUAGUGACUUUGAUCUUGAUGAUGCAAUGAGACAUUUUGGUCUUAUGGCAAAUCUUCGGGGAUAUAUGUCAGGAGGAAAGGAAUGGUUUCUUGAUAGUGGAUGUACCGAUCACAUGACCAGAGAUAAAGACAUGUUUCGUGAGCUUGCUGAUAAUGAUAGUCCUCGAAAGUAUGUCACUUUCGGUGACAACUCAAAGGGUAAGGUGGUUGGCCUUGGUAAGGUGGCUAUAUCACAUGAUAGCUCCAUACAAAAUGUUAUGCUCGUUGAAUCUCUUGGUUACAACUUACUUUCAGUAUCUAGACUUGCUGAUUUCGGUUUUAAUGUCCUAUUUACUGAAGUAGAUUGCCAAGUGUUUCGUCGAGACAAUCAUAAAAUGGUCUUUACCGGUGUGCGUAGAGGUGAUCUGUACAUUGUUUAUUUCACUAAAAAGGCUCAACCUAAAACUUGCUUCAUUGCUAAAUCCUCAAAAGGCUGGUUAUGGCAUAGACGAUUAGGUCAUGUUGGUAUGCGAAACCUUGACAAGCUUAUUAAGGGAAAUCAUAUCCUUGGAGUUAAUGAUGUCAUAUUUGAUAAGGAUAGACUUUGCAGUGCUUGUCAAGCAGGUAAACAGGUUGGAGGAAGGCAUCCCGUGAAGAACAUCAUGACUAUAAAGAGGCCGCUUGAGCUACUUCACAUGGAUCUCUUUGGUCCCAACUCUUACAAGAGUCUCGGUGGAAAUUCUUUUGGUCUAGUUACAGUUGAUGAUUUUUCAAGAUUUACGUGGGUGUUCUUUCUCGAUGAUAAAUCGCGGGUCCAAACGAUCUUCGAAAACUUCGCUAGGAAGGCCCAAAAUCAAUUUGAAGUGAAGAUCAAGAAGGUUCGCAGCGAUAACGGAACAGAGUUCAAGAACGCAAAUGUGGACACCUUUCUUGACAAAGAAGGGAUUUCACACGAGUUCUUGGCUACAUACACACCUCAACAAAAUGGAGUUGUUGAGAGGAAGAACCGGACGCUCAUCGAAAUGGCGAGAACGAUGCUUGAUGAGUACAAGACGCCGAAGCACUUUUGGGCAGAAGUGGUUGAGACAACUUGCCAUGCAACAAAUUGCUUGUAUCUUCACAAGCUACUCGGCAAGACAACAUACGAGCUUCUCACCGGUAACAAACCCCAAGUUGGAUACUUUCGAGUAUUCGGCUCAAAGUGCUACAUUCUUGAUAAGCAUCGUCGUUCUAAAUUUGCUCCUAAGUCUCAUGAAGGUUUCCUACUAGGUUAUGGCUCAAAUUCUCACACUUACCGUGUCUACAACAAUUUCACCCGAAAGGUUGAAGAGACAGUAGAUGUGAAGUUUGAUGAAUCUAACGGCUCGCAAGUAGAGCAAUUGCCAAUUGAUGUAGGAGACAAAGAUCCUUCGGAAGCAAUCCAAGACUUGUCUAUUAGCAAGGUCCGUCCAACGGAGGUGAAGGAGAGUACCUUGUCCGUCCAAGUGGAAGCUCCUACUUCACGACAAGGUGAACCAAGAGUUGAUACAGAAGCAUCCACAAGUGGGACACACCAAGAUGAAGAAAACGAGGAAGUGCAUCAAGAUGAACGUCAACAACCUCCUUCUCCACCAUGAUAAGAGAACGACAACGCCAACAAUGCAGAAGGCCAAGAAGAAGAACAAGAUGAAGAAUAUGUUCAACGAAGAUCCAAGCAAAAGCUUUCACGAGUUCGAGCAAGAACUGCUAAAGAUCAUCCCGUCGAGCAAAUCUACAAUGACAUUCAAACCGGGAGAAUCACUCGCUCUAAAACUCCUUUAGCUAACUUUUGUGAAAACUAUUCUUUCAUCUCUAGCAUUGAACCUAUGAAAGUUGAAGAAGCAUUGGAAGAUCCGGAUUAGAUAAAUGCUAUGCAUGAAGAGCUACACAACUUUGAGAGGAACCAAGUUUGGACAUUGGUUGAGAAGCCCGACAACAACCACAACAUCAUCGGUACCAAAUGGGUGUUUCACAACAAGCAAGAUGAAGAUGGACAAGUAGUUCGUAACAAAGCACGUCUCGUCGCCCAAGGAUACACACAAGUCGAAGGUAUGGACUAUGGUGAGACUUACGCCCCCGUUGCUAGACUUGAGUCCAUUCACAUCUUACUUGCCUAUGCUAAUCACCAUGAUAUCACCUUGUACCAAAUGGACAUUAAAAGUGCUUUUCUAAAUGGUGAAAUAGAGGAGGAAGUUUAUGUUAAGCAACCUCCUGGCUUUGUCAAUCCUAAGAAACCCAAUCAUGUUUACAAACUUCAUAAAGCUCUUUAUGGUCUUAAACAAGCUCCUAGAGCAUGGUAUAAAUGCUUGACCAAGUUCCUUAUUGAAAAAGGCUUUGAAAUUGGGAAAAUUGAUUCUACUCUUUUUACUAAAAGGGUUAAUGGUGAACUCUUUGUGUGCCAAAUUUAUGUUGAUGAUAUUAUAUUUGGUUCAACUAACCCUCAUUUUAGUGAAAAGUUUGGGAAGCUAAUGUCGGAGAAGUUUGAGAUGUCUAUGAUGAGUGAACUCAAAUUCUUUCUUGGGUUGCAAAUCAAGCAAACUAAGGAAGGUACUUUUGUUUCUCAAACGAAGUACACCAAGGACUUAUUCAAGAAGUUCAAUAUGCAAGAAUGCAAAGGUAUGACUACACCCAUGCCUACUAGUGGACAUCUUGACUUAACCAAAGAUGGUGAACCGGUUGAUCAAAAGGUUUAUCGCUCUAUGAUUGGUUCAUUGUUAUAUCUAUGUGCUUCAUGUCCCGAUAUUAUGCUAAGUGUGUGCAUGUGUGCACGAUAUCAAGCUACUCCUAAAAAAUGUCAUCUUAAGGCCGUGAAAAGGAUAGUGAGAUACUUAAUCCAUACACCAAAUUUUGGCAUUUGGUAUCCUAAGAGGGCCUCUUUCGAUCUUGUUGGCUAUUCUGACUCGGACUAUGCCGGAGACAAGGUUGAUAGAAAUUCCACUUCGGGUACUUGUCAAUUUCUUGGUAGAUCUCUUGUGUCUUUGUCCUCCAAGAAACAAAACUCGGUAUCCUUAUCCACCGCCGAAGCUGAAUAUAUAGCCGUUGGUUCAUGUUGUGCUCAAUUACUUUGGAUGACCCAAACUCUUAGAGAUUAUGGGAUAUAUGUGAGACAUGUUCCAUUACUUUGUGACAAUGAAAGUGCUAUAAAAAUUGGUCAUAAUCCUAUGCAACAUUCUCGAACUAAGCAUAUUGAAGUUCGUCAUCAUUUCAUUCGAGAUCAUGUUGCUAAGGGUGACAUUGAUCUUAAGCAUGUUCGCACCGAAAAGCAAUUAGCGGAUAUAUUCACUAAACCUCUUGAUGAGAAUGUGUUCUGCAGGUUAAGAGGAGAAUUUAACAUCAUUGAUGCUUCAAACUUGGAGUAGAAACUCCAUUGGAUACAUGCAAGACAUGAGCUUAUGACUAAUCCUUGAUAUUUCUCUUAUGAUGAAACUCUUAUGUCUUGGAUAUAUUUGUAUCUUGCAUGUUAUCUAACCCUUGUAGGUACUUGGUUGAAUCUAAUUCCAUGAGGUUGUAAUCUACUCAUAUCUUGAGCAAUCUCUACAUCACCAAGUCUCUACACAAACGUGGUUGAAGACAAGGAAGCACAAAACCAUUCAAACAUAUCCUUUGACAAAUUCUAUGUUGAGCUUCAUGAUUGUCAUUUUUGGAUAUACAAGUGCUCUUUCUUGCAAUAACUAACCCAUGUAGGUAGAUGGACUCAAAUUCCAAGUGGUGCUCCAAAUUCUUGAUGAGCUACAUCAACCUUGAGCAACCCACACAAGUUCAACUACAUGGACAUCACCACCAACCAAGGUAUGAUAUUCCAUCUUAGAGAAGCUUUACUCCGAGUCAUGAGUCAAAGCAACUCGACAAGAUGUGAAUACAUCAAGAUGCUUAAACGAAAAAUGGCAACCCCAUUUUGAGCUUAAACGAUGAGUAUGACCUAUGAUGAAGUGAUCUCACUUGACUCCUAAGUCAAUAUACUCUAACAUAGGUGACUUUGUCGCCGACCAUCUCUAGAUGAAGUUCUCUUGUGUUCUUUUCUGUGUUUUGCAUUUUUCUCAUGCAUAUGUGUUUUCCACUUUCAAAAAAAACUUCAUCUAGAUUUCUUUCUGUUUGCUCUGCAUUUUCUGCAUCAAAUUCCUUGCAUAUCAUUCAGUUAAUUCCUUGCAAAUCUUUGUGAGAUCUUACUAGUCUAGUGAGCUGAGGUGACAAGUGUUUUCUCUGCGAUGAACUCGGUUACACCAAUUUGCUAUUUUCGGUCCAACCGAAUCCUUUCGGUCCAACCGAAGCAUACCACUCGGUGCCACCGAUUUCACAACAAGAAAAACAGUUUGCCACUUAUUUUGUGUUUCUUUUGAUCCAGCUCCACUCAAUGAAUCUUGUCCUCUACAAGCAUCACAUUUUUAUCAUUGCUUUAUGGUGUGACUCAAGGAUCAAACCCAUUCAUAACAAAUUCCAAAGGAGGCGAGAGAGAUUACAUCUUUAUCAAGCCCUUCUUGGAAAUUGAUGUUAAAGGGGGAGAGAGAGAGAUCACAUCAAAGCUUAUCUUUUAGAGAGAGAUCACAUCAGAGAGAGAGAGAGUAUCACCCUCUCAGGGGGAGAGAGAUCCUUCAGGGAGAGAGAGAGAGAGAGAGAGAUCUCCAGGGGGAGAGGAUACUAGUAGAAAGUAUUUCUCAAGGAUCCCAGAUGCUUGGUGUUCAAGAGGAGAGAUGCCCACAUGUAUUCUUGAGGGGAGAGACAUGUUCAUAUGAUCUGUUGUGCUUAUUUGCAUUAGCAUACAUUAGCGCUGAUCAUCAUUCAUAUCUUUCAGCUCUGAUUUUUCAGCUGUGAUUUUCUAUUCCCUAUCUUCUCCCAGUAUCCCAUGCUAGAUUCAGGGGGAGCAAGACAUCUAAGGGAAAGAAAUCAUUCAAAUUCAUUGCAUAUCUUUACUCUUGGGGACAUGUCAUAAUCCAAUGUAGUACUUAGUACUCACUCUCUACAUGUCAUUGCAGUCUUGGUAUUCUUGUGGUUUCUUGCGUUUGCUCUGGCUAGUAGAUGUAUCUGUGUUAUCUAACCUUGUUUACGCAGGUUCAUUCCAUCCUAAGCCAACUCAAGACUACAAGGUAAGUAUAUGCAUCACAAUCAUGUAAAUGAGGAAUUCUUGCUGAUGUACAUACUGUUUGCAAGAAGGACUCAUGGGCAUGAAGGUAUUCUCUUUAAUACUUUUUGCUCUGAUGCAUAUAGCCAAUAUACAUGUAACACAUUGCCUGCUAUCAUGGUUAUGCUCUCACAUGCUUCUAUAUUCCAUAUUCACAUGAUUGCAUAUAUGUAGGGGGAGCCUAUGCUUGUUACAUGUCUUUCCAAAGCUUUACUUGCUAUUCUUUAUAUCUUUAUCUAAAGCUUUGAUGUAUGUUGUCAUCAAUUACCAAAAAGGGGGAGAUUGAAAGCACAAGUGAUCCCUAGGUGGUUUUGGUAAUUAAUGUCAACAUAUCUCUUGUUGGACUAACACUUUUAUCUAGUUUGUUUCAGAUAAGUUCAACAAUGGAGUGGCAUGGACUAAAGGAUGUGGGAACUCCUUCAAGAUGCUAAGGACAAAGGAUUGGCUCAAGCUUCAAUCUCAAGACUCUUCAUUUUACAUUUUAGUGAUCCAAGAUCACAUUGAGUCUAUAGGAAAAGCCAAUACUAUCAAGGAGGGAUGAGGUGUUGCUUAAUGAGCCUCUUGCUUCAAGUGCUUAGUGAUAUGCUCCAAAUACCCUCAACUACUUUCCCACUUCCACACAUAUGUCCUAAAUCUAAAGUCAAUCUCGACCCCACUGAUUCUUCCUAUCCGGCGCCACCGAGUUUGGAUGUCUUAGACACUGCCUCAAACCCUAGGCAAAUCGGUCUCACCGAUAGGGAUCUCGGUCUCACCAAGAUGGGAUUGUAAUCUCUCUGUGUAUGUCCAUUAUCAAAAUCGGUCUCACCGAGUUUGAGCAAUGGGUACUACCGAGAUUACAAUGCAAACUUUCUAGUUUACUUAUUAUCAAAAUCGGUCCCACCGAGUUUGAUAAUCGGUCCAACCGAGUUUGCCUGACCAACUCUCUGGAAAGCUUAUUACCAAAAUCGCUCCCACCGAGUUUGUGUAAUCGGUCUUACCAAGAUUACGUUAUGCCCUAACCCUAACCGAAUCGGUCCUACCAAGUUGCAUUUUGGUCCCACCGAAAACCCUAACGGUCACAUUAUUUGCUAAAUCGGUCUGAUCGAGUUUAACGAUUCGGUCCCACCGAGUUUGGUAGAUUGUGUGUAACGGUUAGAUUUUGUGUGGAGGCUAUAUAUACCCCUCCACCUCCUCUUCAUUCAUGGAUAGAGCCAUCAGACUGAACCUACACUUCCAGCAUCCUAUUUCUGAGACAUAACUACCUACUCAUGUGUUGAGGCCAAGAUAUUCCAUUCCUACCAUAUGAAUCUUGAUCUCUAGCCUUCCCCAAGUUGCUUUCCACUCAAACCCUCUUUCCACCAGAUCCAAAUCCUAUGAGAGAGAGUUGAGUGUUGGGGAGACUAUCAUUUGAAGCACAAGAGCAAGGAGUUCAUCAUCAACGCACCAUUUGUUACUUCUUGGAGAGUGGUGUCUCCUAGAUUGGCUAGGUGUCACUUGGGAGCCUCCGACAAGAUUGUGGAGUUGAACUAAGGAGUUUGUAAGGGCAAGGAGAUCGCCUACUUCGUGAAGAUCUACCGCUAGUGAGGCAAGUCCUUCGUGGGCGACGGCCAUGGUGAGAUAGACAAGGUUGCUUCUUCGUGGACCCUUCGUGGGUGGAGCCCUCCGUGGACUCGCACAACCGUUACCCUUCGUGGGUUGAAGUCUCCAUCAACGUGGAUGUACGAUAGCACCACCUAUCGGAACCACGCCAAAAACAUCCGUGUCUCCAAUUGCGUUUGAAUCCUCCAAUCCCUUCCCUUUACAUUCUUGCAAGUUGCAUGCUUUACUUUCCGCUGUUCAUAUACUCUUUGCAUGCUUGCUUGAUAUAUGUUGUGAAUGUUAAACUUGUGCCUAAACUCCACUCAAACUUUAAAGAAACUUAAAAACUGCAACUUUGGCUCUUAGUGUCUAAUCACCCCCUCUAGACACCUCUUCUCAAGGUCCUACAAAUGCUCUUUGCACUUCACUUAAAUCUUUUGAGUAUGGCUUUAUAGAAUGCUUCAUGUGCUUCACUUAUAUGAUUUGAAGUUUGGAUUGCCUGUUUCUCUUCACAUAGAAAACAGCCAUUUAUAGAAUGCUCUUUUGCUUCACUUAUAUUUGUUAGAGCGUGGGCAUAUCUUUUGUAGAAAUAAUUAAACUCUCUUGCUUCACUUAUAUCUAUUUAGAGAGAUGACAGGAAUUGGUCAUUCACAUGGUUAGUCAUAAUCCUACAUAAAACUUGUAGAUCACUGAAUAUGAUAUGUUUGAUUCCUUGCAAUAGUUUUGCGAUAUAGAGAUGAUAAUAUGUGGGAUGUACUAGUAAAUGGUUGUGUUUAGUAAGGAUAUCGGUGUUAAGUUUUGUGAUUCCCGAAGCAUGCACGUAUGGUCUCCUAACUAUGUAACCAAAUUGGCGCGCAUUGUAUUUUGAUUGUUUAUCUUUGCGUGAAGGUUGGGGGCACGCGAUGGUUAACUCCUACCAACCUUCCCCCUAGGAUCAUGCGUAGUAGUACUUUGCUUCGAGGGCUAAUAAACUUUUGCAAUAAGUAUAUGAGUUCUUUAUGACUAAUGUGAGUCCAUGGAUUAUGCGCACUCUUACCCUUCCAUCAUUGCUAGCCUCUUCGGUACCGUGCAUUGCCCUUUCUCACCUUGAGAGUUGGUGCAAACUUUGCCGGUGCAUCCAAACCCCGUGAUAUGAUACACUCUAUCACACAUAAGCCUCCUUAUAUCUUCCUCAAAACAGCCACCAUACCUACCUAUCAUGGCAUUUCCAUAGCCAUUCCGAGAUAUAUUGCCAUGCAACUUCCAUCAUCAUCAUAUACAUGACUUGAGAAUUCAUUGUCAUACUGCUUUGCAAGAUCGUAAGAUAGCUAGCAUGAUGUUUUCAUGGCUUGUCCAUUUUUUUGAUAUCAUUUCUAUGCUAGAUCAUUGCACAUCCCGGUACACCACCGGAGGCAUUCAUAUAGAGUCAUAUUUUUUUCUAGUAUCAAGUUGUAAUAUUGAGUUGUAAGUAAAUAAAAGUGUGCACUACAAAAAAAUACACUUCCGUGAUGGUACGUGGUUGUCACAGUAGGUCGCGUUUUUGUCAUGCAUGUACAUCCAUGAAGAUUUUAUAACAGAAUCAAGAUAGUCAUACCUGUGCUGUCGUAGAAGUGUUCCAUGACAUUACCAAAAUUAUCAUCACGGAAGUGUCCAUUUCCAUGAUGAUAAAUCGCGCGUCACAAAAGUGCUUUCAUCAAGGGUGACCGACACGUGGCAUCCACUGUAACGGAAACCGUUAAGCUAUCGGGUCCGGUUUUGGAUCCGAUAACCCGUUAACAGCCCCGACCAAUGGGGAUUUUCCAUGUGUAAAAUCAUCAUUGGCUGGAGGAAACACGUGUCGGCUCAUCGUUGGGACAGACGUCAUCCAUUCAUUGGACAGAAGGCGCCUAUGAUACGUCGACACGUGGCACGGCCCAACAGAGGCCCAUUCCUGUGAAAAGGCCGGCCCGUUUGACUUGGUCAAAAGGUGGCGGGUCGGCCAACUGAAAGCCUGUUAACGACCUGUUCGCAUAUAGCCCAUUUACAGCCCGCUAACCCAGGGCCCGUUACAACCUAUCCGAAUUAGGCCUAGUAGCGUCAUAUGGGCUGUCUAAUAUGAUUCCAGCCCGUUUUAACUUCCAGCCCAUGUAUGGCCCAUGACGUCUUUCGGCCCAUAUGAGGCCCUUUGUAACUCUUGGCCCAUUAACGGCCCGUGGUGAAACUGGCCCGUAAUAAAUAGUGUAUCACUUUAUACCCAUUAACGACCCAUUAUUCCAUUGGGCUGUUUCCAGCCCAUGUUAUCUUUCGGCCUUCUCAGUGCCCAUUCAUUCUUGGGCUCAUUUCCAGCAUUCGGUUACUUACGGCCCGUUACUAUCAUUUUCUGCUUGUGGGCCAAAUUCGGCCCGUUGUUAUAGUCGGCCCGUUUGUGGCCCGUUAAUAAGCUGGGCCGUUUUCAUAGUGUCAUCAAAUACGGCCUAUUAACAACGGCCCGUUAUGGUCGGCCCAUGAACUGAUGAUUCCAACUCUAGCCUGUUUACGACCAUAAUGCGGUCUGUUAUUGGCCCAUGUUUGGCCAAUCGAUCAUACGGCCCAUAUAAGGCCCAUUGAUGAUACAGCCCGUAGAAGGCCCAUUGUUUCUACAACCCGUAGAAGGCCCAUUGUUUCUAUGGCCCGUAGAAGGCCCACUGUUUCUACGGCCGAUAGGAGGCCCAGUGUCACUACAGUAAAUAUGUAGCCCAUGGUUAUUGUGGCCUAGUUUUAAAAAAUAGGUUAUUGCAGCCACUAGCAAACCGCGGAAAAAGAACUUCACUGACUACAAGCAAACAAAUAAACAAGACAACAAGGAAAUAAAUAAGCAAACAACUAACGCUAGGCUAUCAUGGCUAUUACACAUAUUACAUCCACUGGGCGUCAAAGUUCGCCACCAGUGCAAAUAUAGGGAACAAAGUAGCAUAUCAUAUACACUGGUUGUCAAAGUUGGCAACCAACGCAAAUAAACGCCGCAGCAAAACAAAUCCAGAACUGAAACCGCUUCAGAAGAUCUCAAGAAAGAAUCUCCUGGGUACCCAUAGUGCUGGCAAGAUGCUUAGCAAGCUUAUUAACUUUCUCUUGUUUGGCGCUUAAAUCCUCCAGCGCUUGUUGUUGCACUAGGAAGUAUGCAUCUGAAUUCUGCAGGGACUUCCUCAGUCCUUCAGCUUCCUGUCGCAUCACAUCUGAUUUGUGUCUUUCAACUUGAAGUUGAGACUCAAGAAGACAAACUGAUUCAGGCAGCGAGUUCGAAGAGCUUGUGCCAGCAGUAGCGGCCAGUAACUCGAACACUACAUCAAUACAGGACUUUUGGGUUCUCUCACUGUCGUCAAGAUAGUUUUUAUCAGCUUUCUUGGGGACCAACAGGGAUGUCUCACUAUCUUGAACCUUAUCUGCAUCACUUCCUUUACCAUUGCAUAACACAGUACUGUUCUCCAAUAUUUUGUCUGCAUUAUAAAAGAGAAACAAGCAGACACAUCACAGGUUUACCAUGUUGUAUAUGAAACUCAUUUUGGUAAAUGAGUUCAGUAGUAAAGUGGACAGGAUAACAACAUGAAACAAACAUAUAUCUAUGUACCAUGGUCACUUUAUGGUCUAUAUCAUUCUAGUUUUUGUUGCAAAAUCAAGAUAGAGACAUAGUUCAAAUAAUAUUGGUUCAAGACAAAGCAGAAUAGAUAGAAUAUAAGUGUGGGAAACUAUAGAGCAAUAAUAACACUUGUAAUGUGCAUGACAUGAGAACAUAACUAUUUAUUCAAUUGAAACUGAAAUCAACAUAGAGCACGUUACAAUAGCAAACCAGUUAAAGAAAUAGGUUUAAAACAUACCUGUAGCGCCAUUGGAGUUUCAAUUCCAUCCUUCAAAUUUGAAAAUAGUUGGUAUGAGUAAAUACAGUAAUGCAAGAGCAAAGGAGUAUGAACCAUAGCUACAGAUCUUGACCUGAGAACAAAUCUUCUUCCCCUUUAAGCAUUGAGUUGGGAUUCGGAGUGGUGGUCCUCGUGCUUUGGGCACUGCAGUUCCUUACUAACUGCUCGUGUUUGGGUGCUCUAUGGUGGAGACGAUGUUGUGUCAACUGGAACUGGGUUACUAUCUGUCGGGGUUGGGGUUAGAAGGGGUGUAGCUGGUUCUCCGUCCAACUGGGUAGGGGUAUAAUCUGUGAGAGUCUAGGUUAUGUGUGGUGGAUCUGGUCCUUGGGCAAGUACAACCGUGGUUCUAUCUGCAUCAACUGGUAGCACUAUCUUUUCUGAAGACCGUGUUGUUACUCCCUUAGAUACUGCCAUCACCCUCUCCAAUUCAAAUGGCUAAUAAACAAGAAAAGUAUUUGAAAGUAUAUACAUUGUAUGAUAGACAGGUGCAAUGGAUAGUGGGGAAUAAAAGAGGGCAUGAAAUAAUUCACAUUUUUGUUGUCUAACCAAACAGGAUAGCAUGACACAAUUUCACAUAUAUGAUGGCUAACUAAACAGGAUAGCAUGACACAAUUUCACAUUAUGAUGGCUAACUAAAAAAGAUGGAAAGACAUAGUUCAAAAUAUGAUGACUAUGUAAACAGGAUAACAUGAUAUAACUAUAUGAUGUGUUUAUUAAAUAGGUUGGCAUGCCAUAAUUCACAUACAUUCACGGAUAGAAUGCCAUAAUUUAAAAUAUGACGACUGUAAACAAUAAACAAGAUGAGAUGAUAUCACUAUAUGAUGUCUUUAUUAAAUGGGUUGCCAUGCCAUAAUUCAGAUAGAUGAUGUGUAUGUACUAUGUAAACAUGAUGGCAUGAUAUAAUUCAAAUAUAUGAUUUAUAUAGUAAGCAAGUAAGCAGAUGGCAAUCCAUAUAUGAUGUAAAAACUAAGCAAUGCAAGACAACAUGCACGACAUGGGUAAUAUAACCUUGCCAAGUUUGAGCAUAGACCUCAAGGGGGGAAUAGGACUGUUCAUCAGUCUCUGAAUCCUCCUCUAAGGAGCUCUCUGUAACCAGCAAGAUGUCUGCUUCAGCAGGUAGCAUUGUCUGCUCUGAAUACCGUGUUUUCACUCCAGAUACUUCCAUCACCGCUUCAAAUGGCUGAUGCACAGGAAGAGUAGUUGAAUAUACAAACGUUGUCGACAAAUGGAACAUGUAAUACAAAAAAAUGAUAGCAUGAUAUAAUUCACAUACAUGAUGAUUGGCUAAACAGCAUGGCAUUGCAUAAUUCACAUAUAUAAUGCCUUUGCAACAAGAUAGCAUUGCAUAAUUCACAUAUAUAAUGUCUUGCAACAAGAUGACAAUGCAUAAUUCACAUAUAUGGUAAUUAGACACUAAACAGGUGGCAUUCACACAAAGCAUGUCUAAACUAAUCAAAUGACAUAGCAAUGGGAGACACCAUACGCACAAUAUGAGCAACAUAACCCUGCCAAGUUAGAGCAUACACCUCGGGGGGGGGGGGAAUAGGACUGGUCAUCUGUCUCUGAAUCCUCCUCUGAGGAGCUAUCCGUAACCAGCGAGAUAUGUGCUUCAUCAGAUAGCAUAGUCUGCUCUGAAGACCUUGUUUUCACUCCAAAAUUUGCCAUCACCGUGUCAAAUGGCUGAUGAACACGAAGAGCAGUUGAAUGUACUAACAUUGUUGACAAAUGUAAUAUGUAACGAAAAAAAGGAUGGCCUGAUAUAAUUUACAUAUAAGAUUACUGGCUAAGCAGGAUGGCAUUGCAAAAUUCACAUAUAUGAUGCCUGGCUAAACAAGAUGGUGUUGCAUAAUUCACAUAAACGAUGAAUAAACUAAACAAAUGGCAUUCGCACAAAGGAUGUCUAAACUAAGCAAAUGGCAUAUUUGAUGUAUAAAGUAAGCAAUGCAAGGCACCAUAUGCAUGAUAUAACCAACAUCGGCAUGCCAAGUUAGAGCGAAGACCUCAAGGGGUAAAUAGGAGUUGUCUUCUCCUUCUGAAUCCCCCUCAGAACAGAUAUCUUCCUCUCGAUUACAAUCCGAAAUGCGUGGAUUGGGGGGCUGCCUUUGCGCCUACAUGGAGCGGCGUCUGCAUGAAAUUUUAUUGCCACGCAAGGCUCGUCUCUUUUGCUCUACAUGUUCAGUUACAUUGUUUACAAUAACUGUCAUGCAUAGGAAUAAAACAUACUGAGAUUAUGUAAGGAGUGCAUGCAGAAAUCCAAGUGAUGGUAGCAACUUGUGGAUAGACCCAAAACCAAUAAUAACAGGCAAAUAAUGGCUUCAAUUAAAAAAUACAGAUAAUGGCUUCUUUACUGUUUGCUUCCCACCCAACAUGAAACUCAUAGUAGACACCCGAGAUUAACUAGAUAGUAGAUAGAUACUAUUGACUGCGGCCCCGAUAUGUACCCCACAACCAUUUAAAAACUCAAGUUUGACCAUUAGUUUGGAGCUGACUUAGAGUCUAAUCGAUGAACAGGACGAUAAAGUAGCAUGUAAUAUUAAGCGAUGCAUAACGUAAGCAGACACGAAAGAGUGCGACCUCUCUUGCAGACCCGUGUAGUCCUCGAGAUCAUCUGCUCGGUUGAUGAUGGUAAUGCAGUUUUCAUGGCUGCCAGCGGCGAGGAAGAAGAUCUGAGGCGGCGAAAGACAGUCUGGAGGUCGGAUCCCUACUGUGCUAGACCCUUCUAUCGUUGGAGCAGCUGAGUUGGGGUGGACGACGGUGCAGCAGGAGCGGGACAAACCACACAAGGUUUUCUUUGACAACUAUCUAUAAGAGAAGUAAUUCUGUAAGGGCUCGUUUGAAUUGGAGGAUUCCAACAAUGCAGGGAUAGGAAAUAGACAGGAAUAGGAUAGGAAUGCACGUGCAAAACAGAGAAUUUAAAAACACAGGAUUUCUGCCAAUCUGGGUGUUUGAUUCACAACAAUUGGAAGAUCACAUGAUGCAAAGAAGCAUGGUGAGAUUAAGUCAAACCACAAGAAAAUGUAUGGUUAUAAUGCUAUUAUGCUACUAUCUAUUAGUCUUGUGCUUCAUGAAUAGGAAUUUUAAAAGGAGGACAAGUGAAAAUUAAAAUUCCUACGUUUUUUCUUUCAAGGAGACACUAAAGGAACAAAUCCUACUGUUUUCCUUUGCUCCAUUCCUUUGAACCAAAUUCAUGAAUAGUAGUACCAUAGGAAACUUUCCAAUUCCUAUGUUUUUCAUUCACUUUUCCUUUCAAGCACUGGCGAUUCUAGUAGGCAGGCUUGAGCAAGGAAAAUCCUACACUAAAAAUAUAUUUUUGUGCUACUUCUAUUACUUUGGACCCGGGCCACUGCCCUACUAGCUCAACUCCCAGGGCCAUCGACAAAUGCACAGCUCAAAUGCACAGAGAUAAAUAAUGAUGGCGUUCAAGAGAGUCCAUCACGAAUAGCUAAGUUGCCUGGUACCUCACUGCUUGUCAUAUAGUAGGAUAAAAUAAUCGUAUUUCCCGUUACUACGUGUACUCAGUGGACAAUAUAUAUAACAUGUAGAGUAAAAAAGAGAUGCAAAAAGUGUACAACCUCUUUGGCGAAGCCAUGUCGAUCUCAGCUUGAUUGGGUUGGCCGGUGAGGAUGCUCCGGCUGACUUGGCUGUCGGAGGAGGGGAAGAAGAUCUUAGGCGUCUAGAGAUGGAGGCCGAGGUACUGCUCCCCUGUGAUGGAGGGUUUCAUUGUUGGAGCAGCUCCGGUGACUUGUACGACGCCGAGGCUGAAGCAGGACAAGAGAGACAACAUUAACCUGAGUGGAAUUCUAAUAGCAUCUCCAAUACAUGACGUAAAAUACAUAACCACAAAGUGCUAGAUGUAAAAUACAUCAGCCGCUCAUCUCUGAACUUAACUGUCGAAACUGAAUUUAACUGUCGAAACUGAACUUAACUGUCAAAACUGAAUUUUGCUGUCGAAACUGAAUUUUACUGUCGAAACUGCACGCACUAGCAAGGUGUGGCUACACGUAAGUCGACUGACUUUUUCAUCUCUGGUCAGUCAAUUUUGCAGCCGUUGGAUACGAAAUCAAGGGUCUGUAGUUCAUCUUCAGCUUCUACCCCCUGAGCCGCCAGCCACCACCGGCCAAACAACAGCCCCUCGCUGCCCGCGGCCGGAGGUGCGCCGCCCCGCCCACCCCAGAAACACUCCCCACCGCUGGUCCGCCGCCGCCCUGGCCAUCCCUCUAGGCCCCUCAUGCCGAGAUUUUUCUCCGGCGAUCCCCAUGCCACCGCCCCACCACCACAGGCGACCACCACCAGUGGGGUACCUCUCGGGCGAGCCCCCCUCCCCGCUGUGGCUGGUUCUUCCUUCACCCCGGUGAGCCCCCCCACCCCCUAAAAAUCGACUGACCCAAAAGUUGAUUCAAUCGACUGAAGUGUAGCUAAAUCAGAGCAGCAUUGCAAGCAAGAGCAAGAGCAAGAGCAGCAGCACGAGCAAGAGCAGACCAGGCAGGGGACUGAGAGCAAGAGCAGGGCAGUAGCGCGAGCAAGAGCUAAAGCAGCAGCAGCUCCUACUGAUGUGGACGUCACCGCCGAGGGAGCGAUGCCGUGGAGGAAGUGGCCAGCGACGCCGCCAUGGAUGGAGCCGCGCCGUGUCGACUCGGGACUGAGCGCCGGCAUCACCGUGAGAUCGAAUCAAGAAGAAAAUGCGGUGAUUGGUGCACAACCUCUUUGGUGGCGCCGAUUAGGCCGCAACUUCAUCCGAGGAAAUGGUGAUGAUGAUGCUCUUCCGGUGGUGCAGGUGAAGACAGCGGUGUGGUAAUGGAGGUGGUGCGAAAGACGAGGGGAACGUCGGGGCACCUCCUUGGAGGUGGAGGACGGGGUGGCUGAACCGGCGGGAUGACGAGAUUGACGAUGGAUCCUCAUCCGGUACGGUGGAUGAGGGACAUCGAGGUGUUGUUGUGGACGAUGUCGUCGGGGAAGAGGCUCCGGCUGGGUGGCGGACGGAGGAGGGUGUGGGGCUUCGUCGCGGGGUUUCGCGGUCCCGGUGUAUGAAUGGGUAGGCGGAUGGGAUGGGAGUGGUGUAGGAUCGGAAGUAUGUCUAGAGGGGGGGUGAUUAGACUACUUGACCAAAUAAAAACUUAUCCUUUUCCCAAUUUUAGUCUUUGGCAGAUUUUAGCAAACUUAGCACAAGUCAAGCAAUCUUAACACAAUUCAAGCAAGCAUGCAAAGAGUAUAUGAGUAGCGGAAAGUAAAGCAUGCAACUUGCAAGAAUGUAAAGGGAAGGGUUUGGAGAGUGCAAACGCAAUAGGAGAAACAUAUGUUUUUGUCGUGGUUCCGAUAGGUGGUGCUAUCGUACAUCCACGUUGAUGGAGACUUCAACCCACGAAGGGUAACGGCUGCGCGAGUCCACGGAGGGCUCCACCCACGAAGGGUCCAUGAAGAAGCAACCUUGUCUAUCCCACCAUGGCUGUCGCCCACGAAGGACUUGCCUCACUAGCGGUAGAUCUUCACGAAGUAGGCGAUCUCCUUGCCCUUACAAACUCCUUGGUUCAACUCCACAAUCUUGUCGGAGGCUCCCAAGUGACACCAAGCCAAUCUAGGAGACACCACUCUCCAAGAAGUAACAAAUGGUGUGUUGAUGAUGAACUCCUUGCUCUUGUGAUUCAAAUGAUAGUAUCCUCAACACUCAACUCUCUCUCACAGGAUUUGGAUUUGGUGGAAAUAAGGUUUGAGUGGAAAGCAACUUGGGGAAGGCUAGAGAUCAAGAUUCAUAUGGUAGGAAUGGAAUAUCUUGGCCUCAACACAAGUGUAGGUGGUUCUCUCUCAGAAAAUGUAAGUUGGAAGUGUAGGUUCGUUCUGAUAGAUCUCUCUCUGAAUGAAGAGGAGGUGGAGGGGUAUAUAUAGCCUCCACACAAAAUCUAACUGUUACACACAACUUGCCAAUCUCGGUGGGACCGAAGUGAGAAACUCGGUUGGACCGAUUCAGCAAAUCUAGUGACCGUUAGGAUUUUUGUUGGGACCGACUAGCAACUUGGUAGGACCGAUAUGGUUAGGUUUAGGGCAUAACGUAAUCUCGGUGAGACCGAUUACACAAACUCGGUGGGACCGAUUUUGGUAAUAAGCUAACCAGAGAGUUGGUUAGGUAAACUCGGUGGGACCGAUUCGCUCAUUUCGGUAAUACCGAAAUGUUAUGAAAGGACAACAAAGAGUUUACAUUGCAAUCUCGGUGGGACCGAUCGCUCAUCUCGGUGGUACUGAAACAUUACAAAGAGAAAUAGAAAGAUUAUAAUCCCAUCUCGGUGAGAUCGAGAUCCCUAUCGGUGAGACCGAUUUGCCUAGGGUUUGUGGCAGUGGCUAUGACAUCUAAACUCGGUGGAGCCGGAUGGAAAGAAUCGGUGGGGCUGAGUUUGACUUUUGGUUUAGGUCAUAUGUGGAUGUGAGAAAGUAGUUGAGGGCUUUGGAGCAUAUCACUAAGCAUUUUGAGCAAGAACCUCAUUAAGCAACACCUCAUCCCUCCUUGAUAGUAUUGGCUUUUCCUAUAGACUCAAUGUGAUCUUGGAUCACUAAAAUAGAAAAUGUAGAGUCUUGAGCUUUGAGCUUGAGCCAAUCCUUUUGUCCUUAGCAUUUUGAGGGGUCCACUUUUCUCAUCCAUGCCAUGCCAUUCAUUGAGCUUUCCUGAAAUAUUUAUCUUGAAAUAGCAUUAGCUCAGUGAGCUAUAUGUUGUUAGGAAUUACCAAAACCACCUAGGGAUAGUUGCACUUUCAAUCUCCCCCUUUUUGGUAAUUGAUGACAACAUAUAGAUCAAAGCUUCAACAAAUGAUAAUAUGAGUGAAAAACAUUGUCACUUUGAGAAGUAUGUGGAAAGCAAGAGCUCCCCCUAAAUUUGUGCAUAGUUUAAGAUUUGCUUUGGACUGCAAGUGCACAAUGAGUUAGGAUUAUGGGUUACUCUUCCAUGUCACAUACAUCUUGGUGGAGCGCUCAAAAUGAUAAUAAUUAAAUUCAUGCACUCAUCACCAAGCAAAGUGAAUGAUCAUAUAGAGAUAAAAGGAUAAUGUCAUCCAACAAGCAUUAAGGUAGCAUCGUAUAUGAUCAACCACAUGAUCAACCAAGUAUCACACAAAAUCAUAGAGUAUCUCAAACAAGCAAAUAACAAAGUUCAACCACCAAAACAAGAGAGAACAAAAAGCAACACUCUCUCUCGAAGCCUAUGAUCUAUACAUUUUUCUCCCCCUUUGGUAACAAGUUACCAAAAAGUUCAUAGAAAAUGCAUAGUUCUAAAUGACUCUCAGGCUUGGUCUUCAGGUGGUGGUGUAGAUAUAACUCCAAGGAUGAAGGCAUCAAUUGAGGUUGAUGGAGUGGCUACUGGAGCUGGUGGUACUGAAGCUGUUGCUGGUGCAGAUGAAGUUGCUCCAGUGUCUGUAACUGACACUGCAACAGAUCUCUGACUUUUGGGCACUCUAGCAAAUGCAUCAGUGGUAGACUUGCCCUUCUUCUCCUCCACUUCAUACUGAAGUUGCUCAACAACUGACUGUAUCUCAGUUACCUUCACAUCUAAAUCAUAGAACUUCUGCUCCAUGAUCCUCUCCAAGCUCUCCUGGUUUUGAGUCAGGGUGGCCAAUCCCUUCUCAAUCCUCAAAGUGGAGGCAAUCAAUUAGCCAAGCUGAUCUUGCUUGCUCUUCAGGAAGAUCUGAGGUGCCUCUUUAGUAGUUGGCAUCUUAGCAGCCUUCUCAGCCCUUGCCUUCUCCUUCUUCUCUUGUGCUUGCACAAAAGAUGGUUCAUUUUCAUCCAUCACUAAUGUGUUGUCCUCAAAGUCUGGGAAGAUGGGCAUGUGAUCCUUGUCCAAGAGAUAUGUGCCAGUGCCCAUCUUGGAGUUGAUUAGCUCCUGGAUCUGUGGGGCAUACCCACAACUUCUCUUUUGAUCAGCAGCUGUCCUCUUGAUAGUUUCCACAAUUAGGCUCAUGACGUUGAACUUUUGAGGCACAUCAAAUAUGUGAAGCAAGUUAAUUGCAUGGCCUCUGAUCAUCUUGUGAUCACCUAACUUUGGCAAUAGAGUGUGCCUGAGGAUCCAGUUGAUUGUUGGCAAUCCUGACAGAAGGUAAUGUACUGAUCCAAAUUUGUAUGUCUCAAGAGCAGCAUCUAGGAUCUCUCUGUACAUAUGUGCCAUGGAGUUGUGAUCCUUCUUCUUCUUGGCAUAGACAUCCAAGUCAUCCUCAUUCUGCUUAGGAGCAUUGAUCAAUUUUGCCCAUUCUUCAACUGUUGAUUGGUACCUAGUACCUUCAAACAUCCAGAUAAUCCUUCCAUCUGGGUAGAAAUGAGCUGUGGAGUAGAACUGCAUAAUAAGCUCAUCAUUCCACUUUGUGAGCUUCUUCCCAACAAAGUCCUCUACUCCACAAGACUUGAAACUAUCAUAGACUCAAGGAUAGUGUUCUUCAUUUUCCAUGAUGUACUUCCAGUCCACCCAUCUCAUAUCACAGACUAUAGGCUUCUUGUCAAGCAGCACUAUCUCAUAGAAGUCCUGAUGUUCCUUUGUAUUGAACCUGUCGUCCAUAGCAGUUCUUCUCCUGACUGCAUAGGGAUCAGUCAAUCUCCACUGUUUGAGUCCUACAUCCUUCCUCAGCUUCAUAUCCUCAGCUACUGGAUGAACAUCAUUAUGAUCUAGAAUUUUGGGCUUCAACUUCCUCAAGACAUGUGUCUCAUCAUCAUCUUCUUCUUCUAGAGCUGCUUCAGGCACUGGGGCCUUGUUCUUCUCUCCAGCAGGAACAUUCCUUGUAUUCCUCUCAGGUGCAGCUUUGGGCUUUUGAGCAUCUGCCUUGGGAGCUUCUUUAGGCUUUGAUGAAGCAGCCCCUGAUCUGAUAGCAUCUCCCAUAAGCUUUUGAGCUUUAGGUGCUGGUGCAGCAACCUCUUCCUCUUCUUCUUCCAUCAUCGAGGGCUUUCCAACAACCCUGGCCCUGGUCUUCUUGACCCUUUCUUUCCUUUUCUUCCCUUCUACAGCAGCCUCUUUGGGUUCAGUUUCCAAAGAUACUUGAGUAGAGGCUCUGGCUUUAGACAUGGGAAUUCUUCUUGCAGGUGCUUUGGUCCUCAUACCAGGCUUAGUGGUAGCAGUUGUGCCAUAUUCCUUCUUCAGCACCUUCUUCUUUGAAGUGGCCUCAUCCUGAACAGCCACAUAGUCCUCAUCCUCAGAAUCUGAGGUUCUUUUCUUUCUGGCCCUGAUGGCUGCCUUAGGCAAGUUGCUGGGUGUGCUCCUGCUACCAUCAUAGCUGCUAGAGGGACUAGUGCCCUCACUCAUGUGAACUUGCUCCUAAGACUUGUUCUGACUGUCACUCUGAUCUGACAUGAUGCAAACACUGACAGCAGACCCUGUGAAUAUAGAUAUAGAUGAGGUAGAGUAGAUGAGCAUCACAAAGUACAGAGGUUUUUGCAAAAAAAAAAGAGUCAAAAAACUUAGUUUUAGUUUUCCACAGAAAGCAUUUUGGAUCUACCGAUUUGAAAACUCGGUGAUACCGAAGUAGCUUUUGGAACCUAAACUAGUGAACUCGGUCAGAACGAGUCAUAGUUCGGUGGCACUGAGACUGCUAGGGUUUCACAAAGUCCUGAACUCAGUCACACCGAUUUGCAAUUCUCAGUCAGACCGAGAAUCACAUGUGCAAUGGUCUUAGCCAAAUAGGUGGAACCGAUUUCUUCAACUCGGUUGGUCCGAGAUGAUUUCAGAGGAAACCUAACCCUAAACUUUCAAUCCACAACUAAACUAUGGAGUGAUUUCGCUGGAUAGGAUGAUCUCAAUCAUGGCAAGAUACAUGGCAAAACAAUGUGCUAGGAAUCAGAGUGAGAUUAGCACAAGGAUCAAGUACAUACCCUAGUGCGGCGAUGGACCUGCUACGGCGGCAACGACGGAGUCGAUUCCCGUUGACGGCGGCGGAGACCAGCGGCGGGAGGCAGAUGGCGACGAGGAGGACGAUCCAGUGACCCGAGGAGGCAAAGCAGGCUGAGCGCGGGCAAUGGGGUUCAGAGAAAUUUCCAAAUUUUGGCCCGGGGAUAUAUAUAGCCUGACCCUGUCGGUGUGACCGAGUGGAACAACUCGGUGGCACCGAGAUGCAUAACUGCAAGCAGUUACUACAACUCGGUGUGACCAAAAAGUUCAAAUCGGUUGCACCGAGAUUGAAAACCUAGAUCGACUUAGUGAUCUCGGUAUGACCAAAAUGGAUGAAUCGGUCAGAUCGAAAUGCACAAAGAAGUUUUGGAAGUUUAAGUCUAUGACGAAUCGGAGACUUCGAGUGCUCCUCACACAGAGUGGUUCGAAUCUGACUUGAUCAAACUUUGUGAUGUAGCAUAAAGUUUGAGACUAGAAAAACAUAGAUAGCUAGAGAGGAUUCUUAGGCAUUCUUGUCCAUCCACUUGGCAAAUGAAAAGAAACCAAAGAAUCAAAACAACAAGUGGAUGUCCUUGAAUGAGUAAAAUAUGCAAAUGACAUGCUCACACAAGAAAAUGACAAAUGAAAUAUGUGGCAAAGCAUGCACAACCAUUCUAGCAUAUAUCAAGCAAUUGGCGAUGACUAGGUCAUCUUUAUAUGAGUAUAUUGACUUAGGAGUCAAAUGAGAACAUUUGAUCAUAGGUCAUACUCAUCAUUUAAGCUCAAGUGGGGUUGCCACUUUUACAUAAUGCAUUGUUGUGUUCACACCAUUAGAAUUGCUUUAGCUCAAUUCUUAGAGUAAAGCUCCCCCUAGAUGUGAGAUCCCCCCUUAGGAGGGAUGAACUAACCUUGGGUUUUGUCGAUGAUGACUUCAUGUAGGUGUUGAAGAUGUGGAUGCUCAAUGUUGAUGUAGAUCAUUUGGAGCAAUCCUUUGGAGUGAGUUGCACUUUCAAUACCUACACGGGUUAGUCCCACGAGGAACAAACAAGGAUAUCCAUAGACAUAGAGUGAUGCACACACAAAAUGAUGUCUAUGAAAGCAUUAGGUUACCUUGUCCCUUGUCUUACCAACAAGAGGGUUUGUGACUCCUUGAACUAGUGCAAGAUGUGGAAGUUUAUUGCACUUGUCCUUGCCAAAAUGAUAAGAGUGAAGUAUGUUGGCGGAGUCACCCUCAAGAACUCUCUAGUUCUUCUUCUUCGGGAUCCACACCAUCUUGAUGGGAAUCCUUGGAGUUGUAGUCGUACUUGAUGAAGUAGAACUUGAUGUAGUCUUGGGAACCCACUUGACCAAGGCCUUGGGAGCUUCUUCAAAUGCAUCAAUCUCCUCUUGAAGCUUAUCCUUGUCUUUUUGCUUGUGGUCUUGUGGUGGAAGAUCAUCUUCAGCUUGUGUCCCUUUGAAAGAAGUAGGAUCAUACUUCUCUUGUUGAGGAACAAACUUCAUCUUGGGGUAUUGAUCUUCUUCCCACUCAACUCCAUUGGCAUUGAACUUUCGUUCAAAACCAACACCUUGGUUCUUCCGGUGCCUUCCUUGCUUGCGUACAAUUUCCUCGAAUUGCUUACUCCCGGCAAGGCUCUUGUAAACACCUUUCUCUAUAAUUCCCUUCAAUAAGCUAUUUUCUUGCUCAAGUGUAACUUGGCUAAGAGAAUCAUUAGUGGAAUCAAGAGAACUACUAGAAGCAACAACAUUGAAUUUAGCAUGAUUAUUGUUACUAUUAGAGGAAGAAUCCUUCUUGUUACUAGACUUGACUUGAGUCAUGUAAGUAGAUAAGAGUAAACGCUUGGCAAUGUAAGAAUAACUUUUCUUGCGGAGAUCAUCAUUGAUUUCCUUUUAAGAACUCAUGCUCUUGCUCAAGGUUGAGCUUUUCAAAGCGUAACUUCUCAUGAGUCCUUAAAAGUUCUCGAUGAUCUCCUAAGAUAGUUUCAUGAGCUAACUUAAGAGUGUUUAGUUCUUUAGUUAGAAGCUCAAUCUUCUCCUUAUCAUUAUCAUUCGUUUUAUCUUGAUUAACAUGAUUAAUUGACGUUUCAUCAUGGUAUUCAUCACUAGAGUUGUCAAUAAGUAAAUCAUCAUCACCUAACAAGUCAUCUUCAUCACUAUUGAAAUCAACAUACUCGGGGUGUGAUACCUUUGGGCCUUUAGCCAUGAAGCAUCUUCCAAGUCCUUCAUUUGGUGAAUCAAAUAUGUCGUAAGAGUUGGUUGACACAAGUGCUAGACCGGCAACACCUUCAUCUUGAGUAUGUUCGGAGUCGGAGUGGUAGCUUCUCUCGGAGUGAUUGUCAGAGUCGGAGCCGGAUACCCAUUCACCAACAUGAGCUUGAUGUCUUCAUUUUGUGUAGCUCCUUGAUGAAUUGUCCUUCCUUUCCGAAUCCUUGCUUCUCCGGGAUGUUCUUUGUUCAUAACGAUCAUCUCUACUCCUUCUCUCUCUUAUUGGUGAUUCUUCUCUUCUACUUCUUCUCUUAGGUCAUUCUUCUCUUCUCUUGUAGGGAGUCAUAUAGUCAUUGGAAUAGUGUCCGAGUCUUCCACAAUUGUAGCAAUUACGCUCUCGACCAGAAGAUCUUUUGUCAUUGUAGGACCUUGACUUGGAGCUUCUUUCCUUGCUUCUACUAUUGUAGAACUUGUUGAAGUUCUUCACCAUUAGGCUCAAUUCUUCAUUGAAGGUUUGUUUCUCACUUGAUGAUGUGGGAGCUUCACAUGAGGCUUUGUAAGCACCACUUGACUUAUUGUGGAGCUCCUCCUUAUCCUUGAGUGACAUCUCAUGAGCAACAAUUCUUCCAAUGACCUCCGUUGGCUUGAGAUUCUUGUAAUUGGGCAUCAUUUGGACCAAUGUGCACACGGUAUCAUAUUUUCCAUCCAAGGCUCUUAAGAUCUUCUUGAUGAUGAAUUUGUCGGUCAUCUCUUAACUUCCUAAGCCGGCGAUCUCAUUUUUAAUGAGAGCAAGCCUAGAGCACAUCCAACUUGGAUUCCUUGAUGGAGUCGGUACCUUCGUGCAUAUCAAUCAAAGAGUCCCAAAUUUCCUUUGCAUUCUCAAGACGGCUGAUUUUGUUAAAUUCUUCGGGGCACAAUCCGUUGAAGAGGAUAUCACAAGCUUGAGCGUUGUAUUGCAGCAUCUUCAACUCUUCCACUCUAGCUUCUCGGUUUGGUUCUCUCCCAUCAAAGAAUUCACCUUGCAAGCUAAUACACACAAUAGCCGAAAUGGCGGGGUUAUGUCCAAGAAUAUGCAUUUUCAUCUUAUGCUUCCAACUAGCAAAAUUAGUACCAUCAAAGUAAGGACCUCUACGGUGAUAGUUUCCCUCGCUAGACGCCAUACUCUCCUAGGUUGUGAAACCAAUGCUAUGAUUACCAAAAGCUAUGGAAAUCAAAGAAAAUGGAGACCAAAGCUUUGAUACCACUUGUAGGAUUGAAAGUAUGUCUAGAGGGGGGGUGAUUAGACUACUUGACCAAAUAAAAACUUUUCCUUUUCCCAAUUUUAGUCUUUGGCAGAUUUUAGCAAACUUAGCACAAGUCAAGCAAUCUUAACACAAUUCAAGCAAGCAUGCAAAGAGUAUAUGAGCAGCGGAAAGUAAAGCAUGCAACUUGCAAGAAUGUAAAGGGAAGGGUUUGGAGAGUGCAAACGCAAUAGGAGACACGGAUGUUUUUGUCGUGGUUCCGAUAGGUGGUGCUAUCGUACAUCCACGUUGAUGGAGACUUCAACCCACGAAGGGUAAUGGCUGCGCGAGUCCACAGAGGGCUCCACCCACGAAGGGUCCACGAAGAAGCAACCUUGUCUAUCCCACCAUGGCCGUCACCCACGAAGGACUUGCCUCACUAGCGGUAGAUCUUCACGAAGUAGGCGAUCUCCUUGCCCUUACAAACUCCUUGGUUCAACUCCACAAUCUUGUUGGAGGCUCCCAAGUGACACCUAGCCAAUCUAGGAGACACCACUCUCCAAGAAGUAACAAAUGGUGUGUUGGUGAUAAACUCCUUGCUCUUGUGCUUCAAAUGAUAGUCUCCCCAACACUCAACUCUCUCUCACGGGAUUUGCAUUUGGAGGAAAGAAGAUUUGAGUGGAAAGCAACUUGGGGAAGGCUAGAGAUCAAGAUUCAUAUGGUAGGAAUGGAAUAUCUUGGCCUCAACACAAGUGUAGGUGGUUCUCUCUCAGAAAAUGUAAGUUGGAAGUGUAGGUUCGUUCUGAUGGCUCUCUCUACGAAUGAAGAGGGGGUGGAGGGGUAUAUAUAGCCUCCACACAAAAUCUAACUGUUACACACAACUUGCCAAUCUCGGUGGGACCGAAGUGAGAAACUCGGUCGGACCGAUUCAGCAAAUCUAGUGACCGUUAGGAUUUUCGAUGGGACUGACUUGCAACUCGGUAGGAACGAUAUGGUUACACUACAAAAAAAAGACACAUCUGUGACAUUUUGGGCCGAAUGAAUUUUUUUCCUGUCAUACAUAUGACACUUCUAUGACGAUAAUUGUGACAGAACCCGGUAUCAUCAUAGAUGUGGUGGGCUCCUACUUCUAUGUCAAAAAAUCAUGACAGAAAAUGGGCUUCUCGUCUUGGGCGGGCCGGAGACGCAGCUGCAUGACAUUCUUUGGGCCGUCCAUGACGGAAAAAACCAUGGUAGAAGCAAGGGGUAGGAAAAUUUUGGGGAGUUGCCGGUUAUGGUGGGAGGUCGGGGGCUGAGCAAUGCACGUUUCUCUCAUAUACGUACGCGCGUGUGUGCGAGGCGUUGGCUCUAACUGAACCCGAGCGAGGCGUUGGGCUCUAACUGAACCUGAGCGAUUGCACUGCAGGCUACACGUUAUCGAACCCGAGCGAUCGAUCGAUGGCUGUUAACUGAACCCGAUGGAGCAAUUCCUUCGCUUCUGCCGAUAACUGAAGCCGAUCGAUUGGAUGAAUAGNNNNNNNNNNNNNNNNNNNNNNNNNNNNNNNNNNNNNNNNNNNNNNNNNNNNNNNNNNNNNNNNNNNNNNNNNNNNNNNNNNNNNNNNNNNNNNNNNNNNNNNNNNNNNNNNNNNNNNNNNNNNNNNNNNNNNNNNNNNNNNNNNNNNNNNNNNNNNNNNNNNNNNNNNNNNNNNNNNNNNNNNNNNNNNNNNNNNNNNNNNNNNNNNNNNNNNNNNNNNNNNNNNNNNNNNNNNNNNNNNNNNNNNNNNNNNNNNNNNNNNNNNNNNNNNNNNNNNNNNNNNNNNNNNNNNNNNNNNNNNNNNNNNNNNNNNNNNNNNNNNNNNNNNNNNNNNNNNNNNNNNNNNNNNNNNNNNNNNNNNNNNNNNNNNNNNNNNNNNNAGUAGAUGGUGGAGGGGUGGAUGAACAGUAGACGGUGGAGGGGUGGUUGAACAGUAGCCAGUGGAGUAGCGCGCGGUGGAGGCUGGAUGAACAGGAUCCCAUGGAGGCUGGAGGAGGUCGACGGUAGCCCGUGGAGGCUAGAGGAGGUCAACAAUGGAGAUGAACAGUAUCCUGUGGAUUCCCGUUUUGCGGUACGCCACACCCCUCCCGAUGAACAGGACCCCCGUUUCGACCGUAGGAGGCCUGUUUCCUCCGUUUUGCGGUACGCCACACCCCUCCUGAUGAACAGGACCCCGUUUCGACCGUAGGAGGUCAGUUUCCUCUGUUUUGCGGUACGCCACACCCCUCCCGAUCAACAGGACCCCCGUUUCGACCGUAGGAGGUCCGUUUCCUCCGUUUUGUGGUACGCCACACCCCUCCUGAUCAACAGACCCCACUCCGAACGUGGGUGGUCGAACACAAGGCCGUUUCCUUCGUUCUGCGGUACACCAGGCCUCGUUUCCAUCGCCUAUUCCGUCCAAGCCGGUUGGCUCCCACGCAUUCCGUUGCCUCCCACUGAACACGACGCAUUCUAUUGCCUCCCCAUGAACACGACGCAUUUCGUUGCCUCCCCAUGAACACGACGCAUUCCGUUGCCUCCCCAUGAACACGACGCAUUCCGUUGCCUCCCCAUGAACACGAGCCCUCGCCAUACGUAUGCACGACUAGGCGUUCGAGACCCCGCCCGUAUGUACACAUACAUGGCCGUAUUUUCUUUCUUGCACCCUGGCUGCUGUACGUACGUGCACAUGCUAUGUGCGUUCCUCUACUACGACACGUGCGCGCCUCUACAUCGACCAGUAUGUAUGUACACGUUCGCGACCAGGAUGACAAUGCUACAUAUGCUUCGGCCAGGUGGGUCCCGACUAUCAGGCACUUCCUUGCCUGUGAAGAUGUAGCUGGUGGGUCCCAGCAGUCAGGGGGGCGAAUCGUUUUUUUUACCCAGACGCACUUCCUUGUGUGCGAAGGUGUAGCUGCUGGGUCCCAGCAGUCAGGGGGGCAAAUCGUUUUUUUGCCUAGAUGCACUUCCUUGCGUGCGAAGGUGUAGCUGCUAGGUCCCAGCAGUCAGGGGGGGGGAAUCAUUNNNNNNNNNNNNNNNNNNNNNNNNNNNNNNNNNNNNNNNNNNNNNNNNNNNNNNNNNNNNNNNNNNNNNNNNNNNNNNNNNNNNNNNNNNNNNNNNNNNNNNNNNNNNNNNNNNNNNNNNNNNNNNNNNNNNNNNNNNNNNNNNNNNNNNNNNNNNNNNNNNNNNNNNNNNNNNNNNNNNNNNNNNNNNNNNNNNNNNNNNNNNNNNNNNNNNNNNNNNNNNNNNNNNNNNNNNNNNNNNNNNNNNNNNNNNNNNNNNNNNNNNNNNNNNNNNNNCUUGCGUGCAAAGAUGUAGCUGGUGGGUCCCGGCAGUCAGGGGGGCGAAUCAUUUUUUUGGACGCACUUCCUUGCGUGCGAAGAUGUAGCUCGUGGGUCCCAGCAGUCAGGGGGCGAAUCAUUUUUUUUGCGAAAUAUGGUGGCCCGUCCGGUGGGUCCCCGCUGUUAGGUGGAGGAAUAAUUAUUUUGCGCAUAAUAAGGAGGCACUUCCUUGCGGCUGCCGUGGACCCAGCUUUCAGCCUCUCCAUGUACAGUCCAUGUCCAAUGGAAGUGGUUGCUUGACCACGCCGCACCGAGAGCACCACGGCGGUGGACGACAGCGAGGCCUAGGAAGGGGACGAUGCAGAGCCGGGGAAGACGCGGCAGUGGAUGCACACGCGGAGAGGAGUAUGAGGGUUCACUGGUUCGGCUGCACUACCAUCACCGCAGAAUAACAGGGGGUGUGGGUGAGUGGAGGGAUGGCCUGGCCAGCGGUGGGAGUAGUAGGGGGCGGUGAGGCCUCCGCGGCAGCACAACCGGCCACAGGAGGCAGGAGCAGGCGGCACGACCGGCACUGCUUUGGGCGGCUAGAGCAAGAAGACCAGAGGUUGAAGAAGCACGACGGCCGUUGGAUGGACAUCAUACGAUCACUGCAGCUAGAAUCGUUUAUAUUGACUAAGUUAACAAAUCCCUUGGUACGUCAACUUAGUAGGCCCACAGGUCAGCUUCUGAAACUGUGCGCCCCAGAUGUCAGGGGGAGGAAUCAUUUUUUGGGCGGGUGCAGCUAGAAUAUCCGAGAUUGAAGAAGAAGCACGGCAUCCGUUGGAUGGACAUCCAACGGCCACUGCUGCUAGAACCGUGUGUUGACUAUAAGUUGACAAAGCCUUGCAUACGCGUCAACUCUGUUUUUUAGGGGACGCGUCAACUUAGUAAGGCCAAAAGUGUGUGGCAGAGAACUUAUAGCCCAUUUGAGAUUUGUAAGAAUGUGUAGCCCAUUUUUGAAUUCCAAUGGAAUUUAUUACAUCCCAUUUACAGUUUGUUAAAAGUAUAGCCCAUUUCAACCAACCGUUCAAAACAGAAUUCAAUAAAAUUUCCCACAUUUUGAUGGGAUCCGAAUAUUUUUAUCCCGAAAUUUCUAGUCAGAUUAAAUACAAUUUCAAUAUAAAUUUAUAUUACGUAAAAAUCCAACGAAACAUUGCGCUCGGAACAAUUAAUGAAAUUAAAAUUUUCAAUAUUCCAAAAAUAAUAUUUUAUAAAGUAAUCACUGUUUGGUGCAUUUUUUUAUAGUUACUACCCAGUUUUUCUAAUUACAUCCCAUUUAUUAUUUCUUAAAGCCCAUUUUCUUGUUAAGCCUAAUGCAUCCCUCAUCGGAAAGAUUUGCAUCCCAGCGGGGCAGAGAAUAACAACUUGACCUUGCCUGGGUAUUCCUCAAAAAAAAGUAUAGUUGGGCUAGCCAUUUUGAGCUUGAAAAAAUUAAUAUCUGGGCUGGAUAUCUGGCCUAGGCUAGACGGGCCACAGCCCGCCCAGUUAAUACCUGCAGCGAUGUUUUUGUUCUUGUUCAGAGGAGAAAAAUUAAUAUCUGGGGUAAACAUCAAAAAACUCUGCAGUGCUCACACCUAAAAAACACAAAUACUGCUCGAGCUGCUUGGUCCCAGCUGUCGGCCGCUUCUUGUGCAAUUCUCUCGUUUAUUGACUACUCCCUCCUUUCCGGUUUAUAAUGCUCAAUUCAAAAAUCUCACCAAUCAAAGUAGAUGGCGAGUGGUGGAAUACUUUUUGUAGUUUUGCAAAAGUACCUAAUUAAUGCUCUUGUUAUCCUCAAAAAAUUAUGUUUAUCAAUGCAUUAAUUGCAAUGCAUGCAUGCAUAAAGUACAUGCAUUGGUCAAUUUUCUCUUAAUACUUGCAUGCAAUGAUUUAAUGCACCUUGGAAUCUGAACAUGUGAUGGAAAACAACCAAAUUGAGCCUUAUAAAAUGGAAAAACUAAAAUUUUGAGAUAAGCCCUAUAAACCGGAAAGGAGGAGUACAUAGGUUGACAAUGGUGUGGGACCGUGAUGUCAGGAAACCUGGAGGAAGCAAAAAAAAUUAUAGUUAUAUAUAUAUAUAUAUAUAUAUAUAUAAUAAGGAGGCACUUGCGUACGUGAGGCUAUGGACCUGGUGGGUCCCCAUUGUCAUCCUAUCCAAGUAAAGUCAUCUCCUGGCCCGCGCACGCUUUCUUCCCGAAAGAGUCAGCAUCGGCCGCCCCACUUCCCGGUGCAGGCGAUUGCUCCGCCUUCAAACGACACAAGUGCCGUCCGUCCUUCCAUCUGCCGCACACAUUAAUGAUAUGCGGUUGCCGAGGAAGCUACUCCGACGCCACACGUCCGUCCCUCCGCCCGCCCACCAUUGCUAUAUAAACUGCUGCGCCGGCCAUAGCCGCAGUCAUCCGCAUCCGUUCCCUUUCUCCUGUCCACACCACUACUGCCCACCAUGGCUUCCUCGCGCUCCAGCGCUCUUCGGGAUGGGCGGACGAAGGACCACAAGGAGAUGGCAGCCAUUACUGCCGACCAGCUGGCCAGUAGGCAGCCGGAGGACGACGACGUCCCAAUGGAGAACAUGGUAGUCGACGAUCCGGCGCCAAACCCCUCCUCCGUGCCAUCCUCGCCGGUGCAUUGCACCAUGACCAUCGGCGAGGCCCGUGCCCAAUAUAUGGACAGGGUGAGGCAGAUGUGUGAGGAGCAGUUCCGGGAGGCGCAGGCUGACGGCGCCUACAACCACCAUCUCCUCCAGGAGCACCUGCGGGCGGAGGAGCAGAUCGCCGCGGAGCAGGCGGAGCAGGAGGCGCUGCUCGACUCGUACUGCUCCGCCCACAAGGUCCGCCUAGAGUGCUGGCGGUACCGCAUGCGGGUGGCGGACGCUGCGGCCGCCUACAAAGAGGCUAGCAAAGAGGGCGAUGAAGCGGGCGAGGCGCUGUUUGGCGAGACCGAGGACGAGGCAGAGGACAAUGCCGGCUCCGACGAGUCCCCGCUCUGCUGGCGUCGAUGACGCCCUGCUCCGCCGAGGCCCCGCGGCACCAACAACGAGGCAGAGGACACCGUCGGCUCCGCCGAGGCCCCACCCCGCCAACAACGAGGCAGAGGACAUCACCGUCUCAGCCGAGGCCCCACCCUGCCGGCAAUGUGGGGGAGAAUUUCCACUGCUCCGGUGAGGUGCCGCCCGCCGGCAACGAGACAGAGGACAUCGCCGGCUCUGCCGAGGCUCCGCCCCGCUGCCAACGAGGCCGCGCCACACAGAAAACAAGGAAGAGUAGAACACGGUAGGUCGCCGCCGCUCGGGUCCAAGUAAGGCCACCGCUGCUACCCUCCAAUUGAAGCCAAGCUAGGCGGGUUGACCAUUGACGGCCGGUUAGAUUCUUGGCGGCGACAUGGAGUCGCAGAGCUGCGCUGGAGAAGAACGUUGCUACUUAAAUGCUGGUGCAGUUGGCUGACUGACACGUGGGCCCAACAGGCCACAUGUCAGUUAUGCAACUGCACCUGUAGUUAAGUCACUGAAGCUUCUGUUCGGCUCAACGGGACACAGGUGGGUAGCUUCGGUUAAUUAAUUAUCCCUCCAGUGCACCCCUUUUUAGUUUUUUUUAGAAAAGGAAGAUGACCCCCGGCCUCUGCAUCUGGGAGAUGCAUGCGGCCACAAACACCCCUUUUUAGUUGAAGAAUGUAUGAAAUGUAAUGAAAUCCGGCAUGUUUAUAUGAAAUCCGAUCAUGUAUGAAUGAAUUUAUUUCGAUUAGUUCUAAUUCCUGUAUCACUGGCAUUGGAUGAACAUGUAAAACAAUACGUACUAGCAUUAUUCCCAGGGUGAUCACCACGUUUGCAGCAGUUUCACAUGUACUCCGUUCGGACCUUUCUAGUCUGCAUACAAGUUUUGUCUGCAGUCAAAGUAUCUCUAGUUUGACCAAUCUUAUACAAAAAAGUAUGCACUUUCACAAUGUGCGAAGUAAAAAGGAACAGAAGGAGUACACGGAGUUUGAGCAGCUUUUUAGCGUUUCUAUACAUUGCAAUCAAACACACAGGCCUGGCAAUUCAUAGAGAACAUUAAAAACAAUCGAUGAUUAUGCAUCUCAGCGACUCACAUGUCAGAGGCAAUAUUUACUUCACAACUAAAGAAUAAAGAAAAAGUUGAUCGCCGCUGCUGACAGCAAAGGGCGUCCCAAUUGAAAAUAUCAAACCCAUAUCUUGCUAAAAUCAAUGAGCAAAAUUUGACAAGGUUGUCCCAUUCCAAAAUAUCAAAUGCCUACGAUUGUGGAAUGGGCAGGGUUUGCCAUCAGUUCGGACAUUGACAUGGCACCUCGUGCUAAAUAAACUAGUUGUUCUUUUUGUGCAGUUCCACCAAAAUCAACCAAAUUCGCGCGUAGCUUGUAUGAUUUCGCCCUUAUAUGUGCAACGCCUUGAACUUAUGGGCACCUCCUUUCUUGUGGUGGAAAUGAAUGAUUUGAUGUAUUCAUGAACAUUUUGUGCAGUUCCCGUUGAAAUCAAGCUGAGCACCCCUGUUUGCACAAAUACAAAAAAGUGAUUAGUAUAAAGCAAACUGUACUAUGAAUUGACAGUUUCAACAGGCACAUACAUGGUCCAUGUAGAGCACACUUUUAGAAAAAUGGAACUCACCAGAAAGAAUCCUAGAACAACAUUGUACCCGCGCAUCACAGCAAAAAAAUGGAGAUUUGUCAGUCCUUCUAAGAUGAAGUUAGUUUGGUCUUGUGGGGAGUAAUGUAACCAUCCUUCAACUUCUCCUUCUGAUGAGAAGAUAGAUAGGGCUUCUUCAUCCUGGCAUAAUCGUAACUAGUCACUUCACGUACUCCAUAUUCUUCUUCAGAGGAAGAUGAUCCAUGUUUGCUCGAAAAAAGGAAAGGAAAUAUUUAAAACAUCACAGAUGAAGCACUUCUCAAGGACAAUACCACUUUUUCAUGACAGUAUCUAAACAGUAGCACAACACCAAUAGAGAUGACAAAGCUCAAUCAUAUGGAUGAAAUCAGUGGGUGAGUACCAACAUUUGUCAGGAGGCUGAUUGUGUAGAGCAUACAGAUGAAGCACUUCUCCAGAACUAUAAGUUGCUAUCUACGGGGUUGGCUGACGGAUUUCGGGUUCCGGCAGACCCACAAGGUUUGAACUCUGGGGUGCAUGCAGAGAUCACACACCCUGCCUACCCAUGUCUCAUCGCCUCGCAAGGAUCUAAACUACACGAAGAACAACACAGAGGACACGAGAUUUAUACUGGUUCAGGCCACCAUUGUGGUGUAAUACCCUACUCCAGUGUGUGGUGUGGUGGAUUGCCUCUGGGGCUGAUGAUGAACAAUACAAGGGAAGAACAGCCUCGCGAGGGUCAGUUCUUGGCUGGUGCGAUGAACUGCUAGGGUAGUUCAGUCGCCUCUCUCUCUCUCUCUCUCUCUCUGGUGUUGAUCUCUCUCUCUCCCCGAUGCCUCUUCUUCCCCCCUACCCUGGGGUGGCUAGCUCUAUUUAUAGAGGGAGGCCCUGGGCCUCUUCCCAAAUAUUGAGCGGGAAGGGCGCCAACAAUUGGCCAUUUUGAAGGGGAACAUCUAGUACACUUAUCCUGACUAAAGUUGGUCCUCGCCUGCCUAAGGCCCCUGAUGAUGACGCCUGCUUGGGCUCCAUGAUGACCUCCAUCCUGCUGUCCUGCUGGUCUUGGUCUUGUUGCACCGAAAUGGUUGCCUUUGCUUGAUACUCUCGCCUGCGCUUUCCCCCUUUGCACCAAAGAGGAAACAAGGACUCUGCGCAGGCCGGCGCCCGCCUAGCGCCCGCCUGGCCUUGGUCGUCAUGGCUUGCAUCAUGAGCACCUCGCGAGGUACCCCGCCUUGAUCUCUCCGCCUCCUUGCGAGCCAGCCUGACGAGGCCGUGCCUGAGGAAGCCUCCUGUCAUCCGCCCCGCUAGGCUUGGCCCCUCACGAGGGUCUUGAGCAUGAGUUGAUGAAGAUGGGCCGUACUGGGCGACUCCCGGAGCCACGCCGCAGGCCGCAGGCAGGCAAGUCUGGGUACCCCCGUUCCCAAAACGUCGACAGUAGCCCCCGGGCCCAAGGCGCGCCUGGACUUGGCUUAUCAGAGAAGUGAAGGGGCAAGUGCGAAGCACCGCGGGCCCCAAUAGCUUGCGGCCUUGGGCGCCGCAUGGUGGUUGAUUGGACGUGGGCGUCCCGGCUCCCCCAUGAUGCCUCGGCAACUGCACGAAUUGACAAGUCCCUGCAUGCAAAACGGGUCAUGAUUACCUGUGAUCGUGGAGGCCGACGAUUGGCCUCCCUCGGCUAUAUGUAUGGAACGGCACGAGCCCUUCCAAUCCAUUUCCUCCUGUUACUCUCCGUCUUCUUCUUCGUCCUCGCCCCUUCCUGUGCCGAUGGCACCGAUCCGUCGGUUUUUCGCUGAAGAGAAGGGGAAGGCCCCCCGAGAGGGUCCCAUCCCGCUUCCUCCGAAGAAACGGCUCGCCUCUUGCCGCGGGGAAGGGGGUGCUUGGCAGGAGGUGUCGAGGUCGUGGUUCGAUCGGCCGCCGUCGGGAUUCCCAUUACCCCUAUACGCCCGGAUCUAGGGUCCUGAAGGCGCAGGUGCCGAGCGGCACCGCCAGAGGCGCCGUCACCGCCGGCGGAUCACGACGGUGCACGUAGUUCCUCUUGGAGUUCACGCUGAGGGCUCUUCUCGCGAGCUCGUGCUUCAUGCUGCCAUGCCUCCUCGGUCUUGGAUUCGCCUCCCUCCUUCCUUCGCCUUUGAGACCCCGCCGAGGGGGCCUAUCGAGCUUUGGCUGCAGCAUGCUGACUGCAGUACUCCUGCGACCGAAAUAGAGGUCGAGGUCGUCGCUCUGGGCAGGGUCUAUCUGACCCGUGGCAGGGACGAGAUCGCCCGGCUCGGCAGGACUGGUGGCCCCCUCGUAAUCCACCUCGAGUACGACAGCGCCUCCCUGAUGUUCUUCAAGGUCUUCGACAUGGAAGGAUGCCAACUAGAGUGCUGCCUUGAGGGAGGCGGCCGGGGCCCUGCCGUGGCGAGGACUAGGCUCGCCAAUCUCUUCCCCAGCAGCUCCUCAGGCAGCAGAGGCGUCGGAGAAUCCAGCGACUCUGCCGAGCUCUUCGCGACUCCGGAGACGAGCGAUGACAGCUACGAGCCCCCGAGCUUGCGUCGCUCUCGGGGCAGGGCGGGCUCGUCAGGCCGCCAUCGCCACUGAUCUGUAUGGGGUUGGCGCCGGUGGCUGACUGCCCACUGUUGAUGAUGGCGUCUCUUGCAGAGGCGCGCAUAGUUUGCACUCUUUAGGAUUUGCUCCUUUAGUUCCCUGCGAGGAAUCGAAGAACACACCUGGUGGGGGUUUGUAAGGUGCUUGUAGUUCCAUUUGUUAAUAUGAUCCUUAUCGUGAAGCGGUGAGGGAUGCUCGUUCCAUCUUAGCUUAGUUUCUCCUUUUGAACCUCGUGAGGACUUGACGCUCUGCGCUAACAGGUUCCGGUCCCAAGGCGGCUUCAGCCGUCGCUGGUAUGCCAGGUCACGAUGCCGUGGUCAAGGCCAGGAGGUGAGCGGCCCGGGGUCCAGUAAGAGCCCCUGAGUCGCGAUGCUUAGGAGGUCCCCUUUAGCGCUCAAGCAGCCAUCGUUCGGUGAGAAAGGAGUGAGACGUUGCCAAAACGGAAUUGCAUUAAGUGUGAGGUCGGUGCUGCGAUAGCUAGCAUUUCCGGAGGGUGACUUAUCUCGGGGGUCAGAAGCCACUCCUUGGCGCGGCGCCAGGCUCGCGCGUUGGCAGCUUAGGAGUUGCCUAGCGAGGUCCCCACAUGCCUCUUCCCUCUCGACCUUGCUCCCCCUCGUGCUCUACGUCCUUAGGUCCCGGCCCUCGAGUGAGCUCAACCGUCGCUGGUAUGCCAGGUCGCGAUGCCGUGGUCAAGGCCAGGAGGUGAGGGCUGGAGAGCCAGUAAGAGUCCAUGAGUCGCGAUGCUCAGGUACCCCCCCUUUAACGCGCAAGCGGUUCGCGCAGGCGAGAGCGAAGGAGACAAUGCAGAGGCCUCACCCGACGCUGCUCCUUAAAGCGAUCCUGCGAGUUCAUCACAAAGGAAACGAGAGUUUGCCAUUACAAUUGUCGGCCAGCUGUUGGUUGCUCUGGGAGGGUGACGAGGCACUGAAGGCUUGGUGAGGUGGUGCCCUGUGUGGUUGCCGCGGCCAAAGCUCAGCCAUCCAGGUUUGUCGACGUUGCACGGACGGACCCAUGCGCAAGCGUCGUGCCGUAAGGGAGCAGCUCCAUCAGUUGGUGUCAAUCGAGCGGGCGAUUAAGUCAAGCACAUUAACCAUGAAGGAUUGAAUCCAUUUAGGUAGGUGCAGAAAAAAGGUGAACACCGCCUAGUCGGGCCCGAGCGGCUUGGGGAUAAUGCAGCCCGAGGGGCGCCCCCAAUAAAGUAAGCUAAAACAUGAAUUAAAGGGAGACAUGCCGCAGGGACGGACCCACACGGCCUGGGAAUGAUGCAGCCCUGGGGGGGUGCUCCUAGCUGAAAAUGAAACUCGGAGGAUGUCACCUGAUAAUGUUGAAGAUGAAGGGGUGCUGAAGUAGCGAACGGCGUGCGCUGCGGGAGACGAUCUUCAUGAGCCCCCAGGCCCAGGGGCCUCGGGAGGCUCUGGAGGCGUUGGUGGCUCCUCGCGGACCAUCUCCAUCUCCGCCAGGACUGCGGAAUGCCUGGCCACUUGAGCCUCUAGGAUGCUCCUCAUGAGGCGCUGACGCACAACAGCUGCGUUCGGCAGGCCGUACGGCAUGCGAACAUAACUGUGGGGUGGACCUUCGCAGCGUCCCACACGUGAGGUCCAGAAGCGCUCCUGAGAGGCAGCUCGGUUGAGUCCUGGUAUGUCGAUUCAGACGCGCAUCCCGCCAUCCUCGCCUGGAUGGGUAGCUACGACGGGUAAGCGGCAGCUGCCACUCAUGAUUCUUGACUCCUGCAGCUCCUGAAUGAUCUCGCUGACGAACUCCUGAGGGAAACAUGCUUUUAAGCAUGCCUCCAAGUGGUGCCCGAGCGCCUUCCUCGUGAUUCUAGCAAAGUCGAUGGCCCUCCAAGAGAGAGCCCCCGAGCCUUGCUCGAGGAGGGCGCCGGGCGCGCCUUCCCAUGCGAUAGAAGAAGGUGCCCCCUGAGCAGGCGCGUACCCUGAGGGGCCUGCCUCCCGAGGGGUCGGGCCAGGCGAUGUCUUCUUCUUCUUAGGAGCAUCCUCGGGAAGCCUCCCGCUCCUGUGAUCUGGGUCUUCAAUUGAUGCGGCUUGGAAAGCACAUUCUAGAGAACACACAGCGUCUCUCUCUUCACAAGGCACCGUGAUGACUCCACUGCUUCCUGGCAUCUUGAGGACAUUGUAGCCAUGAUGGGUCACGGCCAUGAACUUGGCCAGGGCUGGGUACUCGAGGAUGGCAUUGUACGGCAGGCGGAUGUGAGCGACGUCGAAGUCAAUGAGCUCGGUGCGGUAGUUGUCACGCUUCCCGAAGGUAACAGGAAGGCGGAUCUGCCCUAUCGGAACCGUGGAACCAUCAGUGACUCCUGAGAAAGGCUUGGUCGGUUGCAGCUGAUUGUAGGGCACUUGGAGAUUGUUGAACAUCUCGACGGAUAGGUGUAGGACCUUGAGAAGAGGUGUCUAGAGGGGNNNNNNNNNNNNNNNNNNNNNNNNNNNNNNNNNNNNNNNNNNNNNNNNNNNNNNNNNNNNNNNNNNNNNNNNNNNNNNNNNNNNNNNNNNNNNNNNNNNNNNNNNNNNNNNNNNNNNNNNNNNNNNNNNNNNNNNNNNNNNNNNNNNNNNNNNNNNNNNNNNNNNNNGACACUAAGUACCAAAGUUGCAGUUUUUAAGCUCUUUAAGUUUAAGUGGAGUUUAGGCACAAGUUUAACAUUCACAACACAUAACAAGCAAGCAUGCAAAGAGUAUAUGAGCAGCGGAAAGUAAAGCAUGCAACUUGCAAGAAUGUAAAGGGAAGGGUUUUGGAGGAUUCAAACGCAAUUGGAGACACGUAUGUUUUGGCGUGGUUCCGAUAGGUGGUGCUAUCGUACAUCCACGUUGAUGGAGACUUUAACCCAUGAAGGGUAACGGUUGCACGAGUCCACGGAGGGCUCCACCCACGAAGGGUCCACGAAGAAGCAACCUUGUCUAUCCCACCAUGGCCGUCGCCCACGAAGGACUUGCCUCACUAGCGGUAGAUCUUCACGAAGUAGGCGAUCUCCUUGCCCUUACAAACUCCUUGGUUCAACUCCACAAUCUUGUCGGAGGCUCCCAAGUGACACCUAGCCAAUCUAGGAGACACCACUCUCCAAGAAGUAACAAAUGGUGCGUUGAUGAUGAAAUCCUUGCUCUUGUGCUUCAAAUGAUAGUCUCCCCAACACUCAACUCUCUCUCAUAGGAUUUGGAUCUGGUGGAAAGAAGAUUUGAGUGGAAAGCAACUUGGGAAGGCUAGAGAUCAAGAUUCAUAUGGUAGGAAUGGAAUAUCUUGGCCUCAACACAUGAGUAGGUAGUUCUCUCUCAGAAAUGGUAAGUUGGAAGUGUAAGUUUGUUCUGAUGGCUCUCUCCAUGAAUGAAGAGGAGGUGGAGGGAUAUAUAUAGCCUCCACAAAAAAUCUAACCGUUACACACAAUUUACUAAACUCGGUGGGACCGAAUCAACAAACUCGGUCAGACCGAUUUAGUAAACCUAGUGACCGUUAGGAUUUUUGGUGGGACCGAAAUGCAACUCGGUAGGACCGAUAUGGUUAGGGUUAGGGAAUAACGUAAUCUCGGUGAGACCGAUUACACAAACUCGGUGAGACCGAUUUUGGUAAUUAGCUAACCAGAGAGUUGGUCAGGCAAACUCGGUUGGACCAAUUACUCAAACUCGGUGGGACCGAUUUUGGUAAUAAGUUAACCAGAGAGUUUGCAUUGUAAUCUCGGUAGUACCAAUUGAUCAAACUUGGUGAGACCGAUUUUGAUAAUGGACAUACACAGAGAGAUUACAAUCCCAUCUCGGUGUGACCGAGAUUCCUAUCGGUGAUACCGAUUUGCCUGGGGUUUGUGGCAGUGGCUAUGACAUCUGAACUCGGUGGCGCCGGAUAGAAAGAAUCGGUGGGGCCGAGUUUGACUUUAGGUUUAGGACAUAUGUGUGGAAAUGGGAAAGUAGUUGAGGGUUUUUGGAGCAUAUCACUAAGCACUGUGGAGCAAGAAACUCAUUAAGCAACACCUCAUCCCUCCUUGAUAGUAUUGGCUUUUCCUAUAGACUCAAUGUGAUCUUGGAUCACUAAAAUAUAAAAUGAAGAGUCUUGAGCUUGAAGCUUUAGCCAAUCAUUUGUCCUUAGCAUCUUGAAGGAGUUCCCACAUCCUUUAGUCCAUGCCACUCCAAUGUUGAACUUGUCUGAAAUACACUAGAUAAAAGUGUUAGUCCAACAAGAGAUAUGUUGACAUUAAUUACCAAAACCACCUUGGGAGCACUUGUGUCGGGGGUUGGGUGCGACAUAUGCCAACAGAUGGCUUAUCAUGGUGGGAGCGAGUAGAACAUCGUCGGUGCCAGGAAAUGGGAUGAGGCGAAGACAUGCACGCCGGCGGAUCUUACCCAGCUUCGGGGCUCUCCGGGGAGAUAACACCCCUACUGCUGCUCUGUGGGGUCUCCGCAUGAUCACUAAGGCGAAGUGACUACAAGGUUGCUCCUAGAGCUGUAUUCUGGAGGUAGGAGAAGGCAACACUAGCUCUCUCUUUCCUAUAUGAUCUGGUCUAAUGCUAAUGGAUUCGAACCCUUUGCAUGGGUGCCUUGGGGGGUUUAUAUAGGCCUACCCCCUGGGGGUACAAUGGUAAUCUGGCUGGGUGCGGGUCCCAGUCGUCUAUCUCUCAGGUCGCCGUCUUCUCCGCCGACUGCCGGGGCCCGCCGACUAGCGGGCCCCGCCGACGAGUCCGGCACUGUAGCCGUGCUUCUCAUGACACAGGCUUGGUCACGGGGUCGUGGCAACAGUGCCGCCGUCUAUCGGGCAAUUACUAUCGUCACUCCCCGUCUUGUCUGGUUAAUGGCGCGUGGGGCCAGUGGGAGAGGCCAGCCGACACUAGGGUGCCGUCUCCCACAGGGCCGCCUUCGGGGUGUAUCCGCCGUCUUCCAUGUUCUCACUGACCGCCGGGCCCGCCGUGUCUGAGCCGUACAGGUAGGCCGUCGUGGCCACAGUGCGCCGCCCACUGUGGCUGAGGUCAGGGUAGGCAUGGCAACAGUGCCGGGCCACGCCGAAGAUCUCCAGCAAUAUGGCACACUGUAGCCAUGCCGGCUGUCGGUGUCAAAACCGGCGGAUCUCGGGUAGGGGAUCCCGAACUGUGCGUCUAGGCGGAUGGUAAUAGGAGACAAGGGACACGAUGUUUUACCCAGGUUCGGGCCCUCUUGAUGGAGGUAAAACCCUAUGUCCUGCUUGAUUGAUAUUGAUAUUGUGGAUGUUUACAAGAGUGGAUCUACCACGAGAUCAAGGAGGCUAAACCCUAGAAGCUAGCCUAUGGUAUGAUUGUAAUGGUUGUUGUUGUGUCCUACGGACUAGAGCCAUCUGGUUUAUAUAGACACCGGAGAGGGCUAGGGUUACAUAGAGUCGGUUACAAUGGUAGGAGAUCUACGUAUCCGUAUCGCCAAGCUUGCCUUCCAUGCCAAGGAAAGUCCCAUCCGGACACGGGACGAAGUCUUCAAUCUUGUAUCUUCAUAGUCUUGGAGUCCGGUCGAUGAUGAUAGUCCGGCCGAUGAUAGUUCGGCUGAUGAUGGUAGUCCGGCUAUCUGGACACCCCCUAAUCCAGGACUCCCUCAGUAGCCCCUGAACCAGGCUUCAAUGACGAUAAGUCCGGCGCGUAUAUUGCUUGGCAUUGCAAGGCGGGUUCCUCCUCCGAAUGAUAGAAGAUUGUGAACACCAGGAUAGUGUCCGGCUCUGCAAAAUAAAUUCCACAUUUCACCGUAGAGAGAAUAAUAUGUACACAAGUUCAAUCUGCUGACAUUUUUUGCGGCAUGACAUCACGCCACCACCAAGCCAUUACUUGAAUCGUUUUUUACUCUACCCCCUCAGCGCAUUUAGCGAAGCGGUUUCCUUGGCACGUCUUGUCGAAGCAGAGAUCGUGUUCCCCCUUAAUCCAGGAUUCUCAUCAAUAUGGACGUGGGUAACCCAACCGCGCCAUUGAUGAUGACGCUUGGGGGAUAAGCGAGUUUUACCAGGCCGGUGGGGGACGCGUAGACUUCGCCCGCCCAUAUAAGGGAUAAGGAUUCACCUUUUCACCUAUGCCUUCUUCCUCCUUUGCUUAUCCAUCUCUGCGCACUCGAGCUCUAGCGCCCAAGCCCGCACAUCUCGUCUCAACCUUCCCCAGUUAUGUCUGGAGCGGGAGGCAAGUGGAUGACCUCCUCCGUUAUGGAGGAGCACAUCGAAAGACUGCGCAGCGCCGGCUAUCUGUCCGGCGACAUCGCGCACCGGCUGACUGACGAGGGGCAGCUCAUCCCCACCCCCAGGCCCCAUGAGAGGGUCGUUUUUCUUCCCCACUUCCUCCGCGGACUGGGUUUUCCACUUCACCCCUUUGUCCAGGGGCUCAUGUUCUACUACGGUCUGGAUUUCCAUGAUCUGGCGCCGAACUUCAUCCUCAACAUCUCGGCGUUUAUCGUUGUGUGCGAGGCCUUCCUCUGCAUCCAGCCCCACUUCAGCUUGUGGCUCAAGACCUUCAAUGUCAAGCCGAAGGUAGUGAAGGGCACUCAAGCGGAGUGCGGAGGCGCCAUGUUGGGCAAGAUGCCCAAUGUCCUUUGGUUCGAAGGGGCCUUCGUGGAAUCCAUCAAGGGGUGGCAAUCGGGGUGGUUCUAUAUCACCGAGCCGCGUGACCCUAAGUGGGCGGCGGCCCCCGAGUUCAGAUCUGGUAUCCCCAUGCAGCUCACCUCCUGGAAAGAGAAGGGCUUGCUAUGGGGUAGUUCGGAGGAGCUGACGGGACUCCAAGCCUGUAUCCAGAAGCUGGUGAAGAAGCUCAGGCUGGUUAACGUGGUCCAAGUCAUGCUCGUCCGCCGGAUUCUCCCAUGCUAAGAGCGGGCAUUCAAUCUGUGGGAGUUCAAUCCGGAACAGCACCAGGUGCUGAGCGGGCUCUUCGACACGACGUACGAAGGCGCCUGGAGGGUGCUGUUUAACGGCGCCGAAGCCCCCGCAUCCGCGACUGAAGAUUGCGGAUUUGGCUCGCAGCGCCGAGCCGACAAGGUAAGUGAUUCUACCCCUUUACGGGACACUUGCUUUUCAUAGUUUGACUCUAUGCGGGUUUUAAUUUCCCCUUUUCCUUUGACAGGACUGGAUGAGGAAGGCGGAGCAGAUUAUCUGCCUGGCUCCCAUGCCAGAAAACCCAGUAGACGCCCGUCUGGCGAGGCUGCUGGUUCCGGCACCGCACGUGGUGCCGAAGAAGAAGGCCAAGAAGGAGGCCACGGGUGCUCGAAAGAGUUCCCGUUUUCAGGUGUCUGACGACUCCGGGGCGGACUCCUCCCCCGAAAACGAGGAGGAGAAGGAGGAGUCUCUCCCAGAGGAGGGAGAGAGGAAGAGGAAGGCUUCCCCAACAGGGGAGGCCGAAGGGUCCAAGAGGGGAAGGACUAUUCCCCCGGACAGCUCCGCCAACAUGAACGUUGGCAAGGAAGAAUGGCCUUCAAGGGCCAGGCCUCCGGCGAGAUCGUAAGUAUCCGGAUUCCUGAAUGAUUUAUAAUUUCUUUUUCUGUGUCACAUAGUGUCAUUCUGAUGCCGCAUGCUGCCUGUAGUCCGGCCAAUGAUGAUCUCCCCGCUUCAUCGAGCGGGUCGUUGGCUCCGUCGGAUGUAGAUUCCAUCCCGACCGCCUCCACCCCUCGUGACACCGAGGACGCCGAGGUGGGAUCCCAAGAAGGGACCCAUCAGGGGGAGGCUCCGGAGGCGCCACAAGGCGUCCUCCCGGACUUUGCGCCGGACUCCAUAUCAGAACCCGCAGUGGUUCCGGAGUCCGGCCGGCGGCCCCUUAGCACGAAGGGCAAGACCGUGACACCGGCGGCUUCCGUCCAACCGGAGGCGCCGGACAAUUUGUUGGAGGCGCUCCAGAGCGCUUCCAUCGAGGAAGAACACCGCACUAUUAUGAGUGCGGUGAUUCAGAAGGUACAGCUUGCCAAGAGCGGGCUGACCGAAGCCUGCAGUAGCCUUCUAUCAGGCUUUGAGGUAAGAAGAUAAAAAUAUGCAAUGUAAUACCGCAUAGACAGUAGCCCCUGAUGCUCGGUUCGGUGUUCGGAAAGAAAAGCCGGACUGAGGAUCUGAAAAAAAGAAGAUAUACGCAUGGUUGCUAAAAAUUAUGUCAAUAUGGGUUGCAGGCUGCGCUGCUGACCUCUGCCGCACUGACUGCGGAGGUCGGUGCUUUGAAGCAGGAGCUCGAGCGGUCUGAGCAAGAGCUCGCCCGCGCCAAGAAGCAGCUCCAGGACAAAGAAGGUGAGUAACACCACUUUGAACUUGUACCUUACAGAAAAAGGAUUUAGGUUGCAACAAAAAAUAACAAGGAUAACAUGGGUACUGCAGGGGCCACGAACGAGGUGGCGACCCUGAAGGAGGCCGUGUCUGCGGCCGAACACAAUGCGGCCGCGGAACGGGCAGAGCGAGAAAAGCAGGAGGCGCGGGUGGCGGUGGUUCAGCAAGAGCUCCAGGCUCUCAUGGAAAAGCAUGAGAGUUUGGAGCGUGACUCAAAGACUCGAGAGUCCGAGCUUGCCUCGGCUCUCGAAAGUGCCAAGACUGCCAAGGCCGAUGCCCAUAAGUCCCUUCAGGAGAUUGAGUUGGUGAGGAUGAUAGCGGCGGGCAAGGCAUUUUUCAUGCAAAGCAAGCAUGUGAAUGUAAAUUACGUGUUACUUACCCGAAUUCGGAGCUCUCUAGGGGCGUUUGCAGAUCUGCCUUGCAGCGUGUCUGAUGCCGCCGCAUUCUACCGAGCCGAGGAGGGGAGCUCAACGGAGAAGGUCUUCUGGUCUCAGUAUGCUGAGGCCGGCCAUCCGGUGCCCCCUAGCGACCAGCUGAAGCAGCUGGUCGAGCUCCACAAGGCGGCCGAGCAAGCCAUGAAGGGCCUCAUAGUUCGGCUGUGGCCUGGAGAGGCCAUGCCUGGGAGCUACUUCGGCCUCGUGCGACAGUUGGUGGAUGCGUGCCCCUGGGUGAAGGUUAUCAAGCGCUCCGCCUGUAUUGAAGGUGCUCGUCGGGCCCUUGCCCGCGCAAAGGUGCAUUGGGGCAAGCUGGAUGCGGAGAAGCUAAUCACUGACGCGCCACCAGCGUGCAAGGAAUAUCGUAUGCCCGAAAUGUACUAUAAGAGUGUUCUGAAGGGUGCCCGCAAGAUUGCGGAUGAGUGCCCCAAGGAUGCAAUUAUUGAGUAAAUUCGCAAUGUGUUAUCCUGUGCGCUGAAAACUUUGUUCAUAUGCGCUAAGCAACGCUUGUUAAUUUAAAAUAUUACCUUCUGUGCGGCCGUUUAUUAAAUCUGAGAGAUGGCAAGUCGUCGGCUUCAGCCCCCAUGCCACGAGUGCUGGGGUGUUCGGGAUAAACUUGAGCACUCUUGUUCCCAUUUUUGGGUCCAUCUAGGGAGGCGCUCAACACAACGAACAAGGCAACCGGACUUAUAGUGCUUGAACACUCUCACUUAGCCAUAGAAUUCUAUAAUUUUAAAUUUCGGCGAAGCCCCUAGUAUUCGGAAGACCGAAUUAGGGGCGCUAUCCACGCCUUCGUCAGACAUUAUCCGGAACUUCGCUCGAAGCGGCGUAGGUCUUUAAGGACCUGAAAGGACCUCUCGAACAGCGACCAGUCUCUCGCCUUAUUUUGACAGUCAGUUUUAGCUUUCUCCACUGAGGCGUUAACCCGGCUCAACUGGGGCGCAAUCGCAGUGGUUCUCCCAGUGCUACCUUAGCCGAUAGAAUGGAACGUGAGGUGCCAAACAUGGGAGCCGGGCAAACCCAACUAUUGACCCAAGACAUGAUUCGGAGCCGAUUCAUAUAAUGCUAUAAGUUUGGGGUGCCGCACUUGUGAAAGUGUUCAGACUUUAUCACACCAUAAUGCGGGGAACAUAAGCCCCUAGUGUAUUUGGCCGUACCAAAAUGUACGGAUGCAACAUGUCGUAAAUGAACAUAUAUAUAUAUAUAUAUAUAUAUAUAUAAGGUAAUGCAAUUAUGGGCAAAAAGUGCUGCAUUUUAUUCGAGAAGAGCUGUUAUGAGUGCGGAAUGAUACAAAUAGUGCGGAAAGCAAGGGAUUGGACGAAUUAAAGGCGUCUCCCUCUAGGGGUAGGCCGCGGAAUGGUGUAUUUAACAAAUUUAAUGCUCGUAAUGGAGACCACCUGAGUGUUCGUCGCGACCUUUGUCCCUCCCUGGCUGUUGCAUCAUGAGUUCGGCAGGUUCGCCGCCAGACAGAGUUCUGUAUAAAAAAGAGAGAAAUAAAAGAUAAAAAGAUCGACACACUUGGGAGCCCCUGGUGUGGUCGAACCGCACUCUGGGUCUGUUGUGGUUGUGCCUCUCCCCCUAUGCCCAUGGUAUCUCCAGGGCGUAAUUAUGUACGCGGAGAGUUUGUCUUACAAUUGUGCGAGGGCUGGGGUUGAGGCCGCAUUGCUACGCGUGCUCGGAACGUGCCAGGUGGUCUUGGUUGAUGUUGCUCCGGGCGCGUUUGGCCGUGUCCGGUCGUUUAACGGCCGGACUCAAAAAUUGCCUUAAAAGGCUGCUCUGUACUUCUGCCGCGAGAGCCGCUGUAUGUUCCUCCGUUCGGAGGGAGCGUUCCGUGUUUCCAUUGGCCAUGAUGACUCCAUGAGGGCCUGGCAUCUUGAGCUUAAGGUAUGCAUAAUGCGGCACCGCGUUGAAUUUUGCGAACGUGGUUCGUCCAAGCAGAGCGUGAUAGCCACUGCGGAACGGGACUAUGUCGAAGAUUAACUCCUCACUUCGGAAAUUAUCCGGGGAUCCGAAGACCACUUCCAGUGUGACUGAGCCUGUACAACUGGCCUCGACACCUGGUAUGACGCCUUUGAAGGUUGUCUUUGUAGGUUUAAUCCUUGAAGGGUCUAUGCCCAUCUUGCGCACUGUAUCCUGAUAAAGCAGGUUCAGGCUACUGCCGCCGUCCAUCAGGACUCUCGUGAGGUGAAAUCCAUCGACGAUUGGGUCUAAAACCAAUGCGGCGAAUCCUCCAUGGCGGAUACUGGUCGGAUGGUCUCUUCGAUCGAAAGUGAUCGGGCAAGAGGACCAUGGGUUGAAUUUUGGGGCGACUGGCUCCAUCGCGUAUACAUCCCUUAGUGCACGCUUCCGCUCCCUCUUGGGUAUAUGCGUUGCGUAUAUCAUGUUUACCGUCCGAACUUGAGGGGGGAAUCCCUUUUGUCCUCUGUUGUUCGGCGGCCGGGUCUCUUCCUCGUCAUCGCUGUGUAGCCCCUUGUCAUUGUAUUCGGCGAUUAAUUUGCCUGCCUGCUUGAAUACCCAACAAUCUCUGUUGGUGUGGUUAGCUGGCUUUUUGGGGGUUCCAUGUAUUUGACAGGAGCGGUCGAGUAUUCGGUCCAAAUUGGACGGGCCCGGAGUGGUUCUUUUGAAUGGCUUCUUCCGUUGACCGGGCAUGGAGCCUCGGAAUCCGGCAUUGACUACCCUAUCCUCAUUGCUGUCGCCGUUAAUCCGGCGUUUGUUUUUGUUUCGACGCGACCUGCCAUUGCGGUCCUUGGUAUCUGGACUGCCAGCGUUUUUGCUGAGGUUGUUGCUGCGAGCUAGCCAGCUAUCCUCUCCCGCACAAAAGCGGGUCAUGAGUGAUGUGAGGGCUGCCAUGGAUUUCGGCUUUUCCUGUCCUAGGUGCCGGGCUAGCCACUCAUUGCAGAUGUUAUGUUUGAAGGCAGCGAGGGCCUCUGCAUCCGGACAGUCAAUGAUUUGAUUUUUCCUUGUUAAGAACCGUGUCCAGAAUUGCUGGACGAUUCGUCUGGCUGCUGGAUUAUGUGGCUUAGGUCCUCUGCGUCCGGUGGUCGCACAUACGUGCCCUAGAAGUUGUCGAGGAAUGCGGCUUCCAGGUCUUCCCAGCAUCCAAUUGACUCUGCGGGCAGGCUGUUAAGCCAAUGCCGAGCUGGUCCUUUAAGCUUGAGCGGGAGAUAUUUGAUGGCGCGAAGAUCGUCGCCGCGGGCCAUAUGUAUAUGGAGGAGAUAAUCCUCAAUCCAAACCGCGGGGUCUGUGGUGCCAUCGUAGGAUUCGAUAUUAAUGGUUUAAACCCUUCAGGGAUUUGAUGAUCCAUUACUUCGUCAGUGAAGCAUAGAGGGUGUGCAGCGCCUCUGUAUUGAGAAAUAUCGUGACGUAGCUCGAGAGAGCAUUGUCUGCUGUGUUCGGCCCGGCCGGAGUAGUUGUAUCCGGCACGAUGGUAUUCGUCGUGGGUCUUGGGGCACCCACGUGAUCCAUAGAUAGAUCUGGAUUGUCUUGCCUUGUCCUCCAAUAUAUCCCGCAAGUCUGACGCGUUCCCCCGUGACUUCAUGCUUUUUGAGUGAUGCCGGGGUACGAUUUUGGUGGAGGGCUUGCAUGCCUCUCUGUCGCGGCCACGAGGUGGUCGGUCUGCCGUAUUGUGCGCUAGUGAUGCAGGUUUGUAUGCUUCCUCCUCUAGUCGGGGGAGCAACUUGCAUUUUGGGUAACUUUUGGAGGGGCGUUCGAGUUCAUACUCUUCGGCCGCAAGGACCUCGGUCCAUCUGUCGGCUAGUAGGUCUUGAUCAGCUUGAAGCUGUUGCUACUUUUUCUUUAGGCUGUUUGCCAUGGCCGUUAGCCUGCGUCUGAAACGCUCUUCUUCAACGGGAUCCUCAGGCACGACGAAUUCGUCGUCGUCGAGGCUUGCCUCGUCUCCGGAGGGAGGUAAGUAAUUAUCAUCCUCGACCUCUUCGUCUGCCGCCCUCUCGUGAGGGCUUGCUUCUGCCUCCUCCUGCGCUGGAUCGUGCUGGAGGGGGUUGUCUUCGGCACUUUCCGGGGUGUUAUUAUCACCUGUGCUGGAAUCUCUAUUCUUGCUGUGGCGGGAUUUAGAGCGGCGCCGCUGAUGCCGGCGCUUGGGCUGUUUCUUUAAGGAAUCGGCCUCCGUUGCUUCUUCGCCGUCCCCAUCUUUUGGGGUGUCCACCAUAUAUAUGUCGUAUGACGAGGUGGUCUUCCAGUGUCCUGUAGGCACUGGUUCUUGAUAGUCUCCGGCAUCGUCGUCCAUACCGUCGAUGUCUUCGGAGUCGUAGUCUAGUACGUCGGUUAGAUCGUCGACGGUGGCUACGAAGUGGGUGGUGGGUGGGCUCUGAAUUUCUUCGUCGUCCGCGUCCCAACCAUCCUGGCCGUAGUUCGGCCAGGGCUCUCCGAAUAGCGAGAGAUGCUUCAGCGAAUUUAAGAUAUCGCCGAAGGGUGAGUGCUGAAAGAUGUCCGCAUCGGUGAAUUCCAUGAUCGGCGCCUAGUCGGAUUUGACUGGCAGGGGCGCAGGAGGUUCGGAGUCCGGCAGAGAGUCCGGCACCUCGGAGUCAUAAGCUUUAUGCGGGACAAGGUAAGUGUUCGGCUCCAUCGCCGUAGAAGUUGCAGCUCCCAAGGCGGUGUCCAGCCAUCCGUCCUCGAUCUGAGCGAUCGGCUCCGGACUAUGGGUCGGAGCGGAUUCGUGUGCGGCCUCCAAGGUGCUGUCCGGCGGCAGAGUUAGGUCGUGCCCAUCGUGACAGUGCGGCACGCUCGGCUGUGGCUAAGAUCCAUCGAAGAUCAAGUCCCCGCGGAUAUCGGCCGUGAAGUUUAGGCUUCCAAACCUGACCUGACGGCCAGGGGCGUAGCUUUCGAUCUGCUCCAGAUGGCCAAGUGAGUUGGCCCGCAGUGCGAAGCCGCUGAAUACGAAGAUCCGUCCGGGGAGAAAAGUCUCACCCAGGACUGCGUCGUUGUCGAUUGAAGAGGCCAUCAAGCCUAUCGGUGACGACACAGAGGAACUCUCAAUGAAAUCACCAAUGUCGGUGUCAAAACCGGCGGAUCCCGGGUAGGGGGUCCCGAACUGUGCGUCUAGGCGGAUGGUAACAGGAGACAAGGGACACGAUGUUUUACCCAGCUUCGGGCCCUCAUGAUGGAGGUAAAACCCUACGUCCUGCUUGAUUGAUAUUGAUAUUGUGGAUGUUUACAAGAGUGGAUCUACCACGAGAUCAAGGAGGCUAAACCCUAGAAGCUAGCCUAUGGUAUGAUUGUAAUGGUUGUUGUUGUGUCCUACGGACUAGAGCCAUCCGGUUUAUAUAGACACCGGAGAGGGCUAGGGUUACAUAGAUUCGGUUACAAUGGUAGGAGAUCUACGUAUCCGUAUCGCCAAGCUUGCCUUCCACGCCAAGGAAAGUCCCAUCCGGACACGGGACGAAGUCUUCAGUCUUGUAUCUUCAUAGUCUUGGAGUCCGGUCGAUGAUGAUAGUCCGGCCAAUGAUAGUUCGGCUGAUGAUGGUAGUCCGGCUAUCCGGACACCCCCUAAUCCAGGACUCCCUCACCGGCCCCUCGUAAGCAGGAGGUGAUGGCCACGCUGUGGUCAUACCCGACUCGCCUAUCAUGACGAGAGUGGAGUCGUGGGCCGACUCUUUAUAGCCGGCUUCUGCGGAAGUCGCCGGCCAUGAGUCGGCUUAUCUUGGAGUCGCCGUCUGGGACUCGGCUUAUCUUGGAGUCGCCAUCUGGGACUCGGCUUAUCUUGAAGUCGCCAUCUGGGACUCGGCUUAUCUUGGAAUCGCAUCUGGGAUUCGGCUUAUCUUGGAGUCGCCAUUUGGGACUCGGCUUAUCUUGGAGUCGCCAUCUGGGACUCGGCUUAUCUUGGAGUCGCCAUCUGGGACUUGGCUUAUCUUGGAAUCACAUCUGGGAUUCGGCUUGAGGGGCGCGGCCUGCCCCGAUGUCUUGAAAGGUUCUGGGGCUCGGGUUAGCCUACCCGUGGCCCAUUACUCCAACAGUAGUCCCCGAAGCUGGUGAGGCUCCAAGAGUGAUAUGUUGUGGGGCCUCAACAAUUUCAUUCUUCCGGUGGUGGAAUCUGGGCUUCGCUUGCCGUCUUCCUCCGGGCCGACUAUUCGAAGUCGGAUCCGCAGAGGGCGUCUUGCUCCAUAAAGAGUUCGAAAGUCGUGGCGGGAGACCAGGCGGCGUGCCUAAUAUGCUUCCCCGCGGCCGCCCACCGCGGUCCUAUCACACGGCGACACGCGGCGAAGACAGUCUGCUUGCCCACGCGUACGACGGGAUGAGCCAUCAGGCGGGGCCCGCCACUACUGCGCCUCGGCCCGCGAACGGAUCCGCUGCGACCGUGCGAAUGGUUGGGCUUCCCACGUUGUUACUGCGUGCAGUAACUGUGUGGGGUAAAUCGUGGGGGGGCAUGGGGUCCUGAGCGCAGUUAAUCCCACGCCCGCCCCAUCGGCUUCUCAGCCUUCAAGGCUAUAAGUAGGCGGGGGGAGUGGAGCGGCAAAGCACGCGCGCCCAUCUUCGCCUCUCCCUGCCUCCUCUUGCCUCAUCUCCUUCUUCUUGCCGCCGGCGAGCAGAACCACACCGCGCCAACAGUGAUGAGCUCUUCCUCCGCCGCCGCGGCUCCGGCCGUGCGCUCCGGCGUGUGGGACGGCUCGGAGGUAGACGACGACCUCAUCGAGUUCCUUCGCAAGACGCGCCGCCUCCCCGGUGCACAUCUCGUGCGAGCCCGUGCCGCGCCGGCGAGGGAGAUAUCGCCGGCGCCGGAGGAGGGCGAGCGGGUCAUCUUCCGCUCGCACCUCAUGCGUGGCCUGGGGCUGCCGGUGAGCGGCUUCUUCCGCUCCUUCUUGGAGUUUCACGGGCUCCAGCCGCACCACCUCACCCCAAACAUGGUGGUGCUGCUGUCCGCCUUCGCCACCCUAUGCGAAGGCUUUCUCGGUGUUCUCCCCACCAUCGAGCUAUGGGGAAUUUUUUUCUCAUCCAAGCUCGGCACGCACGUCGCCGGCGUGCCGGCUCAAUGCGGUGCCUUCAUUGCGAUGGGGCGAUCGACGGCCGACAACCCAUUCCCCUCCAUCUCGCUGAUCAAGUCGGUGAAGAUGUGGCAGCGGUCGUACUUCUACGUGAAGAACGUCGCCCCCGACGGUGACUGAGUCAAUCUGCCGCCUUAUGAAGCCAGGGCACCGGUUGGGUGGUUCCCCAGCUGGUCCCAUCGAGUCAAGACGCCGACUCCUGCCGGAGCCGCCGCCAUGGCUCGGCUCCGAGUUCUGACGCAGUCGGAGGGCCUGGUUGGGGCCGACUUGCUGGCCGCCUUCGUGGCGCGCCGAGUCCUCCCGCUCCAAGGACGGCCUCAUCUGAUCAGUUAGAUGAGCGACCACCGGGACCCGAGUCGGAUGUGCACCAAGGAGAUGCCCCGUGCAGAGGUGACAAACAUGGUGAACCACAUCGCGAACUGCGAGCUUGGGGAGGACUGGCAGUUCGGCAAGGAGCCGUACUCGCGCGCCAACCCCCCUCCAGUGGUAAGUCGCAUCUCUUUAUUGCUUUGUCUUCUUUAUAGCCGAAUCCGACUUCUGAUUUUCAUUGGUUUCUUCUGAACUAGAACCCCCUUAUUCAGCCCGCAGUCGGGGUCACAAGACCUCCCCGCGAGUUCGUCCCCGACCGAGCGGAGAGCGACAUCGACGACCACGACUUGGGGGCGGCGGCGAUGGAGGCCGACGCUGAAGGCGGAGGAGGAGGAGCGGGAAGCGGCCUCAGGCCCUCGGCCACCUUCGCCGACUGGCCUGAUGACGACGCCAAAGGGGAAGUCGUCCCGCGCCACCAGCCAAGGGUCGGCCCAUUGGGCGUGGGUUCCUUCGCCGGCCUGGCCGGCCAAGGCGGCGCGAAGAGGCGCCACGCCGGGCCGAGUGCGCCUGGCGGCAAGUCGAAGAAGUUCAAGGGGGCGGGCACCGCGACCAAGCGGGAGGAGGCGGCCGCAAAGGCCAACCGCUUCCGUAAGGAAGUGAAGAGGCCGCCGCUGGUUUCUGCGUAAGUUUCUCCGCCUUUGUCUUGUUUUCUUUGGGUAAAUCUUGUCCGAGUUUCUCUUUUACACUCCCCUAUUUUCUUCAGGGCCCCCCUUUCCCUUGAGAGGGUCAUCGUCCCCUCCAUCAUGGGGUCGGCAGAGACGUCCGCCAACACUCGGCGGGUUGACCCUGCCGCCGACCUCCGGGAGGCGACGGAGCGAAACGCGUGGGAGAAGCGCGACGAGGAGGAGGCCGACCGCCUGGAGAAGGCGGAGGCUGAGAAGGUGGCGGCCUCCGCCCAGAAGAAGCUAGAAGAGGUUGAUGCCGCCAUUGCGGCGAGACGGCCAGCUGAUGAGGCCACGCGUCGCCAACCGGCGUUGCUCGUCACCCCGCUGUCCUCCGCACCGCUGCCUCCGGAAUUCACGGGGCAGACCGGAGAAGCCAGCGCCGAGAACCCCAUCAUGGAGAAGGAGAGCGGUGAGGUCUCCAUGUCGGACACGCUUGUGCCUCCCCCGCCGCCUCCGCCGCCGUCUGGGAGGGCCCACGGCAAACAGCCGGCAGGCCCGCCGGUGCCGCCGACUGAAGACGAGGCCGUGGCGACCCUGCUCCUUUAAGUCGCCUCACCGGCGCGUCGCCGUCUUGAGAAGGCGACUUCGGCGCCGCGGCCCAUGGAGGUCGGUGCCAUUAGCUCGGCCAUCCCAGAUGCCGAGGCGACGAGCACCGCGCCCGUUGGAUGGGUGCGCGGAGGCGGCACGGGCCCGCUGAACCAGGCGCUUCUGGAUGUCCAAGUGAAGCUCCGAGCCGAGGGUGACGCCCUCCAGAUCUGCACCAAGGCGCAUCUAGCGUCGCGAGCGGCUGUCCGGGUACGUUUUCCUCUUUGAUUCUUGUCUUUCUUGCUCUUCUCUGUGCGGGCGCGCCAGCGCACCCACUGGGUGUAGUACCCAAGUUUCGGGCCGGCUACUGAGCAGGCAGCUCAGAACUCCCUCUGGCGAGUUCCAAGUAUUUAUCUUUGUCUGAAAUGUUCAUUACAGGAAUAUCACAACCUCCGCGCCACUGCCUUCAACCGCAAUGUCGAGGAGUUGAGCAAGCGGACUGCCGACUUGACGGAGAGUCGGAGUGAGUUUUUUUUCUUCUUCUUCGCGGGGGCGCGCUGGCGCACCCGCGGGCUGUAGUCCCCAAGAUUCGGGCCGACUGCUGAGCAGUCGGGCCGAAUCUUCCCAGCAAUCUUCUUUCUUGAUGACUCAAUGUCUCCUUCUUUGUUCUUCUUUUUCACGGGGGCGCGCUGGCGCACCCGUGGGCUGUAGUCCCAGAGAUUCGGGCCAACUGCUGAGCAGUCGGGCUGGAUCUUCCCGGCGAUCUUCUUUGCUGACGACUUACUCGUCUCUUUCUUUCGUUCUUCAGGGGCCAACGCCACUCUUCAGGAGCAGCUGGGCGAAGUCAACACCGCCUUGCGCGUCAAGGGGGAGGAGUGCGGCAGGCUUGCCGCAGAGCGCGACCUGCUGGCUGCGCAGCUGGCCGAGCAGAAGGAGCUGCUCAAGAAAGCGCAGGACGAGGCCGAGAAGAAGGAGGCUGCUCUCCUGGCCGAGUUCGAGAGUGAGCGCUCCUCCUGGACUGACAAGGAGGCGAUGCUGACCUCCGGCUUCCAUGAGAUCGAGGACAUCGUCGAUAGUGAGUUUCUUUCUUUGAAUUUCCGACUAUGUGUCAGGCUGACUUCUGAUUUUUUGACUUGCUUCUUUUUUGUCUUGGCAGACUUCUUCCCUGGCCACUCGCAGGCAGUCCCUCUGGCCAUCGAGGCUGAUCGUGAGGCACAGAGGGCGAACGGCACGGAGAUUGCCGCUAACGCCCCCCUGACCGUCGACGAACAGCUUCUGAGCAUCGAGGCCCGUCUUCGUCCGGCCCAUCGGCUGAUGCGUCGGCUUCAAUGUGACGGCGCCCAGGCGGUUGCCGCUCUGCGGCCAGACAUACCGGCCCUGCGCACCGCCAGUCGGACCGCCGACUGGCUGGAGGUCGCAGCCGGCCGUCUUGAAGCUUGGAAGGGUUCCUUGGCCGGGGCCGGAGCGCACCGGGCCUUGGAAUUCGUCAAGGUGUGGUAUCCGGGGCUGGACCUGGACCAUCUGGCCGUGUUCCGGUCAGAGGCCCAGGCCGAGCUAGAGGCUGUGGAGGGUGCCCUUGUCGAGCGUGCGGCGGCAAUCGCCAACUACACAGACACCGGUGUCUUCGUCCCUGAGCGGGCUGCAGGCGGCGAGGAGGUGCCGCCAGAGUGGUUCGGGAUGAACCCAUAAUAUGGCGAGGACUCGGCGGAGGUGAUUGACUCCAGCACCGAGGAGGAAGGCGAGGCGGAGGAUGAAGGCGAGACGGAGGCGCCAGAAGACAGAGCGGGCGACCAGCCUCAGCUCGACCACGCCUCUAGCAACAAGUCGCGUCCGACCGGGCCGACUGCCGCUGGCGGCGAUCAAGCCGAGACUGCCCAGCCGGCCGCCCCGGCGCCUGACACCACCCCCUCCUCCGACCCUCUGAACCCAUUUGCUGCUCCCUAGGCUGCCUUCUGGCUUUAUUUUAUCUGCUCUAGAAAGUCUUUGAGGAACUUGUUAAUUUGCACAAUUCCACCCUUGGGGUGUGUUUUGAACUUCUGUCUGAAGAUUCAGCCAAGGUCCUAUGCUAUGUAAAUAUUAAUCCGAGUUCUGUCCUUCCUUGCUCAUUGCUCCUUUGGCUUUUUCCUUUGCCGCCUUCCCCUAGUUGCCACCUUGUCAGCCGGACAACCGCUCUGCAGACUGCCGCUGGACCAAAUGCCUGGCUACUUUGGGGAAAGCAAGUACUUGCCAUUCAUUGGAGUUUAUUUAACAAGUUGGAUAGAAAGCGGCAAGCUGACUACUCGCGAGUCAGUUUGUGAAAGGGGGCUGGAAGCCGGCUUAAGCUAUGUUAAUGUUUUAGGUCCUUAGCCAUUUUUUAUGUGGACGCCCAUUCAUCCUUACUCUUGCCUACCGAACAGUCGCUCUGCAAGCUGCGGCCUCUGGCAGGAGACGGCUUAGGCGCCGCACACUACUUGUCCGACUUCAGGAAACAUUUCAUAGCGCCAGACGGCAAGUCCCUGGGUCGACUAGUCGAACCCGGCGCCAAGCGGCGUAGCAAGAAGUAGCAUACUCGAAGGCAUAAUUCUUAUCAUACAGAUAAUCAAAAGGGGCAGUCCCCGAGCUCGUCUCGGGGGGGCCGAAGUCUCGGUACUUUAAUACAAAGGGGUAGCGUGAUACAUACUGAAUCAACUGUAAAAUCUGCGAAGGAGGUUUGCAUUCCAUGGCCGUUCCGACUCUCUGCCGGAGUUGUCUCUCUUGCGUGCUCGGGGCUUCUGAGCGUCAAUCAGGUUGUAGGAGUCGUUGCCCAACAUUUUGCUGAUAAUGAAGGGGCCUUCCCAAGGUGCCGACAGCUUGUGCUGGCCAGCUGUCCGCUGGAUUAGUCGGAGCACAAGGUCGCCUUAUUGGAAAGAUCUUGGCCUGACCUUCCUGUUGUAGUAUCGGCGCAGGCUCUGCUGGUAGAUGCCGGACCGACUGAGGGCCAACAGCCGGCCCUCUUCCAGCAGAUCGAUGCCAUCUUGACAUGCUUCUUCUGCUUCCUCCUUGGUGUACAUGGUGACUCGCGGGGAGUCGAACUCUAUGUCCGUCGCGAUGACGGCUUCGGCACCGUAGACGAGGAAGAAAGGCGUGAAGCCGGUUGAUUUGUUUCGAGUCGUGCGCACACUCGAGAGGAUGGCUGGCAGCUCCUCAAGCCAAUAGCCGGCCGAAUGCUCCAGUGGUUCGACCAGGCGGGGCUUGAUGCCGGAUAGGAUGAGGCCGUUUUCUCGCUCCACCUGGCCGUUUGACUGCGGAUGGGCGACGGAUGCUAAGUCCAGUCGGAUGCCCUGCGUUGCGCAGAAACGGGCCAAGGCGCCUUUGGCAAAAUUUGUGCCAUUGUCGGUGAUGAUGUUGUGUGGUAUGCCGUACCGAGUUGUGAUGUCGGUGAUGAAAGUUACUGCAGUCGGACCAUUCAACUUCUUGAUGGGUUUUACUUCUAUCCACUUGGUGAACUUGUCCACCGCGACAAGCAGAUGAAUUAGGCCACCUCGUGCCGUCUUGAAUGGUCCCACCAUGUCCAGGCCCCAAACCGCAAAGGGCCAGGCAAUGGGGAUGGUCUUGAGCGUGGAAGCCGGCUGGAGCGGUUUGGAAUGGAACAUCUGGCACCCUUUGCAGUUUUGGACUAAUUCCUUGGCCUCUUCUAGGGCAGUCGGCCAGAAGAAAUCGUGCCGGAAGGCUUUGGCGAAGAGUGCCCUUGAAGCCGCAUGGUGGCCGCACUCGCCUUCAUGAAUGUCUCUGAGAAUUUCCUGGCCUUGUUCUGCCUCGACGCAGCGUUGGUAGACGCCAGUGACACUGCGCCUGACCAGCUCUUUGUUGACUAUGGUAUAGGCUGCCACUCGGCGUUGCACUUGCCGAGCCAGGAUUUCAUCAGCUGGCAGCUCUCUGUUUACUAGGAACUUGAGGAUGGGCUGGGCCCAUGAGGGUGCUGCUAUUUCUUCAAUUGCCACUAUUGUGACUUGGACAAGGGCGGCUGGGCUGGGAGGCAGCGGGCUGGGAUCCGCGGCCGCUUGCUAGAUCGGUGAAGUCCCCGGGCCGACUAACGCAGUCCCUGAGCCGAACUCUGGAGUCUUCGGGCUGACCGUCGCAGUCCCCGGGCCGGCUUCGACUGCGGUAUUCUUGGAGCCGUUUGUAAGAAUUCUUGUGCCGUCUGCUGGUGCUCUUGAGUCGGAUCCGACUUCUUCGGGGGGAGCCGGCACAAAGAUGGAGUCUGAUUCUGGUGAAGGCUUAAUAGAUGGCUUGAGGAGACGCUGAAGGGUGACGCCGGAUGGUACCGCUUGACGGGUGGAGCCGACUCGUGCCAGGGCGUCUGCUUGGUCGUUGUCAUUUCUUGGCACGUGAAGGAAUUCACACCCCUCAAAAUAUCCGCUGAGUUGCUGCACCAGGAAGCGGUAGCUCGCCAUGUUUGCAUCUUUGGCGUCCCAGUCGCCAGAUGACUGCUGGACCACCAAAUCAGAGUCGCCGUAGCACAGGAUCCGGCGGAUGCCGAGUUCUUUGGCGAGCCGGAGCCCGUGAAUGAGCGCCUCAUAUUCGGCAACGUUGUUGGAGGCGGCAAAGUGGAUCUGCAAUAAAUACUUGAGCUUGUCUCCUUUAGGGGAGGUGAGGACGACGCCGGCUCCCAAGCCGGUGCGCAUCUUGGAGCCAUCGAAAUGCAUCCGCCAAUGGGUGGAGUCGGGCGCUGGCGGCAGGUACUGGGUCUCGGCCCAGUCGACGAGGAAGUCGGCCAGUGCUUGUGACUUGAUGGCGGUGCGGGGCUGGUAGUAGAUGGUGUAGGGAGCCAGAUCUAUGGCCCACUUGGCCACUCGGCCCGAAGCAUCAUGGCUUCCAAUGAUCUCGGCCAGUGGAGCCGUGCAGACCACGGUAAUUGGAUGCUCUUGAAAGUAAGGCUUCAACUUCUUGGCGACGAAAUGCACACCAUAGUACAUCUUCUGGUAGUGGGGGUAGUUCUGCUGGGAGGUCGACAUUACCUCGCUCAGGUAAUAUACCGGUCUCUGGACAGGGAGCGCCUUGCCUUCCUCCUUGCGUUCAACUAUGAUAACUGUGCUGACUACCCGGCUGGUGGUGGCAAUGUAUAGGAGCAUAGGCUCUUUAGGAGUCGGGGCCGCCAGCACAGGGGGAGUAGUCAACAUCUUUUUCAACUGGAGAAAUGCUUCAUCUGCUUUGUGGUUCCACUCAAAAAAGGUGGUCUUCUUCAUUAGUUGGUACAAAGGGAGAGCCUUCUCGCCCAGCCGACUGAUGAAUCGGCUGAUGGACGCCAAGCAGCCGGUGAACUUCUGCACAUCUAACAGUCGGCGAGGGACUUGUAACGCCCAAGAUACAACUUUCCAUAUUCGUAACUCCAACUCUUGCCUUUUCCGGGGAUGCUAUAUGAUAUUUCCUUCGUGGUUGGGUUUUUGUCUGUUGUUUUGCAUUUUGUUCUUGUUAUGCAUCUCAUCUCAUAGCAUCAUGUGCAUCGCAUCCAUAUGUUUUCAUAAAACUUGCAUCCGUUCGGGUUUCCCCGGUUCUCUCCGUUGUUCGUUCUGAGCCCGACCACACUCGCACGCGCCCGCGGCACCUCCGAAAUAUUAUUUUAUAAGUGGAAUAAAAAUGUUCUCGGAAUGGGUUGCAACUUGUCGUGCGGUCUUAUUAUAGUGUAGAUAGGCCGCCUGCCAAGUUUCGUCGCAUUCGGAGUUUGUUUGACUGCCCAACCGUUAAACAUAGCGGCACAGUUGCCGGUUUAAACGUCGGACGUUUCGGUCUCCGAAACUACCGCCGGGCUGCACUUCUCUUCUCUCCUCUCGGCCCAACUCCUCUUCACAGCCCACUAGCACACCUGUCUAACCCCCUCCGCUCCGGACCGUUGGAUCGAGAUCCGAUGUCCGAAAACGGAGCAGAAGCCCCCUAGCCCUAGCCACCUACCCUAUAUAAUCAACCCCUAGUCCAUUUUUGGGCAUCUCCUAGCCCUUCCCCUACCUCCUAGCCCCUCCUCCUCAGAUUCUGCGCCUGACCACAGCCCCGCCGCCACUUGGCGCCACCGCCACCGCGCCCGGACCAACCAGCGCGCGUCCCCUGCGCCUCCACCUCGGCCUCGUCCCUCCGCCCGAAGCGCCCAGCCAGGUCACGUCGCCCUCACCAUCUCUCUCCAUCUCUCCUCGCCCGGCCUGACUUUCUCUCUCUCCCCGCAGGUCGCCGCCGCCAUGUUCCCCGGUGCCGGCCAGCCCCGCCGCCACCAGGAAUGAGCUCCCCGGGGCCAGAUCCGUCCGGGUCCGGCCGGGACCGCCGCCCCAUGGCCUCCUCCGCCCUCCGCUGCUGCCUCGCCGCCGGAGUCCUCAGCGCCGCCGCGCCUGCUGCCUGUUCCCCUGCUUCACGAACGAGACAGCGACGAGCUCGCUCGCCUCGCGUUGACCACGGCCGGGCUCUCGCGCAGCCACGCAAGGCCCAUCCCAGCUCCCUCGGCCUCCCCAGCCGCAGCCGCGUCGCUCCUGGGACGCGUCGCCAGCGUUCCAGCCUCGGCCCCUCCCCUCCAGGCCCAGCGCGUGGGCCAGCGCCCUGGCCCAUCUUCCCCGUGGCCUCCCAGCCCCUCCCCCGAGCCGGCCCAAGAGCCCAUGGGUGAGCAGCCCCAGCUCUGUUCAGAUUCGGCCCACAUAGUGUUUUUUUCCUGUUCAGCGAUUUUACUAAUUAUCCAGGGAAUUACAGAUUUGCAGAAAAGUCCCUAGAGUUCAUGCAUUUAAUAACUCAUCAACCGUGCAUCAUAUCAAAAUGUUUUAUAUAUGUAAAAUGCUCAGAAAAUUGUGUAGAUUAAUAAUAUGCCACUUUCAUCUAUGUUAAAAAUGUUUAACUUGUUGUUUGUUUAAAUUUGCUAAUAUGCCAUGUUAAAAUGCUUUAAUUCAUAACUAAAUAACCGUAGCUCGGUUUUAAAUAAACUUUAUGCGUAAAUCGGGUGGAAAAACGCCUAGAUUAACAAGGUCCACUUGAUUUUCCUAUUUAACAAACAUAAAAUUGUGUUUAGGGCAGAACAGGACCGAAUCUAAACUAUGCACAUGGGGAUUUUCCGGAAUUGUUGUUUGUUGUUCCGGCCUCAUUUAAACUUGUCUAGAUAGGUAGUUUUUCUCGUGCUUCACCCCUUGACAUGUUUAAUAACAUUUAAUAUUGUUUGGUAGCUUAAACAGGAGAGAACUAAAUAUUUGAUGUGGUGUUUUGUCAAUAUGCAACUCGUUGCAUAUUGAGCUCCACUUAACUUGUAGUAUUGUUUGGUUGCCUUUGCCAUGCCAUGCCUUAUUAAACCAGACAUGCAUCAUACUUGUUUGUGCAUCAUGCCAUGUUCAUGCUCGUGCAUUUACCAUGUUGUUUGUUUCUUUUCGGUGUUGCUUCUUAGUUCCGGUAAUGUUGCGUUCGUGAGGAUUCGUUCGACUGAUCCCGUUCGUCUUCUUCAUGGACUCGUUCUUCUUCCUUGCGGGAUCUCAGGCAAGAUGACCGCUACCCUGGAUCUCAAUACUAUCAUUUCUAUGCUAGUUGCUUCGUUCUAUCGCUAUGCUGCGUUACCUAUCUAUUGCUCUUCAAGCCAUCCCAAAUUGCCAUGAACCUCUAACCUUUGACACCUUUCCUAUGCAAACCGUUGUUUGGCUAUGUUACCGCUUUGCUCAGCCCCUCUUAUAGCGUUGCUAGUUGCAGGUGAAGUUGAAGAUUUCUCCAUGGUGGACAGGAUUUUGGUUGGGAUAUCACAAUAUCUCUUAUAUUAUUAAUGCAUCUAUAUAUUUGGUAAAGGGUGGAAGGCUCGGCCUUAUGCAUGGUGUUUUGUUCCACUCUUGCCGCCCUAGUUUCCGUCAUACCGGUGUCAUGUUCCCGGAUUUUGCGUUCCUUACGCGGUCGGGUGAUUUAUGGGACCCCCUCGACAGUUCGCUUUGAAUAAAACUCCUCCAGCAAGGCCCAACAUUGGUUUUACCAUUUGCCUCACCACCACCUAUAUUUCCCUUGGGAGUAAUUAACCCAAGGGUCAUCUUUAUUACAGCCCCCCCCCCCGGGGCAGUGCUUGUCUAAGUGUUGGUCCGAACCAGAGCCACUUGCAGCGCCACCUCGGGGAAACUCGAGGGCUGGUUUUAGUUGUACGUAGUGUUCAUCCGGUGUUGCCCUGAGAACGAGAUAUGUGCAGCUCCUAUCGGGAUUGUCGGCGCAUCGGGCGGUCUUGCUGGUCUUGUUUUACCAUUGUCGAAAUGUCUUGUAAACCAGGAUUCCGAGUCUUAUCGGGUCUUCUUGGGAGAAGGUCUAUUCCUUCGUUGAUCGCGAGAGCUUGUCAUGGGCUAAGUUGGGACACCCCUGCAGGGUAUAAUCUUUCGAAAGUCGUGCCUAUGGUUAUUGGCAGAUGGGAAUUUGUUAAUGUCCGGUUGUAGAUAACUUGACACCAGAUUCGAAUUAAAACGCAUCAGACGCGUGUGUAGCCGUGAUGGUCUCUUUUAGGCGGAGUCCGGGAAGUGAACACGGUUUCUGUGUUAUGUUUGACGUAAGUAGGAGUUCAGGAUCACUUCUUGAUCAUUGCUAGUUUCACGACCGUUCCGCUUGCUCUCUUCUCGCUCUUAUUUGCGUAUGUUAGCCACCAUAUAUGCUUAGUCGCUGCUGCAACCUCACCACUUUACCCCUUCCUUUCCCAUUAAGCUUUGCUAGUCUUGAUACCCAUGGUAAUGGGAUUGCUGAGUCCUCGUGGCUCACAGAUUAGUACAACAACAGUUGCAGCUACAGGUUAUGCGAUGAUCAUGACGCGAGAGCGAUGUUUGCUUGCGUUGAGUUCUUCUUCUGCUUCUGCUUCGAUCAGGGGAUAGGUUCCAGGUCGGCAGCCUGGGCUAGCAGGGUGGAUGUCGUUUGAGCUUCUGUUUGUGUUUCAUCCGUAGUUGGAUGUUGAUAUUGUGUAUGAUAUAUUGUUGUAUUCGUGUGGCAUUGUAUGCCUUAUGUAUGUAUCCCCAUCUAUUAUGUAAUGUUGAUGUAAUGAUAUCCACCUUGCAAAAAGCGUUUCAAUAUGCGGGUCUAUCCUUGGUGGGACCUUCGAGUUCCUUUUGGAUAGGGUCGCAUAUUGGGAGUGACAAGUUGGUAUCAGAGCCUCGACCGACCAUAGGAGCCCCUUGAUUGUUGGCUGUUGUUGAGUCUAGAAAAAAAACUAUUUUGAGUCUUAGGAUUAUAUAUAUAUCGGAGAGUAGGAUUCUUUUUACUCCUCAGUCCCUUCGUUGCUCUGGUGAGGUCUCCUGACGUAGAUGUUUUGACUUUCCUCUCCUCAAAUUUCACUAAAAAAAAUUUAGGAUCACGCGGGUAUCUUGGAAUCAUUUCGAUGGUUUUGUGACGAGAACAUUGUUCUUGGUGCCUCCUGUCUAUUUAUGUGGCUUUGACCAGGGGAGUCGAGCUUUGAGGUGUUGUCGUCACAAUUUUAUCGUUGCAGUUCUGGAAUACCUGAGAUUUGCCGACAUCGAAAAUCUCUUUUAUGCAGUUGUUGGUGAGAUAACCCCGAUAAUCCAGUACUGUGGGGAGUUCGGGAGUAUUGCCAUAACUCAUAUAACGGAUGCUUUUCGAAGGUUGAGGUACACGAUUUCCAGAGUUUUCUUGGUUAUGUGUUGACGGAUGGAUACAGCUUGGAUGUAGGUAUUGUUAGUUUGGGUGAGAUAUAUUGCUUCCCCUGUAUCCCCAACACCAGAUUGCAUAACCAGAAAGUUUUGGGAGUUUUAUAGGUGGGAAUUCAAGUAGCUCCUAGAAUAUCUUUUCGACAGAUGCAUAUGAGAUUGGGGUUUGACGUCUAGUGGUCCGCCUUUCCACGGUCGUUUUUACAGUGGUCUCGUUGUGUCUUAAAGAACCCUUGGCUAUGCUGGUUCGGGGACACUUUGUAUGUCAUGUGCACUGCCUUGUACAUGAUGGUAAUGUACAAUCGAGCCCGUGUGGGCCCCACCAUGAAAACUUCGGACGAAAUCUCUAUCAUAUGUUUGUUCCGGCUAAUUUUGCAAGCCAAAUCCUUUGUUUUGUUUUAUUUGUGGUAUUCGAGUUGCUUCGAAGUCAAGUGUUGAUUCCAUACCUUUCCUAAGCGGUGUUCUCAUAUUUCUAUGGGAGUGCUAAUCCUUUUGAUCAUCGAGAUUGUCAUGUCAAUUCUUUCCAACCGGUGUGCUUCUUUUCAAGUGGAUCCGAUCAUUUCAACAUUCGCAAGAUCAUCUCUCAGUUUCCCAACGUUGUUCGUUUCAUCCGUCCUCAAGUUGCCUUUGUUUUCCUGCCCUCCCACCCUUUUUCUUCAAGGACUCAUAUAUGUUAAUCAAGUAUCCAUGUAUUCAUGUGAAGUCUAUUCACUCUUUUCAAUCAAUGUUCUUACCCGGUGAUUAUCAUGAAGUUGGCCAGGAAUUUCAAGUUCGUCAUUCUUUGUUAUUUUCUUCUCCGGUGGUGUUAAUUCCAAGCUUUCAGUGUUGAUCAUAUUCUUUUCCUCAUUUCAAAUGAUAUCCCAUGCCGGUGCACCUCUUAAUCUUUCACUUCUCGCUAUUCAUUUGUUCUGGAGUGCUGAAGAUAUCUCAGAAGACUUGUAUUUCCAUUCUCAAUCCGUUCAAGAUAUUUCGAGGUUGUUAUCUCAUUCAAGUCAAGUAAUUCAACCGGUGCAAUCCCCCCUUUCAAUCAUUUCCAACGGUGUUUUAUUUUGAGUGGGCCCUAACCCACUGGUCUUUUCCCAGGAUCUUACCUGACUCUUCUAAUUAUUCUGGAGCUAUUCCCAAAUUCUUUUCAAAGUGUGAUGUAAGAAUGGAUCCCAUCAGUCACAUGCCUUCUCCAAGGCCGCUUUCAAAUUCUUUUCAUCGUUGGCUCAACCCCCUUCGCUUUUCAUUCUCCUGGAGUAUCUCAACAAUUCAUGGUGGUUCUCAUCAUCUUUCUCAACAUUUGUAGACCGAAGAAGGAUUUCUCUUAAAUCUUGGUCCAUUCUCUUGAAGAUUCAUAGUUCUAGCUUAUGUCAUCCUCUCAUAAUUGUUUUCGAUUGUGAGAAUUCUUUUCAUCCAUCCGGAGCAAUUCAAGAGUCUUUUCAGAUUGAUUCUCCGUAGCCCAUCAUCUCAGAAUUAUUCAUUCAAGCUUUCAGCUCUCGUUCUCCAAAUCUUAGCGGUACACUGCUCAAGUAUUCUCUAAUCAGCUCGUGAUCUCUUCGUUCUCUUGUAUCAAAUUCCCUCAAGUAUCUUCAUUCGUUCUCUAAUUCUUACCGGUGAUUCACCCCUUUACUUCGUUCGUUUUCAAUCCUUACGGUGGUUCGUUCCAGAUUUCUUUUCCUUCGUUAUCAUAUCAGUUCAUUCAUUGUUUCCAAAUCCCACCGGUGAUUCCAUCAAUAUCUUCUCAAGUUUGCGCCAUAUCUCUUUUAAUCCUUUCUAUGAGAAUAAGUAGUAUGCCAAAUCGGUUACUUGUCAACAAUUUAAAUUGGUGAAGGAUAGGCAUGACAUAAUUCUUAUUCUUGUUUCAUCCAAGUGAUUAAUUCCUUCUUCCGGAGAUUAUUCAUGAUGAAUAAAUUCUUGAUUACAAGUGAUUCAUCUUUCUUUCCGGAGUUGGUCAUCAUAUCACAUUCUCGGUUCGAGAGGCUUCAUCUUUCUUUUUGGAGCUCCAACCUCUCUCAAUUAUCUCAUCGCGAAGCUCCAUCUAAAUCAUCGCAAGGCUUCACCUUGUGUUUUCAACUUCUCUUUCUUUCUAUCAUCCUUUCAUUACCGGAGUUCUUCAUGGAAGCUCUACAUGGUGGUUCAUCAAGGAUUCUUUUCAUUCUUCAAUUGUUCUUCAAGAUUUCUCUUGAAGUUAAGAUCCGCCAAGCUUUACUCAAAAAAAUAAACAUGGUGCUCAACACAUGUUUUGUUUUGAGACGUUCAAGCAUUCUUCAUCUUGCAUUCUGAAGUGCAAUUCUUUCUACCUUAUCUUUUGUGGUGGUGUUAUGUCACUCUUGACAAUUUCCUUCAAGGUUCAUGAUUCAUAUUGUUAUCAAGAAUGAGGUAUUUUAAAUCCAUCAAUCUCUUUGUUGGAGUUAUCUUGGGUUAUAUUUCACCUAAAGCCUUCCCCUAAGAAAUAUUGCUAUUGUGGUGCUUAUCUAAGAUCCAAGUUUUCCUCCUAUCCUCUCGAUGAAAGAAGUUUUCAUCUCUUCGUUGCUCUCAAACAAGCAAUUGUUUUUCGUUAGUGGCAGAAUUUCACUUCAAGCGUUGAGAUGUUUCCAUAAGCCCACUACAAGUUUAUUCGUUUCGUUGUUGGUUUUCCAACAACUAUGUUCUAUUCUUCUUUGCCAGGAUGCUUUCCAAGCUGAUUUGUGGUACAAGUUGGCAUUUUCUUCUCCGCCCCUUUAUCCCAACAAUCUAGCUUCUAUUCUUUCGUUCCGAAGGCAUUGUGAUGUUGCUCUUUUCACUCAUCAUCUUGCUUUGGCAAGAUCAUGUUCUUCUCCUUGCUUCUCCAUUUAACCAGAGUGUGGUGUCAUCUCUUCAAGUUCUUUCAUCUUAUCAAGUUUUUCCUCUCUUUUCAACCUGAGUGCUGUCUGAAAUCCUUAUUACCCAUUGUGCCAUUUUUUCAAUACUUCCGGAGGCAGUGUGUUGUUGAUUUCAUCAAGUAUCUUCCCAUCUUCUCAAGUUCAUGUUCUAUUCCUUCCAUGUUCAACCGGAGUGCUGCCCGAAUUCUUCCUCUCUCCUCUUGUUUUAACCGGAGUGGUUUUGAAUUCUAUCUUGUCCAUUAAACUCUUGAUUCAUGCCUUUGCAACCUUCAAGUUAUCGUAAUGUUCCUCGUUCCUCUUUUCUAACGGAUUGUUGGCAAUCUCGUUCAUCUCUAAUUGCUCAACCUCUCAAGGUUUGUGGUUUCACUCAUUGGUCGAAGAAGCAACUUAGUUUUACCUCUUCUCUUCCUUUUCCCUUUUCCCUCCGGUGCCAUCCUAGAUCUCGGGACGAGAUCCUCUCGUAGUGGUGGAGUGUUGUAACGCCCCAGACACAACUUUCCAUAUUUGUAACUCCAACUCUUGCCUUUUCCGGAGAUGCUAUAUGAUAUUUCCUUCAUGGUUGGGUUUUUGUCUGUUGUUUUGCAUUUUGUUCUUGUUAUGCAUCUCAUCUCAUAGCAUCAUGUGCAUCGCAUCCAUAUGUUUUCAUAAAACUUGCAUCCGUUCGGGUUUCCCCGGUUCUCUCCGUUGUUCGUUCUGAGCCCGACCACACUCGCACGCGCCCGCAGCACCUCCGAAAUAUUAUUUUAUAAGUGGCAUAAAAAUGUUCUCGGAAUGGGUUGCAACUUGUCGUGCGGUCUUAUUAUAGUGUAGACAGGCCGCCUGCCAAGUUUCGUCGCAUUCGGAGUUCGUUUGACUGCCCAACCGUUAAACAUAGCGGCACCGUUGCUAGUUUAAUCGUCGGACGUUUCGGUCUCCGAAACUACCGCCGGGCUGCACUUCUCUUCUCUCCUCUCGGCCCAACUCCUCUUCACAGCCCACUAGCCCACCUAUCUAACCCCCUCCGCUCCGGACCAUUGGAUCGAGAUCCGAUGUCCAAAAACGGAGCAGAAGCCCCCUAACCCUAGCCACCUACCCUAUAUAAUCAACCCCUAGUCCAUUUUUGGGCAUCUCCUAGCCCUUCCCCUACCUCCUAGCCCCUCCUCCUCAGAUUCCGCGCCCGACCACAGCCCCGCCGCCACUUGGCACCGCCGCCACCGCGCCCGGACCAACCAGCGCGCGUCCCCUGCGCCUCCGCCUCAGCCUCGUCCCUCCGCCCGAAGCACCCUGCCAGGUCGCGUCGCCCUCACCAUCUCUCUCCAUCUCUCCUCGCCCGGCCUCACUUUCUCUCUCUCCCCACAGGUCGCCGCCGCCAUGUUCCCCGGUGUCGGCCAGCCCCGCCGCCGCCGGGAAUGAGCUCCCCGGGGCCAGAUCCGUCCGGAUCCGGCGGGGACCGCCGCCCCAUGGCCUCCUUCGCCCUCCGCUGCUGCCUCGCCGCCGGAGUCCUCAGCGCCGCCACGCCUGCUGCAUGUUCCCCUGCUUCACGAACGAGACGGCGACGAGCUCGCUCGCCUCGCGUUAACCACGGCUGGGCUCUCGCGCAGCCGCGCAAGGCCCAACCUAGCUCCCUCGGCCUCCCCAGCCGCAGCCGCGUCGCUCCUGGGCCGCGUCGCCAGCGUUCCAGCCUCGGCCCCUCCCCUCCAGGCCCAGCGCGUGGGCCAGCACCCUGGCCCAUCUUCCUCGUGGCCUGCCAGCCCCUCCCCCGAGCCGGCCCAAGAGCCCAUGGGUGAGCAGCCCCAGCUCUGUUCAGAUUCGGCCCACAUAGUGUUUUUUCCUGUUCAGCGAUUUUACUAAUUAUCCAGGGAAUUACAGAUUUGCAGAAAAGUCCCUAGAGUUCAUGCAUUUAAUAACUCAUCAACCAUGCAUCAUAUCAAAAUGUUUUAUAUAUGUAAAAUGCUCAGAAAAUUGUGUAGAUUAAUAAUAUGCCACUUUCAUCUAUGUUAAAAAUGUUUAACUUGCUGUUUGUUUAAAUUUGCUAAUAUGCCAUGUUAAAAUGCUUUAAUUCAUAACUAAAUAAACCGUAGCUCGGUUUUAAAUAAACUUUAUAUGUAAAUGGGGUGGAAAAACGCCUAGAUUAACAUGGUACACUUUAUUUUCCUGUUUAACAAACAUAAAAUUGUGUUUAGGGCAGAACAGGACCGAAUCUAAAAUAUGCACAUGGGGAUUUUCCGGAAUUGUUGUUUGUUGUUCCGGCCUCAUUUAAACUUGUCUAGAUAGGUAGUUUUUCUCGUGCUUCACCCCUUGCCAUGUUUAAUAACAUUUAAUAUUGUUUGGUAGCUUAAACAAGAGAGAACUAAAUAUUUGAUGUGGUGUUUUGUCAAUAUGCAACUCAUUGCAUAUUGAGCUCCACUUAACUUGUAGUAUUGUUUGGUUGCCUUUGCCAUGCCAUGCCUUAUUAAACCGGACAUGCAUCAUACUUGUUUGUGAAUCAUGCCAUGUUCAUGCUCGUGCAUUUACCAUGUUGUUUGUUUCUUUCCGGUGUUGCUUCUUAGUUCCGGUAAUGUUGCGUUCGUGAGGACUCGUUCGACUGCUCCCGUUCGUCUUCUUCAUGGACUCGUUCUUCUUCCUUGCGGGAUCUCAGGCAAGAUGACCACUACCCUGGAUCUCAAUACUAUCAUUGCUAUGCUAGUUGCUUCGUUCUAUCGCUAUGCUGCGUUACCUAUCUGUUGCUCUUCAAGCCAUCCCAAAUUGCCAUGAACCUCUAACCUUUGACAUCUUUCCUAUGCAAACCGUUGUUUGGCUAUGUUACCGCUUUGCUCAGCCCCUCUUAUAGCGUUGCUAGUUGCAGGUGAAGUUGAAGAUUUCUCCAUGGUGGACAGGAUUUUGGUUGGGAUAUCACAAUAUCUCUUAUAUUAUUAAUGCAUCUAUAUAUUUGGUAAAGGGUGGAAGGCUCGGCCUUAUGCCUGGUGUUUUGUUCCACUCUUGCCACCCUAGUUUCCGUCAUACCGGUGUUAUGUUCCCGGAUUUUGCGUUCCUUACGCGGUCGGGUGAUUUAUGGGACCCCCUCGACAGUUCGCUUUGAAUAAAACUCCUCCAGCAAGGCCCAACAUUGGUUUUACCAUUUGCCUCACCACCACCUAUAUUUCCCUUGGGAGUAAUUAACCCAAGGGUCAUCUUUAUUACAGCCCCCCCCGGGCUAGUGCUUGUCUAAGUGUUGGUCCGAACUAGAGCUACUUGCAGCGCCACCUCGGGGAAACUCGAGGGCUGGUUUUAGUUGUACGUAGUGUUCAUCCGGUGUUGCCCUGAGAACGAGAUAUGUGCAGCUCCUAUCGGGAUUGUCGGCGCAUCGGGCGGUCUUGCUGGUCUUGUUUUACCAUUGUCGAAAUGUCUUGUAAACCGGGAUUCCGAGUCUGAUCGGGUCUUCCUGGGAGAAGGUCUAUUCCUUCGUUGAUCGCGAGAGCUUGUCAUGGGCUAAGUUGGGACACCCCUGCAGGGUAUAAUCUUUCGAAAGCCGUUCGUGCGGUUAUUGGCAGAUGGGAAUUUGUUAAUGUCCGGUUGUAGAUAACUUGACACCAGAUCCGAAUUAAAAUGCAUCAACCGCGUGUGUAGCCGUGAUGGUCUCUUUUCGGCGGAGUCCGGGAAAUGAACACGGUUUCUGUGUUAUGUUUGACGUAAGUAGGAGUUCAUGAUCACUUCUUGAUCAUUGCUAGUUUCAUGACCGUUCCGCUUGCUCUCUUCUCGCUCUUAUUUGCGUAUGUUAGCCACCAUAUAUGCUUAGUCGCUGCUGCAACCUCACCACUUUACCCCUUCCUUUCCCAUUAAGCUUUGCUAGUCUUGAUACCCAUGGUAAUGGGAUUGCUAAGGCCUCGUGGCUCACAGAUUACUAUAACAACAGUUGCAGGUACAGGUUAUGUGAUGAUCAUGACGCGAGAGCGAUGUUUGCUUGCGUUGAGUUCUUCUUCUGCUUCUGCUUCGAUCAGGGGAUAGGUUCCAGGUCGGCAGCCUGGGCUAGCAGGGUGGAUGUCGUUUGAGCUUCUGUUUGUGUUUCAUCCGUAGUCGGAUGUUGAUAUUGUGUAUGAUAUAUUGUUGUAUUUGUGUGGCAUUGUAUGCCUUAUGUAUGUAUCCCCAUCUAUUAUGUAAUGUUCAUGUAAUGGUAUCCACCUUGCAAAAAGCAUUUCAAUAUGCGGGUCUAUCCUUGGUGGGACCUUUGAGUUCCUUUUGGAUAGGGUCGCAUAUUGGGCGUGACAGGACUUCCAUCCUCUCGAUGGCUUUGAUCUUUACAGGGUUGCACUCUAUGCCGCGUUCAGAGACCAGGAAGCCAAGGAGCUGGCCGGCUGGUACUCCGAUGACGCACUUCUCAGGGUUGAGCUUGAGCUGGAAUCGGCGCAGAUUCUCAAAGGUUUCUUGGAGAUCUUCCAACAGUGUCCCAUGCUUUUCCGUCUUCACCACCACAUCAUCCACGUAGACGUGGGCAUUUCUGCCAAGUUGCUUGAGGAGACACUUCUGCACGCAACGCUGAAAGGUGGCGCCGGCAUUCCUCAAGCCGAACGUCAUAGUCAGGUAGCAGAAGGCUCCAAACGGCGUGAUGAAGGCAGUCUUCAGUCUGUCUGCCGGGUUCAGCUUGAUCUGGUGAUAUCCUGAAUAUGCAUCUAAGAAGCUCAACAGCUCGCAUCCGGCUGUGGAGUCUAUCACCUGAUCAAUUCUUGCAGAGCAAAUGGGUCUUUGGGGCAAGCUUUGUUGAGGCUUGUGUAGUCGAUACACAUCUGCCACUGCUUGUUCUUCUUCAACACUAGGACCGGAUUCGCCAACCAUUCUGGAAAGAACACCUCCAUGAUGAAGCCGGCCGCUAGGAGUCGGGCUAUCUCUUCUCCAACAACUCUUCUCUUCUCUUCUGACAGGCGGCGCAAGGGCUGCCUGACGGGUUUCACAUCAGAUCGUACAUGUAACUUGUGCUCGGCGAAUUCCAUCGGUACACCUGGCAUGUCUUUAGGGGACCACGCGAAGAUGUCACGAUUCUCACGGAGGAAAUCGACGAGCUCGCCUUCCUAUUUGCUGUCUAGGUUUGCACCUAUGACAGCGUGCCUCUCCGGGUGCUUCGGGUCCAAAGGUAUCCUCUUUGUUUCUUUAGCCGGCUUGAACGAACCCUCAGCUUCCGACUCCUUGGGGUCAGGCGAUAUCUCUGGCUGCUUGCCGGCCAUCACCACAACCCGAUGAAGGAGCCGCCUCUCAGCUGCGAUCACCAGGGACUCGGCCAGCCGACUACUCUCGGCCGCGCAGGCGGACGACUUCCUGUAGUCGCCGGCCACAGUCAGAAUCCCCUUUGAACUCGGCAUCUUCAUCUUGAGGUAGGCGUAGUGGGGGACCGCCAUGAACUUGGCCAGAGCAGGUCGGCCAAGCAAUGCUUGGAAUGGGCUUUCAAGGUCCACCACUUCAAACCAAACUGGCUCUCGGCAGAAAUGAUCUUUGUCCCCAAAAAGGACGUCUAUCAGGAUCUUGCCGAUUGGUGAGCAGGAAAGGCCAGGUACGAUGCCGUGGAACACAGUUCGGCUGCUUUGAAGCUGUCUUUGUUUGAUUCCUAAUUUCUCCAUGGUAUCCUUGUAUAGGAUGUUGAUGCUACUACCUCCGUCUAUCAACACUCGCGAGAAGUGAGCGGCCCGCCUAUCUAUGGCCAAGGUGGCGCUUAAAACCAACGCGUAGGAGCCCGUAUUUGGCAUCACUUUUGGGUGAUCAGCUCUGCUCCAACUGAUAGGCUUCCCGGACCAAUGCAUAAACUCUGGAGUAUCUGAUGCCACUGCAUUAACUUCUUGCUGCUGCAGCCGUCUGCUACACCGAUCAUUAGCCACAUUGGUGAACACUACAUAAGCUCCAUGCUCUUUUGGGUACUCAUCUUUUACGGCGCCGACUGGCCUGGCAGCCGGCUGCUGGGGCAGUGGUGGAGGCAGCGGCCCAGCAGGCGGAGGGGGAAGGAGGCCGUCUCCCUUGGCGAUUCUGGUGAGCCAGUGGCAUUUCCGGGUGGUAUGGUUUGAUGGCUUCGCGCCGCUGUGGAACUUGCAGGGACCAUCCAGAGUCUGCUCGUAAGAGAAGGCCGGCAACCAGUUGGACUUGCCGCCUUUCUGUCGCUUCGCCGGAGGCUGCCCCUCAGGCUGUUGGUCUUCGACUGUCGCAACCUGUCGACUGCUGGAAGUUGGUUGUGGGGCCUUGUGCUUAUGAUCAUUCUGCUGCUGUCGCCGACUGGUGUCUCCAGCUGGAGUUCUGGGAGCUUGAGGGGCCACUUUGCCAGUCGCACUAACUUGAAUAUCUGUCUUCAUGGAGGAGUCGGUUGUUGCAUACUUGUCUGCUAUGACCAGCAACUCGUCGAGGGUCUCUGGCUCGUCGCAGAGGAGCCUGUGCUUGAGGAGGGUGCCUUCUUUGCACCCGGCGGUGAAGUACUCGAUAGCCUGCACCUCGUGCACGCCCUCGCAGAUGUUCCGAAGCUUGCCCCAUCGUGUGAGGUAGUCACGAGUCGACUCGUCUUGGCCUUGCACGCACAAGGAAAGCUAGCACGGCUUGGGGGGUCGCUUGUACGUGCCUGUGAAGUUGCGGAUGAAGGCCUCGGUGAAGUCAACCCAACUGUUGAUGCUGCGGGGCUUCAAACUUUUCAACCAUGUCCGGGCCGUGCCCUGGAGCAUGAGUGGAACGUACUUCACGGCAACACGCUUGUUGCCGUUUGCUAUGUUGACGGUUGUGGAGUAGUCGACUAGCCAAUCUUCCGGCUUCACGGAGCCGGUGUACUUGGGCGUGUCUCGGGGGAGCGUGAAUCCUUUGGGAAAGGGCUCAUCUUGGAUGUGGGGUCUGAAAUAUGGCGGGCCCAGCUCGUCUUCUUCUUCCAGCGCCAGGGAUCGGUGGAGUCGGUCGAUCCGGUGGCGGGCAUCAUUCUCUCCGACUCCCUCUCGACGGCCAAGGCGGUCGCCGAGAGUCGUGUGCUCAACAGGCGGCGGGGAGACUCGUCUUUCUCUUUGUGGUUGGGGAGGCAGGUAGUCGCCUUGCCAUUCCACUGCUCUUGGGCGGCCGUCUUGGUCGCGCUCGAUGGUGAUGCGAGUCCGACUGUGGCUGACAGCCGGAUCCUUCUCUCUUCUUCCGCGGACUCCUCCAGUCGGUGUCCGAGACGUCGCGCCUUGAUCUCGGCGGGGAGGAAAGCCGUCGUUUUGUCGUUGCGGCGCCUCCGUGCGGCAGCCGUCUUCGUUCUGUGUGGCAGCCGCUUUGAGGAGCCGCUGGACUCGCUCGGUCAUUAGGCGGCGCUCUUCGCCUUCGAAGUUAUCUAGUUCGUCCGCUGCCGCCUGGGUGGCGCGGAUGUUCUCCGUAGGCGUGGCAUACACGGGGCGAUCGGCUCCGAACAGGUUGGCGAUGGCCGCGCCGCGCCUAGGCGGCUAGGCCCAGUCGGAGUUGGCGAGCCGCCCACAGCGCGAUCCAUCGCACAUUGGUAGGCCUCUGACAAGUGUCUCAUGCUUGCCAGCUUCUUCGCGCCUUCGAUGAGCUGAAGGCGGCAUGCCUCCAGCGUCUCGGCGUCAGCGUCCUCCAGAAUGGGUGCUGUCAGGUCUCGCAGAGCCGCAUCGAGUGGGUCGUGAGCUCCCUCACCGGAGUGCUCGUCAUGACUGAUAACGAGCACCUCCGUGAUGGCACUUCCGCCGCUCUCCUCGUGAGGGAGCGGCUCGUCGUAGAUCACCACAUUGGUGGGGAACGUGUCGAGCGACACGUUGUCGGAGUCGACCAGCAUCGGGUCGAUGGAGCCUACAGACUCCAAGUCCAUGGCGGGCUCGCCGGUGACGUGGAGAUGGUCGAGGAGGCCCGCGAGGAGGCUUUCGAGGCCGCCCGUGCCCGCAUCGGAUGCAGGCUCGUCGGAGAUGCAAACCUCGCCAAGAAGAUCAGCGAGGCAGCUCGCCGUGCACGCAUCAUCGAUGCCUUGCAGCGCGUCGGGGCAAGCGCCAUCGGGCGUGCCGGGCUGGCUAUGCUCGCUGGGGAGGAAGAGGGUUCCCGUCCAGAGCAGGUCUCCGGACGAUGGUGCACCUCGCCCCAUGGUGGGCGCCAAAUGUCGGGGGUUGGGUGCGACAUAUGCCAACGGAUGGCUUAUCAUGGUGGGAGCGAGUAGAACGUCGCCGGUGCCAGGAAACGGGAUGAGGCGAAGACAUGCACGCCGGUGGGUCUUACCCAGCUUCGGGGCUCUCCGGGGAGAUAACACCCCUACUGCUGCUCUGCGGGGUCUCCGCAUGAUCACUAAGGCGAAGUGACUACAAGGUUGCUCCUAGAGCUGUAUUCUGGAGGUAGGAGAAGGCAAGGCUAGCUCUCUCCUUCCUAUAUGAUCUGGUCUAAUGCUAAUGGAUUCGAACCCUUUGCAUGGGUGCCUCGGGGGGUUUAUAUAGGCCUACCCCCCGGGGGUACAAUGGUAAUCUAGCUGGGCGUGGGUCCCAGCCGUCUGUCUCUCAGGCCGCCGUCUUCUCCGCCAACUGCUGGGGCCCGCCGACUAGUGGGCCCCACCGACGAGUCCGGCACUGUAGCCAUCCUUCUCAUGACGCGGGCUUGGUCACGGGGUCGUGGCAAUAGUGCUGCCGUCUAUCGGGCGAUUACUGUCGUCACUCCCCGUCUUGUCUGGUUAAUGGCACGUGGGGCCCGUGGGAGAGGCCGGCCGACUCUAGGGUGCCGUCUCCCACAGGGCGGCCUUCGGGGCGUAUCCGCCGUCUUCCAUGUUCUCACUGACCGGCGGGCACGCCGUCUCUGAGCCGUACAGGUAGGCCGUCGUGGCCACAGUGCGCCGCCCACUAUGGCUGGGGUCAGGGCAGGCAUGGCAACGGUGCCGGGCCACGACGGAGAUCUCCAGCGAUACGGCACACUGUAGCCAUGCCGACCCCUCGUAAGUAGGAGGUGAUGUCCACGCCGUGGUCGUACCCGACUCGCCUAUCGUGACGAGAGUGGAGUCGCGGGCCGACUCUUUAUAGCCGGCUUCUCCGAAAGUCGUCGGCCAUGAGUCGGCUUAUCUUCGAGUCGCCGUCUGGGACUCGGCUUAUCUUGGAGUCGCCAUCUGGGACUCGGCUUAUCUUGGAGUCGCCAUCUGGGACUCGGCUUAUCUUGGAAUUGCAUCUGGGAUUCGGCUUAUCUUGGAGUCGCCAUCUGGGACUCGGCUUAUCUUGGAGUUGCCAUCUGGGACUUGGCUUAUCUUGGAGUCGCCAUCUGGGACUCGGCCUAUCUUGGAAUCACAUCUGGGAUUCGUCUUGAGGGGCGCAGCCUUCCCCGAUGUCUUGAAAGGUUCUGGGGCUCGGGUUAGCCUACCCGUGGCCCAUUACUCCGACAACUUGUGCUUUCAAUCUCCUCCUUUUUGGUAAUUGAUGACAACAUACAUCAAAGCUUUAGGUAAAGGUAUAAAGAAUAGCAAGUAAAGCUUUAGAAAGACAUGUAACAAGCAUAAGCUCCCCCUACAUGUAUGCAAUCAUGUGAAUAUGAAAUAUAGAAGCAUGUGAGAGCAUAUCCCUGAUAGAGCAGGCAAUGUGUUACAUGUAUCUUGGCCAUAUGCAUCAGAGCAAAAAGUAUUAAAGGAAAUACCUUCAUGCCCAUGAGUCCUUCUUGCAAACAGUAUGUACAUCAGCAAGAAUUCCUCAUAAACAUGAUUGUGAUGCAUAUACUUACCUUGUAGUCUUGAGUUGGCUUAGGAUGGAAUGAACCUGUGUAAACAAGGUUAGGUAACACAGAUACAUCUACUAGCCAGAGCAAACAGAAGAAACCACAAGAAUACCAAGACUGGGAUGACAUGUAAAGAGUGAGUGCUAAGUACCACAUUGGAUUAGAAAUGUCCCCAAGAGUAAAGAUAUGCAAUGAAAUUAAAUGAUUUCUUUCCCUUAGAUGUCUUGAUCCCCCUGAAUCUAGCAUGGGAUAUUGGGAGAAGAUAGGGAACAGAAAAUCAGAGCUGAAAGAUAUAAAUGAACAGAGCUAAUGCAAACUAAUGCAAAUAAGCACAUAUGAACAUGUCUUUCCCCUCAAGAAGACAUGUGGCAUCUCUCCUCUUGAACACCAAGCAUCUGGGAUCCUUGAGAAAUACUUUCUACUUGAGUAUUCUCUCCCCCUGGAGAUCUCUUUCUCCCCCUGAGGAGGUGAUAUAUACUCUGAUGUGAUCUCUCUCUAAAUGAUAAGCUUUGAUGUGAUCUCUCUCUCCCCCUUUGACAUCAAUUUCCAGGAAGGGUUUUCUGGAAUCUGUCGAAUGGGUUUGGUCCUUGAGUCACAGCACAAAGCAUUUAUAAAAAUGUGAUGCUUGUAGAGGACAAGAUUCAUUGAGUGGAGCUGGAUCAGAAGAAACAAAGAAUAAGUGGCAAACUGUUUUUCCUGUUGUGAAGUCGGUGGCACCGAGUGGUAUGCUUCGGUUGUACCGAAAGGAUUCGGUUGGACCGACAAUAACAAAUCGGUGGAACCAAGUUCAUCACAGAGAAAACACUUGUCACCUCAGCUCACGAGACUAAUAAGAUCUCACAAAGAUUUGCAAGGAAUUAACUGAAUGAUUUGCAAUGAAUUGGAUGCAGAAAAUGCAGAGCAAAUAGAAACAAAUCUAGAUGAAGUUUUUUUUGAAACGGGAACCAAAUAUGCAUGAGACAAAUGCAAAAACACAGAAAAGAACACAAGAGAACUUCAUCUAGAGAUGGUCGGCGACAAAGUCACCUAUGUUAGAGUAUAUUGACUUAGGAGUCAAGUGAGAUCACUUGAUCAAAGGUCAUACUCAUCAUUUAAGCUCAAAAUGGGGUUCCCAUUUUUCGUUUAAGCAUCUUGAUGUAUUCACAUCUUGUCGAGUUGCUUUAGCUCAUGACUUAGAGUAAAGCUUCUCUAAGAUGGAAUAACAUACUUUGGUUGGUGGUGUUGUCCAUGUAGUUGAACUUGUGUGGCUUGCUCAAGGUUGAUGUAGCUCAUCAAGAGUUGGGAGCACCACUUGGAAUUUGAGUCCAUCUACCUACAUGGGUUGGUUCUUGCAAGGAAGAGCACUUGUGUAUCCAAAAAUGACAAUCACGAAGCUCAACAUAGAAUUUGUCAAAGGAUAUGUUUGAGUGGUUUCGUGCUUCCUUGGCUUCAACCACCUUUGUGUAGAGACUUGGUGAUGUAGAGAUUGCUCAAGAUAUGAGUAGGUUACAACCUCAUGGAAUUAGAUUCAUCCAAGUACCUACAUGGGUUAGAUAACAUGCAAGAUACAAAUAUAUCCAAGACACAAGAUUUUCAUCAUAAGAGAGAUAUCAAGGAUUAGUCAUAAGCUCAUGUCUUGCAUGUAUCCAAUGGAGUUUCUACUCCAAUUUCGAAGCAUCAAUGAUGUUCAAUUCUCCUCUUAACCUGCAAAACACUUUCUCAUCAAGAGGUUUAGUCAAUAUAUCUGCUAAUUGCUUUUCGGUGCGAACAUGCUUAAGAUCAGUGUCACCCUUAGCAACAUGAUCUCGAAUGAAAUGAUGACGAACUUCAAUAUGCUUAGUUCGAGAAUGUUGCACAGGAUUAUGACCAAUUUUGAUAGCACUUUCAUUGUCACAAAGCAAUGGAACAUGUUUCACAUAUAUCCCAUAAUCUUUAAGAGUUUGGGUCAUCCAAAGUAAUUGAACACAACAUGAACCAACGGCAAUGUAUUCCGCUUCAGCAGUGGAUAAGGAUAUCGAGUUUUGUUUCUUGGAGGACCAAGACACAAGAGAUCUACCAAGAAAUUGACAAGUACCCGAAGUGGACUUUCUAUCAACCUUGUCUCCGGCAUAGUCCGAGUCGGAGUAGCCAACAAGAUCGAAAGAUGCCCUCUUAGGAUACCAAAUGCCAAAAUUUAGUGUAUGAAUUAAGUAUCUCACUAUCCUUUUCACGGCCUUAAGAUGACAUUCUUUAGGAGCAGCUUGAUAUCGUGCACACAUGCACACACUUAGCAUAAUAUCGGGACAUGAAGCACAUAGAUAUAACAAUGAACCAAUCAUAGAGCGAUAAACCUUUUGAUCAACCGGUUCACCAUCUUUGGUUAAGUCAAGAUGUCCACUAGUAGGCAUGGGUGUAGUCAUACCUUUGCAUUCUUGCAUAUUGAACUUCUUGAAUAAGUCCUUGGUGUACUUCGUUUGAGAAACAAAAGUACCUUCCUUAGUUUGCUUGAUUUGCAACCCAAGAAAGAAUUUGAGUUCACUCAUCAUAGACAUCUCAAACUUCUCCUACAUUAGCUUCCCAAACUUUUCACUAAAAUGAGGGUUAGUUGAACCAAAUAUAAUAUCAUCAACAUAAUUUUGGCACACAAAGAGUUCUCCAUUAACCCUUUUAGUAAAAAGAGUAGAAUCAAUUUUCCCAAUUUCAAAGCCUUUUUCAAUAAGGAACUUGGUCAAGCAUUUAUACCACGCUCUAGGAGCUUGUUUAAGACCAUAAAGGGCUUUGUGAAGUUUGUAAACACGAUUUGGUUUCUUAGGAUUGACGAAGCCGGGAGGUUGAUUAACAUAAACUUCCUCCUCUAUUUCACCAUUUAGAAAAGCACUUUUAAUGUCCAUUUGGUACAAGGUGAUAUCAUGAUGAUUAGCAUAGGCAAGUAAGAUGCGAAUGGACUCAAGUCUAGCAACGGGAGCAUAAGUCUCACCAUAGUCCAUACCUUCGACUUGUGUGUAGCCUUGGGCGACGAGAGGUGCUUUGUUGCGAACUAUUUGUCCAUCUUCAUCUUGCUUGUUGUGAAGCACCCAUUUGGUACCGAUGAUGUUGUGGUUGUUGUCGGGCUUCUCAACCAAUGUCCAAACUUGGUUCCUCUCAAAGUUGUGUAGCUCUUCAUGCAUAGCAUUUAUCCAAUCUGGAUCUUCCAAUGCUUCUUCGACCUUCAUAAGUUCAAUGCUAGAGAUGAAAGAAUAGUUUUCACAAAAGUUAGCUAAAAGAGUUUUAGAGCGAGUGAUUCUCCCGGUUUGAAUAUCAUUGUAGAGUUGCUCGACGGGAUGGUCUUUAGCAAUUCUUGCUCGAACUCGUGAAAGCUUUUGCUUGGAUCUUGGUUGAAUUUCUUCUUCAUCUUGUUCUUCUUCUUGGCCUUCUUCAUUGUUGGCGUUGUCGUUCUCUUGUCGUGGUGGAGAAGGAGGUUGUUGACAUUCAUCUUGAUGCACUUCCUCGUUUUCUUCAUCUUGGUGUGUCCCACUUGUGGAUGCUUCCGUAUCAACUCUUGGUUCACCUUGUCGUGAAGUAGAAGCUUCCACUUGGACGGACGAGGUACUCUCCUUCACCUCCGUUGGAUGGACCUUGCCAAUAGACAAGUCUUGGAUUGCUUCUGAAGGAUCUAUGUCUCCUACAUCAAUUGGCAAUUGCUCUACUUGCGAGCCGUUAGAUUCAUCAAACUUCACAUCUAUCGUCUCUUCAACCUUUCGGGUGAAAUUGUUGUAGACACGGUAAGUGUGAGAGUUUGAGCCAUAACCUAGUAGGAAACCUUCAUGAGACUUAGGAUCAAAUUUAGAACGACGAUGCUUAUCAAGAAUGUAGCACUUUGAGCCGAAUACUCGAAAGUAUCCAACUUGGAGUUUGUUACUGGUGAGGAGCUCGUAUGCCGUCUGGCCGAGUAGCUUGUGAAGAUACAAGCAAUUUGUGGCAUGACAAGCUGUCUCAACCGCUUCUGCCCAAAAGUGCUUCGGUGUCUUGUACUCAUCAAGCAUCGUUCUCGCCAUUUUGAUGAGUGUCCGGUUCUUCCUCUCAACAACUCCAUUUUGUAGAGGUGUGUACGUAGCCGAGAACUCGUGUGAAAUCCCUUCUUCGUCAAGAAAGGUGUCCACAUUUGCGUUCUUGAACUCCGUUCCGUUGUCGCUAUGAACCUUCUUGAUCUUCACUUCGAAUUGGUUUUGGGCCUUCCUAGCGAAGUUUUUGAAGAUCUUUUGGACCUGCGAUUUAUCAUCGAGAAAUAACACCCACGUAAAUCUUGAAAAAUCAUCAACCAUAACUAGACCAAAAGAAUUUCCAGCGAGACUCUUGUAAGAGUUGGGACCAAAAAGAUCCAUGUGAAGUAGCUCGAGUGGCCUCCUUGUGGUCAUGAUGUUCUUCACGGGAUGCCUUCCUCCAACCUGUUUACCUGCUUGACAAGCACUGCAAAGUCUAUCCUUAUCAAAUAUGACAUCGUUAACACCAAGGAUAUGAUUUCCUUUAAUAAGCUUGUCAAGGUUUCGCAUACCAUCAUGACCUAUUCGUCUAUGCCAUAACCAACCUUUUGAGGAUUUGGCAAUGAAGCAAGUUUUAGGUUGAGCCUUUUUAGUGAAAUCAACAAUGUAUAGAUCACCUCUACGUAUACCGGUAAAGACCAUUUUAUGAUUGUCUCGAGGAAACACUUGGCGAUCUACUUCAGUAAAUAGGACAUUGAAACCGAAAUCAGCAAGUCUAGAUACUGAAAGUAAGUUGUAACCAAGAGAUUCAACGAGCAUAACAUUUUGUAUGGAGCUAUCAUGUGAUAUGGCCACCUUACCGAGACCAACCACCUUACCCUUUGAGUUGUCACCGAAAGUGACAUACUUUCGAGGACCAUCAUUCUCAGCAAGCUCACGAAACAUGUCUUUAUCUCCGGUCAUGUGAUCGGUGCAUCCACUAUCAAGAACCCAUUCCUUUCCUCCUGACAUAUAUCCCCGGAGAUUUGCCAUAAGACCAAAAUGUCUCAUUGCAUCAUCAAGAUCGAAGUCACUAUCAUCAUCCUCAUCAUAGUAUCCAUGUUCAACAUCAUCAUGUGGUGGAUCAAAUCCUAGAGAGGGUGAUUCGUUAGAGUGAGUUUGACAAUGAUCUUGUCUAUGAAUUUUUAUAGCUUCGGAAAUAAUAUCACUAAUAAUUCCAACAUCUCCUUUGGCACGCAUAAGGUUUGUAAGUUCAAAUAGACGAUCACCAAACAUAGGAUCACUAGUAUUCAUCUUACUCAAAGCAAUAGACUUAUGGAGAAUUUCAUCUAGAUUUUUCAAGGAAUAAUUUGGAAAUCGUUCCUCAAGAAAUUUCCAUAUAGUGUAGGCACACUCAAGAGUAGGCAAACAUCCAAUCAGGUUUCUAGGCAAUCCUCUAAUAAUAAGUUCGGCAGUUCUAAGAUUCCUAACCAUGUCAAUUGACUCAUCAAGAGUAGGAUGCAUAGGAUCAACAUGAGGUGCACAAGGGCUAACAAUAUACUUGUUCAAAUGAUAUUGAUUGAAAAUUACAAGCAUCUCAUUUUUUUCACUCAUGAAAAUACUCCCCAUCAAGAAUAGGCACUCUAUGUCUAAGACUCCCCAAAGUAGACUCAUCCAUCUUCCUCCAAUGGUGAUUAAACCAAGGCAAUGGAGACCAAUGCUCUGAUACCACUUGUAGGACCUUGAGAAGAGGUGUAGAGGGGGGGUGAUUAGACACUAAGUACCAAAGUUGCAGUUUUUAAGCUCUUUAAGUUUAAGUGGAGUUUAGGCACAAGUUUAACAUUCACAACACAUAACAAGCAAGCAUGCAAAGAGUAUAUGAGCAGCGGAAAGUAAAGCAUGCAACUUGCAAGAAUGUAAAGGGAGGGGUUUUGGAGGAUUCAAACGCAAUUGGAGACACAGAUGUUUUGGCAUGGUUCCGAUAGGUGGUGCUAUCGUACAUCCACGUUGAUGGAGACUUCAACCCACGAAGGGUAACGGUUGCGCGAGUCCAUGGAGGGCUCCACCCACGAAGGUCCACGAAGAAGCAACCUUGUCUAUCCCACCAUGGCCGUCGCCCACGAAGGACUUGCCUCACUAGCGGUAGAUCUUCGCGAAGUAGGCGAUCUCCUUGCCCUUACAAACUCCUUGGUUCAACUCCACAAUCUUGUCGGAGGCUCCCAAGUGACACCUAGCCAAUCUAGGAGACACCACUCUCCAAGAAGUAACAAAUGGUGCAUUGAUGAUGAACUCCUUGCUAUUGUGCUUCAAAUGAUAGUCUCCCCAACACUCAACUCUCUCUCAUGGGAUUUGGAUCUGGUGGAAAGAAGAUUUGAGUGGAAAGCAACUUGGGAAGGCUAGAGAUCAAGAUUCAUAUGGUAGGAAUGGAAUAUAUUGGCCUCAACACAUGAGUAGGUAGUUCUCUCUCAGAAAUGGUAAGUUGGAAGUGUAAGUUUGUUCUGAUGGCUCUCUCCACGAAUGAAGAGGAGGUGGAGGGGUAUAUAUAGCCUCCACACAAAAUCUAACCGUUACACACAAUUUACCAAACUCGGUGGGACCGAAUCAACAAACUCGGUCAGACCGAUUUAGUAAACCUAGUGACUGUUAGGAUUUUUGGUGGGACCGAAAUGCAACUCGGUAGGACCGAUAUGGUUAGGGUUAGGGCAUAACGUAAUCUCGGUGAGACCGAUUACACAAACUCGGUGAGACCGAUUUUGGUAAUUAGCUAACCAGAGAGUUGGUCAGGCAAACUCGGUUGGACCAAUUACUAAAACUCGGUGGGACCGAUUUUGGUAAUAAGUUAACCAGAGAGUUUGCAUUGUAAUCUCGAUAGUACCGAUUGAUCAAACUCGGUGAGACCGAUUUUGAUAAUGGACAUACACAGAGAGAUUACAAUCCCAUCUCGGUGAGACCGAGAUCCCUAUCGGUGAUACUGAUUUGCUUGGGGUUUGUGGCAGUGGCUAUGACAUCUGAACUAGGUGGCGCCGGAUAGAAAGAAUCGGUGGGGCCGAGUUUGACUUUAGGUUUAGGACAUAUGUGUGGAAAUGGGAAAUUAGUUGAGGGUUUUUGGAGCAUAUCACUAAGCACUGUGGAGCAAGAAACUCAUUAAGCAACACCUCAUCCCUCCUUGAUAGUAUUGGCUUUUCCUAUAGACUCAAUGUGAUCUUGGAUCACUAAAAUAUAAAAUGAAGAGUCUUGAGCUUGAAGCUUUAGCCAAUCCUUUGUCCUUAGCAUCUUGAAGGAGUUCCCACAUCCUUUAGUCCACGCCACUCCAAUGUUGAACUUGUCUGAAAUACACUAGAUAAAAGUGUUAGUCCAACAAGAGAUAUGUUGACAUUAAUUACCAAAACCACCUAGGGAGCACUUGUGCUUUCAAUAGGACAUUGAGCCCUGCUCCGCCAUCGAUGAGGGUCCUGGUGACUUGCACAUUGCUGAUGAUUGGGGAACAAAGCAUCGGGAGGACUCCUGUUGUGGCCGCGCACUUGAGCUGAUCCGCUGAACUGAACGUGAUAGCGCACACUGACAACCUGAGAGGGCGCAUGGCCUCAAGCUUGGGGAGGACUGCCUUCACCUCGCGAGAAAACUUCUUGAAGAUGCGCUGAGAAGCCGGGGCUUGAGCGCCGCCCAAGAUGCAAGCGAUGGCGCGCGGCUCCUGGAAGCCUCCAGCCCCCUCAUCCUGAUGAUGGUCUUCAUUCCUCCUCGGCUGUGGUGGCAGAGGAGGAAGGCCUGCAUUGCCUUGUGGGCAAUCCUCGCGAGGCUGAUCCCUCCAACCUCCCUCGUGAGGUGGGUCCCUCCAACCUCCCUCACGAGGCUGGUCCUGCCAGCGGUCCUCCCGAGGUCGGUCGCGCCACCCUUGGCAAGGGCCACGGUCUUCCCAUCAUCCUCCACCUCUUCCUCCUCCUCGGCUAUAGCCCCGGUCGCUGCUCUCGGGGCGUCGGCUGGCACGCAUGUCUCGCAAGGCCCUGAGUUCUUGGCAUUCGUUGGGGUUGUGGGUGUAGAGGUCGUGGUACACGCAGUACCGGCUGCCCUUGGAUGACUCGGGCUGAUCCCUGCCUCACUUGGUGUCCGGCUCUGCUGCAAGCACGGCAGCCCCCUUGCGCUUCACGUCCUUGGCCUUGGGCUUCUUCUCUUCUGGGUCAGCAUCUGGCAGCUCAAGGAGGGAAAGGCGCCCUUCCUCGGCCCUAGCGCACUUGGUCGCCAGAUUGAACAGCUCCAGGGAGGUGCACAUGUCCUCAUGAAUCGCGAGAUCCUCCUUCAUCUUGACGUCACGCACGCCGUCAGAGAAUGCUGAGAUGAUGGCCUCCUCAGACACCUUGGGGAUCUUAAGGCAAGCGUUGUUGAAGUGCUAGAUGAACUUCUGCAGGGUCUCUCCCGGCUGUUGCUUGAUGCGGUGCAAGUCACUCAUGGCCGGGGGCUGGUCGCGGGUACCUUGGAAGUUGGCAAUGAAACGGGUGCGCAUCUCAUCCCAGGAGGAUAUCGUGCCAGGAGCCAGAUUCAGGAGCCAGGUGCGGGCGCCGUCCUUGAGCAACAUGGGGAACCAGUUUGCCAUGACCUUCUCGUCCCCGUUGGCGGCUUCGAUGCCCAGCUCAUAGAGCUGGAGGAACUCCGCAGGGUCAGCCGUGCCAUCAUAGCGUGGGGGCAGGUCUGGCUUGAACUUGCCCGGCCAGGCCACGCUGCACAGCUCGGCGGUGAAGGCACGACAGCCUGUGGUGGCCGCGGGAGGCCUUGGGUGAUGGAGAGCUUGAUCUUGGAAGUCCUUGUGCGCUGCCUCUAGGUGCAGCACGGGGUCUUGAUGCGCUGGAGCGGGAGCGCGCCCGUGCCGGGCCAGUGCAGGGAGCACACGGGCGGCUUCUUGGGGGCGAGGGAUCUCUUGGCAGCUCUUCUCUUGCUGUGCUGGCGCCGGACGGAGUGGGUUCCGCCCAGGGACCACGCGCCUUGGGGCCAAGGCGCCUUCUUGAGGCGGAGGCGACUGAGGCGCUCCCGGAGCUUCGUCGCCUGCGUAGGGCUGGGCGCGGUGCAGCGAGAGGGACGGCGCAGGGGAGCCCCCCAGCGGCGCUGACGAGCUCAGUGAUGCGGGCGAGCCACUCGUCGUAGAGGUCGUCGACAGGACGGUAGUGCAGGAGCUCCCGCGCCAGGAGCAGCGCGGCGUGCGCGUCUGUAGGGGCGCGAUGGGCGUGGGACGAGGAACCGGCUGGGGUUACCGACGAGGUGGCGGUGCGGCCUUCUCGCGGCACCGAAGGAUGCAGGGACGGCGCCUGGUGCUCGUUCCCCGCCUGGCCGGUGGUGGCUUUGGCGGCAGGCGAUGGGGAACGGCGGGGGCGCCCGCCGACAAGGGCCGUCUGGGCAACGCGAGUGGCGAGAGCGGCCCGGCGCUCGAUGCGGGCUCGACGAGCGUCUGACAUGGAUGCGAUGGGUGGCGAAACACGAGGCGACGGAAGGAGGAUUCCGAUGCACCCCUACCUGGCGCGCCAAAUGUCGGAUUUAGGAUUCCGGCAGACCCACAAGGUUCGAACUCUAGGGUGCACGCGGAGAUCACACCCCCUGCCUACCCAUGUCUCGUCGCCUCGCAAGGAUCUAAACUACACGAAGAACAACACAGAGGACACGAGAUUUAUACUGGUUCAGGCCACCAUUGUGGUGUGAUACCCUACUCCAGUGUGUGGUGUGGUGGAUUGCCUCUGGGGCUGAUGAUGAACAAUACAAGGGAAGAACAGCCUCGCGAGGGUCUGUUCUUGGCUGGUGCGAUGAUCUGCUAGGGUAGUUUAGUUGCCUCUCUCUCUCUGGUGUUGAUCUCUCUCUCUCCCCCGAUGCCUCUUCUUCCCCCCCCCUACCCUGGGGGUGGCUAGCUCUAUUUAUAGAGGGAGGCCCUAGGCCUCUUCCCAAAUAUUGAGCGGGAAGGGCGCCAACAAUUGGCCAUUUUGAAGGGGAACAUCUAGUACACUUAUCCUGACUAAAGUUGGUCCUCGCCUGCCAAAGGCCCCUGAUGAUGCCACCGGCUUGGGCUCCACGAUGACCUCCAUCCUGCCGUCCUGCUGGUCUUGGUCUUGUUGCACCGAAAUGGUUGCCUUUGCUUGAUACUCUCGCCUGCGCUUGCCCCCUUUGCACCAAAGAGGAAACAAGGACUCUGCGCAGGCCGGCGCCCGCCUGGUGCCCGCCUGGCCUUGGUCGUCAUGGCUUGCAUCAUGAGCACCUCGCGAGGUACCCCGCCUUGAUCUCUCCGCCUCCUCGCGAGCCAGCCUGACGAGGCCGUGCCCGAGGAAGCCUCCGGUCGUCCGCCCCGCGAGGCUUGGCCCCUCGCGAGGGUCUUGAGCAUGUGUUGAUGAAGAUGGGCCGUACUGGGCCACUCCUGGAGCCACACCGCAGGCCGUAGGCAUGCAAGUCUGGGUACCCCCGUUCCCAGAACGCCGACAGUGGCCAUGCUUACUAUAUACUCCUCGAUUAGUUUAAUGUUUCCAACAUCUUCUUGUGCAGUUCCACUAAAAUAUAUGGUAUCUUCAAAGAAGAUCCCUGUUUGCACAAGUAGAGAUAAUUACGUAUGGCAUCAAAUCAGUGGCAAAACAAUUGCUCGUUCCAGCCAUAGCAAUAAAUUAAGAUGGAAAACUAUAUCAUUACUUGUGUCAUCAUAGUUCUAUUGCUUCAUUACAGCACCGGGAGUUGAUUUUUGUUUUUCUUCCGCUUGUUCUUCCCCUUCAUCACUUGGUUCAAUAACAGACAAGCUUCGCCUUCAAUGUAAGAUUUGGCAUGUCAAUUAGGGAGCACAAGUAUAGUACUAAACUUAAUUUUCUGAUGAAAGUGGCAAAAUACAGGCCAACAGUUGUGAAAUAUCCUUAUCUUACCUCAAUGGGAUAUUACGAUGCACAUACAGAUUGGAAGUCUUGUCUCCAUUUUUGCAGUUCACUAAAAUCAAGCAACAUUAUCGUGCAAGUAGCACAACAUAUGAAAGCACACUGCAGAAUCAUGUGAAAGAAGGCUAGUACUGACCUCUCAUGAUGCAGAAUUCAAACAACUCACAAGAAGAAGAUUUGAACCAAAUUCGCCUUAACGGAUAGGAAGUAAGAUCUCCUCUUGUGCAGUUCCACUAAGAUCAAGCAAUCAAGCAACAUUGUCGGUGUGACAUUUUGGUUGAACUGCACAAAACACUCUUAAAACAAAAGUGUUUUGUGCAGUGCAAUAAAAGGUCACAAUGGCAACGAGGUGAAGUAGAUAACCCUGUUUACACAGAGGUGCAAAGGAAACAAUUAGUGGUCAAUAACGGUGGAUGACACAGAAGCCAAAAAAAGAAGCAUCUACCUUAUCUAAAUGGGAAAGAAAGCAAGACAGUAGCAUUUCUCAAACGGUGGCAUCGAUUAAUAUUAACAUAGAGAUUAUAUUAACAAUAAAAUUCGUUAAACAUGUAAUUUUCUUUUAACUGUGGCAUUACAUCAAUUUUCCAGCGGCAUUAUUAGAGGGUGUUUGUUUACAGGGACAUUUUGGUGUAGGGACUAAAAAAACUCCGUGUCAGUCACAUCUACACCAAACAGGAGGGACUUUUCGUAACUAAAAGUGGGCAUUUGGGACUAAAGAAAGAAGACCCCGAGGGAGUCUUUUUGGGACUUUUUCCAACAGUUGCCCCUGCCACGCAUCGCACCUUUUUUCUAUUAGUUCAUUACUAGGGGUAACAUGGUCUUUUAUCAUGUCAUUUAAUAACCUCUAUUCCAUGUUUAGUCCCUGGAACCAAGCAGGUAGGGACUAGGGAGUUUUUAACCAAACAGGGCCUUAGAUUAACAACAGCUAAUGAGUUGCACGGGACAAUGGACGCACCAGCACCAUGUGCAUCUACCGCUGUACUGUGGUCAUGCACAGUCUGUUGCAACAAAGAACAAACAACCAAGGAGCAUAUUUGUGUUGGUCCCAGUUUUGUUAUCUUUAGACACCUUUCCCUAUGUGAGCACAGCAAAUCUAGUCCUGCUCAAACUCUACAGCCUUGUCCCUUCCUUUCCUUUUUGAACUAGUACUUUUGCCCCUUCCUUUCCUCUUUGAACCACGUCCUAGAUUUAUGCGAUACAACUUUCCCCACUAUUUUCCCCCAUUCCUUUCCUCUUUGAACCACGUCCUAGAUUCAUGCUAUACAACUUUCCCCCUUCAUUUCCUCUUUGAACCACGCCCUAGAUUCAUGCUAUAUACAACUUUUCCCACUACUUUCCCCCACUCCUUUCCUCUUUGAACCACGCCCUAGAUUCAUGCUAUAUACAACUUUUCCCACUACUUUCCCCCACUCCUUUCCUCUUUGAACCACGUCCUAGAUUCAUGGUAUACAUGCAGCUAGAGCAAUGCAUGUGGAGUAAGUAAAAUAUACCUUAAGGUUCUUGGGGCGUGGUUCAGUGGGAGACGGGACGGCGGCGAAGAAGAAGGGGUCGGAGGCCCUCCCGCGCCACCGCUGGGUGGAAAGUGAACAGCAGCACUGAUAGUGGAUUCCCUCCCUCGCCGACGGUGAUAGUGUUAAGCCUCCUUCCCUUCCCAGCGGACGGAUCCUGCCGGCUCUUUGAUCAGCAGUGAGGGGAGAGAGAGGCCAACGAAGUCUUGUUUAGAUCUGGAGAGGGUGAGAGUGUGUGAAGAGAGCAACUACAAGCGAUGAGGCUCCAGCGGGAGAGGGCGAGAGAGUGUGAAGAGAGCAACUACAAGCGCUGAGGCUCCAGCGUGUAUAUAUAUACUAGAGAGAGAGUGUGAAGCAUGCAAACCCUAGAAAACAUUUUGACCAGUCAAAGAAUCCUCCUGUCAAAAAUUAUGCUCAAGUGUAGUUAUCGAACCCGAGACCUCAAGUUUGAUGAGCGAACAUGCUAACCAGCUACACAACCCUCCCGUUAUGUUCAACGAGAGGAAAAUAACCUUUUAUACAUUCCUGCAUUCGUGUGACAGGCAUGCCGUGUUUUUUUGUGUGUGUGUGUGGGAGUCAUUAGGAUUUCAAUCAUAAUCGUGUCAUGUGGCUUUGGUGGUAAGACUAUCCACAGUGGUGCAGAAAUAGUGCAGCCUUAGUCACCUUACCUCUCUCCACGUAGUACGUUGGGUCCCACCAGUCAGAGGGUGAAACAAACAAAUUAAUAAGAAAAAUUACAAGCGCCAGCGGUGUAUCUUACUACCUCACACAUCUCUCUAUUGCUCGGGAACACUGUCCAAUUGAUCCCUCUGUUCGCUCAUGUACUAUUUUAAGUGAAUCCUUAUUAUAACAUGCACACAAAUUUUGGGCACUUGUAUUCGACUUAAGUCAGUGUGCCACCGUAUCUUGGAUACUUACUACUCCCUCCGUCUAGGUGUAAUAAGUCACGUUAGAAGGUGCAACAGGACCAAGGUGCGUGCGUGUGCGUGUGUGUGUUUAACAACAUGUGUGUGUUAGAGAGUGCGACAGAUCGACCUACUCCUACAGAGAUAUGGUGUGUAGUGUACAAUUUUAGCUGCAAGAGUCAGUGCAUCCUCUCAUUUCCGGGCGUGUCCGGCAGGGACAUGCGGACAGCUGCCACGCCCGCUCCUGACCAGCCUGGCCCACCCAAAGCCCCUCCAUCGCCCGCGCGCACUUCACGCCUGAAACGGUCAGCGCCACUCCAAAGAAUCGGUGCCGCAUUCAUGCCCAGGCAGAGUGGAUGCGACCUCUCACUAGCGCAAGAGUGAUGGUUGCUUCGUCCGUCCAACUUACUGUUGGGUCUAUGUGAUUUGACGGCUCAUUUCUCUUUAUUACUGAGGUGGUAGGACUGCUGGAUGACCCACGCUUUUGGCGAAAGAAGGUAGUAGAUUACAAUUUUCUCCAUUCUUACAAGGGAGGAGUGCAAGAGCAGUGAAAACACGCAGGCUCAGUGAUUACAUGGCCCACCUCACACUAUCACCGUGCAACACCUAACUCUUUACAUAGUACUCCCUCCGUUCCUAAAUAUUACUAGAUGAGUCCCCACGCGUUGCCGCGGAACAGCGGUAUAUCUCUCUGCGCAAAAUUAUCGAUUUCAUAGAACUAAAAAAAAUCUAUAACCGCAUGACAAAUGUGGUAGCCAAACUAAAUAAACUCCCAUCAUCAUUUAGAUCAUCCCACGUAAGGAAAAAAGAUCGACCAACUCCUACUGCAUAAUGGGAUUAUAUUUUUCUUUUUGACAUGUUAAUGGGACUUAAAAGCUCACUUACAUGCAUGCUACCGGUGCAUGCUUGCAUGCAGACAUGUUGAUGUGAUUUAAAACCCACUCACAUGCAUGUGCCACAGUAUUUCUGCAUGCUUGCAUGUGGCUUAGUGCGGAGCCUCUCAACGUCUAGAUCAGACGGCUAUUAUGACUGAUUUACUUCAUCUAACGGCUACGUCAAUUUUGAUGAUGUGGCUCAAGGAGAGGAUAGAGAAUUCCUAGUAGUGGGGGCUAGCUAUUACUAGUAAGUCUUUGUAGAGAUUCCACUAGGUGAACUACAUACGGAACAAAAUGAAUGAAUCUACACUUAAAAUGCAUCUAUAUACAUCCGCAUGUGGUUAAUGGUGAAAUCUCUACAAAGACUUAUAUUUAGGAACGGAGGAAGUACUAGUAUAGUACUAGUACGUAUUGUAAUUUAUCAGCGAGAUAAAUUUGUACAAUGCUAUGAAGCUUCCAGCUCCUGUUACAUGUAUCUUGCGUCCAAGGUUGCCCGUUGCAACAUUUCAUCAAAUACAAAGGAGACUAACAUGCAUGCUAUUGCAUCUUAAUGAUUGACAGAUCAUAGAAAAUAUGUACUCCCUCUGUUCCAAAAUAAGUGUCUCAACUUUUUGCAAACUUUAGUACAAAGUUGUACUACUACUAAAGUUGACACUUAUUUUGGAACAGAGGCAGCUAAAGAAAAAAACGAUCCAUCCAGUCCCUAGCCCUUGAACCAUGAACCCUGACCAGGCUUCAAUUUGCUGGCAACGUUCGAGCUUCCUAAUAAAUGAAGUUUGCAACCUUUUGACCAUCGGAUCAUUUUGUGCAGUUUCACCAAAAUCGAGAUGAGCAUCCCUGUGGCAAAGAAAUUGAAGAAGCGUGAAUAGAAUAAGAUUACUAGGACUAGUUGACGAGACAUAAACUCAUCACAAAUACAGUACGUAGAAGCCAGUAGAGGUAUCAGGUAUGUGCGGGGCAAAGAAGUAGAGAAAUAUCCACAGGGAGUGAUGUGGGCAGCUGGAGCAGUGGUGCAAGCCGGCUGUAAAGGGAGUUGUACCUGAGGGACAUAGCUCAACCUUGAGGAGGGCGGCAGGAGGCGGCAACUGCCCACGUCGCGGCAGUGAGCAAGGGACGAAGGCAACCUCACCGGCUUUGUGAGAGAGAACGGCGGGGACCCCUGAUCGGGACGUGCCGACAGUGGGUUUUCACCGUCGGCGACGGCCACCGCAUCUACACUAAGCAUCCACCCCUUCCCCAAGUGGACGUGAUCUGCUGGGAUGUUAGAGAUGUGGCCACAGUCGUUUUGUGUGUGAGAGAGUGAAGAGAGCAACCCCAGCAAGCAACCGUGUAGGCUGGCCCGUCCUGACUAUGUAUAUAGUGGAGCGGUUUCCUUUUCUCUCCAUAUGAACCUAUCAUAUUGCGUAUGUGCCACUGAAGAAAAAAAAUUAUUUAUAAAUGACGUGGCACCUACUACUCGUUCUCCUAUAACCUUGCGCUUGGCAUCUCCAAAAUAUUAACCUUGCGAUUGGCUCUUCGCCUCUUCGGGAAGUCGAGCAAUAAUGGUAGUGCCGUAUAUAUCGUUCUGGCUAUAUGAUACCGAAUGAAUUGUUGUACGUCCACCACGUGGGCGAGGGGCGAGGGAGAGUGCUACUACAUACGGAGCAAAAUGAGUGAAUGUACACUCUAAAAUACGUCUAUAUACAUCAGUGUUUGGAGUAUGUACUAGUAGUUCAUAUUGAACUCUACUAAAGGACAUAUAUAUUCCAAACAAUAUGAUAUAAUCUCUAUAACCAAGGUAGUAGGGACGAGGAGAAAACGGAGGGAGUAGUAAAUUUUUCUCCUCGUCCUACGAGCCACCGCGCGCCUGGGUGAGGGAGGAGCAAGCUUCACCUCAUCCUGCGAGCCACUGCGCCCGUGGGCGGGGGAGACGGCGUACUAAGCAAGCUUCUCCUCGUUCUGCGAGUUGACGAGACACAUCAAAAGUACUCCAGCGUAUAGAGCCUUGCCUCCAAGGUAGGCCCCACAUGGUUUGCCUCUUUUUUUAAUUUAACAUAACGCGUCAAGUCGCAAUUUGUUUGUUCACCCGUGGUAGACGAUCCUCCCUCCACCAAGUGGACAACCAGUACACGUGCCAAAUUACCACAUGGGCUGCCUUUUUCGUACAGAAAUGAGCUCCACCGUGUACCCGCGUGGGUGUGGUUGGGAAAGAGACGGGAGUACGUGCGCCGUGCAUGCACCUCUUCUCUUCGUGCACGUCCCCCACCUACGUGGGUGUGUGUGAGAGAUACAAACCGAGUUUGUGAGUGUUUUUUGUUUUGUGGUGGGGGUGGGGGGUUGAUUUCGUGAAUUAUUUGUGGGAAUAUGUGUCGAUGACAUCUCAAACAAAAUUUUGCAUGCAAUGUGUGUGAAAUGGAGGCCUAUCCAUAUCAUACAUAGAGCGUCGGGAAAUCCACGAGAAGAGAGGGAGGGGUCAUAGCUAUCGAUAGAGUCGAAGAGAGGAUCAAGUGGGUGGGUGUGAGAUCGAUGAAGAGAGCCAUCGAAAUUGUGUGUGUGUGUGUCUGUGCAAGUCAAAGAUAUAGGGCGACUGGCCUACCGGAACGUUAGAGGGCACAUGUCAAGUUUGUGUGUGGCAGGGAGACAUGACUAGAGCGCUUGAUGUAUUGGUGUGUGUGUGGGGAGGGGGUGGGGGAGGGGGAGGCAGAGGCCUAACUAUAGAGGUAGAACGACUCGUAUAUGUGUUGAGAAGGAGAGACCCAGCUAUGUCUUGUGGGAGAUCGGUCGACAUCCAUACAUAACUGAAGGAAGGGAAAUAUGAUGGGACAAAGAGAGAGAGAGGAGAGAGAGAGGGAGGGAGAGGGAGGGAGAGGGGUAGAGUGUUGGAUGGGUGAUGGAGUUGCUUCUCGGAGAUGUUGGGAGAGGCCUACUAGACAAACUGAGGGUGGAACUGCAAUGUUAAUAAGAGUGGGGAUGUGUUUCUGUGUGUGCCUGUGCGUGAUAGAUCUGUCGGGACACAUCCAUGGAUGAUGAAGGGGAACCAUGUGUUUGGUAAGCAAACCUAACUAGAUCGGUAGAUCAAUUGUUAUUUGUCGGAGGAAGGGAGAGACACAACUAAUGAGGUAGAUCGAUCGAUGUGUGGGUAAAAAUGAGUUAUAAGGACCUAGCUGGCUAUAUGUAUAGCGAGAGAUCGAUCGGUGUACGUCCAUUUGUUAGAGGCAAAUAAGGCCCAACGAGACGGAUAGACAGAGAGAAUGGAGCUAGGAGGUGGUGUGAGAGGCUCAACUACUAGCUAGAUAGGGGGAGGAGUGUGUGGUUGUGAGAUCGAUGAAAAGAGGGGCGAGAGUUUACACGUGUGUCUGACCAUAUGAGAGACAUGAGGCAAGGACACAUAAAGGAGGAGAUUGAAGUUGUGUGUGUAUGCUGUAGGCAGGCAUCACUGGAGAGGUUUAUCGAUCGGUGUGUGUCAGAAAGGAGUUGUGGAGACUCUGGGAGAACGACCUAAAGAAAAAAAUGAAUGUGCCCGGUGGAUAGAAUGUCGAGGGAGGGGGAGGGCAAGGAGGGCGUGUGCAGGAAUGAGAGAAAGUUAGUGGUAGCUACAAAGGUUAGAGGAUUGUGUGGGUGUAAGAGAUUAACAAAGAUCAUAAUUUGAUAUGAAAGCAGAUUCAUAUGUUUGAAUAGGAGAUCAUAGUGUUUUAAACAUUGCAUGCAUGAAUAUAGCGGUGAUACACGUGUUGUGCACAUGUUAUACCAUAAUGUGAUAAUGCAUGGCGUUUGCAACUCACAGCUAAAUGCCGAACAAUCUAAACCAUACUAUACAUCAAACAAUCUCACAUUCUAUUUGAAUUUGUGAUAAUGUGCAGCGUUUGCAGCUUACAACUAAAUAUCGAGCAAUCUAAACAAUACUAUAUAUCGAACAUUCUCACAUUUUAUUUGAAUUUGUGGUAAUGUGUGGUGUUUGCAACUCACAUCUAAAUACUUGUAGGCGUAAGGGUGGGGCACCAUACAUAAUGUGAUAAACACAUUAUACAUAUGAGACAUGGUUUAGAUUAUGAAGAUCUAGCUAGAGCUAGAAAUGUAAUGUGAUUUGAAAUCAAAAUAAAGUGGAUUCAAAAAAUCUAGUUUGAGUUCAUAUAGUACACAUAGUUCAUAUGUAACUCGAGACUAAUCAUGUGGUGUGCUGUGAAGAUAAUACACAAACGAUGGUUUAACUUGACAAUAAUGAUGAUUGUAGAUCUUAUUAAAAUAGAGAAACGAAUUCAAAUGCUUUGACUUCACAACAAUCAUUACUGUAGAUCUUAUUCAAAUUUAGUUCAUAUUGAAGCGAUAAUAUAUACGUUUAGAAUGCACUAAAACAUUCAUUUGAGUAUUAGGUUGCAUGCAUUAUACACGUAGCGAAAUAUUUUAAUUGAACAUAACAUGAAUUCAAACUUUUGAAUGACAUUCGUAGUGCGCAUUGAUUUGGUACAGUACAUGUUAGGCUUGUCCGGAAAUUUCAACCCGUGCCUUGUUAGCCCGAAAUAUUUAAGAUAUAUCUUUGUCUCGUUGUGCUCCGACAAGUCCCUCCAUCUCAACCCGCGCCUUGCUAUUUCGAAAUUACAACGCGCGCGAAAACUCCCACCUCUUGUGAAAUCCCGACACGCGAAAUGCCCGUGGUACCCCUGAACCGAAAGAACCGCCUCAAAUCAGUGAGGGGUACUUUUGUAACUUACCCCACAUUUCGGACAAGCGCGUCUCUAAGCCAUGGUUCCCCACUGCCAUCCCAUCCGCCCACCCAUUCGUACACCGAGGCCGCGAAAACCCACGACGAAACCCCACACCCUGCUCCAUCCGCCACCCAGCCGGAGCCUCUUCCCCGACGACGUCGUCCACAGCAACACCUCGACGUCCCUCAUCCACCAUACCGGAUGAGGAUCCGUCGUCGAUCUCAUCGUCCUGCCGGUUCAGCCACCCCGUCCUCCACCUCCAAGGAGCUGGCCCGACAUUCCCCUCGUCUUUCGCACCACCUCCAUUCCCACACCACCGUCUUCACCUGCACCACCGGAAGAGCAUCAUCAUCACCGUUUCCUCGGAUGAAGCUGUGGCCUAAUCGGCGCCACCAAAGAGUUUGUACACUAAUCACCACAUUUUCUUCUUGAUUCGAUCUCACGGUGCUGCCGGCGCUCGGUCCCGAGCCGACACGGCGUGGCUUCAUCUACGGCGGCGUCGCUGGCCACUUCCUCCAUGGCAUCGCUCCCUCGGCGGCGACGUCCACGUCAGUAGGAGCUGCUGCUGCUUUAGCUCUCGCUCGCGCUGCUGCUCUGCUCUUGCUCUUGGUCCCCUGCCUGGUCUGCUCUUGCUAUUGCUCUUGCUCGCGCUUCUGCUCUCGCUCUUGCUCUUGCUUGCGAUGCUGCUCCAAUUUGGCUACACUUCAGUCGACUGAAUCAACUUUUGGGUCAGUCAAUUUUCAAGGGGUGGGCUCACCGGGGUGAAGGAAGAACCAGCCGCAGUGGGGAGGGGGGCUCGCCGGAGAGGUACCCCACUAUCUAUCUUAGGGUUCAGGAUGGGGGCGGUGGUCGCCGGCGGUGGCGGGGCGUNNNNNNNNNNNNNNNNNNNNNNNNNNNNNNNNNNNNNNNNNNNNNNNNNNNNNNNNNNNNNNNNNNNNNNNNNNNNNNNNNNNNNNNNNNNNNNNNNNNNNNNNNNNNNNNNNNNNNNNNNNNNNNNNNNNNNNNNNNNNNNNNNNNNNNNNNNNNNNNNNNNNNNNNNNNNNNNNNNNNNNNNNNNNNNNNNNNNNNNNNNNNNNNNNNNNNNNNNNNNNNNNNNNNNNNNNNNNNNNNNNNNNNNNNNNNNNNNNNNNNNNGGUGGGGAGUGUUUUCAGGGCGGGCGGGGCGGCGCACCGCCGGCCGCGGGCGGCGGGGGGCUGCUGUUUGGCCGGUGGUGGCUGGCGGCUCAGGGGGGUGGAGGUUGAAGAUGAACCGCAUGCCCUUGAUUUCGUAUCCAACGGCUGCAAAAUCGACUGACCAGAGAUGAAAAAGCCAGUCGACCGACAUGUAGCCUCACCUUGCUAGUGCGUUCAGUUUCGACAGCAAAAUUCAGUUUCGACAGCAAAAUUCAGUUUCGACGGUUAAGUUCAGUUUCGACAGUUAAGUUCAGUUUCGACAGUUAAGUUCAGAGAUGAGUGGCUGAUGUAUUUUACAUCUAGCACUUUGUGGUUAUGUAUUUUACAUCAUGUAUUGGAGAUGCUAUUAGAAUUCCACUCAGGUUAACAUUGUUCGUUGUCUCUCUUGUCCUGCUUCAGCCUCGGCGUCGUACAACUCACCGGAGCUGCUCCAACGACGAAACCCUCCAUCACAGCGGAGCGGUACCUCGGGCUCCAUCUCCAGACGCCUAAGAUCUUCUUCCCCUCCUCCAAUAGCAAAGUCAGCCGGAGCAUCCUCACCGGCCAUCCCAAUCACGCUGAGAUCGACAUGGCUUCACCAAAGAGGUUGUACACUUGUUGCAUCUCUUUUUUACUCUACAUGUUAUAUAUAUUGUCCACUGAGCACACGGAUUUGUUCCUUUAGUGUCUCCUUGAAAGAAAAAACGUAGGAAUUUUAAUUUUCACUUGUCCUCCUUUUCAAAUUCCUAUUCAUGAAGCACAAGACUAAGAGAUAGUAGCGUAAUAGCAUUAUAACCGUACAUUUUCUUGUGGUUUGACUUAAUCUCAUCAUGCUUCUUUGCAUCCUGUGAUCUUCCAAUUGUUGUGAAUCAAACACCCAGAUUGGCAGAAAUCAUGUGUUUUUAAAUUCUCUGUUUUGCACGUGCAUUCCUAUCCUAUUCCUGUCUAUUUCCUAUCCUUGCAUUGUUGGAAUCCUCCAAUUCAAACGAGCCCUUACAGAAUUACUUCUCUUACAGAUAGUUGUCAAAGAAAACCUUGCGUGGUUUGUCUCGCUCCUGCUGCGCCGUCGUCCACCCCAGCUCAGCUGCUCCAACGACAGAAGGGUCCAGCACAGCAGGGAUCCGGCCUCCAGACUGUCUUUCGCCGCCUCAGAUCUUCUUCCCCGCCGCUGACAGCCAUGAAAACUGCAUUACCAUCAUCAACCGAGCAGAUGACCUCGAGGACUACACGGGUCCGCAAGAGAGGUCGCACUCUUUCGUGUCUGCUUACGUUAUGCAUCGCUUAAUAUUACAUGCUACUUUAUCGUCCUGUUCACCGAUUAGACUCUGAGUCAGCUCCAAACUAAUGGUCAAACUUGAGUUUUUAAAUGGUUGUGGGGUACAUAUCGGGGCCGCUAUCAAUAGUAUCUAUCUACUAUCUGGUUAAUCUCCGGUGUCUACUAUGAGUUUCAUGUUGGGUGGGAAACAAACAGUAAAGAAGCCAUUAUCUGUAUUUAUUAUCUGAAGCCAUUAUCUGCCUGCUAUUAUUGGUUUUGGGUCUAUCCACAGGUUGCUACCAUCACUCUGGAUUUCUGCAUGCACUCCUUACAUAAUCUCACUAUGUUUUAUUCCUAUGCAUGAAAAUUAUUGUAAACAAUGGAACUGAACAUGUAGAGCAAAAGAGACGAGCCUUGCGUGGCAAUAUAAUUUCAUGCAGGCGUCGCUCCAUGUUAGGUGCAAAGGCAGCCCCCCCCCCUCUACGCAUUUCGGAUUGUAAUCGAGAGGAAGAUAUAUGUUCUAAGGGGGAUUCAGAAGGAGAAGAUAACUCAUAUUUACCCCCUGAGGUCUUCGCUCUAACUUGGCAUGCUGAUGUUGGUUAUAUCAUGAUAUGGUGUCUUGCAUUGCUUACUUUAUACAUCAAAUAUGUCAUCUGAUUAGUUUAGACAUCCUUUGUGCGAAUGACAUCUGUUUAGUUUAUUCAUCGUUUAUGUGAAUUAUGCAACACCAUCUUGUUUAGCCAGGCAUCAUAUAUGUGAAUUUUGCAAUGCCAUCCUUCUUAGCCAGUCAUCUUAUAUGUAAAUUAUAUCAGGCCAUCCUUUUUUUUUGUUACAUAUUACAUUUGUCAACAAUGUUAGUACAUUCAACUGCUCUUCGUGUGCAUCAGCCAUUUGACACGGUGAUGGCAAAUUCUGGAGUGAAAACAAGGUCUUCUGAGCAGACUAUGCUAUCUGACGAAGCGCAUAUCUUGCUGGUUACGGAUAACUCCUUAGAGGAGGGUUCAGAGAUAGAUGACCAGUCCNNNNNNNNNNNNNNNNNNNNNNNNNNNNNNNNNNNNNNNNNNNNNNNNNNNNNNNNNNNNNNNNNNNNNNNNNNNNNNNNNNNNNNNNNNNNNNNNNNNNNNNNNNNNNNNNNNNNNNNNNNNNNNNNNNNNNNNNNNNNNNNNNNNNNNNNNNNNNNNNNNNNNNNNNNNNNNNNNNNNNNNNNNNNNNNNNNNNNNNNNNNNNNNNNNNNNNNNNNNNNNNNNNNNNNNAUAUCAUGCGUAUGGUGUCUCGCAUUGCUAUGCCAUUUGAUUAGUUUAGACAUGCUUUGUGUGAAUGCCACCUGUUCAGUGUCUAAUUACCAUAUAUGUGAAUUAUGCAUUGCCAUCUUGUUGCAAGACAUUAUAUAUGUGAAUUAUACAAUGCUAUCUUGUUGCAAAGGCAUUAUAUAUGUAAAUUAUGCAAUGCCAUGUUGUUUAGCCAAUCAUCAUGUAUGUGAAUUAUAUCAUGCUAUCAUUUUUUUGUAUUACGUGUUCCAUUUGUCGACAAUGUUUGUAUAUUCAACUACUCUUCCUGUGCAUCAGCCAUUUGAAGCGGUGAUGGAAGUAUCUGGAGUGAAAACAAGGUAUUCAGAGCAGACAAUGCUACCUGCUGAAGCAGACAUCUUGCUGGCUACAGAGAGCUCCUCACAGGAGGAUUCAGAGACUGAUGACCAGUCCUAUUUCCCCCCUGAGGUCUAUGCUCAAACUUGCCAGGGUUAUAUUACCCAUGUCAUGCAUGUUGUCUUGCAUUGCUUAGUUUUUACAUCAUGUAUAGAUUGCCAUCUGCUUACUUGCUUACUAUAUAAAUCAUAUAUUUGAAUUAUAUCAUGCCAUCAUGUUUACAUAGUACAUACACAUCAUCUAUCUGAAUUAUGGCAUGGCAACCCAUUUAAUAAAGACAUCAUAUAGUUAUAUCAUCUCAUCCUGUUUAGUGUUUACAGUCAUCAUAUUUAGAAUUAUGGCAUUCUAUCCAUGAAUGUAUGUGAAUUAUGGCAUGCCAACCUAUUUAAUAAACACAUUAUAUAGUUAUGUCAUGUCAUCCUGUUUACAUAGUCUCAUAUUUUGAACUAUGUCUUUCCAUCUUUUUUAGUUAGCCAUCAUAAUGUGAAAUUGUGUCAUGCUAUCCUGUUUAGUUAGCCAUCGUAUAUGUGAAAUUGUGUCAUGCUAUCCUGUUUAGUUAGCCAUCGUAUAUGUGAAAUUGUGUCAUGCUAUCCUGUUUGGUUAGACAACAUAAAUAUGAAUUAUUUCAUGCCCUCUUUUAUUCCCCACUAUCCAUUGCACCUGUCUAUCAUACAAUGUCUAUACUUUCAAUUACUUUUCUUGUUUAUCAGCCAUUUGAAUUGGAGAGCGUGAUGGCAGUAUCUAAGGGAGUAACAACACGGUCUUCAGAAAAGAUAGUGCUACCAGUUGAUGCAGAUAGAACCACGGUUGUACUUGCCCAAGGACCAGAUCCACCACACAUAACCUAGACUCUCGCAGAUUGUACCCCUACCCAGUUGGACAGAGAACCAGCUACACCCCUUCUAACCCCAACCACGGCAGAUAGUAACCCAGUUCCAGUUGACACAGCACCGUCUCCACCACAGAGCACCCAAACACGAGCGGUUAGUAAGGGAACUGCAGUGCCCAAAGCACGAGGACCACCACUCCGAAUCCCAACUCAACGCUUAAAGGAGAAGAAGAUUUGUUCUUAGGUCAGGUUCUGUAGCUAUGGUUCAUACUCCUUUGCUCUUGCAUUACUGUAUUUACUCAUACCAACUAUUUUCAAAUUUGAAGGAUGGAACUUAAACUCCAAUGGCGCAACAGGUAUGUUUUAAACCUGUUUCUUUAACUGGUUUGCUGUUGUAACCUGCUCUAUGUUGAUUUUAGUUUCAAUUGAAUAAACAGUUAUGUUCUCAUGUCAUGCAUAUUACAAGUGUUGUUAUUGCUCUAUAGUUACCCACACUUAUAUUCUGUCUACUGCUUUGUCUUGAACAAAUAUUAUUUGAACUGUGUCUCUAUCUUGAUUUGGCAACAAAAACUAGAAUGAUAUAGACCAUAAAGUGACCAUGGUACAUAGAUAUAUGUUUGUUUCAUGCGGUUAUCCUGUCCACUUUACUACUAAACUCAUUUACCAAAAUGAGCUUCAUAUAAAACAUGGUAAACAUGUGAUGUGUCUGCUUGUUUCUCUUUUAGAAUGCGGACAAAAUAUUGGAGAACGGUACUGCGUUAUCCAAUGGUAAAGGAAGUAAUGCAGAUAAGGUUCAAGAUAGUGAGACAUCCCUGUUGGUCUCCAAGAAAGCUGAUAAAAACUAUCUUGACGACAGUGAGGGAACCCAAAAGUCCUGUCUUGAUGUAGUGUUCGAGUUACUGGCCACUACUACUGGCACAAGCUCUUCGAACUCGCUGCCUGAAUCGAUCAGAUGUGCUGCGACAAGAAGCUGAAGGACUGAGGAAGUCCCUGCAGAAUUCAGAUGCAUAUUUUCUGGUGCAACAACAAGCGCUGGAGGAUUUAAGCGCCAAAAAAGAGCAAGUUAAUAAGCUUGCUAAGCAUCUUGCCAGCAUUAUGGGUACCCAGGAUAUUGUUUCUUGAGAUCUUCUAAAGUGGUUUCAGUUCUGGAUUUGUUUUGCUGCGGUGUUUAUUUGCGCUGGUCGCCAACUUUGACAACCAGUGUAUAUGAUAUGCUGCUUUGUUCCCUAUAUUUGCACUGGUGGCGAACUUUGAUGCCUAGUGGAUGUAAUAUGUGUAACAGGCGUGAUAGCCUAGCAUAAGUUGCUUGCUUAUUUAUUUCCUUGUUGUCUUGUUUAUUUGUUUGCUUGUAGUCAGUGCAGUUCUUUUUAAAACUAGGCCACAAUAACCAUGGACUAAUAUUUACUGUAGUGACACUGGGCCUCCUACAGGCCGUAGAAACAGUGGGCCUUCUAUGGGCCAUAGAAAUAGUAGGCCUUCUACGGGCCAUAGAAACAAUGGGCCUUCUACGGGCCAUAGAAACAAUGGGCCUUCUACGGGCCAUAGAAACAAUGGGCCUUCUACGGGUCGUAUCAUCAAUGGGCCUUAUAUGGGCCGUAUGACCAUAAUGGGCCAUCAUUAAUAGGCCGUAUUUGAUGAGCUAUGAAAACGGCCUGACGUAUUAACGGACAACAAAUGGGCCGAUGUAACCACGGGCUGAAUUUGGCCCACAAGCAGAAAAUGACAGUAACGGGCCGUAAGUAAACGAAUGUUGGAAAUGAGCCCAAGAAUAAAUGGGCUCUGAGAAGGCCGAAAGAUAACAUUUGCUGGAAACGGCCCAACUGAAUAACGGGCCCUUAAUGGGUAUAAAGUGAUAUAUUGUUCAUUACGGGCUAGUUUCACCACGGGCCGUUAAUGGGUGUAAAGUGAUACACUGUUCAUUGCGGGCCAGUUUCACCACGGGCCGUUAAUAGGCCAAGAGUUACAUAGGGCCUCAUAUCGGCCAAAAGACGUCAUGGGCCAUACAUCGGCCAGAAGUGAAAAUAGGAUGGAAUCAUAUUGGAUGGCCCAGAUGACGCUACUGGGCCUAAUUCGGAUAGGGCAUAACGGGCCUUGGGUUAGCGGGCUGUAAAUGGGCUAUAUGCGAACAAGCCGUUAACAGGCUUUCCAUGGGUCGGCCCGCCACCUUUUGACCAAGUCAAACGGGCUGGCCUUUUCACGGGAAUGUGCCUCUGUUGGGCCGUGCCACGUGUCGACAUAUCAUAGGCGCCUUCUGUCCAAUGAGUGGUUGACAUCUGUCCCAAGGGUGAGCCGACACGUGUUUCCUCCAGCCAAUGAUGAUUUUACACGUGGAAAAUCCCCAUUGGUCGGGGCUGUUAACGGGUUAUCGGAUCCAAAACCCAACCCGAUAGCUUAACGGCGUUCCGUUACGGUGGAUGCCACGUGUCGGUCACCCUUGACGAAAGCACUUAUGUGAUGCGCGAUUUAUCGUCAUGGAAGUGGACACUUCCGUGAUGAUAAUUUUGGUAAUGCCAUGGAACACAUCUACGACAGCACAGGUAUGACUAUCUUGAUUCUAUCAUAAAUUUUUCAUGGAUGUACAUGCAUGACAAAAAACGCGACCUACUGUGACAAACACGUAUCAUCAUGGAAGUGUAUUUUUUUGUAGUGUUAGGGUUAGGGCAUAACGUAAUCUCAGUGAGACAGAUUACACAAACUCGGUGGGACCGAUUUUGGUAAUAAGCUAACCAGAGAGUUGGUCAGGUAAACUCGAUGGGACCGAUUCGCUCAUUUCGGUGAGACCAAAAUGUUAUGAAAGGAAAACAGAGAGUUUACAUUGCAAUCUCGGUGGGACCGAUCGCUCAUCUCGGUGGUACCGAAACGUUACAAAGGGAAAUAGAGAGAUUACAAUCCCAUCUCGGUGAGACCGAUUUGCCUAGGGUUUGUGGCAGUGGCUAUGACAUCUGAACUCGGUGGCGCCGGAUGGAAAGAAUCGGUGGGGCCGAGUUUGAAUUUUGGUUUAGGUCAUAUGUGGAUGUGAGAAAGUAGUUGAGGGCUUUGGAGCAUAUCACUAAGCAUUUUGAGCAAGAACCUCAUUAAGCAACACCUCAUCCCUCCUUGAUAGUAUUGGCUUUUCAUAUAGACUCAAUGUGAUCUUGGAUCACUAAAAUAGAAAAUGUAGAGUCUUGAGAUUUGACCUUGAGCCAAUCCUUUUGUCCUUAGCAUUUUGAGGGGUACACUUUUCUCAUCCAUGCCAUGCCAUUCAUUGAGCUUUCCUGAAAUAUUAGCUCAGUGAGCUAUAUGUUGUUAGGAAUUACCAAAACCACCUAGGGAUAGUUGCACUUUCAAGUGGGGAACCAUGGCUUAGGGAAACGCUUGUUCGAAAUGUGUGGUAAGUUAUGAAAGUACCCCCACCGAUUUGAGGCGGUUCUUUCGGUUCAGGGGUACCACGGGCAUUUCGCGUGUCAGGAUUUCACAGGAGGUGGGAGUUUUCGUGCAUGUUGUAAUUUCGGAAUAGAAAGGCGCGGGUGGAGAUGGAGGGAGUUGUCGGAGCACAACAAGACAAACAUAUAUCUUAAAUAUUUCGGCCUAACAAGGCACGGGUUGAAAUUUCGGGACAAGCCUAACAUGUACUAUACCAAAUCAAUUCGCACUACAAAUGUCAUUCAAAACUUUGAAUUCAUGUUAUGUUGAAUUAAAAUAUUUCGCUACGUGUAUAAUGCAUGCAACCUACUACUCAAAAGAACGUUUUAGUGCAUUCCAAACGUAUAUACUACCGCUUCAAUGUGAACUAAAUUUGAAUUCGUUUCUCUAUUUGAAUAAGAUCUACAGUAAUGAUUGUUGUGAAGUCAAAGCAUUUGAAUUCGUUUCUCUGUUUUAAUAAGAUCUACAAUCAUCAUUAUUGUCAAGUUAAACCAUCGUUUGUGUAUUAUGUUCACAGCACACCACAUGAUUAGUCUCGAGUUACAUAUGAACUAUGUGUACUAUAUGAGCUCGAACUCGAUUUUUUGAAUCCACUUUAUUUUGAUUUCAAAUCACAUUACAUUUCUAGCUCUAGCCAGAUCUUCAUAAUCUAAACCAUGUCUCAUAUGUAUAAUGUGUUUAUCACAUUAUGUAUGGUGCCCCGCCCCCUACGCCUACAGGUAUUUAGAUGUGAGUUGCAAACACCACACAUUACCACAAAUUCAAAAAAAAUGUGAGAAUGUUCGAUAUAUAGUAUUGUUUAGAUUGUUCGAUAUUUAGUUGUAAGCUGCAAAUGCCACACAUUAUCACAGAUUCAAAUAAAAUGUGAGAUUGUUUGAUGUAUAGUAUGGUUUAGAUUGUUCGACAUUUAGCUGUGAGUUGCAAACGCCAUGCAUUAUCACAUUAUGGUAUAACAUGUGCACAGCAUGCAUAUCACCGCUAUAUUCAUGCAUGCAUAUGUUUAAAACACUAUGAUCUCCUAUUCAAAUAUAUGAAUCCACUUUCAUAUCAAAUUAUGAUCUUUGUUAGUCUCUUACACCCACACAAUCCUCUAACCUUUGUAGCUACCACUAACUUUCUCUUGUGCAUGCACACGCCCUCCUUGCCCUCCCCCUCCCUCGGCAUUCUAUCCACCGAGCACAUUCAGUUUUUUUCUUUAGGUCAUUCUCCCAGAGUCUCCACAACUCCUUUCCGACACACACCAAUCGAUAAACCUCUCCAGCGAUGCCUGCCUACAACACACACACGCACCUUAAAUCUCCUCCUUUAUGUGCCCUUGCCUCGUGUCUCUCAUACGGUCACACACACGUGUAAACUCUCGCCCCUCUUUUCAUUGAUCUCACAACCGCACACUCCUCCCCCUAUCUAGCUAGUAGCUGGGCCUCUCGCACCACCUCCUAGCUCCAUUCUCUCUGUCUAUCCGUCUCGCUGGGCCUUAUUUGCCUCUAACAAAUGGACGUACACUGACCAAUCUCCCACUAUACAUAUAGCUAGCUAGGUCCUUAUAACUCGAUUUUACCCACGCGUUGAUCGAUCUACCUCAUUAGUUAUGUCUCUCCCUUCCUCCGACAGACAACAAUUGAUCUACCGAUCUUGUUAGGUUUGCUUACCAAACACAUGGUUCCCCUUCAUCAUCCAUGGAUGCGUCCCGAUAGAUCUAUCACGCACAUGCGCACACAGAAACACAUCCCCACUCUUAUUGAUAACAUUGCAGUUCCACCCUCAGUUUGUCUAGUAGGCCUCUCCCACCAUCUUCGGGAAGCAACUCCAUCACCCAUCCAGCACUCUACCCCUCUCCCUCCCUCUCUCUCUCCUCUCUCUCUCUGUCCCAUCAUAUUUCCCGUCCUUCAGUUAUGUAUGGAUGUCGACCGAUCUCCCUAAAGACAUAGCUGGGUCUCUCCUUCUCAACACAUAUACGAGUCGUUCUANNNNNNNNNNNNNNNNNNNNNNNNNNNNNNNNNNNNNNNNNNNNNNNNNNNNNNNNNNNNNNNNNNNNNNNNNNNNNNNNNNNNNNNNNNNNNNNNNNNNNNNNNNNNNNNNNNNNNNNNNNNNNNNNNNNNNNNNNNNNNNNNNNNNNNNNNNNNNNNNNNNNNNNNNNNNNNNNNNNNNNNNNNNNNNNNNNNNNNNNNNNNNNNNNNNNNNNNNNNNNNNNNNNNNNNNNNNNNNNNNNNNNNNNNNNNNNNNNNNNNNNNNNNNNNNNNNNNNNNNNNNNNNNNNNNNNNNNNNNNNNNNNNNNNNNNNNNNNNNNNNNNNNNNNNNNNNNNNNNNNNNNNNNNNNNNNNNNNNNNNNNNNNNNNNNNNNNNNNNNNNNNNNNNNNNNNNNNNNNNNNNNNNNNNNNNNNNNNNNNNNNNNNNNNNNNNNNNNNNNNNNNNNNNNNNNNNNNNNNNNNNNNNNNNNNNNNNNNNNNNNNNNNNNNNNNNNNNNNNNNNNNNNNNNNNNNNNNNNNNNNNNNNNNNNNNNNNNNNNNNNNNNNNNNNNNNNNNNNNNNNNNNNNNNNNNNNNNNNNNNNNNNNNNNNNNNNNNNNNNNNNNNNNNNNNGUAUCUCUCACACACACCCACGUAGGUGGGGGGCGUGCACGAAGAGAAGAGGUGCAUGCACGGCGCCUGUACUCCCGUCUCUUUCCCAACCACACCCGCACGGGUACACGGUGGAGCUCAUUUUUGUAUGAAAACGCAGCCCACGUGGUAAUUUGGCACGUGUACUGGUUGUCCACUUGGUGGAGGGAGGAUCGCCUACCACGGGUGAACAAACAAAUUGCGACUUGACGUGUUAUGUUAAAAAAAGAGGCAAACCAUUGGGGGCCUACCUUAGAGGCAAGGCUCUAUACACUGGAGUACUUUUGAUGUGUCCCGUCAACUCGCAGAACAAGGAGAAGCUUGCUUAGUACGCCGUCUCCCCCGCCCACGAGCGUGGUGGCUCGCAGGAUGAGGUGAAGCUUGCUUAGUACUAUAUGCCUUACGCCCGCUCCCUCGCCCACGCGCGCGGGUGGCUCACAGGAUGAGGAGAAAAAAUUACUACUCCCUCCGUUUACUCCUCGUCCCUACUACCUUGGUUAUAGAGAUUAUAUCAUAUUGUUUGGAAUAUAUAUGUCCUUUAGUAGAUUUCAAUAUGAACUACUAGUACAUACUCCAAACACUGAUGUAUAUAGACGUAUUUAGAGUGUAGAUUCACUCAUUUUGCUCCGUAUGUAGCACUCUCCCUCGCCCCUCGACCCUCGCCCACGUGGUGGACAUGCAGCAAUUCAUUUGGUCUCAUAUAUCCAGAACGAUAUAUACUGCACUACCAUUAUUGCUCGACUUCCCGAAGAGGCAAAGAGCCAAUCGCAAGGUUAAUAUUUUGGAGAUGCCAAGCGCAAGGUUAUAGGAGAACGAGUAGUAGGUGUCGCGUCAUUUAUAAAUAAAGUUUUUUUUCUUUAGUGGCACGUACGAAAUAUGAUAGGUUCAUAUGGAGAGAAAAGGAAACCGCUCCACUAUAUACAUAGUCAGGACGGGCCAGCCUACAUGGUUGCUUGCUGGGGUUGCUCUCUUCACACUCUCUCGCACAAAACGACUGUGGCCACAUCUCUAACAUCCCGGCGGAUCACGUCCUCCGGGGUAGGGGUGGAUGCUUAGUGCAUAUGCGGUCGCCGUCACCGACGGCAAAAACCCACUGUCGGCACGUCCUGAUCAUGGGUCCCCGCCGUUCUCUCUCACAAAGCCGGUGAGGUUGCCUUCAUCCCUUGUCGCAGUAAUGGGCCAUGGGUAGCCUCACCCAGGUCCCAGGAUUUAUCAAGACUUUGGGCCAGCUCCACCUAGCUGGGCCCCAAGCUGAAGCCCCGCCCACUGGGGGCCAGCUAGCUCAACGGCCGGCUACCAGAGGGCGGCCAACCCCUGCCUACGGCACUGUGAGUGGCCGGCUUCAGCCUGCCGGCCUCCAGAGAGGGCGGCAUUAGGCAGGCGGCCACCUCACGGCCUCGGAGCAACCGAGCCCCCCAUCGAGAGUACGAGACAGAGCAUGGCUACAGUGAAGCACGUCGCCUCCGACGCCCGGGACAGGCGUGGCUACAGUGCUCCGUAUAGGCAGAGAUCUCCGCACGACGGGGCACUGUGUCGUGUCUCCCUAACGUUGCUCUGAGCAGGCGGGGUCGUGUACCCCACGAUGGCCUGUCGGUACGGCCUGCCGGUGGCGGGCCCUAUCGGGCAGUGACCCCAUAGAAGACGGCGGAAGUUUAACCAUACGGACUCGAGAGGGGCCGGCCUCCAGCAGGUGGCCGUCCCUUGCCCCGAGGCAAGCAUGCCAUUAAGCUGAUGGGACCAGGUGUGGCUACAGUGGCCUCCCACCAGGUGGCGGGACUGUAGCCACACUGAGAUGACCAAGCCCCCAUCAUCAACGACACAGCUACAGUAAGCAACCACCUACCAGUCGGCAGGGCCCACCAGGCGGCGGGCCCCAACGGUCGGCGGAGAAGCUGGAGGCUGGAGACACUGAUAGCCGGGCCCAGCAGCCGGCCCGAUUACCAUUGUACCCCUGGUGGGCAGGCCUAUAUAAGCCCCCCAGGCCACCCAUGCAAAGGGUUCCAACUCUGAUAGAACUAGCCAGUUACCUAGGGCAGGGAAGAGCUAGCCUUGCCUUCUCCAACCUCUAGCCACCGCUCAAGGAGCAACUUGUAUCACUAGUGCCUUAGUGAUCAUGCGGAGACCCCGCAGAGCAAGAGUAGGGGUAUUAUCUCCACGAGAGCCCCCAACCUGGGUAAAGUUCGCCGGCGUACGUGUCUACGCCUUAUCCCGCUUCCAGGCACCGGGGACGUUCUACUCGCUCCCACCAUGAUAAGCCAUCCAUUGGCAUAUGUCGCACCCAACCCCCGACAUUUGGCGCCCACCGUGGAGCGAGGUGCACCGUCUUCCGGAGAUCUGCUCUAGACGGGAACCCUGUUCCUUCCUGGUGAGCAAAGCCAGCCCAGCACGCCUGACGGCGUCAGCCCCGACGCGUUGCGCGGCGCGGAGAUCGCCUGCACGGUGAGCUGCCUCGCCGACCUCAUCGGUGAGAUCAACCUCUUCGACGAGUCGGCCUCCAACGUGGGCACUAGCUGCCCCGAGAGCCGCCUCGUCAGCCUCCUCGACCAGCUCCAUGUCACCGGCGAGCCUGCUGUGGACCUGGAGUCUGUUGGCUCCACCGAUCCAAUGAUCGUUGACUCCGACACGGCGUCAUUCGACGCGUUCCCCGCCAACAUGGUGGUCUACGACGAGCCGCCUCCUCGCGAGCACAGCAGCGGAAGUACCGUCAUGGAGGUACUCGUCAUCAACAGCGGAGAGCACUCGGACGAGCACGCUCGAGACCAUCUCGACGCGGCUCUGCGCGACCUAACGGUGCCCAUCCCCGAGGACGCGGAUGCCAAGACGCUGGAGGCACACCGCUUCCAGCUUCUCGAAAAUGUUGGUCGCCUGGCCAGCAUGCGCCGGCUCUUGGACACCUACCGACGCGAGAUGGACCGAGCCAUAGGUGGCAUGCCGGCUCCUGAGGGGCCUAGCCGCCUUGGCACGGUUCGGCAGCGUGGCGCAACCAUAGCCAGCAUGUUCGGGGUGGAGCGCCCCAUCUACGCCAUGCCUGCAGAGAAGAUCUGGGCCGCCCAGGCGGUGACGGAUGAGCUGGACAAAUACAACGGCGACGAGUGCCGCCACAUGACGGAGCGAGUCCAGCAGCUCCUAGACGCGGCCGCUGCGCAACACGAAGCCGCCUACCGCGCUGAAGCUCCAGCCCGACAAAACAACGAGCCGCCCCCUUGCCAAGAUCAUGGGGCGACAUCCCGGACGCUGACUGGUGGCGCCCACGGAGGGAAAGGCCACGAACCGGCUGCCAGCCACAGCCGGACGCGCCUCACCAUUGAGCAAGACGAAGACGGCCGCCCACAUGCAGUGGAGCGGCGAGGCGACCUGCCGCCUCCUCCACCUUGUGGAGCAAGGCACCCCCACUCCGCCUCUUGUCACACACCCGACACUCGGCGACCGCCUUGGCCCCUGAGAGGGAGUCGGAGAGAAUGACGCCCGCCAUCGGAUCGAUCGCCUCAACCGAUCCCUGGCGCUAGAAGAAGAAGACACGCUGGGCCCGCCCUACUUUGGCCCCCGAAUCCGAGAUGAGCCCUUCCCCAAAAGGUUCACUCUCCUGUGAGAUACGCCCAAAUACACCGGCUCCGUGAAGCCGGAGGACUGGCUGGUCGACUAUUCCACAGCCGUCAACAUAGCAAACGGCAAAAGCGUGUUGUCGUGAAGUACGUCCCUCUCGUGCUUCAGGGGACGGCCCGGACAUGGCUCAACAGCCUGAAGCCCCGCGGCAUCAACAGCUGGGUGGAUUUCACUGAGGCCUUCAUCCGCAACUUCACCAGCACGUACAAGCGGCCUCCCAAGCCCCGACAGCUCUUCUUGUGCGUCCAAGGGCCCAGCGAAUCGACUCGCGACUACCUCACGCGCUGGGCCGAGCUGUGCAACUCCUGGGAGGGCGUGCACGAGGUGCAGGCCAUCGAGUACUUCACCGCCGGGUGUCGAGAAGGCACCCUCCUCAAGCACCGUCUUCUCUAUGACGAGCCUGCAACUCUCGACGAACUAUUAAUCAUCGCCGACAAGCACGCCACAGCCGACUCCUCCAUGAAGGCAGAGAUCUUAGUCGAUGCAUCCGGUAAGGUAGCACCUCAGGCUCCUUGGACUCCGGCUGGCGAGACCAGUCGGAGACAGCCCCCAAGCGACAACAAACAGAAGACCACCCAGCCGGCUUCCAACAGCCGGUAGGUGGCGACAGUCGAGGAUCAGCAGCCGGAGGGGCAGCCAGCGCCCAAGCGUCAGAAGGGCGGCAAGCCCAACUGGCUGCCCGCCUUCUCGUACGAGCAGACCCUUGAUGCUUCCUGCAAGUUUCACAGUGGCGCGAAGCCGUCCAACCACACCACUCGGAAGUGUACUGGCUCACCAGGAUUGCUAAGGGAGACGGCCUCCUACCUCCUCUGUCUGCCGGCCCACCGCCUCCUCCGCCCUAGCAGCCAGCGGCCCGGCCAGUCGGUGCCAUUCAAGAUGAGUAUCCUGCAGAGCAUGAAGCCUAUGUCGUGUUCACUAGUGUGGCCAAUGAUAGGCGCAGCAGACGGCAACAAUAACAAGAGGUGCAUGCAGUAGCCUCAAGCACCCAGAGUUCAUGCACUGGUCCGAGAAGCCCAUCAACUAGAGCAGGGCCGACCAUUCGGAAGUGAUGCCUUCCCCCGGUUCCUACGCCUUAGUCCUGGAUGCGAACCUCACAACGGAAAGGCGGGCAGCCCAUUUCUCCAGGGUCUUGAUAGAUGGCGGCAGCAGCAUAAAUAUCAUGUACCGCGACACAAUGGAGAAAUUGGGAAUCAAGCAGAAGCAACUCCUCACCAGUUGGACUGUAUUCCAUGGCAUAGUCCCUGGCCUUUCCUGCUUACCAAUCGGUAAGAUCCAGAUUGAUGUCAUCUUUGGAGACAAGAAUCAUUUCCGCCGAGAGCCAGUUUGGUUUUCGGUGGUGGACUUAUAGAGCCCUUACCAUGCACUGCUUGGCCGACCUGCCCUGGCCAAGUUCAUGGCGGUCCCCCACUACGCCUACCUCAAGAUGAAGAUGCCAAGUACUAAGGGAAUCCUAACUGUAGUCGAAGACUACAAAAAGUCGGCCGCCUGCGCCACGGACAGUAGCCGGCUGGCCGAGUCCCUUGUGAUUGCAGCCGAGAAGCGGCUCCUAGAACGGGUGGUGGCGAUGGCAGGCAAGAAGCCGGAAAUGUCACCCGCCCCCAAGGAGUCAGACGCAGAGGGAUCGUUCAAGCCAGCAAAGGAAACCAAGAAGAUACCCUUGGACCCAGAGCACCCGGAGAGGCACGAUGUCGUAGGUGCGAACCUAGACAGUAAAUAGGAAAGCAAGCUCGUCGACUUCCUCCAUGAGAAUCGGGACAUCUUUGCAUGGUCUCCCAAAGACAUGUCGGGUGUUCCGACGGAUUUCGCCGAGCACAAACUACAUGUCCGACCUGACGUCAAGCCGGUCAGGCAGCCCUUGCGCCGCCUGUCGGAAGAGAAGUGAAGAGUUAAUGGAGAAGAGAUAGCCCAAUUUCUAGCAUCCGGAUUCAUCAUGGAAGUAUUCUUUCCAGAAUGGCUUGCCAACCCGGUCCUAGUGUUGAAGAAGAACAAGCAGUGGCGCAUGUGUAUUGACUAUACCAGUCUUAACAAGGCCUGCCCCAAAGAUCUGUUUGCCCUACCAAGGAUUGAUCAAGUGAUAGACUCCACAGCCGGAUGCAAGCUGUUGAGUUUUUUGGAUGCAUAUUCAGGCUACCACCAGAUAAAACUAAACUCGGCCGACAGGCUGAAGACCGCCUUCAUCACGCCAUUUGGAGCCUUCUGCUACCUGACCAUGACGUUCGGCUUGCGGAAUGUCAGCGCCACCUUUCAACGUUGCAUGCAGAAGUGCCUCCUCAAGCAGCUCGGCAGAAAUGCCAAUGUCUAUGUGGAUGAUGUGGUGGUGAAGACGGAGAAGCGCGGCACGCUGCUAGAAGAUCUCAAGGAAACCUUUGAGAACCUGCGCCGAUUCCAGAUCAAGCUAAACCCGGAGAAAUGCAUCUUUGGAGUACCAGCCGGCCAGCUUCUCGGCUUCCUGGUCUUAGAGCGUGGCAUAGAGUGCAACCCUGUGAAGAUCAAGGCAAUUGAGAUGAUGAAAGUGCCCACCCGACUGCUGCACAUGCAGAAAUUCACCAGCUGCUUGGCGUCAGUUAGCCGUUUCAUCAGCCGGCUGGGCGAGAAGGCUCUUCCCCUGUACCAACUCAUGAAGAAGACCACUUUUUUCGAGUGGAACGACAAGGCGGACGAAGCAUUUCUCCAACUCAAGAAGAUGUUGGCAACCCCACCUAUCCUGGCAGCUCCGACUGAGAAGGAGCCCAUGCUCCUCUACAUUGCAGCCACCAGUCGGGUUGUCAGCGUAGUCAUGGUGGUAGAGCGCAAGGAGGAGGACAGAACAUUGCCGGUCCAGAGACCGGUGUAUUACUUGAGCGAAGUAUUGUCCACCUCCAAGCAAAACUACCCACACUACCAGAAGAUGUGCUACGGCGUGCACUUUGCUGCCAAGAAGCUAAAGCCUUACUUUCAAGAGCACCCAAUAACCGUCGUCUGCACGGCUCCGCUUGCUGAGAUCAUUGGGAGCCGAGACGCCUCUGGCCGAGUGGCCAAGUGGGCUAUUGAUCUGGCCCCUUACACCAUCUACUACCAGCCUCGCACUGCCAUCAAGUCACAAGUGCUGGCCGACUUCCUCGUCGACUGGGCCGAGACCCAGUAUUUGCCGCCUGCACCAGACUCCACUCAUUGGCGGAUGCAUUUUGAUGGUUCAAAAAUGCGCACCGGUCUGGGAGCCGGCGUCGUCCUCACCUCUCACAAGGGCGACAACCUCAAAUAUGUGCUGCAAGUCCAUUUUGCCGCCUCCAACAACGUAGCUGAAUAUGAGGCACUCAUACACGGGCUCCGGCUUGCCAAAGAACUUGGCAUCCGCCUGAUCCUGUGUUAUGGUGACUCCGACUUGGUGGUCCGGCAGUCGUCAGGCCAUUGGGACGCCAAGGAUGCAAACAUGGCAAGCUACUGCUUCCUCGUGCAGCAACUCAGCGGAUACUUUGAUGGGUGCGAGUUCCUUCACGUGCCAAGAAACGACAAUGAGCAAGCAGAUGCCUUGGCACGGAUUGGCUCCACCCGACAAGCAAUACCAGCCGGCGUCGCCCUAUGCCGCCUUCUCAAGCCGUCUGUCAAGCUGUCUCCUGAUUCAGACUCCAUCUUUGUGCCAGUCACUCCUGAAGCAGUCGGAUUCGAAUUGACGGCCCCAGAGGCCGGCAUGGGGAUUUCGACAGAUGGCCCGGGGACUGCUGCAGCCGCACCCGGCUCAGGGACUUCAGAACGCGGCCCAGGGACUCCAGCAGUCGGCCUGAGGACUUCUUCAACACAGCAGGCGGAAGCAGCUGCCAACCCACCGCCUCCCGGCACAACCGCCCUCAUACAAGUUGUAGUGGUGGCAGUCAAAGAAAUUGCAGCGCCAUCAUGGGCUCAGCCAAUCCUCAAGUUCCUGGUGAAUAAAGAGUUGCUGACUGAUGAGAUCUCAGCCCGACAAGUGCAAAGGCGAGCAGCAGCCUACACCAUAGUCAACAGAGAGUUAGUGCGACGAAGUGUCACCGGGGUUUAUCAGCGCUGUGUGGAGCCGGACCAAGGCCAAGCGAUACUCAGAGAUAUCCACCAAGGCGAGUGCGGCCACCACGCGGCUUCAAGAUCACCUGUGGCCAAGGCUUUCCACCAUGGGUUCUUCUGGUCGACUGCCCUAGAAGAGGCCAAAGUUCUAGUUCAGAAAUGUCAAGGGUGUCAGAGGUUCCGCUCCAAGCCACACCUGCCGGCUUCUGCACUCAAGACCAUUCCCAUAGUCUGGCCCUUUGCUAUUUGGGGGCUAGAUAUGGUAGGACCAUUCAAGACGGAACGUGGUGGCAUGACUCAUUUGCUUGUCGCUGUGGACAAGUUCACCAAGUGGAUAGAGGCAAAACCGAUCAAGAAGAAGAAUUGGCCGACUGCCGUGACCUUCAUCGCCGACAUCACCACGCGAUACGGCAUACCACACAGCAUCAUCACCGACAACGGCACCAACUUCGCCAAAGGAGCCUUGGCUCGUUUCUACGCAACACAGGGCAUCCGCUUGGACCUAGCAUCCGUUGCCCACCCGCAGUCAAAUGGCCAGGUGGAGCUUGCAAACGACCUCAUUUUGUCCGGCCUCAAGCCCCGACUGGUCGAGCCUCUGGAGCGUUCGGCCGGCUGCUGGCUCGACGAGCAGCCGGCUGUCCUCUAGAGCUUGCGCACAACUCCAAACAAAUCAACCGGCUUCACGCCUUUCUUCCUCGUCUAUAGUGCCGAAGCCGUCAUCCCGAUAGACAUCGAGUUCGACUCCCCAAGAGUCACCAUGUACACCGAGGCGGACGCCAAGGAGGCGCGAGAAGACGGCGUCGACUUGCUGGAGGAAGGCCGGCUGUUGGCACUCAGCCAGUCGGCCAUCUACCAGCAGAGUCUGCGUCGAUACUACAACCGCAAGGUGAAGCCAAGGUCCUUCCUGGAGGGAGACCUUGUGCUCCGGCUGAUCCAGCGAACAGCCGGACAGCACAAGCUCUCGGCACCUUGGGAAGGCCCUUUCAUCAUCAGUAAGGUGUUGGGCAACGAUGCCUACUAUCUGAUCGAUGCCCAGAAGCCCAGAGCAUGCAAGAGAGAUGAUUCAGGCAAAGAGACGGAGAGGCCAUGGAACGCAAACCUCCUCCGAAGGUUUUACAGUUGAAAGCAGUAUGUAUCACGCUCCCUUUUGUACUAUGUAUAAAGACUCCGGGCCUCCCGAGAAGAGCUCGGGGACUACCCUCUUUUAUCUAUAUGAUAAGUGUUGUGCCUAUAAGUAUAAUUAGUUUUAUUUCCGCCUGGCACCGGGUUCGACCAGUCGGCCCGGAGGCUUUCCGCCUUCUGCUAUAUGCCGCCUCCUGCAGCUGGACAAGUAGUGUGUCUGCACCCAAAACUUCCUUUGUCUGAAGCCACAGCUCGCAGAGCGACUGUAUGGCGGGCAGGGGUUGCAAAAUAGUGCCCCACACGAAAAAUGACUAAGGAAGAAACACAUAUAGUAGAGGCCGGCAUCGCACGCAGUCGUCUGGCUGCCGAGCAGCCAGUCAGCUGGCCUCUGCUUUUAUUACCUACGCCCUGAAUGGCUAAGUACUAGCCCUCCCACAAGCAGCUAAAAAUACUCAACCCAGCCGUAGUCUGCAGAGCGGCUGUUUGGCUGGCAAGAGGAUAGCCAAGGGAGGACGGCAAAGGAAAAAAGCUAAGGAGAAAAAGGAAAGAAAAGCUAGAGGUCGGCACAGCAAGCAUAAGCAAUGAUAGAAUAUUUACAAGGAUAAAGGCCUACCAGCCGGCAUUCAAACAAAGUUCAACAUACACCCCACGGGUGGAACUGAAAUUUAACUAAGUUGUCCAAGAUAAAACAGGGGAAAAGGGAAAAUCCUAAGGAGCAGCAGAAGGCUCCGGCUAGACGACGCCGGUGGGUCCAGCAGAAGGCUCCGGCUGGGCAGUGCCGGUUGGCGCGGCAGAAGUCUCCGGCUGAACGCUGGAGUCGGCUGUGCCGCCUGACGCGGCGGGCGGCUCCGUCUGGGCUGAAGAGUCCGCAACAAUAGUUGGAACGGCGGAGGGCUGGAGGACGGAGUCGGUGGCAUCCGUCGGAGGAACGGGUGGUUGGUCGAUUCCCGCCUGGCUGUCUCCAGCAGCAGUCGGCGCCCCGGUGCGCGGCUCGUUGCUUGAGGCCCGGUCAGGCCAGGGCUGACUGUCCACCCCGACCUCCGGCAGGUCGACAUUGCUCUCCUCCUCCUCCUCCUCCUCCUCCUCCUCCUCCUCCUCCCCUUCCUCUCCUUCAACUCGAGUCGAUGACUUCAGCGGAAUCUUCACUGUCCUCCGGGUUCAGCCCGAGCCACUCCUGCGGCACGUCGGCGCCCUCCUCGACCACCUCCGGGACAAAGACGCUGGUGUCGAUGAAGUCGGCGAUCGCCGCCGCCCUGUUGAUGAGCUCAGCUUCCACCACCGCUAGCUCCUCCUGCGCCUCCAGCCAGAACGUGGUUAACUGGGAUAGAUCUAGCCCAGGGUACCAUGCCUUGACGAAUUUCAAGGCCCGGCGCGCUCCUGCCUGGGUUGCUGAGCCUUUCCAGGCUUCUAGGUGGCCGGCCGCCACCUCCAACCAGUCGGCAGUCUGACUUGGGGUGCGUGGGGCUGGCAGGCCUGGCCAGAGGGCGGAGACCGCCUGGGCCCCGAUGCGCUGAAGGUGGCGCAGCAUUUGACGGGCAGGCCGAAGGUGGGCCUGGAUGCUGAGGAUCUGUUCAUUAAGACUCUGGGGGGCAUCAGCAGCGAUCUACACGCCCUCCACCCUCCGCUCCUCGUGCUGGGCCUCGAUCAUCUGGAUAGCGGCAACAGAGUGGCCCGGGAAGAAGUCUGCAUAGGCAGAAGAAAAGAAAAAGACCAAAGUAUAAGCAAGUGAUCAACCUAGAUAUGGGCUGACAAUUUGAAACAAGAAACCAAGAGGAUAAAGCUCACCAUCGACCAAGUCUUCCAUGCUAUUGAAGCAGGCCGUCAUCUGGGCUUCCCUGUCGGCCCAGGCGGAGCGCUCGACCUCAAACUCGUCAAGGAGGUCGGCCUCCUUCGUCUUUACCUCCAGCUGGGCCGCCUUAAGGGCCUCCGCCUAUUCAGCAAGUUGAGCGACCAGCCGGUCCUGCUCUUCGGCCAGCUUGCUGCACUCCACCUCCUUGCCAUGAAGGGCGGUGUUGGCUUCGCCCAGCUGCUGCUGCAAGGCGGCAUUGGCCUCUGAAGAAAGAAAGAGAAGGAAGAGCAUCAGUCAACUAGCAAAGUAGGUGUAGUUAACCGGGGAGAUUCGGCCCGACUGCUCAGCAGUCGGCCCGAACCUCGGGGACUACACCCCGUGGGUGCGCUGGCGCGCCCCCACAGAAUAAAGGAACAGAAGCUCACUUCGGCUCUCGGACAAAUGGCCGGUCUGUGCCUCCAGCUCCUGAACCCUGGAGUUGUAGGCGACCGCACGGAGGUUGUGGUAGUCCUGCAGAAGGGAAUAUCAGACAAAACCAACAUUCAACUCCGACAAGAUAAAGUUCAGGACCGAUUGCUCAGCAGCCGACCCAAAACUUGCGGACUACACCCAGUGGGUGCGCUAGCGCGCCCCCAUGAAAUUUGAAAUAAGAUCAAAAGAAAGGAGAAGCGGGAAGCUUACGCAGAUAGCAGCUCGCGAUUCCAGGAACAUCUUGUUACAGCGCCUGAGGGCUUCGGCUUCGGCCCGGAGCUUGGCCUAGACGUCGAGGGAUGCCCGGUUCAGGGUGCCCGUCCUGCCUCCACGCACCCAGCCGGUUGGCGCAACGCUGGAUGCCUCAGUGUCGGGGGCCGAUGAGCUCGUGGCGCCGGUCUCCAACGGUCACGGCACCGAGGCCGCCUUCUCAAGACGGCAGCGCACGGGUGUGCGGACCUGAGGAAUUAGGUCCGUCACCACCACGUUCUCGGCCGGUGGCACUGGCGGCUUGGCCGGCUGCUCGGCCCGCGGUUUGCUAGUCGGUGGCGGCGGUGGCACAAAGACGUCAGGCAUGGCCACGUCACCGCCCUCCCUCUUCAUAACCGGGUGCUCAUCGCCGGCUCCCCCGGUCGUCGCUUCAAACUCUGGUGGAGGGGGCGCGGUGUUCAGUGGCGUCACGAGCAGCGGCUCCUGGCGGCGCGCGGCCUCCGUGAGCCGCUCCCUCUCGCGACCUCGGCCUCUGCCUGCGCCAGCCUCCUCGCUGCGGAGAUCGCGGCCUUGUCCGCCUCUGCCUUUGCCAGGAGGUCAGCCUCUUCAUCGCGCGCCUCCCGCGCGUUCCGCUCUGUCGCCUCCUAGAGGUCGGCAGCCGGAUCGAUCCGCCGGCUGGUGGAGGAGGUCGUCGCCGACAUGAUGACCGAGGCGGCGCCUGACUUUUCGAGGGUGAGAGGGGCCCUGAAAGAUGAAGACACGACAAGGAAUUUACUUUAUAGGCCGGAUCGAUAGGACGAGUGAAGGCCUGAGAAAGAUACUUAUGCCGAUACCAUGACAGGCGCUUUCGGCUGCCUCUGAAACUUGGCCGCCUUGGCUGCGGCCUCUUGCCGCCUGGUCGCUGCGGCUGGGUUCUUGGGCUUCUUCGGUGCGCUGCCGAACAGGGCAGCACCCUGCUUCCGUUUACGCUUGCCGUCGUGGGCGGGCGGCCCAGCAGAGGGGCCGGCGCCGGUGUUAGCCGUGCUCCGAGUGGGGCGCGCCUCGUCCUCAUCAUCAUCGUCGUUGGGCCAGGCCUCCACGACGCCGCCUUCCUCGGUGCCUCCUGCUCCGCCGCCGCUGCCGCCUGUUGCGUCGUCCGCCAGGGCGACCGCCCCCAAGUCGGGGUCAUCCUCGUCACUCACCGCUCUAUCCGGGUGGUAGUCACCACCCGGCCCCACGAUGGCGGCCGCCGCCGCGGACAUGUAAAUCUGCGCUCAAGAGAGGAGUCGAAUCACAAAGAAAGCAAGACCAAAAGACAAAUCCAAAGGGAGAAAUCGAGGAACUUACAGCAGGCGGUCGGUUGUGGCGAGAGUACGGCCGCUUCCCGUACCGCCAGUCCACCUCCGACUUCUUGAGGUCGGAGAUCUCGUUCACCAUCCGUGCUACCUCGGCAGGCGGCAUCCCUUUCGUGCACAGCCAGCACGGGAUGCGGUGCCCACCCAUCCGAAAGAUUGGAUGAGGGCGGCUCUGGAGCGGGAGGAUGCGGUGCUCGACAAAGGCGACGAGGAGGUCGGAGGCCACAAGGCCCUCCGACUCUUGGAGCACUCAAAGUCGGCCGAUGGCGGCCGCCGCAUCCGCCAACACCGUGAAAGUACAACUAUCCCUAGGUGGUUUUGGUAAUUCAUAACAACAUAUAGCUCAUUGAGCUAAUGCUAUUCUAAGACUAUUAUUUCAGGAAAGCUCAAUGAAUGGCAUGGCAUGGAUGAUGAGAGUGGAUCCCUCAAAAUACUAAGGACAAAGGAUUGGCUCAAGCUCAAAAGCUCAAGACUCUUCAUUUUAUAUUUUAGUGGUCCAAGAUCACAUUGAGUCUAUAGGAAAAGCCAAUACUAUCAAGCAGGGAUGAGGUGUUGCUUAAUGAGCCUCUUGCUUCAUGUGCUUUGUGAUAUGCUCCAAAACCCUCAACUACUUUCCCACAUCCACAAAUGACCUAAACCCAAAGCCAAAAUCGGUCACACCGAUUCUUCCAAUCUGGCGCCACCGAUUCCUAAGUCAUGGCCACUGCCACAAACCCUAAGCAAAUCGGUCUUACCGAUAGGGAUCUCGGUCUCACCGAGAUGGGAUUGUAAUCUCUCUGUUUCCCUUCGUAACGUUUUGGUCUAACCGAAGUGAGCGAUCGGUCCCACUGAGAUUUCAAUGUAAACUCUCUGUUUCCCUUUUGUAACAUUUCGGUCUCACCGAAAAGAGCAAAUCGGUCCCACCGAGUUUACCUGACCAACUCUCUGGAAAGCUUAUUACCAAAAUCGGUCUCACCGAGUUUGUGUAAUCGGUCUUACCGAGAUUACGUUAUGCCCUAACCCUAACCGAAUCGGUCUCACCGAGAUGUAUGUCAGUCCCACCAAAAAUCACUAACGGUCACAAGGUUUACUAAAUCGAUCCGACCAAGUCUGUUGAAUCGGUCCCACCGAGUUUGGUAAAUUGUGUGUAACGGUUAGAUUUUGUGUGGAGGCUAUAUAUACCCCUCCACCUCCUCUUCAUUCAUGGAGAGAGCCAUCAGAACGAACCUACACUUCCAACUUACCAUUUCUUAGAAGUACCACCUACUCAUGUGUUGAGGCCAAGAUAUUCCAUUCCUACCAUAUGAAUCUUGAUCUCUAGCCUUCCCAAGUUGCUUUCCACUCAAAUCCUCUUUCCACCAGAUCCAAAUCCUAUGAGAGAGAGUUGAGUGUUGGGGAGACUAUCAUUUGAAGCACAAGAGCAAGGAGUUCAUCAUCAACGCACCAUUUGUUACUUCUUGGAGAGUGGUGUCUCCUAGAUUGGCUAGGUGUCACUUGGGAGCCUCCGGCAAGAUUGUGGAGUUGAACCAAGGAGUUUGUAAGGGCAAGGAGAUCGCCUACUUCGUGAAGAUCUACCGCUAGUGAGGCAAGUCCUUCGUGGGCGGCGGCCAUGGUGGGAUAGACAAGGUUGCUUCUUCAUGGACCCUUCGUGGGUGGAGCCCUCCAUGGACUCGCGCAGUCGUUACCCUUCGUGGGUUGAAGUCUCCAUCAACGUGGAUGUACGAUAGCACCACCUAUCGGAACCACGCCAAAAACAUCCGUGUCUCCAAUUGCGUUUGAAUCCUCCAAACCCUUCCGUUUACUUUCUUGCAAGUUGCAUGCUUUAAUUUCUGCUGCCUAUAUACUCUUUGCAUGCUUGCUUGAAUAGUGUGAUGAUUGCUUGACCUGUCCUAAAGUAGCUAAAAUCUGCCAAACUAUAAAAUUGGGAAAAGGUUAAGUUUUUAUUGGUCAAGUAGUCUAAUCACCCCCCCCCCAUCUAGACAUACUUCAAGGUCCUACAGGUGGUAUCAGAGCUUAGGUCUCCAUUUGCUUUGAUUUCCAUAGCUUUUGGUGGUCAUAGCCUUGGUUUCACAACCUAGGAGAGUAUGGCAUCUAGCGAGGGAAAUUAUCACCGUAGAGGUCCUUACUUUGAUGGUACUAAUUUUGCUAGUUGGAAGCAUAAGAUGAAAGUGCAUAUUCGCGGACAUAACCCCGUCAUUUGGGCAAUUAUUUGUAUUGGCUUGCAAGGUGAAUUCUUUGAUGGGAGAGAACCGAACCGUGAAGCUAAUGUGGAAGAAUUGAAGAUGCUGCAAUACAACGCUCAAGCUUGUGAUAUCAUACAGAUUGUGCCCCGAAGAAUUCAACAAAAUCAGCCGUCUUGAGAAUGCAAAGGAAAUUUGGGAUACUUUGAUUGAUAUGCAUGAAGGUACCGAGUCCGUCAAGGAAUCCAAGUUGGAUGUGCUCCAAAGUCAGCUUGACAAGUUCAAAAUGAAGGAUGGUGAAGGUGUCGCUGAAAUGUACUCUAGGCUUGCACUAUCACAAAUGAGAUUGCCGGCUUAGGGAGUGAAGAGAUGACCGACAAAUUCAACAUCAAGAAGAUCAUAAUAGCAUUGGAUGGAAAGUAUGAUACCGUGUGCACAUUGAUCCAAAUGAUGCCAAACUACAAAGAUCUCAAGCCAACGGAAGUUAUUGGAAGAAUUGUUGCUCAUGAGAUGUCACUCAAGGAUAAGGAGGAACUUCACAACAAGUCAAGUGGUGCUUACAAAGCCUCAAGUGAAGCCCCCACAUCAUCAAGUGAGAAACAAACCUUCAAUGAAGAAUUGAGCUUAAUGGUGAAGAACUUCAACAAAUUCUACAAUAGUAGAACCAAAGAGAGAAGCUCCAAGUCAAGGUCUUAUCAUGACAAAAGAUCUUCUAGUCGAGAGCGCAAUUGCUACAAUUGUGGGAGGCCUGGACACUACUCCAAUGAGUGUACGGCACCCUACAAAAGAAGAGAAGAUUCUCCAAAAAGAAGAAGCAAAAGAGAAGAAUCACCACCAAGAGAGAGGAGGAGUAGAGAUGAUCGUUAUGAACGAAGACCCUCAUGGAGAAGCAAGGAUUCGGAAAGGAAGGACAAGUCAUCAAGACGCUACACAAAACGAAGACAUCAAGCUCAUGUUGGUGAAUGGGUAUCCGGCUCCGGCUCCGACAAUCACUUCGAGAGAAGCUAUCACUCCGACUCCGAAUAUACUCAAGAUGAAGGUGUUGCCGGUCUAGCACUUGUGUCAACCAACUCCUACGACAUAUUUGAUUCACCAAAUGAAGGUGUUGGAAGAUGCUUCAUGGCCAAAGGUCCAAAGGUAACACAUCCUGAGUAUGUUGAUUUCAAUAGUGAUGAAGAUGACUUGCUUGUGGAUGAUGAUUUACUUGUUGACAACUCUAGUGAUGAAUACUAUGAUGAAACGUCAACUAAUCAUGCUAAUCAAACGAAUGACAAUGAUAAGGAGAAAAUUGAGCUUCUAACUAAAGAACAAAACACUCUUAAGUUGGCUCAUGAAACUAUCUUCGAAGAUCAUCGAGAACUUUUAAGGGCUCAUGAGAAGUCGCGCUUUGAAAAGCUCAAUCUUGAUCAAGAGCAUGAGUUCUUAAAGGAAAUCAAUGAUGAUCUACGCAAGAAAAGUUCUUCUUACAUUGCCAAGCAUUUACUCUUAUCUACUUACAUGCCUCAAGUCAAGUCUAGUAAUAAGUACAAGAAAGAUAUUUCCUCUAGUAGUAACAAUAAUAAUGUCAAAUCCAAUAUUGUUGCUUCUAGUAGUUCUCUUGAUUCCACUAAUGAUUCUCUUAGCCAAGUUACACUUGAGCAAGAAAAUAGUUUAUUGAAGGGAAUUAUAGAGAAGGGUGUUUACAAGAGCCUUGCCGGGAGUAAGCAAUUCGAGGAAAUUGUAUGCAAGCAAGGAAGGCACCAGAAGAAUCAAGGUGUUGGUUUUGAACAAAAGUUCAAUGCCAAUGGAGUUGAGUGGGAAGAAGAUCAAUACCCCAAGACGAAGUUUGUUCCUCAACAAGAGAAGUAUGAUCCUACUUCCUUCAAGGGAACACAAGCUCAAGAUGAUCUUCCUCCACAAGACCACAAGAACAAAGGCAAGGACAAGCUUCAAGAAGAGAUUGAUGCAUUUGAAUAAGCACCUAAGGUCUCAGUCAAGUGGAUUCCCAAGACUACGUCAAGUUCUACUUCAUCAAGUACAACUACAACUCCAAGGAUUCCCAUCAAGAUGAUGUGGAUCCCGAAGAAGAAGAACUAGAGAGUUCUUGAGGGUGACUCCGCCAACAUUCUUCACUCAUAUCAUUAUGGCAAGAACAAGUGCGAUCAACUCCCACAUCUUGCACUAGUUCAAGGAGUCACAAACCCUCAUGUUGGUAAGGCAAGGGACAAGGUAACCUAAUGUUUUCAUGGACAUCAUCUUAUGUGUGCAUCACUCUAUGUCUAUGGAUAUUAUUGUUUGUUCCUUGUGGGACUAACCCAUGUAGGUAAGUUGAAAGUGCAACUCACUCCAAAGGAUUGCUCCAAAUGAUCUACAUCAACAUUGAGCAUCCACAUCUUCAACACCUACAUGAAGUCAUCAUCGACAAAACCCAAGGUUAAUUCAUCCCUCUAAGGGGGGAUCUCACAUCUAGGGGGAGCUUAACUCUAAGAAUUGAGUCAAAGCAACUCUAAUGGUGUGAACACAUCAAUGCAUUAUGUAAAAGUGGUAACCCCACUUGAGCUUAAACGAUGAGUAUGACCUAUGAUCAAAUGUUCUCAUUUGACUCCUAAGUCAAUAUACUCAUAUAUAGAUGACCUAGUCAUUGCCAAUUGUUUCAUAGAUGCUAGAAUUGGUUGUGCAUGCUUUGCCACAUAUUUCAUUUGUCAUCUUAUUGUGUGAGCAUGUUGGUGCAUAUGUUACUCAUUCAAGGACAUCCAGUUGUUGCUUUGAUUGAUUGGUUUCUUUUCUUUUUGCCAAGUGGAUGGACAAGAAUGCCUAAGAACCUUCUUUAGCUAUCUAUGCUUUUCUCGUCUCAAACUCUAUUCAUGCUAUAUCACAAAAAUUGAUCAAGUCAGAUUCGAACCACUCUGUGUGAGGAGCACUCGGAGUCCCCGAUUCGUCAUAGACUUAAACUUCCAAAACCUCUUUGUGAUUCUCGGUCUGACCGAUUCCAUCAUUUCGGUCCUACCGAGAUCAUUAAGUUGAUCUGAGUUUUCAAUCUCGGUGCAACCGAUUUGAACUUUUCGGUCACACCGAGUUGCUGUAACUGAACAAAGUUAUGCAUCUCGGUGCCACCGAGUCGUUCCACUCGGUCACACCGACAGGGUCAGGCUAUAUAUAGUCACGGGCAAAAUUUUGGAAAUUUCUCCGAAACCCUUCGCCCGCGCAAUAGCUCGCUCUGCCAUCGGAGGUCUCCGGAUCGUCUCCUCGUUGCCAGCUGCCUCCUAUCGCUGGUCUCCGCCGCCGUGAACGGAUUUCGCCCCCGCCGUUGUCGCUGUAGCAAGUCCACCACCAAGCUAGGGUAUGGACUCGAUCUUUGUGCUAUCCACGUCUGAUUCCUAGCACAUUGUAUUCUUAUAGAAUCUUGCCACGAUUGAGAUACUCUUGUCCAGUCAGAGUAGUCCGUAGAUUAGAUGAGAUUCAAAUUUUUAGGGUUGGGUUUCCGCCGAAACCAUCUCGGACCCACCGAGUUGAAAAACUCGGUCUCACCGAUUUGGCUUAUGCCAUUGCACUAGUGACUCUCAGUCUGACCGAGAAUUACUAAUCGAUGCGACCGAUUUGAGGAUUCUGUGAAACCCUAGCAGUCUCGGUGCCACCGAACUGAGACUUGGUCCAACCGAGUUCAUCAGUUUAGGUUCCAAAAACUGCUUCGGUAUCACCAAGUUUGAAAAUCGGUUGAUCCGAAAUGCUUUCUGUGGAAAACUAAAACUGAAUUUUUGAAUCAUUCUUUUGAAAAAUCUCUGCAUUUUGUGAUGCUCAUCCACUCUAUCUCAUCUAUAACUCUUCAUAGGGUCAGCAGUCAGUCUUUUGCAGCAUGUCAGACCAGAGUGAAAGCCAGAACAAGUCAGAAGGACAGAUGGACUUGAGUGAGGGCACUAGUCCCUCAAGCACUUCAGAUGAAGGAAGCAGAAGCACUCCUAGCAAUUUGCCUAAGGCUGCUACUAGGCAAAGGAGAAAGAGAACUUCAGACUUAGAGGAUGAAGACUAUAGAGCAGAAGAGGAUGAGGCUACUUCCAAGAAAGUAGUGCUCAAGAAAGAAUAUGGCUCUGCACAGAGCACAAAGCCAGGUCUGAAGAGGAAAGUGCCUGCCAAGAGGACACCAAUGCCAAAGGCCAGAAAGUCCACUCAAGUGCCAGCUCAGACAGAACCCAAAGAGGCACCUGAGAAGAAAGUCACUUCUUCCCAAGCUCAGAAAGUCCCCACUGGAGAGACAAUGAAGUUUUCAAUUGAAUCAGAGGAUGAAGGUGCUCAGGACAAGAAAAAGAAGAGAGCAAGAACCACAACUGCCAAGGUCCUUGGAAAGCCCUCUAUGAGAAGAGAUUCUGAAGAAGAGGAAGAGGUUGCUGCACCAGCACCUAAGGCACCCAAGCUUAUGGGAGAUGCAAUCAGAUCAGGGGCUACAACAUCUAAGCCCAAGGAAGCACCCAAAGCUGCCUCCAAGGCCAAGUCUGCACCAAAGAGGAAUACCGGGAAUAUUCUAGCUGCUGAGAAAAACAAGGCCCCAGUGCCAAAUGUUGCUGAAGAAGAAGAUGAAGAAGGUCAAGUCCUAAGGAAGCUCAAGCCCAAGAUACCAGACCACAAUGAUGCCCAUCAUGUGGCUGAGGACAUGAGAAUCAGGAAGGAUUCAGGGCUGAGACUGUGGAGGAUGGAAGAUCCAUAUGCCACAAGGAGAAGAACUAUUGUUGACUAAAGGUUCCAUACAAAGGAACAGCAGGACUUCUAUGAGACAAUCUUAUUGGACAAGAAGCCCAUAGUUUGUGACAUGAGGUGGGUCGACUGGACCUACAUGAAGGAAAAUGAAGAGCACUAUCCUGGAGUGCAAGACAACUUUGUUGCUUGUGGAGAUGCUGAUUUUGUUGGACAAAAGCUCACAAACUGGAAUGAUGAGCUUAUCAUGCAGUUCUACUCCACAGCACACUUUUACCCAGAUGGAAGAAUUGUUUGGAUGUCUGAAGGAACAAGGUACCAGUCCACUGUUGAAGAAUGGGCAAGACUGAUAAAUGCCCCAAAGGAGAAUGAGGAUGACCUGGACAUUUAUUCAAAGAAGAAGAUGGGUCACAACUCCAUGGCUCACAUGUACAAGGAAAUUCCAGACAAGGCAGUAGGGACUCACAAGUUUGGAUCAGUCCACUUUCUAUUGCCAGGGCUGCCCACAAUCAAUUGGAUUCUGAGGCAUACUUUGUUGCCCAAGUCUAGUGACCAUGACAUGAUCAAAGGGCAUGCCAUCAACAUGUUGCAUCUGUUUGAUGUGCCACAGAAAUUCAAAGUCAUGAGCCUUAUAGUUGAAACCAUUAAGAGGACUGCAGCAGAUCAGAAGAGGAGCUGUGGAUAUGCCCUCAGAUUCAGGAAUUGAUCAACUCAAAGAUGGGCACAGGAAAAUAUCAGUUGGAUAAGGAACAUUUUCCACUUUAUCCAGACUUUGAGGAUAAUGAGGUUGUCAUGAAUGAGGAUGAUCCAACAUCAGUUCAAGCUCAGGAGAAGAAGGAGAAGGCAAAGAAGGAGAAGGCUGCCAAGAUGCCAACUCAAGAGGAGGCAUCUGAAUAUUUCCUGAAGACCAAACAGGAGCAGCUUGGUUACUUGAUAGCAUCAACACUGAGGAUUGAGAAGGGACUGGCCACCCUCACUCAGAAUCAGGAGAGCCUUGAGAGAAUCAUGGAACUCAAAUUCCAUGACCUUGAUGUCAAAGUAACUGAGAUUCAGACAGUUGUGGAGAAACUGCAGGAGGACAUGCAGGAGAGGAAGGGCAAGACAACCACCAAUGUCUUUGCCAGAGUGCCUAGAGCUCAGAGGUCAGCUGCUGUGCCAGUGCCAGACACUAGAGCAACAUCUUCAGCACCAGCUACUGCCCCUUCAGCUCCAGUGCAACCAGCUUCAGCAUCAACUCCAGCACCCUCUACAUCAACUGAAGCCUUCGUCCAAGGAGCCAUCUCUACACCGCCAACUGAAGAUCAAGCCUGAGAGUCGAUCUAGCACUAUGCAUUUUCUAUGAACUUUUUGGUAACUUGUUGCCAAAGGGGGAGAAAAAUGUAUAGAUCAUACGCUUCGAGAGAGAGAGAGAGUGUUGCUUUUGUUCUCUCUUGCUUUGUUGGUUUAAACUUGUUUGCUUUUGAUUGGUUGAGAUACUAUGCUUGUGAGACAUUGAUGAUCAUGUGGUUGAUCAUAAGCUACACUUAUGCAUGUUUGAUGAUAUUAUCCUAUCUAUCUUAUGUGAUCAUUCACUAUUCUUGGUGAUGAGUGCAUGUAUUCAAUGUUUAUUAUUUUGAGCGCUCCACCAAGAUGUAUGUGACAUGGAAGAGUAACCCAUGAACCUAAUUCAUUGUGCAUUUGCAGUCCAAAGCAAAUCUUAAACUAUGCACAAAUUUAGGGGGAGCUCUUGCUUAUCACAUACUUCUCAAAGCGACGAUGAUUUUAUUCUUAUUAUCAUCUGUCGAAGCUUUGAUCUAUAUGUUGUCGUCAAUUACCAAAAAGGGGGAGAUUGAAAGUGCAACUAUCCCUAGGUGGUUUUGGUAAUUCAUAACAACAUAUAGCUCGUUGAGCUAAUGCUAUUCCAAGACUAUUAUUUCAGGAAAGCUCAAUGAAUGGCAUGGCAUGGAUGAUGAGAGUGGAUCCCUCAAAAUACUAAGGACAAAGGAUUGGCUCAAGCUCAAAAGCUCAAGACUCUUCAUUUUAUAUUUUAGUGGUCCAAGAUCACAUUGAGUCUAUAGGAAAAGCCAAUACUAUCAAGCAGGGAUGAGGUGUUGCUUAAUGAGCCUCUUGCUUCAUGUGCUUUGUGAUAUGCUCCAAAACCCUCAACUACUUUCCCACAUCCACAAAUGACCUAAACCCAAAGCCAAAAUCGGUCACACCGAUUCUUCCAAUCUGGCGCCACCGAUUCCUAAGUCAUGGCCACUGCCACAAACCCUAAGCAAAUCGGUCUUACCGAUAGGGAUCUCGGUCUCACCGAGAUGGGAUUGUAAUCUCUCUGUUUCCCUUCGUAACGUUUUGGUCUAACCGAAGUGAGCGAUUGGUCCCACUGAGAUUUCAAUGUAAACUCUCUGUUUCCCUUUUGUAACAUUUCGGUCUCACCGAAAAGAGCAAAUCGGUCCCACCGAGUUUACCUGACCAACUCUCUGGAAAGCUUAUUACCAAAAUCGGUCUCACCGAGUUUGUGUAAUCGGUCUUACCGAGAUUACGUUAUGCCCUAACCCUAACCGAAUCGGUCUCACCGAGAUGUAUGUCAGUCCCACCAAAAAUCACUAACGGUCACAAGGUUUACUAAAUCGAUCCGACCAAGUCUGUUGAAUCGGUCCCACCGAGUUUGGUAAAUUGUGUGUAACGGUUAGAUUUUGUGUGGAGGCUAUAUAUACCCCUCCACCUCCUCUUCAUUCAUGGAGAGAGCCAUCAGAACGAACCUACACUUCCAACUUACCAUUUCUUAGAAGUACCACCUACUCAUGUGUUGAGGCCAAGAUAUUCCAUUCCUACCAUAUGAAUCUUGAUCUCUAGCCUUCCCAAGUUGCUUUCCACUCAAAUCCUCUUUCCACCAGAUCCAAAUCCUAUGAGAGAGAGUUGAGUGUUGGGGAGACUAUCAUUUGAAGCACAAGAGCAAGGAGUUCAUCAUCAACGCGCCAUUUGUUACUUCUUGGAGAGUGGUGUCUCCUAGAUUGGCUAGGUGUCACUUGGGAGCCUCCGACAAGAUUGUGGAGUUGAACCUAGGAGUUUAUAAGGGCAAGGAGAUCGCCUACUUCGUGAAGAUCUACCGCUAGUGAGGCAAGUCCUUCGUGGGCGACGGCCAUGGUGGGAUAGACAAGGUUGCUUCUUCGUGGACCCUUUGUGGGUGGAGCCCUCCGUGGACUCGCGCAGCCGUUACCCUUCGUGGGUUGAAGUCUCCAUCAACGUGGAUGUACGAUAGCACCACCUAUCGGAACCACGCCAAAAACAUUCGUGUCUCCAAUUGCGUUUUAAUCCUCCAAACCCUUCCGUUUACUUUCUUGCAAGUUGCAUGCUUUAAUUUCUGCUGCCUAUAUACUCUUUGCAUGCUUGCUUGAAUAGUGUUAUGAUUGCUUGACUUGUCCUAAAGUAGCUAAAAUCUGCCAAACUAUAAAAUUGGGAAAAGGUUAAGUUUUUAUUGGUCAAGUAGUCUAAUCACCCUCCCUCUAGACAUACUUCAAGGUCCUACACACCGGCUUCGGCUUGUACCCCCAGUUGGGUCGGAGCCCGGUGGGGGGGCCAGCCUCGUAAGGCGGCAGGCUGAGGAAGUCGGCAGCAGGAUCUACGUUCUUGACGUAGAAAUAUGACCGCUGCCACAUCUUCACCGACUGGGCCAGCUUGAUGGUCGGGAAGGCGUUCCGCUUCGCUGGCCGGUGCACGGAGACGUAGUCGCCGCACUCGGCCGCCGUGUCCUUGGCAGAGGUGCCGAGCUUCCCGUAGAAGAACGCUCCCCACGGCUUGAUUGUGGGGAGGAUGCCGAUGUAGCCCUCGCAUACCGUGACCAAGGCAGAGAGCAAGGUCACGGAAUUGGGCAUCAGAUGAUGAGGUUGGAGAUGGUUGAAGUCGAGGAACGAGCGGAAGAAGCCGCUCACCGGGAGGCCGAAGCCGCGGAGGAAGUGCGAGCGGAAGACAACCCGCUUGUCCCCCUGCGGCGCCGGCAAGAUCUCUGUCUCUGGCAGCACCCGCGCCUUGAUGAAUGCCGCGCUGGGCAUCCGGCGCGUGUCGUAGAGGAAGGCGAUGUGGUCUUCGAUGACCGUCGAGCCGUCCCAGUCGCUGCCCUUCUCACACGCCAUGGCUUUGGGCGGGGGCUGCGGGAGGGGCACGAGCGCAGCAACGGCGGCGGCGGCGACAGCACCACGGCGAGGAGCAGCAAGAGCGAGAGGAGGAAGAAGGAGUGGGAGGGAGUGCGCGUGCCCCGCAACACUCCUCCCUCCCCCUACUUAUAGCCUUCGGGCUGUGAAGCCGACGGGACGGGGCACGGGUCAUGGGAUUAACUGUGCCCACGACCCCACGAUCCCACGUUCGCCACCGCACUUACUACGCCAUGAAUGCCCACGGGAAUCGCAACCACCCGCCUUGGCACAGCGCAUCCGCCCGCGUGCCGAGGCCCGGUGGUGGCGGGCCCGGCCCCAUGUCGUGUCCCAUCAGGAGAGUGGGGUGGUAGGCUGGCUGGGCUGGCCUGCGUCGCACGGCGUUCCCGCGGCGGGCGGCAGCCCAGGAAUCUUAGCAAGCACGUCACCUAUUCUCCUGCCGAGAAGUUCAAAAUUGGCCGACGACCCCGCCUUGUCGAAGCCGGCCUCAGAGACCGGCACGCCGCAAGUCGAAUCAAGGAGUCGAAACACCGCAAAAAGGAUCAUAGCACUCCCGGAGCCCGGGAAGAGGUGAAGUCGCUGAGUCUUCAUGGCCCCUCGUCCAUGAGGCCUCACCGGCUUUGGGGACUACUGCCAGAGUAAUGGGCCAUGGGUAGCCUCACCCAGGUCCCAGGAUUUAUCAAGACUUGGGGCCAGCUCCGCCUAGCCGGGCCCCGAGCUGAAGCCCCACCCUCUGGGGGGCGGCUAGCUCAAUGGCCGGCUACCAGAGGGCGGCCAACCCCUACCUACGGCACUACGAGUGGCCGGCAUCAGCCCGCCAGCCUCCAGAGAGGGCGGCAUCAGGCAGGCAGCCACCUCACGGCCUCGGAGCAACCGAGCCCCCAUUGAGAGUACGAGACAGAGCAUGGCUAUAGUGAAGCACGUCGCCUCCGACGCCGGGGACAAGUGUGGCUACAGUGCUCCGUACAGGCGGAGAUCUCUGCACGACGGGGCACUGUGCCGUGUCUCCCCUGACGAUGCUCCGAGCAGGCAAAGUCCUGUUCCCCACGACGGCCUAUCGGUACGGCCUGCCGGUGGCUGGCCCUAUGGGCAGUGACCCCGUAGAAGACGGCGGAAGUUCAACCAGAUGGACUCGGGAGGGGUCGGCCUCCAACAGGCGGUCGUCCCUUGCCCCGAGGCAAGCAUGCCAUUAAGCUGAUGGGACCAGGUGUGGCUACAGUGGCCUCCCACCAGGUGGCGGGACUGUAGCCACACUGAGAUGACCAAGCCCCCGUCAUCAACGACACGGCUACAGUAAGUAGCCACCUACCAGUCGGCGGGGCCCACCAGACGACGGGCCCCAACGGUCGGCGGAGAAGCUGGAGGCUGGAGACACUGACAGUCGGGCCCAGUAGCCGGCCCGAUUACCAUUGUACCCCUGGGGGGAAGGCCUAUAUAAGCCCCCCAGGCCACCCAUGCAAAGGAUUCCAACUCUGAUAGAACUAGCCAGUUACCUAGGGCAGGGAAGAGCUAGCCUUGCCUUAUCCUACCUCUAGCCACCGCUCAAGGAGCAACUUGUAUCACUAGUGCCUUAGUGAUCAUGCGGAGACCCCGCAGAGCAGGAGUAGGGGUAUUAUCUCCACGAAGAGCCCCCAACCUAGGUAAAGUUCAUCGGCGUACGUGUCUACGCCUUAUCCCGCUUCUAGGCACCGGGGACGUUCUACUCGCUCCCACCAUGAUAAGCCAUUCAUUGUCAUAUGUCGCACCCAACCCCCAACAUCCCUUGCUCACUGCCGCGACGUGGGUAGUUGCCGCCUCCCGCCGCCCUCCUCAAGGUUGAGCUACGUCCCGACAUCCCUCGGGUACAACUCCCUUUACAGCCGGCUUGCACCACUACUCCAGCUGCCCACAUCACUCCAUGUGGAUAUUUCUCUACUUGUUUGCCCCGCACAUACCUCUACUUGCUUCUACGUACUGUAUUUGUGAUGAGUUUAUGUCUCAUCAACUAGUCCCAGUAAUCUUAUUCUAAUCACGCUUCUUCAAUUUCUUUGACACAGGGAUGCUCAUCUUGAUUUUGGUGAAACUGCACAAAAUAAUCCGAUGGUCAAAAGGUUGCAAACUUCCUUUCUUAGGAAGCUCGAAUGUUGCCAGCAAAUUGAAGCCUGGUUAGGGUUCAUGGUUCAAGGGCAAGGGACUGCAUGGAUCAUUUUUUUUUCUUUAGCUGCCUCUGUUCCAAAAUAAGUGUCAACUUUAGUAGUAAUACAACUUUGUACUAAAGUUUGCAUAAAGUUGAGACACUUAUUUUGGAAUGGAGGGAGUACAUAUUUGCUAUGAUCUAUCGAUCAUUGAGAUGCAAUAGCAUGUAUGUUAGUCUCUUUGUAUUUGAUGAAAUGUUGCAACAGGCAACCUUGGACGCAAGAUACAUGUAACAGAAGCUGGAAGCUUCAUAGCAUUGUACAAAUUUAUCUCGCUGAUAAAUUACAAUACGUACUAUACUAGUACUUCCUCCAUUCCUAAAUAUAAGUCUUUGUAGAGAUUUCACCAUGAACCACAUGCGGAUGUAUAUAGAUGCAUUUUAAGUGUAGAUUCAUUCAUUUUGUUCCAUAUGUAGUUCACCUAGUGGAAUCUCUACAAAGACUUAACUACUAGGAAUAGCUAGCCCCCACUACUAGGAAUUCUCUAUCCUCUCCUUGAGCCACAUCAUCAAAAUUAAUGUAGCCGUUACAUGAACUAAAUCAGUCCAUAAUAGCCGUCUGAUCUAGACGUUGAGAGGCUCCGCACUAAUCCACAUGCAAGCAUGCAGAAAUACCAUGGCAUGCAUGUGAGUGGGUUUUAAAUCACAUCAACAUGUUUGCAUGCAAGCAUGCACCAGUAGCAUGCAUGUAAGUGAGCUUUUAAGUCCCAUUAACAUGUCAAAAAGAAAUAUAUAAUCCCAUUAUGCAGUAGGAGUUGGCUGAUCUUUUUUCCUUACGUGGGAUGAUCUAAAUGAUGAUGGGAUUUUUUUUAGUUUGGCUACCACAUUUGUCAUGCGGUUAUAGAGUUUUUUUUAGUUCUAUGAAACCAAUAAUUUUACGCAGAGAGAUAUACGGCUGUUCUGCGGCAACGCGUGGGGACUCAUCUAGUAUUUAGAAAUGGAGGGAGUACUAUGUAAAGAGUUAGGUGUCGCACGGUGUCCACAAAAUAUCGUGAUAGUGUGAGGUGGGCCAUAGAAUGGAGAAAAUUGUAAUCUAGUAGUAGUACCUCCUUUCGCCGAAAGCGUGGGACAUCCAGCAGUCAUACCACCUCAGUAAUAAAGAUCAAUGAGCCGUCAAAUCACAUAGACCCAGCAGUAAGUUGGACGAACGAAGCAACCAUCACUCUUGCACCUGUGAGAGGUCGCGUCCGCUCUGCCCGGGCAUGAAUGUGGCACCGAUUCUUUGGAGCGGUGCUGGCCAUUUUGGGCGGGAAGCGCGUGCGGGCAAUGGAGGGGCUUUGGGUGGGCCAGGCUGGUUAGGAGCGAGCGUGGCAGUUGUCCUCCUGUCCCUACUAGACACGCCCGGAAACGAGAGGAUGCACCGACUCUCGCGGCUAAAAUCGUACACUACACACCAUCUCUCUGUAGGAGUAGGUCGAUCUGUCACUCUCUCUAACACACACAUGUUGUUAAACACACACACACACACACACACACACACACACACACCUUGGUCCCGUUGCACCUUCUAACAUGACUUAUUACACCUAGACAUAGGGAGUAGUAAGUACGAGAUACGGUGGCACACUGACUUAGGUCGAAUACAAGUGCCCAAAAUUGUGUACAUGUUAUAAUAAGGAUUCACUUAAAAUAGUACGUGAGCGAACAGAGGGAUCAAUUGGACAGUGUUCCCGAGAAGUAGAGAGAUGUGUGAGGUAAGAUACACCGCUGGCGCUUUUAAUUUUUCUUAUUAAUUUGUUUGUUUCACCCUCUGACUGGUGGGACCCAAUGUACUACAUGGUGAGAGGUAAGGUGACUAAGGCUGCAUUAUUUCUGCACCACUGUGGAUAGUCUUACCACCAAAGCCACAUGACACGAUUAUGAUUUAAAUCUCAAUGACUCCCACACACAACAAAAACACAUGGCAUGCUUGUCACACGAAUGGAGGAACGUAUAAAAGGUUAUUUUCCUCUCGCUGAACAUAAUGGGAGGGUUGUGUAGCUGGUUAGCCUGUUCGCUCAUCAAACUUGAGGUCUCGGGUUCGAUAACUACACUUGAGCAUAAUUCGUGCUAGGAGGAUUCUUUGACUAGUCAAAACGGAUGGAUACGGAGCUAUACGAUCUCGUAGUGACUGUAUAAUCACCUCAUCACGUAUAAGCUGCAGCCUCGGCGCUUGUUUUCUAGGGUUUGCACGCUUCACACACACACUCUCUCUCUCUCUCCAGUAUAUAUAUAUACACGCUGGAGCCUCAGCGCUUGUAGUUGCUCUCUUCACACUCUCUCACCCUCUCCAGAUCUAAACAAGACUUCGUUGGCCUCUCUCUCCACUCAUUGCUGGUCAAAGAGCCAGCAGGAUCCGUCCGUCGGGAAGGGGAGGAGGCUUAACGCUGUCGCCGUCGGCGAGGGAGAGAGUCCACUACCGGUGCAGCUGUUCACUUUCACCCAGCGGCGGCGCGGGAGGGCCUCCGACCCCUUCUUCUUUGCCGUCGUGCCGUCGCCCACUGAACCACGCCCCAAGAGCCUUAAGGUAUAAUCUACUUAUUCCACAUGCAUUGCUCUAGCUGCAUGUAUACCAUGAAUCUAGGACGUGGUUCAAAGAGGAAAGGAGUGGGGGAAAGUAGUGGGAAAAGUUGUAUAGCAUGAAUCUAGGACGUGGUUCAAAUAGGAAAGGAAGGGGGAAAGUAGUGGGUAAAGUUGUAUAGCAUGAAUCUAGGACGUGGUUCAAAGAGGAAAGGAAUGGGGGAAAGUAGUGGGGAAAAUUGUAUCGCAUAAAUCUAGGACGUGGUUCAAAGAGGAAAGGGAGGGGCGAAAGUACUAGUAAUGACUGGCUAUCCAGCACCUACGUUGGUCGAAAAGGGAAAACAAUGACAAACACAGUACGCACAUCUGUAACGAACUGAUCUUUUGUUUUGGGGGACAAGGCUGUAGAGUUUGAGUAGGACUUGAUUUGCUGCGCUCACAUAGGGACAGGUGUCUAAAGAUAACAAAACUGGGACCAACACAAAUAUGCUCCUUGGUUGUUUGUUCUUUGUUGCAACAUACUGUGCAUCACCACAGUACAUCAGUAGAUGCACAUGGUGCUGGUGCAUCCACUGUCCCGUGCGACUCUUUAGCUAUUGUUAAUCUAAGGCCCUGUUUGGUUAAAAACUCCCUAGUCCCUACCUGUUUGGUUCCAGGGACUAAACAUGGACUAGAGGUUAUUAAAUGACAUGCUAAAAGACCAUGUUACCCCUAGUAAUGAACUAAUAGAGACAAGGUGUGAUGCGUGGCAGGGGCAACUGUUGGGAAAAGUCCCAAAAAGACUCCCUCGGGGUCUUCUUUCUUUAGUCCCAAAUGCCCACUUUUAGUCCCUAAAAGUCCCUCCUGUUUGGUUUAGAUGGGACUGACAUGGAGUUAUUUUAGUCCCUACACCAAAAUGUCCCUGUAAACAAACACCCUCUAAUAAUGCCGCUGGAAAAUUGAUGCAAUGCCACAGUUAAAAGCAAAUUACAUGUUUAACGAAUUUUAUUGUUAAUAUAAUCUCUAUGUUAAUAUUAAUCGAUGCCACCAUUUGAGAAAUGCUACUGUCUUGCUUUCUUUCCCAUUUAGAUAAGGUAGAUGCUUCUUUUUUGGCUUCUGUGUCAUCCACUGUUAUUGACCACUAAUUGUUUCCUUUGCACCUCUGUGUAAACAGGGUUAUCUACUUCACAUCGUUGCAUUGUGACCUUUUGUUGCACUGCACAAAACACUUUUGUUUUAAGAGUGUUUUGUGCAGUUCAACCAAAAUGUCACACUGACAACGUUGCUUGAUUGCUUGAUCUUAGUGGAACUUCACAAGAGGAGAUCUUACUUCCUAUCUGUUAAGGCGAAUUUGGUUCAGAUCUUCUUCUUGUGAGUUGUUUGAAUUCCGCAUCAUGAGAGGUCAGUACUAGCCUUCUUUCACAUGAUUCUGCAGUGUGCUUUCAUAUGUUGUGCUACUUGUAUGGUAAUGUUGCUUCAUUUUAGUGAACUGCACAAAUGGAGACAAGACUUCCAAUCUGUAUGUGCACCGUAAUAUCCCAUUGAGGUAAGAUAAGGAUAUUAAUCAACUGUUGGCCUGUAUUUUGCCACUUUCAUCAGAAAAUUAAUGUCAUUGUUUAGUGCUAUACUUGUGCUCCCUAAUUGACAUGCCAAAUCUUACAUUGAAGGCAAAGCUUGUUUGUUAUUGAACAAAGUGAUGAAGGGGAAGAACAAGCGGAAGAAAAACAAAAAUCAACUCCCAGUGCUGUAAUGAAGAACUAGAACUGUGAUGACACAAGUAAUGAUAUAGUUUUGCAUCUUUAUUUAUUGCUAUGGCUGGAACGAGCAAUUGUUUUGCCACUGAUUUGAUGCCACUCUUAAUGUAAUACGUAAUUAUCUCUACUUGUGCAAGCUGGGAUCUUCUUUGAACAUACCAUAUAUUUUAGUGGAACUGCACAAUAAGAUGUUGGAAACAUUAAACUAAUCGAGGAGUAUAUAGUAAGCAUGGCCACCACAGUAGAUAGCAACAGAUGGUUCCGGAGAAGUGCUUGAUCUGUAUGCUCUACAUAAUAAGCCUCCCGACAAAGGUUGGUACUCGCCCACUGAUUUGAUCCAUAUGAUUGAGUUUUGUCAUCUCUAUUGGUGUUGUGCUACUGUUUAGAUAUUGUCAUGAAAAAGUGGUAUUGUCCUUGAGAAGUGCUUCAUCUAUGUUGUUUUAAAUAUUUCCUUUCCUUUUUUUCGAGCAAACAGGGAUGCUAGCAUUUAGUUGUCCUCUUGUCUUUGCACAACAGGAUCAUCUUCCUCUGAAGAAGAAUAUGGAGUACGUGAAGUGACUAGUUCCGAUUAUGCUAGGAUGAAGAAGCCAUGUCUAUCUUCUCAUCAGAAGGAGCAGUUGAAGGAUGGUUACAUUACUCCCCACAAGACCAAACUAACUUCAGCUCAAAAGGACUGACAAAUCUCCAUUUUUUUGCUGUGAUGCGCGAGUACAAUGUUGUUCUAGGAUUCUUUCUGGUGAGUUCCAUUUUUCUAAAAGUGUGCUCUACAUGGACCAUGUAGGUGCCUGUUUAAACUAUCAACUCAUAGUACAAUUUGCUUUAUACUAAUCACUUUUUUGUAUUUGUGAAAACAGGGGUGCUCAGCUUGAUUUCAAUGGGAACUGCACAAAAUGUUCAUUAAUACAUUGAAUCAUUCAUUUCCACCACAAGAAAAGAGGUGCCGAUAAGUUCAAGGCGUUGCAACAUAUAAGGGCGAAAUCAUACAAGCUACGCGCGAAUUUGGUUGAUUUCGGUGGAACUGUACAAAAAGAACAGCUAGUUUAUUUAGCAUGAGGUGCCAUGUCAAUGUCCAAACUGAUGGCAAACCCUGCCCAUUCCACAAUCAUAGGCAUUUGAUAUUUUGGAAUGGGACAACCUUGUCAAAUUUUGCUCAUUGAUUUUAGCAAGAAGACAUGCAUUUGAUAUUUUCGAAUGGGACGGCCUUUGCUGUCAGCAGCAUCGAUCAAUUUUUUCUUUACUCUUUAGUUGUGAAGUAAAUAUUGCCUCCGACAUGUGAGUUGCUGAGAUGCAUAAUCAUCGAUUGUUUUGAAUGUUCUCUAUGAAUUGCCAGCCCUGUGUGUUUGAUUACAAUGUACAAAAACGCUAAAAAGCUGCUCAAACUCUUUGUACUCCUUCUGUUCCUUUUUACUUCGCACAUUGUGAAAGUGCAUACUUUUUUCCAUAAGAUUGGUCAAAGUAGAGAUACUUUGACUGCAGACAAAACUUGUAUGCAGACUAGAAAGGACCGGAGGGAGUGCAUGUGAAACUGCUACAAACGAGGUGAUCGCCCUGGGAAUAAUGCUAGUACGUAUUGUUUUGCAUGUUCAUCCAAUGCCAGUGAUACAGGAAUUCGAACUAAUCGAAAUAAAUUCAUUCAUACAUGGUUGGAUUUCAUAUAAACAUGUCAAAUUUCAUUACAUGUCAUACAUUCUUCAACUAAAAAGGGGUGUGCUGGAGGUAUAAUUAAUUAACCGAAGCUACCCACCUGUGUCCCGCUGAGCCGAACAAAAGCUUCAGUGACUUAACUGCAGGUGCAGUUGGGUAACUGACAUGUGGCAUGUUGGGCCCACGUGUCAGUCAGCCAACUGCACCAGCUGUCAGUGUCAAAACCGGCGGAUCUCGGGUAGGGGGUCCCGAACUGUGCGUCUAGGCGGAUGGUAACAGGAGACGAGGGACACGAUGUUUUUACCCAGGUUCGGGCCCUCUUGAUGGAGGUAAAACCCUAUGUCCUACUUGAUUAAUAUUGAUGAUGUGGGUUACAAGAGUAGAUCUACCACGAGAUCAAGGAGGCUAAACCCUAGAAGCUAGCCUAUGGUAUGAUUGUUGUUCGUCCUAUGGACUAAGGCCAUCCGGUUUAUAUAAACACCGGAGAGGGCUAGGGUUACACAGAAUUGGUUACAAUAGUAGGAGAUCUACAUAUCCGUAUCGCCAAGCUUGCCUUCCACGCCAGGGAAAGUCCCAUCCGGACACAGGACGAAGUCUUCAAUCUUGUAUCUUCAUAGUCUGGGAGUCCGGCCGAUGAUGAUAGUUCAGCUAUCCGGACACCCCCUAGUCUGGGACUCCCUCAGUAGCCCCUGAACCAGGCUUCAAUGACGACGAGUCUGGCGCGCAUAUUGUCUUCGGCAUUGCAGGGCGGGUUCCUCCUCCGAAUAAUUUAUAGAAGAUUGUGAACACCAGGAUAGUGUCCGCCUCUGCAAAAUAAAUUCCACAUACAACCGUAGAGAGAAUAAUAUUACACAAGUUCAAUCUGCUGACGUAUUUUGUGGCGUAAUGUUGCACCACUACCAAGCCCUCGAAUUGUUUUUAUUGUUCCAUCUUAGCGCGUUUAGCGAGGCGGUUUCCUUGGCACGUCUUGUCGAAGCAGAGAUCGUGUUCCCCUUAUUCCGGGAUUCCCAUCAAUACGGACGUGGGCAACCCAACCGCGCCAUCAAUCGUGACGCUUGGGGGAUAAGCGAGUUUACCAGGCCGGUGGGGACGCGUGUUUCUGUCCGCCCAUAUAAGGGGAUAAAGAUCCAACCUUUUUACCUGCGCCUUCUUCCUCCUUGGCUUAUACAUCUCUGCGAACUCGAGCUCUAGCGCCCAAGCCCGCACAUCUCACCUCAACCCUCUCCAAACAUGUCCGGAGCGGGAGGCAAGUGGAUGGCCUCCUCCGUCACGGAGGGGCAUAUCCAGAAGCUGCGCAGCGCCGGAUACUUGUCCAGCAACAUCGCGCAUCGGCUCUCCGACAAGGGAGAGCUCAUCCCCACCCCUAGGCCCCAUGAGAGGGUAGUAUUCCUUCCCCAUUUCCUCCGCGGACUGGGCUUCCCACUUCAUCCCUUUGUCCGGGGGCUCAUGUUCUACUACGGCCUAGAUUUCCAUGAUCUAGCCCCGAAUUUUAUCCUCAACAUCUCGGCGUUUAUCGUCGUGUGCGAGGCCUUCCUCUGCAUCCAGCCCCACUUCGGCUUGUGGCUCAAGACCUUCAGUGUCAAGCCGAAGGUUGUGAAGGGCAGCCAAGCGGAGUGCGGAGGCGCCAUGGUGGGCAGGAUGUCCCACGUUACGUGGCUGGAGGGUACUUUCAUGGAAACCAUUAAGGGGUGGCAAUCGGGGUGGUUUUACAUCACCGAGCCACGUGACCCUGAUUGGGCAGCGGCCCCCGAAUUCAGAUCCGGCAUCCCCACACGGCUCACCUCUUGGAAAGAGAGCGGCCGGAUCUGGGGGGAUUCGGAGGAGCUGACCGGACUACAAGCCUGUAUCCAGAAGCUGGUGGACAAGAAGCUCAAGCUUGUCAACGUAGUCCAGGUCAUGCUUAUCCGCCGGAUUCUCCCGUGCCAACGACGGGGCUUUAACAUGUGGGAGUUCGAUCCGGCGCAGCACCAGACUUUGAAUGGGCUCUUCGACACUACGUACGAAGAGGUCUGGAAGGUGCUAUUCAAGGGCGCCGAGGCUCCCGCAUCCGCUACCGAAGAUCGCGGAUUCAGCUCGUAGCGUCCAGCCGACGAGGUAAGUGAUAUUGUCCUUUACGGGACGCUUGUUAUUCAUAGUUUGACUCUAUGCGGGAUCUAAACUCCCUUUCCUUUGACAGGACUGGCUGAAGAAGGCCGCACAGGCUAUCUGUCCGGCCCAUUGCCAGAGGACCCAGCUGAUGCCCGCCUAACGGGGCUGCUGGCUCCGGCACCCCACGUGGUGCCGGAGAAGAAGGCCAAGAAGAAGGCCACGGGGACUCGGAGGAGUUCCCGUUUUCAGGUGCUAUCAGACGAUGAAUCCGAGGCCGACUCCUCCCACCAAGGCGAGGAGAAGAAGAAAGCCUCUCCCCCAGUGGGGGGAGGGAAGAAAAGGAAGGCCUCCCCAACAAGGGAGGCCGAAGGGUCCAAGAGGGGAAAAACUCUUCCCUCGGACUGUUCCGCAAAUGCCAGUGACGACGACGAGGACUGGCCUCCAAGGGCCAAGCCUCUUGCGAGAUCGUAAGUAUCCGGACUCCCAAAUAACUUCAAGGUUUUCGUUUUCCGCCACAUUAUGUCUUUCUAAUGCCGCAUACAACCCUGCAGUCCGCCUAAGGAUGAUCUCCCCACUUCGUCGAGCGGGUCCUUAGGGGCAUCGGAUAUGGAUUCUCUUUCGACUGCCUCCACCCCCCGUGAUGCAGACGAUGCCGAGGUGGGAUCCCAGGAAGGGACCCACCAGGAGGAGAGGGCCCCGGAGGUGUCGCAGGACAACCUCCCGGACUUUGCACCGGACUCAGCCCCGGAACCCAUAGUGGCUCAGGAGUCCGGCGGGCAACCCCUUCGUAAGAAGGGCAAGACCGCGAUGCCGGCUGCCUCCGUCCAACCGGAGGUGCCGGAUAAUUUGCUAGAGGCGCUCAAUAGCGCCUCUAUUGAAGAGGAACACCGCACUGUUAUGAGUGUGGUGACUCAGAAAGUUCAGCUCGCCAAGAACGGGCUGACCGAAGCCUGCAGCAGCCUUCUAACAGGCUUUGAGGUAAGAAUUAUAUGUAAAAUGAUACCGCAUAGACAGUAGCCCGUGAUGCUCGGUUCGGUGUUCGGAAAGAAAAGCCGGACUAAGGAUCUUUAGAAAGAUAAACACAGGAGUCAUGAAAAUAUGUCAAUAUGGGAUUGCAGGCUGUGCUGCUGACCUCUGCCACACUGACUGUGGAGGUCAAUACUUUGAAGGAAAACCUCGAGCGGUCCGAGAACGAGCUCGGCCAUGCCAAGAAGCAGCUCGAGGAAAAAGAAGGUGAGUAAUACCUUAUGAAAAUUGUACCUUACAGAAAAGGAUUUGGUUGCAAGAAAAAUGACAAGGAUAACUGGGGUAUUGCAGGGGCCACUAACGAGGUGGCGACCCUGAAUGAGGCGGUGGCCGCGGCCGAACGCAAUGCGGCUGCGGAGCGCACUGAGCGAGAGAAACAGGAGGCGCGAGUGGCGGAGGUACAGCAAGAGCUCCAGGAUCUCGUGAGGAAACAUGAGAGCCUGGAGCGUGACUCGAAGACUCGAGAGUCUGAGCUUGCAAUGGCUCUUGAGAGUGCCAAAGCCGCUAAGGCCGAAGCCUACAAAGCCCUCCAGGAGAUAGAGGCGGUGAAGAAAAUAGCAGCGGGUAAGGCAUUUUUCAUGCAAAGUAAGCAUGUGAGUGUUAAUUACCUGUUGCUUACCCGAAUUCGGAGCUCUCCAGGAGCGUUCGCAGAUCUUCCCCGCAGCGUGUCCGAUGCUGCCGCAUUCUACCGGGCCGAGGAGGGGAGCUCAACGGAGAAGGUCUUCUGGUCUCAGUAUGCUGAGGCCGGACAUCCGGUGCCCCUGAGCGACCAGCUGAAGCAGCUGGUCGAGCUCCACAAGGCGGCCGAACAGGCCAUGAAGGGCCUCAUAGUUCGGCUGUGGCCUAAGGAGGCUAUACCUGGGAGCUACUUCGGCCUGGUGCGGCGGCUGGUGGACGCGUGCCCGUGGGUUGAAGUUAUCAAGCACUCCGCCUGUAUCGAGGGUGCGCGUCGGGCCCUUGCCCGCGCAAAGGUGCACUGGGGCAAGAUGGAUGCCCAGAAGCUUGUGACGGACCCCCCCCCCACCAGAGGGCAAGGAGCAUCGCACGCCCGAGAUGUAUUAUAGGAGUGUGCUGAAGGGCGCCCGCACUAUUGCGGGUGAGUGCUCCAAAGAUGUAAUAUUUGAGUAGACUCGCAUUUUGUUAUCCUAUGCGCUGAAAACUUGGUUCAUAUGCGCUAAGAAACGCUUGUUAAUUUAAAAUAUUACCUUCUGUGCGGUUGUUUAUCAAAUCUGAGAGAUGGCAAGUCGUCGGCUUCAGCCCCCAUGCCACGAGUGCUGGGGUGUUCGGGAUAAACUCGAGCGCUCUUGUUCCCAUUUUUGGGUCCAUCUAGGGAGGCGCUCAACACAACGAACAAGGCAACCGGACUUAUAAUGCUUGAAUACUCUCACUUAGCCAUAGAAUUCUAUAAUUUUAAAUUUCGGCGAAGCCCCUAGUUUUCGGAAGGCCGAAUUUGGGGCGCUAUCCACGCCUUGGCCGGACAGAAUCUGGCUCCUCGCUCGAAGCGGCAUAAGUCUUUAGGGACUCACAAAGAACCUCUCGAACAGCGACCAGCUCUUGCCUCAUCAUGAUGGUCAGUUUUAGCUUUCUCCACUGAGGCGUUAACCCAGCUCAACUGGGGCGCAAUCGCAGUGGUUCUCCCAGUGCUACCUUAGCCGAUAAAACGGAACGUAAGGUACCAAAACAUGGGAGCCGGGCAAACCCAACUAUUGACCCAAGAACAUGAUUCGGAGCCGAUGCAUAUAAUGCUAUAAGUUCGGGGUGCCGCACUUGUGAAAGUGUUCGGACUUAUCACACCAUAACACGGGAAACAUAAGCCCCUGGUGUAUUUAGCCGUACCAAAACGUACGGAUGCAACAUGUCAUAGAUGAACAUAUGUGUAAGAAAGAAAUGCAAUUGGAAGCAAAAAUGUGCUGCAUUGCGUUAUUCAAAUAAAAACUGCUGUAAGUGCGGGACGAUACAAGUGGUGCGGUAAGCAAGGGAUGGGACUGUUUAACAUGUCCCCCUCCAGGGGUAGGCUACGGAAUAAUGCAUAAAACAGAUUUAAUGCUCAUAAUGGAGACCACCUGGAUUUUCGUUGUAGCCUUUCUCCUUCCCUGGCUGUUGUAUCGUGGGUUCGGCAUGUCUGCUGCCGGACAGGGCCUCUGAAGAACGGAGUCCUGUAGGUAAAAAAAAUAAAAGGAAAAGAAAAAGAAAUGACACACUUAAGAGCCCCUGGUGCGGUUGAGCCGCAGUUUGGGCUUAUCGUGGUCGAGCCCCUUGCCCCGUGCCCAUGGUAUCUUCAGAGCGUAAUGGAGUACGCGAAGGGUCUGUCUUAAUGUUUUACAGGGGUUGGGGUUGGGGCCGCACUGCUACGCGUGCUCGGAACGUGCCAGGUGGUCGUGUUGUAGGUUACUCCGGGCACGCUUAGCUAUGUCCAGCCGCUUGGCAGCCGGACUCGAGAAUUGCCUUAAAAGGCUGCUUUGUACUUCUGUCGCGAGAGCCGCUGUAUGUUCCUCCGUUCGGAGGGAGCGUUCAGUGUUUCCGUUGACCGUGAUGACUCCUCUAGGGCCUGGCGUCUUGAGCUUGAGGUAUGCAUAGUGCGGCACCGCGUUGAACUUUGCGAAUGCGGUACGUCCGAGCAAGGCAUGAUAGCUGCUGCGGAACGGGACUAUGUCGAAGAUUAACUCCUCGCUUCGAAAGUUAUCCGGGAAUCCGAAGACCACUUCCAGUGUAACUGAGCCUGUAUAAUUGGCUUCUACACCUGGUAUGACGCCUUUAAAGGUCGUCUUGGUAGGUUUAAUCCUUGAGGGGUCUAUGCCCAUUUUGCGCACCGUGUCCUGAUAAAGUAGGUUUAGGCUGCUACCGCCGUCCAUCAGGACUCUGGUGAGAUGAAAUCCAUCGACGAUUGGGUCUAGAACCAAUGCGGCGAACCCACCAUGGCGAAUGCUGGUGGGGUGGUCCCUUCGGUCAAAGGUGAUCGGGCAAGAGGACCAUGGAUUGAACUUCGGGGCAACUGGCUCCAUCGCGUAUACAUCCCUGAGUGCACGCUUCCGCUCCCUUUUGGGUAUGUGUGUGGCAUAUAUCAUGUUCACUGUCCGCACCUGUGGGGGGAAACCCUUCUAUCCUCUAUUGUUCGGCGGUCGGGUCUCUUCCUCGUCGUCGCUAUGUAGCCCCUUGUCACUGUUUUCGGCAAUUAACUUGCCUGCCUGCUUGAACACCCAACAGUCCCUAUUGGUGUGGUUAGCUGGCUUUUCAGGGGUGCCAUGUAUCUGGCAUAAGUGGUCGAGAAUUUGGUCCAAAUUGGAUGGACCCUGAGUUGUUCUUUUGAAUGGCUUUUUCUGUUGACCGGGUUUAGAGCCUCUGAAUCCGGCAUUGACUGUCGUAUCCUCACUGUUAUCGCUGUUAAUGCGGCGUUUGUUUUUGUAGCGACGCGACCUGCCACUACGGUCCUUGAUAUCCGGACUGCCAGAAUUUCUGUUGAGGUUGUUGCUGCGUGCUAGCCAGCUGUCCUCACCCGCACAGAAGCGGGUCAUGAGUGAUGUAAGGGCUGCCAUGGAUUUCGGCUUUUCCUGUCCCAGGUGCCGGGCAAGCCACUCGUCGCGGAUGUUAUGAUUGAAGGCCGCAAGGGCCUCGGCAUCCGGACAGUCGACGAUUUGGUUUUUCUUGGUUAAGAACCGUGUCCAGAAUUGUCUGGCCGAUUCGUCUGGCUGCUGAAUUAUGUGGCUUAGGUCAUCUGCAUCUGGUGGUCGUACGUACGUGCCUUGGAAGUUAUCGAGGAAUGCGUCUUCCAGGUCCUCCCAACUCCCGGUUGACUCUGCUGGCAAGCUGUUAAGCCAGUGUCGGGCUGGUCCUUUAAGUUUGAGUGGGAGAUAUUUGAUGGCGUGGAGAUCGUCUCCACGGGCCAUGUGGAUGUGGAGGAGAUAGUCCUUGAUCCAGACCGCGGGGUCUGUUGUGCCAUCAUAAGAUUCAAUAUUGACGGGUUUAAACCCUUCUAGGAUUUGAUGAUCCAUUACCUCAUCUGUGAAGCACAGUGGGUGUGCGGCGCCUCUGUACUAGGCGAUAUCACGACGGAGCUCAAAAGAGCUUUGUCUGUUGUGUUCGGCCCGGCCGGAUUUACUGUGUCCGGGGUGACGGUGAUCGUCACGUAUUGUGGGGCGCCCACGUGAUCCAUAGAUCGAUCUUGAUUGUCUUGCCUUAUCCUCCAAUAUGUCGCGCAGGUCCGGAGUGUUCCCCUAUGGCCUUGUGCUUUUCGAGCGAUGUCGGGGUACGGGUCUAGUGAAGGGCCUUGAGGCCUCUCUGUCGCGACCACGGGGUGGUCGAUCAGUCGUAUUGUCUCCUGGUGAAGCGGGAUCAUAUGCCUCCACCUCUAAUCGGGGGAGCAGCUUACGUUUGGGGUAGCUUUUGGAGGGGCGUUCGAGUUCAUGCUCUUCGGCUGCGAGGACUUCGGUCCAUCUGUCGGCUAGCAGAUCUUGAUCAGCUCUAAGCUGCUGCUGCUUUUUCUUGAGGUUGUUUGCCGUGGCCAUAAGCCUGCGUUUGAAACGCUCCUAUUCGACAGGAUCCUCACGCACGACGAAUUCGUCGUCGUCGAGGCUUGCCUCAUCUCCGGAGGGAGGCAUAUAGUCCUCUACCUCUUCUUCGGCCGCUCUCUCAUGAGGGCUGGCGUCCCCCUCCUCCUGUGCUGGAUCUUGCUGGAGUGGGUUGUCUUCGGCGCUAUCCGGUGUAUUAUUGUCUCCGGUGCCGGAAUCCUCGUUCUUGCUAUGGCGGGAUUUAGAGCGGCGCCGCUGACGCCGGUGCUUGGGCUGUUUCUUGGAGGGGUCAUCCUCCGCUAUUCCUUCGUCGUUCCCAUCCUUUGGGAUAUCCACCAUGUAUAUGCCGUAUGAAGAGGUGGCUUUCCAGUCCCCGAUGGGCGCUGGUUCUUGGUCGUCUCUAGCAUCGUCGUCCAUACCGUCGAUGUCCUCAGAGUCGUAAUCUAGCAUGUCGGUUAGAUCGUCGAUAGUGGCUACCAAGUGGGUGGUGGGUGGGCUCUGAAUUUCUUCGUCGUCCGCAUCCCAACCAUCCUAGCCGCAGUCCGGCCAGGCCUCUCCUGAUAACGAGAGGUACUUUAGCGAACUCAAGAUGUCACCAAAAGGUGAGUGUUGAAAGAUGUCCGCCGCGGUGAACUCCAUGAUCGGCGCCCAAUCGGAUUCGACUGGAGGGGGCGCGGGAGGUCCGGAGUCCGGCAAGGAGUCCGGCACCUCGGAGUCACGAGAUUCAUGGGGGACAAGAUCGGUGUUCGGCUCUACCGCCGUAGAGGUUGCAGCCCCCGAGGCGGUGUCUAGGCAUCCAUCCUCGAUCUGCGGAGCUGGCUCCGAAUUGAAGAUCGGAAUGGUUUUGAGUGCGGCCUCCAGGGUACUGUCCGGCGGCACAGCUAAAUCAUGCCCGAUGUGACAGUGUGGCACGCUCGGCUGUGGCUUGAAUCCAUCGAAGAUCAAGUCCCCGUGGAUGUCAGCCGUGAAGUCCAAACUUCCAAAUCUGACCUGAUGGCCCGGGGCAUAACUUUCGAUCUGCUCUAGAUGGCCAAGUGAAUUGGCCCGCAGUGCAAAGCCGCCGAAUACGAAGAUCUGUCCAGGGAGGAAGGUCUCACCCUGGACUGCGUCGUUGAUGAUGAUCGAAGAAGCCAUCGAGCCUAUCGGUGACGACACAGAGGAACUCUCAAUGAAAGCACCAAUGUCGGUGUCAAAACCGGCGGAUCUCGGGUAGGGGGUCCCGAACUGUGCGUCUAGGCGGAUGGUAACAGGAGACGAGGGACACGAUGUUUUUACCCAGGUUUGGGCCCUCUUGAUGGAGGUAAAACCCUAUGUCCUUCUUGAUUAAUAUUGAUAAUGUGGGUUACAAGAGUAGAUCUACCAUGAGAUCAAGGAGGCUAAACCCUAGAAGCUAGCCUAUGGUAUGAUUGUUGUUCGUCCUAUGGACUAAGGCCAUCCGGUUUAUAUAGACACCGGAGAGGGCUAGGGUUACACAGAGUCGGUUACAACGGUAGGAUAUCUACAUAUCCGUAUCGCCAAGCUUGCCUUCCACGCCAGGGAAAGUCCCAUCUGGACACGGGACGAAGUCUUCAAUCUUGUAUCUUCAUAGUCUUGGAGUCCGGCCGAUGAUGAUAGUUCGGCUAUCCGGACACCCCCUAGUCCGGGACUCCCUCACCAGCAGUUAAGUAGAAGCUGCGUUCUUCUCCAACAUAGCUCUCCGACUCCACGUCGCUGCCAAGAAGCUAACCGGUCGUCAAUGGUCAACCCGCCUAGCUUGGCUUCAACCAGAGGGUAGAAGUGGUGGCCUUACUUGGACCCGAGCGGCGGCGACCUACCGUGUUCUACUCUUCCUCGUUUUCUGUGUGGUGCGGCCUGAUACGUCUCCAACGUAUCUAUAAUUUAUGAAGCAUUCAUGCUAUUUUAUUAUCUGUUUUGAAUGAUUAUGGGCUUUAUUAUACACAUUUAUAUUACUUUUGGGACUAACCUAUUAACCGGAGGCCCAGCCCAUAUUGCUGUUUUAUUGCCUAUUUCAGUGUUUCGAAGAACAGGAAUAUCAAACGGAGUACAAACGGAAUGAAACCUUCGGGAGCGUGAUUUUUGGAACGAACAUGAUCCGGGAGACUUGGAGUACAAGCCAGGGAAGCUUCAAGGAGGCCAGGAGAUAGGAGGGCGCGCCCACCCCCCUAGGCGCGCCCCCCUAUCUCAUGGGCCCCUCGAGCCUCCCCCGACCGACUUCUUUUGCCUAUAUAUUCCCAUAUACCCUAAAUCCAUCGAAACAGAAGAUAGAUCGGGAGUUCCGCUGCCGCAAGCCUCUGUAGCCACCAAAAACCUCUCGGGAGCCCGUUCUGGCACCCUGCCAGAGGGGGAUCCCUCACCGGUGGCCAUCUUCAUCAUCCUGGCGCUCUCCAUAAUGAGGAGGGAGUAGUUCACCCUCGAGGCUGAGGGUAUGUACCAGUAGCUAUGUGUUUGAUCUCUCUCUCUCUCUCUCUCUCUCUCUCUCUCUCGUGUUCUCUCUAUGGCACAAUCUUGAUGUAUUGCGAGCUUUGCUAUUAUAGUUGGAUCUUAUGAUGUUUCUCCCCCUCUACUCUCUUGUAAUGGAUUGAGUUUUCCCUUUGAAGUUAUCUUAUCAGAUUGAGUCUUUAAGGAUUUGAGAACACUUGAUGUAUGUCUUGUCGUGCUUAUCUGUGGUGACAAUGGGAUAUUCACGUGAUCUACUUGAUGUAUGUUUUGGUGAUCAACUUGCGGGUUCCAUGAACCUAUGCAUAGGGGUUGGCACAUGUUUUCGUCUUGACUCUCCGGUAGAAACUUUGGGGCACUCUUUGAAGUACUUUCUGUUGGUUGAAUAGAUGAAUCUGAGAUUGUGUGAUGCAUAUCGUAUAAUCAUGCCCACAGAUACUUGAGGUGACAAUGGAGUAUCUAGGUGACAUUAGGGUUUUGGUUGAUUUGUGUCUUAAGGUGUUAUUCUAGUAUGAACUCUAUGAUAGAUUGGACGGAAAGAAUAGCCUCAUGUUAUUUUACUACAGACUCUUGAAUAGAUAGAUCAAAAAGGAUAACUUGGAGGUGGUUUCGUAGCCUACCAUAAUCUCUUUGUUUGUUCUCCGCUAUUAGUUGCUUUGGAGUGACUCUUUGUUGCAUGUUGAGGGAUAGUUAUAUGAUUCGGUUAUGUUAUUAUUGUUGAGAGAACUUGCACUAGUGAAAGUAUGAACCUUAGGCCUUGUUUCCUACCAUUGCAAUACCGUUUACGCUCACUUUUAUCAUUAGUUACCUUGCUGUUUUUAUAAUUUCAUAUUACAAAUAUCCAUAUCUACCAUCCAUAUUGCACUUGUAUCACCAUCUCUUCGCUGAACUAGUGCGCCUAUACAAUUUACCAUUGUAUUGGGUGUGUUGGGGACACAAGAGACUCUUUGUUAUUUGGUUGCAGGGUUGUUUGAGAGAGACCAUCUUCAUCCUAUGACUCCUGCGGAUUGAUAAAACUUAGGUCAUCCACUUGAGGGAAAUUUGCUACUGUCCUACAAACCUCUGCACUUGGAGGCCCAGCAACGUCUACAAGAAGAAGGUUGUGUAGUAGACAUCAAGCUCUUUUCUGGCGCCGUUGCCGGGGAGGCUAGGUAAGCAGCACUCACACCCCGUCAACUACGCUCUUUUCUGGCGCCGUUGCCGGGGAGGUGAGUGCUUGAAGGUAUAUCUUUAGAUCUUGCAAUCGAAUCUUUUUGUUUCUUGUUUUAUCACUAGUUUAGUAUACAAAAGAAAACUACAAAAAAUGGAAUCGAGUUUGUCUCAUAUGCUUCAUCUUUUUAAUAUCUUUUGUGAGAAUGAUGGAAAGGAAAAUUGUGCUCAAGUGCUAGAAGAAGAAUGCAUUAAAAUGCUUGGUACUAAAUCUUUGAAUGAUGAGCAUGAUUGCAAUGUUGUUAGUAUGAAUUCCUUGAAUAUCCAUGAUGCUAGUGAUAUGCAAAGCCACAAGCUUGGGGAUGCUAUGUUUGAUGAAGAUGAUAUUUUUUGUCCCCCAAGUUUUGAUGAGCAAAUUUAUUAGGAUGAAAGCAUGCCUCCUAUUUAUGAUGAUUAUAUUGAUGAAAGUGGGUUUGGAAGAGUGUCAACUUUAGGAAGUAGUGAUCCCACUAUUUUGGAGGAUGUUUAAUCUUAUUGUGAUGAACAUGAAAGUGGAUUUGCAAGAGUGUCAACUUUAUUUAGCGAUGAUUCCACUAUUUCGGAAGAGGUUCUAAUUGAUUAUGAGAACAAAGUUGCUAUCUAUGAUGAUUAUUGUGAUGACGUGUAUGCUAUUAAGAAUAAUGAUAACCAUGAAACUUGUCAUCAUGAUUUUAGUUUUCAAUUGGAUUAUGCCUCACAUGAUAAUUAUUUUGUUGAGUUUGCUCCCACUACUAUUCAUGAGAAGAAAUUUGCUUAUGUGGAGAGUAGUAAAUUUUCUAUGCUUGUAGAUCAUGAAAAGAAUGCUUUAGGUGCUGGUUAUAUUGUUGAAUUCAUUCAUGAUGCUACUGAAAAUUAUUAUAAGGGAGGAACAUAUGCUUGUAGGAAUUGCAAUAAUAUCAAGUUUCCUCUCUAUGUGUUAAAUUUUUUGAAGCUAUGCUUGUCUUACCUUCCUAUGCUAGUUGAUUAUUGUUCACAUAAGUUGUUUGCUCACAAAAUCCCUAUGCAUAGGAAGUGGGUUAGACUUAAAUGUGCUAGUCAUAUUCUUGAUGAUGCUCUCUUUAUGUUUCAAUUCUUAUCUUUUAUGUGAGCAUCAUUUCAUCAUGCCUAGCUAGAGGCGUUAAACGAUAGCGCAUGUUGGGAGGCAACCCAAUUUAUUUUUGUUUCAUACUUUUUGUUUCUGUUUAGUAAUAAAUAAUUCAUAUAGCCUCUGGUUAGAUGUGGUUUCAUGUUUUAAUUAUGUUUGUGCCAAGUAGAACCUUUGGGAAGACUUGGGUGAAGUCUUUAUGAUCUUGCUGUAAAAAACAGAAACUUUAGCGCUCACGAGAAUAGCUGCCAUUUUUUACUGGAGAGUGCUUUUAGGUUGAUUCUUUUGCAUAUGAUUAAUAGACAAAUUCCUCAGGUCUACCAAUUUGUUUCGGAAUUUUUGUUGUUACAGAAGUAUUCGAAUGAUACAGAUUUCUACAGAUUGUUUUGUUUUUGACAGAUUCUGUUUUCUAUGUGUUGUUUGCUUAUUUUGAUGAAUCUAUGAGUAGUAUCGGAGGGUAUGAACCAUAGUGAAGUUGGAAUACAGUAGAUAUUACAACAAUAUGAAUUUAGAAUGAGUUCACAACAGUACCUAAGUGGUGGUUUUAGUUUCUUAUACUAACGGAGCUUACGAGUUUUGUGUUGAGUUUUGUGUGGUUGAAGUUUUCAAGUUUUGGGUAAAGAUUCGAUGGACUAUGGAAUAAGGAGUGGAAAAAGCCUAAGCUUGGGGAUUCCCAAGGCACCCCAAGGUAAUAUUCAAGGACAAUCAAGAUCCUAAGCUUGGGGAUGCCCCGGAAGGCAUCCCCUCUUUCGUCUUCGUUCAUCGGUAACUUUACUUGGAGCUAUAUUUUUAUUCGCCACAUGAUAUGUGUUUUGUUUGGAGCGUCAUUUUAUUUUGUUAGUAUUUGCUUGUGUUUUGAAUCUCUAUAUUCAAUAAAAAUGUCAAGGAUAGCCUUUACCAUGCUUAUUUUGCAAGUAUACAUGUUGCUGUUUCAAAACAGAAAGUUUACCAUUGUUGCGAAAAUUCCCUAGAAAAGUCAGAGAAUGAUAUAUAUUGAAUCUUGUUGCAUAAUGAGCUAUGAUAAAUAUUAUACAGCUCAGUAUUUUCCUUAUAAUUUUUGGAGUUAGGGAAGUAUGAUGAAUCUUGCAUUCUUUACAGACUAUACUGUGUUGGCAGAUUGCUGUUAUGGUUGCAUUGUUUGCAUAUGUUUGCUUGUUUAAUGAUUCUAUUUGAGGAUAGGAGUAUUAAAUAUGCAGAGUCAUUUAGUAUGCAAUGUUGAAUAAUAAUUUUAGUGAUUUGUUACAGUAGAAAAUUAUAAGGUUUUGCAUUGGUUUAUACUAACCUAUCUCACGAGUUCUUGUUGAGUUUGGUGUGGAUGAAGCUUCUGAUAAAAAGAGAAACCAUGAUAUGAGAGGAAUUAAGGAGACACAAAAGUUCAAGCUUGGGGAUGCCCAAGGCACCCCAAGAUAAUAUUUCAAGAAGUCUCAAGCAUCUAAGUUUGGGGAUGCCCCGUUAGGCAUCCCACCUUAAUUCUUCAACAACUAUCGGUUAGUAUCGGUUGAGCCUAAGUUUUUGCUUCUUCACAUGAGUUGUGCUAUCCUUGCAAUGUCAUUUUGUUUUUCUUUGCUUGCUGUUUGAAUACAAUACCAAGAUCUGAAAUUCCUUAAUGAGAGAGAGAGUCUUCACAUAGUUACAUAAUUAUUUAGCUACUCAUUGAUCUUCACUUAUAUCUUGUUGGAGUAGUUUGUCAUUUACUCGUGUGCUUCACUUAUAUCCUAUGAGUAAAUGGUUGAAUGAGUUGAUUGUCAUAAAUCUGAAUUUAUAUAUGUUUCAUUUUCUUAUCCCAUGGGGAGUAAUGACUUCACAUCUAAGAAGUAGAGGUUGUAAAAUUAUUGAAGGUUAGCAAGCAUUGUAUUGGUCAUUUGAACAAUUCAUGAAAGAAUAUUGAAGGAAGAGAGAUUUCACACAUAAAUAUACUAUCUUAGACAUCUUUUAUAAUGGUGAGCACUCAUUAAGUAUGACAUGCCAAAGAGUUGAUGUUGGACAAGGAAGACAACAUAAUGGGUUAUGUUUUCUCACAUCUCAGUUAAAGUAUAUUGUCAUGGAUCAUUCAAACAUGUUGAGCUUGCUUUUCCCCCUCAUUCUAGCCAAAAUUCCUUGCACCAAGUAGAGAUACUACAUGUGCUUCCAAAUAUCCCUUAAACUAGUUUUUCCAUGAGAGUCCACCAUACCUACCUAUAUGCGGUAUUUACCUGCCAUUCCAAGUAAAGUUGCAUGUGCCAAACUCUAAACCUUCAAAUAAUAAUCUGUUUUGUAUGCUCGAAUCGCUCAUGUAGCGACUAGGGGCUGUCAGUAUCUUCCAUGCUAGGUGGGUUAUUCUCAAGAUGAGUGGACUCCGCUCAUCAUUCACGAGAAAAAUGGCUGGUAACCAGGAUGCCCAGUCCCAUGAUCAAAAGAUCAAAAUCAAAUCAAAAAUAAUAAAAACAAAACUCCCCCAGGAUUGAUGUUAGUUGGAGGCACCCGUUGUUUCGGGCUAGCCAUGGAUUGAUGAUUGUUGGUGGAGAGGGAGUAAAAGCUUUACCAUUCUGUUUGGGAACCGCCUAUAAUGUAUGUAGUAUGGAAGAUAUUGGGAACUCUUGGUUGUUAUGUUGACAAUGAGAUCAUACCUCUCAAAAUUAUUUAUCUCUAUUUCAAAACCGAGCUCUGGCACCUCUGCAAAUCCAUGCUUCCCUUUGCGAAGGGCCUAUCUUUUACUUUUAUGCAAGAGUCAAGGUGAUCUUCACCUUUCCCUUUUUCAUUUUAUCCUUUGGCAAGCACCUCGUGUUGGAAAGAUCCUGAUAUAUAUAUCCAAUUGGAUGUAAGUUAGCAUGAACUAUUAUUGUUGACAUCACCCAAAGGUGAAUACGUUGGGAGGCGAAAUUAUAAGCCACUAUCUUUCUCAGUGUCCGAUUAAAACUCCACAACCAUAAGUAUUGUGUGAGUGUUAGCAAUUGUAGAAGACUAUAUGAUAGUUGAGUAUGUGGAGUUUGCUAAAUCAAAAGCUCUGACAUAGACCCUUCCUGAAAAUAAGAUGAAUUGUAAUUGUUUGAUGACUGAGAAUGAAGUUUUCAAGAAAGUUUAUGGUCUAUGCUUUAACAUGUGAAUAGCUUGUUACUUGAUCGUGAGAAGUUUUAUGAGAUGAACUACUGUUAUGACAUAUAAUCAUGCCAGAAAGGUGAUUGAAAUUAUCAUUGAUCAAACUUUUGCACCUUCUAGCAUUCACACUUCAUAAAUUCUUUCUUUUAUCAUUUACCUACUCAAGGACGAGCAGGAAUUAAGCUUGGGGAUGCUGAUACGUCUCCAAUGUAUCUAUAAUUUAUGAAGGAUUCAUGCUAUUUUAUUAUCUGUUUUGAAUGAUUAUGGGCUUUAUUAUACACAUUUAUAUUACUUUUGGGACUAACCUAUUAACCGGAGGCCUAGCCCAUAUUGCUGUUUUAUUGCCUAUUUCAGUGUUUCAAAGAAAUGGAAUAUCAAACGGAGUCCAAACGGAAUGAAACCUUCGGGACCGUGAUUUUUGGAACGAACAUGAUCCGGGAAACUUGGAGUACAACCCAGGGAAGCUUCGAGGAGGCCAGGAGAAAGGAGGGCGCGCCCACCCCCCCUGGGCGGGCCCCCCUAUCUCGUGGGCCCCUCGAGCCUCCCCUGACCGACUUCUUUCACCUAUAUAUUCCCAUAUAACCUAAAACCAUCGAAACAGAAGAUAGAUCGCUAGUUCCGCCGCUACAAGCCUCUGUAGCCACCAAAAACCUCUCGGGAGCCCGUUCCGGCACCCUGCCGGAGGGGGGAUCCCUCACCGGUGGCCAUCUUCAUCAUCCCGACGCUCUCCAUGACGAGGAGGGAGUAGUUCACCCUCGAGGCUGAGCGUAUGUACCAGUAGCUAUGUGUUUGAUCUCUCUCUCUCUCUCGUGUUCUCUCUAUGGCACGAUCUUGAUGUAUCGCGAGCUUUGCUAUUAUAGUUGGAUCUUAUGAUGUUUCUCCCCCUCUACUCUCUUGUAAAGGAUUGAGUUUUCCCUUUGAAGUUAUCUUAUCAGAUUGAGUCUUUAAGGAUUUGAGAAUACUUGAUGUAUGUCUUGCCGUGCUUAUCUAUGGUGACAUUGGGAUAUUCACAUGAUCUACUUGACGUAUGUUUUGGUGAUCAACUUGUGGGUUCCAUGAACCUAUGCAUAGAGGUUGGCACACGUUUUCGUCUUGACUCUCCGGUAGAAACUUUGGGGCACUCUUUGAAGUACUUUGUGUUGGUUGAAUAGAUGAAUCUGAGAUUGUGUGAUGCAUAUCGUAUAAUCAUGCCCACGGAUACUUGAGGUGACAAUGGAGUAUCUAGGUGACAUUAGGGUUUUGGUUGAUUUGUGUCUUAAGGUGUUAUUCUAGUAUGAACUCUAUGAUAGAUUAAACAGAAAGAAUAGCUUCAUGUUAUUUUACUACGGACUCUUGAAUAGAUAGAUCAAAAAGGACAACUAUGAGGUGGUUUCGUACCCUACCAUAAUCUCUUUGUUUGUUCUCCGCUAUUAGUUGCUUUGGAGUGACUCUUUGUUGCAUGUUGAGGGAUAGUUAUAUGAUCCAGUUAUGUUAUUAUUAUUGAGAGAACUUGCACUAGUGAAAGUAUGAACCUUAGGCCUUGUUUCCUACCAUUGCAAUACCGUUUACGCUCACUUUUAUCAUUAGUUACCUUGCUGUUUUUAUAAUUUCAUAUUACAAAUAUCCAUAUCUACCAUCCAUAUUGCACUUGUAUCACCAUCUCUUCGCCGAACUAGUGCGCCUAUACAAUUUACCAUUGUAUUGGGUGUGUUGGGGACACAAGAGACUCUUUGUUAUUUGGUUGCAGGGUUGUUUGAGAGAGACCAUCUUCAUCCUAUGCCUCCUACGGAUUGAUAAACCUUAGGUCAUCCACUUGAGGGAAAUUUUCUACUGUCCUACAAACCUCUGCACUUGGAGGCCCAACAACGUCUACAAUAAGAAGGUUCUGUAGUAGACAUCACGGCCUCAUUGGCAGCGAGGCAGGGCCUCGGCGGAGCCGGUGAUGUCCUCUAUCUUGUUGCCGGCGGGCGACGCCUCGGCGGAGCAGUGGAAAUCCUCCCCCUUGUUGCCGGCAGGGUGGGGCCUCUGCUGAGCCGGCGAUGUCCUCUACUUUGUUGUUGGCGGGGCGGGGCCUCGGCGGAGCCGUCGGUGUCCUCUGCCUCGUUGUUGGCGCCGCGAGGCCUCAGCGGAGUCGACAUUGUCCUCUGCCUCGUCCUCGGUCUCGCUAAACAGCGCCUCGCCCGCUUCAUCGCCCUCUUUGUAGGGGGCCGCAGCCUCCGCCACCCGCAUGCGGUACCGCCAGUGCUCGAGGCGGCCCUCAUGGGCGGAGCGAUACGAGGCGAACAGCGCCUUCUGCUCCGCCCACUCCGCGGCGAUCUGCUCCUCCGCCUGCAGGUGCUCCUAGAGGAGAUGGUGGUUGUAGGCGGUGUCGGCCUGCGCCUCCUGGAACUGCUCCUCACACAUCUGCCCCAACUUGUCCAUAUAUUGGGCAUGGGCCUCGCCGAUGGUCAUGGUGCAAUGCACCGGCAAGGAUGGCACGGAGGAGGGGGUUGGCACCGAUCGUCGACUACCAUGUUCUCCAUUGGAACGUCUUCGUCCUCCGGCUGCCUGCCGGCCAGCCGGUCGGCAGCAAUGGCGGCCAUCUCCUUGUGGUCCGUUGUCCGCCCGUCCCGAAGAGCGCUGGAGCGCGAGGAAGCCAUGGUGGGCAGUAGUGGUGUGGACAGGAGAAAGGGAACGCAUGCGGAUGACUGCGGCUAUGGACGGCGUAGCAGUUUAUAUAGCAAUGGUGGGCGGCGGAGGGACGGACGUGUGGCGUCGGAGUAGCCGCCUCGGCAACCACGUAUCAUUAAUGUGGGCGGCAGAUGGACGGAUGGACGGCACUUGUGUCGUUUGAAGGCGGAGCAAUCGCCUGCACCGGGAAGCGGGGCGGGCGGCGCUGACUGUUUCAGGCGGAAAGCGCGCGCGGGCGAGGAGAUGACUUUACUUGGAGAGGAUGACAAUGGGGACCCACCAGGGCCAUAGCCCCACGUAUGCAAGUGCCUCCUUAUUAUAUAAAACUAUAAUUUUUUUUGCUUCCUCCUGGUUUCUUGACAUCACGGUCCCACACCAUUGUCAACCUAUGUAGUCAAUAAACGAGAGAAUUGCACAAGAAGCAGGCGACAGCUGGGACCAAGCAGCUCGAGUAGUAUUUGUGCUUUUGAGGUGUGAGCACUGCAGAGUUUUUCGAUGUUUAGCCCAGAUAUUAAUUUUCUACUAUGAACAAUGAAAACAUCAUUGCAGGUAUUAACUGGGCGGGCUAUGGCCCGUCUAGCCCAGGCCAGAUAUCCAGCCCAGAUAUUAAUUUUUUUCAAGCUGAAAAUGGCUAGCUCAGCUAUACUUUUUUUAGGAAUACCCUGGCAAGGUCAAGUUGUUAUUCUCCGCCCCGCUGGGCUGCAAAUCUUUCCUAGGAGGGAUGAAUUAGGCUUAACAAGAAAAUGGGCUUUAAGAAAUAAUAAAUGGGAUGUAAUUAUAAAAACUGGGCAGUAACUAUAAAAAAAUGCACCAAACACGUAAUUACUUUAUAAAAUACUAUUUUUGGACAUUGAAAAUUUUAAUUUCAUUAAUUGUUGCGAGCACAAUGUUUUGUUGGAUUUUUAUGUAAUAUAAAUUUAUAUUGAAAUUGUAUUUAAUCUGACUAGAAAUUUCGGGAUAAAAAUAUUUUGGAUCCCAUCAAAAUGUGGGAAAUUUUAUUGAAUUCUGUUUUGAACGGUUGGUUGAAAUGGGUUGUACUUUUAACAAACUGUAAAUGGGUUGUAGUAAAUUCCAUUAGAAUUCAAAAAUGGGCUGCACAUUCUUACAAAUCUCAAAUGGGCUAUAAGUUCUCUGCCACACACUUGUGGCCUUACUAAGUUGACGCGUCCCCUAAACAAAGAGAGUUGGCGCGUAUGCAAGGCUUUGUCAACUUAUAGUCAACACACGGUUCUAGCAGCAGUGGCUGUUGGAUGUACAUCCAAAGGAUGUCGUGCUUCUUCUUCAAUCUCGGAUAUUCUAGCUUCACCCGCCCAAAAAAUGAUUCCUCCCCCUGACAUCUGGGGCGCACCAUUUCAGAAGCUGACCUCUGGGCCUACUAAGUUGACGCGUACCAAGGGCUUUGUCAACUUAGUCAAUAUAAACGAUUCUAGCUGUAGUGACCGUAUGAUGUCCAUCCAACGGCCGUCGUGCUUCUUCAACCUCUGGUCUUCUUGCUCCAGCAGCCCAAAGCAGCGCCGGUCGUGCCGCCUGCUCCUGCCUCCCGUGGCCGGCUGUGCUGCCGCGGAGGCCUCACCUCCCCCUACUACUCCCACCGCUGGCCAGGCCAUCCCACCACUCACCCACACCCCCUGUUAUUCUGCGGCGACAACAGCCUCACACUGCAGCUGAACCAGUGAACCCUCGUACUCCUCUCUGCGUGGGCAUCCACUACCGCCUCUUCCCCGGUUCCGUGUCAUCCCCUUCCUAGGCCUCGCCGUCGUCCACCGCCGUGGUGCUCUCGGUGCGGCGUGGUCAACGUGGUCAAGGAACGACUUCCAUCGGAUGUGGACUGUACGUGGAGAGGCUGACAGCUGGGUCCACGGCCGCAGCAAGGAAGUGCCUCCUUAUUACGCGGAAAAUAAUGAUUCCUCCACCUGACAGCUGGGACCCAUCGGACGGGCCACUGUAUUUCGCGAAAAAAAUGUUCCCCCUUGACUGUUGGGACCCACCAGCUACAUCUUCGCACACAAGGAAGUGCGUCCGGCAAAAAAACGAUUCACCCCCUGACUGCUGGGACCCACCAGCUACAUCUUCGCACGCAAGGAAGUGCGUCCGGGAAAAAAACGGAUUCGCCCCCUGACUGUUGGGACCCACCAUCUACAUCUUCGCACGCAAGGAAGUGCCUGACAGUCGGGACCCGCCUGGUCGAAGCGUACGUAGCGUUGUCAUUCUGGUCGCGAACGUGUACGUACAUACUGGUGGAUGUAGAGGCGCGCACGUAGCAUGUACACAUACGUACAACGACCAGUGUGCAAUAAAGAAAAUACGGCCAUGUACAUACAUACGGGCGGGGUCUCGAAUGCCUACUCGUGCAUACGUACGGCCAGGGCUCGUGUACAUGGCUGGGUCGGAACAGAGAAACAACGUCAUCGUCGUGUUCAUGGGGAGCCAACCGGCUGGGUCGGAACGGAAUGUCGCCGUGUUCAUCGGGAGGGCUUGGAUGGAACGGGCGAUGGAAACGAGGCCUCGCAUACCGCACAACGGAGGAAAUGGCCUUGUGUUCGACCGGCCACGUUUGAAACGGGAUCCUGUUCAUCGGGAGGGGUCUGGCGUACCGCAAAAUGGAGGAAACGGACUUGUGUUGGACCUCCUACGGUCGAAAUGGGGUCCUGUUGAUUGGGAGGGGUGUGGCGUGCCGCAAAACGGACGAAAUGGACUUGUGUUGGAGCGCUACGGUCGAAACGGGGGUCCUGUUCAUCGGGAGGGGUGUGGCGUACCGCAAAACAGGACUCCAUGGGAUACUGUUCAUCUCCACCGUCGACCUCCUCCAGCCUCCACGUGCGACUGUUCAUCCACAGGCUCCUGUUCAUCCAGCCUCCACCGUGUGCUACUCCACCGGCUAUUGUUCAACCACCCCUCUCCACGGGCUUCUGUUCAAUCACCCCUCCACGGGCUACUGUUCAUCCACCCCUCGACCGUCUACUGUUCAUCCAGCCCUCCACGGGGUCGUCCUGUUCAUCCAUCCCUCCACGGGGUCCUAUUCAUCCAGCCCCAACCGGCUCGAUCGAUCGGGGUCAUGUUCAUCCAGAGGCAACGCCACGGGGUCCUNNNNNNNNNNNNNNNNNNNNNNNNNNNNNNNNNNNNNNNNNNNNNNNNNNNNNNNNNNNNNNNNNNNNNNNNNNNNNNNNNNNNNNNNNNNNNNNNNNNNNNNNNNNNNNNNNNNNNNNNNNNNNNNNNNNNNNNNNNNNNNNNNNNNNNNNNNNNNNNNNNNNNNNNNNNNNNNNNNNNNNNNNNNNNNNNNNNNNNNNNNNNNNNNNNNNNNNNNNNNNNNNNNNNNNNNNNNNNNNNNNNNNNNNNNNNNNNNNNNNNNNNNNNNNNNNNNNNNNNNNNNNNNNNNNNNNNNNNNNNNNNNNNNNNNNNNNNNNNNNNNNNNNNNNNNNNNNNNNNNNNNNNNNNNNNNNNNNNNNNNNNNNNNNNNNNNNNNNNNNNNNNNNNNNNNNNNNNNNNNNNUCCAGAGGUAGCAUCGAUCGACUUCAGUUAGCAGCAGUAGCGAAGGAAUCGCUCGAUCGGGUUCAGUUAACAGCCAUCGAUCGAUCGCUCGGGUUCAGUAACGUGUAGCCUGUAGUGCAAUCGCUCGGGUUCAGUUAGAGCCCAACGCCUCGCUCGGGUUUAGUUAGAGCCCAAUGCCUCACACACAUGCACGUACGUGUACGAGAGAAACGCGCAUCGCUCGGCCCCGACCACCCACCGUAACCGGGAACACCCCGAUAUUUUCCUCGCCCUUGCUUCUACUACGGUUUUUUCCAUCAUGGACGGCCCAAAGAAUGUCAUGCAGCUGCUUCUCCGGACCCGCCAGGACGAGAAGCCCAUUUUUUAUCAUGAUUUUUUGUCAUAGAAGUAGGAGCCCACCACAUCUAUGAUGAUAACGGGUUUUGUCACAAUUAUCGUCAUAGAAGUGUCAUAAGUUUGACAGAAUUUUUUUUCGUUCGGCCCAAAAUGUCACGGAUGUGUCUUUUUUGUACUGGUGAUGAUCAUCAUUAUUAGAGCAUUGCCCCAGUAAGGAAAGGAUGAUGGAGACUAUGAUUCCCCCACAAGUCGGGAUGAGUCUCCGGACUUUAUGAAAAAUAAAAGAGGCCAAAGAAGCCCAAAUAAAAAAAGAGGCCAAAGAAGCCCAUCAAAAAAAUUAAAAUAUAUAUAUAAAAAGAAAAAAAGAAAAAAAUGAGAUAAAAAGAGAUAAUGGGCAAUGUUACUAUCCUUUUACCACACUUGUGCUUCAGAGUAGCACCAUGUUCUUCAUAUAGAGAGUCUCUUGAGUUAUCACUUUCAUAUACUAGUGGGAAUUUUCGUUAUAGAACUUGGCUUGUAUAUUCUGAUGAUGGGCUUCCUCAAAUGCCCGAGGUCUUCAUGAGCAAGCAAGUUGGAUGCACACCCACUUAGUUUUAGUUUGAGCUUUCAUACACUUAUAGCUCCAGUGCAUCCGUUGCAUGGCAAUCCCUACUCCUCGCAUUGACAUCAAUUGAUUGGCAUCUCCAUAGCCCGUUGAUUAGCCGCGUCAAUGUGAGACUUUCUCCCUUUUUGUCUUCUCCACACAACCUCCACCAUCAUACUAUAUUCCACCUAAAGUGCUAUAUCCAUGGCUUGCGCUCAUGUAUUGCAUGAGGGUUGAAAAAGUUGAAGCGCGUUAAAAAGUAUGAACUGAUUGCUUGGCUGACACCGGGAUGAGCAUGAGGGGUACCUUGUGUUAAGAAAAGGGAGCAUACAGGACUAUAUGAUUUUGUAGGGAUAGCAUUAUUUAGCAUUGAUAUUUUUAAAGACAUGAUUGCUUGUUGGGAUGCCCGAAGUAUUAUUGUUUUUAUGUCAAAUGAUAGACUAUUGCCUUGAAUCACUCGUGUCUUAAUAUUCAUGCCAUGAUAAGAUUACAUGAUCAAGAUUAUGCUAGGUAGCAUUCCACAUCAAAAAUUAUCCUUUUUAUCAUUUACCUACUCGAGGACAAGCAGGAAUUAAGCUUGGUGAUGCUGAUACGUCUCCGUCAUAUCUACAAUUUUUUAUUUGUUCCAUGCCAAUAUUAUUCAACUUUCAUAUACUUUUGGCAACUUUUUAUACUAUUUUUGGGACUAACAUAUUGAUCCAGUGCUUAGUGCCAGUUCAUGUUUGUUGCAUGUUUUAUGUUUUGCAGAAAACCCAUAUCAAAUGGAGUCCAAACGGGAUAAAAAUGGACGGAGAAUAUUUUUGGAAUAUUUAUGAUUUUUGGGAAGAAGAAUCAACGUGAGGCGAUGCUCGAGGGGCCCACGAGGCAGGGGGCGCGCCCCUGACCCUCGUGGACACCCCGUAAGGCGGUUGUUGUUCUUCUUUUGCUGCAAGAAAGCUAAUAUCCGCAAACAAAUCGUGUUGAAGGUUUCAAUCCAAUCGGAGUUACAGAUCUCCGGGAAUAUAAGAAACGGUGAAAGGGCAGAAUCUGGGAACACAGAACCAGAGAGAGACAGAGAGACAGAUCCAAUCUCGGAGGGGCUCUCGCCCCUCCCACGCCAUGGAGACCAUGGACCAGAGGGGAAACCCUUCUCCCAUCUAGGGAGAAGGUCAAGGAAUAAGAAGAAGAAGAAGGGAGCUCUCUCCCCCUCUCUCCCGGUGGCGCCGGAACGCCGUCGGGGCCAUCAUCAUCAUCGCGAUCUACACCAACACCUCUGUCAUCUUCACCAACAUCUCCAUCACCUUCUCCCAUCUAUAUUCAGUGGUCCACUCUCCCGCAACCCGCUUUACCCUCUACUUGAACAUAGUGCUUUAUGCUUCAUAUUAUUAUCCAAUGAUGUGUUGCCAUCCUAUGAUGUCUGAGUAGAUUUUCGUUGUCCUUUCGGUAAUUGGUGAAUUGCUAUGAUUGGUUUAAUUUGCUUGUGGUUAUGUUGUUGUCAUUUGGUUCCCAUCAUACGAGCGCGCGCGUGGAUCACACCAUAGGGUUAGUUGUAUGUUAGGACUAUGUAUUGGAGGGCAAGAGUGACAGAAGCUUCAACCUAGCAUAGAAAUUGAUGCACACGGGAUUGAAGGGGGGCCAAUAUAUCUUAAUGCUAUGGUUGGGUUUUACCUUAAUGAGCGUUAGUAGUUGCAGAUGCUUGCUAAUAGUUCCAAUCAUAAGUGCAUAGAAUUGCAAGUCAGGGAUGACAUGCUAGCAGUGGCCUCUCCCACAUAAAACUUGCUAUCGGUCUAGUAAAGUAGUCAAUUGCUUAGGGACAAUUCCACAACUCCUACGACCACUUUUCCACACUCGCUAUACUAACUUUAUUGCUUCUUUAUCUAAACAGCCCCUAGUUUAUAUUUACGUGCUAUUUAUAUUCUUGCAAACCUAUCCUACAACAUCUACAAAGUUCUUCUAGUUUCAUACUUGUUUUAGGUAAAGCGAACGUUAAGCGUGCAUAGAGUUGUAUCGGUGGUCGAUAGAACUUGAGGGAAUAUUUGUUCUACCUUUAGCUCCUCGUUGGGUUCGACACUCUUAGUUAUUGAAAGAGGCUACAAUCGAUCCCCUAUACUUGUGGGUUAUCAGACUGCUAUCUUCUCUGAUUUUUGUGAAAAGAUUGUUGAGGUUUUCAUGGAUGACUUUUCUGUUUAUGGGAAGUCUUUUGAUGAUUGUUUAAGCAAUCUUGAUCGAGUUUUGUAGAGAUGUGAACAAACAAAUCUUGUCUUGAAUUGGGAGAAGUGCCACUUUAUGGUUAAUGAAUGUAUUGUCUUGGGCCACAAAAUUUUUGAAAGAGGCGUUGAGGUGGACAAAGCCAAGGUUGAUGCAAUUGAGAAAAUGCCAUGUCCUAAAGAUAUCAAAGGUAUUCGUAGUUUCCUUGGUCAUGCUGGUUUCUAUAGAACGUUUAUCAAAGACUUUUCUAAAAUUUCUAGGACUCUUACUGAUCUUUUGCAAAAGGAUAUUCCCUUUGUGUUUGAUGAUGAUUGCAUGGAAGCCUUUGAAACACUAAAGAAAGCCUUAAUCACUGCACCUAUUGUUCAACCACUUGAUUCUUGCCUUUUGAGAUUAUGUGUGAUGCUAGUGAUUAUGCUGUUGGUGUUGUUCUAGGACAAAGAGUUGAUAAGAAACUAAAUGUUAUUCAUUAUGCUAGUAAAACUCUAGAUAGUGCUCAACAAAAUUAUGCUACUACUGAAAAAGAAUUCUUAAUUAGCAGUGGUGUUUGCUUGUGAUAAAUUCAGAUCUUACAUUGUUGAUUCUAAAGUAAUUGUUCACACCGAUCAUGCUGCUAUAAAAUAUCUUAUGGAAAAGAAAGAUGCUAAACCUAGACACAUUAGGUGGGUUCUUCUCCUACAAGAAUUUGAUUUGCAUACUACUGAUAGGAAAGGAGCAGAGAACCCCAUAGCUGAUAACUUGUCUAGACUUGAAAAUAUUCUUGAUGACCCACAACCUAUUAAUGAUAGCUUCCCUGAUGAACAACUAGCUGCAAUAAAUGUUUCUCAUAGUACACCUUGGUAUGCUGACUAUGCUAAUUAUAUUGUUGCUAAAUACAUACCACCUAGCUUCACAUACCAACAAAAGAAAAAAAUAUUCUAUGAUUUAAGACAUUACUUUUGGGAUGACCCACAUCUUUAUAAAGAAGGAGUAGAUGGUAUUAUUAGACGUUGUGUAUCUGAGCAUGAACAGGAAAAAAUCCUACGGAAAUGUCACUCUGAAGCUUAUGGAGGACAUCACGCGGGAGACAAAACUGUUCAUAAGGUAUUGCAAUCUGGUUUUUAUUGGCCUACUCUCUUCAAGGAUGCACGUAAGUUCGUCUCAUCGUGUGAUGAAUGCCAAAGAAUAGGUAAUAUCGGUAAGCAUCAAGAAAUGCCUAUGAAUUAUUCACUUGUUGUUGAACCAUUUGAUGUUUGGGGAUUUGUCUUCAUGGGACCUUUUCCUUACUCUAAUGGGUAUACACAUAUUUUGGUUGUUGUUGAUUAUAUUACUAAGUGGGUAGAAGAUAUUCCAACUAGUAGUGCUGAUCACAACACCUCUAUUAAAAUGCUUAAGGGGUUUAUUUUUCCAAGGUUUGGAGUCCCUAGAUAUCUAAUGACUGGUGGUGGUUCACACUUUAUUCAUGGUGCUUUCCGUAAAAUGCUUGCUAAGUAUGAUGUUAAUCAUAUAGUUGCUUCACCUUACCAUCCUCAGUCUAGUGGUCAAGUUGAACUUAGCAAUAGAGAAAUAAAACUAAUCUUACAAAAGACUGUUAAUAGGUCCAGGAAGAAUUGGUCUAAGAAAUUAGAUGAUGCACUUUGGGCUUAUAGAACAACUUACAAAAAUCCUAUGGGUAUGUCUCCAUAUAAAAUGGUAUAUGGAAAAGCUUGUCAUUUACCUCUUGAGUUAGAACACAAAGCAUUUUGGGCAAUAAAAGAACUCAAUUAUGAUUUCAAGCUUGCUGGAGAAAAGAGGUUAUUUGAUAUUAUCUCAUUAGAUGAAUGGAGAACCCAGGCUUAUGACAAUGCUAAGCUAUUCAAAGAAAAAUUAAAAGAUGGCAUGACAAAAGAAUCCAAAAGCGUGAGUUCAAAGUAGGAGAAUAUGUUCUUUUGUACAACUAUCGUUUCAGAUUCUUUGUAGGAAAACUCCUCUCCAAAUGGGAAGGACCAUAUGUCAUCGAGGAGGUCUAUCGAUCUAGAGCUAUCAAAAUAAAUAACACCGAAGGGACUAACCCAAAGGUUGUCAAUGGGUAACGAAUAAAACACUAUAUCUCAGGUACGCCCAUUAAUGUAGAAAGCAAUGUUAUUCAAACUUUGACACCGGAAGAGCACAUAAAAGAGUCCUUCUGGAACACUCCAAAAUCGUGAAAAUAAGGAGGUACGUGAUACGGUAAGUAAACGGACUCCGAAAAAUCCGUAAAAAUAUUUUUUGUCAGUUUUGGAAUAUCUAGAAAAUUAGGAAAAUAAGAAACUUCCAGGAAGGUGACCUUGGUGGGCAUGAUACACCGCGCCCAGGUGGGUUGUGCCCACCUCAGGUACUUUCCAAUCUCCGUUUUUCUUGUUCCCCAAGAUAAAAAAAUCUAUACAUACCUCCCGAACCUGUUAACCUCCAUAUCGCGGAGAAAUCUCCUAUUUUCUUUUCUUGUUGUUUUCUGUCAGAUCCAAAACACCAUGGCCUCUUCAAGCUCCUCCAAGGACAAGUUCUUUGAAAAUGUCAUCAACCCAUAUCUGCGGGAGGUGAUGCAGCACCCUCAAGCUAUCCAGAUGCAUGAUGGGGUGUUGCACAUCCGCGAUGUGUAAGGACCCACGGGAACUGGAUCCAUGGAGGCCAGGCUUGGAGCCAUGGAGCAGGACAUCUUCAAGUGUAAGGGAAUGGUGGAGCGUGGACUCAAUGCCAAUCACCUCAUGAUCGCGGACUACACCUGAGGGAGUUCCGGACUAGGGGGUGUCCGGAUAGCCGAACUAUCAUGAUCGGCCGGACUCCAAGACUAUGAAGAUACAAGAUUGAAGACUUCGUCCCGUGUCCGGAUGGGACUUUCCUUGGCGUGGAAGGCAAGCUUGGCGAUACGGAUAUGUAGAUCUCCUACCAUUGUAACCGACUCUGUGUAACCCUAGCCCUCUCUGGUGUCUAUAUAAAUCGGAUGGCUUUAGUCCAUAGGACGAACAACAAUCAUACCAUAGGCUAGCUUCUAGGGUUUAGCCUCCUUGAUCUCGUGGUAGAUCUACUCUUGUAACAUACAUCAUCAAUAUUAAUCAAGCAGGACGUAGGGUUUUACCUCCAUCAAGAGGGCCUGAACCUGGGUAAAACAUCGUGUCCCUUGUCUCCUGUUACCAUCCGCCUAGACGCACAGUUCGGGACCCCCUACCCGAGAUCCGCCGGUUUUGACACCGACAUUGGUGCUUUCAUUGAGAGUUCCUCUGUGUCGUCACCGAUAGGCUUGAUGGCUUCUUCGAUCAUCAUCAACGACGCAGUCCAGGGUGAGACCUUUCUCCCCGGACAGAUCUUCGUAUUCGGCGGCUUUGCACUGCGGGCCAAUUCGCUUGGCCGUCUGGAGCAGAUCGAAAGCUACGCCCCUGGCCGUCAGGUCAGAUUUGGAAGUUUGAACUUCAUGGCUGACAUCCGCGGGGACUUGAUCCUCGAUGGAUUCGAGCCACAUCCGAGCGUGCCGCACUAUCACGGCGAGCAUGAUUUAGCUCUGCAGCCGGACAGUACCCUGGAGGCCGCACUCGAACCCGCUCCGAUCUUCAAUUUGGAGCCGGCUGUGCAGAUCGAGGAUGGAUGGCUAGACACCGCCUCGGGGGCUGCAACCUCUACAGGAUAGAGCCGAACACUGACCUUGUCCCUCAUGAAGCUCGUGACUCUGAGGUGCCGGACUCCUCGCUGGACUCCGAACCUCCCGUGCCCCCUCCGAUCGAAUCCGAUUGGGCGCCGAUCAUGGAGUUCACCGCAACGGACAUCUUUCAACACUCACCUUUUGGCGACAUCUUGAGUUCGCUAAAGCAUCUCUCGUUAUCAGGAGAGCCUUGGCCGGACUGCGGUCAGGACGGUUGGGAUGCGGACGAUGAAGAAAUUCAAAGCCCACCCACCACCCACUUGGUAGCCGCUGUCGACGAUCUAACCGACAUGCUAGACUACGACUCCGAAGACAUCGACGGUAUGGACGACGAUGUCGGAGAUGACCAAGAACCAGUGCCUACUGGGCACUGGAAAGCCACCUCAUCAUAUGACAUAUACAUGGUGGAUAUCCCAAAGGAUGGGAAUGGCGAAGGAACAGCGGGGGAUGACCCCUCCAUGAAGCAGCCCAAGCGCCGGCGUCAGCGGCGCCGCUCUAAAUCCCGCCACAGCAAGAAUGAAGACUCCGGCACCAGAGAUAAUAAUACACCGGAUAGUGCCAAAGACAACCCACUCCAGCAAGAUGCAGCGCAGGAGGACGGAGACGCCAGCCCUCAUGAGAGAGCGACAAAAGAAGAGGUAGAGGAUUAUAUGCCUCCCUCCGAAGACGAGGCAAGCCUCGACGACGAUGAAUUCGUCGUGCCUGAGGAUCCCGUCGAACAAGAGCGUUUUAAACGCAGGCUGAUGGCCACGGCGAACAGCCUCAAGAAAAAGCAGCAACAGCUUAGAGCUGAUCAAGAUCUGCUAGCCGACAGAUGGACCAAAGUCCUCGCGACCGAAGAGCAUGAGCUCGAACGCCCCUCCAAAAGCUACCAUAAACGCAAGCUGCUCCCCCGAUUAGAGCAGGAGGCGUAUGAACCCGCAUCACCAGGAGACAAUACGGCUGACCGACCACCCCGUGGUCGCGACAGAGAGGCCUCUAGGACCUUCACUAGACCCGUACCCCGGCAUCGCUCGAAAAGCACAAGGCCACAGGGGAAUGCUCCGGACUUGCGAGAUAUAUUGGAGGAUAAGGCAAGACAAUCAAGAUCGAUCUAUGGAUCGCGUGAGCGCCCCACGAUACGUGACGACAACCGCCGCGCCGGACACAGUAAGUCCGGCCAGGCCGAACAAAAUAGACAAAGCCCUUUCGAGCUCCGUCGUGAUAUCGCCCAGUACAGGGGCGCCGCACACCCACUAUGCUUCACAGAUGAAGUAAUGGAUCAUCAAAUCCCCGAAGGGUUUAAACCCGUGAAUAUUGAAUCUUACGAUGGCACAACAGACCCCGCGGUUUGGAUCGAAGACUAUCUCCUUCACAUCCACAUGGCCCGUGGUGACGACCUUCACGCCAUCAAAUAUCUCCCCCUCAAGCUUAAAGGACCAGCCCGGCAUUGGCUUAACAGCUUGCCAGCAGAGUCAAUUGGGAGUUGGGAAGACCUGGAAGCCGCAUUCCUCGAUAACUUCCAAGGCACGUAUGUGUGACCACCAGACGCUGAUGACCUAAGCCACAUAAUUCAGCAGCCAGACGAAUCGGCCAGACAAUUCUGGACACGUUUCUUAACCAAGAAAAACCAAAUCGUCGACUGUCCAGAUGCGGAGGCCCUCGCGGCCUUCAAGCAUAAUAUCCGCGACGAGUGGCUUGCCCGGCACCUGGGAUAGGAAAAGCCGAAAUCCAUGGCAGCCCUCACAUCUCUCAUGACCCGCUUCUGCGCAGGUGAGGACAGCUGGCUAGCACGCAGCAACAACCUCAGCAAAAAUUCUGGCUGUCCGGACAUCAAGGACCGUAGUGGCAGGUCGCGUCGUAACAAAAACAAACGUCGCAUUAACGGCGACAAUAGUGAGGAUACGGCAGUCAAUGCCGGAUUCAGAGGCUCUAAACCCGGUCAGCGGAAAAAGCCAUUCAAAAGAACUACUCCGAGUCCAUCCAAUUUGGACCGAAUACUCGACCGCUUGUGCCAGAUACACAGCACCCCCGAAAAGCCAGCUAACCACACCAAUAGGGACUGUUGGGUAUUCAAGCAGGCAGGCAAAUUAAUUGCCAAAAACAAUGACAAGGGGUUGCAUAGCGAUGACGAGGAGGAGACCCGACCGCCGAACAAUAGAGGACAAAAGGGUUUCCCCCCACACGUGCGAACGGUGAACAUGAUAUACGCAAUGCACAUACCCAAAAGGGAGCGGAAGCGUGCGCUAAGGGAUGUAUACGCGAUGGAGCCAGUUGCCCCGAAGUUCAAUCCAUGGUCCUCCUGCCCGAUCACUUUUGACCGAAGGGACCACCCCACCAGCAUCCGCCACGGCAGAUUCACCGCAUUGGUUUUAGACCCAAUCGUCGACGGGUUUCACCUCACCAGAGUCCUGAUGGACGGCGGCAGCAGCCUGAACCUGCUUUAUCAGGAUACAGUGCGCAAAAUGGGCAUAGACCCCUCAAGGAUUAAACCAACCAAGACAACCUUUAAAGGCAUCAUACCAGGUGUAGAAGCCAAUUGUACAGGCUCAGUUACACUGGAAGUGGUCUUCGGAUCCCCGGAUAACUUCCGAAGCGAGGAGUUAAUCUUCGACAUAGUUCCGUUCCGCAGCGGCUAUCAUGCCCUGCUCGGACGUACCGCGUUUGCAAAGUUCAACGCGGUGCCGCACUACGCAUACCUCAAGCUCAAGAUGCCAGGCCCUCGAGGAGUCAUCACGGUCAACGGAAACACUGAAUGUUCCCUCCGCACGGAGGAACAUACAGCAGCUCUCGCAGCAGAAGUACAAUGCAGCCUCUUAAGGCAAUUCUCGAGUCCGGCCGUUAAGCGGCCCGACACAGCUAAGCGCACCCGGAGUAACAUACAACAAGACCACCUGGCACGUUCCGAGCACAUGUAGCAGUGCGGCCCCAACCCCAGCCCCUGUAAAACAUCAAGAUAGGUCCUCCGCGUACACCAUUAUGCUCUGAAGAUACCAUGGGCAUGGGGAGAGGGGCACGACCACGAUAGGCCCAGACUGCAGCUCAACCACACCAGGGGCUCUCAAGUGUGUCGUUCUUUUUUCUUUUCCUUUUCCUUUUUUACCCACAGGACUCCGUUCGUCAGAGGCCCUGUCCGGCAGCAGACCUACCGAACUCACGAUGCAACAGCCAGGGAAGGAUAAAGGCUACAACGAAUAUCCAGGUGGUCUCCAUUACGAGCAUUAAAUCUGUUUUACGCACCAUUCGGCAUCCUACCCCUGGAGGGGGACAUGUUUAACAGUCCCACCCCUUGCUUAUCGCACCAUUUGUAUUGUUCUGCACUUACAGCAGUCUUUCUUGAAUAAACAAUGCAACACCUUUUUGCUUAUAAUUGCAUUUCUUUUAUAUAUAUAUGUUACAUCUACAGCAUGUUGCAUCUGUACACUUUGGUACGGCUAAAAUACACCAGGGGCUUAUGUUUCCCGCAUCAUGGUGUGAUAAGUCCGAACACUUUCACAAGUGCGGCACCCCGAACUUAUAGCACUAUAUGCAUCGGCUCCGAAUCAUGUCUUGGGUCAAUAGUUGGGUUUGCCCGGCUCCCAUGUUUUGGUACCUUACGUUCCGUUGUAUCGGCUAAGGUAGCACUGGGAGAACCACUGCGAUUGCGCCCCAGUUGAGCUGGGUUAACGCCUCAGUGGAGAAAGCUAAAACUGAUCGUCAUGAUGAGGCGAGAGCCGGUCACUGUUCAAGAGGUUUUUUGCGAGUCCUUAAAGACUUAUGCCGCUUAGAGCAAGGAGCCGGAUCUUGUCCGGCCCAGGCGUGGAUAGCGCCCCAAAUUCGGCCUUCCGAAAACUAGGGGCUUCGCCGAAAUUUAAAAUUAUAGAAUUCUAUGGCUAAGUGAGAGUGUUCAAGCAUUAUAAGUCCGGUUGCCUUGUUCGCUGUGUUGAGCGCCUCCCUAGAUGGACCCAAAAAUGGGAACAAGAGUGCUCAAGUUUAUCCCGAACACCCCAGCACUCGUGGCAUGGGGGCUGAAGCUGACGACUUGCCAUCUCUCAGAUUUGAUAAACAGCCGCACAGAAGGUAAUAUUUUAAAUUAACAAGUGUUGCUUAGCACAUAUGAACUAAGUUUUCAGCGCACAGGAUAACAAUAUGCGAGUCUACUCAAAAAUUACAUCUUUGGAGCACUCACCCGCAAUAGUGCGGGCGCCCUUCAGCACACUCUUAUAAUACAUCUCGGGCGUGCGAUGCUCCUUGUCCUCUGGUGGCGGGUCCCUCACGAGCUUCUGGGCAUCCAUCUUGCCCCAGUGCACCUUUGCGCGGGCAAGGGCCCGACGGGCACCUUCAAUACAGGCGGAGUGCUUGAUGACUUCAACCCACGAGCACGCAUCCACCAGCCGCCGCACCAAGCCGAAGUAGCUCCCAGGCAUGGCCUCCUUAGGCCACAGCCGAACUAUGAGGCCCUUCAUGGCCUGUUCGGCCGCCUUGUGGAGCUCGACCAGCUGCUUCAGCUGGUCGCUAAGGGGCACCGGAUGUCCGGCCUCAGCAUACUGAGACCAGAAGACCUUCUCCGUCAAGCUCCCCUCCUCGGCCCGGUAGAACGCGGCAGCAUCGGACACGCUGCAAGGCAGAUCUAUGAACGCUCCUGGAGAGCUCCGAAUUCGGGUAAGCAACAGGUAAUUAACACUCACAUGCUUACUUUGCAUGAAAAAUGCCUUACCCGCUGCUAUUUUCUUCACCGCCUCGAUCUCCUGGAGGGCCUUGUAGGCUUCGGCCUUAGCGGCUUUGGCACUCUCAAGAGCCGUUGCAAGCACAGACUCUCGAGUCUUCGAGUCACGCUCCAGGCUCUCAUGUUUUUUCACGAGAUCCUGGAGCUCUUGUUGUACCUCCGCCACCCACGCCUCCUGCUUCUCUCGCUUAGUGUGCUCCGCGGCCGCAUUGCGUUCGGCCGCGGCCACCGCCUCUUUCAGGGUUGCCACCUCAUUAGUGGCCCCUGCAAUACCCAUGUUAUCCUUGUCAUUCUUUUUGCAACCAAAAUCCUUUUCUGUAAGGUACAAUUUUAAUAAGGUGUUACUCACCUUCCUUGUCCUCGACCUGCUUCUUGGCACGGCCGAGCUCGUUCUCGGACCGCUCGAGGCUUUACUUUAAAGUAUUGACCUCCGCAGUCAGUGCGGCAGAGGUCAGCAGCGCAGCCUGCAAUCCCAUAUUGACAUAUUUUUUAUGACUCCUGCGUAUAUCUUCUUAAGAUCCUCAGUCCGGCUUUUCUUUCCGAACACCGAACCGAGCAUCAGGGGCUACUGCCUAUGCGAUACCAUUUUAUAUAUAUCGAAAUUCUUACCUCAAAGCCUGUUAGAAGGCUGCUGCAGGCUUCGGUCAGCCCGCUCUUAGCGAGCUGAACCUUCUGAAUCACCGCACUCAUAACAGUGCGGUGUUCCUCUUCAAUGGAGGCGCCAUUGAGCGCCUCCAGCAAGUUAUCCGGCGCCUCCGGUUGGAUGGAGGCUGCCGGCGUCACGGUCUUGCCCUUCCUACGAAGGGGUCGCCCGCCGGACUCCGGAACCGCUGUGGGUUCCGGGGCUGAGUCCGGUGCAAAGUCCGGGAGGUUGUCCUGCGACACCUCCGGGGCCUCCUCCUCCUGGUGGGUCCCUUCCUAGGAUCCCACCUCGGCAUCAUCCGCGUCAAGGGGGGUGGAGGCAGUCGGAAGAGAAUCCAUAUCUGACGCACCUAAGGACCCGCUCGACGAAGCGGGAAGAUCAUCCUUGGGCGGACUGCAGGGUUGUAUGCGGCAUUAGAAAGACAAUGUGUGGCAAAAAAGAAAAACCAUGAAGUUAUUCGGAAGUCCGGAUACUUACGAUCUCGCCAGGGGCUUGGCCCUUGGAGGCUAGUCCUCGUCGUCAUCACUGGCGUUGGCAGAGCAGUCCGGGGGAAGAGUUUUUCCCUUCUUGGACCCUUCGGCCUCCCUUGUUGGCGAGGCCUUCCUUUUCUUCCCUCCCCCUGCUGGAGGAGAGGCUUUCUUCUUCUUCUCCUCCUCGCCUUGGUGGGAGGAGUCGGCCUCGGAUUCAUCAUCCGAUAACACUUGAAAACGGGAGCUCUUUCGAGUACCCGUGGCCUUCUUCUUGGCCUUCUCAUUCGGCACCACAUGGGGUGCCGGAGCCAGCAGCCCCGUUAAGCGAGCGUCCGCUGGGUCCUCUGGCAAUGGGGCCGGACAGAUAGCCUGUUCGGCCUUCUUCAGCCAGUCCUGUCAAAGGAAAGGGAGUUUAUGUUGGGGAACGUAGCAGAAAUUCAAAAUUUUCCUACGUGUCACCAAGAUCUAUCUAUGGAGAAACCAACAACAAUGGGAAGGAGAGUGCAUCUACAUACCCUUGUAGAUCGCUAAGCGGAAGCGUUCAAGAGAACGGGGUUGAAGGAGUCGUACUCGUCGUGAUCCAAAUCACCGGAGAUCCUAGUGCCGAACGGACGGCACCUCCGCGUUCAACACACAUAUAGCCCGGUGACGUCUCCCAUGCCUUGAUCCAGCGUGGUGAGAGGGAGAGGUUGAGGAAGACUCCAUCCAGCAGCAGCACAACGGCGUGGUGGUGAUGGAGGAGCGUGGCAAUCCUGCAGGGCUUCGCCAAGCACCACGGGAGAGGAGGAGUACUUGGGAGAGGGGGAGGGCUGCGCCAGAACAUGUGGUGCGGCUGCCCUCCCACCCCCCACAUAUAUAUAGGGGCAAGGGAGAGGGGGGCCGGACCCUCAGAUCCAAUCUGAGGAGGGGUUGGCGGCCAAGGGGGGGAGGAGUGCCUCCCAAGUCAAGUGGAGGCCCUCCCCCUUAGGGUUUUCCCCUCCCCAUGCGCAUGGGCCUUGGGGGGCUGGUGCCCCUGGCCCAUUAAGGCGAGGGUGCCCCCCUACAGCCCAUGCUACUGUAUUGGACGUGGUGGAACAAUUUCGGGACCUUCGGACCCCUCCGGAAUCAUCCGGAACCUUCUGGAAGCUUCCCGGUACAAUACCGAAAAAACCCGAACUUUUCCCGGAACCCGAACAAUUUCGGGACCUCCGGACCCCGCCUCUAGUUGGACGGAGGCUGCCGGUGUCACGGUCUUGCUCUUCUUACAAAGGGGUCGCCCGCCGGACUCCGGAGCCACUGUGGGUUCCGGGGACGAGUCCGGUGCAAAGUCCGGGAGGUUGUCCUGCGACACCUCCGGGGCCACCUCCUCCUGGUGGGUCCCUUCCUGGGAUCCCACCUCGGCAUCGUCCACAUCACGGGGGGUGGAGGCAGUCGGAAGAGAAUCCAUGUCCGACGCACCUAAGGACCCGCUCGAGGAAGCGGGAAGAUCAUCCUUGGGCGGACUGCAGGGUUGUAUGCGGCAUUAGAAAGACAUUAUGUGGCGAAAAGAAAAAACCUUGAAGUUAUUCGGGAGUCCGGAUACUUACGAUCUCUCCAGGGGCUUGGCCCUUGGAGGCCAGUCCUUGUCGUCGUCACUGGCGUUGGCAGAGCAGUCCGGGGGAAGGGUUUUUCCCUUCUUGGACCCUUCGGCCUCCCUUGUUGGGGAGGCCUUCCUUUUCUUCCCUCCCCCCGCUAGGGGAGAGGCUUUCUUCUUCACCUCCUCGCCUUGGUGGGAGGAGUCGGCCUCGGAUUCAUCAUCCGAUAGCACCUGAAAAUGGGAACUCUUCCGAGUCCCCGUGGCCUUCUUCUUGGCCUUCUUCUCCGCCACCACGUGGGGUGCCGGAGCCAGCAGCCCCGUUAGGCGGGCAUCAGGUGGGUCCUCUUGUUGGAAAUAUGCCCUAGAGGCAAUAAUAAAAGCAUUAUUAUUAUAUUUCCUUGUUCAUGAUAAUUGUCUUUUAUUCAUGCUAUAAUUGUAUUAUCCGGAAAUCGUAAUACACGUGUGAAUACAUAGACCACAAUACGCCCCUAGUAAGCCUCUAGUUGACUAGCUCGUUGGUCAACAGAUAGUCAUGAUUUCCUGACUAUGGACAUUAGAUGUCGUUGACAACGGGAUCACAUCAUUAGGAGAAUGAUGUGAUGGACAAGACCCAAUCCUAAGCAUAGCACAAGAUCGUGUAGUUUGUUUUGCUAGAGAUUUUCCAAUGUCAAGUAUCUCUUCCUUAGACCAUGAGAUCGUGUAACUCCCGGAUACCGUAGGAGUGCUUUGGGUGUACCAAACGUCACAAUGUAACUGGGUGACUAUAAAGGUGCACUACAGGUAUCUCCGAAAGUGUCUGUUGGGUUGACACGGAUCGAGACUGGGAUUUGUCACUCCGUAUGACAGAGAGGUAUCUUUGGGCCCACUCGGUAAUGCAUCAUCAUAAUGAGCUCAAAGUGACCAAGUGUUUGGUCACGGGAUCAUGCAUUGCGGUACGAGUAAAGUGACUUGCCGGUAACGAGACUGAACGAGGUAUUGGGAUACCGACGAUAGAGUCUCGGGCUUGUAAUGUACCGAUUGACAAAGGGAAUAGUCUACGGGGUUGCUUGAAUCCUCGACAUCGUGGUUCAUCCGAUGACAUCAUCGAGGAGCAUGUGGGAGCCAACAUGGGUAUCCAGAUCCCGAUGUUGGUUAUUGACCGGAGAGCCGUCUCGGUCAUGUCUGCAUGUCUCCCAAACCCGUAGGGUCUACACACUUAAGGUUCGGUGACGCUAGGGUUAUUAGGAAGACUUGUAUGUGAUUACCGAAUGUUGUUCGGAGUCCCGGAUGAGAUCCCGAACAUCACGAGGAGUUCCGGAAGGGUCCGGAGGUAAAGAUUUAUAUAUGGGAAGUUGUCAUGCGGACACCGGAAAGUUUCAGGGGCAUAUCGGUAUUGUACCGGGGCCACCGGAGGGGUUCCGGGGGUCCACCGGGAGGGGCCACCCCUCUUGGUGGGCCACAUGGGCCGCGUGGGGAAGGGCACCAGCCCCUGGAGGGCUGGGCGCCCCCCCCCCUUGGGCCCAUGCGCCUAGGUUGGGGGGAACCCUAAGGGGGGCGCACCCCCUUUGCUUGGGGGGCAAGUCCCCCCUCCCUGGCCGCCGCCCCCCCUCUAGAUCCCAUCUAGAGGGGCUGGCCCCCCUUGCCCCUUCCCCUAUAAAUAGAGGGGUGAGGGGAGGGCUGCAAGACACAACCAAGGCGCAGCCCCUCCCCUCCCCAACACCUCUCCUCCUCCGUCACGAGCUUGGCGAAGCCCUGCCGGAGUACUGCUUCUCCACCAACACCACGCCGUCGUGCUGCUGUUGGAGCUGUCUUCCUAAACCUUCCUUCCUCCUUGCUGGAUCAAGACGGAGGAGACGUCGUCCGUUCCAUAGAUGUGUUGAACGCGGAGGUGCUGUCCGUUCGGCACUUGGUCAUCGGUGAUCUGAAUCACGUCGAGUACGACUCCAUCAUCACCGUUCCCUCGAACGCUUCCGCACGCGAUCUACAAGUGGUAUGUAGAUGCAAACUCACUCCCUUGACUCGUUGCUUAGAUGAACUCAUAGAUGGAUCUUGGUGAAACCGUAGGAAAAAAUUUAAUUUUCUGCAACGUUCCCCAACAGUGGCAUCAUGAGCUAGGUCUAUGCGUAGUUCUCUAUUGCAUGAGUAGAACACAAUUUUGUUGUGGGUGUAGAUCUUGUCAACUUGCUUGCCGCUACUAGUCUUAUCUUGCUUCAGCGGUAUUGUGGGAUGAAGCGGCCCGGACCAACCUUACACGUACGCUUAUGUGAGACCGUUUCCACCGACUAACAUGCACUAGUUGCAUAAGGUGGCUGGCGGGUGUCUGUCUCUCCCACUUUAGUUGGAGUGGAUUCGAUGAAAAGGGUCCUUAUGAAGGGUAAAUAUAUGUUGACAAAAUCACGUUGUGGUUAUUCGUAGGUAAGAAAACGUUCUUGCUAGAACCCAAUUGCAGCCAUGUAAAAGAUGCAACAAUAAUUAGAGGACGUCUAACUUGUUUUUGCAGCAAUUGUCAUGUGAUGUGAUAUGGCCAGAAGUUGUGAUGAAUGAUGAAUGAUAUAUUGUGAUGUAUGAGAUCAUGUUCUUGUAAUAGGAAUCACGACUUGCAUGUCGAUGAGUAUGACAACCGGCAGGAGCCAUAGGAGUUGUCUUUAUUUUUUGUAUGACCUGCGUGUCAUUGAAGAACGCCAUGUAAAUUACUUUACUUUAUUGCUAAACGUGUUAGCCAUAGAAGUAGAAGUAGUCGUUGGCAUGACAACUUCAUGAAGACACAAUGAUGGAGAUCAUGAUGAUGGAGAUCAUGGUGUCAUGCCGGUGACGAAGAUGAUCAUGGAGCCCCGAAGAUGGAGAUCGAAGGAGCUAUAUGAUAUUGGCCAUAUCAUGUCACUACUAUAUAAUUGCAUGUGAUGUUUAUUAUGUUUUAUGCAUCUUGUUUACUUAGAACGGCGGUAGUAAAUAAGAUGAUCCCUUAUAAUAAUUUCAAGAAAGUGUUCCCCCUAACUGUGCACCGUUGCUAAAGUUCGUCGUUUCGAAGCACCACGUGAUGAUCGGGUGUGAUAGAGCCUUACGUUCACAUACAACGGGUGUAAGACAGAUUUACACAUGCAAAAACACUUAGGGUUAACUUGACGAGCCUAGCAUGUACAGACAUGGCCUCGGAACACAAGAGACCGAAAGGUCGAACAUGAGUCAUAUGGAAGAUACGAUCAACAUGGAGAUGUUCACCGACAAUGACUAGUCCGUCUCACGUGAUGAUCGGACACGGCCUAGUCGACUCGGAUCCUGUAACACUUAGAUGACUAGAGGGAUGUCUAAUCUGAGUGGGAGUUCAUUAAAAUAAUUUGAUUAGAUGAACUUAAUUAUCAUGAACUUAGUCUAAAACCUUUUGCAUAAUAUGUCUUGUAGAUCAAAUGGCCAACGCUCAUGUCAACAUGAACUUCAACGCGUUCCUAGAGAAAACCAAGCUGAAAGAUGAUGGCAGCAACUAUACGGACUGGGUUCGGAACCUGAGGAUCAUCCUCAUAGCUGCCAGGAAACAAUAUGUCCUAGAAGGACCGCUAGGUGACGCUCCCGUCCCAGAGAACCAAGACAUUAUGAAUGCUUGGCAGUCUCUUGCUGAUGAUUACUCCCUCGUUCAGUGCGGCAUGCUUUACAGCUUAGAACCGGGGCUCCAAAAGUGUUUUGAGCAACACAGAGCAUAUGAGAUGUUCGAGGAGCUGAAACUAGUUUUCCAAGCUCAUGCCCGGGUCGAGAGAUAUGAAGUCUUCGACAAGUUCUAUAGUUGUAAGAUGGAGGAAAAUAGUUCUGUCAGUGAGCAUAUACUCAAAAUGUCUGGGUUGCACAACCACCUGUCCCAGCUGGACAUUAACCUCCCGGAUGAGGCGGUCAUUGACAGAAUCCUUCAGUUUCUCCCACCAAGCUACAAGAGCUUUGUGAUGAACUACAAUAUGCAGGGGAUGGUGAAGACCAUUCCUGAAGUAUUUUCAAUGCUGAAGUCAGCAGAGGUUGAAAUCAAGAAAGAACAUCAAGUGCUGAUGGUCAAUAAGACCACUAAGUUCAAGAAGGGCAUGGGUAAGAAGGACGGCAAAGAUGUUGCCGCGCCCGGUAAGCCAGUUGUCGGGAAGAAGUCAAAGAAUGGACCCAAGCCUGAAACUGAGUGCUUUUAUUGCAACGGGAAGGGUCACUGGAAGCGGAACUGCCCCAAAUACUUAGCAGACAAGAAGGCCGGCAACACUAAAGGUAUAUUUGAUAUACAUGUAAUUGAUGUGUACCUUACCAGUACUCGUAGUAACUCCUGGGUAUUUGAUACCGGUGCCGUUGCUCACAUUUGUAACUCACAGCAGGAGCUGCGGAAUAAGCGGAGACUGGCGAAGGACGAGGUGACGGUGCGCGUCGGGAAUGGUUCCAAGGUCGAUGUGAUCGCCGUCGGCACGCUACCUCUACAUUUACCUAUGGGAUUAGUUUUAAACCUCAAUAAUUUUUAUUUAGUGCCAAGUUUGAGCAUGAACAUUGUAUCUGGAUCUCGUUUAAUACGAGAUGGCUACUCAUUUAAAUCUGAGAAUAAUGGUUGUUCUAUUUAUAUGAGAGAUAUGUUUUAUGGUCAUGCCCCGAUGGUCAAUGGUUUAUUCUUAAUGAAUCUCGAACGUAAUGUUACACAUAUUCAUAGCAUGAAUACCAAAAGAUGUAAAGUUGAUAACGAUAGUCCCACAUACUUGUGGCAUUGCCGCCUUGGUCACAUUGGUGUCAAGCGCAUGAAGAAGCUCCAUGCUGAUGGACUUUUAGAGUCUCUCGAUUAUGAAUCAUUUGACACAUGCGAACCAUGCCUCAUGGGCAAAAUGACUAAGACCCCGUUCUCCGGAACAAUGGAGCGAGCAACCAACUUGUUGGAAAUCAUACAUACCGAUGUGGUGCGGUCCAAUGAGCGUUGAGGCUCGCGGAGGAUAUCGUUAUGUUCUCACUCUCACUGAUGACUUGAGUAGAUAUGGGUAUGUCUACUUGAUGAAACACAAGUCUGAGACCUUUGAAAAGUUCAAGGAAUUUCAGAAUGAAGUAGAGAAUCAACGUGAUCGAAAGAUAAAAUUCUUACGAUCGGAUCAUGGAGGAGAAUAUUUAAGUCACGAAUUUGGUACACACUUAAGAAAAUGUGGAAUCGUUUCACAACUCACGCCGCCUGGAACACCUCAGCGUAACGGUGUGUCCGAACAUUGUAAUCGCACUCUAUUAGAUAUGGUGCGAUCUAUGAUGUCUCUUACCGAUUUACCGCUAUCAUUUUGGGGAUACGCUCUAGAGACAGGUACAUUCACUUUAAAUAGGGCACCGUCUAAAUCCGUUGAGACGACACCGUAUGAAUUAUGGUUUGGAAAGAAACCUAAGUUGUCGUUUCUAAAAGUUUGGGGAUGCGAUGCUUAUGUCAAGAAACUUCAACCUGAAAAGCUCGAACCCAAGUCGGAAAAAUGCGUCUUCAUAGGAUACCCUAAAGAAACCAUUGGGUAUACCUUCUACUUAAGAUCCGAGGGCAAGAUCUUUGUUGCCAAGAACGGAUCCUUUCUGGAAAAAGAGUUUCUCUCGAAAGAAGUAAGUGGGAGGAAAGUAGAACUCGAUGAAGUACUACCUCUUGAACGGGAUAGUAGUGCACCUCAGGAAAAUGUUCAUGUGAUGCCUACACCAACUGAAGAGGAAAAUAAUGAUGAUGAUCAAGGUACUUCGGAUCAAGUUACUACUGAACUUCGUAGGUCCACAAGGACACGUUCCGCACUAGAGUGGUACGGCAACCCUGUCCUGGAAAUCAUGUUGUUGGACAACGGUGAACCUUCAAACUAUGAAGAAGCAAUGGCGGGCCCAGAUUCCAACAAAUGGCUAGAAGCCAUGAAAUCCAAGAUAGUAUCCAUGUAUGAAAACAAAGUAUGGACUUUGACUGACUUGCCCGAUGAUCGGCGAGCGAUAGAAAACAAAUGGAUCUUUAAGAAGAAGACGGACGCGGAUGGAAAUGUCACCAUCUAUAAAGCUCGACUUGUCGCUAAGGGUUAGCGGCAAGUUCAAGGGAUUGACCACGAUGAGACUUUCUCUCCCGUAGCGAAGCUUAAGUCUGUCCGAAUCAUGUUAGCAAUUGCCGCAUACUAUGAUUAUGAGAUAUGGCAGAUGAACGUCAAAACGGCAUUCCUUAACAGGCAUCUUAAGGAAGAACUGUAUAUGAUGUAGCCGGAGGGUUUUGUUGAUCCUAAGAAUGCUAACAAAGUAUGCAAGCUCCAGCGAUCCAUUUAUGGGCUGGUGCAAGCAUCUCGGAGUUGGAACAUUCGCUUUGAUGAGAUGAUCAAAGCAUUUGGGUUUAUGCAGACUUAUGGAGAAGCCUGCGUUUACAACAAAGUGAAUGGGAGCUCUGUAGCAUUUCUCAUAUUAUAUGUAGAUGACAUACUUUUGAUGGGAAAUGAUAUAGAACUUUUGGACAACAUUAAGGCCUACUUGAAUAAGUGUUUUUCAAUGAAGGACCUUGGAGAAGCUGCUUAUAUAUUAGGCAUCAAGAUCUAUAGAGAUAGAUCGAGACGCCUCAUAGGUCUUUCACAAAGCACAUACCUUGAUAAGAUUUUGAAGAAGUUCAAAAUGGAUCAGUCCAAGAAGGGGUUCUUGCCUGUAUUGCAAGGUGUGAGAUUGAGCUCGGCUCAAUGCCCGACCACGGCGAAAGAUAAAGAAGAGAUGAGUGUCAUCCCCUAUGCUUCAGCCAUAGGAUCUAUUAUGUAUGCCAUGCUGUGUACCAGACCUGAUGUAAACCUUGCCGUAAGUUUGGUAGGAAGGCACCAAAGUAAUCCCGGCAAGGAACACUGGACAGCGGUCAAGAAUAUCCUAAAGUACCUGAAAAGGACGAAGGACAUGUUUCUCAUUUAUGGAGGUGACGAAGAGCUCGUCGUAAAGGGUUACGUCGAUGCUAGCUUCGACACAGAUCUCGAUGACUCUAAGUCACAAACCGGAUACGUGUAUAUGUUGAAUGGUGGAGCAGUAAGCUGGUGCAGCUGCAAGAAGAGCGUCGUGGCGGGAUCUACAUGUGAAGCGGAGUACAUGGCAGCCUCGGAGGCAGCGCAUGAAGCAAUUUGGGUGAAGGAGUUCAUCACCGACCUAGGAGUCAUACCCAAUGCGUCGGGGCCGAUCAAACUCUUCUGUGACAACACUGGAGCUAUUGCCCUUGCCAAGGAGCCCAGGUUUCACAAGAAGACCAGGCACAUCAAGCAUCGUUUCAACUCCAUCCGUGAAAAUGUUCAAGAUGGAGACAUAGAUAUUUGCAAAGUACAUACGGAUCUGAAUGUCGCAGAUCCGUUGACUAAACCUCUCUCACGAGCAAAACAUGAUCAACACCAGAACUCUAUGGGUGUUCGAUUCAUCACAAUGUAACUAGAUUAUUGACUCUAGUGCAAGUGGGAGACUGUUGGAAAUAUGCCCUAGAGGCAAUAAUAAAAGCAUUAUUAUUAUAUUUCCUUGUUCAUGAUAAUUGUCUUUUAUUCAUGCUAUAAUUGUAUUAUCCGGAAAUCGUAAUACACGUGUGAAUACAUAGACCACAAUACGCCCCUAGUAAGCCUCUAGUUGACUAGCUCGUUGGUCAACAGAUAGUCAUGGUUUCCUGACUAUGGACAUUAGAUGUCGUUGACAACGGGAUCACAUCAUUAGGAGAAUGAUGUGAUGGACAAGACCCAAUCCUAAGCAUAGCACAAGAUCGUGUAGUUCGUUUUGCUAGAGCUUUUCCAAUGUCAAGUAUUUCUUCCUUAGACCAUGAGAUCGUGUAACUCCCAGAUACCUUAGGAGUGCUUUGGGUGUACCAAACGUCACAACGUAACUAGGUGACUAUAAAGGUGCACUACAGGUAUCUCUGAAAGUGUCUAUUGGGUUGACACGGAUCGAGACUGGGAUUUGUCACUCCGUAUGACGGAGAGGUAUCUCUGGGCCCACUCGGUAAUGCAUCAUCAUAAUGAGCUCAAAGUGACCAAGUGUUUGGUCACGGGAUCAUGCAUUGCGGUACGAGUAAAGUGACUUGCCGGUAACGAGACUGAACGAGGUAUUGGGAUACCGACGAUCGAGUCUCGGGCUUGUAAUGUACCGAUUGACAAAGGGAAUAGUAUACGGGGUUGCUUGAAUCCUCGACAUCGUGGUUCAUCCGAUGACAUCAUCGAGGAGCAUGUGGGAGCCAACAUGGGUAUCCAGAUCCCGCUGUUGGUUAUUGACCGGAGAGCCGUCUCGGUCAUGUCUGCAUGUCUCCCGAACCCGUAGGGUCUACACACUUAAGGUUCGGUGAUGCUAGGGUUAUUAGGAAGACUUGUAUGUGAUUACCGAAUGUUGUUCGGAGUCCCGGAUGAGAUCCCGGACGUCAUGAGGAGUUCCGGAAGGGUCCGGAGGUAAAGAUUUAUAUAUGGGAAGUUGUCAUGCGGACACCGGAAAGUUUCGGGGGCAUAUCGGUAUUGUACCGGGGCCACCGGAGGGGUUCCGGGGGUACACCGGGAGGGGACACCCCUCUUGGUGGGCCACAUGGACUGCGUGGGGCAGGGCACCAGCCCCUGGAGGGCUGGGCACCCCCCCCCCUUGGGCCCAUGCGCCUAGGGUUGGGGGGAACCCUAAGGGGGGCGCACCCCCUUUGCUUGGGGGGCAAGUCCCCCCUCCCUGGCCGCCGCCCCCCCUCUAGAUCCCAUCUAGAGGGGCCGGCCCCCCUUUCCCCUUCCCCUAUAAAUAGAGGGGUGAGGGGAGGGCUGCAAGACACAACCAAGGCGCAGCCCCUCCCCUCCCCAACACCUCUCCUCCUUCGUCACGAGCUUGGCGAAGCCCUGCCGGAGUACUGCUUCUCCACCAACACCACGCCGCCGUGCUACCAUUGGAGCUGUCUUCCUCAACCUCUCCUUCCUCCUUGCUGGAUCAAGACAGAGGAGACGUCGUCCGUUCUGUACGUGUGUUGAACGCGGAGGUGUUGUCCGUUCGGCACUUGGUCAUCGGUGAUCUGAAUCACGUCGAGUACGACUCCAUCAUCACCGUUCCCUCGAAUGCUUCCGCACGCAAUCUACAAGUGGUAUGUAGACGCAAACUCACUCCCUUGAGUCGUUGCUUAGAUGAACUCAUAGAUGGAUCUUGGUGAAACCGUAGGAAAAAUUUUAAUUUUCUGCAACGUUCCCCAACACCUCUGGCAAUGGGGCCGGACAGAUAGUCCGUUCGGCCUUCGCCAGCCAGUCCUGUCAAAGGUAAAGGGAGUUUAGAUCCCGCAUAGAGUCAAACCAUGGAAAACAAGUGGCAAAUUCACUUACCUCGUCAGCUGGACGCUGCGAGCGGAAUCCGCGAUCUUCGGUAGCGGAUGCGGGAGCCUCGGCGCCCUUGAACAGCACCUUCCAGACAUCUUCGUAUGUAGUGUCGAAGAGCCCGCUCAGGGUCUGGUGCUGCGCCGGAUCGAACUCCCACAUGUUGAAACCCCGUCGUUGGCACGGGAGAAUCCGGCGGAUGAGCAUGACCUGGACUACGUUGACAAGCUUGAGCUUCUUGUCCACCAGCUUCUGGAUACAGGCUUGGAGUCCGGUCAGCUCCUCCGAAUCCCCCCAGAUCCGGCCACUCUCUUUCCAGGAGGUGAGCCGUGUAGGGAUGCCGGAUCUGAAUUCGGGGGCCGCUGCCCAAUCAGGGUCACGCGGCUCGGUGAUGUAGAACCACCCCGAUUGCCACCCCUUAAUGGUUUCCAUGAAAGUGCCCUCCAGCCACGUAACGUGGGACAUCCUGCCCACCAUGGCGCCUCCGCACUCUGCUUGGCUGCCCUUCACAACCUUCGGCUUGACACUGAAGGUCUUGAGCCACAAGCCAAAGUGGAGCUGGAUGCAGAGGAAGGCCUCGCACACGACGAUAAAUGCCGAGAUGUUGAGGAUGAAAUUCGGGGCCAGAUCAUGGAAAUCCAGGCCGUAGUAGAACAUGAGUCCCCGGACAAAGGGAUGAAGUGGGAAGCCCAGUCCGCGGAGGAAAUGGGGAAGAAAUACUACCCUCUUAUGAGGCCUGGGGGUGGGGAUGAGCUCUCCCUCGUCGGGGAGCCGGUGCGCAAUGUUGCUGGACAAAUAUCCGGCGUUGCGCAGCUUCUGGAUCUGCUCCUUCGUGACGGAGGAGGCCAUCCACUUGCCUCCCGCUCCGGACAUAGUUGGAGAAGGUUGAGGUGAGAAGUGCGGACUUGGGCGCUGGAGCUCGAGUUCACGGAGAUGGAUAAGCCAAGGAGGAAGAAGGCGCAGGUAAAAGGGUUGGAUCUUUAUCCCCUUAUAUGGGCGGACAAAAUCAUGUGUCCCCACCAGCCUGGUAAAACUCGCUUAUCUCCCAAGCGUCACAAUCAAUGGCGCAGUUGGGUUACCCACGUCCGUAUUGAUGGGAAUCCCUGAAUAAGGGGAACACGAUCUCUGCUUCGACAAGACAUGCCAAGGAAACUGCUUCGCUAAAUGCGCUGAGGUGGAACAAUAAAAACAAUUUGAGUAAAGGCUUGGUAGUGGUGUGACGUCACGCCACAAAAUACGUCAGCAGAUUGAACUUGUGUAAUAUUAUUCUCUCUACGGUGGUACGUGGAAUUUAUUUUUGCAGAGCCGGACACUAUCCUGGUGUUCACAAUCUUCUAUAAAUUAUUCGGAGGAAGAACCCGCCUUGCAAUGCCGAAGACAACACGCGCGCCGGACUCGUCGUCAUUGAAGCCUGGUCCAGGGGCUACUGAGGGAGUUCCGGACUAGGGGGUGUCCGGAUAGCCGAACUAUCGUGAUCGGCCGGACUCCAAGACUAUGGAGAUACAAGAUUGAAGACUUCGUCCCGUGUCCGGAUGGGACUUUCCUUGGCGUGGAAGGCAAGCUUGGCGAUACGGAUAUGUAGAUCUCCUACCAGUGUAACCGACUCUGUGUAACCCUAGCCCUCUCCGGUGUCUAUAUAAACUGGAUGGCUUUAGUCCAUAGGACGAACAACAAUCAUACCAUAGGCUAGCUUCUAGGGUUUAGCCUCCUUGAUCUCGUGGUAGAUCUACUCUUGUAACACACAUCAUCAAUAUUAAUCAAGCAGGACGUAGGGUUUUACCUCCAUCAAGAGGGCCCGAACCUGGGUAAAACAUCGUGUCCCUUGUCUCCUGUUACCAUCCGCCUAGACGCACAGUUCGGGACCCCCUACCCGAGAUCCGCCGGUUUUGACACCGACAACACCCGUGAUCUCAAGGUGGAUGGCAAGCCCAUAAAGGACAUCAUCUUCUCCCUCAACGAGCAAAUCAAUUUCGUCCAUAGCCAGAUCCACGAUCUUCAAAGCCAGGUCUUUGAAUAUGAGGCCAGGUUUAAAGGUAUGAGUUUAACUACCAGUUGCAGGAUCCGGGAGACUCACUCCUCCUCUUAUGAUGGUGAACCCCUGCCAUGGAAACCCAAGGACAAGAAACCUUCUACUUCAUCACCACCAUCUUCUUCAUCACCACCAAAAGAAAACUGAGUAUUGGGUAUGGGCACUCCCCUUGGCUUUCACCAAGCUUGGGGGAGGUGCCCCGGUAUCGUAUCAAGCUCCACUAUCUUUUGCCUUUACUUUCUUAGUUCAAUCAAUGGUUAUCUUUUGCUUUUAGAUAAAUAAAAGUUUAGUUCGAUCCUUUCUUUUUGUGAGUUCGCUUAGUAAUCAAUCCUUGUAAUCGUGCGCGAGAUAUAAUAAAGUUUAGUUUGAGUUUUGUCUUCUUUACUUUCUUGCGGCAAUAAAAAGAAAGGAAAUAAAAAGAAAAUAUCAUAUGCUAAUCUUAUGGUAAGUGAUGACAUUACACAAGGAAAAGUAUAAUUAGAAAAUUUUAUUGUAGAUUGACAAACAUAGUAUUGGUCAAUGAUGCAACACAUGAAAGAAUUAAUAAGGGAAGAGCAUAUUCACAUGUAAAUACACUAUCAUGGAAAUCUUUUGUGAUUGUGAGCACCCAUCAAAAUAUUAUAUGCCAAAAUUGUUGACGUUGGACAAGGAAGACAACUUAAUGAUUUAUGUUUGUUCAUAUUCACAUAGAAGUCAUAUUGUCAUAGAUCCUUCAACAUGUGGUGCUUUCCCCUAUCUUUGCUAGCCAAAAAUUCCGCACUAAGUAGAUAUACUACUUGUGCAUCCAAAACCCUUAAACCCUAUCUUGUUUGAGAGUCCACCAUACCUACCUAUGGAUUGAGUAAGAUCCUUCAAGUAAGUUGUCAUCGGUGCAAAAAGAGCAAUAAAAAUUGCUUAUACAAAUGUGAGAUCAUGUAGUGUAAGGGAAAAUUGAGCGUUGUACGAACUUGUGAUGGUGAAGAAUAAAAGCGACGGACUGCAUAAUAAAGGUUGCCAUUGCAAGGGGCAAUAUAAUGUGACGUUCUCUUGCACUAAGGGGUUGAGCAUACAAACAAAAAGCGCAUGGAAACCUUUGCUUCCCUCCGCGAAGGGCCUAUCUUUUACUUUCAUGUAUUUACUUUUAUGCAAGAGUCAAAGUUUUUCUCUUUAUUCCUUUUAUUUUUCUCCUUUGGCAAGCAUCAUGUGGUGAGGAAAGAUAUAGGCACAUAUGUCCAGUUGAAUAUGGGUGGCAUAAGUUAUUAUUGUUGACAUCACCCUUGAGGUGAGUGUGCUGGGAGGCAAAACUAUAAGCUCCUAUCUUUCUUUGUGUCCGGUUGAAACGUUUUGCUCAUGUGUACGCGGUGAGUGUUAGCAAUCAUAGAAGACUGAAUGAUGGUUGAGUAUGUGGACUUGCCUAAAGGCUCCGAUAUGUGACCCUUCCUUAAAAGAUGAUGAAUUGUAGUUGCAAAGUUGACUGAGAACAUAGUUUGUUGGUUUAUAAUAGAGUUUAUGCUUUAUACUUCAAUGUUGUGAUGAAUUGUCACUUGUUCAUAAGAAGUCUAUGACAAAAAGUUCUAUAAUAAAAGUUUUAUAUUAAAGUUUGUUGCUGUUGUAAUAAGUCACAUGAUGCUGCUAUGUCCGUAUUUUUGUUUUUAUCGACACCUCUCUCUCUCUCUAAGCAUGUGGACAUGUUUUUCAAUUUCGGUUUUCGCUUGAGGACAAGCGAGGUCUAAGCUUGGGGGAGUUGAUACGACCAUUUUGCAUCAUGUUUUCCUACUGUUAUUUAUGUUGUUUUAUUGUAUAAUAAUGCUUUUUGGAGUAAUUCUAAUGCCUUUUCUCUCAUAAUAUGCAAGGUAUGCACCAAGGGGGAGAAUUCUGGCAACUGGGAAUCUGGACCUGAAAAAGCUACGUCAAGCUACCUAUUCUACACAACUCCAAAUGAGCUGAAACUCCCCGAGGAUUUUUUAUGGAAUAUUUAAGGAGUAUUGGACCAAAUAAGUACCAGAGGAGGGCCACCAGGUGGGCACAACCCACCUGGGUGCGCCAGGAGGCCUAGGCGCGCCCUGGUGGGUGUUGCCCUCCUCGGCCCACCUCCGGUGACCAUCUUCUGGUAUAUAAGUCAUUUUGACCUAGAAAAAAAAGGGGAGGACAUUCGAGACAAAGCACCGCCGCCUCGAGGCAGAACUUGGGCAGGAGCACUUUUGCCCUCCGGUGGAGCGAUUCUGCCGGGGGAACUUCCCUCCCGGAGGGGGAAAUCAUCAUCAUCAUCAUCACCAACAAUUCUCCCAUCUUGGGGAGGGUUAUCUUCAUCAACAUCUUCACAGCACCAACUCCUCUCAAACCCUAGUUCAUCUCUUGCGUUCAAUCUUUGUAUCAAAACUAUAGAUUGGUGCCCGUGGGUGACUAGUAGUGUUGAUUACCUCUUGUAGUUGAUUACUAUAUGGUUUAUUUGGUGGAAGAUUAUAUGUUCAGAUCCAUUGUGCUGUUCAAUACCCCUCUGAUCAUGAGCAUGUUUAUCAUUUGUGAGUAGUUACUUUCGUUCUUGUGGUCACGGGAGAAAUCAUGUUGCAAGUAAUCAUGUGAACUUGAUAUGUGUUCGAUAUUUUGAUGGUAUGUAUGUUGCCAUUCUCUUAGUGGUGUCAUGUGAACGUCGACUACAUGACACUUCACCAUAUUUGGGCCUAAGGUAAUGCAUUGUGCAGUAGUUAUUAGAUGGUGGGUUGCGAGAGUGACGGAAUCUUAAACCCCAGUUUAUGUGCUAUUCCAUAAGGGACCGAUUCGAUCCAAAAGUUUAAUGCUAUGGUUAGAAUUUAUUCUUAAUACUUUUCUUGUAGUCACGGAUGCUUGUGAGAGGGGUAAUCAUAAGUAGGAGGUUUGUUCAAGUAAGAACAACACCUAAGCACCAGUCCACCCACAUAUCAAAUUAUCAAAGUACCGAACACGAAUUAAGCCAACAUGAUGAAAGUGACUAGAUGAAAUUCCCGUGUACCCUCAAGAACACUUUGCUUAUCAUAAGAAGCCGUUUUGGCAUGUCAUUUGCCUCAAAAGGAUUGGACUACCUUGCUGCACUUUUGCUACUACUAUUGUUACUUGCUCGUUACAAAUUAUCUUGCUAUCAAACUACUCCGCUACUUACAAUUUUAGCACUUGCAGACAUUACCUUGCUGAAAACCACUUGUCAUUUCCUUCUGCUCAUCGUUGGGUUCGACAUUCUUACUUAUCAAAAAGGGCUACAAUUGACCCCAUAUACUUGUGGGUCAUCAUACCUCUGAUGAUAUAUGUUGCUUUGAUGGCUGUAAGAUGGCUCAAGUUAUACCUAUGAUGAUAUAUGUUGCUUUGAUAGAUGGAUGAUGGAUGAUGGUUUAUAUAUAUUGAUAGAUGUUGUUUUCAUGUUUGGUGGUUAGAGUUCCAUCGAUGCCGAUCCACCCUAAACCAAACUAGUUGGGUUGGUAGGGUUCCAUCGACGCCGAGCCACCCUAAACCAAACUAGUUGGGUUGCUAGGGUUCCAUCGACACCGAGCCACCCUAAACCAAACUAGUAGGGUUGGUAGGGUUUCGUUGACACCGAGCCACCCUAAACCAAACUAGUUGGAUGGUUAGGGUUCCGUCGACGCCAAGCCACCCUAAACCAAACUAGUUGGGUUGGUAGGGUUCUGUCGACACCGAGCCACCCUAAACCAAACUAGUUGGGUUGAUAGGGUUCCGUUGACACCGAGCCACCCUAAACCAAACUAGUGGGGUUAGUAGGUGUAGUGCAUCUAGUGCCACCCCUUGUUGGUUUUGGAGUAUUAACGACAAAGUUGGUUGAGGGACUAAUGCGUUUGUGAGAAUUGCAGGAUAACGCAGGUAGUGUCCCUCAUUGAUUCGGUUUACCUACCGGAGAUGACCCCUAAAAAUGUAUGAAGACAUUGAAGACAAUGGUGGUAUGUGAAGAUAUUCACAUUGAAGACUAUAGCAUGAGAAGACAUUGAGUGAAGACUAUGGAGCGCGAAGAUUGUGUGGUUUCGUUGUUUCCUUUUCUUCUUUGGUGAGUCAUAGGAACCACCGUACUGUUAAGUGGGGUCCAAGUGAACUAAGUUAGAAUGACUGAAGUGAUGCUCAACCAAAAUCCUAUGUCUUCGAGCAAAGACAAUGAGAGCAAAUCUUAUUCAGAGCUGGAUGAGUUAGCUUUGCUUGUAGCCCAAGUAAAGUUGUCGUGUGUGUUUGAAAUCUGACCGUUGGAACACGUGUCAGUUCCUUAGUGACCCAGGGUCAUUUCGGACAUAUCAGGUCGGGUUGCCUUGUGGCUAUAAAUAGCCCACCCCCUACACCAUAAAUUGGUGGCUGCUCAGAGUUAGUUUACGGCUUUUGUCGUUUGAGAGCAACCCACCUCGAAGCUUUUGAGAGAGAGAAAUGCUUGCGAGGACAAAGCCCAAACACCCAGAGCCAAAGAGUGUUAGGCAUCACUGAAGUCUUUCUGUCUGUGUGACCUGAAGACUUAUUACACUUGAGGACUGUGAAUCCUCCAGCCGGUUAGGCGUCGCGUUCUGAGCAUCCAAGAGUCAUUGUGGAUCGCCGGUGAAGGAAGUCUGUGAAGGUUCGGAAGUCUACCUUGAAGACUUACCAGAGUGAUUGGGCGAGGACUAGGUGUCCUUAGCUCAAGGGGAAUAAGGUGAAGACACAGUCUUCUGAGUUGAAUCUCAGCCUCCCUAACCAGACGUACAGUUGUCACAGCAACUGGAACUGGUCCAACAAAUCUUGUGUCUUCAACAAGUGACUGGUUCUAUCCUCUCCCCCCUUUACUUAGUGUUUGUCUUCGUGAAGUCAUUGCUUAAUUGUCAUACCUGUUUGACUUCAUUGCUUGACUACUAUCGUUUGUUGGCUUCAUACUAUCUUCCAUCCUGAUCCUUACUACCUAGCUGCUAUUAGUCUUUGUACUUUCACAUUAUCACAUACUUGACUAUGGCUUGCUUAGUGUAGUUUAUCUUCCACUGCAUAUCAAUUAGGCCAUUUCUAUUGCUUGUCUUCGAAACUUCCACGUUUUGAAGACUUUCGUAAAAAUCGCCUAUUCACCCCCCUCUAGUCGAUAACUAGCACUUUCAAUUGGUAUCAGAGCAAGGUACUCCCUUGUUCUGUGUGAUUCAGUUUAACCACCUGGAGUUUAGUUAUGUCGAUUGCAUGGAUAAUCAAAGUCUCCGCUCCUUGCCCCGUGUUCGAUGGAACUGAAUAUCCCUACUAGAAGAAUAAGAUGCGCAUGCAUCUUGAAGCCAUUGAUGUCGACCUCUGGUAUGUCGUCAAGAAUGGUGUUCCCAAAACUGGUGAAGGUGUCACCCCCACUGAUGUCAAGAAGUUCAUUCAACUGGACUCUACUGCAAAGAACAUCAUCUGUGGUCAUCUGACCAAAGGACAGUAUGGCCGUGUGAGUGCUCUGGAAACGUCGAAGCUAGUCUGGGACUGGCUAUCCAAGGUCAAUGAAGGCGUCUCAACCCAGAGAGAUCAAAGGAUCGGUGUUCUUCGCAACCUCUUCAACCGCUUCAAGAGAAACGACAAUGAAAAUGUCCAGCUCACGUUUGAUCGUCUGACUGACAUCACAAAUGAGCUUCAGGCUCUUGGCGCCACUGAGAUUACCAAGCAUGAAAUCGUCAAGACACUACUGAGAUCACUUGACAGCUCCUUUGACACCCUUGCCCUCAUGAUACAAGAAUGCCCUGACUUCAAGACACUCGAUCCGUCUGAUAAACUUGAGAGGCUCAACACACAUGAGUUCCAGCUUUCUGAGAAAAGAGAUAUCUAUGGUCCCAUCUAUGGCCAAACUCGCGCUUUGAAGGCAAAAGAUGUUUCCUCAUCUGAAGAAGAAUCUGACUGCGGUUCUGAUGAUCCUGAAGACAUUGGAAAGGAAUUUGCUAUGCUUGUGAAAAAGUUCCAGAAGUUCACCAAGAAGAAAGGCUUCAGAAAGUCUUCACGAUCUAGCUCAAGAAAUGAUGAAGCUUCCACUCAUGAAAACAAGAAGAGAACAUGUCACAAGUGCAAGAAGCCUGGACACUAUAUCUCUGAGUGUCCACAGUGGGACAAUGAGAAGAAGAAGAAGAAGAAGAAGAGCAAGGAAUAUGAUUCUGAUGACAAGAAGAAGAAGAAAUCUUCAAAGUCUUCUUCCAAGUCCUCAUCAAGGUCUUCAUCUCAUAAGAAGAGCUCAUCUGGCAAGGCUCGUGCUUUUGUUGGCAAGGAAAUGGAUUCAGAGGAGGAGUCUACUUCUGAGGAGGUAGAGGUGGAGUCUAGAGAGGAGUCUGACCCUGGCGUUGCAAGUCUGGCUCUAGCCACAACCUAUGUUGCCAAGUCCAUCUUCAACACUGAAGACACUGACUUCCACACCAACGCUGAAGCUGAUGACAAGGAUGAUCCUGCUCCCACCUACUGCUUCAUGGCACGUGGUGCCAAGGUAAAAUCACGUGAUGCUUACUUCCAAACAUCAAGCGAAGAUGACUCUGAUUGUGAAUCCAAACCCAGCUACAAAACUCUUGCUAAAAUUGCAACUGAACAACAAAAAGCUAUGGAACAUACUCAAAAACUGUUAGACAAAAGCGAUGACCUGUUGGAGACACGUUCACAGUCCUUAGUUGAAGACAUAAAAAAUCUUCAUACUAAGUACCAAGACCUUGAAAGUCUUCAUGAAACGCUCUCAACCACUCAUGAAAGGCUCUCCUAUGAUUAUCUUCAAAGGAAGCAAGAGCUUGAGAAAUUGAAAGCGGCUCAUGAAGAUCUUCAAAAAGAGAAUGAGUCACUUCGCGCUCAACAGAUCAGUUCCGCUCAGGAUGGAUUUGAACCACCAUGUCUAAAAUGCAUUGAGCGUGAUAAUGCUACCUCUGUUGCUGAAUGUUCCACUGCUGCUACUAUUGCAUUGCCUUCAACUACAAAUGUGGUAACUAACCCCUCUGCGGAGGAUACCACUACUAUCACUGAUGAAAAUUCUAGGUUGAAGACAUUGCUUGAAACAGGGAUGUAUAAAAGUCUGAAAGGACAUCAGACACUUUGCGAUGUCCUCAAAAAUUAGAUUCUGAACCGAAACCCUAGGAAAGAGGGUGUUGGGUUCGAGAGGAAAAUGAAUGUUGAUGGUUCCUACUGGAAGCCUGAGCAGUAUCCCAAAACCACAUGGGUUGCUGCAAAGGAACCUUCAGUAGAUCCAUCCACCUUAUCUGGCUUCACUUGCGCUAACCCUAUCGUCAUUAAUGAAUCCUUUGAUGCAAACUAUAAACUGUUCAAAAAUCAGAAUGGUGAAGUGUUUGCCAGGUAUAUUGAUACUAAAUGCAGGAAUGGGCCACCUAUGAAGAAGAUCUGGGUACCCAAGCAGUGUAUUGAGAAUCUUCCUGUGAAUGUCAUCAUGACACCACCAAGGAAGAAGACAAACCCCAGACCUAUGGCUUCAUAUGGCCCAAAGGCUUCAUACAGAUACAGGACUCAUCUGAGUCACCCUAACGCCAAUGUUUUGCAGGGAAAUCGCACUCAAACUGAUGAAUAUGAGCGUGUGUCUUCAAACCGCUAUGUUCAUAGAACUAAGAACUUUUCUGCUUAUUCAUAUGAGUAUCAUUCAUCUCCUGCAAGGCUAUUUGCUAGGGCUUCAAAGCCGAAGUUCUUAGAUGUUGCACUUAGACUCAUUGCUUCUAAACCACCCCUGAAGAUGUGGGUGGUGAAGAAGAAUUAACUUUUUUUUGCAGGGAAUGGUCUCCAUCCAGCAAUCAAAAGCGUCCGAUACUAUUGAUGGGGACCUAAAACACAUAAUAGGACGCAUGAUAAAAUGAUCUUGCUAUGUAUUUCACAUCUGAAUCACUUACCAGUCAUACUAUGUGUCCUAACCUUAACCUAUGUUGUGGUAAUCCUUAUGAGCGUCAAAUACUUAUGCUUCACAACACUCUUUGUGAAGCCUAUCCUCCUAACUGCACUGUAGGGUACGACACCAAAAGCUUCAGAAUGGAUUAUUGACAGCGGAUGCACUAAUCAUAUGACUGGUGAUCGAAGUCUUCUCAUGGACUCAACCUUACGUCCAUCAGACAAGAGUCACAUCACGUUUGCUGACACUGGUAAAAGCAAGGUAUUGGGUCUAGGUAGAGUUGCAAUCUCAAAGGAUCAACACAUGGAUAAAGUGAUGCUUGUUGAAUCCCUUGGUUUCAACUUAAUGUCUGUCUCAAUGCUUCGUGACUUAAACAUGAUUGUGCUAUUCGGGAAAUAUCGUUGCCUUGUACUAAUGGAAUCUGACAACUCUCUAGUCUUUGAAGGGUAUCGAAAAGAUGAUCUGUACAUGGUAGAUUUCUCAGCAGGUCCACAGCUUGUCGUAUGUCUUCUUGCAAAAGCUUCAGAAUGCUGGCUCUGGCAUCGGAGGCUGGGGCAUGCUGGCAUGAGGAACUUACACACACUCGUCAAGAAGAAGCAUGUCAUAGGCAUCAAGGGUGUCAAGUUCAAGAAGGAUCAUUAGUGUGGUGCCUGCGAAGCUGGAAAGAUGACAAGGGCAAAGCACCCCUCGAAGACAAUCAUGACUACAUCUCAACCCUUUGAGCUGCUACACAUGGACUUAUUUGGCCCUACUCACUAUUCUACCCUCACAACAACUGCUUGUCUCUAUGGCUUCGUCAUUGUUGAUGACUACUCAAGAUACACAUGGGUGCACAUAAUUCUCUACAAGACUGAAGUGCAAGAUGUCUUCAGACGCUUCGCCAAUCGAGCAAUGAACAAUUAUGGUGUGAAGAUCAAGCAUAUCAGAAGUGACAAUGGCACUGAGUUCAAGAACACAGGGCUUGAUCUUUAUCUGGAUACAAUGGGAAUCACUCAUGAGUUUUCUGCUCCAUACACUCCUCAGCAAAAUGGCAUCAUAGAGCGCAAGAACAGAACCCUCAUUGAGAUGGCUCGAACAAUGCUCGACGAGUACAAGACACCAAGAAAGUUCUGGCCAGAAGCUAUUGAUACAGCAUGUCACAUCAUCAACCGUGUUUACAACCAUAAGCUUCUGAACAAAACAUCCUAUGAGCUCCUUACUGGCAAGAAGCCAAAUGUCAGCUACUUUGGAGUAUUUGGAGCUAGGUGCUGGAUCAAGGAUCCCCAUCACAAGUCAAAAUUUGCACCUAAAGCUCACAAAGGCUUCAUGCUUGGCUACGGAAAGGACUCUCACUCUUACAGAGUCUUCAACCUCUAUCUCUGCAAAAUCGUUGAAACUGUGGACAUGAGAUUUGAUGAAACCAAUGGUUCACAAAGAGAGCUCCUGCCAAGUACACUAGAUGAAGCUCCGCCCAGCGAAUCGAUCAAGCUGAUGGGAACUGGUGAAAUCAUGCCUUCUGAAGCACAGCCUGAAGAGGAACUUAUCAUUUCUGCACCUAACCAAUCAGAAGACAAUGCACAGACUGAAGACAAUGACAACAAUGAUCAGCAAGAGCAAAGUCUUCAUCCUGUUCAUCCUCGAGUUGCAAAUGAAGUACAAAUUGAGAAGAUAAUUGAUAGCAUCAGUGCACCUGGUCCACUUACUCGCUCAAGAGCAACACAGUUAGCAAAUUUCUGUGGGCACUUUUCUUUUGUGUCAAUAUCAGAACCCAAGAAAGUUGUUGAAGCCUUUAUGGAACCUGAAUGGAUACAAGCAAUGCAAGAGGAACUUCAAUAGUUCAAGCUGAACAAUGUUUGGGAACUUGUUAAGCGUCCUAACCCUCACAAGCAUAACAUUAUUGGUACAAAAUGGAUAUAUCAAAACAAGCAAGAUGAGCAUGGUCAAGUAGUCAAAAACUGUAAGUGCAUCUAGUGCCCCUUAGUGAUUUUGGUGUAUUGAAGACUUAUAGGUUAAGGGACUAAUGCGUUUGUGAGUGUACACAGGUCUAUAAGUCUAUGAGGAGUUUGAUAUUUACAGAGAAAGUCGACCCCUAAAAAUGAAGUUCUUCAACUGAAGACUUUGAUAUUCUGAAGACUUUCUGAAGACUUUGAAAGUGAAGAAAUUGGUGUGACCUUGAAGACUUGGUAUUCAUUUGUGGAACAUGAAGCGUGGAGACUUUUGGUUUUCGUAGUUUCAUUUUCUCUUUCUUGAGUCAUAGGAAACACCGUACUGUUAAAGGGGGUCGAGGAAAUACUAAGGAAAAAUUUCCAUGUGAUGCUCAACUCAAAAUCCUACACCUACCAAUCCCUUCGAGUGAAGCCUUUGGAAAUCUCAUACAGUUCAGUCACUUUCUUCAGUGACAGAGACGAAGUUCUUCUAGUCGCUGAUGAAUUUGUUCUGACUGAGGUGUUAGGAAUUCGUCAGUGUGAAUUACCUACAUAGUGAGGAACAUGAUAGCCCUGAGGAAUUUGAGAGUCAAAUUUCCGAUCGUUGCUGUGCUGCGCGCCAGCUGUCCCAAAAUAUCUUAUCCACCUAACGGUCAUAUCAUUUAGGGGCAUUUAUGUCUUAUCAUGUCGGGCUGCUCCCUAGGCUAUAAAUAGCCGCCCCCUACAACCACUAGCUGGUUGGCUGCUCCGAGAGAACUUGACACUUGUCAUUUGAGAGCAACCCAUCCUUCGAGGACUUUGAGCGAAAAUCAUCAAGUGAGGAAAACCCAAAACCAAACCCCUACAAACCCAAAGUGAUUGAGCAUCACUGAAGAAAUUGAUCCUGCGUGGAUCCGACGCUUGUUACCUUUGAAGACUGUGCUUCUUCCAGACGGUUAGGCGUCAAGGUCUAGAGCAUCCAAGAGGAAUUGUGGAUCGCCGAGUGACCAAGUCUGUGAAGGUUUGGAAGUCGCGUGAAGACUUACCACGAGUAAUUGGACGAGGUAUGUGUGACCUUAGUUCAAGGAGAAUACGGUGAGGACUGGGUGUCCUGAGCUGCGUGCUCAGCGACUGGGUGUCCGGGACUGUGUGUCCUCGAGUUUAAAUACUCAGCCGCUCCAACCAGACGUACAACUGAGACAGCAGUUGGAACUGGUCUACCAAAUCAUUGUCUUCACCAACCUAACUGGUUCUAUUUCCUCAACCCUUUCAUUUCCUCAUUACUGUGUUGAGUGUUUGUUCAUAUCUGUGUUUGAAGACUUUGACUGAAGACUUUCUCAAUUUCCUCAGUUCAAUUUCUUCAGUCUGUUUGUCUUCAUCUUGUGUUAUCCUGUGAUUACGCUUUCUGUACUCUGUGCUAGUCUUCAUUUCAUCAUGAUGACCAUGCUUGUAUUCUGUUAUGCUUACUUCUGAGUACUUAUUCCGCUGCUAAUAGUUCUUCGCUAAGGAAUUUCCUCACCGGCAAAUUCCUCAGUGAAGAAUUCAUAAAAAUCGCCUAUUCACCCCCCUCUAGUCGACAUAACGCACUUUCAAUUGGUAUCAGAGCAAGGUACUCCCUUGUUCUGUGUGAUUUUGGUUUAACCGCCUGGAGUUUUAGUUCUGUCGACCGCAGGUAUGAAGAAAGUGACAUGCCCUAUCUUUGACGGUCAUGAUUAUCCCAAGUGGAAGGCCAUGAUGAGGAAGCGCCUCAUGGCAAAGAAUAGCAAGCUGUGGACCGUCACUGAGAUUGGUCUUACUGAUCCAUGCAAGAUGGCGAACGCUGAUGAUAUUCGCAAGUACACUCGACUUGACAUCUUGGCGAAGGAUAUCAUCCGUUCCUGCCUAUCCAGAGAUCAAUUCAGGCACAUUAUGCAUCUUUGCAAUGCAAAGCUUAUCUGGGACCGAAUUUCCGAUGUCUAUGAAGGUCAUCGAACCCGUCAUGAUCCUUGGUUUGAGGACUUCAAGGAAUCUCUCAAAACAAUGACUUUCGAACCAGAAUCAUCAUCUUCUGCAUCAUGUCUCAUGGCAAAGGGUGUCGAGGUAACCGAAUGUUCCUCAUCUGAAUUUAGUGACUGUGAAUCUGAUGGUGAUGAAUCUGAUGAUGAUAUUGAACCUAGCUAUACCAAACUUGUUUGCAUUGCCACCAAACAACAACAUGCCCUGGAAAAGGUUCAAAACAUGCUAGAUAAGAGUGAUGAUAUGUUAGGUGAAGAAAUGGAUCGCACUAAAGUCCUGACUGAAAAAUCUUCAUAGACUUCAGUCUAGGUUUGAUAACCUUCAAAGUCAUCAUAACACUCUCUUAUCUGAUCAUGAGAAACUUUCUUAUGAAUUUCUUCAAAGAAAGCAAGAUCUUGAGAAGCUAAGAGUGAGUUAUGAAGAUCUUCAGAAGGAGCGCGAUUCAUUACUAGCUCAACAAAUCAGCGCUUCUCAGGAAGAAUUUGUUCCUCCAUGCUUAAAGUGCAUUGAACGUGAAUCUGCUAAUUCUUCACCUGAAUGUUCAAAUGCUUCAACUGUUACAAAUUUUUCACCUGCCUCUGCUAUCACUAAUUCGUCAUCUGAGGACAUUGCUAGUAUCACUGACGAUGCAGGGCUGAAGGAAUUGUACAUGACAGGCAUGUACAAAAGCCUCAAAGGGCAUCAGACUCUUUGUGAUGUGCUUAAAAAGCAGAUCCUCAACAGAAACCCUAGGAAAGAGGGUAUCGCCUUUGAGAGGAAACUUAAUGCUGAUGGAACAUAUUGGAAGCCUGAGCAGUACCCCAAAACCUCAUGGGUUGCUACAAAGGGACCUCCAGUUGAUCCAUCUAACUUAUCUGGCUUUACAUGUGAAUCUCCUCAUUCUUCUGAUGAGUCAUUUGACUCCAAAUAUAAACUGUUCAAAAAUCAGAAUGGUGAAGUAUUUGCUAGAUAUGUUGGCGCUAACUGCAGGAACGGCUCCCAUGAAGAAAAUCUGGGUUCCCAAGAAGUGCCUUGAAAGUCUUCAGGUGAAUGUCCUCAUGACACCACCAGUGAAGAACAGGAACCCCAGAUCAAAUUCUUCAUAUGGAUCAAAGUCCUCAUAUGAUUAUCAUUGUGCUAGCAACUCUGUUUCGCAGGGUAGAGCUAAGGGCUAUGAAUAUGAGCAUUAUUCUUCAAACCAUCAUGUUCAUAAGUCCUCGAAGAAUUUCUCUGCUUAUUCAUAUGCUUACCCUAACCCCUCUUAUGUAAAACAAAAUGGUUUGGCUUCUAUGCCACCAUUCUCGUAUGGUGCUCGCAGAGUGAUGAACUCUUUGCCACCCCUUCAGAUGUGGGUGGUGAAGAAAAAGAACUAAUCUCUUCUGCAGGGUCAGGUCUCCAGACGUGCCUUAAUGUGUGAAGAAUUUGCUGGGGACCUGACAAAAUUGCCUGAAAGGACGCAGGCGAAUCAUGAUGAAAUAAACUUUCACACGUCCUCCUACUGCUAUAUCUGUUUACUGCUUGAUGAAAUUCAUCUGAUGAACUUGAUAUCAUAUUCUUCAUUGAUGAAGCAUAUGAGAUUGUAAGUUACACUAAUUCAUCUGCAGGACGAUCAACCCAAAACCACUGAAUGGGUCCUUGAUAGUGGAUGUACAAAUCACAUGACUAGUGACAAGAAUCUUUUGAUGGAUGCUCCCUUAUCACCGUCACAUCUGAAGCACAUCAUCUUUGCUGACAAAGGCAAAAGUCAGGUAUUGGGUCUUGGUAAGGUUGCGAUCUCUAAGGAUAAACACAUGGACAAAGUCAUGCUUGUUGAGUCCUUAGGAUACAAGCUCAUGUCAGUCUCAAUGCUUUGUGAUCUUGAUAUGGUUGUUGUCUUUGGCAAGUAUCGCUGUGUUGUGAUUAUGGAAGCUGACAAUUCCAAAGUCUUCGAAGGCUUUAGGAGAGGAGAUUUGUAUAUUGUUGAUUUCUCUACAGGACCACAACCAGCCGUGUGUCUACUUGCAAAAGCUUCAGAAGGCUGGCUAUGGCAUCAACGACUUGGUCACGCAGGCAUGAGGAAUUUUCACACGCUUGCGAAGAAGAAGCAUGUCAUUGAGAAUGUCAAAAUUCCUCAAGGAUCACUUAUGCGGAGCCUGUGAAGCUGGAAAAAUGACCAAGGCCAAGCAUCCAGUGAAGACUAUCAUGACCACUACUCGUCCAUUCGAAUUGCUUCACAUGGACCUCUUCGGACCUAAUCAUUACUCAGCAGUCACUAAUGAUGCAUCUCUAUACGGUUUUGUCAUUGUUGAUGAUUAAUCUCGAUAUACAUGGGUACACAUUGUUACUUACAAACAUGAAGUGCAGGAAGUCUUCAAAUGUUUUUCCUCGAGGGCUUCAACCAACUUUGGUGUGAAGAUCAAGCCCAUCAGAAGUGACAAUGGAACUGAGUUCAAGAAUUCCGGUCUUGAUGACUAUCUUGAUGAACUUGGUAUUACUCAUGAGUUAUCUGCUCCCUAUACUCCUCAGCAAAAUGGCAUCGUGGAGCGCAAGAACAGAACUCUUGUUGAGAUGGCUCGCACUAUGCUUGAUGAAUACAAAACGCCUCAUCGUUUUUGGAUUGAUGCAAUUGAUACUGCGUGCCACAUCAUCAACAGAGUAUAUCUUCACAAAUUCUUCAAGAAGACGGCCUAUGAACUCCUCACUGACAAGAAACCCAAUGUGAGUUAUUUCAAAGUCUUCGGUGCUAAAUGUUGGAUUAGAGAUCCUCACCACAAUUCUAAAUUUGCACCGAAAGCACAUGAAGGUUUUAUGCUUGGUUAUGGAAAGGACUCGCACACCUAUAGAGUCUUCAACAUUGUUCUUCACAAGAUUGUUGACACUGUAGAUGUGCGGUUCGAUGAAACUAAUGGCUCGCAAAGAGAGCACCUACCUUCUGUGUUAGAUGAACCAGCACCUGAGGAUUCUAUCAAGUUCAAGGCAACUGAGGAUGUCAUUCCUACUGAAGAAUUUGCUGAAGAAUUCAUUCCAGUUCAUGAAGAACAUCGAGCUGAUACACCUGAAGAAAAUGCUGAGGAAAAUGGUGCUGAAGAAAAUGUUGAUCAAACUCCUCAGCGACAACCAGCUCAUCCUCGCGUUGCAAAAGAAGUGCAAGUGGAGAAGAUCAUCGAUGACAUUAGAGCACCAGGUCCUCUCACACGCUCAAAAGCUUCACAUUUAUCUAACUUUUGUGGGCACUAUGCUUUUGUCUCUAUCACAGAGCCCACUAAGGUAGAUGAAGCAUUUUUUGGAGCCGGAGUGGAUUCAGGCUAUGCAAGAAGAAUUACAUCAGUUCGAGCUCAACAAUGUCUGGGAAUUGGUCAAAUGUCCAGAUCCUCGCAAGCAUAAUAUCCUUGGCACAAAGUGGAUCUACCGCAACAAGCAAGAUGAAAAUGGCCUUGUGGUGAGGAAUAAGGCACGACUGGUAGCUCAAGGCUACACACAGGUUGAAGGAAUUGAUUUCAAUGAAACUUUUGCACCUGUUGCUAGACUUGAGUCUAUUCACAUAUUACUUGCUUAUGCUAACCAUCAUGAUAUCAUCUUAUAUCAAAUGGAUGUGAAAAGUGCAUUCCUCAAUGGUAAGCUUGAGGAAGAAGUAUAUGUUGCUCAACCCCCAGGUUUUGAAGAUCCAAAGAAUCCUGACAAAGUCUUCAGACUUAAUAAGGCCCUCUAUGGCCUCAAGCAAGCCCCUCGGGCGUGGUAUGAUACAUUGAAGGAAUUCUUCGUGAAGAAUGGCUUCACACCCGGUUCACUCGACCCUACUCUCUUUACUAAAUCUUAUGAUGGUGAACUGUUUGUGUGCCAAAUAUAUGUUGAUGAUAUUAUCUUUGGCUAUACUGACCAACGUUAUAGUGAUGAAUUUGCCUAUAUGAUGAGUGAAGAAUAUCAAAUGUCUAUGAUGGGAGAGUUGAAAUUCUUCUUAGGUCUUCAAAUUCGUCAACAGCGCAAUGGCAUAUUCAUAUCUCAGGAGAAAUACCUCAAAGAUGUACUGAGGAAAUUCGGCAUGCAAGAUUGCAAAGGCGUCAAAAUUCCUAUGCCCACAAAUGGCCAUCUAUGCACUGAUGAAAAUGGUAUUGACUUCGAUCACAAGGUAUACCGCUCCAUGAUUGGUUCUUUAUUGUACUUAUGUGCAUCUAGGCCAGAUAUAAUGCUUAGUGUUUGCAUGUGUGCCCGAUUUCAAGCUGCACCGAAGGAAUCACACCAUAAGGCUGUGAAGCAUAUUCUUCGAUAUCUAGCUCACACACCAACACUAGGAUUAUGGUACCCCAAGGGCUCUGCUUUUGAUCUCAUUGGAUAUUCUGACUCUGACUAUGCUGGUGAUCGUGUGGACCGCAAGUCAACUUCUGGCACUUGUCAUUUCCUCGGACAAUCUUUGGUCUGUUGGUCCUCGAAGAAACAGAACUGCGUAUCACUGUCCACUGCGGAAGCUGAAUACAUUGUUGCUGGCUCUUGCUGUGCUCAACUGCUUUGGAUGAAGCAAACACUCAAGGACUAUGGCGUCAAUGUGAAGAAUGUGCCUCUCCUCUGCGACAAUGAGAGUGCCAUCAAGAUUGCUCACAACCCAGUUCAGCACUCGAAGACAAAGCACAUUCAGAUUCGUCAUCAUUUUCUUCGUGAUCAUGUGUUGAAGGGCGACAUCUCCAUCGAGCACGUGAAGACUGAAGAACAGCUAGCUGAUAUCUUCACUAAGCCCUUGGAUGAGAAGAGAUUUAGCAAGUUGCGGUGUGAGCUAAAUAUCUUAGAGUCUUCGAAUGUUCUUUGAAAAGGACACACAUCCUAACACUUAUGCAAAAUUGAUGACUUAGAUGUGCAACACAUGAAGAAACGUUUUUCUUCAAUCAAUGAAGAAUAACACUAAGUGUGAAGAAAUUAAUGAAGAAUUUGAUUCUCAGAACCCUACGACAAUUGUACGCGGUGUCUGAAAUCAUCAUUCUUAUACGGCGGGUCACGCCACCACAAAAAGUUGAAAAUCUUCAAUUUGAAUUUUUCCUCAGUUUUGAAAUUAUUCAGUUUUUCAAAUUCUUCAACUUUUCAAAAUCUUCACUGUUUCCUUCGUUUUUCUUCAUUGGCUAUAUAUAUAUAUAUAUAUAUAUGAGUUUAUGUCCUCUACAGCAUUCACUUAUAGUUAUUUCUUCAAGUUGCUUUUUCUGCUAAGUGAAUGUGAUCAGACCCUUCCCCCUCUAUACUAUACUCAACCCAAUCUAUUCAGAAAUUCUUCAUAUGCGUUGUAUUUGAAACUCGUUCAAAAUCUUCACUGUGUCCUUGUCAGCUGAAGAAAUUGCGAACGAAACUUUAAAACAAAUCUUAUCCAAAUUUUCGGUUUUGCCGCUCAAACCGUUCCGCAUCCCACAAUGCAUUAUUCUAUUCACCCACGAUCGUACACGAUCUCAACUACACAGUACGUGGGUGACACAUAUCGCGAGAAGGAGAAAGGGCAGGGGCACGUUCGUCCCAAAUCUUCGAGCGAACAGUUUUUCACCGUGUCUAUAAAUACCCCUCUCCCCUUCCUCACUUCGUUUACUCCGCUCGAUCGCUACUCUCUCACUCGAGCUCCUCAAACCCUAGCGCCGCCGCUACUCCAUCGUCGUCGGUGAGGAAGAGCUUUGCUGCCUCGACCUCGUCGCCGUCGUACUCACACCGACCGCGGAAAUCUUCACUCCGCCGCCGCCGUAGCUGUCUUCCUCUACCAAGUUAGGGCGUGGGAGAUCUAGCCUGACGAACUUCACAUCUGUUCUUCUCAGUUCGUCGUGUUCUUCACUUCGGGUAAUUAAAAGUUACUUUUAUUACUCACUUUGAUUCUCAAACUUUCCUGAAAAUCUUCAAAGGUGUUUAUUCUUCAAAUCUUCACACAUAUGAACACCUCACAUCAUAUGAUCUUGAACUGUUUCUCUAAGCAAUUAUUUUCUUCAAGAUUCCCUAAUUGUGUGGAUCUUCGAUCUGUACAACUCUGGAACCUAAGACAAGAACACUUAGUGAAAUUCCUCAAGGUUCAUCUGGUCAAAAUCCUCAAAACUUGUUCUUUUCGAAAAACCUUCUCAGAACGCAUAUGACCUCUCCGAAUUCCUCGCACCUGUACUCUGUUCACAGGUACUCAUGUCUGCUGCUGAAUCACUAGGUUCUCAUCAACUUAACUCAUUUGCAGCGUUCCUCGAAGAAAAAUUGCAUACUUCUUCAGAGAACUCGAUUGUUCAAAUUCCUCAACUAAAGAAUAUGGCAGACGGUAAGAAGCCGCAGAAAGGAGGAAAGAAACCUGAGGUUAUGACUGCGUUUGAAAUCCCUGAGGAAAUUUAUGUUGACUAUUGCACACCUGAUGAAGCAAAAUUUGGCAAAGAAAACAAAAAUCAGCGCAAGGUGCGCAUUCAGAGGAUUGAACGGAGCUGGGCAAGGGAAUGGAGGGAAUACAGAUAUGUGACUCCAAAGUACAUGAGGAAAUUCGCCCUCAAUCCUCCAUGCCCAAGAGCUCCAUUGGCACCUGGCCAAGUAGCUGACCCCACAAGCAUCAAACGUGGUGAGGACUUUCCUGAAGAAUGGGCUAAGCGCCAAGCUAAAUUGGCAAGACAAGCCAAGGAGGCAGUGAAGAAAUUCAAUGAGGAUUCUGCCACUUCUACUGCUACUGAGGCCUCGGUCAAACCGAGGAAAUCCAUGCCAAAGAAGCCUGCUCGUAAGCCAAGUGCUUCACCAACAGUGCCCUCACAGCAAAUUCCUCACACUGCUACAGCUCCACCAAAGUCCUCAACAGCUCCUUCAAAGUCCUCAGCUCCUGUGCAUCUGGCUACAUGUCAAAGGACUACUGGUUUCUCGAUUGCCUCUGGUGUUUCAGCAAGUUCCUCAGCUGCACCAAUUUCCUCAUCAGGCCCCACACUGUUGAAGACCAAAGCAACAGCUGGACGAGGUCCUUGGCCAAGUCCAAAGAAGAAACAGGUCGCAUUCCAUGUGCUUUCUGAUGAUGAAGCUUCUGAUGAUGAACUUGCAAAAAUCAUCAGAGACAGACAGGUGAAGGCCGCUAGAGCCAAAGGCACAUCUGUGCCACUGCUGUUGGAUCCGAGGAAAAUCCUCGAUUAUAUUGAUCUCUGGCACAAGGAUCCUAACACCCCUAUGCCUGAUUUUCAUCUGACCCCUGGUCAAAGUCACAUGCUGACCCAUUUCAUCGCUGAAGAGAAAUGGAAGUUUGAAAAGGCAAGAGAGAUCAGGAAAGCUCAAUACAGAAAGGAGAAGCUCCUGAAGAAAAAACGUUGUUAGAAUGACACCUGAGGAACUUCUCCAGGCUCAGUCUAAAAUUCAAGCCCUCAGCAAAGACUUUGAUGCCUACUAUGCUGAUUGGCAAGGAGCUAAAGUAAGAUUCGUCAAUCUGACGAAGAAAUUCACAAAUGUUGCAGCCCCAUCGCAACAAGAAAAUCUUCAGGCUGCAGACUCUGCUCAGCCUGCUGAAGAACAUGCCAGCACCGCUGAUGACUUUCAGCCUGCUGAAGAACAUGCUCGUACCAGGGCUGGUGAAGAAAUUCCAGCCGCUGAAGAAAUUGCCAGGGCAUCCACUAGUGGUGCGCCUGAAGAAACUGAAGAGAUUGGAGCAACUGCAUCAGUUGCGCCUGAAGAAAAUGAACCAGAUUCCUCAGCUCCUCCUGCGCCCACACCAACUCCAAUUCUUCCAUCUACUUCUAAUGUGAAGAAGACCAAGGCUGCAGAGCGAGCUGCAGUGAAGAAAAGGAAGGCAUCAGCUGCGUCAAAUUCUUCGGCUGCGAAGAAAAUGAAGCCAAUGACUAGCUCACUCAAAAAUCCAAUUGAUGUUGUUCCGAUUUCCUCCAUGCCAUCAAAGGACCUUGUUCCUUUUGGAGAAGACUAUGAGAUCCCAAGCGGAUCUGAUGAAGAAAAUCAUUCUGCUGCUUCGUCAGAGCAGAUUGAUGAAGAAAUUGAAGUGGAAGCAAUCCCUUCAACCCCAAUCAUUUCCUCGCCUAUGCCUCAGUUCACAGCUGAAGAGGCCGGUGUUGAGGAACUUGAAGAAGAUGUGGAUAUUGGAAGCACAACGCCAGUGAUGAACGAUGACUUUUGGGAAAGUCAGCAUCCAAAUUCUCCACUCUUCACCCCAAUCCAACAGAUACCUCAGUCCCCUGCUCCAACUGUUCAAAUAGGCUCUGAAGAAACUCAUCCCACUUCAUCUGUCCAUGAAGAAAUUCCAGCCACUAGUGCUGAUGAACCUGCUGCUGCUGAUCCUCAGACUGCACCUGUUGAGGAACAAGAAAUUCCUCAGCCUGAAGAACCUGAGCUUGCGAUUCCUGAGGUGGUGAUGCAACUCACUGACACCCCUCUGCCAAAGCCAAAGAAUCCGUUCUCAAGCAAACAGAAGUUCAAGGCUGAAGAUUUCUUUGCCGAGCACGUAUUCUUCACUGAUUAUAAUCCAUAUGAUUCUGCUCGCAUAAGGAAGAAGCGUUUCUGGACUGCCAGCCAAGCCAAUUUCUAUUCCUCAGUGCUCUUCAACAAAGACAAAGUCUUUGAUCAUGCACAUAUUCCUCAUGUGGAAAUGGAGUCUCUGCCCGGCUUUGAGCUAGUCCUCAGUGUUCUUCACGACGCAGGACUUCUGAAUUUCUGCACUGAUAUUUGUGACUGGAAUGAAGAACUCAUUAUUCAAUUCUAUGCAACUCUGCACAUCACCGGAGACGCUGAAGACGUGAACUCAUGGGUAUUAGACUGGAUGUCUGAAAAUACUCACUAUAAGGCACCAGCAACUGAAUUGCUUCGUGCUCUACCACUCAGUCCUCCACUUGAUGGUGCUCGUUGUGUCUACAAUGAACCAGAACUUUCAAAUCACUAUAUGCAAGUGCUGAUGAAGCCUUUGAAGCCUAGGCAGGCCCCACGAACCAAAUUCCUCGUCAAGGAAUUACUCUAUGUGCCUCGGACUGUCUAUCGAAUUCUGACGAAGAUAAUGAGUCCUAUCAAAGGCCACGACUCAAAUGAUGAAGAAGUCGUUGGCAUCAUGAAGAAUAUGCUUUUCAACAUCAUUCAUGGCGUUCCCGUCAACUUCCAUGAUUUCUUCAUGAGGACUCUGGCCAAUAUUGCUAUGUCACCAUUCGAUCUGAAGCCCUAUGCUCCUUGGAUUAUGAGAUUCAUCAGGGCAAGAUCUUCACUGAAUUACAAAGCUGACACUCUGAACCACGGUAGCUACUUGCCUCCCAUUGAAGUCCUCAAACGGACAGUUUCAUCAGCUGAUGAUAAAGGCAAGGCCGUUGCUGUGUUCGAUGAAGGCAUUCGUCCAUUGGAUGGUCAAUUUCGCAAGGCUGCAUCUUACUCUACCAAUGACGAUUCUGUCACACAUGACUCUGCCGCAAAUACCUCAGCCAAGCAAAAUCCUCAAGCCACAGCUUCCAGGGUGAUGACUGACCGUGAGUUACUCCUCAGUCUUCAUCAGAAGGUUGAUCGCAAUCACAAAUGGGUAAAGCGUCAGUUUGGUGCACUUCUUCACAAUAUGACCUCAACACACAAUGCAGUGAAGAAGAACCAAUACUACCUUCAUGAAACCUUCAACCGCACCUGGGCUAUCCUCACUCAUGUCUAUAGCGCUGAAGAACUGAAGACUAUGGGUCUCAAGGAAGAAUUUGACUGGUCUGCACCUCCUCUAAAGAAAUUCAAGAGGGUCAAAAUUCCUCCACUGGUGGCCAGCUCUUAUUCUUCAUCGCGUGACACUGAUGAGUAUGAGGAUUUGGACGACACUGCAGCAGGCCCUGCUACAACAAACAACCCCGACAACGCUAGCGCUCCUCCAUCGACUUGAAAUUCUUCAGGGGCGUUAGUCCUCAGUUUCAAUCCUUUUGGUCAUUUGAUGACAAAGGGGGAGAAAUCUGAGUUAGUCUUCAAGCGGGUCUAUUAAGGGCAUUUUUUUAAGUUACAACUCUCGUUCUUCUGAAACUUUUAUUUGGAUCGAGUUGUAAUCUUAAACCCGAUGGUGCGCUGAUACUUUUGUUGCAUUAUGCUUUGCAUGCUUAUUCCUCGUUAAUGACAUUGCACGCAUGCUGAAUCUCAUCAGGCACCAUAUUUCAUCAUGCAUUUCAAAUUCUUCAUAUUAUAUAUCAAAUGCGUGUAUGAAUUACAAGAUAUAGGGGGAGAUCUCCAUGAUUCAACUCUUCAAAUGUGCAUUGCCUCAAAAGCAAAUUCCUCACUAUGCACAUCUUCAGGGGGGGUUCUUCUAUAUCUUGUAAUCAAAUUCCUCAAUAUCAGUGUAUACACUUCAUAUGUUUAUCCCCGUUGAAAACUUAACCUAUGUUGUCAUCAAUCACCAAAAAGGGGGAGAUUGUAAGUGCAUCUAGUGCCCCUUAGUGAUUUUGGUGUAUUGAAGACUUAUAGGUUAAGGGACUAAUGCGUUUGUGAGUGUACACAGGUCUAUAAGUCUAUGAGGAGUUUGAUAUUUACAGAGAAAUUCGACCCCUAAAAAUGAAGUUCUUCAACUGAAGACUUUGAUAUUCUGAAGACUUUCUGAAGACUUUGAAAGUGAAGAAAUUGGUGUGACCUUGAAGACUUGGUAUUCAUUUGUGGAACAUGAAGCGUGAAGACUUUUGGUUUUCGUAGUUUCAUUUUCUCUUUCUUGAGUCAUAGGAAACACCGUACUGUUAAAGGGGGUCGAGGAAAUACUAGGAAAAAUUUCCAUGUGAUGCUCAACUCAAAAUCUUACGCCUACCAAUCCCUUCAAGUGAAGCCUUUGGAAAUCUCAUACAGUUCAGUCACUUUUUUCAGUGACGGAGACGAAGUUCUUCUGGUCGCUGAUGAAUUUGUUCUGACUGAGGAGUUAGGAAUUCGUCAGUGCGAAUUACCUACACAGUGAGGAACAUGAUAGCCCUGAGGAAUUUGAGAGUCAAAUUUCCGACCGUUGCUGUGCUACGCGCCAGCUGUCCCAAAAUAUCUUAUCCACCUAACGGUCAAUAUCAUUGAGGGGCAUUUAUGUCUUAUCAUGUCGGGCUGCUCCCAAGGCUAUAAAUAGCCGCCCCCUACAACCACUAGCUAGUUGGCUGCUCCGAGAGAACUUGACACUUGUCAUUUGAGAGCAACCCAUCCUCCGAGGACUUUGAGCGAAAAUCAUCAAGUGAGGAAAACCCAAAACCAAACCCCUACAAACCCAAAGUGAUUGAGCAUCACUGAAGAAAUUGAUCUUGCGUGGAUCCGACGCUUGUUACCUUUGAAGACUGUGCUUCUUCCAGACGGUUAGGCGUCAAGGUCUAGAGCAUCCAAGAGGAAUUGUGGAUCGCCGAGUGACCAAGUCUGUGAAGGUUUGGAAGUCGCCUGAAGACUUACCACGAGUAAUUGGACGAGGUCUGUGUGACCUUAGUUCAAGGAGAAUACGGUGAGGACUGGGUGUCCUGAGCUGCGUGCUCAGCGACUGGGUGUCCGGGACUGUGUGUCCUCAAGUUUAAAUACUCAGCCGCUCCAACCAGACGUACAACUGAGACAGCAGUUGGAACUGGUCUACCAAAUCAUUGUCUUCACCAACCUAACUGGUUCUAUUUCCUCAACCCUUUCAUUUCCUCAUUACUGUGUUGAGUGUUUGUUCAUAUCUGUGUUUGAAGACUUUAACUGAAGACUUUCUCAAUUUCCUCAGUUCAAUUUCUUCAGUCGGUUUGUCUUCAUCUUGUGUUAUCCUGUGAUUACGCUUUCUGUACUCUGUGCUAGUCUUCAUUUCAUCAUGAUGACCAUGCUUGUAUUCUGUUAUGCUUACUUCUGAGUACUUAUUCCGCUGCUAAUAGUUCUUCGCUAAGGAAUUUCCUCACCGGCAAAUUCCUUAGUGAAGAAUUCAUAAAAAUCGCCUAUUCACCCCCCUCUAGUCGACAUAACGCACUUUCAGAAACAAAGCAUGUCUUGUGGCUCAAGGAUAUACUCAAGUUGAAGGAAUUGACUUCGAUGAAACAUUUGCUCCUGUGGCUAGGCUUGAAGCUAUUCGUAUACUGCUAGCCUAUGCUAAUCACCACAACAUUCUGCUACAUCAAAUGGAUGUGAAGAGUGCAUUUCUCAACGGCAAGAUUGAAGAAGAAGUGUACGUAGCUCAACCACCUGGCUUUGAAGAUCCAAAACAUCCUGAUAUGGUGUACAAGCUAAACAAAGCACUGUAUGGCCUCAAACAAGCUCCUCGCGCUUGGUAUGAUACGAUCAAAGACUUCCUGAAGAGCAAAGGCUUCAAACCUGGAUCCCUUGACCCCACACUCUUCAUGAAGACAUAUGAUGGUGAACUGUUUGUGUGCCAAAUAUAUGUGGAUGACAUUAUCUUCGGAUGCACCAACCAGAAGUAUAGUGAUGAAUUUGGAUACAUGAUGCAAGACCAAUAUCAGAUGUCCAUGAUGGGUGAGCUGAAAUUCUUCCUUGGUCUUCAAAUUCGUCAGCAAAGGAAUGGCAUCUUCAUAUCUCAAGAAAAAUACCUCAAAGAUUGUCUGAAGAAGUUUGGAAUGGAAGACUGCAAAGGCUAUACGACGCCAAUGCCAGCCAAACACCAUCUUGGUCCCGACGACAAUGGUAAAGAGUUCGAUCAAAAGGUAUACCGCUCCAUGAUUGGUUCUUUACUUUAUCUAUGUGCAUCUAGGCCAGAUAUUAUGCUUAGUGUUUGCAUGUGUGCUCGAUUCCAAGCUGCACCAAAGGAAUCGCAUCACUUAGCUGUGAAGCGAAUUCUUCAAUAUUUGGCUUACACCCCAACACUCGGAUUAUGGUAUCCAAAGGGCUCAAAAUUUGAUUUGGUUGGUUUCUCGGAUGCUGAUUAUGCUGGUGACAAGGUGGAUCGCAAGUCUACAUCAGGCACAUGUCACUUUCUGGGACGAUCACUUGUCUGUUGGUCUUCAAAGAAGCAGAACUGUGUGUCACUCUCAACUGCUGAAUCUGAAUACAUUGAUGUUGGAUCUUGCUACGCUCAGCUUCUAUGGAUGAAGCAAACUCUCAAGGACUAUGGCAUCAAUCUGAAACAAGUACCUCUCUUCUGCGACAACGAAAGCGCCAUCAAGAUUGCCAACAAUCCAGUCUAGCACUCGAAUACAAAGCACAUUGAAAUUCGUCAUCACUUUCUCAGAGAUCAUGUCAUGAAGAAAGAUAUUGACAUCAUUCACGUCAACACUGAAGAGCAACUGGCAGAUAUCUUCACAAAGCCCUUGGAUGAGAAAAGGUUUUGCAAGUUACGGUGUGAGCUAAAUAUCUUGGAAUCCUCAAAUGUCUUGUGAUCAGGCACACAUCCUAACACUUAUGCAUGUUGAUGACUUAGAUGUGCAACACACAAAGUAAAGUAUAUCUUCAAUUAAUGAAGACUUACUUUCUGAGUGUGAAUACAUUAACGUGGAAUUUGACUUCGGAGCACCACGAUAAUUGUGCGCCGUGUCUGGGUCUAAUACUUCCUAUACGGUGGGUAACGCCACCACCAAAUUUCUUGGUUUGAAGUGUUUCACUCAGGGCGUUAUUUUUGCAAUGUCUUCGCAUUUUGUUUGUCAUCAACUUCAACUUAUCUUCAUGAUUCUCUUCACUAUGAUGAUUUGAUUGCUUUAUGAUAUAUAUAUAUACUAGUGUUCUGUCCUCUACAACAUUCACUUAUAGCUAUGUCUCCCUAUUUGAAUCUUUUGAACUAAGUGAAUGUGAUCGGACCCUAAUCACUAUGUGCUUUCUAUCUCAAACUCUAUCUGUCCAAAUCAUAUGCAUUCUAUUGAAACUGUCAAAUGUCUUCUCUGCGUCCUAGUCAGCAGAAGACACAGAGACAAACAUUAAGUCUGUUUUAAAUGAUUUAUCUUUAUUGGUUGAAAUCUGGAGAAGCCGGAACAACCAUCCGACAUGCCUGGCGGGCGUGGGAACGUGGACAACUCUGAGUAUGUUGCAUGCUUGCCACGUGCCCCUCAGAUGUGAACCGCCAGGGGCACCUGUGUAAUUGCGUUGUGUCGCACUCUUCCUUAUAAAUACAUGCCCCUUGCUGUAAAGAAAACCUUCUUCCACCUCUCCACCUUGUCAAAACCCUAGCGCCACUGCUAGCUCUCGACGACACCGGCGACGAAGCGCUUAGCUGCCGCGACUUCUCCGACGCCGUCCUCACGCCGGCCGCGGACAUCGUCCUCUCCGCCGCCGCCGUAGGUGUCCUCCGUCGCCAAGUUAGGGCAUGGUGGAUUGAACUGCUCGGUCUCCUAUUCAUCCCAGCUGGCAGUUCUUCGUGUGGUAAAUAUAACUCUAUUUUUACCAUCUUUUUGAUCCUCAAAGAUUCAUCCUAUUUACCAAAAGUGGUUUCUACCUAUACAAUGUUAGAUCUAGUCUGUCUGCACCUCAUACUGCCUAGUAUAUUCACUUAAGCUUCAUAUCUGGUUAGAUUCCUCACUUGUACUUAUUCACGGAUUCGUAUAAAUCUGGAACCAACUCUCAACAUAUAAGUGAAUGUCUUCGCAUCAUGAGGUCAAUGUCUUCAAACUGAUUUAUCUUCAAAAUCUUCUGAGAAUGCAUAUGACCUCUUCCCCUUCCCUCGCAUCUCUAAUGCUGUCACAGGUACAUGUCCGUGGGAGAAUCUCUUGGUUCUCAUAGUCCACAUUCGUUUGCAGAAUUCUUACAGCAUCACAUUGAUUCUCCUGAAGCCAGUUCCUGUUUGUCCAGCAAGCGAAAGCCCUUGAAGCCUCUGAACGUAUUGAAACCAUUCAGUUUGAAGUUCAUGGCUACAGAGAAGUCAGUAAGGAAGGGUGGCAGACAGCGUCGAGGGGGAACAUCAAAAGAUUUGCCUGAUGACCUCACAGAACUUUAUAAGACAGAUCCUGAAGAGAAUUAUCAUCAACGCAAGACACGGAUCCAAUGGAUUCGACGAUAUUGGGCUGAACAAUGGUUCAAAUACAAGUUCGUGACCCAGGAAUAUGCUGAGAAGAAUGCUAUCAAAAGUCCUUGGGGUGAUAUUCUCUAUCGAGGCCUUCAACCCAAGAACAGAGCUGAAGCUAUUGCACAGGGUUUCUAUCCCUGUAUGGUCCGUGGACCUCAACCUGAAAAUGCCAACUCAACGUCAUUGCUCUGGUGUCAUGACGACAAUCUCUUCAAGCGCAACUUUCAGCAUGCAAAGGCAUCGGCCAAAGAAAACAAGAAGUCAUUGGGAUUAGACUUCAAUCCUGGUCCCUCUGCUCCCCGUGCUGACGGCUCAUGUGAUGCAGAACCCAAUGUCAUCGACCCCUUUUCCAACCUCGAUGGCCUCAUCACUUACAUCUUGGUCCAAGGUGCCAAAGUGGAUCAUUCUGAUAAUGAUGCUGACACUGAUGAAGCCCCAACUCCUCCUCCAAAGCCGCAGAAGCCAAAGAAGCUUAAGGCUUCAGGAUCAGCUGCUCCUCCAAAAGCUUCACGUGUGAAGCCACUGGCCACUGCACCUCCUGAAGACAGUGUGCAAUCUGAGGAUCUAUCAUGUAUCUCCAAGAAGACGGAGAAGAAAAAGAAAAUCGUCAAGCAUAGUGAUCAAAUCUUGACUCCUGCUGCCAUUCUGUGAGAAGAGCACAUUGAUCUGUCCAGUGAUGAAGAUCUUGCGGAUGUUGCCCUUGAGCAACUGAUCAAGAGCAAGGACGAAGCAGAGAUCUUCAAUAAUUUGCCUCUCUUUGAUGUGGCAAUCAUCCAUAACUUCAUUGAUGAGUGGUUUGACACCCCAAAUCUCAGCUUUGAUGAUCUGCAACUUCCCAUUGCCCUCAGCGUCGCCUUCAAUGGCGCCAUUGCUUCUGAGCUAGCUCUUGCUCAGCGCAUCGUUGAACUGAAGCACAAAAUCGACUAUGAGAAGGCUCAGUUCAAGAAGCAUGUGGCCAAGCUCAGCGUGCAAGAUGUCAAAAACUUCAAGAUCAUGCUGCACAAGCUCAAAGAAGACUUUCAUAAGAAGCGUGAAGAAGCUCAAGGCUCUCGUGAGCGUAUGAAGAGUCUGGCUGACAAGUGUGUGCUAGCCUACAAUGAGGCUGAGAAGCGCAAGUCUCUUGGUCGUCCUGGCAUUGACCCAAGAAUGGCUGCAAAGAAGAAGAAGUUAUCAACUGCCCAAUCUGCACCUUCAAGGCAGGAAGAACCUCGCAUAGUCUUCCCAAGAAGCAUGACUGGCUCGAAGCCAAAGGUCAUGUCAACCACUUCAGAACUGAAGAAGACGAGGGUUGUAGAGGCUGAAGCUAGAAAAAGGAAAACUACAAAAGCCUCUGAUGCUACUUCCUCCAAGAAGAAGCGCAAAACCAAGAAGAAUCGGGUUGCUCCCACAGAGCCCUUGGUUGUUAAACCCAUCUCAAUGGUGCGCCCUGCAUCUGAACACCACGAACAACAGAUGAUAGUUCAUGAGUCUGCUUCCACAGAGGCUUAUGAAGCUGAAGACAUUCCAGCAGUUGAACCCACUGCUGCUGAAGACAUUAGUCGCCAUGAUAAUGUUGAAGAUGAUGACGUUCUUCCUCAGAUCGAACACAACUUGGUAUCAUCGCCUGUUCUCACGAACAGCAAACUCAUUAGCAUUGGUCGACCUCUGACGCCAAUUGCUCAGGAUGCAUCAUGGGCUGAUCACCCACAGCAACAAGACUCCCCAAGUACUCCCCAACCACAACCACAAGUUACACCGCCUGUUCAAGAAGAACAAGAAGACCUUGAGGCCUAGCCAACUCCAUCUCCAAAGGCGUCGCCAGCUUUUCGCAGGCUUCGCAAAGGACAAAGGCCUCAGGUCCCUCUUUCGAGCAUUCCAGAAGGAGAAGUGCACCACUCAUCUGUUGCACGUCAAGUGUUUCCAGAAGCCACUCCGACUGCGAAUGUCUCCGUGUCUGAAGCCCAAGCUGCUGAAGACAAUCCAGCUGCAUCAGCUGAUGACAAUCAAGAAGACGUAUGUGUCCCCACUCUCCCCAAUACUGAAGAAGCUGUUCCUGAUGUGAACGUGCCAGUGCCCGACCCUCCAGCUCAUCAAGUGGAGGUUGAAAAUCUUGAGGCUGCUACCACCAACACCAAUGAAGCCAAUGAUGUUGUCAUGACUGAAGCUAAUGUGGAGCUUGCACCAACCAAUGUGCCCGAAGCCAAUGAUGCAACAGCUCCUGAAGUGUCUGUUGUGCGGCCUGAAGCCUCAGUUGAUGCCACUGCUCCUGUUCCGCCACCAAGGCCCUAUACUAUUGAGCAAGCAUACAAGCAUGGUCAGCUAACCACUGUCCGAUGGCCCGUUCUGGUCCCUCCGCCUACUGCUUCUGGUCCUCAGUUUGAUUAUCAUGUUGAGCAUAGGCCUCAGGUCCAAAAACCUAAGCCAAGACUACCAAGGUUCCCAGGUGCUGCAAACUCAACAGGGUCCUUCAAUGCAAAUGGCUUCAAAAGCCACAACACCUUCUUUGACAGCGCAAAGAACCCCUACACAAAGCCAAGAAUAUCAUCUGAUCAUUUCUGGAGUUAUCAGCAGCGAAGCUAUUACUCAUGCAUUCUGUAUGAUCAAGGGCGCAUUUUCCCUCAUAUGCGCCUCGACACUGAAGCCGUUGCUGGACUGCCAUGCUUAGAAGAAGCACUUGACUGCUUUCGUGAUGCAGGUCUGCUCAGCUUUGUGACAGACAAAGAACAUUGGAAUGAGGAACUUUUGCUCCAAUUCUAUGCUACCCUCCACAUUCGCGGCUACAACAGGGAUAUAAAGACAUGGGUUCUCGAGUGGAUGACUGGAAAUGUUCAUCAUGAAGCCAAAUCUCAUGAUAUCAUUGAGCUUACAGGCUUAUCCACUCCCGGAGAGCUGUACGAACCUGAUUGUCAACUCCACCGCAAUGCACUGGAAAGCAUCUUCCAUAAGCCAGAACCCAACAUGAGCCAGAUGUUGAGCAUGAUGAAGCCUUUGCCACAUGACGCUGAAUACCCAACAGAGUUCUUUGUUGAUGACCUUGAGUAUCUGCCUCGCACCAUAUAUCACAUCAUCAGGCGGACUCUAUGGCCUAUCAAAGGGCAUUCAUCAGCUGCAAAACUUGAAGGAGCCAUGAAGACAUUGGUCUUUUACAUCCUCAAUGGCAUCAGCUUCAAUACACAAGAAUUCUUCAUCCGGCAACUUGCUGCGUCUGGAUCUGACCUUUUUGGCCUGAAGUUCUAUGCUCCAUGGUCAUGCGCCUCAUCAAGCUACACUCUGCUAUCAACUAUCAGCCCUCUGCUCGCAAUCAUCUGAUCUUUCUACCAGAGGUUGAUAUGUUAGUUGAAGCCAUAUACCCUGAGCCUGCCAAGAAGCCUCUUUGUCUUUAAAAUGUUGAACACCAAAGCUUCACUCGUCCCAUGGAAGGAGUCCAAGCAGUAACUCGUAUCUAUCCAAUGGCUGGGAACACUCGUCUGCCUCAUCGUGCGCAAACUGAAGCUACUGAGAGCACAAUUGCCCAAAGACCCAAGAAGCGCUCUCGCGUUCUAAAUGACCGAGAACUACUUGUGGCACCGCAUCAGAAACAAGAUAAGCAUCACUUUUGGCUCAAGCGACAGAUGCAAAGCCUCUUGGUGGACGUCGAUCGCAUUCAAAAUCUUACCACCAAGAAUGUCUUUGUCACUCACGAGACCUGUCGGCGAUCAUGGAAGAGUUUGACACUGCUUAGUGCUGAAGAAGAUCUUCAAGACGAUGGCUUCACUAAAAGAUUCAAGUUUGACUCCACUCCUCCAUGGAAUGCUGUCCUACGUCAAACCCCAUCUCUUGAAGACUCUGACUAUUCUUCCUCUGCGGCAACUGUGAAUGCCAGAGUGAUCGAUGAUGAAUACGAUGCUACUUCACCACCUCCUACUUCUGCACGCAUCAACACUGCACCAAGUACGUCUGCACCGCCAAACAACAACGACAACCCUGAUGCUUCUCCUACUCAUGAGAACGAGUAGAUGCCCUAUGUCUUCAAACCUUUUUGGUCAUUAUUGACAAAAGGGGGAGAAGUGUAUGAGUUGAUAGUCUUCAAGCGGGUUCAUAUGGGCGGUCGAUUUAUAUUUUGCCUCGUGUUUACAACUCUCGCUUUUGAUACAUUUGGUUCUUUGAGUUGUAACACUUAAACUCGAUGGUUGUCUGCUACUUAUUUGCUUUUCUGUGAUGCGAUGAUAAAUUCCACAUGUGCGAUCAUAACUUCCGCACUUAGAUCAUUCUACAGACGUCCAUUUUUCAUUAUGCAUGUCAUUCCUUUUGUUACAUCAUUUCAUGCAUGAUGAAUUAUCUUCAUAAGGUGAAGAGGAUCUCCACAAGUACAACCUACCAUGUGCAUUUGCAUUCCAAAAGCAAAUUACUUAUAUGCACAUCUUCAGGGGGAGCCUUUGUGUCAGGACCCCGACUCGAUGCCACAUCGAUCUAGCAUGUAACACCUCAUAUCACUUUGCGGCCUCACGCACGGUAUUCCCACGGGUGUCGUCUUACCUUUGCCCGGGACCGUUUGCGCCUUUUGGCACACGUAUAUGAUAGUGUCGCUAGCAUCCAUAUGGUAAGGAGCCCGGGCUGACAUGGCUAGUCGUAAACCCAAAGCGGCACAGACUUACAGGGACAGGCAUCCAUGACCCAGCAUCGAAUGUGUCGGUCAUCAGCAAGUGAAUCCGGGCUGUAGCACUGGGCUAGCAGGACUCCGGUAAACCAGGCUGUAGCGGGCUAACAGGACUCCGAUAUCCAUCGCGUGACAUUUCCCCGAAGGGACAGACACAGGAACAAAGAAGGACACAUGCCGGCCAGCCUAAGUGUUCCGGAGCAGUAGCAAGCUACCAAGGCUCAGUGGAGACACUAGGAGACAUUUCCCGGUAAGAGAGGCUACUAAGAAUAAACAACUAAAUAGUCAGAUCCCACACAUACCAAGCAUUUCAAUCAUACACACAAUAUGCUCGAUAUGUGCAGAUACAACAAGGCAUCAUAACAUGACUCUACAACACAAGUACUUUAUUUAAGGCUCAGAGAACCAUACAUAUCAUACACACAAGUACGGGUCACACGACCCAGCAUUCAAGUCAUAUAGACAUACAAGCCAACAGCGGAAGUAACUUGUCUGGGUACAGACAACUAGUAAAAUAAAAGAGGCUUGGAAAGCCUGGCUAUACUACGUGGUCCUUCACAAGCUCAGGGUCACCACUUGGGCCUCAGUCUACUCAUCGAUGUCAACAUCUAUGAAGAACCCAUCAGAAGGGGUUGCAGCGUCUUCUGAAAAUGUAAGUUAAAGCAACAUGAGUACAAAGGUACUCAGCAAGACUUACAUCAGAUCCUACAUACAUGCACAUUAUCAAGAAGGGUUGGUGGGGUUAUUGCAGCAAGCCAGCUUUGACUCUUGGCUAAGCUAUCCUACGAUACACCAACUUGAAAUGGGGAUGACAGAACCCCCAGCCCCCUUUGAAACCACUAGGGUUUACUAAAAAUAAUUUCAAUGAACCUGAAAUGCCCUUCUAAAAUGUCCAUCAUUUUUGUUUAGGUUCGGAACCUCUACCAAAAGUGAUGCACAAUUUUCUAGGUCAUCCUAAGGUCUUUGAAUUAACUCAUAAGUAUUUGAGUUUGGGCAUUUAAAUUAUAUAAAAUAUUUUGAAUGCUCAAAUAUUCCCAAACUAAAAUGUUCCUUGCUGGAAAUAUUCCAACUAAGGACCAGGUGCAGUUUGGUGAUUUUAGGAGUUGUAUAAGUAUUUUUAAUAAGUCCACAAACUUACAGAAUAAUAAUAAAAACAGGGAAAUAGGAAAUACUUACCUGGCGCCUACUAACCGGCCCACCUGCCGGCCCAGCCCAGCUGCCACGCCAGCGAGCUGCUUGGCUCGGCCAGGCAGGCAGGCAGGUGCUCGGCGGCGAGCACCGCAUGGGUGCCACGCACCUGGUCGCUGCCUCGCCGCUCCCCUUGUCCAGCUGAUGACGGGGAUCGCUUCCCCUCUCUCCCCCGAACCCCCCAGACAUCUCCUCACCUCCCCAGCUCCUCUCCCUCGCGCUCCCCAGCCAUGGCCGACGCCCCCGCCGCCGCACCUUCGCCGUAGACGCGCUCUCCGUCAACCUCGCGUCGCGCCACCGUGUCCAGGAGCUCCACCACCCUCCUCUCCUUCGAGCAAGCCGAGCCCCGAGCGCUCGCGUGCCCCGAAGCCACCACGCUGACCUCGACCGAACCGCCAUCGCCGGAGAUCCCCUUCGCCAUCGCCGUCGCACCAGCUCGUCCCCGACCUCGUCGUCUACUCCCUCGGGAUCACCGUGAACCUAGCUACCUCUCCCCCCCUUUCCUUUUCCACUUCCGAGCCCCGUAGCGACUGCACGAAGAUCACCCGCACGCACCGCCGCGGAGAUCGUCGCCGACGUGCUCCCGGCCAUCCUCCGGUCACCUCUCGGUGUCCAUCGCACUCACCACGUCGCGUAGGGUCUAACCAUGCACUCCCCGCACCUCACCGCACACCCUAGCCCCGAGUUCGCCUCCACCCGAACUCGGCGGCCGCCUAGGUCGUGUCCGGCGCCGAUUCCGGCCACCCCGACCCCAACUAACUCCACCAAGAGCUGCGGUUUAUCCCCAGCUCCACUUAGAUGCCUUCCGCGACCCAUUUGGUGGCCGGAACGGCCAAAAUCACUUCCGCCGCCGCGUCGGGCUCGCCGGCGGCUAAACACCGGUGCAGCCGACUUGACUUUGACCACGGGUGGGCCCUGGUUGACUCUGUUGAGUCAAUGACAAGUGGGGCCCCCUCUGCUAAUUAGCCCAGAUUAGUUUAAACUAAUUUUAGUUAGUUAAUUAAACUCCUGACAUGCGGGACCCACUUGUCAGUUUGACCUGGACCGGUCUGUUGACUUGCUGAGGUGAGCAUGACUUCAUGCUAACGCAGUAAUCCUUUUCUGGAAUUAAAAUAAAUCUAAAAUGAUUUAUAAAUUUCAGAAAAUGUUCUAAACUUCAAAAAUUCAUAGUAAUUCAACUAUAGCUCCAAAUGCAAAGUUUUAUUUAUGAAAAAUGAUUAGAAAAAUCCAAUCUAUCCAUCUGUACUGGUUUCAUGCAUGUUUAAACAAGCUAACCUACUGUUUAUUGCAGAACAAGUUAAAGCACUUAUAAGGGCCAUGUAUGAGCUUGGAACUUGAAUCUUUGAUUCAAAAUGGUUCAAACCCAUCUGGUUUUAGUUGCAUUAGUCCAACACACUCAUAUUGCCAUGUUUCAUGCAUGCAUCAUAUUGUUGCAUAUUGUUUGGUAAUGUUGUGUAUCGGUGCUCUUUGCGGCAGGUUCUGCCUCCGAGCAGUACCACGAUUACCCUAACGAAGAACAAUAUCAGUGCAUCGACCCAUCAGGCAAGCAACCAACCAUUUGAUCAUAUCGAUACAAUCCCAUGUUCUCGCUCCUACUCUAUUUUACUGCAUUAAGACAACGCGUUUCAAACUACUGUGUGCUACGGUAGUUGAACCCAUUUCCUCUGCAUGACCUGUCAUUGCCACAGUAACUGGAUGAAACCCACUAGCAUGUGUAGGAGUUGUUUGAGCCAUAUGUAUGUGUUGUUCCUACCUUGCUAUGCCUGCUAUGCUUAGAGUCGAGUCAGAUCUGGUUCAUCUGGGUGAUGGGCUAGAGUGAAAUGAUCAUGCCGGUAAUGAGAGUGAUGUGGUGAACACGAUUUGGUAAAGGUAUCGAUGAGAGGCCAUGUAGGAGUACAUGGUGGGUUGUUUCAUUGAAGCCGACCUUAAGCACUGAGAUCUGUAUGCGUGAUUUAAAAUACAGCUACUACCAUGCAUUGGGCCCUGAAAUAUGACCCCGCUCGACUUCUUAUUCACCCUAGUCCUCUGUCCAGGAGUUGCAAGUAGUUUCUGGUGUUUGUAGCCUACUGGAGGCCGUGGACAGCACUGACCAUAGGGGCGGGCUGUGAUGCGGUAGGUACGUGGCCGGGAAUACCGGGCACCCGUUAGGUGUCACGGAACCCUGUACACAUCGUUCAGGGCCGUAUGGGAAACCUCGGCUGGACUCCCUGCGGAUGGAACCUGGAUAGGCGAUAAACCUGGACUAGAGACUUAGGUGUUUAGGUAGGUCGUGGUCUACACCCACGUCGGCUUUCGCUUGAAGUCUGUCGAGCACAUGUCGUGUGCAGACGCUAAGUGGUGCAAACAUGUAUGAAGAAGUACACCCCUGCAGGGUUAACAUUAUCUAUUCGAAUAGCCGCGUCCGCGGUAAAGGACUACUUGGUUGCCUAUACAGUUCAUAGACAAGUAAACGGAUACUACUAAAAAUCUCAAGAUAAGCGUGAGUGCCGAGGAUGGCUCCUCCGUAGGAUGAUGGAGGUGGAUCCUCGGUGGUGUAUUGAAGUGGUGAGUAGUGGACUCGUGUGCGCAAAACCAUUUCAAGUUUGUGUAUCAUAGGAUAGCUUAGCCAAGAGUCAAAGCUGGCUUGCUGCAAUAACCCCACCAACCCUUCUUGAUAAUGUGCAUGUAUGUAGGAUCUGAUGUAAGUCUUGCUGAGUACCUUUGUACUCAUGUUGCUUUAACUUACAUUUUCAGAAGACGCUGCAACCCCUUCUGAUGGGUUCUUCGUAGACGUUGACAUCGAUGAGUAGACUGAGGCCCAGGUGGUGACCCUGAGCUUGUGAAGGACCACGUAGUAUAGCCAGGCUUUCCAAGCCUCUUUUAUUUUACUAGUUGUCUGUACCCAGACAAGUUACUUCCGCUGUUGGCUUGUAUGUCUGUAUGACUUGAAUGCUGGGUCGUGUGACCCGUACUUGUGUGUAUGAUAUGUAUGUCUCUCUAAGCCUUAAAUAAAGUACUUGUGUUGUAGAGUCAUGUUAUGAUGCCUUGUUGUAUCUGCACAUAUCAAGCAUAUUGUGUGUAUGAUUGAAAUGCUUGGUAUGUGUGGGAUCUGACUAUCUAGUUGUUUAUUCUUAGUAGCCUCUCUUACCGGGAAAUGUCUCCUAGUGUCUCCACUGAGCCUUGGUAGCUUGCUACUGCUCCGGAACACUUAGGCUGGCCGGCAUGUGUCCUUCUUCGAUCCUGUGUCUGUCCCUUCGGGGAAAUGUCACGCGAUGGAUACCGGAGUCCUGUUAGCCCGCUACAGCCCGGUUUACCGGAGUCCUGCUAGCCCAGUGCUACAGCCCGGAUUCACUUGCUGAUGACUGACACGUUUGACGCUGGGUCAUGGAUGCAUGUCCCUGUAAGUCUGUGCCGCUUUGGGUUUACGACUAGCCAUGUCAGCCCGGGCUCCUUACCAUAUGGAUGCUAGCGACACUAUCAUAUACGUGUGCCAAAAGGCGCAAACGGUCCCGGGCAAAGGUAAGACGACACCCGUGGGAAUACCGUGCGUGAGGCCGCAAAGUGAUAUGAGGUGUUAGAUGCUAGAUCGAUGUGGCAUCGAGUCGGGGUCCUGACACUUUGCCACUUAUGAAGACAAUACCCUAUCCUUUACAAUUUCACAUACUUUAUUCCCGUUGAAAACUUCAACCAGUUUGUCAUCAAUCACCAAAAAGGGGGAGAUUGUAAGUGCAUCUAGUGCCACCCUUGUUGGUUUUGGAGUAUUGACGACAAAGUUGGUUGAGGGACUAAUGCGUUUGUGAGAAUUGCAGGAUAACGCAUGUAGUGUCCCUCAUUGAUUCGGUUUACCUACCGGAGAUGACCCCCAAAAAUGUAUGAAGACAUUGAAGACAAUGGUGGUAUGUGAAGAUAUUCACAUUGAAGACUAUGACAUGAGAAGACAUUGAGUGAAGACUAUGAAGCGCAAAGACUGUGUGGUUUCGUUGUUUCCUUUUCUUCUUUGUUGAGUCAUAGGAACCACCGUACUGUUAAGUGGGGUCCAAGUGAACUAAGUCAGAAUGACUGAAGUGAUGCUCAACCAAAAUCCUAUGUCUUCGAGCGAAGACAAUGAGAGCAAAUCUUAUCCAGAGCUGGAUGAGUCAGCUUUGCUUGUAGCCCAAGUAAAGUUGUCGUGUGUGUUUGAAAUCUGACCGCUGGAACACGUGUCAGUUCCUUAGUGACCCAGGGUCAUUUUGGACAUAUUAGGUCGGGUUGCCUUGUGGCUAUAAAUAGCCCACCCCUACACCAUAAAUUGGUGGCUACUCAGAGUUAGUUUACGACUUUUGUCGUUUGAGAGCAACCCACCUCGAAGCCUUUGAGAGAGAGAAAUCCUUGUGAGGACAAAGCCCAAACACCCAGAGCCAAAGAGUGUUAGGCAUCACUGAAGUCUUUCUGUCUAUGUGACCUGAAGACUUAUUACACUUGAGGACUGUGAAUCCUCCAGCCGGUUAGGUGUCGCGUUCUGAGCAUCCAAGAGUCAUUGUGGAUCGCCGGUGAACGAAGUCUGUGAAGGUUCGGAAGUCUACCUUGAAGACUUACCAGAGUGAUUGGGCGAGGACUAGGUGUCCUUAGCUCAAGGGGAAUAAGGUGAAGACAUGGUCUUCUGAGUUGAAUCUCAGCCUCCCUAACCAGACGUACAGUUGUCACAACAACUGGAACUGGUCCAACAAAUCCUAUGUCUUCAACAAGUGACUAGUUCUAUCCUCUCCCCCCUUUACUUAGUGUUUGUCUUCGUGAAGUCAUUGCUUAAUUGUCAUACCUGUUUGACUUCAUUGCUUGACUACUAUCGUUUGUUGGCUUCAUACUAUCUUCCAUCCUGAUCCUUACUACCUAGCUGCUAUUAGUCUUUGUACUUUCACAUUAUCACAUACUUGACUAUGGCUUGCUUAGUGUAGUUUAUCUUCCGCUGCAUAUCAAUUAGGCCAUUUAUAUUGCUUGUCUUUGAAACUUCCACGUUUUGAAGACUUUCGUAAAAAUCGCCUAAUCACCCCCCUCUAGUCGAUAACUAGCACUUUCAGUAGGGUUCUGUCGACGCCGAGCCACCCUAAACCAAACUAGUGGGGUUGGUAGGGUUCCGUCGAUGCCGAGCCACCCAACAACCAAAUAUCAUAUGAAGCUAUAAACAACCAAAGAUCAUAUGAAGCUAUAAACAAACAAAUAUGAGAGCAUACAUAGUUCAGAAUCACCUUAAACUUAGUAUACAUUAAACAUUGCUCAGAUAACCAACUUAGUACACAUUAAACUUAGUACCCAACUUAGUACUCCAUCAGAACAUACAUAGUUUUGAAGCACAAAUAACUUAGUUCAGAAUCAAAAGCCAUAAGCAUUGUCUGGUACACAUCAGACCAAAGUUGCAACAUUCAUUGUUCAAAAUCAUAAAAUGCACCAUUCUAUCACUCAAGUGUUACCACUGGCAGUAAAGAAUGACAUCCAGCCAGUAUGACUCCUUGGGACACUUGAAGGAGGAGCACCAGAAGUAGAAGGACCAGAAGAUGAAGCUCCAGCAGCAAAUCUUGGGGCAGCUAGCUAACCCUCUAGAAGAUCUAGCAGUAGCAGAUAUUGCAAAAGCAGAUCCUGUAGAAGCAAAUCUUGCAGUAGCAGACCUUGCUGGUGGCUGUUGUGACCUUGCUGCUGGCUGCUGUGAUCUUCCUGCUAGAGUAUCUUCAUUCCUUGAUCUUGCAGGUGGAGUAGCUUCAUUCCUUGAUCUGGCAGGUGCCUUGCAAACAUGGUAGUUAGUCACAAGGGUUUAGCACAUAAAACAUACAAGGAAACAAGACCAAUUAACAAGUAGAAUUAGCAAGGUUUUACCACAUGCUUGUUUUUCCUCAUAGCCAACUCUGGUCUCAACUGUUGCUUGCAGUUGGUGUACCUAUGGCCUUGGAGCCAACAGUUGUUGCAUGUUAUAGUGGCCAUUCUUGAAUUGUCCUUUGGUUUUGGAGCCUCAAAUCUGCCCUUUAUUCUCUUCUCUUUCCUUCUCCCCUUCUUCACAUGAAAUUUGGGUGGAUCUAUGUCUAGUCCACUUGUCCUUGUCCAAUCAUGUUCACUAGGAACUGGAUACAUCAUUGGUUCAUAUGCAUCAAGGUAAAAAGGUUUUUUGAAGAAAUUGCAGACAUAGUCCUCUAGAAAUCUUUUUGCCUUGUUAAUUGCUGAUACUGCAUGGUUGCAUGGUAUGCCAGACAGGUCCCACUUUCUGCAGCCACAUGGUAUGCCACACUGUCCUUUGUUAACAACCAAGUCUGUCUUGCAGUUAGUGUCAAAAGCAUCCAUCAUCACCUGUUGUUGCAACCAAAGAACAAUUUAAACUUCUAUAAAGCAAUAUAAAGCACUACUAAACUAUAUAUUUAAGUCACUAUAAAGCACUACAAAGCACUACUAAACUAUAUAUUUAAGUCACUAAAAAGAACUAUAAAGCACUACUAAACUAUAUAUUUAAGUCACUAAAAAUAUAUAAAGCACUACUAAAUUGUAUAUUUAAGUCACUAAGAAGAACUAUAAAGCACUACUAAACUAUAUAUUUAAGUUAGUAAAAAGCACUUAAACAAUGAUCGCUUGUGAUGUACAAUAACAAUGAUUUGAGCAGCAGCGAUAAUACAAGGAAGGCAUAACUAACCAAUGAAUGGUCUACAUCCAUUGAGAAAUCCCUCCCUUGCUCCAUUUAUGCAGAAGAACAUAGCAUGAAACCUUGGUCCUGGAUGUGGUAUUUUUGUAGUUGUUUUUGGAGUAACUGUUGUAACUACAACUCUACUACCAUGGUUUGUAUCCAUGAUGGUCUGAGCAUAAUCCCUAAGUCUGGGAUACUACUUCUUGUGCUCUCCUAGCACAACUUCUACAACAAGGUUUUUGGCCCUAUAUGCCAUGUGCCUUGUCACAUCAACACCAUACUUCUCAUUGUAGUUGUUAAUCAGAGUGUGUAUGCUAGUGGUUGGAUCAGACCUGAAGAAUGACUCAUAGGUCUUUGCAAGCCACUUGGCACUAAUCAUUGAUGUCUUAGUGCUGCUAGGGCAAGUGUGCUCCAGCCUUAUUUUCUUAAUAGCAAAAGUCUUCUCCCCUUUGAUAACUGCAACAACUAUGCACAACUGGCAGUGCUCUUGCUUACAACAGGCAAUGAUCCUUUGGUCUGAAUUUCUGUGAUACCCGAAGUCUCUGGCCUGUGUGAUGUGCAAGCUCAACAAGGCAUCUCCGAAUUGCUGCUGAUCCUUAAAGUACAUGUACAGACAUAACUGCUGAUGUGGUUGCUCAAGUUUGUCAUUGUACCGGAUCCUUGGUUUCCUUUUCUUGGCCCUACUCUUCCUCCCUUUAGGUAGAACAAAGGAUAGUGGCUCAUGUCCAUCAUCUUCAUCCUCAAACAACAACCCAUCACCUUCUUCAUCGGAUGAAGGAAUGAAAUCAUGUAUCACCUCCUCCAACACACUUGAAUGUGACCUAGUAGUAGGGCCUCUCCUAACUACCAGCUUCUUCCUCCUUUUUGCAGGUUUUUGCAUUGCCGCUUCUUCUGUUGCAACAACAUUGACCUCAUCCUCCUCCUCCUGCUCCUCCUCCUCCUCCUCCUCCAUCUCAAACAAAUCCUCAACCUCAGUGUCACCAUCAUAAUGUACUUGUUCCUCUUGUGAAUCUUCAUCUGAGUCUUGAUCUUCAACUUCUUGCUCUGCUAGUUUAUUCCCCUCAAUUAUCUCUGUGUCUUCACAUAUCCUAUACUUCUCCAUGCAGAAAGGAUUGUUAUCACCAUCAUAUGCAGCCUCAUAGUCAUUACUAUUAUUAUGUGCUUCCUCUAGCAGUGCCUCUUCCUCCAUUACAGCUUUGGGCUUCCCCUUACUGAAAUUUCUGCUCUCUUGUGUGCACUGACUAUGAAAAACAACACCUUGUUGAUCAACACCAAGAACUGCAUGCUCACUGAGAUCAUACACAACAGGUGGUUCAUACAAUACAGUUGCUAAAUCUUCUUCUCUCCUCUGACAGACAUUGUUGUACUUUGAUCUCACUAAAUCUUCUUCUAUUUGACAUGCAAAAGGUGUUGUUGCCCUCACUAGCAAAUUGGAACUAAACUAUGCUCCUAUUCCUUCUUAAGUUGCUGCAGUUUGAUGUUUGUGUCAAUCAAUUCUAACCCAUGCUCUCUUUCCUCUCCUCUGCCUAAAUUCUUCAUGUGGUACAGUUCAUCAGAGAAGGAAUAACCUUGUGUGUGCAUCAGUGCAUAUAAGUUCAGAAAUGUCACAUCUAAGCUGCAUAUCUUCCUAUCCAGAUUAUGUUGUGCAUCAAAAUGAAUCCGAACAUCCCAAACAGCAUCAUCCAAACUACAAUUGACAUCACAAUUUUACACUGUCAUGAGCAACUAACCCCAGCCCCCUUUUUUGUAAUAUGCAGAAAGAAGGACAGAAGAGAGGGACUUACAGCAUGCCGCCAACAGCUCCACUGGUCCACUGAUGGCUACUGCUAGGGUUGGCCACCCAUAUCUCUGCCAGCCUCACCCUGUCCUCCAUGGACAGUGCCGCCUCCUCCUCCAAAUCCUCAUCGUCUGCGCUGGAGUAGUACGAACUGGAGCCGUCGAUGUCGUCCGGACCUAAGUGGUCAUCGUUCUCGAGGCCGGGAAGGUCUCCGUACCUGCCCGCACCAUUGCCGCUGCCAUCGCCUGAGAGGGGAGAGGGAGACGAGGGAGAGGGGAGAGGAAACUAGGGUUCGUCCCGUACGGGUUCGACCCGAGCCAGCUACAUACAGCGACCGAGCCGGCUAGGACGAGUGACCGAGCGGGUGCGCGCGGGUACGCCACCAUGGCACCUUGACACGUGGGCCCAGUCGGUCAGAUACGUGGUCAAUACGUGCUUAUACGCCCGUCAGACCGUUUUGCAACACUUAGAGCAUCUCCAGCCGCGCCCCCAACAGGCCCCCCAGGCGACUUUUUCGGCGCCGGCGCCAAAAAACCGCCCUAGUCGCGCCCCCAGGACGACGAAAAGCACCGGUUCGACCCUUUUUCGCCCGAUGGCCGCAGGCCGAACCCGACGUGCUGAGGGGCGAUCGGGGGCUCCGGCGCAAGGGAAAAGCGCGGCUGGCCCACGCCGUCAGGUGAAAAGUCAAGAUUUUUCGUCCCCGACUCGCCUCCCACCCCUCGCGCUCUCGGCCACCACUAGCUAUAUCCCGGCGCUGCCCGCCGCCCUUCACCGCUAGAUAGCCAUUCCCCACCGGAAAAAUAGCAUAGGUUUGCCGCGGCAGCCCCCGCCGACAGCAGCGGGGCAUUUCCGGUCGCCGUUUCCGGCCGCGGAGGGGCAGUUUAGCGGCGGGUGCACGCCCAUCGGGCGCAAGGUGUUCGGCAAUUUGCCUGCCUCGGUGAUGGACUCGGAUGACGAGGAAGUGCUCGCCGCGCUGUUGGAGGAGGAAGCCGAGGCCGACAUCCAGGAAGAAGAGCAUCUCAUGGUGCUCGCCGCCCUUGCCUAGCUGCUGGCGAGCAAUGAAAAGCCGCGGCGAGGUGGCUCGGCACCGGGGCGGGUGAAAGCAAAGAACCGACAUCGUCUCGAAGGCUAGUGCAUGAUCUACUCCGACUACUUCGCCGAUGCUCCACUUCACGGCAACAAAACAUUUCGGCACCGUUAUCGGAUGAGCCGAAAGCUUUUCCUCAGGAUUGUGAAUUCCAUCCGGGAGUUCGACAACUACUUCAAAUGCAAGAUGGAUUGCACCGACAAACUUGGAUUCACCUCGAUCUAGAAGUGCAUGACAACAAUGAGGAUGCUUGCAUACGGAGCUCCCGGUGACUCACAGGACGACUAUGGGCGCAUGGCCGAGUCCACCAGCAUAGAGUGUUUCUACAAGUUCUGUCGGGCAAUGGUGGCAGUGUUUGGAACGCAAUACUUGAGAAGACCCAAUGCGGAAGACACUGCUCGGAUCCUAGCACAGAAUGCAGCAAGAGGAUUUCCUGGGAUGCUUGGAAGCAUCGACUGUAUGCAUUGGAAAUGGAAGAAUUUCCCAUUUGCUUGGCAGGGGAUGUACAAAGGCGCCAAAGGCGGUUGUAGUGUGGUACUUGAGGCGGCGGCCACACAGGACCUCUGAAUUUGGCACUCCUUCUUUGGUAUGCCAGGAACUCACAAUAACAUCAACGUGCUGCAGUGCUCUCAUAUCUUUGCCAAGCUUGUUGAAGGUCAUUCUCCUCCGGUGAACUUUGAGAUCAAUGGGCGACACUAUAACAAGGGGUACUAUCUAGCUGAUGGCAUCUAUCCGAGAUGGUCGACAUUUGUGAAGACCAUCUCAAACCCUGUGCCAGGAGGCAAGAACGCCUGGUUUGCGAAGAUUCAUGAGGCUUGCAGGAAGGAUGUCGAGCGGGCAUUUGGUGUGCUCCAAUCUCGAUUUGCUGUUGUACGGUACCCAGCUCAGACCUGGUCGAAAGAUCAAAUGUGGGAGAUCAUGACCUGCUGUGUCAUCUUGCACAAUAUGAUCAUUGAGAGCGAGCAAGAAGAGCCAGUGUUUAACACUGAACCAUACCACAGGCAGGAUCCUCUUGCCCAAGUUGAUCACCAGCUACCAGCAACCUGGACUGCCUACCUCAGUAUGCGUCAGGAGAUCCGAGACCCACAGAUGUAUCAUCAACUGCAGCAAGAUCUAAUAGAGCACCUAUGGAGGCUCAAGGGCGACGCCGGGCGCGACGUGUGAUGAAAUAUGAGUUUUUAUUUGUUGAACUAUAUAAUUUGUAUUGAACUAUUUGUUGUUAAACUAUUUUGUUGAAGUUUUUGAUUUUUCUGUGAUGAAACAUGUGAUAAAAAAUAUUUAUGUUGAUAAUUGAACGCCGAGCCACGACGAACCACGCCGAAUAUGGGCCUAUUCCCGCCCAUAUGGGCUUUAUUCGCCAAAAUGGGGCUGAAAAGUGGGCCAACAUCGGCGUCUGGGCCGAGCUAGGGGCGACGACUGGGCGCAAAACGGCCCCCAGCGCCGAAUGUAUCGCCGCUCUCCCGGAGGGGGCGAUUUUUAUGCGUCCUGGGGGGGCUAACGGCUGGAGAUGCUCUUAGGCUUAGAGUUGGUACUGUAUGGCAAAAAAGUGACUAAUGGUACUGAUUCGUUACGACGUGCCGAAGUGUGGUACUGCUUUGCAAUUAACUCUAACUGAAUGCAUCCUUGUGUUUAGUACUUUACAAUAUCCGUUGACUGAAUUAUUGGCAUUGCAGUUCUAACUUGAAUUUGGUUGGUGCUCUCCAUUUUUGUAUUUUUACAAUUACAAUUUGCAUUGAUAGUAACACUUCUAAACUAAAUCAUAUUACUAUCUGUUUUUUAUUAACUUGUCAUCGAUUGACUUCAGGUUCUCAACAAGAAUGUGCUCGGUUGAUGGUUAAAUUGUCUUACAAAUUCACCCUUGUAAUAUAUUUAAACAUUUGAGUGCCUGAAUAGCGAACUACUCUGCAUUUUUUUUGAACACAAAACUACUCUGCAUUUUAAUUACAUGAAAAUGGGGGCAUGUUUAUGGAAAUGGCCCAAAAUUUCGAGCUGCCGCCACAGCUCUGACCCAGCCCGCCAACCCACCGGUCGAAGCUUUCGGCCACGUCACCGAUCCGCGGCAUCCCUCCCCCGGAUCGCCAUCUGGACCGUUCACUCCAUCCGCAACCAACGGCAGGCAGACGCCUCCUCCAACCUCUCGUCCCCGUUAAAACGCCCCUCGCCCCUCCCCGCAAAUCACAGCACCAGCAGCCACCACCGUUCCUCCGAUUCCACAUCCGCUCGCAGCUCGAGAUCGUCAGCCAUGUCCGGGCGCGGCAAGGGAGGCAAGGGGCUCGGGAAGGGCGGCGCCAAGCGCCACAGGAAGGUGCUGCGCGACAACAUCCAGGGCAUCACCAAGCCGGCGAUCCGGCGGCUGGCGCGGCGCGGCGGCGUGAAGCGCAUCUCGGGGCUCAUCUACGAGGAGACCCGCGGCGUGCUGAAGAUCUUCCUCGAGAACGUCAUCCGCGACGCCGUCACCUACACCGAGCACGCCCGACGCAAGACCGUCACCGCCAUGGACGUCGUCUACGCGCUCAAGCGCCAGGGCCGCACCCUCUACGGCUUCGGCGGCUAGGGCCGUCCGACGGUCGUCGGUCUUUGUCGCCGCCUGCAGAUUCCAAAAGCUUGAUGAAACCCCGACUUGUCUAGUUAUAGCUGUUUCCUCUGUAGUUCGAACUGAAUCGUGGAACAAAGUUAUUUGCGUACCUUGUCGGAAAUGAAACUUGUCUCUGUCAGUCUGUCGUAAAUCUGAUUUUGUUCGCUGGUUGGUCUUCUGCAUCUCUGUUGGGUACGAUUGUUGUUUCCUUUGUGAUGCUUGAGUUGGCCAUAAUUUACCAUGAGCCCCGUAUGAAUCGAACCUGUUUGCAGGCUACUAUAAUUUGUAAUGUGAAAAAACGCCACUAAACAACUGUGUAUCUCGAUUAAGGAACAUCAUUCGCUCUGUUUCUGCGUCUGAUCCAUUUGUAUAGGUCACCAUCAUUGUUACUUCUGGUGUGCAAUGUCUGUAAUAGAGAUGGGGAUUAGUCUGCAUUUCAUCACCGAGUUCUUGCUUGAGUGGCUAUCCUUGACCUGAGUUUUGGGUGUAUAAAUUUGCUCUCUGACUUGUAAUGUGGAACUAUCUCAAAGCGACCAACCCAUGAUGUGGUUCGUGGUAACUGCUACUCCAAUAAACCAACCAGGAUCAUCAUUUGUGCUUUUUUUUCUGUUGAUUUCUAGUUGCUAGAGUAACAUUUUAAUUGCUUGAACUAUAUUUCCAACUGCAGAAUUGCCAAUAUAGAUACACGAUAUCCUCUUGGCAGUGACAGCAACUUCAUCCUUCAGUUGAGUUGAUCAAGAGGUGCAAUGAUGUAUUGGAUCUGUUAUAUGAUUUAUAUUCAGAUAUCCAAAGCUAAAUGAAUACUAAUCUCUGCUGAGAAGACAUGCUACAGAAUUCAACCACCAUUCCGUCAGACCGGCAAUGGAACAAGCAUAUCAAGUUAGAUGGAUACUGGUAUACAGCAAAUUAGCGACCAUUCUUGUCGUUUGGCUUUGAAGUAUACCUAUAUAUAAAAGAAGUCUGCUCAUUAGAGAAUAAACCAAUAUUUUAAUAGAUUAUGCUCAAUUGGCAGAUUACAAAUAUAUAAGUAUACCUAUAUAUAAAAGAAGUCUGCUUAUUUGCUGCCAACAGCUUUGUCACAACCCCACCUGACCAACUUCAGGAACGCCUUUAUGAAACUGAACACCUGAUACAAGUAUUAGACUGGAUAUCACAAACACACACUCGGAAGACGCAACACACAAGAACUUUACGCAACAAAAAGACUCACAUUUUGUACUAUUAACACAACCAAAUUUUGGCGCCCCUGUUAAAAAUUACAUGUACACCAAUGUAUAGAAAGGAAAUGAAAAAUGACUAGUACCAAGUAUGGGCAGCGAGGUGACUGAAGCAGCACAGAGAUGGCAAGUUCCCCUGAAAACUCCGAGCAGCAUCAAUUUCUUGGUGCUGCAUUUACCCGAUUCACAGUAUCCCAGUCCGGCACAGAUUAGAGCAACAAUGAUUUUUCAAGGCACGCAAUACAGCAGUUUAGGUUGCUGUCAUAGAGCGAAGGGAACACCAGUCGUCGGAUGAGAGCACGAUUACUCUGCCGCAAGUGCAAUGGCCAUCUCGGUAACGCUUAUGAGGGCUCUAUUGCAUUAUUCUUGAUACGCCGGGGAAGCACGACCUGCGUGCUACAGGAGCGUGCAUCGGGUCGUCUGCCUUACGCGUGAGGGAGUCAGUUUUAGAGCUGCUAGUUAUAGAAAGGAAAAAGUCUAAAAUAAACCUUGAAGUUAUAGACGAAAGCUAAAUCAAACCCCAAACUUUGAUUCCCGGAAAUUGACACUCUGAACUUGCAAUCCCGAUCUAUUUUGGACCCUAGACCUGUUUGGCAAACUCGGAAUAGUACAAUCCCGGCCGGGAUAACUAGCUACUCUCACGGAUAAGAAUUUGGGCCGGCCCACUACAACACAACAAGAAUUCAUGAAGUUUCAAAAAUGUUCGCGCAUGUUUAAAAUUGUUCGCGAGUUAAAAAAUGUUCCUGUUUUCUAUUUUCGGCGAAAAUUAAAUUCAUUUUGUGUUUUUAAAAAAAUGUUUGUGAUUUCAAAAAGAAAAACACAUUUGCCAAAAAUGUUCAUAAUACCAACAGUUUUUCAGAUGCUAUGAUUGUUUUCAAAUUUUCAAAUUAUGUCACAUUUUUAAAAUAUUUUUUACAAUUUCAUAAACUAUUUCGUAAAUAAUGUUUUUAUAAAAUGUUUAGUUUUUUUUGAAAUCUUCGAACAUUUCAUGAAGUGCGAGAACUUUUUAAAAUUUUCGAAUAAUUUUAAAAACCAACAACUUUGAAAAAGCCAACACCUUUUGAAACAUCAACAUUUUUUGAAACCUGAACGAAAAUUUAAAGUGCAAACACUUUUUGAACCAUAAAGUUUUUCUGAAACCUGAACAAAAUUUUAAAGUGCGAACACUUUUUGAUACAUAAACAUUUUCUGAGUUUGUGACAUCUAGAAAAUACCACAAAUUCUAAAAAAAUGUAUGGGCCAAUUCAAACAAUGUUUAUACAAUGUAUAAUAAUAUUUGUGUGAUUCAAAAAAAAAGGUUUCGUACAUUCUAAAAAAUGUAACAUUUCAAGAAUGUUCGCGAGUUUCAGAAAAUGUGUUUGUGGCAUUUUCAAAAAAAGUAUGUACAAUAUAUCGAAAAUGUUUGCGUGUUGUACAAAAAUGUGUCAUAACCUUAACAGAAUAUACGUGACAUGUAUAGAAAAAAGUGUUUGCGAAUUUAAACAUGUUGAACCAUGUAAAAGAGUGUUUGUGUAGUUUUGUAAAAUGUGUAUUGUCAUUAAGAAAAUGUAAAACAUGUAUUUCGAAAAAUAUUACCAUGUAUUCAAUUUUUUUUGAAAACAUUUAAUUUCAAAAUGUCCAUAACCUAUUUGAAAAUAUCAAAAGUUUAUCAAAAAAUAUUUAAUGUCUGCGUUUAAAAUGUACAUUGGGUACUGAGAAAAAUUAGGCAAUUGUAAAAAUGAAAAAACGAAAAAGAAAACAUAAAAGAAAAAUAAAGUAGUGCACGCGCAUGAGCGACUGCACUACUGGGCCGGCCCAAUUCAGCAAAUACCGGCCGAGUCCUCCCAAGGUUUAAAAUAGACCGGGAUUAUAGAGUUCGGUGUGCUGAUUUCAGGGAUUAAGAGUUUGGGGUUUGAUUUAGCUUUUGCCUACAAUUUCAAGGUUUGUUUUGGACUUUUUCCUUAUAGAAAAUAUGACAAGUUUUCAUCUAUGACAUCAGAGUGUCCUUUUUGUGGUCUUCAUACUUAUCACAAUGAGUUGUACAGAUUGACAAUGGUCAAAAUAUAAUUGGAUAAAUCUGUUAGCACUAAAUUAAUAUAUUUAUGUGUGCCAUUGUGCACAACAUAAUAUUUAGAGUAACUAGCAAAAGAGCCCGUGCGUUGCAACAGGAGAGAAAACAUAACACACACUCUUAACCCAACAACCAUCACCCAAGACCACAAUAGGUCCAUCUCCUUUAUUUUUGCGAGGCAUUAUAUUUGUGUUGCCGAUUAUCCUCCUUCUCACCCUCGCCGGCAAUGGCGGUGUUCACACACACAAAAAAAGUGUUUGAAUAUGUUUAAUCCUAAGGCGUCUCUCUCUCCCUCUCUCUCUCUCUCUCUCUCUCUCUCUCGCUUUCUCUCACUCUCGCGAGGAGAAAUCUGUUGUUUUCCCCUGCGAUAUUUUUCAGAGGUAUGCAUGUGUAGUUAUCGAUGUUUUCUUUUCCCUAUAUUGUUAUAGUGGGGUGUUUAUUUAUAAUACGGAUCGCCGCCGGUAUGAAAGGAAAACGGAUCUUACACUAUAAAUUAUAAGUUUGCUUCCAAAAUGAUAUUUUAAAAAUAUUUAACAGCUAAAAUUAACAUCAUAUUUAGACUCCACAUAUUUUUCUAAUAAAAUUUCAUAUAUAAUAUGUUAAAAUCGAAGUUACGGUUUAAAAGAUACGGAUAAUUUAGAAAAUCAUUUAUUUGACUUAAAUAUAUUCCAAAAUAAUAUUUUAAAAUACUUAACAGGUGAAAAUAAUCUCAUAUUCAUAUUCACAUAUUUUUUUAAUCAAAUUUCAUAUAUAACAUGUUCAAAUCGAAGUUACGGUUUAAAAGAUAUGGAUGAUUUAAAAAAACAUUGUUUGACUUAAAUAUGAUCCGCGGAUGAAUUACCUAAAACAUCAGGGGGGUUUCGAAAAAUGUAAAAUAACGGUUCGGGUGUGACUUAAAUCUGGACCGCGGGUUGAUUUCAACAAAAAACAGGGACUUUUGUGUAAAAUAUGAAAAAAAAGAUUUGUUUUAACUUCAAACGGGACUACGGGUUGAAUUCUCUAAAAUAGAGGGACUUUUCUGAAAAAUGUCAUAUGACGGACGAAAGAAACUCAAUUUGUUUUAUUAUUAGGUAAAGAUAUGCAUAGAACAACGUCUUAUACGUAUUCGGUCAGCCCGUAGUCUGCACUAGAAGCUCUUAAAAAAAUAUGUGAGCAAACUUAAGUAGUAACCUUAUAUUUGUAUGCAUAUCACAAAUAAGAUAUAUGAUCUUUUUCUCAAACUUGUAAAUGAUCUUAGCCACCUCCAGUUUCAGAUUGGUCACAUGUUGCUAUUACUGGGCAUGCUUUUGCUAUUGCAGGUUCAACUUACUCCCCACUUCCGUUUUGCAUGGAAUUGACUCGCCUCUUGAUACAUUUCUAGCUUUCUGAAACUCUCUUCCUGUUGCGACAGAAAUAUAUUUUUUUCUUUGGCAAAUCAGUGUAAAAAUCCAUGGUUUCUAUGUAGCAAUAGGCAUGCAUUGGUCUCUGUUUUUGAACUGAUUCUUCCAUUUCUCUCUUGCUGGGCUUGGAUAGCUGAGUAUUGUAAUAUAAAAUUCUUCUGACUUUGUAUGUAGCUCACUUGCAUGGGAGGUUUAUUCCAGCACACGUUGAACAUGAAGUAUAUCACAUACGGUGGGUGAUGAUAUCUCAUAACAAAAAGUAAGCCACAUGAACUUAUAGCUCACAAUUUACCAUUCCGUGAUGAAUCAAUUCUGAUUGGUAUAGACUUCUAAUUUUGUUAAUAAUAAACUUCAUUUUUAUCUGGAACAAAAACAUUGAUUCACGUUGCUACCUACAUGGCUACAUGUCAUGUUGAAUGCUGAAAAGAAUUCUAAAAAGAACAACAUGUAUCGAUUGGUUUCAGAAAAAAUGAUUUUGAAUUGUUUUUUAAAAGGCAUCCAUGUAUAUGGAUAGGGAAUUGGUAAGACAUGCCAUGCAAGACUUGAUUUUCCUGGCACAUACAUGAAACUUUAUCAGAUAAUAAAGAGAAUCUGUUUGUUGUCAUUUGGUAGGCAUAAGAGUUCAUUAUUUUGGUGUGCAAAUAAAAUUAACCUAGAUAUAUCACCUCUACUGGGUAUCUUAUUUUAACCUUAUUGUUUUACUACCGAACGGCCCGUGCGUUGCACCGGGAUAUAUAUUUUUAUAAUCUCCAAUGGCCAUGGCCGUAUUUUGCUGCAUCACCGAGAUACACUAGCACUCUCAUUUUCGUGAAUUCGUGAACAGUUUUUGAAAAUCAUGAACAAAAUAAACUCGUGAACAUAUCUGGAAUUGUGAACAUUUUUACAGAUUUUUGAACAUUUUAUAAAUUCAGGGAAAACAUUAAAUUCAUGAACAGUUUAUACUAUUUGCAAAUAUUUGAAAAAAAUGUUGAAUAGGCGAACAUUUCUAGAAUCGACGACCAUUUUUGGAAAUUGGUGGAACAAUUUUUUAAAUUCACGGACAUUUUUUGGUUUUAAAUUUUUUGAAUCAGUGAACAUUUUAUGAAUUAAUAAAAUAAUUUGUAAGUCACAAACAGUUUUUGAAUUUUAAGGAUAUUUCUCAAUUUCAUGAACUUUUUUUGAAUCGGCAAAAUAUUGUUCAAUUUCAUUAAAAAAAUUAAUACAAGAACUUUAAAUAAAAAUCAUGGACACUUUUUAUUUCCUGAACAUUUGUUUUCAAAAUUGUGAACAUUUCUAAAAAAAUCACAAACAUUUUAUGAAUCCGCAAAAAUUUAUUAAUAUUAAACUUUUAUUUCAAAAUUCUAUUUUUUAAUUUUCGGAACUAUUUUCAAGUCCCAAAUUAUUUUAAAGUAGAAAAAACGAGAAUUUAAAAACAAGUCGCCCGGACGUGAGCCGACUCAAACCGGCACGCUGUGUCGUCUCCCACGCAGAGCGCAGUAUAGAAUGUUCCUACUGCAUGGGCCGACCCAGGUGAGGAUUCCCGUGUGUGAAAUGUUUUCUUACCACUUAUAAGUGGCAUCGGUGGGUAAUAUUUUGCAACUUUGGGGGCAAUUUCGGUGAUGUACCGCAAGAAGCAAUAGCCCUCAUGUUGUGGUGGGCGCAUGACAGAUGCCACGGGAUGGCUAAAGAGAGGGAUAGGCAAGAGGCAACCGGUGGGCUCCAGAGGUGAGGUUGGUACGAGCGAGCUGAAGACGCAAGACGUACCCAGGUUCGGGGCUCUCCGAAAAGAUAACACCCCUAAUCUUGCCGAGCGUGGUUUGUAUGAAGAUGGUACAAGCUUGCUCCUAGAGUUGUUUUGGAGAGGAAGGAAGGCAGACCAGUGCAUAGGCUGCUCCUUCUCCGCGUGGUGGAUGUAUGUGUGUGGCUAAAGGAAUCGACUAGUGAUCGCGUGCCUGUCUCUGCAUGGAGGCUCCUUGGGGGGGGGGGGGUCUUAUAGGCCGACCCCCAGGGUUACAAUGGUAAUGUUACAUGAGUGCGGGGUAGGGGUGUUAGUGUCUUGGAGCCGGCAACGGGGCGCCGGGUUCGCCGGGUCCGUCGGGUGCGGGUUGUACCGGGCCUGCCGAGCGCGGGUACGGCCGGUUGCUGGGUACUGUAGGCAUGCCGGGUGGUUGUCAUGUGACUGCUGUGCCGUCUUGCUACAGGGUUGCGCCUCCAAGACGUCGCCCGCCCCAGGUGGGGGCUUGGUCGACACGGCAACCGCGCCCGCCGGGGCCGGUGUAAAGGGGGUGCACUGUAGCCAUGCAGGUUAGUCGGCGGAGGUUCGUCUUGCGGGGGACGGCCGGCAUGCGCCCGCCGGCCUGGCCGGGUUGCGCUGGGGAGCCGGCCAGGGUGCAAGCCGGACUGAGGGGCGAUGCUAGCCCCGAUGUUUUUGAAAAGGAUCCGGAUUCCAUUGCCUGCCUGGGGUCCAGCCCCGACAACUCCUAUUAUUAGGUGAGAUAUUGUGAGGUUAAUUAUCUAAAAGCCAUUAUCAAACUUUUUCUUUGUACAAUCAGAUUCUCUAGAAAAUAUGCGGAACUGCACACUCUGCAUGGCGCCUUCCAGCUCAACGUCUCCGGCUGAUUUCUUAGAUUUCCCAGCAAAUUCAUGGAGUCCACUUCAUGGGAGGGGGCGAGGAAGAGAGCAGACGAGGAAGCACGGGAUGAAGCAAGAAAAAAUUGUCACUGGGUCAACCAAUGCCCACUAUAGCACAGGCUAUGGCGUGACUCAUGCCGAUAGCAAUGUAAAGAGGAAAAUACAAAAAUUUAUGCCACUAUAACACAAUAGAAAUAACAUCCAAGGGCAACAUGAAGAGCGGAAAAUAUGCAAUGAGCCAAUGAUAAUAUGAUAUAGUUGGUAUCAUAGUAAUAAGAUUGUCAUACCAAGUACUCGUUCCGCGAAGUCAUAAAAUCAUUUGUUUACAUAUCCAAGAUAAAAUAUGCAAAAAAGAUCACUUCUAACAAUUUUAUUUUUAACGUCCUGAAAAGGAUGAACAAAAGAAAUAUAUUAUAUUCACAAAAAUGGUGUGUAAGAAAUAAUGUAGAGAAUAAAUAGCUUUAACAAAAAAAAGUUACAGUCAUGUGAGACUCACAUUUUAUAACUUGCCUUCUCACUCUCUCAUCUUCUUAAGUAGAUCAAUUACGGUGUUAUUUGUAUGGUAGUAAAUAUAUCUUUCUCCACAUAGCAAAUCAAGCAAUCACUCAUGAACUCGGCACACAUUUUGUUGCGUAGAACACUCUUCACAGUAUUCAUUGCUGAAAAGCAUCUCUCCACUGACGCCGUGGCAACCGACAAAAUUAGCAUUAAAAAUUGAUACACCAAAAGGAAAACAAGAUGCUUCUUAGUGUCCACCAACUUUUUAGCAAGGGAAAAAUGUUUUUGCCACUCUAGAUUUUGCCAAUUUUCCUUAUGCCACUUUAGAUUUUGACAUUUCACUUUUGCCACUCUUAAUUUUUGAAAUUAUCACAAUUGCCAUUUUGUGGCAAAAGCAAAAUAAUUUCAUUUUAUUUUUGCUACUCUUAGAUUUUGACAAUUAUCACAGUUGCCACUCUGAAAAUUUUGCUUUUGCCAUGGGAAUGGCAAUUGUGAUAAUUGUCAAAAACUAAAGGUGGCAAAAGUGAAAUGUCAAAAUCUGAGUGGCAUAAGGAAAAUUGGCAAAAUCUAGAGUGGCAAAAACAAAAUUUUCUCUUUUAGCAAGAUCCGCAAUGCCAUCCAAAUAGACAGAUCUUUGGUCCGCUCGGACAUUGUCAAUAUAAAUCCGAAGUUCAUGUCACUACUAGGAAAAAGCUUAGUAGCAGCGCGGGGUAAAGGACUAGUAGUAGCGCGGGUGCCCGUGCUACUACUAGGGCGUUACAGCUAAUUGGUAGUAGUAACGCGGGUGCUGAAGGAAAUAUACCCUAGAGGCAAUAAUAAAGUUAUUAUUUAUUUCCUCAUAUCAUGAUAAAUGUUUAUUAUUCAUGCUAGAAUUGUAUUAACCGGAAACAUGAUACAUGUGUGAAUACAUAGACAAACAUAUAGUCACUAGCAUGCCUCUACUUGACUAGCUCAUUAAUCAAAGAUGGUUAUGUUUCCUAACCAUAGACAUGUGUUGUCAUUUGAUUAAUGGGAUCACAUCAUUAGGAGAAUGAUGUGAUUGACAUGACCCAUUCCGUUAGCCUAGCACUUGAUCGUUUAGUAUAUUGCUAUUGCUUUCUUCAUGACUUAUACAUGUUCCUGUAACUAUGAGAUUAUGCAACUCCCGUUUACCGGAGGAACACUUUGGGUGCUACCAAACGUCACAACAUAAAUGAGUGAUUAUAAAGGAGUACUACAGGUGUAUCCAAAGGUACAUGUUGAGUUGGCGUAUUUCGAGAUUAGGUUUUGUCACUCCGAUUGUCGGAGAGGUAUCUCUGGGCCCUCUCGAUAAUGCACAUCACUAUAAGCCUUGCAAGCAAUAUGACCAAUGAGUUGGUUACAGGAUGAUGCAUUACGUAACGCGUAAAGAGACUUGCCGGUAACGAGAUUGAACUAGGUAUUGGAUACCGACGAUCAAAUCUCGGGCAAGUAACAUACCGAUGACAAAGGGAACAACGUAUGUUGUUAUGCGGUUUGACCGAUAAAGAUCUUCGUAGAAUAUGUAGGAACCAAUAUGGGCAUCCAGGUUCCGCUAUUGGUUAUUGACCGAGAAUAGUUCUAGGUCAUGUCUACAUAGUUCUCGAACCCGUAGGGUCCGCACGCUUAACGUUACGAUGACAGUUUUAUUAUGAGUUUAUAAGUUUUGAUGUACCGAAGUUUGUUCAGAGUCCCGGAUGUGAUCACGAACAUGACGAGGAGUCUCGAAAUGGUCGAGACAUAAAGAUUGAUAUAUUGGAUGACUAUAUUCGGACACCAGAAGUAUUCCGGACGUUUUCGGAGAAAACCGGAGUGCCGGAGGGUUACCGGAACCCCCCGGGGAGAGAUAAUGGGCCACAUGGGCCUUGGUGGAAAGAGAGAGGGGCGGCCAGGGUGGGCCGCGCGCCCUCUCUCCCUCUGCUCCGAAUUGGACUAGGAGGGGGGGGGGCGCCCCCCUCUUUCCUUCCCCCUCUCCCCCUUCCUUCCCCUCCUAGUAGGAGUAGGAAAGGGGGAGUCCUACUCCUACUAGGAGGAGGACUCCUCCUCCUUGGCGCCCACAAGGGCCGGUCGGCCUCCCCCCUUGCUCCUUUAUAUACAGGGGCAGGGGGGCACCCUAGAACACACUAGUUGAUCUACGGAUCGUUCCUUAGCCGUGUGCGGUGCCCCCCUCCACCAUAUUCCACCUCGGUCAUAUCGUCGCGGAGUUUAGGCGAAGCCCUGCGCCGGUAGAGCAUCAUCAUCAUCACCACACCGUCGUGCUGACGGAACUCAUCCCCGAAGCUUUGCUGGAUCGGAGCCUGGGGAUCGUCAUCGAGCUGAAUGUGUGCUGAACUCGGAGGUGCUGUACGUUCGGUACUUGGAUCGGUUGGAUCGUGAAGACGUACGACUACAUCAACCGCGUUGUCAUAACGCUUCUGCUUAUGGUCUACGAGGGUACAUGGACAACACUCUCCCCUCUCGUUGCUAUGCCAUCACCAUGAUCUUGCGUGUACGUAGGAUUUUUUUUGAAAUUACUACGUUCCCCAACAGUGGCAUCCGAGCCUAGGUUUUAUGCGUUGAUGUUAUAUGCACGAGUAGAACACAAGUGAGUUGUGGGCGAUACAAGUCAUACUGCUUACCAGCAUGUCAUACUUUGGUUCGGCGGUAUUGUGAGAUGAAGCGGCCCAGACCGACAUUACGCGUACGCUUACGCGAGACUGGUUUCACCGUUACGAGCACUUGUGCUUAAAGGUGGCUGGCGGGUGUCUGUCUCUCUCACUUUAGCUGAAUCGAGUGUGGCUACGCCCGGUCCUUGCGAAGGUUAAAACAUCACUAACUUGACGAACUAUCGUUGUGGUUUUGAUGCGUAGGUAAGAACGGUUCUUGCUAAGCCCGUAGCAGCCACGUAAAAUUUGCAACAACAAAGUAGAGGAUGUCUAACUUGUUUUUGCAUGGCAUGUUGUGAUGUGAUAUGGUCAAGACGUGAUGAUAUUUUAUUGUAUGAGAUGAUCAUGUUUUGUAACCAAAGUUAUCGGCAACUGGCAGGAGCCAUAUGGUUGUCGCUUUAUUGUAUGAAAUGCAAACGCCCUGUAAUUGCUUUACUUUAUCACUAAGUGGUAGCGAUAGUCGUAGAAGCAAUAGAUGGCGUAACGACAACGAUGCUACAAUGGAGAUCAAGGUGUCGCGCCGGUGACGAUGGUGAUCACGACGGUGCUUCGAAGAUGGAGAUCACAAGCACAAGAUGAUGAUGGCCAUAUCAUAUCACUUAUAUUGAUUGCAUGUGAUGUUUAUCCUUUAUGCAUCUUAUCUUGCUUUGAUUGACGGUAGCAUUUUAAGAUGAACUCUCACUAAUUAUCAAGAAGUGUUCUCCCUGAGUAUGCACCAUUGCGAAAGUUCUUCGUGCUGAGACACCACGUGAUGAUCGGGUGUGAUAGGCUCUAUGUUCAAAUACAACGGGUGCAAAACAGUUGCACACGCGGAAUACUCGGGUUAAACUUGACGAGCCUAGCAUAUACAGAUAUGGCCUUGGAACACGGAGACUGAAAGGUCGAGCGUGAAUCAUAUAGUAGAUAUGAUCAACAUAAUGAUGUUCACCAUUGAAACUACUCCAUCUCACGUGAUGAUCGGACAUGGUUUAGUUGAUUUGGAUCACGUGAUCACUUAGAUGACUAGAGAGAUGUCUGUCUAAGUGGGAGUUCUUAAGUAAUAUGAUUAAUUGAACUUAAAUUUAUCAUGAACUUAGUACCUGAUAGUAUUUUGCUUGUCUAUGUUUGUUGUAGAUAGAUGGCUCGUGUUGUUGUUCCGUUGAAUUUUAAUGCGUUCCUUGAGAAAGCAAAGUUGAAAGAUGAUGGUAGCAAUUACACGGACUGGGUCCGUAACCUGAGGAUUAUCCUCAUUGCUGCACAGAAGAAUUACGUCCUGGAAGCACCGCUGGGUGCCAUGCCUGCUGCUGAUGCAACUGAUGAAGUUAAGAACGUCUGGCAGAGCAAAGCUGAUGACUACUCGAUAGUUCAAUGUGCCAUGCUUUACGGCUUAGAACCGGGUCUUCAACGAUGUUUUGAACAUCAUGGGGCAUAUGAGAUGUUCCAGGAGUUGAAGUUAAUAUUUCAAGCAAAUGCCCGGACUGAGAGAUAUGAAGUCUCCAAUAAGUUCUAUAGCUGCAAGAUGGAAGAGAAUAGUUCUGUCAGUGAACACAUACUCAAAAUGUCUGGGUAUAAUAAUCAGUUGAUUCAACCGGGAGUUAAUCUUCCUGAUGAUAGUGUCAUUGACAGAAUUCUCCAAUCACUGCCACCAAGCUACAAGAGCUUCGUGAUGAACUAUAAUAUGCAAGGGAUGGACAAGACUAUUCCCGAGCUCUUCGCAAUGCUAAAAGCCGCGGAGGUAGAAAUCAAGAAGGAGCAUCAAGUGUUGAUGGUUAACAAGACCACCAGUUUCAAGAAAAAGGGCAAAGGGAAGAAGAAGGGGAACUUCAAGAAGAACAGCAAACAAGUUGCUGCUCAAGAGAAGAAACCCAAGUCUGGACCAAAGCCUGAAACUGAGUGCUUCUACUGCAAGCAGACUGGGCACUGGAAGCGGAACUGCCCCAAGUAUUUGGCGGAUAAGAAGGAUGGCAAAGUGAACAAAGGUAUAUGUGAUAUACAUGUUAUUGAUGUGUACCUUACUAAUGCUCGCAGUAGUACCUGGGUAUUUGAUACUGGUUCUGUUGCUAAUAUUUGCAACUCGAAACAGGGACUACGGAUUAAGCGAAGAUUGGCUAAGGACGAGGUGAUGAUGCGCGUGGGAAAUGGUUCCAAAGUCGAUGUGAUCGCGGUCGGCACGCUACCUCUACAUCUACCAUCGGGAUUAGUUUUAGACCUAAAUAAUUGUUAUUUGGUGCCAGCGUUAAGCAUGAACAUUAUAUCUGGAUCUUGUUUGAUGCGAGACGGUUAUUCAUUUAAAUCAGAGAAUAAUGGUUGUUCUAUUUAUAUGAGUAAUAUCUUCUAUGGUCAUGCACCCUUGAAGAGUGGUCUAUUUUUAUUGAAUCUCGAUAGUAGUGAUACACAUAUUCAUAGUGUUGAAACCAAAAGAUGCAGAGUUGAUAAUGAUAGUGCAACUUAUUUAUGGCACUGCCGUUUAGGUCAUAUCGGUGUAAAGCGCAUGAAGAAACUCCAUACUGAUGGGCUUUUGGAAUCACUUGAUUAUGAAUCACUUGGUACUUGCGAACCGUGCCUUAUGGGCAAGAUGACUAAAACGCCGUUCUCCGGAACUAUGGAGGGAGCAACUGAUUUGUUGGAAAUCAUACAUACUGAUGUUUGUGGGCCAAUGAAUGUUGAAGCUCACGACGGGUAUCGUUAUUUUCUCACCUUCACAGAUGACUUGAGCAGAUAUGGGUAUAUCUACUUGAUGAAACACAAGUCUGAAACAUUUGAAAAGUUCAAAGAAUUUCAGAGUGAAGUGGAAAAUCAUCAUAACAAGAAAAUAAAGUUUCUACGAUCUGAUCGUGGAGGAGAAUAUUUGAGUUACGAGUUUGGUUUACAUUUGAAACAAUGCAGAAUAGUUUCGCAACUCACGCCACCCGGAACACCACAACGAAAUGGUGUGUCCGAACGUCGUAAUCGUACUUUACUAGAUAUGGUGCGAUCUAUGAUGUCUCUUACUGAUUUACCGCUAUUGUUUUGGGGUUAUGCUUUAGAGACGGCCGCAUUCACGUUAAAUAGGGCACCAUCAAAAUCCAUUGAGACGACGCCUUAUGAACUGUGGUUUGGCAAGAAACCAAAGUUGUUGUUUCUUAAAGUUUGGGGCUGCGAUGCUUAUGUGAAGAAACUUCAACCAGGUAAGCUCGAACCUAAAUCGGAGAAAUGUGUCUUCAUAGGAUACCCAAAAGAGACCAUUGGGUACACCUUCUAUCACAGAUCUGAGGGCAAGAUUUUUGUUGCUAAAAUCGGAUCCUUUCUAGAGAAGGAGUUUCACUCGAAAUAAGUGAGUGGGAGGAAAGUAGAACUUGAUGAGAUAACUAUAUCUACUCCCUUGUUGGAAAGUAGUUCAUCACAAGAAUCGGUUCCUGUGACAACUACACCAAUUAGUGAGGAAGCUAAUGAUAUUGAUCAUGAAACUUCAGAUCAAGUUUCUACUGAACCUCGUAGGUCUACCAGAGUAAGAUCCGCACCAGAGUGGUACGGUAAUCCUAUUCUGGAAGUCAUGUUACUUGACCAUGAUGAACCUACGAACUAUGAGGAAGCGAUGAUGAGCCCAGAUUCCGUAAAAUGGCUAGAGGCCAUGAAAUCUGAGAUGGGAUCCAUGUAUGAGAACAAAGUAUGGACUUUGGUUGACUUGCGCGAUGAUCGGCAAGCCAUUGAGAAUAAAUGGAUCUUUAAGAAGAAGACUGACGCUGAUGGUAAUGUAACUGUCUAUAAAGCUCGACUUGUUGCGAAAGGUUUUCGACAAGUUCAAGGGGUUGACAACGAUGAGACUUUCUCACCCGUAGCGAUGCUUAAGUCUGUCCGAAUCAUGUUAGCUAUUGCUGCAUUUCAUGAUUAUGAAAUCUGGCAAAUGGAUGUCAAAACUGCAUUCUUGAAUGGAUUUCUGGAAGAAGAGUUGUAUAUGAUGCAGCCAGAAGGUUUUGUUGAUCCAAAAGGUGCUAACAAAGUGUGCAAGCUCUAGCGAUCCAUUUAUGGACUGGUGCAAGCAUCUCGGAGUUGGAAUAAACGCUUUGAUAGUGUGAUCAAAGCAUAUGGUUUUAUAUAGACUUUUGGAGAAGCCUGUAUUUACAAGAAAGUGAGUGGGAGCUCUGUAGCAUUUCUGAUAUUAUAUGUAGAUGACAUAUUAUUAAUUGGAAAUGAUAUAGAAUUUCUGGAUAGCAUAAAGGGAUACUUGAAUAAAAGUUUUUCAAUGAAAGAUCUAGGUGAAGCUGCUUACAUAUUGGGCAUCAAGAUCUAUAGAGAUAGAUCAAGACGCUUAAUAGGACUUUCACAAAGCACAUACCCUGAUAAAAUUUUGAAAAAGUUCAAAAUGGAUCAGGCAAAUAAAGGGUUCUUGCCCGUGCUUCAAGGUGUGAAGUUGAGUCAAACACAAUGCCCGACCACAGCAGAAGAUAGAGAAAAAAUGAAAGAUAUUCCCUAUGCUUCAGCCAUAGGCUCUAUCAUGUAUGCAAUGCUGUGUACCAGACCUGACGUAUGCUUAGCAAUAAGUUUGGCAGGGAGGUACCAAAGUAAUCCAGGAGUGGAUCACUGGACAGCGGUCAAGAACAUCCUGAAAUACCUGAAAAGGACUAAGGAUAUGUUUCUCAUAUAUGGAGGUGACAAAGAGCUAGUCGUAAAUGGUUACGUCGAUGCAAGCUUUGACACUGAUCUGGACGAUUCUAAAUCGCAAACCGGAUACGUGUUUUUAUUAAACGGUGGAGCUGUAAGUUGGUGCAGUUCUAAACAAAGCGUCGUGGCGGGAUCUACAUGUGAACUGAGUACAUAGCUGCUUCGGAAGCAGCAAAUGAAGGAGUCUAGAUGAAGGAGUUCAUUUCCGAUCUAGGUGUCAUACCUAGUGCAUCGGGACCAAUGAAGAUCUUCUGUGACAAUACUGGUGCAAUUGCUUUGGCAAAGGAAUCCAGAUUUCACAAGAGGACCAAGCACAUCAAGAGACGCUUCAAUUCCAUCCGGGACCAAGUCCAAGUGGGAGACAUAGAAAUUUGCAAGAUACAUAUGGAUCUGAAUGUUGCAGACCCAUUGACUAAGCCUCUCUCACGAGCAAAACAUUAUCAACACCAAGACUCCAUGGGUGUUAGAACCAUUACUAUGUAAUCUAGAUUAUUGACUCUAGUGCAAGUGGGAGACUGAAGUAAAUAUGCCCUAGAGGCAAAAAUAAAGUUAUUAUUUAUUUCCUCAUAUCAUGAUAAAUGUUUAUUAUUCAUGCUAGAAUUGUAUUAACCGGAAACAUGAUACAUGUGUGAAUACAUAGACAAACAUAUAGUCACUAGUAUGCCUCUACUUGACUAGCUCAUUAAUCAAAGAUGGUUAUGUUUCCUAACCAUAGACAUGUGUUGUCAUUUGAUUAAUGGGAUCACAUCAUUAGGAGAAUGAUGUGAUUGACAUGACCCAUUCCGUUAGCCUAGCACUUGAUCGUUUAGUAUAUUGCUAUUGCUUUCUUCAUGACUUAUACAUGUUCCUGUAACUAUGAGAUUAUGCAACUCCCGUUUACCGGAGGAACACUUUGGGUGCUACCAAACGUCCCAACGUAACUGGGUGAUUAUAAAGGAGUACUACAGGUGUCUCCAAAGGUACAUGUUGAGUUGGCGUAUUUUGAGAUUAGGUUUUGUCACUCCGAUUGUCGGAGAGGUAUCUCUGGGCCCUCUCGGUAAUGCACAUCACUAUAAGCCUUGCAAGCAAUGUGACCAAUGAGUUGGUUACAGGAUGAUGCAUUACGUAACGAGUAAAGAGACUUGCCGGUAACGAGAUUGAACUAGGUAUUGGAUACCGACGAUCAAAUCUCGGGCAAGUAACAUACCGAUGACAAAGGGAACAACGUAUGUUGUUAUGCAGUUUGACCGAUAAAGAUCUUUGUAGAAUAUGUAGGAACCAAUAUGGGCAUCCAGGUUCCGCUAUUGGUUAUUGACCGAGAAUAGUUCUAGGUCAUGUCUACAUAGUUCUCGAACCCGUAGGGUCCGCACGCUUAACGUUACAAUGACAGUUUUAUUAUGAGUUUAUAAGUUUUGAUGUACCGAAGUUUGUUCAGAGUCCCGGAUGUGAUCACGGACAUGACGAGGAGUCUCGAAAUGGUCGAGACAUAAAGAUUGAUAUAUUGGACGACUAUAUUCGGACACCAGAAGUGUUCCGGAUGUUUUCGGAGAAAACCGGAGUGCCGUAGGGUUACCGAAACCCCCCGGGGAGAGAUAAUGGGCCACAUGGGCCUUGGUGGAAAGAGAGAGGGGCGGCCAGGGUGGGCCGCGCCCCCCCUCUCCCUUUGGUCCGAAUUGGACUAGGAGGGGGGGGGGGUGGCGCCCCCCUCUUUCCUUCCCCCUCUCCCCCUUCCUUCCCCUCCUAGUAGGAGUAGGAAAGGGGGAGUCCUACUCCUACUAGGAGGAGGACUCCUCCUCCUUGGCGCGCCCACAAGGGCCGGCCGGCCUCCUCCCUUGCUCCUUUAUAUACAGGGGCAGGGGGGCACCCUAGAACACACAAGUUGAUCUACGGAUCGUUCCUUAGCCGUGUGCGGUGCCCCCCUCCACCAUAUUCCACCUCGGUCAUAUCAUCGCGGAGUUUAGGCGAAGCCCUGCGCUGGUAGAGCAUCAUCAUCGUCACCACGCCGUCGUGCUGACGGAACUCAUCCCCGAAACUUUGCUGGAUCGGAGCCCGGGGAUCGUCAUCGAGCUGAACGCGUGCUGAACUCGGAGGUGCCGUACGUUCGGUACUUGGAUCGGUCGGAUCGUGAAGACGUACGACUACAUCAACCGCGUUGUCAUAACGCUUCCGCUUACAGUCUACGAGGGUACGUGGACAACACUCUUCCCUCUUGUUGCUAUGCCAUCACCAUGAUCUUGCAUGUACGUAGGAAAUUUUUUGAAAUUACUACGUUCCCCAACAGGUGCCAUCCGCACUACUACUACAUCUAUUAGUAGUAGUGCCGGUGCUACCCGCACUACUACUAGUUAUCUGUAGCGUGGGUCUAGACCAUCGCUACUACUAACUAAUUAGGAAUAAAAAAAUCCAGCCAUGGUUGCUACUACUGGGCAUCAUCGUCCUCUUCAUCCAUGGCUGAUGCUGAUCCUAGAGGGGAUGAAGUCGUCCAUGGUGAUAGUGCUUCCCCAUCCAACUCUUCCCCACACCUCUCUAUCGGUGUCAAAACCGGCAGAUCUCGGGUAGGGGGUCCCAAGCUGCGUGUCCUAGGAUCGAUGGGUAACAGGAGACGUGAGACACGGUGUUGACCCAGGUUCGGGCCCUCUCUAAGAGGUAAAACCCUACUCAUGCUUGAUUAUAUUCAAUGUGUAUGAUUACAGAGUUGAUCUACCUCGAAAUCACAUGUUGUGGUCUAAAACCUAAGGGUAUGAUGAAUAAUGUCAUAAUCCUUCGACUAGCCUGGCGCUGGCUUAUAUAAUGUACCAGAGGCCUAGGAUAACAAGAGUCCUAAUCGAACACGUUGGUGGACAGGAGUCAUUGUCUUGAUCAUCAAGUCUUGUGGAAUCUUCCUCGUGUAUGCAUCGACGAACUGGUCCAUGAGUGAAUGUCCAUGGGGUCCUCGGCCCAAUCCCACUAAUCGGGAGACGACGUGGUGAGUACCCCUUAGUCCAGGACACCGUCAGUAGCCCCCUGAACCGGUCUUCAAGUUGGGGAUGCUCCUCGAUUCUUCCGAACUGUUCUUCUUCUUCGGUCAUCGGUCUUGAAAACUGGUUCAACAAAUCUUCUCAUCUUUGAUCUUAAGGAUCACCAAAGUGAAUCCGAAGAGCUUACACGUGGGUAUCCGAGGAGCCCCUUUAAGUUAUCGGCCUUUAUCAAUGCCUUGUUAUUUUUUACGCCACACCUUGGGUUCGAGGUGUUUCUCGUGCGGAAGUGUCCUCUUGCAUCCAAGCUCCAACGUUGGACUGCAUUUGAGGUAUCUUUUGCAGCCAAGCACCAACUCCGUACCGCUUCCAAGAUCCAACACCGGAAUGUAUCCGAGAUCCAACACCGGAAUGUAUCCGAGGUGUCAUAUAUUACCACGGUCUUGAAAAAUUUAAAAGGGUUCAAACGAGCUUAAUGCCGAAGAUGCCCUUUAUGGAGCCAGCCACUUGCAACCGAGCUUUAUGAUGGACUACUUCUGAGGUAUCUUUUGCAGUCGAGCACCAACGCCGGGCUGUAUCCAAGGUGGUGCACCACCUCGGCCAUUGGCUGAUUUUUAUGAAUUUAAUUCCGAUUUGUGCAAUGUAUUUUCUACCGAGAUGUAUAACAAGUAGCCCUCAAGGUGCGUGUUGGCCUAAUAUCCGGGAUGCACCUGAAGGAUAAAAUCAAACCCCUGACCCCAGUAGCCCCUGAGACUCAGGUCGAUUCGUGAAAUCGGCCCGAGGAUCAAUUCCCAGCUCAGCAGCAUACUUAGGAAUAGAAAUGUGGUGUAAUAUAUUAGAGGAAAUAGUGAUCGGUGAACGGGCUUUUGAGAGAGGGUCUUGAGAAGUUUCCGCAAUAUAUUAGCUUGAUGCCGGAUAGGUCCAGAUGGUACCUAUUGUUGUCCGAAGAUGCAUUUGCCCAUAGUUCGGUCAAGCGAAACACCGAGCACUUUGAAUUUUCUGCAUUGAAUAGGCAGUGCAGUAGCCCCCGAGACACUAGUCGGGUGGCUACUAGAUCAGGGCAUCGACGUGCCCCUUUAGUAUUUUUAAAUAAUAAGCGCUAAGCCCAAUAGCCCCCGAGCCUUAAUGUGGGCACGGGUGGCCAAAUUAAGGAUCGAUAUCCAGAGUAAAAUCACAAAUUAUGUGUAAUGAUUCUAUGUAUCCAAGUACUCUACAUCAUUAAUACUCGGAUCCGCAUUGUACAAAACUUUGUUGACCGACCAUCGGCUUCAACCUCCUCAGCCAGUAGCUGGGGAGUGUUUGUCCUACUUUAUAAAGCCGUUAUGAGGGCAAAGAUUUAUGACAAACAAGACAACCCGGCCAUACGAUUUUAUAAACAAAGGUAUGCAGAGAGAAUGUUAUAUUACUAUUUAAUGUAAGAAACAUCUUCCAAAGAAAAUAGUCCCGCUAUCGGUUCCUUUCUUUGGGUUGUCAUGCCGACCAUGAUCAUGAAACCUCACCUUCGAUAAAUGCGGGCGAAAAAUAUUGAGGAUUUAGUUUGGGGAAAGUUCCCGAACUAUGUGGUCUUUAGCGAACCUAAAUUUUCACUUUUGUCCUUGCCGACCAAUUAUAUCCUUUAAGAUUGCUAGCUUUUGGCUUCACACAGUCUGAGGUACUAACUCGGAUGACCCGGUAGUAACAAUCAUAGAGGUGCUCCCUUUACCGCCUAGCCGAACAAUCAGGAACGUAGGGGUAAGCACAGGAGCCAGGCAACCCAGCUUGGCCAAAAUCUUAAGUCAAAAUUGAUGCAUAUUUAUGGCUUUAUAACGAUGAUUACGGAAGGCAGCUCUUGUAUUAAAUACAAACGCCGAUGAUAUGUUUAUUUUGACUCCGUUGCGACCGUUUAUCAGUUGAAAGUGGCCCAUCGUCGGCUUCCACCCCCUUGUAGAUGCUAUGCAGGGUGUUUCCGUAAUAACAAAACAACCCUUAGCCGACGUCUCGGUACCCGAAGGCGGUUGUGUUAGCGGAAACGAGGCAAUCAGAUAUGCGGGCUUUAUAACUUUCACUUAGUCAUAGGAGCUUUAAACUAGGGAAGCUAGCUACGAGCCCCCGGUUAGUGUUCGACACCGACCGAAGUCUAGCCAUUAACACUAUGGCCAAUGUUAUGAAAGGCCCAUCGUUUAACACGGAGUAAUCGGUAUUGAUCUAUAGUUUGACACCGUCAUCGGAUCGCUGACCAGUUUACGCCCAUUGUGACAGUCAGUUUUCGGCUUUCUCCACUGAGGUGCUCAACCAUUCGAGCUGGAAGCACAACCGCAAUGGUUCUCCCUUUGUGCACCUAGCCGAACAAAGCGGAACAUAAGCGGCAAGCAUAGGAGCCGGGCAACCCAACUAUUGGCCGAAGACACAAUUCAGAACUGAUGCAUAUAAAGCAAUAUCUGAGAAUGUUUUGUUGAGGAGUCCAUGGAGUACCUUAGCUUUUGGUGGGUUAGGCUCUAGUCGCAGCCCCCGUUAAUAUUGCCAAUGCUUUAAAGGCGUAUGACAUUGCACUGCUCGGGUCAAACCUCAUAAGUGUGCUUCUAGCAAGAACCGUUCUUACCUACGCAUCAAAACCACAAUGAUUUUUCGUCAAGUGUGCUGUUUUAACCUUCAACAAGGACCGAGCUAGCCACACUCGAUUCAACUAAAGUUGGAGAAACAGACACUCACCAGCCACCUAUGUGCAAAGCACGUCGAUAGAACUAGUCUCGUGUAAGCGUACGCAUAAUGUCAAUCUGGGCCGCUUCAUCCAACAAUACCGCCGAAUCUAAGUAUGACAUGCUGGUAAGCAGUAUGACUAUUAUCACCCACAACACUUUGUGUUCUACUCGUUCAUAUAACAUCUACGCAUAAACCUGGCUCUGAUGCCACUGUUGGGGAAUGUACUAAUUUCAAAAAAAAUCCUAUGCACAUGCAAGAUCAUGGUGAUGCAUAGCAACGAGAGGGGAGAGUGUGUACCCUCGUAGACCGAAAGCGGAAGCGUUAUGACAACGCAAUUGAUGUAGUCGUACGUCUUCACGAUUCGACCGAUCUUAGCACCGAACGUACAACACCUCCGCGAUCAGCGCACGUUCAGCUUGGGGACGUCCCUCAUACUCUUGAUCCAGUUGAGGCCGAGGGAGAGUUUUGUCAGAACAAUGGUGUGGUGACGGUGAUGAUGAAGUUACCGGCGCAGGGCUUUGCUUAAGCACUACGAUGAUAUGACCGAGGUGUGUAACUGUGGAGGGGGCACCGCACACGGCUAAACAAUGUCAACUUGUGUGUUCUAGGGUGCCCCCUACCCUCGUAUAUAAAGGAGCAAUAGGGGAGGCCGGCCGGCCCUUGGGGCGUUCCAGGAGAGGAGGAGUCCUCCUUCUAGUAGGAGUAGGACUCCCCUUUCCUACUCCUACUAGGAGGGGGAAAGGAAGGAGGAGAGGGAGAAGGAGAGGGGGGCGCCGCCCCCCCUUCCCUAGUCCAAUUCGGACCAGAGGGGGAGGGGGCACGUGGCCUACCCUAGCCGGCCCUCUCUCUCUCCACUAAGGCCCAUGUGGCCCAUUAGUUCCCCCGGGGGGUUCUGGUAACCCUCCGACACUCCGGUUUUCUCCGAAAUCACCCGGAACACUUCCAGUGUCCGAAUAUAGCCGUUCAAUAUAUCAGUCUUUAUGUCUCGACCAUUUUGAGACUUCUCAUCAUGUCUGUGAUAACAUCCGGGACUCCAAACUAUCUUCAGUACAUCAAAACACAUAAAUCAUAAUACCAAUCGUCAUCGAACGUUAAGCGUGCGGACCCUACGGGUUCGAGAACUAUGUAGACAUGACCGAGACACGUCUCGUCAAUAACCAAUAGCGGAAACUAGAUGCUCAUAUUGGUUCCUACAUAUUCUACAAAGAUCUUUAUCGGUCAAACCGCAUAACAACAUAUGUUUUUCCCUUUGUCAUCAGUAUGUUACAUGCCCGAGAUUCAAUCAUCGGUAUCUCAAUACCUAGUUCAAUAUCGUUACUGCCAAGUCUCUUUACUCGUUCCGCAAUACUUCAUCCCGCAACUAACUCAUUAGUUGCAAUGCUUGCAAGGCUUAUAGUGAUGAGUAUUACCGAGAGGGCCCAGAGAUACCUCUCCAAAACAUGGAGUGACAAAUCCUAAUCUCGAUCUAUGCCAACCCAACAAACACCUUCGAAGACACCUGUAGAGCACCUUUAUAAUCACCCAUUUAUGUUGUGACGUUUGGUAGCACACAAAGUGUUCCCCCGAUAUUCGGGGGUUGCAUAAUCUCAUAGUCUGAGGAACUUGUAUAAGUCAUGAAGAAAGUAGUAGUAGUGAAACUAAUACGAUCAUAAUGCUAAGCUAACAGAUGGGUCAUGUCCAUCACAUGGUUCUCCUAAUGAUGUGAUCCCGUUCAUCAAAUGACAACACAUGUCUAUGGUUAGGAAACAUAACCAUCUUUGAUUAAUGAGCUAGUCAAGUAGAGGCAUACUAGGGACUAUAGUUUUUGUCUAUGUAUUCAGACAUGUACUAAGUUUUCGGUUAAUACAAUUCUAGCAUGAAUAAUAAACAUUUAUCAUGAAUUAAGGAAAUAAAUAAUAAAUUUAUUAUUGCCUCUAGGGCAUAUUUCCUUCAGAUUGACCACACACUCGAGUCGAGAAAGGAGUGGUAGAAAAAGACUUUGCAACAAAUUAGAAGAAAAACACUUAUUAUAAAACAGCUCAUAUAAAUUUAAGAGCCCCCAAUUAACAUGGGUAAGGAAUAUGGGUCAUCCUGAUCAUAAAAUUGCAGAAAUUUGGGAUCUGAAUUCGGUACCACCCUCAAGUUUCAUUUAUGAGAAGCUUAAUCGUUGUUCUGAGUGUGGGACCAGUGGUCAUCUUGCUAUUAACUGCCCAGGUGAGGACUGCAUGGCUUGCCUUGAACGUGUUUGCAUUUGUCAAACUCCUCCUCCUGUGGAUGCACACACGACACACACGAUAGACAAGUUGGGUUGUACUAUUUGUGGAUCAGUGGCCCACCCUUUCUUUGAUUGCCCAGCCCAUAUCAAAUGCCCACGGUGCAAUCUACUGGGCCAUUACAAAAGGAACUGCCAGGACCGCAGGGCCCUCCGUCUGUUUUGGAAACCUAAAGCCCACAAACAGCUCGAUUGUAUUCCCCAUCAGGAUAAUAUUCGCUUCAAGAAAAAUUGUCACGCUGGAAUACUAGGCUCGCAUCCAUAGUGGUUGUCUAAGGAACAAUCGGAUUUGUCGGAUACCACUUCUACUAUAUUUAUUCCUACCGUGGAUAACCAGGCAAUUUGUAGCAAAAAUAGAAAGAAUCUUGUCAAUUCUGGGUCUUCGCGCCAUCAGAUCAGUCAGCAUCAUAACAUUAAUUCACCUGCCACCUUACUAGCCUAUCACCGCAGAUGCACCUCCUCCAUCCGAUGCACUUUCUGCGGCCUUCUGGGACACGUGGAGUCAUCCUGCUCCCGCUUAUUCCAUUUCUAGAGAGGAAUCUGGGUCCCCAAAGGUAGGCGUGCUGCUGCCGAUUCGCAUUCUACUCUAUUACCCCCCUCUGCACUGCUCUCACUUCCUCCGCCGGCUACGACAAUGGCGAACUACCCUCUCAACGUCAUCCCCUACCUUCCUCAUGGCAUGAAAGUGUGUAGGACCUUGAAGUAAGUCUAGAGGGGGGGUGAUUAGACUACUUGACCAAUUAAAAACUUAAUCUUUUCCCAAUUUUAGAGUUUGGCAGAUUUUAGCUAUCUUAGGACAAGUCAAGCAAUCAUCACACAAUUCAAGCAAGCAUGCAAAGAGUAUAUAGGCAGCGGAAAUUAAAGCAUGCAACUUGCAAGAAAGUAAAGGGAAGGGUUUGGAGGAUUCAAACGCAAUUGGAGACACGGAUGUUUUUGGCGUGGUUCCGAUAGGUGGUGCUAUCGUACAUCCACGUUGAUGGAGACUUCAACCCACGAAGGGUAAUGGCUGUGCGAGUCCAUGGAGGGCUCCACCCACAAAGGGUCCACAAAGUAGCAACCUUGUCUAUCCCACCAUGGCCGUCGCCCACGAAGGACUUGCCUCACUAGCGGUAGAUCUUCACGAAGUAGGCGAUCUCCUUGCCCUUACAAACUCCUUGGUUCAACUCCACAAUCUUGUCGGAGGCUCCCAAGUGACACCUAGCCAAUCUAGGAGACACCACUCUCCAAGAAGUAACAAAUGGUGCGUUGAUGAUGAACUCCUUGCUCUUGUGCUUCAAAUGAUAGUCUCCCCAACACUCAACUCUCUCUCAUAGGAUUUGGAUCUGGUGGAAAGAUGAUUUGAGUGGAAAGCAACUUGGGGAAGGCUAGAGAUCAAGAUUCAUAUGGUAGGAAUGGAAUAUCUUGGCCUCAACACAUGAGUAGGUGGUUCUCUCUCAGAAAUGGUAAGUUGGAAGUGUAGGUUUAGUUUGAUGGCUCUCUCCACGAAUGAAGAGGAGGUGGAGGGGUAUAUAUAGCCUCCACACAAAAUCUAACCGUUACACACAAUUUACCAAACUCGGUGGGAUCGAGUAGUUAAACUCGGUCGGACCGAUUUAGUAAACCUAGUGACCGUUAGUGAUUUUCGGUGGGACUGGCAUGCAUCUCAGUGAGAUUGAUUUGGUUAGGGUUAGGGCAUAACGUAAUCUCGGUAAGACCGAUUACACAAACUCGGUGAGACCAAUUUUGGUAAUUAGCUAACCAGAGAGUUGGUCAGGUAAACUCGGUGGGACCGAUUUGCUCUUUUAGGUGAGACCGAAAUGUUACAAAAAGGAAACAGAGAGUUUACAUUGCAAUCUCGGUGGGACCGAUCGCUCACUUCGGUUAGAACGAAACGUUACGAAGGGAAACAGAGAGAUUGCAACCCCAUCUCGGUGAGAUCGAGAUCCCUAUCGGUAAGACCGAUUUGCUUAGGGUUUGUGGCAGUGGCUAUGACUUUGGAAUCGGUGGUGCCGGAUAGAAAGAAUCGGUGUGACCGAUUUUGGCUUUAGGUUUAGGUCAUUUGUGGAUGUGGGAAAGUAGUUGAGGGUUUUGGAGCAUAUCACUAAGCACAUGAAGCAAGAGGCUCAUUAAGCAACACCUCAUCCCUCCUUGAUAGUAUUGGCUUUUCCUAUAGACUCAAUGUGAUCUUGGAUCACUAAAAUGUAAAAUGAAGAGUCUUGAGCUUUUGAGCUUGAGCCAAUCCUUUGUCCUUAGUAUUUUGAGGGAUCCACUUUCAUCAUCCAUGGCAUGGCAUUCAUUGAGCUUUCCUGAAACAAUAGUCUUGGAAUAGCAUUAGCUCAAUGAGCUAUAUGUUGUUAUGAAUUACCAAAACCACCUAGGGAUAGUUGCACUUUCAAUCUCCCCCUUUUUGGUAAUUGAUGACAACAUAUAGAUCAAAGCUUCGACAAAUGAUAAUAAAAUUUAAAUUACAUCAUCGCUUUGAGAAGUAUGUGAUAAGCAAGAGCUCCCCCUAAAUUUGUGCAUAGUUUUAUAUUUGCUUUGGACUGCAAAUGCACAAUGAAUUAGGCUCAUGGGUUACUCUUCCAUGUCACAUACAUCUUGGUGGAGCGCUCAAAAUAAUAAACAAUGAAUACAUGCACUCGUCACCAAGCAUAGUGAGUGAUUACAUAAGAUAGAUAGGAUAAUAUCAACAAACAUGCAUAAGUGUAGCUUAUGAUCAAACACAUGAUCAUCAAUGUCUCACAAGCAUAGUAUCUCAACCAAAAGCAAACAAAGAUUGAAAAACCACUAAAUAAAGCAAGAGAGAACAAAAGCAACACUCUCUCUCUCGAAGCCUAUGAUCUAUAAAUUUUUCUCCCCCUUUGGCAACAAGUUACCAAAAAGUUCAUAGAAAUGCAUAGUGCUAGAUCGACUCUCAGGCUUGAUCUUCUGGUGGUGGUGUCCUGAUAACUCCGAGGACGAAGGCUUCAGUUGAUGUAGAGGGUGCUGGAGUUGAUGCUGAAGCUGGUUGCACUCGAGCUGAAGGGGCAGUAGCUGGUACUGAAGAUGUUUCUCUAGUGUCUGUCACUAGCACUGCAACUGACCUCUAGGCUCUGGGCACUCUGGCAAACACAUUGGUGGUAGUCUUGCCCUUCCUCUCCUGCAUGUCAUCCUGCAGCUGCUCCACAACUGACUGAAUCUCAGUUACCUUGACAUCUAGAUCAUAGAAUUUUUGUUCCACGAUUCUUUCCAGGCUCUCCUGGUUUUGAGUUAGGGUGGCCAACCCCUUCUCAGUCCUCAGAGAUGAUGCUAUCAAGUAACCAAGCUGCUCCUGUUUGGUUUUCAAGAAAUAUUUAGAUGCCUCCUCUUGAGUUGGCAUCUUGGCAGCCUUCUCCUUCCUUGCCUUCUCCUUCUUCUCCUGAGCUUGAACUGAUGAUGGAUCAUCUUCAUUCAUGACAACCUCAUUGUCCUCAAAGUCUGGAUAAAGUGGAAAGUGUUCCUUAUCCAACUGAUAUUUCUCUGUGCCCAUCUUUGAGUUUAUCAAUUCUUGAAUCUGAGGUGCAUAUCCACAGCUCCUCUUCUGAUCUGCUGCAGUCCUCUUGAUUGUUUCAAUGAUCAGGCUCAUGACUUUGAACUUCUGUGGCACAUCAAACACAUGCAAGAUGUUGAUGGCAUGCCCUCUGAUCAUGUUGUGGUCACCUGACUUGGGCAACAAAGUGUGCCUCAGAAUCCAAUUUAUGGUAGGCAGCCCUGACAGCAGAAAGUGAACUAAUCCAAAAGUGAAAGUCUCUAGGGCUUUGUCUGGUAUCUCCUUGUACAUGUGUGCCAUGGUAUUGUGUCCCAUUUUCUUCUUGGCAUAUACAUCCAGAUCAUCAUCAUUUUCCUUUGGGGCAUUUAUCAGUUUUGCCCAUUCUUCUACAGUGGAUUGGUACCUUGUACCUUCAGACAUCCAAACAAUUCUUCCAUCUGGGUAAAAAUGUGAUGUGGAGUAGAAUUGCAUGACAAGUUCAUAAUUCCAAUUUGUGAGCUUUUGCCCAACAAAAUUUGCAACUCCACAAGCAACAAAGCUGUCUUGCACUCCAGGAUAGUGCUGUUUAUUUUCCUUGAUGAAUUUCCAGUUAACCCACCUCAUAUCACAAACUAUGGGCUUCUUGUCCAAUAAGAUUGUCUCAUAGAAGUCCUGCUGUUCCUUUGUAUGGAACCAGUAGUCAACAACAGUUCUUUUCCUUGUGGCAUAUGGAUCUGCCAUCCUCCAUAGUCUCAGCCCUGAAUCCUUCCUGAUUCUCAUGUCCUCAGCCAUAGGAUGGGCAUCAUUGUGAUCUGGUAUCUUUGGCUUGAGCUUCCUUAGAACCUAUCCUUCUUCAUCUUCCUCCUCAGCAACCUCAGGCACUGGGACCUUGUUCUUCUCAGCAGCUGGAAUACUCCUGGUAUUCCUCUUUGGUGCAGACUUGGCCUUGGGGGCAGCUUUGGGUGCUUCCUUGGGCUUUGAUGUUGCAGCCCCAGAUUUGAUAGCAUCACCCAUAAGCUUUGGUGCCUUUGGUGCUGGUGCAACAAGCUCUUCCUCUUCCAUCAUGGAAGGUUGCCCAACAACUCUGGCCAUGGUCUUCUUGACCCUUUCCUUCCUCUUCUUGCUUUCUUCAGCUGGCUCUUUGGGAUCAGGAUUUACAGGUAGUUGAGUUGAUGCUCUGGCCUUGGGCAUAGGUUGCCUUCUUGCAGGCCUUUUAAUCUUCAUGCCUGGCUUUAUAUCCUUUGCUGAGCCAUAUUCCUUCUUGAGCACCACUUUCUUGGAAGUAGCCUCAUCUUCCUCAGCCUUGUAAUCUUCAUCCUCUGAAUCUGAAGUUCUUUUCCUCCUUUGCCUAGUUGCAGCCUUAGGCAAAUUGCUAGGAGUACUUCUGCUCCCUUCAUCUGAAGUACUGGAGGGACUAGUGCCCUCACUCAAGUCCAUCUGCUCUUCUGCCCUGUUCUGGCUGUCACUUUGAUAAGACAUACUGCAAAAGCUGACUGCUGACACUGUGAAGAGUUAUAGAUGAGCUAGAAAAGAUGAGCAUCACAAAAUGCAGAGGUUUUUGCAAAAGAAUGACUCAAAAGUUCAGUCUUAGUUUUCCACAGAAAGCAUUUCGGAUCCACCGAUUUUCAAACUCGGUGAUACCGAAGCAGUUUUGGAACCUAAACUGAUGAUCUCGGUUGGAUCGAGUUUCAGUUCGGUGGUACCGAGACUGCUAGGGUUUCACUGAAUCCUCAAAUCGGUUGCACCGAUUAGUAAUUCUUGGUCAGACCAAGAGUCACUAGUGCAAUGGCAUAAGCCAAGUCAGUGAGACCGAGUUUUUCAACUCGGUGGGUCCGAGAUGGUUUCGGCGGAAACCUAACCCUAAAAAUUUGAAUCACAUCUAAUCUAUGAACUACUUUGGCUAGAUAGAAGAGUUCCAAUCGUGGCAAGAAUCAAUAUGAAGACAAUGUGCUAGGAAUCAGACGUGGAUAGCAAAAAGAUUAAGUCCAUACCCUAACUUGGCGGUGGACUUGCUACGACGGCAACGGCGGGGACGAAAUCCAUUGACGAUGGCGGAGACCAGCGACAGGAGGCUGCUGGCGACGAGGAGACGAUCCGGAGACCACAAUGGCAGAGCGAGUUGUUGCGCGGGCGAAGGGUUUCGGAGAAAUUUCCAAAAUUUUGCCCGUGGCUAUAUAUAGCCUGACCCUAUCGGUGUGACCGAGUGGAACAACUCGGUGGCACCGAGAUGCAUAACUGUGUUCAGUUACAGCAAAUUGGUGAGACCGGAAAGUUCAAAUCGGUUGCACCGAGAUUGAAAACUCAUAUCAACUUGAUGAUCUCGAUAGGACCGAAAUGGAAGAAUCGGUCAGACCGAGAAUCACAAAGAGGUUUUGGAAGUUUAAGUCUAUGACGAAUCGGGGACUUCGAGUGCUCCUCACACAGAGUGGUUCGAAUCUGACUUGAUCAAAUUUUGUGAUGUGGCAUGAAUAGAGUUUAAGACGAGAAAAGCAUAGAUAGCUAAAGAAGGUUCUUAGGCAUUCUUGUCCAUCCACUUGGCACUAAGAAAAGAAUCCAAAGAAACAAAACAACAAGUGGAUGUCCUUGAAUGAGUAAAAUAUGCACCAACAUGCUCACACAAUAAAAUGGCAAAUGAAAUAUGUGGCAAAGCAUGCACAACCAAUUCUAGCAUCUAUCAAACAAUUGGCGAUGACUAGGUCAUCUAUAUAUGAGUAUAUUGACUUAGGAGUCAAAUGAGAACAUUUGAUCAUAGGUCAUACUCAUCGUUUAAGCUCAAGUGGGGUUACCACUUUUACAUAAUGCAUUAAUGUGUUCACACCAUUAGAGUUGCUUUGACUCAAUUCUUUGAGUUAAGCUCCCCCUAGAUGUGAGAUCCCCCCUUAGAGGGAUGAACUAACCUUGGGUUUUGUCGAUGAUGACUUCAUGUAGGUGUUGAAGAUGUAGAUGCUCAAUGUUGAUGUAGAUCAUUUGGAGCAAUCCUUUGGAGUGAGUUGCACUUUCAACUUGCCUACAUGGGUUAGUCCCACAAGGAACAAACAAGAAUAUCCAUAGACAUAGAGUGAUGCACACACAAGAUGAUGUCCAUGAAAACAUUAGGUUACCUUGUCCCUUGCCUUACCAACAAGAGGGUUUGUGACUCCUUGAACUAGUGCAAGAUGUGAAAGUUGAUUGCACUUGUUCUUGCCAAAAUGAUAUGAGUGAAGAAUGUUGGCAGAGUCACCCUCAAGAACUCUCUAGUUCUUCUUCUUCGGGAUCGACAUCAUCUUGAUGGGAAUCCUUGGAGUUGUAGUUGUACUUGACGAAGUAGAACUUGACGUAGUCUUGGGGACCCAACUGAACGAGGCUUUAGGUGCUUCUUCAAAUGCAUCAAUCUCUUCUUGAAGCUUGUCCUUGCCAUUGUUCUUGUGGUCUUGUGGUGGAAGAUAAUCUUGAGCUUGUGUCCCCUUGAAGGAAGUAGGAUCAUACUUCUCUUGUUGAGGAACAAACUUUGUCUUGGGGUAUUGAUCUUCUUCCCACUCAACUCCAUUGGCGUUGAACUUUCGUUCAAAACCAACACCUUGAUUCUUCUGGUGCCUUCCUUGCUUGCAUACAAUUUCCUCGAAUUGCUUACUCCCGGCAAGGCUCUUGUAAACACCUUUCUCUAUAAUUCCCUUCAAUAAACUAUUUUCUUGCUCAAGUGUAACUUGGCUCAGAGAAUCAUUAGUGGAAUCAAGAGAACUACUAGAAGCAACAACAUUGGAUUUAACAUUAUUAUUGUUACUACUAGAGGAAGUAUCUUCCUUGUACUUGUUACUAGACUUGACUUGAGGCAUGUAAGUAGAUAAGAGUAAACGCUUGGCAAUGUAAGAAGAACUUUUCUUGCGGAGAUCAUCAUUGAUUGCCUUUAAGAACUCAUGCUCUUGCUCAAGAUUGAGCUUUUCAAAGCAUAACUUCUCAUGAGCCCUUAUAAGUUCUCGAUGAUCUUCGAAGAUAGUUUCAUGAGCCAACUUAAGAGUGUUUAGUUCUUUAGUUAGAAGCUAAAUUUUCUCCUUAUCAUUGUCAUUCGUUUGAUUAGCAUGAUUAAUUGAAGUUUCAUCAUAGUAUUCAUCACUAGAGUUGUCAACAAGUAAAUCAUCAUCCACAAGCAAGUCAUCUUCAUCACUAUUAAAAUCAUCAUACUCAGGAUGUGUUACCUUUGGACCUUUGGCCAUGAAGCAUCUUCCAAUUACUUCAUUUGGUGAGUCAAAUAUGUCGUAGGAGUUGGUUGACACAAGUGCUAGACCGGCAACACCUUCAUCUUGAGUAUAUUCGGAGUCGGAGUGAUAGCUUCUCUCGGAGUGAUGGUCGGAGUCGGAACCGGAUACCCAUUCACCAACAUGAGCUUGAUGUCUUCGUUUUGUGUAGCUCCUUGAUGAAUUGUCCUUCCUUUCCUAAUCCUUGCUUCUCCGUGAGGGUCUUCGUUCAUAACGAUCAUCUCUACUCCUCCUCUCUCUUCAUGGUGAUUCUUCUCUUUUGCUUCUUCUUUUUGGAGAAUCUUCUCUUCUUUUGUAGGGUGCCGUACACUCAUUGGAGUAGUGUCCGGGCUUCCCACAAUUCUAGCAAUUGCGCUCUCGACUAGAAGAUCUCUUGUCAUGAUACGACCUUGACUUGGAGCUUCUUUCUUUGCUUCUACUCUUGUAGAAUUUGUUGAAGUUCUUCACCAUUAAGCUCAAUUCUUCAUUGAAGGUUUGUUUCUCACUUAAUGAUGUGCGGGCUUAACUUGAGGCUUUGUAAGCACCACUUGACUUGUUGUGAAGUUCCUCCUUAUCCUUGAGUGACAUCUCAUGAGCAACAAUCCUUCCAAUGACUUCCGUUGGCUUGAGAUUUUUGUAGUUUGGCAUCAUUUGGAUCAAUGUGCACACGGUAUCAUACUUUCCAUCCAAUGCUCUUAGGAUCUUUUUGAUGAUGAAUCUGUCGAUCAUCUCUUCACUCCCUAAGCCGGCAAUCUCAUUUGUGAUAAGUGCAAGCCUAGAGUACAUUUCAGCGACACCUUCACCAUCCUUCAUUUUGAACUUGUCAAGCUGACUUUGGAGCACAUCCAACUUGGAUUCCUUGACGGACUUGGUACCUUCGUGCAUAUCAAUCAAAGUAUCCCAAAUUUCCUUUGCAUUCUCAAGAUGGCUGAUUUUAUUGAACUCUUCGGGGCACGAUCCGUUGAAGAUGAUAUCACAAGCUUGAGCGUUGUAUUGCAGCAUCUUCAAUUCUUCCGCAUUUGCUUCACGGUUUGGUUCUCUCCCAUCAAAGAAUUCACCUUGUAAGCCAAUACAAAUAAUUGCCCAAACGUCGGGGUUAUGUCCGAGAAUAUGCAUUUUCAUCUUAUGCUUCCAACUAGCAAAAUUAGUACCAUCAAAGUAAGGACCUCUACGGUGAUAAUUUCCCUCGCUAGACGCCAUACUCUCCUAGGUUGUGAAACCAAGGCUAUGACCACCAAAAGCUAUGGAAAUCAAAGCAAAUGGAGACCAAAGCUCUGAUACCACUUGUAGGACCUUGAAGUAAGUCUAGAGGGGGGGUGAUUAGACUACUUGACCAAUUAAAAACUUAAUCUUUUCCCAAUUUUAGAGUUUGGCAGAUUUUAGCUAUCUUAGGACAAGUCAAGCAAUCAUCACACAAUUCAAGCAAGCAUGCAAAGAGUAUAUAGGCAGCGGAAAUUAAAGCAUGCAACUUGCAAGAAAGUAAAGGGAAGGGUUUGGAGGAUUCAAACGCAAUUGGAGACACGGAUGUUUUUGGCGUGGUUUCGAUAGGUGGUGCUAUCGUACAUCCACGCUGAUGGAGACUUCAACCCACGAAGGGUAACGGCUGCGUGAGUCCAUGGAGGGCUCCACCCACGAAGGGUCCACGAAGUAGCAACCUUGUCUAUCCCACCAUGGCCGUCGCCCACGAAGGACUUGCCUCACUAGUGGUAGAUCUUCACGAAGUAGGCGAUCUCCUUGCCCUUACAAACUCCUUGGUUCAACUCCACAAUCUUGUCGGAGGCUCCCAAGUGUCACCUAGCCAAUCUAGGAGACACCACUCUCCAAGAAGUAACAAAUGGUGCAUUGAUGAUGAACUCCUUGCUCUUGUGCUUCAAAUGAUAGUCUCCCCAACACUCAACUCUCUCUCAUAGGAUUUGGAUCUGGUGGAAAGAUGAUUUGAGUGGAAAGCAACUUGGGGAAGGCUAGAGAUCAAGAUUCAUAUGGUAGGAAUGGAAUAUCUUGGCCUCAACACAUGAGUAGGUGGUUCUCUCUCAGAAAUGGUAAUUGGAAGUGUAGGUUUAGUCUGAUGGCUCUCUCCACGAAUGAAGAGGAGGUGGAGAGGUAUAUAUAGCCUCCACACAAAAUCUAACCAUUACACACAAUUUACCAAACUCGGUGGGACCGAAUAGUUAAACUCGCUCGGACCGAUUUAGUAAACCUAGUGACCGUUAGUGAUUUUCGGUGGGACUGACAUGCAUCUCGGUGAGAUCGAUUCGGUUAGGGUUAGGGCAUAACGUAAUCUCGGUAAGACCGAUUACACAAACUCGGUGAGACCGAUUUUGGUAAUUAGCUAACCAGAGAGUUGGUCAGGUAAACUCGGUGGGACCGAUUUGCUCUUUUCGGUGAAACCAAAAUGUUACAAAAAGGAAACAGAGAGUUUACAUUGCAAUCUCGGUGGGACCGAUCGCUCACUUCGGUUAGACCAAAAUGUUACGAAGCGAAACAAAGAGAUUGCAACCCCAUCUCGGUGAGACCGAGAUCCCUAUCGGUAAGACCGAUUUGCUUAGGGUUUGUGGUAGUGGCUAUGACUUUGGAAUCGGUGGCGCCGGAUAGAAAGAAUCGGUGUGACAGAUUUUGGCUUUAGGUUUAUGUCAUUUGUGGAUGUGGGAAAGUAGUUGAGGGUUUUGGAGCAUAUCACUAAGCACAUGAAGCAAGAGGCACAUUAGGCAACACCUCAUCCCUCCUUGAUAGUAUUGGCUUUUCCUAUAGACUCAAUGUGAUCUUGGAUCACUAAAAUGUAAAAUGAAGAGUCUUGAGCUUUUGAGCUUGAGCCAAUCCUUUGUCCUUAGUAUUUUGAGGGAUCCACUUUCAUCAUCCAUGCCAUGCCAUUCAUUGAGCUUUCCUGAAACAAUAGUCUUGGAAUAGCAUUAGCUCAAUGAGCUAUAUGUUGUUAUGAAUUACCAAAACCACCUAGGGAUAGUUGCACUUUCAAAGUGGAGCUCAGUCCGGCGGACCGCAUGGUUCGCACUGAUAUGGUGGUGAACCCAGUGCCUCCUCUCCAGCAUGAUUUCUUGGCGUUCGCAGAGGCGAACAGAUUCGUUCCACACCAUUACAAGGCAUAGCUGCUUCACAUUAUGGAAGGUUUGCUCCAUGAGUCUCAUUUCUUUCCUACUAAAGUUGAUGACCAUCCACUUGGAAUAGGCAUAUUUGGCUUUGUGGAUUCAUUUGCUAGAGAUACUGUUGUUGGCACCACCUUUGAGUUAGAUGAGGACAAAGUUGAAGAGCACACCAUAAUCUCGUUUGUACCUCAUGAUGCUGCUCUCAACAUGAGACAAACCUCUUUUGGGCCUGAGAUCUGGAUUUUGUAUGUUGAUUUCCCUAUGACUAUCAGACGCAACACUACAUACAUAAAUAUUUUGAUAGUUUUGGCAAUUUAGUUGAUUGGAAUAAUCCCAAAGGUGGACGCAAGUUUGUUUUGAUCAAAGUUAGAGUCAUCAGCUUACUCCUGGUUCCUAAGAGCAUUGUGAUGAGGCAUCUGGGUGGCCCUCGACACUGUUGGACUGUGGCUGUUAUGAUGCUUUGAAGUAGUGACUGGAACGCACAUCUCACGUAAGUUUCACCAGCUGGGGAAGAUCCACCACCUGCAGACGGCAUUCCUCACCCGCUCCAUGGCCCAGGUCUGAAUGCAAAGCAGAUUUAUCAGCAGCAGCUGCAUAACUGGAUGGCUCAAAAUGUUGCAGCUAAUGCGACCAACCAUGCCAAUGACGAUGUUGUAGUUGAUCAGGAGGUGGGAAUUCAGUUUCAACCUGUUUGGGGUGAGUGGCCUCCAUCUCCACCCCAUACCCCCAUGCUAUGUACAACUUUCAAGAAUGGCUGGCUUCUAAGGGCUUACAGGUGCAUCAUGGUAUUCUCCCCCCUAAUAAUCUGCUUGACAGCCCAGGAAUGGCCUGGAACGACUCAAUUUCUGCUCAAGAUAGCUCACCUUUGAGCGAUACUAUCUCUGACACCUAUGUUCUGGUCCCAGUGAACAUCCUCAAUCAAUUGUGGCAGGCUGGUAACAUUGUUUCUGCUGCACCGCCAGUUACUCCGGUCAAUGCUGUGGACAUCUCAAUUGUGAUUUCAAGCAGUGGGAUGCACUUGGAAGUUUCCUCUCAAGGUAACAUGAUCCCCACUCUGCUUCUGAAUCAGUGCAUUCCAAUGCUCAGGUUGAAUACUUUCCUCAAGGCUGCUAUCAUGCCAAUUGUAGCCUCCUAUGGGCCCUGGAGCUCGGGUUAUGGAUCAGAAACCACUUGGUUCAGUUUCAGAUCACACUUUCAGAAAGAGAUGGAGUUUUCACAGUUGACUCUGCUACCCAAACUAUCACUCAAAGCACUGAUUCAGUCUCUUUGAGCAUUAUGUCUCAUUUCCUACCGUUUAACAUUACUGAUAUUGGCACUGCUCCGCUACCGAUUGCUUGUCAUAAUAGUCAGUCUGGCGAUCAACUUGUUCAGGGACCUCCUUUGCCUUCUAGUGCUCCUUUGAACACUUUGGACUAGAUUUUAUUGAUGGACCCAGCCCCAGGCAAUGUAAACAGGGAUCUGGCUUCCAACUCUCGCCGUAAGGGUAAAGCUGUUGUCCAUGGAUCCUCUCUGCGGCUGCGCAGGAGCUCACGGAAAUAAGUAUGAUGGCUUUCGUGUUCCACCAGUGUCUGACAGCAAGCCAAAACUGUCUAAAGUCAAGCCCAGAAAGGUGCCUUUUGCUCAAUCUUCGAUCUCGAUUACUGAACUUGCUGAUGAUCAUGCAGAGACACAAGAUGAGAUUCCUCCUCCAACUCCGAUCCCGGUGAUUCAGAUGAUUGGCACCAAUAUUGUGGGAUCCCAGCUGCUGAGCUCUCUGAAGAUGCACUGAUGGCUGGCUCAACUGAGACUGCUUCUCUGGAGCAGUAAUUACUUUCUCUACUUCUUUUGCAAUGCCUCUUUUGGUUAAUUGGAACGUUCUCUGUUGGAAUGUCCGCGGCCUAAAUUCGAAUGAUAAACAAUUAGCGCUCUCUAAUGCGAUCACCUCUAGCGGGUGUGCGGUUAUCUGUUUGCAAGAAACAAAAAAACCCUCCUUCGACCUAUCGUUUAUUAAAUCUUGUUAUCCUCGUAACUUUGAUCAAUUCGCAUAUAUUCCGUCUAGAGGGGCUUAGGGAGGAAUCAUUACAAUCUGGAACAGCUCCCUGUUCACGGCUAAUGUUAUUGCUACUGAGGAAUUUGCACUAGUGACACGAUUCAAAUCAACUCAGUCCGUGCAAUUUUGGGCGCUAGUUAACGUGUAUGGGCCUUGCCAAGGUGAACAACGCACUAAUUUUGUUAACUAGUUUUUUCCCUUGGUAUCCCACCUAAUGAAGAUUGGUUAUUUGUUGGGGACUUUAACUUCAUCAGAGGACCGGAAAACAGAAAUAAACCUGGUGGAAAUUUUUCUGAUAUGAACAUUUUCAAUGAUUUCAUUCGGUCCCAAAGUUUGAUUGAACUACCUAUCAAAGGUUGCACAUAUACUUGGAGCAACAUGUAGUUGGAUCCACUUCUUGAACAAAUUGAUUGGUUUUUUACCACCAAUAACUGGACCUCAUCAUACCCUAACACCACGAUAAAACCUCUGGCAAAACCGGUUUCAAACCAUACUCCGUGCAUUGUGAAUAUUGAAACGGCAAUCCCCAGGUCAAAACUGUUCAGAUUUGAAUCUGACCCAUCACCCUGGUUUCUUUGAUUUGGUGCAAAACUCUUGUGCAAAACCAGUCAAUACUAGAAACUGUGCAACGACCCUAGCCAGGAAAUUCAAAACCCUUCGCCAUGAACUCAAACGUUGGAGCAAGAAUAUUUCCAAACUUGCGGUUGCCAUUGAAAAUUCAAACAGAGCCCUUAAUGAGUUGGACGGCCUUGAGAACAAAAGAUCUCUUUCAACACCUGAGAGGAACUUUCGAGCUAUCCUCAAAACCCAUUUAAUACGGCUAUUAUAUUACCAAAAACUAUACUGGAAGAAGAGAUGCACAAUUCGAUGGAUUAAAUUUGGGGAUGAGAACUCUAAGUUUUUUUCAAGCCAUGGCUUCUUAAAGAUAUAGAAGGAACAAUAUAGCUUCUCUUGCCACUACAGAUGGAACUAUUGUGGAGGAUCACACUAGAAAAGAGUCCAUUAUAUUUCAAGCAUUUAGGGACAGGCUUGGUACCUCUACACAUCAUGAUAUGAAAUUUGACUUGUCAAGGAUUAUUAAGAGAUGUGCUGGGUCCCCUUCUCAAGAGAAGAAAUUGAUGGGGUGAUCAACUCCAUGCCUGCGGAUAGAGCACCUGGUCCCGAUGGAUUUACUGGAGUUUUCCUUAAAACUUGUUGGCCCAUCAUUAAGGAGGAUUUCUACAAACUUUGUGACCAAUUCUUUGAAGGCAAUCUUAACCUGGAAAGCAUAAAUGAAGGGUAUAUCACGUUGAUCCCAAAAAUAAACUCCCCAACCACAGUGAAUGACUUCAGACCGAUCACGUUGCUCAACUGUUGUCUCAAGGUAAUCACCAAAAUCCUUGCCAACCGUCUCCAAAAAAUCAUCUUGAAGGUAGUUCAUCGAAAUCAAUACGGAUUCAUCAAGGGGAGAUCGAUUCAAGAUUGUCUCGUGUGGGCAUUUGAAUAUAUUUACCAGUGCCAGGCAUCCAAAAAAGAAAUAAUUCUUCUAAAAUUAGACUUCGCUAAAGCCUUUGACACCAUAGAUCAUGAAGCGAUGUUGGCAAUCAUGGAAAGUAUGGGAUUCAAUACCAAAUGGCUAAACUGGGUAAAAUGCAUUUUUUUCCUCGAGCAAAUCAUCUGUCCUUCUCAAUGGGACCCUAGGGAGACAAUUUCAUUGCAAGCAAGGGGUACGAUAAGGGGACCUGCUCUCCCCUCUCAUCUUCAUUCUCGCAGCAGACUUACUUCAAGCAGCCAUAAAUGAUGCUUUUAGGCAAGGACACAUUCAACUCCCAUUCCCAUGUCUGACACAAAAGGACUACCCAGUCAUUCAGUAUGCUGACAACACAAUCCUCGUACUCCCGGCAUGCCCACUCCAAGCAACACGUGUCAAAAACAUUCUAGCUGACUAUGCUUCCUCCAUUGGUCUAAAAAUCAACUUUCAUAAGUCCACGGUGGUUCCUAUAAAUUGUGAGAUGACCAAAUGCCAAGAACUGGCCAAUAUCUUUGGAUGUACCAUUGGAAAAAUGUCCUUCACCUACUUGGACCUCCCCCUCGGAACCACCAGGCCAACUGUGCAAGAUUUAAUGCCCCUGGUUUGCGGGGUUGAAAGAAGAUUAUCGGCCACCCUCAACAUGAUAUCUUAUGGUGGCAAGUUGUCCCUCCUAAACUCGGUGAUCACCUCUUUAAUAAUCUUUGCUCUAUGCACCCUGAGACUCCCCGUGAAAAUCAUUGAGUUGCUCGACAAAAUCAGACGUAAAGCCCUAUGGACAAAGAAAACUGAACAAGGCGACAAGUGCAACUCUCUUGCUGCUUGGAGCAUGGUUUGUAGACCCAAAGACAAUGGUGGCCUAGGGGUUCUCAAUCUCAAAAUUCAAGGGGAAGUUCUUUUGUUGAAAUAUUUGCACAAAUUCUACAACCAUUAGGACCUGCCCUGGGUUGAACUCAUUUGGAACAUAUACUACCAAGAGAAAAUUCCACAUGUGUCUGAUCCGUGUGGAUCCUUCUAGUGGAGAGAUGUCACUAAGCUAAUGCCGAUCUAUAGAGGGAUUUCACAGGUCAAUGUAUCGCAUGGGGGAAAUGUGUUGUUCUGGAAAGAUCUUUGGACGGAUUCUAUUCUGGCCGAUUCCUUCCCAAGAGCUUUCUCUUUUGGGAUAGAUGAAGAUAUUUCUGCUCGGGAUUUUUUUUGACUAUAUACUGCAAGGCAACAGCCUCACAGUCCUUUAUUAAAGCAAAGGAACAAAUAUUUACAAAGUGACAAGAUGAAAGCAAGGAAAGGGAGGGGAGACUACUUACAAAGAGAGUUUAAGGUAAGGCAACUAUCCAAGAAGUUAGCCUAUUCCUAUAUUUACAUUUGAUUCUAUGAGCUAAAAGAGAAAUGUCAUGAAGAAAAUUUCUCCUACAGGAUCUGAAAGAAGGCAGCUCAUUUCUGAAAAUCUUCCCAUUUCUUUGUGUCCAAAUAUUCCAAGUAGCAGUGAAGACCACCUCUGGAAAAAAUGGGUAACCAAAGUCCUUCCUAGCAGCUGAAGCCAUCUCAUAAGUAGUCUGGUUAGGUUGAACAAACCAUGAAAUGCCCAGGUAACUCCAGACAUGUUGACUAAAUUUGCAAGCGAAGAAAAGAUGAGCUCUUUCCUCAUGAGAGGCAGAGAGACACAAAACACACAUGUCAUCCUGGAUUAUCCAAUGCCGCCGCUGCAUCAUGUCCCUAGUGUUGAGACGAUCCAUCAAGAGGAGCCAACCAGACACCUUAAACUUGAGAGUGCAAGAACAUCAGAUCCACCUGGAUAUGGGAUCAACCACAAUGUCCGAAAAGCAAGGCAAGUAAUAAAUCCUUGAAUGAUAAUCUCCAAAUUUUGAUGGCCAUUUCCAGACAUCCUUUUCCCCCUCCUGAAGAUUAACCAAUGGCAGCAAAGCCUGAAGCUGAUUAAAUUCCUCGAAGGCCUCAACAUACAAUGGCAGAUGAAAAUUGUCGGUUGGGUCUGGUAGUUCCAUCAUAUCCUUGAUGGUAAGCGUGUCAUCAAUGACAAAAGAGUGAAGCCUCGGAAAUCAUUGCUGCAUGAGAACCACAUUGCUACCAAGCUGCCAUAGAUCCAGCCAGAAAGUCACCGUAUCCCCCGUCCGCACUUGUGGGACCGCCAACUUGCAAAACUUAUCAUACAACUUCAGCACAUCUCUCCACCAGAAAGAACCGCAGCUUUGAGUGACUUGGGGUGGCGCUGUGGCAUAAUAUGUGUCCCAAAUGAGAGAUACCCAUGGCACAUCCAUAUUAUUGAAGAAUUUGAAGAGAUGCUUGAUCAACAAGGCAUCAUUUUGUAUACUCAGAUCAAGAACGCUAAGGCUUCCCAUAUUCUUAGGCGACAGACCAAAUCCCAAGCCGCCAAUGAUUGUUGUGGUGUAUUAGUGUUCCCUCUCCACAAACAUUGCCGCAUGAUACGUUCAAUGUGCUUCAAAAUGCCCUGUGGCAACGAGAGAGUGCACAAGAAGUAUAUUGGCAUAGAACAAAGAAUAGACUUUAAAAGUUGUAGCCAGCUCCCUUGAUUCAACAGGCAAGAAGACACAGAUAGUCAUCGCUCAAUACGAUCCACCAAAGGCAACAAAUCAUAAAUUGUUGGCCGAGAGGUACCCAUGGGUAAUCCAAGGUAAGUGAAUGGCAUGGAACCAACAUCACACCCAAGCAGAGCAGCAACACGUUUUUCCUCAUCAUCGGUCAUAUUGAUUGGUAUCAAAGAGGACUUACUGAAGUUGACCCUCAGUGCAGUUGAUUGAGCAAAUACCUCAAGCAUGUCCUUGAAAGCAAUGAGUUGGUUGUCAAUAGCAGGAAGAACAAUCAGGGUAUCGUCCGCGUACUGAACAAUCAAAUAAUCCAUCGAAGAUGUUGGUAUAGGUAAUGUGAGAAUAUUCCUUGAGCACAUUUCAUUUACAACUGAUUGAAGUAAAUCAAAAACAAUCACAAAUAACAAAGGAGAUAGUGGGUCUCCUUGACAAACACCCGAACGACAGACAAAAUGAUUACCAGGCACUCCAUUUAAUAGAACCGAAGAAGACCCCGUGGACAAAAUGCUCUCAAUCCAACUUGUCCAACGAUUGUCAAAACCCUUACAUUUCAAGAUCCUGAGAAUCAGUUCAUGCUCGAUGGUAUCAAAUGCCUUUGUAAAAUCAAGUUUAAGAAGGAUGAUGGGCCUUUUGGAAGCUUUGCAUUGGUGAAUGUAUUCAAAACACCACGCCAGGUAGUCUUGUAUGGAUCGACAUUGAAGAAAGCCAUAUUGGUUGCGGUGAAUACAUUUCAAGAUCACACCCUGUAGACGAUUAGCCAAAAGUUUAGUUAAAAACUUUAAGCAAGUAUUUGUCAAUGAUAUGGGCCGGAAAUCACCGACAUAUUCAGGGCUCAACUUCUUGGGAAUGAGUGUGAUAAGAGAUGUAUUCAGACAUUCCAAAUUGCAUUUCCCAUCAUAAAAUUCUUGGACAAGCUUCAUAAAAUCCUCCUUCAAAAUAGACCAACAUUUCUUUAAAAAAAGACCAGUAAACCCGUCCGGUCCCGGGGCACGAUCAGUAGGCAUGUUCUUAAUUACCGCAUCCACCUCAGAGUUUGUGAAUGGUAAAGAUAACUCCUCUAGACCAUCAACCCGAGAAAUUAAUGUGUCUAGAUCAAAACCCAUUUGUAUGACUUUUGAUUGGCCCAUUCUUUGAUUGAAGUCAGUCCAAAACAUCCCAGCCAACUGCUGGUGGUCGGUGAUCACAUCACCGCCCCCUUUCACCUACCCCUAUCUGUUCAGGACCAUGUAGAGGUUCGUCAGAUGCAAGCCCAGCUUUCCCACAUCACCCUUGAUGCAAUCGACACGAUGACUGAUAAAUGGACCUAUGUUUGGGGAACAACUGAAUACAAAUCUCACAACUUUCGGGAUUCCAAUGUGCACCAGAGCUUCAAAUGGUUGUGGAAAUCCAAGUCAACGAUGAAGAUUAAAGUCUCCGGUUAGCUGCUGCUUUCAGAUAGAUUAAACACAAGGAACAUGCUGAAACGACGCCACUAUAAUAUUGGAGACAACCAUAACUGCAUUCUUUGUGGUCUCCCCAUUGAGGAAAAACUUGAGAACCUCUUCUUUGAUUGCUCCUUCAGCUCAUCAUGUUAGCCGACCCUGCGUAUCACCUAGAAUCCAAAUGAGUCUAGAUUGCAAAAAAUCUCCUCGGCCAGAACCAGUUGGAGCCAACCAUUGUUCAUGGAAAUUUUCUUGUUGGCAGCUUGGAGCAUCUGGAAGGAAAGAAACAAUAAACACUUCAGAGGAAUUGCUCCUUCAAGGCAAGCUUGGCUUGAUAGGUUUAGGGAGGACUUUGGUCUCCUCACUCAUAGAGUGAAGGACAAACAUAAACCUUUUAUUUCCUUCUUGUUAAGCUCUAUCUAAAAGGCUCUCUUCCUACCCACCCACAAAAUGUGAGGUGGUUGUAAAAACUCAUGUACAGUAUGUUUAUUCUUUAUUUAUUCUAAUGCAGUAGGAGGUACUCCUACUGUUGAUAGUUCAAAAAAACAUUGUCAGGACCCCGACUCGAUGUCACAUUGAUCUAGCUUGUAACACCUCAUAUCACUUUGCGGCCUCACGCAUGGUAUACCCACGGGUGUCGCCUUACCUUUGCCCGGGACCGUUUGCGCCUUUUGGCUCACGUAUAUGAUAGUGUCGCUAGCAUCCAUAUGAUAAGGAGCCCGGGCUGACAUGACUAGUCGUAAACCCAAAGUGGCACAGACCUACAGGGACAGGCAUCCAUGACCCAGCUUCGAACGUGUCGGUCAUCAGCAAGUGGGUCCGGGCUGUAGCACUGGGCUAGCAGGACUCCGGUAAACCGGGCUGUAGCGGGCUAACAGGACUCCGGUACUCAAUGCGUGACAUUUCCCCGAAGGGACAGACACAGGAACGAAGAAGGACACAUGCCGGCCAGCCUAAGUGUUCCAGAGCAGUAGCAAGCUACCAUGGCUCAGCGGUAACACUAGGAGGCAUUUCCCGGUAAGAGAGGCUACUAAAGAUAAACAACUAGAUAGUCAGAUCCCACACAUACCAAGCAUUUCAAUAACAUACACACAAUAUGCUCGAUAUGUGCAAAUACAACAUGGCAUCACAACAUGACUCUACGACACAAGUACUUUAUUUAAGGCUCAGAGAGCCAUACAUAGCAUACACAUAGAUACGGGUCACACGACCCAGCAUUCAAGUCAUACAGUCAUACAAACCAGCAGCGGAAGUAGUUUGUCUGGGUACAGACAACUAGUAAAAUAAAAGAGGCUUGGAAAGCCUAGCUAUACUACAUGGUCCUUCACAAGCUCAGGAUCACCACCUGGGCCUUAGCCUACUCAUUGAUGUCAACGUCUACGAAGAACCCAUCAGAAGGGGUUGCAGCGUCUUCUGUAAAAAUGCAAAUUAUAGCAACAUGAGUACAAAGGUACUCAGCAAGACUUACAUCAGAUCCUACAUACAUGCACAUUAUCAAGAAGGGUUGGUGGAGUUAUGCAGCAAGCCAGCUUUGACUCUUGGCUAGACUAUUCUACAAGACUCCAACUUGAAAUGGUUUUGCGUAGACGAGUCCACUACUCACCACUUCAAUACACUACCGAGGAUCCACCUCCGUCUUCCUACGGAAGAGCCAUCCUCGGCACUCACACUUAUCUUGAGGCUUUUAGUAGUUUCCAUUUACUUGUCUAUGAACUGUAUAGGCAACCAAGUAGUCCUUUACCGCGGACGCGGCUAUUCGAAUAGAUCAUGAUAACCCUGCAGGGGUGUACUUCUUCAUACACGCUCUAACCACUUACCGUCGUUUACACGACAUGUACUCGACAACCUUCAAGCGGAAGCCCAACAUGGGUGUCGGCCACGACCUACCUAAUCACCUAAGUUUCCAAUCCAGGUUUAUCGCCUAUCCAGGUUCCAUCCGCAGGGAGUCCGGCCGAGGUUUCCCAUACGGCCCCGAACGAUGUGUACAGGGGUCCGUGACACCUAACGGGUGCUCGGUAUCCCCGGCCACGUACCUACCGCAUCACAGCCCACCCCUACGGUCAGCGCUGUCCACGGCCUCCAGUAGGCUACAAACACCAGAAACUACUUGCAACUCCUGGACGGAGAACUAGGGUGAAUAAGAAGCCGAGAGGGUCCAUUGGUUUCGGGCCCAAUGCAUGGUAGUAGCUGAUUCUUAAAUCACACAUACAGAUCUCAGUGCUUAAGGUCGGCUUCAAUGAAACAACCCACCAUGUACUCCUACAUGGCCUCUCAUCGAUACCUUUACCAAAUCGUGUUCACCACACCACUCUCAUUACCGACAUAAUCAUUUCACUCUAGCCCAUCACCCAGAUGAACCAGACCUGACACGACUCUAAGCAUAGCAGGCAUAGCAAGGUAGGAACAACACAUACAUAUGGCUCAAUCAAUUCCUACACAUGCUAGUGGGUUUCAUCUAGUUACUGUGGCAAUGACAGGUCAUGCAGAGGAAGUGGGUUCAACUACCGUGGCACACAGCAGUUUGAAACGCGUUGUCUUAAUGCAGUAAAAGAGAGUAGGAGCGAGAACAUGGGAUUGUAUCGAUAUGAUCAAAUGGUUGGUUGCUUGCCUGAUGGUUCGAUGCACUGAUACGGUUCUUCGUUAGGGUAAUCACGGUACUCCUCGGAGACAGAACCUGCCGUAAAGAACACCGAUACAACCAUCACCAAACAAUGUGCAACAAUAUGAUGCAUGCAUGAAACAUGGCAGUAUGAGUAUGUUGGGCUAAUGCAACUAAGACCAGAAGGGUUUGAACCAAUUUGAAUCAAAGAUUCAAAUUUCAAACUCAAACAUGGCCCUUUAAAGUGUUUUUCCUUGUUCUGCAUUAAACAUCAAGUUAACUUGUUUAAUCAUGCAUGAAAACAGUACAGAUGGAUAGAUUGAAUUUUUCUGAUCAUUUUUCAUAUAUAAUUUGUCUGAUUUGGAGUUACAGAAUAAAAGUUAUGAAUUUUUUAAGUUUAAACUAUAUUCUGGAAUUUCCUAUAUUAGAUUAAAUCCAGAAAAUCAAUUACUGCGUCAGCCUAACGUCAGUGUGACGUCAGCAGGUCAACGGGACACGUCCGGGUCAAACCUGACAGUGGGUCCCGCGUGUCAGUGUGAUUAAUUAAACUAAAAUUGAUUUAAACUAAUCCUAAUUAGUUAACAGGGCUGGGCCCCACCUGUCAUUGACUCAGGAGAGUCAACCAGGGCCCACCCGUGGUCAAACCCGGGUCGACUGCACCGGCGUUUAGCCGCCGGCGAGCCCGACGUGGCGGCGGAAGUGGUUUUGGCCGUUUCGGCCACCAAAUGGGUCGCGGAGACCACCGGAGUGGAGCUGAGGACGAGCCGCAGCUCUUGGUGGAGUCCGUUGGGGUCGGGGUGGCCGGAGUUGGCGCCGACGACGACUUUGGCGGCCAUCGGAGUUCGGCCAAAGUCGAACUUGUCGCUAGGGGGGUCGGUGAGGUGCGGGGAGUAGCUAGUUAGGUGCUACGUGACGCGGGGAGCAUGAUGGACACCAUGGAGUGGCCGGAGGGUGACCAGGAGCACGUCGGCGACGAGCUCCACGGUGGUGGGUGCGGUUGAGCUCCGGGAGGUCACUACACGGCUCGGGAGCAAGAAAAGGAGGGAGGGGAAGAUGGCUAAGCUCACGGGGAGUUCGACGAAGCCCUUGGUGCAGCCGGGGACGGACCGGAGCGACGACGUCGUUGAAGGGGAUCUCCCGCGACGGCGGUUCGGGCGAGGUCGUUGCGGUGGACUCGGGCGUUGCGAGCGCUCGGGGCUCGGCUUGCUCGAUGAAGUGGACAGCGGCGGAGCUCCUGGACACGACGAGAGGACGCACGGGCGGCGGGGAGCGCGGCUACGACGUAGGCACGGCGGCGGUGGCGUCGGCCAUGGCUCGGGGGCGCGAGGGGGAGGAGGUCGAGAGGAGAGGGGGUGUCUGGGGGGUUCGGGGGAGAGAGGGGGAGCGAUCCACGACGUCACCGGGCGAGGGGAGCGGCGAGGCGGCGAGCAGGUGCGUGGCACGCGCUGCGGUCGCCGUCGGGCACCUGCCUGCCUGCCUGGCCGGCAAGCAGCUCGCUGGAGCGGCGCUGGGCUGGGCCGGCAGGUGGGCCGGGUGCUGGCGCCAGGUAAGUUUUUCCCAUUUUUCUCUGUUUUCUGUAUUUUUAAUACUUCUGCAACUUUGUUGAAUUAUUAAAAAUACUUAGGCAACUCCUAAAAUCACCAAACUACUCAUGGUCCAUAGUUGGAUUAUUUCCAACAUGAAACAUUUUAGUUUGGAGAUAUUUGAGCAUUUAAAUAUUUUAUAUAAUUAUAAAUGCCCAAAUUCAAAUAUUUAUGAUUUAAUUCACAAACCCUAAGAUGGCCUAGGAAAAUGUGCAUCACUUUUGGCAGAGGUUCUGAACCAAGACAAAAAUGAUGGGCAUUUUAGAAGGGCAUUUCAGGUUCAUUGAAAAAGUUUUUAGUAAACCCUAGUUGGUUUCAGAGGGGGCUGGGGGUUCUGUCAUCCCCAUUUCAGGUUUCUAAUGAAAGAGUAAAUAUGAUGCAACACUCUAAUGCAUGAACUAGCUAGGGUGUGACAACUCACCCCCACUCAAAAGAAUCUCGUCCCGGGAUUUGGGUUCUUCCGGAAAGAGGGCGGGAUACUCGAGUCGAAGACGAUCCUCCCUUUCCCAAGUUGCUUCAUCCUCAGAAUGGUGCGACCAUUGAACUUUGAGAAACUUGAUAUUAUGAUGUCGAGUGGUACGCUCGGCCUGAUCGAGAAUACGAAUGGGGUACUCUUGAUAUGUGAGAUUAUCUUGGAGAUCAAGCGUUUCGUGGUCCACUCCACGGAUAAGAUCCGAGAAGCAACGCCUGAGUUGAGAAACGUGGAAGACAUCGUGGACUCUGGAGAGAUGCGGAGGUAGUUCCGACUGGUAGGCAACUUCUCCUCGUUUAGCGAGAAUGCGAAAAGGUCCAAUGUAACGAGGAGCCAAUUUGCCUUUGAUACCGAAACGAUGGGUUCCCUUCAGAGGAGUAACCCGAAGGUAAGCCUUCUCGUCAACCUCGAAAGUCAUAGCCUUAUGUUUUCGGUCAUAUUGACUCUUUUGACGAGAUUGGGCUGUUUUCAACUUUUCGCGAACGAUGCGAACUUGCUCUUCUGCUUCCUGAAUCAGAUCCGGGCCAAAGAAUUGUCUUUCCCCGGUUUCUGACCAGUUAAGGGGUGUUCGACAACGUCGUCCAUAGAGAACUUCGAAAGGGGCUUUACCCAAGCUAGAUUGAUAGCUGUUGUUAUAAGAAAAUUCGGCAAAUGGAAGGCAUUUCUCCCAUUCCAUUCCGAAUGAGAUAACAGAGGCUCGAAGCAUGUCUUCUAGGAUCUGGUUGACGCGUUCUACCUGACCACUCAAUUGAGGGUGAAAAGCGGUGCUAAAAGAGAGACGGGUUCCCAUAGCAUUUUGGAAACUUUCCCAAAAUCGAGAGGUGAACAGACUUCCUCGAUCCGAGUUAAUUUCCAAAGGAACACCAUGGAGAGACACUAUUCGGGAGAUGUAUAAGUCUGCUAACUGACUAGCAGUUAUACUCUCACGAACAGGUAAGAAAUGGGCCACUUUGGAAAGACGAUCGACAACGACGAAGAUAGCAUUAUUCCCUCUCUUGGUCCUGGGAAAACCGGUAAUGAAAUCCAUACCAAUUUUAUCCCAUUUCCAUUCAGGAAUAGCUAAGGGUUGAAGGGUGCCAGCAGGCCGUUGAUGCUCUGCUUUUACACGACGGCAGACGUCGCAAUUAGCAAUGUACUGAGCAAUUUCUCUUUUCAUCCUAGUCCACCAGAACCUCUGGCGUAGGUCCUGAUACAUCUUAGUACUACCGGGAUGAAUAGUGAGAGGAGAUUCAUGAGCUUCCUUAAGGAUCAAUCGUCUCAGGUUUCGCACCUUGGGAACCACUAGUCGAUUCCCGAAGUAUACGACCCCUUGAUCAUCAAUGGAGAAACAAUUUGCAACUCCUUUCUUGAUGUUUCUCUUGAUGCGGGAAAUUCCCGGAUCUACCUUCUGUGCUUUGAUGAUCUGAUCCGUAAGGGUAGGUUUUGCCACCAAGGUGGAAAGAAAACCUUGAGGAACAAUGUGAAGGUUAAGCUUCCGAAAUUCCUCAUGGAGAAGCGGUUGACUUUGUUGUAACAUCAGGUUGUUACAAUAAGAUUUACGACUUAGCGCAUCAGCCAUGACGUUGGCUUUCCCUGGGGUGUAAGUUAUUCCUAAGUCGAAAUAUGUGAUCAACUUGACCCAACGUCGUUGCCUGAGAUUCAAAUCCGGUUGGGUGAAGAUGUAUUUCAGACUUUGGUGAUCAGUGAAUAUUUCGCGACGAUUACCGAGGAGGUAAUGUCGCCAGGUCUUAAGUGCAUAGACUACGGCUGCAAGCUCUAGAUCAUGAGUAGGAUAAUUCUCCUCAUGUGGGUGCAAUUGCCGUGAGGCGUAAGCAAUUACGUGUCGAUCUUGCAUGAGAAUGCAACCUAGUCCUUGUCGCGAGGCGUCGCAGUAAAUAACAAAGUCCUUAGAGAAAUCUGGCGGUACCAGUACAGGAGCAGAAGUCAGGCGUCUUUUCAGUUCCUGAAAGCUGUGCUCACAUUGUGGAGUCCAUUCGAACUUCUUAUCUUUCUUGAGGAGUUCGGUUAGAGGUUUAGCAACUUUAGAGAAAUUUUCAACAAAGCGACGGCAAUAGCUCGCUAAGCCCAGAAAACUCCGAACUUGCUUGACCGAUUCAGGUGGAGUCCAAUCAAGGACGGCUUGAACUCGCUCAGGGUUAACAGCAAUACCUUUACCAGAUAUUACAUGACCCGGAUAGGUCACUUCUGACAACCAAAAUUCACAUUUAGAAAACUUGGCAUAAAGGCAAUGCUCUCGAAGUUUCUUCAACACUAGCCUUAGAUGUUCGGCAUGUUCUUCCUCGUUCUUGGAGUAGAUGAGUAUAUCAUCGAGGUAAACAACGAUGAAUUUAUCCAAAUACUCCAUGAAGAUUGAAUUCAUUAACCGAGAAAAGGUGGCUGGAGCGUUGGUUAAACCGAAGGACAUGACGGUGUACUCGUAUUGGCCAUAACGAGUAACAAAGGCCGUUUUAGGGAUGUCCCCAUUUCUGAUUUUGAUUUGAUGGUAGCCCAACCUCAAAUCCAUUUUGGAGAAGAUUGAGGAUCCAGCAAGCUGAUCAUACAGGUCGUUGAUCCUGGGGAGCGGAUAUUUGUUCUUGAUUGUGACCAAAUUGACAGGUCGAUAAUCUACAACCAUCCGGUCCGUACCAUCCUUCUUCUUGACGAAGAGGACGGGGCAAGCCCACGAAGAUGAACUAGGUCGGAUGAAACCCUUUUUCAAGGACUCAUCGAGUUGUUUCUUAAGCUCGGCUAGUUCUAGUGGUGCCAUCUUAUAGGGUCUUCUAGCAAUCGGGACGGUUCCUGGAAUGAGGUCUAUUACGAACUCAACAUCCCUGUCAGGUGGAACACCUGGCAAUUCCUCUGGGAAGACAUCCGGGAAGUCACGGACUACCGAAACGUCCUCAAGGUCUGGCAAAGGGCUGGCGUUAAGAGAAUAUAACUGUCGCUUGGCUAUUCGGGUCAAGACAUUGACUAUCUUCCCCGAAGGAUGGGUGAGUUGAACAGUCCUAGAGAAGCAAUCAAUUUUGGCAUGAUGAGCUGACAUCCAGUCCAUACCCAAAAUGAUAUUAAUAUCUGAAAAUUUGAGAGCUAUAAAAGAUGCAAGGAAAACAAGUCUGUCGACUUGGAUUUCAUUUCCAUAACUUACCCUGGAGGUUUGCCAUCUAGAACCGGGAGUAGAAAUUUCCAUAGUGGAUGGCAUGUCACAGAAUGCGGUGUUAUGCAAACGAGCAUAGUUCUCGGAUAUAAAUGAAUGAGAGGCUCCUGUAUCGAAAAGAACAGAUGCCGGGUGGCAAUUAACAAGGAGCGUACCGAGAACAACGUUGGGGUCCUCUUGAGCUUCUUCGGCAGAGAUACAGUUGACGUGGCCACGUGUAGCGGUGGCCGGCUUGGCGUGGAACACUUUCCCUGUCGGCUUGCCACGGCCAACAGCUUUAGCAGGUUGGUUUGGGUUGGUCUGGGGACACUCACGCUUAUAGUGGCCAGAUUCCCCACACUUGAAACAAGUCACGGAACUGGUACGUGGAGGAGCACUGUUGGUUGGACCACCAUAGGGCUUGGCUGGUGCAGACUGUUGAACGGGGCGAGGCGCCUGGAAGGAUGGCCUCGGUGUGAACCUGGGUGGCAGGGCAGUGUUGGGCACCCACACGCGGCGCUUCUGAGGACCAGCAUCGGAUGAGGAACCCACGUCACGGCCAUGCUUGCGUGUUACGUCAUAAUCGGUCUGACCAGUCUCAGCACUGAUGGCCUUGUUAACAAGCUUCUGAAAAGAUGUGCACUCAUGCAGACGGAGGUCGCGGCGAAGCUCAGGACUAAGUCCCUUACGGAACCUUGCUUGCUUCUUAGCAUCAGUAGAAACUUCCUCAGUUGCAUAUCGUGCGAGGUUACCAAACUCCCUGCUGUAAGCAUCCACAGAGAGUCGGCCUUGGGUGAAAUUGCAAAAUUCCUCACGUUUACGGUCCAUGGACCCUCCGGAAUGUGAUGUUCACGGAAAGCCUCACUGAAUUCAGCCCAAGUAGUGACAUGGCUCGCUGGGCGCAUAGCUCCAUAAUUCUCCCACCAUAUACUGGCGGGGCCUUCAAGAUGAUAUGCAGCAAAGGUGACCUUGUCAGCCUCAGCUACUAACGCGGAACGCAGUUUAUGAGAGAUACUGCGAAGCCAGUCAUCAGCGUCGAGAGGCUCGACGGAGUGGUGGAACAUGGGUGGAUGUAACUUGAUGAAAUCACUGAGUGACACCACGUUAGUCCUCUGAUGGUGUGCUGUGUUCUGUUCAAUACGCUCCAACAAACGGUUGGUCUCCCGCUUGUUUCUCUCAGCUUCCAUCAUAACCUCGGCUAGGGAAGGAGGAUGAGGCAGAUUUGCAUUCCUGACUUCACUGCCUUCGGCCUGCUCUUGGGGAGCAGGGUUAGUGCGCGUGUUGACCAUCCUAGGUAAACAAGACAAUGAUUUAGUUAGAAUGAUAAAAUUCCGACAUAGGAUACAUAAUGUAAGGAAUAACUCGGAAUGCAAGAUGAUCAUCCGUAUGACAUGGUAGAUACAGAAACUGCUUCUUUAUUCCAUCGUCAUACACACCAUACAGGGUUUAGUACAAGACCAAACAAAGUACUAUUACGGUGAUAAGAGGAUUACAUCUCAUCGGAGGCAUCCCAAGCUCCUAUACAUUAUUUUUCUACACCUCCGGAAGUGGUACAAACUAGGUCAUAUCCCACGAGUCACGCAGGACGAUAAACGACACAGCUAGUACGUUCUAGUGAUACUACCACUAACUCAGACCGAUCCGUAGUAGUCCUCGUAGAAGUCACCUCCAUAGCCUGGAAGCUCAACAUGAUCAUCCGGAAACAGACGAUCUCGCGGAGCUUGUGGACCAUAGGGGCUAGGAUGAGGUCUUGGACCAACAGACGGUGGCCUGCGGGGACCGCGAGGUGGGGUGAUGCCUCCUACAUCACGCCUACCCAUCACGUCUGGCAGAGCAGAUCUCACAGGAUAGAGAUCGCGCAUAUCCGAAUAUCCAGCUUGCACCGUCGGUGCAAACCGAGUCAACGUGGCCCAAUGGUCAGCACGGGUAUUGAAAAGCUCUAGCCUCAAGGCCCGAUUUUCACGGUCCUUAUCCUCGAGCAUCUCAGCAGUGGUGCGAGUCCGUGAAUCCUCCUGAGUGGGGUCAGCAUAGAUAGCCUGGAGAUACCCUUGUGCUCCCGGAAGUGAUCCUAGCAUAUACCGGAAAUCAGAGUCCCGAAAUAGGCCAGACCUGACUCGCAUGAUGGUCAUCAUAGAGUAGGCGGCGUCUUGCAUAGCCAUCUCAAUAGUAACCCCGAGUCCAUAGGAGCAGUGAAGGGGCUCGGUGGAUCCAGGAUAAGAUGGAAAUAUCCUGACAGUGCAGAGAUACUGACUUUGAUUAAAGUCUCGAAAUUGCUCUUCGACCGUGUACUCAGGAUACCAACGGUAUCCAGCCUCAGUCAUUACCCUGACCAACAUGGCGGUAUGACCGGGUACAUCUAGGCAUCGAGUCAGGCGAACCACUUGAUUGAGUUCGCGAGUGGCCAUCUGAAAGCACAAUCAUAAUGCAAAGGCAUUAGAAUUCCUAGCAAAAUUUCGGCAGCAUAACAGCUGUAAAUGCUCAAGAAGGAUUUUGAGACAUUUGACAAAGGAUUUCAUACACACUCAACAUCAUCAUAUCAAAGUUCUGAGUCCAUCCUAACAACAUAAUGUGGUAGUAGAACUGAACUAGGCUUGUAUCCAUCAAACCUAUAAGGUACUACUGAUUAGUAACACGUGAUCCUGAUAGAGAGUAUAGAUCCUAAUUCCUUAACCCCCGGUGGAAGAAUAGACUGACUCAGAUCAGAAUGUCAUAAGAUAAAGAAGUAAAAAGAGCCUUACGUUCCAACCCACAAACAAUUCCCCUACAUAUAACUAAAGAAUUUCUAGACUCAACAUCGACCAGUUUGGCUUGGAGAACCUACAGGCAGUCCGGCUCUGAUGCCAACGCUGUCAGGACCCCGACUCGAUGUCACAUCGAUCUAGCUUGUAACACCUCAUAUCACUUUGCGGCCUCACGCACGGUAUACCCACGGGUGUCGCCUUACCUUUGCCCGGGACCGUUUGCGCCUUUUGGCUCACGUAUAUGAUAGUGUCGCUAGCAUCCAUAUGAUAAGGAGCCCGGGCUGACAUGACUAGUCGUAAACCCAAAGUGGCACAGACCUAUAGGGACAGGCAUCCAUGACCCAGCUUCGAACGUGUCGGUCAUCAGCAAGUGGGUCCGGGCUGUAGCACUGGGCUAGCAGGACUCCGGUAAACCGGGCUGUAGCGGGCUAACAGGACUCCGGUACUCAAUGCGUGACAUUUCCCCGAAGGGACAGACACAGGAACGAAGAAGGACACAUGCCGGCCAGCCUAAGUGUUCCAGAGCAGUAGCAAGCUACCAUGGCUCAGCGGUAACACUAGGAGGCAUUUCCCGGUAAGAGAGGCUACUAAAGAUAAACAACUAGAUAGUCAGAUCCCACACAUACCAAGCAUUUCAAUAACAUACACACAAUAUGCUCGAUAUGUGCAAAUACAACAUGGCAUCACAACAUGACUCUACGACACAAGUACUUUAUUUAAGGCUCAGAGAGCCAUACAUAGCAUACACAUAGAUACGGGUCACACGACCCAGCAUUCAAGUCAUACAGUCAUACAAACCAGCAGCGGAAGUAGUUUGUCUGGGUACAGACAACUAGUAAAAUAAAAGAGGCUUGGAAAGCCUAGCUAUAUUACGUGGUCCUUCACAAGCUCAGGAUCACCACCUGGGCCUUAGCCUACUCACUGAUGUCAACGUCUACGAAGAACCCAUCAGAAGGGGUUGCAGCGUCUUCUGUCAAAAUGCAAAUUAUAGCAACAUGAGUACAAAGGUACUCAGCAAGACUUACAUCAGAUCCUACAUACAUGCACAUUAUCAAGAAGGGUUGGUGGAGUUAUUGCAGCAAGCCAGCUUUGACUCUUGGCUAGACUAUUCUACGAGACUCCAACUUGAAAUGGUUUUGCAUAGACGAGUCCACUACUCACCACUUCAAUACACUACCGAGGAUCCACCUCUGUCUUCCUACGGAAGAGCCAUCCUCGGCACUCACACUUAUCUUGAGGCUUUUAGUAGUUUCCAUUUACUUGUCUAUGAACUGUAUAGGCAACCAAGUAGUCCUUUACCGCGGACGCGGCUAUUCGAAUAGAUCAUGAUAACCCUGCAGGGGUGUACUUCUUCAUACACGCUCUCACCACUUACCGUCGUUUACACGACAUGUACUCGGCAACCUUCAAGCGGAAGCCCAACAUGGGUGUCGGCCACGACCUACCUAAUCACCUAAGUUUCCAAUCCAGGUUUAUCGCCUAUCCAGGUUCCAUCCGCAGGGAGUCCGGCCGAGGUUUCCCAUACGGCCCCGAACGAUGUGUACAGGGGUCCGUGACACCUAACGGGUGCUCGGUAUCCCCGGCCAUGUACCUACCGCAUCACAGCCCACCCCUACGGUCAGCGCUGUCCACGGCCUCCAGUAGGCUACAAACACCAGAAACUACUUGCAACUCCUGGACGGAGAACUAGGGUGAAUAAGAAGCCGAGAGGGUCCAUUGGUUUCGGGCCCAAUGCAUGGUAGUAGCUGAUUCUUAAAUCACACAUACAGAUCUCAGUGCUUAAGGUCGGCUUCAAUGAAACAACCCACCAUGUACUCCUACAUGGCCUCUCAUCGAUACCUUUACCAAAUCGUGUUCACCACACCACUCUCAUUACCGACAUAAUCAUUUCACUCUAGCCCAUCACCCAGAUGAACCAGACCUGACACGACUCUAAGCAUAGCAGGCAUAGCAAGGUAGGAACAACACAUACAUAUGGCUCAAUCAAUUCCUACACAUGCUAGUGGGUUUCAUCUAGUUACUGUGGCAAUGACAGGUCAUGCAGAGGAAGUGGGUUCAACUACCGUGGCACACAGCAGUUUGAAACGCGUUGUCUUAAUGCAGUAAAAGAGAGCAGGAGCGAGAACAUGGGAUUGUAUCGAUAUGAUCAAAUGGUUGGUUGCUUGCCUGAUGGUUCGAUGCACUGAUACGGUUCUUCGUUAGGGUAAUCACGGUACUCCUCGGAGAUAGAACCUGCCGUAAAGAACACCGAUACACAACCAUCACCAAACAAUGUGCAACAAUAUGAUGCAUGCAAGAAACAUGGCAGUAUGAGUGUGUUGGGCUAAUGCAACUAAGACCAGAAGGGUUUGAACCAAUUUGAAUCAAAGAUUCAAAUUUCAAACUCAAACAUGGCCCUUUAAAGUGUUUUUCUUGUUCUGCAUUAAACAUCAAGUUAACUUGUUUAAUCAUGCAUGAAAACAGUACAGAUGGAUAGAUUGAAUUUUUCUGAUCAUUUUUCAUAUAUAAUUUGUCUGAUUUGGAGUUACAGAAUAAAAGUUAUGAAUUUUUUAAGUUUAAACUAUAUUCUGGAAUUUCCUAUGUUAGAUUAAAUCCAGAAAAUCAAUUACUGCGUCAGCCUGACGUCAGUGUGAUGUCAGCAGGUCAACGGGACACGUCCGGGUCAAACCUGACAGUGGGUCCCGCGUGUCAGUGUGAUUAAUUAAACUAAAAUUGAUUUAAACUAAUCCUAAUUAGUUAACAGGGCUGGGCCCCACUUGUCAUUGACUCAGGAGAGUCAACCAGGGCCCACCCGUGGUCAAACCCAGGUCGGCUGCACCGGCGUUUAGCCGCCGGCGAGCCCGACGCGGCGGCAGAAGUGGCUUUGGCCGUUUCGGCCACCAAAUGGGUCGCGGAGACCACCGGAGUGGAGCUGAGGACGAGCCGCAGCUCUUGGUGGAGUCCGUUGGGGUCGGGGUGGCCGGAGUUGGCGCCGACGACGACUUUGGCGGCCACCGGAGUUCGGCCAAAGUCGAACUUGUCGCUAGGGGGGUCGGUGAGGUGCGGGGAGUAGAUAGUUAGGUGCUACGUGACGCGGGGAGCAUGAUGGACACCGUGGAGUGGCCGGAGGGUGACCGGGAGCACGUCGGCGACGAGCUCCACGGUGGUGGGUGCGGUUGAGCUUCGGGAGGUCGCUACACGGCUCGGGAGCAAGAAAAGGAGGGAGGGGAAGAUGGCUAAGCUCACGGGGAGUUCGACGAAGCCCUUGGUGCGGCCGGGGACGGACCGGAGCGACGACGGUGUUGAAGGGGAUCUCCGGCGACGGCGGUUCGGGCGAGGUCGUUGCGGUGGACUCGGGUGUUGCGAGCGCUCGGGGCUCGGCUUGCUCGAUGAAGUGGACAGCGGCGGAGCUCCUGGACACGACGAGAGGACGCACGGGCGGCGGGGAGCGCGGCUACGACGUAGGCACGGCGGCGGUGGCGGCGGCCAUGGCUGGGGGGCGCGAGGGGGAGGAGCUGGAGAGGAGAGGGGGUGUCUGGGGGGUUCGGGGGAGAGAGGGGGAGCGAUCCACGACGUCACCGGGCGAGGGGAGCGGCGAGGCGGCGAGCAGGUGUGUGGCGCGCGCUGCGGUCGCCGUCGGGCACCUGCCUGCCUGCCUGGCCGGCAAGCAGCUCGCUGGAGCGGCGCUGGGCUGGGCCGGCAGGUGGGCCGGGUGCUGGCGCCAGGUAAGUUUUUCCCAUUUUUCUCUGUUUUCUGUAUUUUUAAUACUUCUGCAACUUUGUUGAAUUAUUAAAAAUACUUAGGCAACUCCUAAAAUCACCAAACUACUCCUGGUCCAUAGUUGGAUUAUUUCCAACAUGAAACAUUUUAGUUUGGAGAUAUUUGAGCAUUUAAAUAUUUUAUAUAAUUUUAAAUGCCCAAAUUCAAAUAUUUAUGAUUUAAUUCACAAACCCUAAGAUGGCCUAGGAAAAUGUGCAUCACUUUUGGCAGAGGUUCUGAACCAAGACAAAAAUGAUGGGCAUUUUAGAAGGGCAUUUCAGGUUCAUUGAAAAAGUUUUUAGUAAACCCUAGUUGGUUUCAGAGGGGGCUGGGGGUUCUGUCAUCCCCAUUUCAGGUUUCUGAUGAAAGAGUAAAUAUGAUGCAACACUCUAAUGCAUGAACUAGCUAGGGUGUGACAAACAUGGGUAAGGAAGUGUUUUUAACAAACAACGUUUAUUGACAAACUAAGUUUUUAACACAAAUAUAAUGUUUGGUCGAAUCGAACAAGAUUUUUUUUAAACUGAGCAUGGAAGCGACUUAGCUGGUUAAUGUGUUCGGUGUCGAUGCGCGACCUAAGCUUACGGCCGGACAAGGUCCCGGCCCCCAAGACGGUCAUGAGGUGGCGGAGCGAAGAGCUCGACACUUCGAAGUGGCGAAAUAGCACGGCCAAUGUGUCGAGAUGGAACCCCCAACCGACCGAAGCGAUGGAGCAGGCCGACAGUAUGACACCAAAGUCCUCGGCGUGGGUUAAUGAAGUGAUGACGAAGCCCCUAGUCCAGCCGAGGUGACGUGGUACGUCGGUACGCCAAGGUGACAGUGCUGCCCAACCUGGAUAAUUUACCUGUGCACAGAAAAUAGUGCAAGCCGGAGAUAAUAGUAAUAAUAAUAAAUUUUAAAAAAGAUCAUAACAUAAUAAAUAAUUUAUGCAAAGUGAGCAAUAAAAUAAAUAUUGCGCGUGUGCCGAACACUUGAUGAGGUAGAGCUCUCUCAGUGAUGCCGAAGUCCCCGAGGCAACCGAACAUGUCGGUAUGGCAAUUCGACCAACAAGGUGAUCACGCGAGCCGAUUUACGCCGAUUAGGAUGAUGAUAUCGGCUUGCCGAAGUGACCGCAUGACGCAGUCGAAGUUGAUUACCUACAUAUGUAAAAUAGUGCAGUCCAAAAGAUAAUAUAUAUAUAUAUAUACUCCUCGCAUAAUUUAAUUUACGCAAAGUAAUUUUUUAAAAGAGAUGUGGCAUGGCGUUGAAGCCAAUGUCGGUGCGGGGCACCGACGUUACAAAGCCUGUAUUCACAGGGCAGUCGGAGUCCCUGAUGAGGCGUUCGUCAAACUGCGGCCGGGAAACUGACCGAACCAUCACACAACCAUCAUUAAUGCGGUCAUUAUUUGACAGACCUGUGUACAGAUGAUGGAACCAACCAGAGUAAUAAUUCCUCGGGAAAAAUAAACCCAAGCAAGAAAAAAAUACUAGGAUUAAUAGCACCUGGUUUAUCUGUUGUAGUAAUCUCAAGAAAGGUUACUCCCAAAAUUGGGACUCGAUCUGCACACCCGUUACCUGAUGGAUGAUGAAGCAAUGGCAUGGCAAUGCUGGCAAAGGUUGGUUUGUCGAGGCAAAUCCCCCGGUCCAGUUAACGUGACGAAGCUGAUCGGCUGGUGACGCCGAAGUCUCCGGAGUAGGUUGAUGAAGAGAUGGCGAAGCCCCCGGUCCAGACGAGGUGAUGGAGCAGGUCAGUAAGGUGACAUUGCAGCCGCCGUGCUAGCCUAGGUGUUGAAGCAGUUCGGCGUGGCAGGCAUUAGUUUGAAGAAGCUACUGCUCAGCCAUGGCGAUGCUAGUCAUAACUUAUGACGUGGUCAAUGCCGGAUUGAUGAAGUGACCGAGUGGCGAUGUCGGUGCGCCUGACCCGUGCAAUCCAUAGGCGAUGGUGCUGGAGAUAAUUUAGCCUUGGUGAUGCUGAACUCUUGUUUGGCUUGCUGAGCUGAUGAUCCGAUAAGGUUGGGCUCGAUUCGAUGAAGCGAUGAUCUAUCUAGCGUAGGUCGGCAGACAUGGAGCAAGGGCUGGUUUGACACCGACACGACGGUGAAGAUUACCUCCGAAAAGGAGCAAAAUUUGUGAGCAUGUGUUCGGAAAUAAAACACAAUACCCUAGAAAGAGAUUUUUUCCAAAAAGGUUAUCCAAUAUCCCAUUCACGAAGAAUGAUGAACUCAGGUCGGAUUUCUAUUCAUGUAGAAAAUAGAUCUGAAAAGUGAUGCACUAAUCGGGAGACGACGUGGUGAGUACCCCUUAGUCCAGGACACCAUCACUCUCCUUUGCUGCUUCUACAAAAAAGAGAAAAUGAUUAUAAGAGGAAGAGAUGGAUAGAGAGGAGUAGGAGCAGCAACUUACCGGUGGCCGUCGGAGUUGGAGCCGACGCCUGAAACCCUAGACGACGCCUAGUGACCUGCUACUACUUUUCCUAGGACCUCAUGUCCUCACGAGGCCCUGUCCCGAUGAGGAAGUGCAAGUGGUCAUGUCCAAGGUAGAUCCGGCCAUCGCCAUGGACGACGCUCUGCUGGAUCUCCUUCUCCUUCCAGCAGUGGAGAAGAAGGAGGAAGGAGGGGCGGGAGAGGGGGCUGAGGAGGUCACCAGAUUUGGGGGAGACAUCGAGAUGCAAGGCCGACAAUGGCGGUGGGUGAGGAAGGGCAUCCCAGGUGGGAGGGAGAAGGGGAAUUGAGAGAGUGUGGGUCUGGGUUUGGGCCUCCGCGUGCUAUGUGUAUACAUGUGUUGGUGGGUCGAUAGUAGUAGCGUUGGGUUUAUACCCCACACUACUACCAUGGGUUGUCCCGGGGGCACGGUGGAGACUGAUACGUCUCCAACGUAUCUAUAAUUUUUGAUUGCUCCAUGCUACUUUAUCUAUUGUUUUGGACUAUAAUGGGCUUUAUUUUCCACUUUUAUAUUAUUUUUGGGACUAACCUAUUAACCGGAAGCCCAGCCCAGAAUUGCUGUUUUUUUGCCUAUUUCAGUGUUUCGAAGAAACGGAAUAUCAAACGGAGUCCAAACAGAAUGAAACCUUCGGAAAUGUGAUCUUCUCACCGAACCUAAUCCAGGAGACUUGGACCCUACUCCAAGAAGUGCCAGAGGCAGUCACGAGGGUGGGGGGCAUGCCCUCCCCCUGGGCGCGCCCCCUGCCUCGUGGGCCCCCUGACGCUCCACCGAUGUACUCCUUCCUCCUAUAUAUACCUACGUACCCCCAACAGAUCGGGGACGGAGCCAAAAACCUAAUUCCACCGCCGCAACUUUCUGUAUCCGCGAGAUCCCAUCUUGGGGCCUGUUCCAGAGCUCCGCCGGAGGGGGCAUCUACCACGGAGGGCUUCUACAUCAUCACCAUAGCCCCUCCGAUGAAGUGUGAGUAGUUUACUUCAGACCUUCGGGUCCAUAGUUAGUAGCUAGAUGGCUUCUUCUCUCUUUUUGGAUCUCAAUACAAUGUUCUCCCACUCUCUCGUGGAGAUCUAUUCGAUGUAAUCUUCUUUUUGCGGUGUGUUUGUUGAGACCGAUGAAUUGUGGGUUUAUGAUCCAGCUUAUCUAUGGAAAAUAUUUGAUUCUUCUCUUAAUUCUUUUAUGUAUGAUUGAGUUAUCUUUGCAAGUCUCUUCGAAUUAUCCGUUUGGUUUGGCCAACUAGAUUGGUAGUUCUUGCAAUGGGAGAAGUGCUUAGCUUUGGGUUCAAUCUUGCUGUGACCUUACCCAGUGACAGAAAGGGUUGCAAGGCACGUAUUGUAUUGUUGCCAUCGAGGAUAACAAGAUGGGGUAUUUAUCAUAUUGCAUGAAUUUAUUCCUCUACAUCAUGUCAUCUUACUUAAGGCGUUACUCUGUUUUUAACUUAAUACUCUAGAUGCAUGCUGGAUAGCGGUCGAUGAGUGGAGUAAUAGUAGUAGAUGCAGAAUCGUUUCGGUCUACUUGUCACGGACGUGAUGCCUAUAUACAUGAUCAUUGCCUGGAUAACCUCAUAACUAUGCUCAAUUCUGUCAAUUGCUCAACAGUAAUUUGUUCACCCACCCUAGAAUACUUAUGCUCUUGAGAGAAGCCACUAGUGAAACCUAUGGCCCCCGGGUCUAUUUCAUCAUAUCAAUCUCCAUCACUUUAUUUACUUGCUUUUGCUUUUACUUUUUACUUUGCAUCUUUAUACCAAAAAUACCAAAAAUAUUAUCUCUAUCAGAUCUCAACCUUGUAAGUGACCGUGAAGGGAUUGACAACCCCUAAGCGUUGGUUGUGAGUAGCUAUCGUUUUGUGCAGGUACGAGGGACUUGCGCGUGGUCUCCUACUGGAUUGAUACCUUGGUUCUCAAAAACUGAGGGAAAUACUUACGCUACUGUGCUGCAUCAUCCUCUCCUCUUCGGGGAAAUCCAACGCAAGCUCGAGACGUAGCAGAGACCACUUAGUAGUAGCGUGGGGUUUAUACUCCCCGCUAUUACUAUCAACUUAUUAGUAGCGUGGCUUUAUAACCCGCGCUACUACUACAGCUUUUCCUGGGGGGCACGGUGGAGACCUCUUAGUAGUAGCGUGGGAUUUAUACCCCGUGCUACUACUAUCAACUUAGUAGUAGCAUGGGUUUAUAACCCACGCUACUACUAUUAUUAGUAGUGCGGGGUUUAUACCCCUCACUACUACUAAGCAUCUAUCUGAAGGAAAUAUGCCCUAGAGGCAAUAAUAAAGUUAUUAUUUAUUUCCUUAUUUCAUGAUAAAUGUUUAUUAUUCAUGCUAGAAUUGUAUUAACCAGAAACAUAAUACAUGUGUGAAUAUAUAGACAAACAUAGUGUCACUAGUAUGCCUCUACUUGACUAGCUCGUUGAUCAAAGAUGGUUGUGUUUCCCAACCAUAGACAUGAGUUGUCAUUUGAUUAACGGGAUCACAUCAUUAGGAGAAUGAUGUGAUUGACUUGACCCAUUCCGUUAGCUUAGCACUUAAUCGUUUGGUUUGUUGCUAUUGCUUUCUUCAUGACUUAUACGUUUUCCUUCAACUAUGAGAUUAUGCAACUCCCGUUUACCGGAGGAACACUUUGUGUGCUACCAAACUUCACAACGUAACUGGGUGAUUAUAAAGGAGCUCUACAGGUGUCUCCAAAGGUACAUGUUGAGUUGGCGUAUUUCGAGAUUAGGUUUUGUCACUCCGAUUGUCGGAGAGGUAUCUCUGGGCCCUCUCGGUAAUGCACAUCACUAUAAGCCUUGCAAGCAAUGUAUCUAAAGAGUUAGUUACGAAAUGAUGCAUUACGUAAUGAGUAAAGAGACUUGCCGGUAACGAGAUUGAACUAGGUAUUGAGAUACCGACGAUCGAAUCUCGGGCAAGUAACAUACCGAUGACAAAGGGAACAACGUAUGUUGUUAUGCGGUUUGACCGAUAAAGAUCUUCGUAGAAUAUGUGGGAGCCAAUAUGGGCAUCCAGGUCCCGCUAUUGGUUAUUGACCGGAAACGUGUCUCAGUCAUGUCUACAUAGUUCUCGAACCCGUAGGGUCCGCAUGCUUAACGUUUCGUUGAAGAUAUAGUAUUAUAUGAGUUAUGUAUGUUGGUAACCGAAUGUUGUUCGGAGUCCCGGAUGAGAUCAUGGACAUGACGAGGAACUCCGGAAUGGUCCGGAGAUAAAGUUUGAUAUAUGGGAUAAUAGUGUUUGAUCUCCGGAAGGGUUCCGGAAUUCACCAGAAGGGGUUCCGGAUGUUUCCCGAAAUGUUUGGGUACAAGAACACGUUAUUUGAGCCAAAGGGGAAAGCCCACAAGGUUUUUGGAAAGCGCAAAAGGAAGUUUUGCAGAGUCCAGGGGCCAGACGCCAGGGUCCCUGGCGUCUGGGUCCAGACGCCGGGAACCCUGCGUCUGGCCCUGGAGUCCGAGAAGGACUCUUGCCUUUCGGGUGAAACCGACUUUGUGGAGGCUUUUACUCCAAGUUUCGACCCCAAGGCUCAACAUAUAAAUAGAGGGGCAGGGCUAGCACCAAAGAGACAUCAAGAAACACCAAGCCAUGUGCCGGCAACCCCGUCCCCUCUAGUUUAUCCUCCAUCAUAGUUUCCGUAGUGCUUAGGCGAAGCCCUACGGAGAUUGUUCUUCACCAACACCGUCACCACGACGUCGUGCUGCCGGAACUCAUCUACUACUUCGCCCGUCUUGCUGGAUCGAGAAGGCAAGGACGUCAUCGAGCUGAACGUGUGCAGAACUCGGAGGUGUCGUGCGUUCGGUACUUGUAUCGGUCGGAUCAUGAAGACGUAUGACUACAUCAACCACGUUGAUAAAUGCUUCCGCUUAGCGAUCUUCAAGGGUAUGAAGAUACACUCCCCCUCUCAUUGCUAUGCAUCACCAUGAUCUUGCGUGUGCGUAGGAUUUUUUUUUGAAAUUACUACGUUCCCCAACAGUGGCAUCCGAGCCAGGUUUUAUGCGUAGAUGUUAUAUGCACGAGUAGAACACAAGUGAGUUGUGGGCGAUGCAAGUCAUACUGCUUACCAGCAUGUCAUACUUUGGUUCGGCGGUAUUGUUGGAUGAAGCAGCCCGGACCGACAUUACGCGUACGCUUACGCAAGACUGGUUCUACCGACGUGCUUGUCUGUUUCUCCAACUUUAGUUGAACCGAGUGUGGCUACGCCCGGUCCUUGCAAAGGUUAAAACAACACUAACUUGACGAACUAUCGUUGUGGUUUUGAUGCGUAGGUAAGAACGGUUCUUGCUCAGCCCGUAGCAGCCACGUAAAAUUUGCAACAACAAAGUAGAGGACGUCUAACUUGUUUUUGCAGGGCAUGUUGUGAUGUGAUAUGGUCAAGAUGUGAUGCUAUAUUUUAUUGUAUGAGAUGAUCAUGUUUUGUAACCGAGUUAUGGACAACGGGAAGAAGCCAUAUAGUUGUCGCUUUAUUGUAUGAAAUGCAAACGCCAUGUAAUUGCUUUACUUUAUCACUAAGCGGUAGCGAUAGUCGUAGAAGCAAUAGAUGGCGUAAUGAUAACGAUGCUACGAUGGAGAUCAAGGUGUCGCGCCGGUGACGAUGGUGAUCACGAUGAUGCUUCGGAGAUGGAGAUCACAAGCACAAGAUGAUGAUGGCCAUAUCAUAUCACUUAUAUUGAUUGCAUGUGAUGUUUAUCCUUUAUGCAUCUUAUUUUGCUUUGAUUGACGGUAGCAUUAUAAGAUGAUCUCUCACUAAUUAUCAAGAAGUGUUCUCCCUGAGUAUGCACCGUUGCGAAAGUUCUUCCUGCUGAGACACCACGUGAUGAUCGGGUGUGAUAGGCUCUACGUUCAAAUACAACGGGUGCAAAACAGUUGCACACGCGGAAUACUCAGGUUAAACUUGACGAGCCUAGCAUAUACAGAUAUGGCCUCGGAACACGGAGACCGAAAGGUCGAGCGUGAAUCAUAUAGUAGAUGUGAUCAACAUAGUGAUGUUCACCAUUGAAAACUACCCCAUCUCACGUGACGAUCGGACAUGGUUUAGUUGAUUUGGAUCACGUGAUCACUUAGAUGACUAGAGAGAUGUCUGUCUAAGUGGGAGUUCUUAAGUAAUAUGAUUAAUUGAACUUAAAUUUAUCAUGAACUUAGUCCUGGUAGUAUUUUGCAAAUUAUGUUGUAGAUCAAUAGCUUGCGUUGUUGCUUUCAUAUGUUUAUAUUGAUAUGUUCCUAGAGAAAAUUGUGUUGAAAGAUGUUAGUAGCAAUGAUGCGGAUUGGAUCCAUGAUCUGAGGUUUAUCCUCAUUGCUUCAUAGAAGAAUUAUGUCCUUAAUGCACCGCUAGGUGACAGACCUAUUGCAGGAGCAGAUGCAGACAUUAUGAACGUUUGGCUAGCUCAAUAUGAUGGCUACUUGAUAGUUUAGUGCACCAUGCUUAACGGCUUAGAAUCGGGACUUCAAAGACGUUUUGAAUGUCAUGGACCAUAUGAGAUGUUCCAGGAGUUGAAGUUAAUAUUUCAAGCAAAUACCCGAGUUGAGAGAUAUGAAGUCUCCAACUAGUUCUAUGGAUAAAAGAUGGAGGAGAAUCGCUCAACUAGUGAGCAUGUGCUCAGAUUGUCUGGGUACUACAAUCGCUUAAACCAAGUGGGAGUUAAUCUUCCAAAUAAGAUAGUGAUUGACAGAGUUCUCUAAGUCACCAUCACCAAGUUAGUAGAACUUUGUGAUGAACUAUAGUAUGCAAGGGAAGACGAAAACGAUUCCCGAGCUCUUCGUGAUGUUGAAAUCAACGAAGGUAGAAAUCAAGAAAGAGCAUCAAGUGUUGAUGGUUGACAAGAUCACUAGUUUUAAGAAAAGGGCAAAGGGAAAGAGGGAACUUCAAGUAGAAUGACAAGCAAGUUGUCACUCCCACGAAGAAGCCCAAAGCUGAACCAAAGCCUGAAACUGAGUGCUUACACUGCAAAGGAAAUGGUCACUGGAAACGGAAAUACCCUGAAUAUUUGGUGGAUAAGAAGGAUGGCAGAGUGAACAAGGGUAUAUUUGAUAUACAGGUUAUUGAUGUGUACCUUACUAGUGUUUAUAGUAGCCCCUGAGUAUUUGAUACUUGUUCGAUUGCUAAAAAAUUAGUGACUCGAAAUAGGAGUUACAGAAUAAACAGAGACUAGUUGAGGGUGAAGUGACGAUGUGUAUUGGAAGUGGUUCCAAGAUUGAUAUGAUCAUCAUCGCACACUCCCUAUACUUUUGGGAUUAGUGUAAAACCUAAAUAAAUGUUAUUUGGCAUUUGCGUUGAGCAUGAAUAUGAUUUGAUCAUGUUUAUUACGAUACGGUUAUUCAUUUAAAGUCAAAGAAUAAUUGUUGUUCUGUUUACAUGAAUAAAACCUUCGAUGGUCAUACACCCAAUGAAAAUAGUUUGUUGGAUCUCGAUCGUAGUAAUACACAUAUUCAUAAUAUUGAUGCCAAAAGAUAAAAAGUUGAUAAUGAUAGUGCAACUUAUUUGUGGCACUGCCGUUUGGGUCAUAUCAGUGUAAAGCGCAUGAAGAAACUCCAUAAAGAUGGACUUUUGGAAUCACUUGGUUAUGAAUCAUUUGAUGCUUGUGAACCGUGCCUUUUGGGCAAGAUGACUAAAACUCCGUUCUCCGGAACAAUGGAACGAGCUACUGACUUGUUGGAAAUAAUACAUAGCAAUGUAUGCGAUCCAAUGAGUGUUGAUGCUCGUGACAAGUAUCAUUAUUUUUUGACCUUCACAGAUGAUUUGAGCAGAUAUGUGUAUAUCUACUUGAUGAAUGAAAGAGUUGAAAAGUUCAAAGAAUUUCAAAGUGAAGUGGAAAAAUCAUCGUAACAAGAAAAUAAAGUUUCUAUGAUCUGAUCGUAGAGAUAAAUAUUUGAGCUACGAGUUUGGCCUUCAUUUUAAACAAUGUGGAAUAGUUUCACAGCUUACGCCACAUGGAACACCACAGCGUAAUGGUGUGUCCGAACGUCAUAACCGCACUUUAUUGGAUAUGGUGCGAUCUAUGAUGUAUCUUACCGAUUUACCAUUAUCGUUUUGGGGUUAUGCAUUAGAGACAGCAGCAUUCACUUUAAAUAGGGCACCAUCAAAAUACGUUGAGACGACGCCUUAUGAACUGUGGUUUAGCAAGAAAUCAAAGUUGUCGUUUCUUAAAGUUUGGGGUUGCGAUGCUUAUGUGAAAAAGUUUCAACCUGAUAAGCUCGAACCCAAAUUGGACAAGUGUGUCGUCAUAGAAUACCCAAAGGAAACUGUUGGGUACACCUUCUAUCACAGAUCCGAAGACAAAAUAUUCGUUGCUAAGAUGGAUCCUUUCUAGAGAAGGAGUUUCUCUCGAAAGAAGUGAGUGGGAGAAAAGUAGAACUUGAUAAGGUAAUAGUACCUUCUCCUGAAUUGGAAAAUAGUUCAUCACUGAAAUCAGUUCCAGUGAUUCCUACACCAAUUAGUAGGAAGCUAAUGAUGAUGAUCAUGAAACUUCAGAUCAAGUUACUACAGAACCUCGUAGGUCUUCCACAGUACGGUCCGCACCAGAGUGGUACGGUAAUCCUGUUCUGGAAGUCAUGUUACUAAACCAUGAUGAACUUACGAACUAUGAGGAAGCGAUGAUGAGCCCAGAUUCCGCGAAAUGGCUUGAUGGCCAUGAAAUCUGAGAUAGGAUCCAUGUAUGAGAACAAAGUGUGGACUUUGGUGGACUUACCCGAUGAUCGGCAAGCCAUAGAAAAUAAAUAGAUCUUCAAGAGGAAGACAAACGCUGAUAGUAGUGUUACUAUCUACAAAGCUCAACUUGUCGCAAAAAGGUUUUUUGACAAGUUCAAGGUGUUGAAUACGAAUGAGAUUUUCUCACUCAUAUCGAUGCUUAAGUCUGUCCGAAUCAUGUUAGCAAUUGCCACAUUUUAUGAAAUCUGGCAAAUGGAUGUCAAAACUGAAUUCCUUAAUGGAUUCAUGAAAGAAGAGUUGUAUAUGAUACAACCAGAAGGUUUUGUCAAUCCUAAAGGUGCUAACAAAGUGUGCAAGCUCCAGCAAUCCAUCAAUGGACUGGUGCAAGCAUCUCGGAGUUGGAAUAUAUGCUUUGAUGAGUUGAUCAAAGCAUAUGGUUUUAUGCAGACUUUUGGGAAGGCCUGUAUUUACAAGAAAGUGAGUGGGAGCACUACAGCCUUUCUGAUAAGUAUAUGUGAAUGACAUAUUUUUGAUCGGAAAUAAUGUAGAAUUUUCUAGAAAGCAUAAAGGAGUGUUUGAAAGGAGUUUUUCAAAGAAAGACCUCAGUAAAGCUACUUACAUAUUGAGCAUCAAGAUCUAUUGAGAUAGAUCAAGACGCUUGAUAAGAUUUUCAAUGAGUACAUACCUUGACAAGAUUUUGAAGUAGUUCAAAAUGGAACAGUCAAAGAAAGAGUUCUUGUCUGUGUUGCAAAGGUAUGAAAUUGAGUAAGACUCAAAUCCCGACCACGGCAGAAAAUAGAAAGAGAAUGAAAGUCAUUCCCUAUGCAUCAGUCAUAGGUUCUAUAAAAGUAUGCCAUGCUAUGGACCAGACCUAUUGUAUACUCUGCCCUGGUUUGGCAAGGAAGUAACAAUAGUGAUCUAGGAUUAGAUCACUGGACAUUGGUCAGAAUUAUCCUUAGUGGAAUAAGGAUAUGUUUCUCGAUUAUGGAGGUGACAAAAGGUUCAUCGUAAAGGGUUACGUCGAUACAAGUUUUGGCACUGAUCUAGAUGACUCUAAGUCUUAAUCUGCAUACAUAUUGAAAGUGGGAGCAAUUAGCUAGAGUAGAUCUGUGCAGAGCAUUAUAGACAUAGAAUAUUUGCAAAAUGCAUACAGCUCUGAAUGUGACAGACCCGUUGACUAAACUUCUCUCACGAGCAAAACAUGAUCAUACCUUAGUACUCUUUGGGUGUUAAUCACAUAGCAAUGUGAACUAGAUUAUUGACUCUAUUAAACCCUUUGGGUGUUGAUCACAUGACGAUGUGAACUAUGGGUAUUAAUCACAUAUAGAUGUGAAUAUUGGUGUUGAAUCACAUGGCAAUGUGAACUAGAUUACUGACUCUAGUGCAAGUUGGAGACUGAAGGAAAUAUGCCCUAGAGGCAACAAUAAAGUUAUUAUUUAUUUCCUUAUUUCAUGAUAAAUGUUUAUUAUUCAUGCUAUAAUUGUAUUAACCGGAAACAUAAUACAUGUGUGAAUAUAUAGACAAACAUAGUGUCACUAGUAUGCCUCUACUUGACUAGCUCGUUGAUCAAAGAUGGUUGUGUUUCCCAACCAUAGACAUGAGUUGUCAUUUGAUUAAUGGGAUCACAUCAUUAGGAGAAUGAUGUGAUUGACUUGACCCAUUCCGUUAGCUUAGCACUUGAUCGUUUGGUUUGUUGCUAUUGCUUUCUUCAUGACUUAUACAUGUUCCUUCAACUAUGAGAUUAUGCAACUCCCGUUUACCGGAGGAACACUUUGUGUGCUACUAAACGUCACAACGUAACUGGGUGAUUAUAAAGGAGCUCUAUAGGUGUCUCCAAAGGUACAUGUUGAGUUGGCGUAUUUCGAGAUUAGGUUUUGUCACUGCUAUUGUCGGAGAGGUAUCUCUGGGCCCUCUCGGUAAUGCACAUCACUAUAAGCCUUGCAAGCAAUGUAGCUAAAGAGUUAGUUACGGAAUGAUGCAUUGCGUAAUGAGUAAAGAGACUUGCUGGUAACGAGAUUGAACUAGGUAUUGAGAUACCGACGAUCGAAUCUCGGGCAAGUUACAUACCGAUGACAAAGGGAACAACGUAUGUUGUUAUGCGGUUUGACUGAUAAAGAUCUUCGUAGAAUAUGUGGGAGCCAAUAUGGGCAUCCAGGUCCCGCUAUUGGUUAUUGACCGAAAAUGUGUCUCGGUCAUGUCUACAUAGUUCUCGAACCUGUAGGGUCCGCACGCUUAACGUUUUGUUGACGAUAUAGUAUUAUAUGAGUUAUGUAUGUUGGUAACCGAAUGUUGUUCGGAGUCCCGAAUGAGAUCAUGGACAUGACGAGGAACUCCGGAAUGGUCCGGAGAUAAAGUUUGAUAUAUGGGAUAAUAGUGUUUGAUCUCCGGAAGGGUUCCGGAAUUCACCUGAAGGGGUUCCGGAUGUUUCCCGAAAUGUUUGGGUACGAGAACACGUUAUUUGGGCCAAAGGGGAAAGCCCACAAGGUUUUUGGAAAGCGCAAAGGAAGUUUUGCAGAGUCCAGGGGCCAGACACCAGGGUCCCUGGCGUCUGGGUCCAGACGCCGGGAACCCUGGUGUCUGGCCCUGGAGUCCGAGAAGGACUCUUGCCUUUCAGGUGAAACCGACUUUGUGGAGGCUUUUACUCCAAGUUUCGACCCCAAGGGUCAACAUAUAAAUAGAGGGGCAGGGCUAGCACCAAAGAGACAUCAAGAAACACCAAGCCAUGUGCCGGCAACCCCGUCCCCUCUAGUUUAUCCUCCGUCAUAGUUUCCGUAGUGCUUAGGCGAAGCCCUGCGGAGAUUGUUCUUCACCAACACCGUCACCACACCGUCGUACUGCCGGAACUCACCUACUACUUCGCCCGUCUUGCUGGAUCGAGAAGGCAAGGACGUCAUCGAGCUGAACAUGUGCAGAACUCGGAGGUGUUGUGUGUUCGGUACUUGGAUCGGUCGGAUCCUGAAGACGUACGACUACAUCAACCGCGUUGAUAAACGCUUCUACUUAGCGAUCUUCAAGGGUAUGAAGAUACACUCCCCCUCUUGUUGCUAUGCAUCACCAUGAUCUUGCGUGUGCGUAGGAUUUUUUUUGAAAUUACUAUGUUCCCAACACUAUCUAUAAGGUAUUUCCUAGUAGUGUCCAAGAUCCAUCAAUUUUGAUGAAUCAAAGUCCCUAUGAUAAAACUCAGCUAGCUUCAACAAACUCUCCAAGUUAAAAAUAGCAAAAGAGGUUUUUGGGUUGAAAGAAGCCAUGUGAAUAAGCAUUGCAAAAUUUACUUCAUUGAAUCUGUCAUCAAAAUCUCAAAGUUGCCAAUCAAUAAUAGUGUUAAGACACUCUAUUUGAUAAUGAUGUAGGUUUGUUAUAUUGGUUCUUUUUCGUGUAUUAUGUCGAUUGACAUAUUCAUGAUGCAUGUUAGUUCUGGAAUGUCAUGUUCUGCACAAAAUAAAUAUACCUUCUCCAAAAGUGAUUCCCACCCAUUAUCUCUUAGUUGUUGUAGAUCAUUCCUUGUUGACUUCACACAUGACAUUGCAUUCAAGAUAUCUUGAUGCUUUUGUAGCAAUGCAUGUGACAGGGUGUUGGCACUCCCUAAUAUAUGGACCAUUGAUGUCUACUAUGCAACUUUAUUCUUGUAAACUCGUGUUGGGCCUCCAAGCGCAAAGUUUUGUAGGACAGUAGCAAAUUUCCGUCAAGUGGAUGACCUAAGGUUUAUCAAUCCGUGGGAUGCGUAGGAUGAGGAUGGUCUCUCUAAAACAACCCUGCAACCAAAUAACAAAAAUUCUUUUGUGUCCCCAACACACCAAAUUCAAUGGUAAAUUAUAUAGGUGCACUAGUUCGGCGAAGUGAUGGUGAUACAAGUAUAGUAAUGAUAGUACAUAUUGAUAUUUUUAAUACGAACAAUACAAAAAUAACAAGGUAGCAAGUAACGAAAGUGAGCACAGACAGUAUUGCAAUGCUUGAAAAUAAGACCUAGGGUUCAUACUUCUGCUAGUGCAAUCUCUCAACAAUACUAACAUAGUUCUGCUUUUUUAUUGAGAUGAACAACUUCUGCUUUUCUUGAUGCAUGGCUAAUUAGUCAGUAGUUUGUUACUUGAGAUGAUCAAGUGGAUUAUUAGUCACAAACUCAUCGAUGAGCAUGAGGACGAUAGUCACAAACUCCAUUGCUUGGGAGGAUCGCGCACCAACGACAAGUUCAUAAAUGGACUUGAUCUACGUCCGGCAGUGUCAAGCUCAACAAGAACACCUCGUUUCACAUUGAUGGAGGUAACGGUGCCUAUGGGCUAUUCAUCAUGACUCAUUUGGGGGCUUAGUUGUUGCUUCAUGCAUGUACAAAUAGUCAAGGUUGGACAUUCCAUCGAUGGAUACUGAUGGGCCUGCAGUUAGCAAAAAAUUGGGCAUCUACUCCCUUGCGGUGGAGAGACUCAUUGAAAAUUAUUUAAGCCGUGAAGAUGGAGUACCACACUUCAAAGGCGGUUGUCACUUAUGAUUGCCGGAAUUUGAUGACAAGCUUUGGAAGGGCGAGGAUUAUGCAAUGGGAGCGAGAAGCAAAUGUAGAUUCACAUGAACUUGCUUGAUUUUGUUUUAUUGAGAGGGCCCGAGAGGUCUAGGGGAAUCACCCCCUUAUUUCCCGGUUCCAGUUCUUGUAAAGGAUAUGAUAAUUAUUUAAACAAAGUUGUCAAACUUUUAAAAACAAUAAGAAUCUUCAACUGCUGAAAAACUGUGAGGAUUUGCACAUUUUUGCUUGAUCAUGAAGUGAAAUGGACCACAAAGGGACAUUUUAACUUGUUCUAUUGAGAGGGGCUGAGAUGUCUGGAGGGAUCAUCUUCCUUGGCCCAUGAUAAUACAAAAGGUGUAUUUAUAUAUAUGUUUGUUUUACAGAGUAUGAGAGAGAUGGAGAUGAGUUAUGUCGAUGUCCAAAACAAAUAGUUUAAAGGACCUUGUUUUUUUAUGGCAGCGCACGGGCAACUUCAAAAGACAAGGUCCUUCACGCGAUGUCUUAUGGCAAUGCACGUGCACCUAACAUACUAAAUUCAGCUUUGACCUUGCACACAUCCUUAAAUAUUUGUUUGAUUCAUUUAUAUGCACGCAUUGUAGCAAACGCACAGGCGUUCUACUAGUUUACAUUGGAUUUGACUCGAGGCGGACAUGAGACGGACAAGUUAUGGUCUUGCUCUCACACAUUAGGCCGUAGCAUGGGACGGAAAUGAGGUAGUUGGUCUAAGGAGUACAUUUUUGACUUCGGAUGUUAGCGAGCAAAUCCUAUUUGGCGCUGAUGCGCCGGUUCGCCAAUUGGCGCCUGCAGGCGCUUCUAACUUGGCCGGCCCGUUUCGUUCUUUUUUCCUGGUUUUCAAACACAAAAGUGUGAGGCGAUGGAGAGUCGAACCCGCGAUCUCUUAGUCUAAAGCGCACGGCUGUAGCCACCAGGGCAUCCGCCCGGAAUGGACUAGUUAGUUCUUUCUUCUCUUUUUACUCGUUCUUCAGUUCGGUUUCUUUUUUAUUCUUUUAUUCUUUUUUUCUCAUCUUUCUUUGUUCUCUUCAAUGCGUGCUUUUUUAAUUUGUGAACCUAUUUUUCAAAUUCGAUGAACUUUUUUAAAAAUUUGAUGAAUUUUUUUCAAAUUUGAUGAAUUUUUUUCAAAUUCGAUGAACUUUGUCAAAUCCGGUGAACUUUUUUUUCAAAUUUGUGAACAUUUUUUCAAUUUUGUGAACCUUUUUUAAAUGCGCAACUUUUUUUCAAAAACGGGAUGAACACUUUUCAAAAUUGAUGAACUUUUUUUCAAGUUUGUGGACCUUUUUUCAAAUGCCAUGAUUUAAAAAAAACAGGAUGAACUCUUUUCAAAUCAAUGAACCUUUUCCAAAUUCGAUGAACUUUUUUUAAAAUCUAUGAACUUUUUUCAAAUUUGAUGAACUUAUUUUCAAAUUUAAUGAACUUUUGUUCAAGAUAUAAACUAAAACGUACAAUAUUUAAAAAAUUCGCAAAUCCAAGUUAUAAAGUAAACCGUAUUUUUCUGUGCAAUAAAUAGCGCGGCUCUUAUGGUUCUUAUGGUUAGCUCAAAAAUUCCGCUGUGUAGCGUCGUGUGUUCUAGUCCUCGUUCUACCAGAUUUCCGCGAGACAGUUUACUGCUCGCUCCGUCUGUGGGCCGGCCCACUUGGCGUUGCGAAUAUCCAUCUCGGGCCAACAGCCCAACACCACAUGCAGAUCAGCAGCACCAGUCCCCUAAUAAUUUUUUUUAUCAGCAGCACCAGCACUCCAGCAGGAACGCACGCCUCCACGAUCCGCGCCACUCGUAGCGAACCAAUCACAGCACGCGAACCACCAUCCCACGGAUCGCUACCUCGAUACCAGAUCUGGACCGUCCACGCACCAAAAAUCCAACGGUCCACUCCCACCUUCCCUUCCCUCCCAAAAAGCAAAGCUCACGAAAAUACCCCGCCCACUCGGCGCGCGCCGCCUAUUUAGCACAGCUCCCUCCCCUCCGUCCUCCUCACCCCAAUCCCUCCUCCUCAAGCACCAGAACCUCCUCCCCCCGGCGCAUCGCCAUGGCCCGCACCAAGCAGACGGCGAGGAAGUCCACCGGCGGCAAGGCGCCGAGGAAGCAGCUGGCGACCAAGGCCGCCCGCAAGUCCGCCCCGGCCACCGGCGGCGUCAAGAAGCCCCACCGCUUCCGCCCCGGCACCGUCGCGCUCCGCGAGAUCCGCAAGUACCAGAAGAGCACCGAGCUGCUCAUCCGCAAGCUCCCCUUCCAGCGCCUCGUCCGCGAGAUCGCCCAGGACUUCAAGACCGACCUCCGCUUCCAGUCCUCCGCCGUCUCCGCCCUGCAGGAGGCCGCCGAGGCGUACCUGGUGGGGCUCUUCGAGGACACCAACCUCUGCGCCAUCCACGCCAAGCGCGUCACCAUCAUGCCCAAGGACAUCCAGCUCGCACGCCGCAUCCGUGGCGAGAGGGCCUAAGCUCUGUUCGUCGUCGUCUUAGCCAGAUGUGUUCAUCGGUGGAAAUGUAGUGUGCCUGAUCUGAUGUCACCAUCUUGCUGUCAUCAGUAAUUUAAAUGAAAAAUGUUGGCUAUCUGUUCUAAGAUCUGUGCCUUUUGAUGCCUGUUUUUGCUUGUAUGUGAGCCUGUCAGUGAUCGUGAGUGACCAAAUCGUGCAUUCUAUUAUCCCAACUCGUGAAAUUUUCUGCCGGUUUAUGCUACUGUGUCAUAAAUUGCUUCAAGUUUUUAGCUUAAACGGUGCCUCUGGCUGCAUUAAGUUUUGUAAUCACCAGUAAUUUUGUUGAUUGCCUCUGAACCUGAAUGAACAACCUUGGCUCAUUCAGUUUUGUGUG